rnacentral:lncRNA from 1 species
GAUGUAGAUCGAGUGGCCUAUAAUUUUAUUGAGAAGUAUGAGAGGAGGCUUGAGAAACAGGAAUAUUAAUUUUUCCGUUAUUUCUUUAUUAUGUCUGUCAAAUUAAGUUUCCUUAUUAUGUUGUCUAAGUUUCUGUUAUUAAAUUAUUCUAUCACUUAUUUUAGGUAAGUUGUCUGUUUAGGGUUUACUUAGUUUUCAUAUAUAUUUGCAGUCUUCUGUAGCCGCAGACAGUUUUCUGGAGUUAUUAUGUUAUCAAUAAAAACUCUCUGCAAGAGCUUUAUUUGUUCCUGCAAUUCCUAGUCCCGAUUUCUAAGUUUGUGGAAGACUUGUGAAUUUAUUGUGUGCACAGAUUCUGCUUCUGUUCUUUCCGCUGCAUCAUUAGGGAUGGUCGUUGGUUGCUAGCUAAACUUUGAAGGGUUUUUUUGAGAUUCUCUUGUUGCUGAAGAUGUGUGAUGCUUCUCAUGUUUUAAAUUAUAUACAAUGUCAAGGAAUGCAUUUCUGAUUUCCCAGAUUUUUUCGUUAUCUUUUGGUAAUGUAAAUGUUCAUUAUGUGAUCUGAUGUAUUGCAUACUUCAUGGGAUCUUGCACGUGAAAUGGUACCAAUUGAAGUGUCGAUUGUGUCCAAUUAUAUCGUAUUGCACAUGCAGCUGACAUUUAUGUUUUUAACCUCAAUGAAAUCUCCAUUGGUCUAUUUUUGUAGCAUAAUUAGUUUCGUCUAGUGUACUGGCAUGUGCAUUUUUCAAGAUUGAGCAUUCUUGCGACCAUUGUCUUGACGACAUCGAAUCAAAGUUUUUUCUUUAAAAAAAAAAAAACAUUUACACGUGUGACAUUACCGUUGUAAUGGAAUCAUUUUUUUUUCUUAAAUAUAGUUUAUAUGUGUGAAAUUACCGUGUAAAAAACUUGUAAUGUAUGGCAUUCUGAAAACAUCAAUACACAAAUCCAUUGCUAUAAGCUCCCAUAAUAAACGGUAGGAUAUAGUAAGGUUAUAUGCCUUGACUCAAUGGAGUAUACUAAUAGUGCACUCUAAUGUUCACAGUACAUCGAAUUUGCAAUAUUUAAAGGUCUAUUGUUCGCCAUAGAUCUGGUUCUAUUUCCGACUUUACUAUCGUAUAUAGUCAGAAUGAUAUCUUGAUUUUUACAGGUUCACGUUUGCAUCACACGAGACUCCAUAGUAUUACAGAUUCAGACCAUCGAAUUCCAUUUUUUUAAUAUAUAACACACGUCACAUUCGCACAUUCGAAAUAAGAUUGAUGCAGGUAGAUGUAAUUUACUAAUUUUGCAUAGAGACGAACACAUACUGACUAAUUUUAAUGUGGCAAAAAAUAUUCAUGUUUCAUUCAUAUUUACAUUGAUAUUGUAACGAACGCAUAUUUUCACUUACAGGUUUUCCCAGUGAUGAUUAAUCGUUUAGCAACCUCACAGCAAGAAGUUAUAUUUCACGUCCGGUGAAUUGAGUGCGUUAAAGGAGCUGUCCGGCUAAUAAAGCAGAAAUCUGUAAUGGGAAGGUGUUGUGUCACAUUUAUUCAAUAUACCAUGUUUCGGAAUUCACAAUUCAAAAUUUAAUAGGCAUCCAGCUGUAAAUGUUUUUCCUUUAAUAUCAUGCUGUCACGGUUACCAUAAGUGUAUAUGGAAAGUUUAGGUUACAGUAUAUUUGGUGAUUUUUCUAAAUGUUCCACAUGUAGUAUUUUUUAAAUUCUGGAAUAUUCAUUUGUAAUUAUUUUAAAUUUCUAAUGCAUUUGCGAUGUUUUCCCAUUUAUGAAUUGAAUAAAACCAGCAAGGUAAGCAGGCUUUGCAUGUUGGAUUGAGUAUUUGGGCCUAAUUUUAUUUUUAAUUUUUUAAACAAGAACCCCAAAAGAAAAAGGUUCGCAACUUAAAAAAAAAUUUGGCCCAAAUCACUUGUGUUCAUCUUCAACAUCACUCACAUUCUUCCGCCAAACUGUACCUACAUUUCAACCUUAAUCUUCAAGAUUUGUCCAUGACGACGCGGUGACUGUAGGUUCCGACAGAGCCAGCACGCAGGGUCGAGCCCUCUUGCUGGGUGCUAGCUCCACCACUGGUCUUGGUGGUGCAGGGGAUGAUGACAUUUAUAAGGUCAUGCAUAGUCCCAGAAGAUUUUCUUGAUUGUAUUACAACUAGUCUUUGGAAAAAAAAAAAAAUGAUGGAAGAGAAGUAUUUGAAUGUAUUUGGUCAAUAGCUAACCCAGAAAUCUUUGAUCUACAUGAAUCCAUGUUUUUACUUCAAAAAUGGAAGGCAAAUGGAUUUUUCUAAAAUGUGUUUAGAAAUAAAAAACGAAAAUUUUCAUUUUUCAUUGGACUCGAAUGGAAUAUAAGAUGCUAGUCUACAUCCUUAGAGGACUAAACUCUUAGAAGAGGUCCACUAUGAGAAUUUCCCUCGUUAAUUGGUGGACAUUUGCACAUUUGGGUUCACACGAAGCAAGGGUGUAAGCCUCUUGGAUAUGCAAAGACAUAAUAAGCAUAGAGGUUUGUAGUUUUUUUAUUUUUUAUUUUUUUGGGUAAUAACUAAUCAAAGUUGAACGUGCAUUGCAUGUUAUUCUGAAAUACUUUCUAUGUGUUGAAAGUAAUUUUUGAUAUCAAUUUAUUUGGAGGAUUUGAUGAGUCUCAAAUGAACUAAAAAAAGCAUAAAAUUUUGGAUAGAAAUUUAGGAGAAUAAAAUUGUGUUCUUGAAACUCAACUUCUAUGAUUCAAGUUUUUUAUGAUGAUGAAAUACCAUAAAUGAACAAUGUUUUUAUACUACAAUUGAUAUAUAAGAAUAAAUAGCUAAUACGCAAAAUUAAUCACCAAUUAAAAAUUUCUAGAUACGUGAAUAGAAAUAAAUUCAUCUAUAAUAACACGAAAUUCAUAUAUGACAAGAAUUUUCUAGUAUUUAUUAUAUAUUAAAAAAAAUGAAAAUUGGGAUAUUAUUAAAAUAAUUGAAUUGUAGCAAAAUUAAAAUCUUCCAAAAGAUGAUUCUUACUAUAUUUGGUAUAUUAUAGAUGUUUAACAUAACAGUAUCCACCAUCAAACAUACUAUAGGUUGAUAUGACUUGAUAGAAUUCUCUUCUUUCUGGUUAUUUAAUAAAUACAAAUUAAUCAACUUGUUAAACCAAAAAAUAAAUUAAUAAUAAUAUUGUGUAGCACUAGGGCUUAGUGGUGAUCAACCGUGGUUUAUGUAACAAUUAUAUGUCAUUGUCACAUUAAUUUUUUUUUUUAAUCUAUCUUACCUUUGUAGCUGUUAUUGCUUUUGAUUUGAUUUGACUUGCACUUUUAAGUCAAUGACUAAAAAUCCCAAAUUGAGUCGGAAACAAUCGUGAUUUACCAACAAGUAGCAAAUUGCGAUUAAGAGGGACUUUAUGUCCUCAAAUUCACUACAGCCGCGGCCUCAAAUGCAAUUUGAAGCUAGGGAUAAGUCACUCAAAUAUUGAACAAUUAGUCCCUCAAUUUUUAAAUUUUAUCCAAUUUACUCUUUUAAAUUUUAGGGCCUACUUGGGAGAUUUAUUUUCACUGGUUUUGAGUGAAACCGUUUAUGAGUGGUUGGAGAAACCAUGUUGUUAGUUUUUUAGUAACGCCCAAAACCGGUGUAGUGUAUUUUUGAGCGGUUCUUCCAACCGGCCAAAUCGGCGGGUUUUGGCCAUUUCUCUUGUUCUUUUCUUAUUUUACCCUUUUAUAAAAUAAUUAUUUCCAACCAAUAUAUUUUAUUUAAAACUAAAUUACAAAUUAAAAUAAAUUAACUAAAAAAAUAAUUAUAAUUUAAAAAAAUUAUAUUAUAAUUAAAUUAUUUAUAAGUAAAAAAUCACUUUUAUGUAAAAAAUUAUUAAAAAUAAAAAUACUACUAAUAAGAUAAAAAAUAUUUGUAAAAUGUAAAAAAGUUACUUAUAAGAAAAAAUUUCACUUAGAUUUAUUUAAAAUUAAAAAAAAAAUAAAUAAAUUUUGACUUAUAAUUGUAAAAGUUACUUAUAAGAAAAAAUAUAAACUUAAAAUUUUAAGUAAAUAUUAAAAUUUAUUUAAAUUAAUAUUUAACUUAUAUGUGAAAAAAAUUAUUUAUAAAUAAAAUAUCACUUAUAAGUAAAAAAAUUCAUAUAAAAGAAAAUUUUACUAAAGGACAUAUAUGUGAUCUUAUUAUUUUAAAAAACUUUCGGAACUGGCGGAUAAUAAACUCCCAGGUUUUAAAAAUCUCUACUAAAAUCACUCAAAACCGCUCCGCUCAUAAAUGCUCAAAAUUGCUACUUUAAAAAACGCCCAUAACCCGUACAACGAAACUCCCAAGCAGGCCCUUAACCUUGUUCAUUUCAGCCGCUGAACUUCUAAUGUGACCCAAAUUGGUCCCCCAACCUUGGAUUUCUUCAAUUUUGAUCCUUUAAAUUCUGAGACUAUUCAAGUUGAUCCCAAUGUUCUAAUUUCAUUUUUGAUCCUCACGAGAUUUUCCAAAUGCCAAAUAUGAUUCUCAGAAGUUGUGAAUUUAUAAAAUUAAUUAUUCAAAGCUUACAAUCAAAUCCUCAACUUCCCGGUGGUUAUAAAAUCCACAAUUGUUGCUCCAAUUAAGCUCUAAACCUAUCCGUUUUGGGUGAUUCAUCUUCAAGUCAGGGUAUUUACCCUAAAAAAAAAAAUAUUAAAAUAAGAAGGAUUUUAUCGAAGUAACAUUUAAGUAACUUUAAGAGCCUAGAUAAAUGUGUGAUAUUCUCUUACGAGUUAUAUUAUACAAUCAAUACAUUCAAACACCUUCUAGGUUGUGUUAGACUAGAUAAAAACCUAAUAAAAAUUUUACCCUUAAAAUGUGGAUGUGUGCAUCUAUUUGUCGGUAGUUUAGAUGGGAUCCAUAAAACAAAAAUCUUUGCUACUACAUUUAUAACAGUUCACAAUGAUGCUAACCAAAUGUGAAAGUUCAAUGCCCAUUAUUGCAGAAACACGAGAUUACACUUGGAACCUCGAAGGGGUCCAUUUAUUUGACUAUAUUGACUAAAAGUUACAGCAUUACUUUAUUUCUUUGCUGACAAGAGAAUAAAGGACGAAACUAAAGAUACGUCAAGCAUGCAUCCAUGCUUGCAUUAUUCAACACAACAUUUUUAAAUUAAUUAAAGUAAGCAGUAAUUGUUAAUUUAAACAUUGUUUCUUUUUGGCCUUUUUGCAGAACUGUUCGUUUUUCUUGAGUUUUGACAUCCUGUAGCCAUGGAGUCCUUUUAGUUUUUCAGGAAAUCCUUCCACCACUUAGCUGAAUUUUUAGGGUGUCUUUCCAAUUCUUUCUCGUUCUUGAAGUUUACAUAAUGAACUCCAAAUCUAACAUUGUACCCUUGUGUCCAUUCAAAAUUAUCAAAAAAUGACCAUUUGAAGUAACCUUUCAAGCGUACACCAUCCCUGAAAAUGAAAGACUAGUUGAUUAGUUUCAAAAUUUACAAUUUUACUUCGAAUUUAACUACAAUAUGUGAUUAAAAAAAAAAAAAAAACAAUGACGUACUCUAUUGCCUUUCUAAGUUGGUUAAGAUGGUCCUUGUGAUACUUAACCCUUUUUUCAUCUUUAACAGCCUCUGGAAUUGUUAGUUCAUCGUUUUUCAAUUCAUCCAGCCCUACAAGAGAUUAUAAAAGAAUUCAACAAAUCACUAAAUGCUCUGAAAAUUUAGUAUUUGUAAUGUAUAUUCUUGCUAUAUACAUAAAUAAACAUGACUAUAUACCAUUCUCUGUAAUGAAAAUCUCAGAAUUAUAAUGUGUCUUUAUAUAAAGCAUUAUCUUGUAAAUUCCCUCUGGAACUAUGUACAACCAUGACGAACCACCCUGACACGAAGUAAAAAAGAUUUGUAAUUACAUUAGAUUAUACGUAAGCAUCGAAAAUAAUGUAAACCAUUAUAUCUAUUUUAGUUCAUUGUGCUCGUAUAUUAGGAGUCUAUGACAUAAUCAUAUUUCACCAAAAAUUGUUGAUAUGCCUAAAUUGUUAGAAUAAUCCAUUCCAUUGUCUAUAUUCUUUUUCUAAAUGACUCACCUUAUCACCAAUCGGCUUGCCAUAGCGAUCAUGAGCUAAAAGAAUGAAAAGUAAACAUCUUGUUAGAAGUAGUGUCCAUUUUUUGUCAAGGUAAAAAGUUAUAACUGAACAUGAGAAAAGGUCCCACUACUUACUCCUCUCAUCAACAUGCAGAUCAUUCUCAAAAUGUGUUUUUGAAGAAUCUCGAGGUACAUUUUGGGCAUAACGAGCCGUGUAAUAAUUUAUGCCUAAGAAGUCACAGGAACCUUUCACUAGUGCAACCUCAUCUCGUUUAAACUUGGGAAGACGUUCUCCUACAUUGAUUCUCAUGGAUGGUGGAUAAUCACCUGUUAUUACAGGGGCUACAAACCUGAACAGGAGAUGUGUUAAAAUUAGAAUUAUUAUCGAUGUACUAUAUACCUGAACAAAAAUAUAUCUAUAAUGUAUUCUCUUAAUAAGGCAUAAACAAAAAUGCAUAAACAGGCUAAAGGAUAAAAAGAAUAGAAGAGAAGAAACUUCCGAUAAUGGAUUCCAAUUUAACGAACUUCCCAGGCACUAAUUUCAUUGGGAGAUUCAGGAAUUUAUAGAGAUGCAGAGUAAUUGCUCGUGGUAAAGAUAAACUGCUCUAGCACAAGUAACAAUUACCAUCCUAACAAAAAAUCAAGUGCUCUCGAAGCAGCCUCGACAUCCUCUUUGCUUUCUUCCUUAAAAGGAUAAUACCACAUUGAAACGUUUGUCAUCCCUAUUUUGCCUUCUUGGCUUCCCUGUAUGUACAGAUGUAUUAAUAUUUGUAAAAUUUCAAAAGUGUGUAUUUACCUAUUUAUUUUUGUACGUGUGUGAAAUGUUAAAAUAAAAACCUGAUAUUUUUUCCGGUAUAUAUUAACCGCACGUGCAUGAGCAAGGAUCAAAUUGUGUGCCACUAUAUAUGGUUCUGUUCCCGGAUCUCCUUUCGAGUCCAGAACUUGAGGGGAUUGUGUCUUAGAAGUUAGAAUGACCCGAUCUCCUUUCGAGAAAGAAACUACUUCCUCUCUGACUGAAUCUCCUUCAGAGGAAGUACUAUCUUCAAAGGAUGCAGUGUAAGGCACAUUGAGUGCCUCAGCAAUUACUUUUCUCGCUGCAUUUCGUUCAGAGGAAGGAACGUUGUCCAAAUUGUAUGCGCUAUCAACUAGUUCACUGAUCGGAUCUCUGGCCAUAUAUCCUCUUGAUGAAGGAAACAGAGGAACAUUGAUGCUGCUUCUAUGCCUAAGGAUCGAGGAACGACACAUUCGUUCCAAUGAUUCUCGAGUGUGAUCCAAUGCCAAUGCUCCAAGAGGAUAACCUCGACGAGGGGGAAACCUUGGAUGCACAUAUCCAUAAAAAGUAAAGGACCAUGGCUCAUUAAGCGUGACCCAAUGUUUCACUCGAUUACCAAAUUUCGAAAAGCAUAUUUCGGCGAACUCACAAAAAUGUUCCCUAUUAUGGCAAUGUGAAACAAGUUAAAUAUCAACAUAUAUGUCUGUAAAAAACCCAUAGAUGGUAAAAAAAAAAAAUAAUAAUAAUAAAGAAAAUAAAAAAUUCACCUAUGACUUUUAUCUUCGUACAAGAGAUCAAUCUGCUUAUUAUUUUCCAUUUUCUUUGAAGAAAAGAUUUCUGCCUUUUCCUUUAAUAUAUAGUGUUUGAGAAAAUGACUUUGCUUAAUUCAUCUAUUAAACAUCUAGCACACGAUGUUCCAUGCGAUGCAAGAUCGAUUACUUACACAAUUUGAUGAUCUAAGAAGCCGCCAUAUAUAUCUUCCAAUUUUUGGGGAACGUCCCAAUGGAAGAGAGUUGCACAGGGCUUAAUGCCUACACAAAAUAAAUGAAGAGAAAUUGAGGUACAUAAUAUCUUUAGAUUUUAUAUUUUAAUUUAUAGGAGAAGGAAUGAUUUCAAAGGCAUAUCAAUUUGAACUUCCAAUCAUGUACUAAUUAAAUAAAAAAUGAGAAUCAUUUUCUUAAAGACACAAUAAACACGUGAAUUCAAAGAAGUCUAACCUUCUUUCACAAGUUCGUCUAUAAGAUUGUUAUAGAAUUGGAUUCCUUCUUCGCUUAUGUCAUCGCAUAGUCUACCACCUAAAAUAUCAAUAUAAAUUUAUACUCAUAUUAAGAUAAAGAACUAAUUUAGUGGUACAUAAUGGAGUGUACCUAAGGGUGUACACCCCCCUCACAUGGAGUCUGGGGUCCACCCGAAUAAGUGUUUUUUUAUUCAGGUGAAUCCCACACCCCAUGUGAGAGGGGUGUACACGUUUAGGUACACCCCUAUGUACCACUAACACCACUGUAAAAUAAAGUCAAGAAACUUUUACUGAUAUCCAAUAUUGAGGAAAUUGCUUGGUGAGGUCUCACAUUAGAGACAACUUCUGGCUUUCUAAAUACUUCUAUUUUUCAAAAUAUUUUUACAUUUGUUCUAACGAUAACAUUUUCUUGUCAAAAGUUUUUCUACAAUUUUCUCUUCCUUUUCUCUAUGUUCGACUUGAAAACUAGGCAAGGUUUAUGAGGCUUUCGAGCCAAUUUAGACUACCUAGUCAAACUUGUCAAUGUAGACCAUGAACUCUAUAUUGUCCAGAAUCUUUUCAACUUUGCCUAGCCCUUUAUAAUCAUUUAAAAAAUUUUAAGCAGAAAACAUCACUUUAGCUUAAAAAUUAAAUAAUGUACAAACGCUACAUCUUUGACGUUUCAUUAUUGAAGUGAAAAAAAAGAAAAAGAAAAAAAAAAUUGUCUUUCUAAAAUCAUUUAAGCACAAUCUGGUACCUGGUAAGAUUCUGGACCAUGAAAUUGAAAAUCUAUAAGAAUCCAAACCAACUUCCUUCAUCAAAGCCACAUCGUCCUGCAACAUUAUUGACAGUGAGUACAAUAUACAUUCAAAAAUAUUAUUCUUGGUGGCUUAAAUUAGAAUACAAUCAAUUUUAAUUGAUUUUUUUCUUUCUUGUUUCUUCCACUUUUUUAAAAAUUGAACUUUUUGACUUCAAGUGCCAACAAAGUAUCAACUCAUUUUGAAUGCUAUGUUCCAGUUAAUAGCAUUUUUCUUUUCAUUAAUGGAUCAAAAGAGUUAUUUAAUUCAUUUACAGCUAUUAGUUCAAUUCAUUUUUCACUUACUUAAAUAUUGUAAGGGAUCAGAUGAGCCUCGCUUAAUGCUUGAAUAGAUAUAGAAUUUUGAUACGGUAAUAUAAAUGAAUUAACAUCACUAUCUGCUACGAAAAAUUAAAUAGCUGAGCGCAUUUACCUUGAACUUGUUAUAGUGAUCGAUUGCCACUUGUCCACUUGAACGAUCCGCAAUGCUAUCUGCCACACAGACAUUUUAAAUUAGGAGGGCACACUCAAACCUUGUAUAGAUCGAAUACUUUAUUCUUAAUUUUUGAAUGAUUCAUACUUGACUCGAAAAAAUAAGAUUUACGUUUAAAAAAAUCCCUUCAUUAAUAUUUUGGUCAUCAUUUUCAUUUAUUUGAUUUCAAACCGUCAUUUUAUUAAUAUUUUGCUCAUCACAAAAGAAUAUAUAUUUAUGUUUAAAAAAUUUAUAAUGUAUUUGAAAUUUUGAUGCAAGCAAUCAAUUAAAACGAUUAAUUCAAAUAGUCGAAAAGAAAAACUAUUUAACAAAUAUUCAAUACUAAAAAUCAAUCAAAUAAACAGAAUUCAUUAAAUAUAAGUAAAAUUGGACAUAAUCAUUUCAGACCCGUUCUGUAUACACAAUUUGAUAGAAAAAAUAAUCUAUAGCAUUUAAUUAAUUGAAAAAUUGAUUGGGAAGUGAAGAAUUGUAAUAUAUGUGAUAAUCUAUAGAAAAAUUAUCGAUAAAUGUUUAAAAAAUUAGAAGUUAAGAAUUUGAUAAAAGGCAUGAGGGAGAAAGUAGCUAAAGAGAAAGAUAAAGGAAAAAAGUUCAAAUCUAUUAUGAUUUUGCCUCCGUUUGGUAGAGAUUAAAAUCAGAUUUUUAAUAAAUUUUGAUAAAAGUUAAAAAGUUGUGGAUUUCAUGAAAUAUUCUAUUAAAAUUAAUUGUUAACUUUGAUUCAUAUUAAAAUUUAAAUUUUAAUUCAUACCAAACAUGACUUUAAAAAAAAAUAAAAAAAAUCCCAAAAAAAAACCCCAGGACCCCGUCUCCACCACUGAAUGUACAUGUGUGUGCGUGUAAAUUAAUAUGUUCUAUCUUAAAAUGAAAACUUUGGUAAAAAGAGUUACACAAGCCUUCUUUUGUUGAUUGAUAUAUUUAACUUAUAAGAGAUUAUACACUUAACAUGCCUCAGCAGGAUAAUGACUUGUUAAAAAACAUCAAUCCUUGAAUUCGAACGCUUGUUUGAAUUUGAGAUGGAUCAAGUUACUUUUUUGAGCUUGUUGGACGAUGAUAAAAUAAUGAGAAUGGAGAUUUCAUCUCAAAUGCACAACCUAAUAUAUAGGAGUAGCUGAGAUCUUUUAUGUUAAUUUAUAUUUUAUAUUUACUGAUUUUAAACACACAAGACUAGAAAGAGAGAGAUUGAAGAGACCAGGAUGCUUUUCUGUCAUAUCAUCCCAAUUACUCGGGCCUUUACCAUCUACAUUCCAAGCACCUUCUACCUGAAAUAAAUUAUACAUCCACAAAUUAAGAACUCAAGAAAGUUAAAUUGCAUGUGAUGGACCGUCUAACAUAUACAUUCCCACAUGAUCGUUUCAGCAAAUCUUCAUUAUUCUAAACUAUAAUGGAUUCUUUUAUAAGGUACAUUUAAUAGUAUUUCACAUUAUUAACGAAUAGUACGGUUUGCCCAUUUUUCUGUGCAAAUAUACAACAUACUAAAACAUACCAAUUACUCACUUGAUAUGCCAGUGUUAGCACCGAAAACUUGAAAAAUCAGUUGCAAACCUGAUAUGCCGAUGUUGCACCACCAAAUAUAAAAUCCUUGGGGAAAUCAGAGCGUUUGAUCUCGGUUUGGGAUGUAGCCAUUUGAAUGAGCAGGAUGAGAUAUUAUAGUCAGUUGGGAGAGGUGUGUGGUUCCUCUUGUCCAUUCACUCUAUUUAUAGACUAUGAGUUUCAAAUACUUGUAUCAUACUAUUAGACAACAAGCAUAAAGUAAGUACAAUAUAUUGGGAAAGGUAUCAAUACUUUUCUUAAAGGUUGAACUCCAACCUUGAAGGCCCCCAUCGCCUCGCCUCUAGAGCUUUGUGAGGGAGGUAAAUCGCAGGAUGUGCCCCAACAGAUCAGGAAACAAGAGCUGCCUGUACACUGUGCCUAUAAAGAGUUCAAUUCCAUGUCUUAGGAAUCGAACCCCCACACUGCAACUGCCAGCAAGACGUGAGAUAAUCUCUCUCCGGUCAUUUACACCACUAGGCUAUGCUCCAGGGGGCAUAUUCAUACUUUUCUUUAUUCUACUUAAAGUAAAUACAAGUAUAUGUAAACCUUUAAGUAAUUCUUUACUUCCUUCUCAUUACAUCUCAAGACAUUUCUUUGAUUCUGCACCUUUAAGUCAUUCUUUACUUCAUUCUCAUUAAAUCUAAAGACAUUUCUUUGAUUAUCCAUAUUAUACCUCUUGAGUUAAUUACGAUUUUUGUGUCUAGAUAUUUUUCUAUUUGGGUUACUAUUAGUAAGAAUAACUCUUAAGUUUGUAAGGGACAAAAUAAAAAACUUAAUUAAUACAACUUUUUAUUAAUUUAAUUGGCAACACAAAGGGGGAGCAAUCAAAGUCAAAUUUUUUAUCUAAUUGCUGAGAUGUAUUGGAUCUGUAAUUAUUGAAUUAAACGUGCGAUUUCACUUGUUUAGUGGAGCAGUUUUCGAAAUUAAUAUUCAAGCCCGAGUUUAAAAUAAGAUGAUUUGGAGCUUGAAUUGUGUCAAGUCAUUGGCUUUGAUGAAGCCACACUAUUGGGUUGAUAGAAGGAUGAGAUUCAUAAUAAGAUGACAAACCUCAUGGGAUAUAAUUAAGAUGAUUACUUUUGUACUUUAAGAUGAUUUCAAUCUCCGUAAUCUUAUUUCUUUAGAUUUGCACGGUAAAUACUUACUCUUAAAUCCAAUUAAUACACUGACAUGAGGACACACCACUUUGUUAGUAAAGAUAGGAGAGACGCUCCAGGUAUACCAAGGGUAUAGUAAUUUCAACAUUGUCAUGGAUAAAUCAGUAAAUGACGAAAUCCUUGGACAACCAGCCAUGAAGCAUGCAAAUAUAAUCAUCUUCCUCCAUCAAUUGCAUGUGAGGUAUUCCAUGAAUAAAGGUGAAAUGUUCUUAAAGUAUAAUCAAAGAAACCUGCUUACGAACCACAAAAUUAAUAAAAAAUGAGACAUGAAAGCUUUUCCGUUAGCUCAGCAGAUGCAAGUAAAGCUUUAAAAAUUGGCAAGGAAUUGAGUGAACCCAUAAAAGGAUUGUUAAAAAACAUCCUAGUUGCUAACCUAGGUAUAGUCCCUUGGAAACGUGCUGAAAUUAUGAGGAUAGAUCCCAAAGUUGCUUCAAUUGCAUGUGAGGUACUCCAUGAAUAAAGGUGAAAUGUUCUUAAAGUAUAAUCAAAGAAACCUGCUUAUGAACCACAAAAGUAAUAAAAAAUGAGACAUGAAAGCUUUUCCGUUAGCUCAGCAGAUGCGAGUAAAGCUUUAAAAAUUGGCAAGGAAUUGAGUGAACCCAUAAAAGGAUUGUUAAAAACAUCCUAGUUGCUAACCUAGGUAUAUUCCCUUGGAAACGUGCUGACAUUAUGAGGGUAGAUCCCAAAGUCGUUUCUAUGCAAAAAUUAAGCCUAAGAUGCAAAGCUGGAUGGAAAAAAAAAAAAAACCUCUAAAAAAAACCUAAUUUAAAAAAAAUAAAAAAAUAAAAUUAUAAUAACACCUAGAAUCCUAGUCUAAAAGGAAACUAAUAAUAAACCACUAAUUAACAUCCAAAUUAACUUAAAGAUAUUAAAAAUAUUAGAAUACUAAUCAAAUAAGGGGACAACUAUUAAAGGAUCACCCAAACUGUCGGCCAUAGGGGUGGGCACGGGUCGAGUCGGUUCGGUUCUGAACCGAAAUUUUUGGGUAUCUAGUAAAUGGAACCGUCGGGUCCAAAUAUAAUUAUGGAACCGUUCGGGUUCGGUUCCGUUCAGUGCGGUUUGGUUCCAUUCGGUUCCGUACUAUAAUUAAAUUUUUUAAUAUCUAUAAAAACACUAUAUAAAUACAACUAAUGACAUAUUCAAACAUAGUUUUACAAAUUAACAUAGUCAAAUUUAAUAACAUGUAAAUAACAAGUUGUCCAACAACAUUAAUUUACAAAUACCAAAGAGUAGAAUGAGUAGAUACUCAUACUAAACUUCAACUAUCCAUCAAUUACUUGACUUAUCAUACUCACUAUUAAGAAACUCUGCAAGAAAAAAAUUGAAAAAGCACAAUUAACUUGUUAACAAUCAUAAAUAAAUUCAAAUGUGUUCAACUAAUAAGAUUUAAUAGUGUGUGUGUGUGUGUGUAUUAUUACUUGUCUCAAUGCUCUCAUAGAACUUCGUCUCUUCAAUGCAAACUCUAUCUUGAGAAACUUUCAAAAGUCUAGAUUCUUCCCUUAGCCAAUUUUGUGUACAAAUCAAGGCCUCAACUGUUUUAGGAGUUAAAGAACUCCUAAAUGGAUCAAGAAUACGCCCUCCAGUACUAAAUGCUGACUCAGAAGCAACUGUAGAUACAGGAAUGACAAGAACAUCCCUUGCAACCUCAGAUAAAAUUUCAAAUAUUGAUUUAUUGAUCUUCCACCAAUUCAAAAUGUCAAAAUUUUCAUCACUAGCAUCUUCAGUGGAUUCCAUUAGAUAUCGUUGUACCUCAUCUUUUCCAGAAAAAUCCAUUUUGGUAGUUUUCAAUUUCUUGUACCAAAAAUCAAAAUUGCAAUCAUCCCAAUCAUCAUCAUCAUUCAAGUCCUCCAACAAAGUGACUCCAUCAUUAGAUUCAUCACCCCCAUUUCCGCUUCCACUCGGUCCAUUGUUUGAUCGUUGCCAUCCCUUUUGUUGGUUAUAUAAAGCAUACAGUAAUUUCAUGACCUCGUUUUUUGUAGCUUCAACUUUAACACUGUCAUACAAAAUACCAAUGCAAUGUACAACAAACUCCAACUUAUACCUAGGAUCAAGCACGACUGCUACAAUCAAAAUCUUAUUCAUUUUAUCAACUUUACCCCAAUACUUGUCAAACUUAAUUUUCAUGCUAUUUGCUAUACUACUUAGCAAAUAAUUUCGCUUCUCACCCAUUUUCUUCAAAAUUUGCUCAAUUUUACAAACUUCAUGGAAGUAAAUAUUGGAAGUAACACUCAAUGAAGCACUAAACUUCAAUGUGACAUCAUAAAAGGUUCUUAGAAACUUGACAAAUUUUCUAGCUUUCUCCCAAUCAUAACUUGUAGGUGGCCCCUCUUUUUCUUUUCCACCUUCAUUUUCAUCAAAAUAUUUACAAUAAAAUCCGUCCUUUUCCUCCAUUCUUUCAAAAGCUUUUUCAAAAUUCAAUGCACUAUCCAACAUUAAGAAUGUUGAAUUCCAUCUAGUAGGAACAUCUAAAAUAGCAAGUUUUGUGCUUGCAAUCUUUUCCCUUUCAAUACAACAUUUAAAUUUUGUCAACCAAGAAGGAGAUGAUCGAAAAUAUUUUACCGCAUUGUGAAUACUAUCUAUAGAUGGAUUAAACUCUUUCAACCCUUCUUUAACAAUCAAAUUGAUUAUGUGUGAUGUACAACGUACAUGCAGAUAAGAGCUACCUAAAAUCAUAGUAUCAUCAGGUUUCCUAUUCUUCAACUUGUUUUUCACAUAAACGAUCGCUGCAUCAUUUGUGUUUGCAUUAUCUACAGUAAUGGUACCCACACACUCUAUUCCCCAAUCAAGCAGACACGUCUCAAUAAUCUUCACAAUUGUCUCCCUUUUAUGAUUUGGAACCACAGAAAAACUUAAUAUCCUCUUAUGCAAUUUCCAAGUUCUAUCAAUAAAGUGUGCUGUGACUACCAUAUAAUUGAUGUCCAACAAUCAGUGGUUAAAGAAAUCCUUUAACUAUCCUUAAUAAAUUUAAUCCUCAAUGAUUCCUUCAUCAAUGACUUUUCGUCCAUCUCCCUUCUCCAUUAAAACAGAACAUUCUUCCAAGAAUAUAGCAUACAAAUAUUCUAAACCAAAUGUGAUCCACAUAUGUCAAAUGCAAAAGCUACCACAAAAAAUAAAGACACCCAAACUGAAAAUAAAACAUCCAAAUUCAACGACUACUGGACUGAAAAGUGAAAAUGAACGGCACCGACGCACCGUGAAAGAACUCACCAAAAUUCGAAAUCAGGAAGGCAGCAAACAAAAUCGGACUGUCUGAGAACUCAGGAUAAGUGAUUGUAUGGGUUUUCUAGGACGGCAACAAUAAUUGUACGAAGACGUUGAGCUGUAGAGCGCAGAGACGGAGGCUAAUGGUUAUGCAAUCUUUAGGUUGUAUCAAGGAUUCAAGAUUCAAGAGUAGGGUUAUUUUACUUAUUUAGUUGGACUUGGGUAGUUGUAUCAUGUUGAUUGUUGGGCCAAAAAUUAUAAAAAUUAGAAAUCAAACAAUAAAAUGGGUUUGGCCAAAAGCUAAAAAAUUAGAAAUGAAAUAAUUAUUGGGCCAAAAUUGUUUUUUAGAAAUUGUUAAUUUGUUUGAAAAAAAUUAAAAUAAAAAACAUUUUAUUUCUUCAAUAAAAAAAAAAAGUUAGAAAGAUUCAGUUCUCAUUCGGUUCUUCGGUUCUUGGUACAGAAUCGAGAAUCGAAUUGUACCCGUCGGUUCUCAAUUCAGAUACUCGUCCAGAUAUUUAAUUCGACAAGAACCGUCGGGUUCGAUUUAGUUCGGUUCGAGUUCGAUUCGGUCGGUUCGGUUCGAGAGAUUUCCCCAGCCCUAGUCGGCCAUAUAGAAUUAUGUCAAUUUGGUAACUAGCGCCCAAUUGAAACUUUCCGCCUUUGGUAUAACUGUGCAAUUUUGGAAUAAAAUCUACUUCGGACUCCUCUGUGCGACGACACUGUUACCUGUAUUGCGGUCGCAUGGUUCACAUGUUGAGCCUCCAAAUUUUCCCUGCCAUGUUUGGUGAGACCGCAAGUCUUGGAGAGCUAUGCGGUCGCAUAGCUCUUGGUUUUUGGCUGUACUUUCGGCUGGAAUUAACAAGCUGUUCCCAAUUGAUUUGGAGCUCGGUUCCUUCUUCAAACUUACUCCUUGACUUGUGAAAUUCAUGGUUUUGGAUCCCGUUGAUUGAAUAUAUAAGUGACUAGCAUUAUUAGCUCCUUUGAAGUCUCGACUUGACUCAAGUCCUUCAACGUUUACACCCACAUAUCUCCAACCGGUUUUACCAUUCAUGCCCAGCAUGAAUUGUGACAUUUGGCUCAAUAACUUCAACAUCUUGAAUUCCAUAGCUUGAUCUGGAGUUUUGCCAGCUUGAUUAACCCCAAUUGGCCUCCAAAUGAACGAGAACUUUGGUAUCGAUCGACCUCCAGCAAUCGCCAAAUAAUUGAUAAUUAGUGGCGUAACCCAAUUUAUAUCAGGACAGCUCUCCUCUCCCCGGAAUUGAUCGGCUAGUAGAUGCCACUGCGGGACAUGAACUGUUAUUGACCUGACAAGGAAUAUACCGCAUUUGUAAUAGAUCAGGGACUAUACUAUUUAAUAUUAUGUCAUUUGAACUAAAGAAUAUUGGGACUGUGUGCCAAAGAUCAGUGAAAAGAACGUUCCUAGAUCGAAUAGAAAAAUGGUGAAAGUAUACAUUGAUGACAUACAUGUGAAAGACCUUCAGGUUGGAGACUGUUUAAAACAUCUAGAAGAGGCUUUCAACAUAUUAGGACAAUAAAAGAUGAAACCUUAUCCGUUGAAAUACUCCUUCGGAGUUGAAUCUGAUAAAGUUCCACACUUACAUGUCAAUCGGCGAGGUAUAGAAGCGAACCCCGACAAAAUUUAGGCCCUCAUAAAAAUACGUCCCCAUCUAAAUCAAAGGAGGUACAAAACCUAAAGGGAAGGAAUCUUCACAAAUCAAUUUCUAAUUGCACAAGGCACAUUCCAGAUUUUAAGCCAGAGUUUAAGACUCAUUUUUGGAAUAGUAAAAGUUCGAAUUAGAAAAAUUCUUCUAUAAGAAUUAUAGCCCUUUGAGUUAGCAUUCCAACACAUUAUAAAUCACCUUAAUUGGAUAUUGGAAGAGAAGGUUAUAUCCAAAAUAUUGAUGACUAAGCAGAGACAUAAUCAUGCGUGCACAAAAGACAGUUUUCAUAUGUGAUUGCAACUCUUUUGGGAGCCAAUUUGGACAUGACUUUUGGCCUAAUUUUGCCAUAUAGAAUACAUAACAUAAGCAUCAAUUAAAAGAUCUCUCUCUUAACUUUCAAAUUACAUCCCUAUCAAAAAAUCAUUUAAGAAUGGUGGGUAAAUUCAAUAUAAGUUGGAGAGUAGAAUAAAUCUUGUAAGAAAUUGAAUCAAGACCCAUCAAAAACUUGAAGAAUCAAAUUUUGAGGUUGAUAAUUAAGAACAAGAAUUGGACCGUGACAAUUUUUUAUUUUUUUUUGUAUUUAUAAAUUUCAGGUGAUGUUCUUCCAUUCUUCUUAUUGUUUUAUCAUUAGAAACAUAGUUAGCUAGAUUUCUUUGUGUUGAAUGAAAUUGAACUUUAUUAUUAUUUAUUUUAAAUUCAAGUACCGAGUUAUUUAGUAAUUUUUUUCGUGAUUGAUCUCAUAUGCCUGCUGCAUUAUUUGAUUACUUGAUCACCAAUUAAAUAAUUAAUUACUUGUUGUAGUGGUGGGAUGCUCACAAUAGUUUUAGAAAACUAAAAUUUCAACACACUGGCGAUAGAUGUUAGGAAUAGCAUGUAUGUCAUAUGAAAUCUUGUUGACAAUCAAGUGACUGAAUAAGUGUUAUGCAUAUAAAUUUGGAAUAGGAAGAGGAUUUGGUCGUGUUUAGGAUAUAAUUAACUUAUCUUGGAAAAUAAAGUUAAAUAAAAUUGAAUUACUGAUUGUCAUGUAUGCACAAAUUAUGUUAAAAUAUAUAUGUAGAGAAUUGAAAAUAAAAUAAUAAUAGGUGAAUUAGAAUUCCAACACAUACAACCCAUAUUUAAUUAGAAACAAUUGUAGAUAACUAGUAGAUAAUUUAGCUUUAAUCAAAACAUCCCUUUUGUUAUUUACUUUCGAAUUUGAUAGCGAGUUGAUAAAUGUCAAUAUAACGCUUAUUUCUCGUUGGACGAUACUCUUAAUUUACUUAAUACAUUACUUGUCAACGACCACGUAUACUUGCGGAGUUUUGUCUGAACGAGUCUUUGGAGCUGUUGCGCAAGAAUAAAGUUUUUAAAUUCAAUUUAUUAAUUUGAACUGGAUUUAUUUUAUUAUUUUGUUAAUUUUAGCUAUACAUUCUGAUCUCUCUUGUGUUUGGUGGUUUUUAGAUACUAUUCAAUAGUAUAUGUAUGAUUCUAACAAUUACAAGGGAGUAAAAUAGUUGUAAUAAGCAAUCUCGACAUGGAUGAUAAUAAUAUGCUUGUAGAAGAUAUUUAUUGUGAUCUUUUUUUAUAAGAUGCAUUAUACUAAGCACUGUUUAUAUACAUGCCAGACUCUUGCAAGUUAAAGCUUCUGUAGUUUAUACAAUAUCUAAGAUGUCUAAAACAAGUAAUUGACAAAUCUAAUGAAAUCUACAUGAUUGUGGGAGAUUAUGCAUCUAUUGAUUGUGAUGAGGAUAUCAUACUUGUGGGAGAUGGUCCUCCUUUGUCAAAGAAAAAAGUACUUACAGAAUAUUUUAAUAAACGUACCAAGUCGGAUGAUAGCAACAUGCAUGUGGGAGAUGGGAUAUACCGGCUUUAAUUUAAGAAGAAGGGACAUAAUUCACUUGAAAUGGUUGAAAAUAAAGAGUUAUCACUGCCCAUGGAUUUAGACUGGGAACCGACUAUUCAACCCUAAGGAACGUCAACUAUUAAAAAGAGCAUAAAGAGAAUGAUAAAUUAUUCACAAAGGAACUAAACAAAUAAGUGAUAAUUAAUGAAGAUAAAAUUAACAAACAUUCUUUUGACUUCAUCGAUUUCCCAACAAUUGAAUUUAUGAUUAAGUUUGAGGAGGAGGUACAAGUAUACAUAGUUGAUUUUGAAAUGGAUAGAAUAGGCAAGUCUUAUCACAUUGAAAUAGGUAGUGUUUUAUUUGGAGAAUCAACGAAAAGUGGAUCAAAGUCAAAAGAAGCAAACUGUGCAAGGCAUUAUAGGCUUUCUUUAGAAUUUCAUGAUACAGGUUGCCAAAGUCAAGCUAAUGACUACAAACAAGCGUUUAUUGGGAAGCGACCUGAUUUUCUUCCCUUUUAUUUAUUAUAGUUUCUAAAAUAAUAGGUUGAGUUAUUCCAUUUUACGAGAUUAUUUUACUAGAAUCAAAUCGCCAAAAUGAGUUGGCAAAUUGUGAUUGGAUGGUUGAAAAAUAUUUUUGGCCCAACUACCCAUGAAAUGCCGCUAGAUGUUAAUGUGGGUCAAUUCUAGUAAAAUCAAUCUAGUAAUGUAGUAUAACUCUAAUAGGUUAGAUAUUUUUUUAUUGAUUUUGUGUGUUAGUUAGUAAUUUAAGUAUCUUCAUCCCUAUAUUGUCCUAUAGAUUGUGUUUGAGCUUAUUAUAAAUUAUUUCAUAUUAUUAUGAUUGAUUUCUCUUUAUUAUGUAGGAACAUGACAAUUGAAAAUGUAAUAACUAACAAUGGAUAAGGAAAAUAUUAAUUGAUAUUUAUCGAUGUGAAUUUUGACACUCUUUAAGUUUAGCAUUAUAAAGGAAUGAAUUGAUUCAUAUUUGAUAGGUUGAAAAUAAUGGACCUUAGAUGUUGAACAAAAAAUUCAGUAUAAUAUAUAUCCUUAAACAAAUUUUAGGAUGGUUUAGAGGUGAUUGAACUAUUGUAGGAAGAUAUUGAGAUGAAUCGGGAUUUUAUGUGUACAAACUCUUAUGUGAAUUGUCUAAGGCCAAUAAUAUGAAAAGUAGGUUAAAAUCUUGAGUUAAAGACUGAUUUAUGAGAAUGAGGGUUUAAUAAGGGGUAUUGUAUUGAUCAUUAUAUGGAAAGGGAAAAAACUACCAUGUCGUGAACCUACCCUGUAAAAGAUCCCAAAUGAGGACACUUGUUGAAAACACCAAAAAGAAAACUAAAAAAGGGGAUCAAGUUUGUGCAUGAAAUAGAAGACCUACUAAAUGUCUUGAUUAAGCCCUAAACAUUUAUUUGAGUGAAUUAGACAUUUGAAUAGGAAUUAUUAGAUUAGCUUAUUCUUAAAGGCUGAAACAAUCAAAAUAAAAAAGAAUCCCUAUUUCUUGAGAUAUUGACUUGCCAUUAGUAAGGUCUAUCCAAAUUUGAGAGUGUAAGAAUUAGUAUAUAAAUUCAUCCUUAGAAUAUAGCUUGGAAAUGUGAGUCAAAAGAAUAAUUUAUCUUAAGAGUGAUAACCAAUAUGGGUUGUUAAAUGAAGCAACUUAUGAAUUUAUGAUGUUUAACUUAAUUUUCCAUAUGCAUACAUCAAUUUUACAUUGGAUAAGUAGAAAUUGAUUUAUGUAUUGUGAUUUUGAAGUUGUUCAUAAAUUUAAUACAAUGAUUAAAAAUAAGAGCAAAUGACAGGCUGUUGAUUGACUAGCCACCAUUACGUAAUUAGCAUUGCAUGCUUGUUCAUUGAUAAUAGUUUUUUUUUUUUUAGUACUUAAUAGGCCAUUAAACUAGGAUAUUUUGUAUUGCUUUUGAUAAAUAUAGUGUAAGCUCUUUAUUUUUCAUUUAUUAGAAACAACUCAAUGAUUUGAAGUGAAUUUGGAAGAAUGAACAUAAUAUUGGUGAAAAUGGAUGAAAUUCAAAGUUCACGGAUCAAAUUGCAACUAUCUAUAGUUGAUUUGGAUCACAAAUCGAUAAUGGAGAUUGUUUGGGUCAAUUGGAUGCAACAAAAAGUCAAAAAGGAAUGAAAUAUAAUAAAAGGAUCUUCAAAAAUCAAUUUCCAACCUAAUUUACAAAUCAAUUUCCAACCUAAAUCAAUUUUUAAAUGAUUCACUUGAUCAGUAAGAAAUCCAAUUUGACUAACAAACACCUAAUUCUUGUUCCUUUUCAAGUUCAUGUUUUUUUCUUUUGUUUGAGUACUGAUGACAUCUAGGGCGGAUAUAACCUAACUCACAACAAUGAUAGCAUGUAAGGAUAAACCUAGGACCUGUGUUAUCUGAACGUUGACGCCUAUUCCUAGGUCGACUAGAUCUAUGCUGUCUAGUAGACCUCUGUUCUACAGAUCCUUUAUCUUUAGGUUCAGGGUUAGGUACAUGUUCAGGUUGGUUUGUGGCAGGGACAAAUGUGAUCUUGGAUGUGCUAGCAACAUUAUGGUUUUUACACUUAUAUCCUAGAUUUCCCUUAUUGCCAGUCGGCUUACCCAUUCCUACAAUAUUAUCUAACUGUAAUGAACCACUAGUGAAGGCAAGCGUUGAGACUUAGAAUGUCCUAGAUCGCUCACAAGGUUUUUAAACUGGAUUUCUAAAGUCUCAUUCUUGGUGGUCAGCUCAUUAACUUUCCAAGAGGGCCUCUUGAGCUCACUGGGAAGAUUCUUAACCUGAGAUUCUAAGGAGUCAUUCAUCGUUUUAAGUUCACUCACGAUUGUGGAAGAUUCCUUAAUAUAUGCUACUAACUUUUCUUUCUCCAACUGAAGCUCCUUAACUAUCAUACUUAAGGUGUUGUUCUUACUAAGAAUUUUAAGACUCUACUGAUACAUUUUCUCAUAUACCUCUUUAAUAUCUUCCUCAUUUACAGACUCGUCACCAAAAUCCUCGCCACUAUCUAUGUCCUCAUCCCUGUCAUUCCCCUAUUCGGAUCCACUCUUAACUCUAGCAAUGAAAGCAACAUAUUUUCCACUUUCCUCACGAGUGGAUUUUUCGCUCUGAUUGUCCGAGCUAGACUCGUCAUCAGUGAGAGUAGUAUUCAUAGGCUUCUCUUCGACUCUCUUACCAUUAGGACACUCUUUCUUAACAUGACCUAUACCUUGACAAUUAUAGCACCUCAAAAUUUGGAUCUUGUCCUAGAUUCAUUCGCACCACCUCUCUAUCUCUCUUGCAGUGUCUUAUUCCUAAGCAUCUUAUGAAAUUUUUUAGCUAGGUAGUCAUCUCCUCAUCAUUGGGUAAAUCUAAGUUAGAAGAUUCGAUCUGAUAAUUCAUGGCAGAUUUCAAGGCCAAGGGCUUUUCCUUAGGUAGGUUGCCUACAGCCAGCCCAUAGGUCUGGAUGGAUCCAACUAGCUCUUCUAGCUUGAUAGUCUCUAUCUCCUUACUUUCCUCAAUUGUCGUGACUUUAGGCCUAAAAUGCUCGGGUAAGCAUCUAAGGACUUUUCUCACUAUUUUAGGCUUGGGGAUUUUCCCACAUAGGUUGAAAGAUGAAUUCACAAUGUCAUUUAGGCAUCCAUAGAAUAUAGCAAGGUCUCAUCCUCUCUCUCAUCCUGAUCUCUUCAAAUCUAGUAGCCAGUAUCUACAAUUUCGAGUUCUUAACUACUUGUGUUCCCUCAUGUGUGGUUUCUAAAAUAUCCCAAACUUUUUUCGCUACCUCACACAUGGACACUCUCUUAAAUUCCUCAGGAAAAUAGCCAUAAAAAGGGUAUAAAGGGCUUUCCUAUUCCAGUUGCAUCUAUCUAGUUCAGCCUUACACCAAUUUGUUAUGGGGAUGGGAGUAACGACAUUGCCAACCGUUGUACUAGGGACAGACCUACCAUUAACUACGCUCAACCAAAUCCUUUCAUCCAUAGAUUUCAAGAACACCCUCAUCCUAAUUUUCCAGUAGGCAUAAUUACUACCAUCAAAAUAGGACAGCACACUCAACAGGAUACUCAUCUGGACAAUGAAAGGUUAGGAAACAUGUUUAGACACUGAUACCACUUUUGAGAAUUUGUAACGUUCUAAUAUCACUUUAAGUUUUAGAGUUACCAAGUUUACGUUCUAGAUUACCGAUUAGUUUGACUUUACGUGUGGAAUUGACUAAUUAAAGCAAACACGUCACUUCUAAUUAGUUUCUAGAUGAUUAAGCAUACAAUUCAAUUAAACCUAUGUUUGAAUACAAUAGUUUGUAAUAAAUUACUGGAAAGUAAAGAAUACAAAAUUUGAUGACGGAGAAACACAAUGUGGCAAAAACUCCGGGAUCAAGCCAGUUACAUCCACUAUAGACAGUUCAGGGGAUAUACAACAAUUUCAACUCUUGUAUCCACUAAGACCCACUGUCACAGUCUCACGAUCUACUGCCAUAAAUACCUCUAGCAUACUGACCUCCUGUAGCCUCCUGCUAGACUUCCUAAUCUACCUCCUGCACUGAAUGUCUCUCCAAGUGGAACACUAUGUUCUUGUGCUUGUAACUGUGCUUCAAUUCAUCUCUCUCACUUCUCCAAUGAGAGAGUCCAUUCCUCAAUCAAUUAAGGAAGCACGGUGUUUUGUAUUCACGAGCCUUGAUGUUUUCCCAUUUCUAGGUUACUAGAUCACAAGAUGAAUGUGUUUGAUUCUUCCAAUUGAAUUUUGUUCCAAGAUCAUAAUGAUGAUAUGAAAGCUAUGGAGAUGAAGAAUAAUGUGGCAAAAACCCUCUCUCAUAUCCCAGACUUUGCUUUUUAUACCUGGAGGUAAAUAAGUGUCUUGGGCCGAAUAAAAUUAUCCAAAACACGGUCUAAGGUUUGGCCAUGUAACACUAUCGUUCGAGCAACACUUCAGCAAGAAGCAAACGAUAGCUUCUUCGCUCGAACGAUGCCUGGACGAACAAUGAGGGACGAUGGUUCUGAUUCCUCCGCUCAAGCAACACCUUGGCUACCAGCUUGCGAAAAAAUCGGCGAAUCUUCUACCUUGUUCCAAACUAAACCCUAGCCUAAACCAUCUAUACAAAUUGCAAUCCAAGUCACUGACUUUUACAACAUGUUCAAUUUUGUCCCUUUUGUUCAUAGAAUUACCAAUUACAAUAUAAAACCUAACACUCUUACCUUUCAAGUUACAUCCAUAUUAUAAAAUCACUCAAGAAGAAGGGCAAAUUCAAUAUAUAUUGGAGAGAAGAACAAAUAUAGCACGGGAUUGAAUCACAAAACAUAAGGAACUUGAAGAAUCAAAUCUUGGGAUUGAUAAACAAGAACAAGAAUUGUACCAUAACUUCUCCUUUUUGUAUUUAUAAAUUGGAUAACCCUUGUGGUGCAUCACCCUUGGUACACAAGGGUGUCCACCCCAAGGUUGAUGUACCCAUAGACCAACCCUUAUAAAUUUUGGAUGAAGUUCUUCCAUCAUUCUUUUUGUUUUAUCAUUAGAAACAUGUUUAGCUAGACUUAUUUGUAUUGAAAGAAGAUGUAGAACCCCAAAUAAUUCUAGAAACCUUAGUGGCACUAAGACAUGAAUAUUAGAUGACUAAAGUAUACUUCAGAUUUUUACUCUCAUUUGAGACCCAUUUUUGACAUAGGAAACAUUCGAUUUGGAAAAUAAUAUCUAAAUAAAAGUUGUGACUCUUUGCGUUAGCUUUCCAACGCACUUUGAAUUACCUCAAUCGGAUAUUAGAAGAAGAAGUUAUGAUAGAAAUACUGAAGGCUGUGCAGUGUUAACCGGACUGCAACUGGUCGACCGAAACUGCCUGAAAUGAAAAUUCUCGUUUUUCUCUAAAAUUUAAAUUAUUAUUUUCAUCAAUUAUUUUCUCAAAGGGCCACCCACGUUUUAGACAAUAAAAACCCCCACUAAAUUGAAGCAUUUAACCUCAAACUUAAAUGGCAUCCAUGUUUUCUCUCUUAAAUGAAAUUUGAUCCUGAAUUUGCUUUAAGUUAUAGGAUAUUUACCUAUAAAUAGAGAUCUCAUUUCACUCAUUUUUUCUCACACCAAAAGCAAGAGCUUUUACAUACUAAAGAAAGAGUUUCCAAAAGAAAAAAAGAGAGGGAGGAAAACUAUUUUUCCUAGAAGUUUAAGAAGUGUUUUCAAGCAUCAAUUCUCAACGGUUUUCAAACAUCCAAGGAGUGCAUUUCUUUCAACGCCGAAGUUUCAUCGAAGUUUUCAAUCAAAGUUUUCAAAGUUUCAAAAGCAUCAAUCAAAGUAGAUAGAGAUGCAAUGUGUUUAAUCCUGUUAAGUUAUAAGUUUCGAUUCAUGUUAAUGUUUGUAUGUCAAAUGGUACUCCGGUAUGGUAUAUCUCUCUAUGUUAAUGGUUGUAUGUCAAAUGGUACUCCGGUACGGCAUAUCCCUCUAUGUUGAAGAAAUGUUCCUAUGUCAAAUGGUGCCCUCGGGUACGGCAUACCCCUUCAUGUCAAAUGGUACCUCCGGGUAGGGCAUGUAUGAAAAGUUAUAAAGUUAAUGUUUUGAAAUGUUAGCUUGAUCACAAAUGCACCUCUGACACCUAUUGAGUUUUUCAACUCACGGGUUUAAUCCCAUAUCUACAAAUUCAAGGAAUUCUAUCUCGGGCAUGGAUGGAGGAGAAGAUGGAGAGUGAUGCAACGAGCCCAUGGAAAUCCGGUGAAUAAGUGAUUUGGAUUUAUUUUUAUGAAAUGUUUUCCAAUGUUAUUUCUUUAAAGUUUUGAAUAACGCAUAAUGCGAGAACAAGUUAUGUUUUCUUCAAAUAAAUUACAUUUUGUUGUUUUGAAAAAUGAUUCAGUGUCUUUGUUUAAAGUAUUUGAAGUAUUGUUAUUUAAAUUAUUAUCUGAAGAUGUAAGCUUCCGCUAAAAUGUAUACACUUGUUACUAAACCACCAGUUAAGCUAAGUAAAUUAAGUAGCGUUCUGGUACACUAGGGGUCAGGGCGUUACAGUGUGGUAUCAGUGCAAGGAUUAGUUGGUUCUGUAGAGCAAGUAUGUUUUUUUUUAACACAAAAGGAAAAUGAAAAGUUUAAGGUAUUCCAUGGCAUCGUGCAUCCAUCCAUCAAUCUCAUCCUAUGGCCCAGGUAUGUUCAUGUUUAAAAUUAAUGAUUAUGUUUAUGUUAUGAUGCUUUUAUAUGAUUUAGAGAUGUGUUAUUUAAAGAUAUGUAAUGGACUUGGGCAAAAGCUAAGGGCUUAAAGGGAAUUGCAUGAUAUGAAAGUAUAAAUAUUUGCAUAUUUUCUUUAAGCAAAGGAAAAGUAUGUUGUAUGUGAAAAUGCAACAGAUAUGGCUCGUAAAACGGCUAGGGCAUAUAGAGAAGCAUUGAACCGUAGAAUUGCUAUUCAUUCCUAUGAAAACUAUGUAACUGAUCUGACCCGACCGCUUAGCGAACCUGUGUAUGACAUUUAUGAGAGAUGCAUGACGGCGGUUAAUGCUGGAAUGGAAAUCAUGCAUAUCGAGGCUAUAAAUAACCUCACACACUUCCUCCCAUCUCAAUGGAGAGAUGGGAGUCACGGUUAGAGAUGAAAUGUUAGAAGGCAGCCCAAACCUAUUCGAGUUUGAAAGGUAUUGCCAUGCCGUGAUUGAUUUGUGGGAUGAUGUAAUCCAUAAGGAGCCUGAGGAGGAACCUUUGGCUGAGGAAAAAGAUCCCGAAGAAGAACCCGAGGACGAUUUAGAGAAUGAUCCUGAGCUUGAGCCACAGGUUGAGAUGGACAUAGAGUUCGGACCUGAGGCGGAAGACUCCUCCGAAAAUGAAGCUCCACCAAAGAAGAUCCGUAGAACUUAUAGGGAUUAGAUUUAAAUCCUUGUAAUAGCUUCCCUUAUGUCAAGAAAUAAAAUACUAUCUUCUUUUCUUUAGUAUUCGAAGAAUGAAACUAAUAAGAACCAUAUGUUUUGUCUAAAGGAAACGGCCCACGCGAACCAAAACUUGAUAAGAGACCUCCUCCGAGCGGUUCAAGACCUAGGCAGGCAAAACCCGAACCAAGCUCAACCUCUACCACUAGCUCCUAAUGUUCCAAACCAUACUUCAGUGGUCGAGCAAUUUCGAAGGAACAAGCCCCCUACCUUCAACGGAGCAACUGAUCCACUUGCAUCUGAGGAGUGGCUUCACAAGUUGGAGCAUAUAUUCCGAUUGAUAGGGUACACGGACGCUCAAAAAGUCCAGUGUGCUGAGUUCAUGUUCUCUGGUGAUGCAAGUCACUGGUGGGACUCAAUGUCAAGGACAAGGACCCCUGAGCAACAAUCAGAAUUGACUUGGGAGCAAUUCAAAGGGGAAGUAAUGGACAAGUACUUUCCCCAGUCCUUGAGGGAUCACAAAGAAAGUGAAUUCCUCCAACUCAAGCAAAAGACUAUGUCCCUGACUGAGUAUGAGAGGAAGUUUGAUCAACUUUCAAGGUAUGCUCCACAUCUGGUGGAUACGGAAGAUAAGAAGGUACGAAGGUUUGAACAAGCGCUGAACUCGGAUAUAAGCAUGAUACUUAUGUCCCAUCGCUUCACCACAUACCAUAAAAUGCUGGAAAGAACUCAUGCUAAUUGGUACCAGAAGACUAGCGCCGAACAACAUGGUCAACUGUUCAAUCAACCGAACAAUGGUAACAUGGGAAAGAGGAAAUGGAAUGGCCAAGACAAGGGAAAAGGCAAGUGGCAGAACAAGAAAGCUAAUAGUGGAGCCAAUGCCAGCAAAAGCAUUGUGCUGGUUAUUGCGCCCUAUUCUAAGUGUGGAAGGACACAUCAUGGUAAGUGCUUGCAAGGGAAAAAUGUCUAUUUUCGAUGUGGCAAGUUAGGACAUAUCAUUAGGGAUUGUCCCACACAUACCCAGAAGAAGGAUGGUAACAGCGACCAAAACCAGAAAGGGAAAGCACGAGUUUUUGCAUUGACUCAACAGGAUGUAGAGAAAAACUCUAAUGUCAUAGCAGGUACUCUACUGAUAGUCAGUACACCUGCUUAUGUAUUGUUUGAUUUAGGAGCUACACACUCCUUUGAUUCAACAACUUUUAUGGCUAAAUCUAGUAUUACCUGUGAUAAGUCGGAAGGUACAUUAGAAGUUAGUAUUCCUUCGGGCAACCCUUUGACAACUGAUAGAAUAGCCAAGUCCAUAAGUAUCGAAGUUAAGGGAAAACCAAUGGAAGCGAACCUAUACAUGAUAAAAAUGAAGGAUUUUGAUGUAAUACUAGGCAUGUAUUGGUUAGGUUGUAAUUACGCCACCAUCCGAUGUAAGGAAAUGGAAGUAUCAUUUCAGAAACCAGGAGAGGGACCAUUUUCGUUCCUUGGAAUGAAGACGAAACCCCUUAUUCGACUAGUAUCGGCUUUACAAGCUGAGAAGAUGUUAAGAAAAGAAAUAUGUCAAGGAUAUCUAGUAAGUAUCUCAGGAGGGAAACAAGAGACGAUAAGGGUUGAAGAUGUACCAGUAGUACGAGAAUUCGUAGAUGUGUUUCCAGAAGAUCUAUCUGGUAUUCCACCCGAUAGAUAAGUGGAAUUCACCAUAGACCUAAUUCCGAGGGCGGCACCAGUAUCUAAGGCCCCAUACCAAAUGGCCCCAAAGGAACUACAAGAAUUAAAGAGCAGUUGCAAGAACUCCUAGAUAUGGGCUUCAUACGACCAAGCGUAUCUCCAUGGGGGGCGUCGAUGUUUGUAAAGAAGAAAGAUGGAAGUAUGAGAAUGUGCAUCUAGGGAGAUAAAUUGAUUAACCAUCAAGAAUAAGUACCCACUCCUACCAUCAACUGAAAGUAGAGACAAAGGAUAUACCUAAGACAGCUUUUAGAACUCGAUAUGGACACUACGAGUUUACGGUGAUGCCAUUUGAGCUAACCAAUGCACCUGCAGUGUUCAUGGACCUGAUGCAUCGAGCGUUUCAUCAAUACUUGGAUCAGUUUGUCAUAGUCUUCAUCGAUGACAUUUGAUAUAUUCCAAGAGUAAGGAGCAACAUGAAGAGCACUUGAGAAUGGCCUUAGAGGUAUUAUGCAAGGAGAAGUUGUAUGCCAAAUUUAAGAAGUGUGAGUUUUGGCUUGAGCGAGUUGGAUUUCUUGGACAUGUAGUUACUGUCCAAGGGAUUAAAGUAGAUCCAGCAAAAGUAGAAGCAGUAACCAACUGGAAAGCACCAACAAAUGCUGGCGAAGUACGGAGUUUUCUAGGAUUGGCUAGAUAUUAUAGGAGAUUCAUAGAAGGAUUCUUCAAAAUAGCUGGGCCAAUGACGCAGCUUACAAGGAAGGGAGUAAAAUUCCAAUGGAUGGAAAAAUGCGAACAAAGUUUCCAAGAACUUAAGCAGAAGUUGAUAUCAGCACCAGUAUUAACAAUACCUGAAGGUACGGAAGGGUUUGUUAUAUACAAUGACGCAUCCAAGCAAGGAUUGGGAUGUCUACUAAUGUAGAAUGAAAAAGUGAUAGCCUAUGCUUCAAGACAAUUGAAGAAACAUGAGCAGAACUACCCAACACAUGAUUUAGAACUUGCAGCGGUAGUACACGCUUUGAAGAUAUGACGACACUACUUGUAUGGAUGGAAGUGUGAUAUCUACACAGAUCACAAAAGUCUCAAGUAUUUCUUCACACAGAAGGAAUUGAAUAUGCGACAAAAAUGAUGGUUGGAAUUGGUGAACGAUUACGACUGCACUAUUCACUACCAUCCGGGUAAGGCUAAUGUUGUGGUCGACGCUCUAAGUAGAAAAUCAAUGGGACAAUUGACGUCACUACCCACCUCUCAAGUGGAGUUAGUCAAGGACUUGAAAAAGUUGCAGAUCGAAGUGGCUACCACACCAGGACAAGUCACUGCUCGUCUAGCAUCUUUAAUAAUUCGACCUACUCUUAGAGAUCGAAUUAUAGAAGCACAAAAUAAAGACUCAUUUUUGUAGAAGCUUUAGAAUGAAGUUGGUACCAAUAAGAAAAAAGACUUUGGAAUAGCUGAGAAUUAGGCACUGAUAUUUAGAGAAAGAACUUGCGUACCUAAGGAUGAAGUCUUGAGAAAUGAGAUAUUAAAAUAAGCUCAUUCCACCCCGUACACCGCACAUCCCGGUGGUACGAAAAUGUAUCGAGAUCUUCGAGAUACAUUUUGAUGGAGAAAUAUGAAAAGAAGUAUAGGGCUGUACGUACAGAAGUGCAUGGUAUGUCAAUAGGUUAAGGCAGAACACCAAAAACCAGCUGGAUUGUUAAAUCCACUAGAUAUACCUAAAUAGAAAUGGGAAAAUAUCACGAUGGACUUUGUGGUUGGAUUCCCGAAGUCAGCAAUAGGAAAUAAUGCUAUAUGGGUAGUAGUGGAUCGACUAACGAAGUUAGCUCAUUUUUUUCCAGUGAAAAUGACAUUCAGUUUAGACCAAUUGGCACAGUUGUACAUUAAAGAGGUUGUGAGAUUACACGGUGUACCUGUAUCCAUUGUGUCUGACAGAGACCCAAGGUUCACGUCCAAAUUUUGGAAAAGUCUACAAGGAGCUAUGGGAACGAAGCUGAACUUUAGUACAACAUAUCACCCUCAGUUCGAUGGUCAGUCUGAAAGGACCAUCCAAACUUUGGAAGACCUGCUGAGAACAUGUGUUUUGGAUCUAGGAGGUAAUUGGGAGUCAUACUUACCUCUAGUAGAGUUCGCUUAUAAUAACAGUUUCUAAGAAACUAUUGGAAUGGCACCAUACGAAGCUCUCUAUGGUAGAAGAUGUAGAUCCCCUGUUCAUUGGGAUGAAGUCGGAGAGAAGAGAGUUUUAGGACCAGAAAUAGUUGAAAGGAUGGCCGAGGUAAUCGAUAAGAUCCAUGCAAGAAUAAAGGCAGCACAGGAUCGACAAAAGAGCUAUGCAGAUACAAGGAAGAAGGAUUUAGAAUUCCAAGUUAAGGAUAAAGUGUUUCUGAAAGUAGCACCGAUAAAAGGUGUACUUAGAUUUGGAAAGAAAGGCAAGUUACGACCUCGGUAUGUCGGACCUUUCGAGAUACUUGAUAGAGUCGGAAAUGUGGCUUACCGACUAGCUUUGCCACCUGAAUUAUCGGCAGUGCACAAUGUGUUCCAUAUAUCGAUGAUAAAGAAGUAUGUACAUGAUCCUAAUCAUGUAGUGAGUUAUCAAACCUUGGAGGUACAGAAAGAUUUGUCGUACGAGGAACUACCGAUCAAGAUAUUGGAUCGAAAAGUGCAUAAACUAAGGAAUAAAGAGAUUCAGUUGGUUAAAAUACAGUGAAAUCAUCACGACGUAGAAGAAGCCACUUGGGAAAAAGAAGAAGAAGCCAAAGACAAGUAUCCAACACUAUUCGCCCAAUCAGAAGGUAAAUUUCGAAGACAAAGUUUUAAUUAAGGUGUGGAGGAUGUAGAACCCCAAAUAAUUCUAGACACCUUAGUGGCACUAAGACAUGAAUAUUAGAUGACUAAAGUAUACUUUAGAUUUUUAGUCUCAUUUGAGACCCAUUUUCGACAUAGGAAACACUUGAUUUGGAAAAUGAUAUCUAAAUAAAAGUUGUAGCUCUUUGAGUUAGCUUUCCAACGUACUUUAACUUACCUCAAUCGGAUAUUGGGAGAAGAAGUUAUGAUAGAAACACUGAAAGCUGUGCAGUGUCAACGGGACUACAACCAGUCGACCGAAAUUGCCUGAAAUGAAAAUUCUCGUUUUUCUCUAGAAUUUAAAUAUUUAUUUUCAUCAAUUAUUUUCUCAAAGGGCCACCCACGUUUUUGGCAAUAAAACCCCCCACUAAAUUGAAGCGUUUAACCUCAAACUUCAAUGGCACCGAUGUUUUCUCUCUUAAAUGAAAUUUGACCCUUCAUUUGCUUUAAGUUAUGGGAUAUUUACCUAUAAAUAGAGACCUCAUUUCACUCAUUUUUUCUCACACCAAAAGUAAGAGCUUUUACAUACUAAAGAAAGAGUUUCCAAGGGAGAAAAAGAGAGGGAGGAAAACUAUUUUUCCUAGAAGUUUAAGAAGUGUUUUCAAGCAUCAAUUCUCAACGGUUUUCAAACAUCCAAGGAGUGCAUUUCUUUCAACGCCGAAGUUUCAUCGAAGUUUUCAAUCAAAGUUUUCAAAGUUUCAAAAGCAUCAAUCAAAGUAGAUAGAGAUGCAAUGUGUUUAAUCCUGUUAAGUUAUAAGUUUCGAUUCAUGUUAAUGUUUGUAUGUCAAAUGGUACUCCGGUAUGGUAUAUCCCUCUAUGUUAAUGGUUGUAUGUCAAAUGGUACUCCGGUACGGCAUAUGAUGUGAACCCCAUAGUAAUGGAAACUACGAAACCCACAACGAGAUUGAUGCGGAACCCAAGAACGCCAAUACUAACCCGAUUUUGGAUCUUGAACCCUAAGAAUUGAACCAAAAAAUCCUAGAUUAGCGAAGAACCUAAAACCCCUUGAUUACAAUUGAAAGAACCCACAAUCUGAUUGAUAGAACGCCACAAGAAGUUGAAUCCUGAUAAGUUCCAAGAUUUUUCAAGAAGAACAAUUAAAUUGAAAGAAUAAUUCUCUCUCUAUAAUAUUAAGCAAUAGUCAAAGUUCAAAAAAGGUCUUUACAAUGAAAAAAUAUUCUCCUAUUUAUACUAUUCCUCGAAUAGGAGUCAAAAAGGAAAUAUAAUUAUGAUAAUCUAAUAAAAUUCCUAAAAUAUUUGCCCAAUAUGGUAGGAAUUUGAUUAAGAAUGAAAUUCUAGUAAAAUAAGGAAAAACGCGGAAAAAAGGAAAAUCACGCCCAGAAAUGAACCAUGCGGUCGCAUGGUUAUAACACGUGCGGCCGCAUGGUGAUAAGAUUUUGGCCAAUUGAAAUCUCGGUCUCAUGCUGUGCGGCCGCACCGUGGCCGCAUGGUUACACUGCACACUCUCAUCUUCGGCUGCUUGUAACGCAUUGAUCCAUUUUGUUUCGGCCUUCGACCCGAACACGAAACUUGUCCCAUUUUGAGUCCCGAACAUGGUUCCAUCAAUAGUUUCUUGAACGAGCAAUCCCAUCGCUUGUUUCACUUGCUUUGCCCUUGAUCGCGUCAUUGGUCCGCCAUCAACUAUCAAAGGGUCUCGUCUCGCACUUGCCUUCGUCGGGCUCGACUCCUGGAUCAUAUCAUCCCCUCUCUCUUCAAAAGGAUUCAUCCUCGAAUCUGAACCUACAUCAAAAAGAGAGAGAUCAGAUACAUUAAAAGUAGCCGAAACAUUGUACUCACCUGGUAAAUCCACUUUGUAUGCAUUGUCAUUGAUCCUCUCGAUGACUUGAAACGGUCCAUCGCCUCGUGGUUGCAAUUUUGACUUCCUCUGUUCUGGAAAAUGCUCUUUUCUGAAAUGCACCCAGACCCAAUCUCCAGGAUCAAAUGUAACGCGUCUUCUUCCUUUAUUUGUUUUUGAUGCAAUCAGCUUUCCUUUCUCUUCGAUCUGCAUCCUAACCUUUUCAUGGAGUGUUUUCACCAUCUCGGCUUUUCGUUUCCCAUCCAAGCUAUCUCGUUCAUGCACAGGCAAAGGCAUUAAAUCCAUAGGUAUUAGUGGAUUAAAACCAUAAAAAAUUUCAAAGGGAUAAAACGAAGUAGUAGAAUGUGUUGCUAGAUUAUAUGCAAACUCUAUAAACAGUAAACACUCUUCCCAUGAUUUCAGAUUUUUAUUGAUUACUGUCCUAAAUAGUUGAGUCAUAGUUCAAUUAACUACCUCAGUUUGUCCAUCUGUUUGUGGUGACAAGUUGUAGAAAAUAAUAACUUAGUUCCUAACUUACUCCACAGAACACGCCAAAAAUGACUCAAAAACUUCACGUCCCUAUCAGACUCUAUACUUUUAGAUACUCCAUGUAAACGUACUAUUUUCCUAAAGAAUAAGUCUGCAAUAUUAGUAGCAUCGUCAGUUUUAUGACAUGGUAUGAAGUGCGCCAUCUUACUAAACCUAUCGAUAACUACAAAUAUUGAAUCCCGACCCCUUUUUGUCUUAGGCAAACCUAACACAAAGUCCAUAAAUAUGUCUACCCAAGGUUCACUAGGUACAGGUAAAAGAGUAUACAAACCAUGGGAUUGAACCUUAGACUUAGCCUUUUUACAAGUUUUUGUUCUACGUCAUGUCGCAUUUUAGGCCAAUAAAAAUGUUCCCCUAACAUGUCUAAAGUCUUCUGAACCCCGAAGUGUCCCACUAAACCACCCCAAUGUGCUUCCCUUACCAAUAAUUCACGCAAAGAACAAUUAGAAAUGCACAACUUAUUUUCCCUAAACAAAUAUCCUUCAUGCCUAAAUAAUUUAUCAAAUGCACCUUUAUCACAUGAAGCAUAAAUACUAGAAAAAUCACAAUCAGAUUCAUACAUGCUCUUAAUAUGUUCGAAACCAAUUAAUUUAGUACUUAAUGAAUUUAAAAGCACGUACCUUCGAGACAACGCAUCAACAACUAUAUUUUCGUUACCUUGUUUGUACUUGAUGACGUAGGGAAAUGUCUCGAUAAACUCUACCCAUCUCGCAUGUCUUUUGUUCAACUUACCUUGACCUCGCAAAUUCUUUAAAGAUUCAUGAUUGGUGUGUAUCACGAAUUCCUUUGGCCAUAAGUAGAGCUGCCAAGUCUCCAAUGCUCGAACAAGUGAAUACAACUCCUUGUCAUAUGUCGGAUAAUUCAAUGCUGCCCCACUCAACUUUUCACUAAAGUAAGCAAUAGGUCUCCUUUCCUGCAUUAACACUGCUCCUAUACCUAUUUCUGAUGUAUCACACUCAACUUUGAAUGUUUUAUCAAAAUUUGGUAAUGCCAAAAUAGAUGCUUUACAUAGCUUAUCCUUAAUUGUGUUAAAUGCAAUUUUUUGAGAUUCUCCCCAAUGAAAACCUACGCUCUUCUUUACUAUUUCAGUCAACGGUGUGGUGAUGGUGCUAAAAUCUUUUACAAAUCUCCUAUAAAAACUAGCCAAUCCAUGAAAACUCCUAACUUCAGUUAUAGUCUUAGGUGUUGGCCAUUCUUUAAUAGCUUUUAUCUUUUCUUCAUCGACUUCCACCCCAUUAGCACUAACCACAAAUCCUAGGAAAACAACUCUAUCCAUGCAAAAUGUGCACUUUUUGAAAUUAGCAUAUAGUUGUUCCUUUCGCAACAUAACAAGCACACAAUUUAAAUGUUCUAAAUGCUCAUCUAAGUUUUUGCUAUAGAUUAAGAUGUCAUCAAAAUAAACUACAACAAAUUUCCCAAUAAAAGCACGUAAAACAUGGUUCAUUAAAUGCAUAAAAGUGCUCGGUGCAUUAGUGAGUCCAAACGGCAUAACUAACCAUUCAUACAAUCCAUACUUAGUCUUAAACACCGUUUUCCAUUCAUCACCCUCCCGCAUGCGAAUUUGAUGAUACCCACUCUUAAGAUCAAUCUUACUAAAAAUGCAAGCACCAUGCAACUCAUCAAGCAUAUCAUCUAGCCUAGGUAUUGGGUGACGAUACUUUACCGUGAUAUUGUUGAUAGCUCGGCAAUCCACGCACAUUCUCCAAGUCCCGUCCUUCUUAGUCACCAACAAGACAGGUACAGCACAUGGACUCAUGCUCUCCCUGACAUAACCUUUGCUCAUCAACUCCUCCACUUGCUUUUGAAGUUCCUUCGUCUCCUCGGGAUUGCUUCGGUAAGCUGGUCGAUUCGGUAUGACAACUCCGAGUACAAAGUCAAUCUAGUGCUCGAUGCCUCUGAUUGGUGGCAAUCCACUUGGCAUCUCCUCAGGAAACACAUCGUUGAACUCCUGCAAUAAAGACUUAACCAAACUAGGGAGGGAUGUGUUAGAAUACUCAAAAUUAAGGAGGGACUCCUUGUACACUAACAAUAUCAUUUACCUAUUAUCGCUCAUAGCUUUUUUCAACUCACUCUCUUUUGCAUAGAAGUUGACCUUUAGCUUUUCUCUCCGCUCAGCUGACUCUUUUUCUCUCCUCUCAACUGACUCUUUUUCUCUCUGCUCAUGUGGCUUCUCUCUCUUUUCUCCACUCUCAGCCACCUCACUAUUUUCUCUCUUAGUGAUGGUUUCACUAUUGCCUCUCCUUUUUCCUGACUCUCUUAUUCUCUCGUCUUCCUCACUUUUCAGCUUGAUUUGAUUUCCAUACACUUGUGCCGGUGUUAAUGGUGCAAGAGUAAUAGUCUUCCCCUCCUUGACAAAGCUAUAACGAUUUCUAUAACCAUCAUGUGUGACCCUUCUAUCAUAUUGCCAUGGCCUUCCUAAUAAGAUAUGACCCACAUGCAUAGGCACCACGUCACAUACUACUUUGUCACUAUAACUCCCAAUUGAGAAAUUAAUUAAAACUCUUUUAUUCACCCUAACUUCUCCACUUUCAUUCAACCAUUGCAACUUAUAAGGCCUAGGGUGUCUUAACAAUGCUAGUCCUAAUUUCUCAACUAAAGCUGUACUAGCUACAUUCGUGCAACUCCCACCAUCAAUAAUCAUACUACAUACCUUAUCGUUGACGUAACAACGUGUGUGGAAUAUAUUUUCUCGCUGCUGCUCCGAAUCAUCCACUUUGACUUGAGUGUUAAGAGCUCUCCUUGACACCAACGAUUCUCCAACAGCAAACUCCAAUUUUUCUUCUUCUUCAACGUCCUCCAGCGCAGGCAUGUCCUCAAACUCUCCUUCACUUUUACUCACCACUUCUCCAUUAUCCAACAAAACCAUUACCCCUUUAUUUGGGCAUUGAGAAACAAUGUGCCCUGACCCCAAGCAUCUAAAACACUUGAUGUCUCAAUUCCUUGAUGGUUGUGAAUCUGUUUAGGUGCUGUUUUGCUAGCACUUUCUUCUUUUCCUUUCUGCCACUCAUUCCUACCUUUAGGUACUACUUUAUCACCUUUGUUGUUGUUAUUCCACCCUGGCUUCCAAGAUGGAUUAACACUCGAAGUUCCUAACGGCUGCCUAGCUGCCCCUUUCCUCUUCAGCUGUCUCUCUACCUUCAUAGCCACAUGCAACAUGUCUUUCAACUCCACAUAAUGUUGCAACUCCACUACAUUGGCAAUUUCCCUAUUCAACACAUUCAAGAAUCGUGCCAUGGUAGCCUCCCGAUCUUCCACCACAUUGGCCCUAAUCAUGAGUAUUUCCAUCUCCUUAUGAUAGUCCUCUACACUUUUCGACCCUUGAUAUAGACCUUGCAGUUUUUGAUGGAUCUCUCGAUAAUAGUGGCUAGGAACAAACCUCUUUCUCAUCAAUGACUUCAAUUCCUCCCAAGUGCUAAUUGGUCUUCCCUCACUCCUAUGUUGUGAAGUAAUCACUUGAUCCCACCAUGAAACUGCAUAGUCACUGAACUCCAAAACUGCUAACUUCACCUUUUUCUCCUCCGAAUAGUUAUAACACUCGAAGAUUAUUUCAACCUUCCUUUCCCACUCCAGGUAUGCCUCGAGAUCACUCCUUCCUUUGAAUGAAGGAACUGUCAUUUUUAUAUUUCCCAAGUUUCCAUCCAACUCCUCCCCGCGAUCAUUUCGACCUCGUCUGUCGAACCUAUCGCCUCUAUUCCUCGUCCUUCCCAUCUCAACACCGUGAAAUUCAUCUUCGCCCAUGUCACUCCCAUAUCCACAUCUUCGCCCAUGUCACUCCCAUAUCCAUACUCCUCUCGCCUUUCCCUCUUAGGCUCCCAUCUAUCCGUUCCUCUGGCAUUGGAUACAUCCACUCUAUGCCCCCGACUAAGAUUAGCCACCGAUGUAUCUAAUCUAUUCAUCCAAGCCUCCUACUUCUCCAACCUAUCUCUCAUAUCUCCAAACGCCCUCUCAAACCUCUGCACUAAAUCCUCCGUUGCAUUGCUAUUAUUAUCCGGUUGGCUUAAGUUUGAUUCUGUCCUUUCUAACAUCCUAACACUAAAAUUUUAUUUUACUGCCUCACCAAAAGUCACUCGAAACACACACAAGGCUUUUACCUUCUAUUAAGCUCACCUCUCUGCCUUUUACCACUCAAUUCUUUCAACAAUUGCUUCUAGGAACAAUCAAUGAACUUAAUCAAUCAAUUCUUGCAGAAUUUCCCAAACCGGAUGUGACUCAAUAAUUGUAACAAAGGACUCAAAGAAAACUUUUAAAACUUGAUUUGAAUGAAGGAAUGGAGUGAUUUAAUGUGUCCAAGUAAUUUAGAAACGAUAAUGAAUAAUAAAAGUUGGUAUUUGACGGAUCAAUAAUAUUCAACAAGUUUUUUUUUAUUGUAAGGAUGAACAGUAAAUUUUUUUUCUUUUUAGAUCCGAAAAUCAAUAACAAAACCAACAAAGAAAACGAAAACUGAUUUGGACGAAAAUUGAGCCCAAAAACGGAAUUUGAAGAUUUUUUUAUGAAACUUUUGGAUCAAGGAUCAAGAAAAACCUUCUAGACACAAUAACACAAGAAAUUGAAAAAAAUUAGAAAACAAAGGAUAUAACCUGAUUAAAUUGGAGCCAAAGCUCUGAUACCAACUGAUGCGAACCCCGUAGCAAUGGAAACUACGAAACCCACAACGAGAUUGAUGCGGAACCCAAGAAUGCCAAUACUAACCCGGUUUUGGAUCUUGAACCCCAAGAAUUGAAUUAAGAAACCCUAGAUUAGUGAAGAACCUAAAACCCCUUGAUUACAAUUGAAAGAACCCAAAAUCCGAUUGAUAGAACGCCACAAGAAGUUAAAUCUUGAUAAGUUCCAAGAUUGUUCAAGAAGAACAAUUAAAUUGAAAGAAUAACUCUCUCUCUAUAAUAUUAAGCAAUAGUCAAAGUUCAAAAAAGGUCUUUACAAUGAAAAAAUAUUCUCCUAUUUAUACUAUUCCUCGAAUAGCAUACCCCUCUAUGUUGAAGAAAUGUUCGUAUGUCAAAUGGUGCCCUCGGGUACGGUAUACCCCUUCAUGUCAAAUGGUGCCUCUGGGUACGGCAUGUAUGAAAAGUUAUAAAGUUAAUGUUUUGAAAUGUAUAGUUUGAUCACGAAUGCACCUAGGACACCUAUUGAGUUUUUCAACUCAAGGGUUUAAUCCCAUCUCUACAGAUUCAAGGAAUUCUACCUCGGACAUGGAUGGAGGAGAAGAUGGAGAGUGAUGCAACGAGCCCAUGGAAAUCCGGUGAAUAAGUGAUUUGGAUUUAUUUUUAUGAAAUGUUUUCCAAUGUUAUUUCUUUAAAGUUUUGAAUAACGCAAAAUACAAGAACAAGUUAUGUUUUCUUCAAAUAAAUUACAUUUUGUUGUUUUGAAAAAUGAUUCAGUAUUUUUAUUUAAAGUAUUUGAAGUAUUGUUAUUUAAAUUAUUACCCGAAGAUAUAAGCUUCCGCUAAAACGUAUACACUUGUUACUAAACCAUCGGUUAAACUAAGUAAAGUAAGUAGCGUUCCGGUCCACUAGAGGUCGGGGUGUUACCGAAGAUGAACCUUAUUAUUAUUUAUUUUUAAUUCAAAGACCAAGUAGUCUAUUAAAUUUAUUUUCUUGAUUGAUCCUAUAAGCUUAUUGCAUUUUUUAAUUGUUUGAUCACCAAUUAAAUAAUUAGUUGCUCGUUGUCGUGUUGGAAGUCUAUCAAUAGGUUUAGAACACAAAAGUUUCUACGAAUGAGCAAUAUAUGUUAGAAACAAAUGUGUGUUGUGUGAAAUCUUGUUGAUAAUCGUAUUAUUAAAUGCAUGCUAUGCAUAUAAAUUCGGAAUAUGAAUAGAACCGGGCUGUGUUUAGCAUAUAACUAGCUUAUCUUGGAAAAGAAAGUUAAAUAAGUUUGGAUUAUCGAUUCUAGUGUUUACAAAAAUUAUGUUCAAUUAUAUUGGUCAAGAAUUGGAUAUUAAAUAAUAAUAGUUGAAUUGGAAAUUCAGCACAUACAUCCCAUGUUUAAUUAGAAACAUUUGUAGAUAAUUAGUAGAUAAUUUGGCUAUAACCAAAUCAUUCAUUUUGUUAUUUACAUUUGAAUUUGAUAACGAGUUGAUAAAUUUCAAUUUGAAACUUAUUCUUCGAGGGAUGAUACUCAUAACUCACUUAAUCUAUUACUUGUCAACGAGCCCGUAUGCUUGCGGGGUUUUGUCUGAACAUGUACUAAAUAAGUCAAGCCCUUCAAAAAGCCGAGGCAAGAUAUAUGAAUAUUGAAAAGACGGCCCUCGUCUUAGUUAUAGUGUUGCAAAAGUUUUGACCAUAUUUUUGGAGUCACAACAUUGAAGUACUAACUAAUUUCCUAAUCAAGCAAGUAAUGCAAAAGCUUGAUGCAUUAGGGAGAUUAUUGAAAUAUACUGUAGAGCUCAGUCAAUUUGAAAUAAGAUACAAAAGCGAUCCGCAAUCAAAGAACAAGAAUUAGUUGACUUUAAUGUGGAAUUGUAAAUUGUUACCGUUCUUGAGGAAAAGUCUGAAGAGUGAAUGUGAAAUUUAUUUGAGGAUAGAUCAUCAGGAGAAAUCGAUUGUGGAAUAGUCAUAAUCUUGACAAGCCGAAAAUGACAUAAAAUGAAUCGUGUAUUAAGGUUGACAUUUUAAAGAAAUCAACAACGUGGCUGAAUAUGAAGCUUAUUGGUAGGCUUACAACUGGAAAAAGAAAUGUAAGCUAAAAAAGUAAAAUUAAAAAAUGACUCAAAAUUGGUAGUAAAUCAAGUGAAAUGAAAGUUUACAGCCAAGGAUAAAAUAAUAGUUGUUUGCUGUGUAGAAGACAUAAGAUCAUUUCAGUGUUUCAACAAGUUCAAAUUUAAUUAAAUCCAUAGAGAAGAAAAUAAAUACAUGAUGCCUUGUUGAAAUUGGCAAGUUCAGAGGACGCUAACUAUUUUAGACAGUACGUGAUGUGAACCCGACCAGCAAUGUUGCAAUCGAGCCCACAGAAGAAUGACUCAAAUCCCAAAAAAGAUAGAAAACAAAGUUUACGGAAUUGACCCACAAAUAAUGAAUCAAACAACCAACACAAUCACUAGGAUAUGCUGACCUUUUGAUUACAAUAUUUAUGAAAAUCAAAUCCAAAAUUUAAAGUUUGAGUCGAAGAAUUAAAUGAACCAAAAAUCAAGAAAAUUACUAUAAUACCGUGACUCCAUGAUUGCACAACCCACGAAUCGUACUUUGAUUGUUGAACCCCACGAGAGAUUAUCUCAAUAAGUUUGGAAUUGUUCGCGAAGAACAAAGAAAGGAAGCAAACGUGCCUCUGAAUUAAUUCAAUUGUCAAAAGUCUGAAUACAACUGGAAACAAAAUCCUAUUUAUACUAAGCCAUAAAAUUAAUAGAAAAAUGUGCAAACGGAGUCCUAAAAACUAUAAAGUUGCCAAAAUAGGAAAUUUAGUAAAAUUAAAAGUCUCGCGAAAAAAUAAAAAUCCUAUUUAAAUAAGUUGCUCAAGCGACGUCGAGCGAGAAGCUAAUGACGCUAUGUCGCCUGAGUGAAACCUUGGCGAAGAGCAAGCGAAGUUGAUUAAGCUUUUCUCGCUCGAGCGAGGUUCCAGCGGACGGCGAGCGAAAAUUUGGCAAGUUUUUAACCUCGUUCCAAAUUGUUUUAAUUACUUCUUUGACCCUCGAACUUUCACUAACUUGCCUCUUAACUUGUAAACUUCAUCUCCCUGAAUUCCAACACCCAAACAAGUAAUUGUACGGCUCGUACCCCCUCUAAUUAGCCUCGAUCGUGCCCUCUAGCUUCUCCAUGAACACUGAAUUCUUGAUCACCUUCAGCCUAGCCCAGAUCACAUCAGACCCUCUCUCUUCAAGAGGAUUCGUCCUUGAAUCCGCACCUGGUUCAAAGACUUUGCAACUUCCAUCUUCUUGGCCAUAACUUAGCUCUUGAUUGUGACUUUGAUAUUCCACCAGGUUGUAGUAGAAUGAUUCUCCCAUGCUCAUAAAAUCCUCCAAUGGCAAUGCAUCAACUGGAUAUUCAAAUGGGGAUAUUCCUUUGGUAAAAUCCUCAUGCAAUAACAUUUUAUAAUCCUGUAACAAAGAAUUAUGCAAACUAGGGAGGGAUAUGUUAGCCUUCACCAACUCAUUUCCACCACCAAGCCCAGUCUUCUUUACAAAUAAGCUCUCCUUUCAUUUGUCUUUAACUUUUCCCUCAUUGCCUUUCAACCUUAACUGAUUAUCAUACACUUGUUGUGGUGUCAAAGGUACAAGUGUAAUGGUUUUCUCACCCAUGUCAAAACUGUACCUAUUUCUAUACCCAUCAUGCUUCACCUUCCUAUCGUAUUGCCAAGGCCUACCCAAUAAGAUAUGCCACGCAUCCAUUGGCACAACGUCACACAACACCUCAUUCUUAUACCUCCCAAUUGACAAAUUAACCAACACCCUCCUAUUAACCUUAACUUCUCCUAUAUCAUCUAACCAUUGCAAUUUAUAAGGUUUUGGGUGUUUUAUCAUCUCUAAUCCUAACUUCUUUACAAGUGUAUAACUAGCUAUAUUCAUACAACUAUCCCCAUCAAUAAUCAAGUUGCAUACCUUAUCAUUGACGUGGCACCGUGUAUGAAAGAUAUACUUUUGCUGCCCCUCUCCAUCAACCUUGAUUUGUGCUUUGAGUGCACGCAUCAAGACAAGCGCUUCUCCUUCAACCAGAUACUCCACUACGUCACCACUACUAACUUCUUCCAACUUAGGCAUUUCUUCCUCAUCACUAUCACUCACCACUUCUCCACUAUCCUUCAAGGUCAAAGCUCGUUUGUUUGGACACUGAGAAGCAAUGUAUCCUGUUCCCAAGCACUUGAUGUCCCGACUCCUAGGUUAUGGUGGUUCUGCCUUCGAUGCAACCUUGCUGGCAUUUUCAUCCUUUCUUCUAGGUUGUUCAAUUUUAUUGCUGCCACUAGCCCCAUCAACCUUCUCUUCAUCCCACCUAGACCUCCACUAUGAAUUAGGCCCUGUUUGACCUCUAGCUUCUCCCUUUCGCUUCAACUGCCUUUCAACCUUCAUCGCCACGUGUAACAUAUCCUCCAAUUCUACAAAAUGCUGUAAUUCAACAACAUUGGUGAUGUCUCUGUUCAACCCAUUCAAAAAAUGAGCCAUAGUGGCUUUCCUAUCCUCCUCCACAUUAGCCCAAAUAAUUAGAAUUCUCAUUUCUUUGUGGUAAUCUUCUACACUCCUCGACCCUUGGUACAACCCCUGCAACCUUUGAUGAAGCUCUCUAUAAUAGUGACCAGGUACUAACCUCUUCCUCAUAACUUCUUUCAAUUCAUCCCAUGUACAUAUUGGUCUCUCUCCAUUUCUCCACCGUGAAGUGAUCGCCUGAUCCCACCAAGUGAUGGCAUAAUCAGUAAACUCCAAAACUGCCAACAUCACUUUUUUCUCCUCCGAAUAGUUGUGGCACUCAAAUAUCAACUCCACCUUCUUCUCCCACUCAAGAAACGCCUCUGGGUCACUCCUAUCCCAAAAUGUCGGAAUGGAAAUUUUUAUGCUGCCCAUACUUAACAUCACCUCUAACAUCGUUCCUAUCCAUUCAUCCCAACCUAUCACCCCUAUUCCUUCUCAUUCCCAUGUCAACUCCUUCAAACUCAUCCUCAUCCCAUUCACUACUAUACCCAUAUUCAUUUUACACCUCCACCCUAGGCUCUCACCUAACCGUUCUCCUAGCAUGUGGUAUGUCUGCCCGUUGCCUCCAACUAAGGGCCCUGUCCAACUUGUUCUCCAACCUACUUUCCAUGCUUAUCAUCAUCUGCUCAAACCGCUGUAUUAAAUUAUCAUGCAUGUGGGAUUGAUUUCCCAUCCUACUCGAAUUGGAUGCUUCACGUUCUAACAUUCUCACAAUUUUCUGCCUCACCAAAAUUUUCACUCAUGAAUCACACAAUUUCAGGCUUUUACCCUUAAUUAAACUCACCACUGAACCUUUUACCUCUCAAUUGUUUCCUGUCAGUGUUCUCAAAAACAAUUUGUUGCUUUGAACUCGUGGAUAACAAUUAAUUGUGCAAGACUCAAUAAAGUUAGAGGGCUAAAACAAUAAAUAAAAUUUUUGGAGGGACUAAAAAAAAUUUUGUUUUGACAUAUGAACAGUGAACAGUACUCUUUUUUUAUACCAAAAACACAAACAAUUAAACUAACAAAGGAAUUUUAGAUCUAAGACUCAAACUGACUGAAAAAGCACGAAGAACACGAAGAAUACAAACAAGACUCAAAACAAAAAAAAUCAAAGGGAUAUAACUUUGAAUCUGGCGCCUAAAACUCUGAUACUACCUGAUGCGAACCCGAUCAACAAUGUUGCAAUCGAAACCACAGGAUAUUGAAUCGGAUCCCAAGAACCCCCAAAUACGACCAAGGUUUAGGAUCUAAUUCCCAAAUGUUGAACUAAGCAACCGAAUGUAUAUUAAACCAACGACCUCUAGAUCACAAAGUCUUGAAAUUACACCCAGAUUGUGGAUUUGAACCAAUAAAAGAUGAACCAAAAAACUCAACGGUAACGAUGACGUGAAAGACCCCUUGAUUGCACAAUUCAAUGAUUCAACCCUAUCUUUUGAACGCCACAAAAUGAUUAGUCUUGAUAAGUUCGCCCCAUUCAAUUUAAUGAACAAGAUAAAUUUGAAGCAAAGCUUCAAGAGGAAUUUUAUUAAUUCAACAUAUGAAAAGUCUUCUGAAAAUCAAAUGAAAUAGUCCUAUUUAUACUAGCAAAUAUAAAAAAUAAUUAAAAUCAAGAAUAACUCCUAAAGUAUGGUAAAAACCAUAAAUUAGAAUCCUAAGAAAUAUAAAAUUACCAAAUAAAUAGAAUCCUAAGUAAACAAGGUAACUUGCAAAAUUAAAGAAAAUCUAGAUCACAUCAGUUGUAUUCAUUGAUAUUCCCAAGCAUGAGUGGAUAUAUUAAGAGACCAUUUGGUGCUCAUUUUUUGCAAAAAAUACAUUUUGGAAUAGUGAUGAUAAUUUAGAGCUUGAAUUGUAAAGUUACCUACCGAAUCACAUAUACUUAUUUAUGGCAGGCAGUGAGCCUCGACAUGAUGUAUUAGUAAAAGUAAAAUUUAAACAAAAAAGAAUUACGUAUUCAAAUUUAAUUAAAUAAAAUUGUAUUUAGGUAGUUGAGAGCGCAGUUUGAAUAGAAAAUAAUAUUUUAAAUUUGGGUUAUUAGUCCCUGCACAUGAAGUUCACAGUGCCAAACGUUCCAAUGUUGCAUUUUCUUUUGCAUUUUUAUAUCUGUUUGCCUUCUAUUUCAAAAAUCAUUAUUUUCAUCAUUUUCCAUCCAAAUUCUUAAUGAAAAGCUGGGACUAAUGAAUAUUCACUCCUAUUUAAAUAAAGCAAAAAAGGAAAAAUAAAAAAUUAAUUCCAAUUCAUGCUUUUAAUUUUUUUUUAAAAAAAAUACAAAUGAGUCCCAAAUAAAUUAUAAAAAAAAUUAGAAAUAAAAAACUUCUAUCCCCCCACCCCCACUAACGUUUUUCUCUAUCCAAUCUGACUUACCAGCCACUACCUCCAUACGGAAACUAAGAUCUUCUCCAUCCAAAUUAGAUACAAAUUUCAGCAACUUCUUUGUGGCCACUAACUCCUCCAUAAUAGCCAUUACAAUCUCUGGAUUCUUCUCAUUCAAAGCAGCCGCCGACACCUUCUAUGCCUAAACUUCUUCAACAACUUAUCUUGCUCCGUGAACUUCAAUUUCUUUAGCCUUGUAAUAAAGUAAUCCCCUUCUGUAGGCUUCGUAUUUUUCCCUCGACUGUCGAUUCCACCCAAGACGCUGCAAGACAAGAAUUAGGCGGCGACACUGAGUCAACUACUUGUUCACUAUUUUUAGUUAUUGAAGAUUUGGAUGAGAAUUUACCGAAGAGCUUGACCGUUGCAGAUCCAGAAUUCUUGGAUUCAAUUUUUUGUUUAAUUGCAUUUAAUUGGAUAUCUGGAUUUAAUUCAAUACAUUCAUAAAUCAUCAGUUUUUGUAAGCUGGGGCGGAUUCUGGUGUUUUGCUAUAGUUGUAUAAAAUGUUAUAUAUUUAUGGUAUAAAUAUAAAAUGUGAAAGAAAUAAUCAAAUUAGAUAAAGUGUCAAAGUGGUGGAAAAUGUGACAUUUGUGUGGGACGUCAGGGGUUCGAGUCACUCCCCACGCAGAUAUUAAAAUGUCUUGAUUGGGGCUUUGGAGCCUUGGUCUUCCUUGACUAAAAUAAAUAAAAUUUUUUCCUUUAUUAUUUAAUGGGUAAAACUAGCCAGUAUUUAUAGACUGUUUGUUUUUGUAACAACCCACAAAUAGCUAUUAGAACACCCACUACUCAGUCAUUAAAAUUCUUCAUUAACAUGGUGAAGACUGUUACUUCCAUCUUGCCUAUAUAAACCCAUAUCUCGUUUUGGGAAAAAUUCACACAAAAAGAAAAUAGAAAAAUCAUCUUGCAUCAAUCCUCCUUUUCAUAUUCUGAAUUUCUUAUAUUCGGGAUUUUACAUUUAUUCUGGAGUACAAUUGAAAGUUCUAGAAAAAUCAUUCGUGAUUGCUGCACAAGUGGUUUACGAUCGUUGUAUCCUGUGAGUGAUUGUCCACGGAGGUCGCAGCAAUUAUUGACAGGCAAUUUCACUUUAGGACAUCGUGCUGUCACGAGACUCGAUCGGUCGAUAAGUUUUAUAUUUCUGCAUUAUAUUGUUCUGAUCACUACUGCAACUAAUUAUCUUUUCCAACAAUCUAAAGUGAAAAUAUCUUUAUAAUUAGUUGCCAUGUCUGUCGUAGAUAUAUCUGUUCCUAAGUAUUCUGAAAAGCCUGAGUUGUUUGAUGGAAAGAAUUUUAAGAGAUGGCAAAUGAAACUGUGAUUUUAUUUGACAACACUUAAAGUCGUUGAUGCUAUUGAAUCAGAUAAACCAGGUUUUGCAAUUGCUGAUAAUCCUACUGAUAAAGAAACUGAGGAUUUAGCUAAUUGGGAACAUAAGAAUUAUAUGUGCAGGAAUUAUAUUCUAAAUUGUUUGACUUUAGACUGUAUGAUGUUUACUACUCGUGUAAAUCUGCAAAAGAGUUAUGGAAUUCAUUAGAAAAGAAAUAUGCUACAGAAGAUGCUGGAACCAAGAAAUUCGUUGUGGGAAAUUUUUAGAUUUUAAAAUGAAUGAUGUUAGAACUGUGGUUAGUCAGGUUGAAGAAUUGCAGAUUAUAAUUCACAAAAUUAUUGCUGAAGGAUAUAAAAUCUGUGAGGGCUUUCAAGUGUCAGCUAUAAUUGAAAAAUUGCCACCUUCUUGCAAAGAGUAUAAAAAUAGUUUGAAGCAUAAGAGAAAAGAAAUGUCCUUAGAGGAUCUGAUUAUCAGGAUUAGAAUCGAGGAGGACAAUAGAAUGGCAGAACGUAAAGAAAGGCCAGACUUUGAUACCAAGGCUAUUCUUAUUGAAGGAAGUUCUGGGACUAAGAAACCAAUUGGAAAUUUUACAAGGGGUUAGAAUUUUAAAGGCAGAAACAAGGGAAAAUAAUUUGUAGGAAAGAACAAUCGAUCUAAGCCCAAGUUUAAAAAUAAAAUUGUUGGUGACUGUUUUGUUUGUGCUAAACCAAGUCACCUUGCAACUACCAAGCAUAUUUACUGCACGAGAGGUGCAUUUUCUUCAUUCACUCCUACUAGUGAUGGAGAAUGUCUGUUCAUGGGCAAUGCUUCCUCCUCCAAAAUCAAGAGGAAAGGAACUGUGACGCUUAGAUUUACUUCUGGAAAUAUCCUUAAUUUGAAGGAUGUCCUCUAUGUACUUGAUAUUAGGAAAAAUCUAGUAUCUGGAUCUAUCUUAGUAAAAAAGGGUUUUAAGAUUGUAUUUGAAAGUGGUCAAGUUGUACUGUCUAAGGGUGGUUCCUUUGUUGGGAAAGGGUAUGCAGAUGAGGGUCUGUUUAAAUUCAAUGUCUCUGUGAUCAACAAUAAAGCAUCUAGCUCUUCCGUUUACUUGUUGGAUUCUUAUGAUUUGUGGCAUGCUAGACUUGGACACGUUAAUAAAACUUCUAUUAAAAAAAUUAAUGACUUUGGGAAACAUUCCCAAAAUCGAUAAUUGUCCAAAUUCAAAAUGUGAAACGUGUGUUGAAUCUAAAUAUUCUAAAAAACCAUUUCCUCGUGUUGAUAGGACUACUUCGGUCUUAAGUUUGAUACAUUCUGAUUUAUGUGACUUAAAAGGAUAUGUUACUCAUGGUGGAAAUAAAUAUUUCUUAACUUUCAUUGAUGAUUAUUCUCGAUAUUGUUAUAUUUAUCUGCUUAAGAGCAAGGAUGAAAGCUAUUCAAAAUUUAUUUCCUAUAAAAUUGAAGUAGACAAUCAGCUAGACAAAACUAUUAAAGUUUUAAGAUCUGAUAGGGGAGGAGAAUAUACAGGAGAUUUUGAUAAAUUUUGUGUUGAGAAUUGUAUUAUUCAUUAGACUACUCUACCUUAUUCUCUCCAAUCUAAUGGUGUAGAUGAAAGAAAAAAUUGAACCCUUAAGGAUAUGGUUAUAUCAAUGCUAAGCUCUUCUGGAUUACCUUUUAACAUGUGGGGGGAAGCACUUCUUACUGCAUGUUAUAUUCUUAAUAGAAUUCCUAGUAAGAAAAAUAACAAGUCUCCUUAUGAAAUGUGGAAGGGCAGAACACCUUCAUAUAAAUAUCUUAAAGUGUGGGGGUGUUUAGUUAAAGCUUCUAUUCCAACACCUAAGAGAACUAAACUUGGUCUGAAAACUGUUGAUUGUGUUUUUAUAGGGUAUGCUUUUCAUAGUAAUGCUUACAGAUUUUUAGUUAUUGACUCUAAAAAUAAUUUGAUUGAAAAGAACACAAUAUUUGAAACUAAAGAUGCUGAAUUUUUUGAAAAUAGAUUUCUGUUUAAAGAAAAGUCUGAAGGAUCAAGCAGUUCUUUUAGUAUUCCUCCUAGUGUUAGAGAGGAGCCAUCUGAAUUAGAAGAAGCUGAAAUUAGGAGAAGCAAAAGACCUAGGACCACUGCUUCUUUUGUUCCUGACUUUAUAACCUACUUAGUAGAGGAUGAUCCUAGUACUUUUGGUGAAGCUAUGUUUUCACCAGAUUCUAUAUUUUGGAAGGAAGCUGUAAAUAGUGAAUAUAAUUCAAUUAUGUCUAAUAAUACUUAGGAGAUGGUGUAAUUACCUCAAGGAUGUAAGACAAUUGGGUGUAGAUGGUUGUUUAAGAAAAAUCUUAAACCUGAUGGUUCAAUUGAUAAGUAUAAAGCAAGACUUGUAGCUAAAGGCUAUAAACAAAAAGAAGAAGUUGACUUCUUUGAUACUUAUUCACCCGUUACUAGGAUUACCUCUAUUAGGAUGUUAAUUGCAAUUGCCUCACUGUAUGAUCUUAUUAUACAUCAAAUGGAUGUCAAGACUGCAUUUUUAAAUGGAGACGUAGAAGAGGAGAUUUAUAUGGAUCAGCCUGAAGGAUUUGUUGUAGAAGGUCUUGAGGAUAAAGUAUGUAGACUUAAAAAAACUCUUUAUGGCCUUAAACAAGCUCCUAAGCAAUGACACGAAAAAUUUGAUACAGUAUUGACAUCAAGUGGUUAUGUGAUAAAUGAAGCAGAUAAAUGCAUAUAUAGCAAAUUUGAAAAUAAUUGUGGUGUGAUAAUUUGCUUAUAUGUUGAUGAUAUGCUGAUUAUGGGAACUAGUUUAGAUGUGGUUAAUAAAAUUAAGCAGUUUCUGAACAAGCACUUUGAAAUGAAAGAUUUGGGUGUUGUUGAUGUUAUUCUAGGAAUCAAAAUAGUAAAACAUUCUGAAGGAAUUAUUUUGACCCAAUCACAUUAUGUAGAAAAGGUGCUUAAAAAGUUUAGUCAAUACAACUGUAUUUUUGCUAAAACACCUUAUGAUGCAAGCCGUCAUCUGAGAAAACAUUCAGGUCCUAGUGUUUCCGCUUUAGAGUAUGCCAAAGUAAUCAGCAGUCUCAUGUACCGAAUUCCCUGCUAUACUUGAGGGAUAUUGUGAUGCUAAUUAGAUUUCCGAUACCAAUGAAAGUAAAUCUACAAGUGGAUAUGUAUUUACAUUAGCAGGUGGAGCUGUCUCCUGGAAAUCCACUAAGCAAACCUGCAUUGCUAGAUCUACUAUGGAAUCUGAGUUCAUAGCUUUAGAUAAGAAAGGUGAGGAGGCUGAAUGGUUAAGGAAUUUUCUUAUGGAUGUUCCUUUGUGGUCUAAACCAUUUCCAACUAUUUCAAUACAUUGUGACAGUCAAGCAGCUAUCUCAAGAGCUCAAAAUUCAUCCUACAAUGGAAAGUCUAGACAUAUUCGUAGGAGAUACAAUACUGUGCGUCAGCUGCUUAAGGAUGGGAUUAUAGCUAUUGACUAUGUGAAGUCAAGUGAUAACAUUGCUGACCCAUUAACCAAAGGAUUGGCUAGAGAGCUAAUUCAACAAAUAUCGAUGGGGAUGGGGCUAAAGCCUAUUAUUUAUUAGAUCACCUAUAAUGGAAACCCAACCUUGCAAUUGGAGAUCCCAUGGUCAAGGUUCAAUGGGACAACAAAGUUAUUGGAGUGGUCUGUGGGGGUACUACAUUGGAUUUAUUCCAAACCCCUCCCUAUGAUGCGUAGUACUAACUGUAUUGAUUAGAGGAUGAGUUAAUGCUCUUAAUGCUUACUAAAGCUGAUAUUCAGUGGGGUGUCUAAAUACAGUACACCCUUGAUUGUAGCACCUAUUUGAGUAUGGAAGUGGAGCCGCUUCCUAUGAGAAUUGAGGCGAAUUCUCUAGAGCACUCAAAGAAACUAGGAAAGUUCACGGCCGAAAUGAACACAACCGUGAGAACUCAAUGACUGUUCUAGAAAUCAUGUGUGUGUUCUAUUGUCUCAGUUUGAAACUAUAAUUGUAGAGUUCAAGACAUAAUUCACUCUACAGUUAGUAAGCUCGAUAGAAUAUACAAAGCCAAGGUUCAAGUCGAUAGAUACCUAUGCCUGCAUGAUUUCUACCGUACUCCAGAGUAAUAUUUUCAUUUUUCUAUUUCUUUCAUGUGGGGGAUUAUUAUAUAUUUAUGGUAUAAAUAUAAAAUGUGAAAGAAAUAAUCAAAUUAGAUAAAGUGUCAAAGUGGUGAGAAAUGUGACAUUUGUGUGGGACGUCAGGGGUUCGAGUCACUCCCCACGCAGAUAUUAAAAUGUCUUGAUUUGGGCUCUUGGGCUUCCUUGACUAAAAUAAAUGAUUUUUUUCCUUUAUUAUUUAAUGGGUAAAACUAGCCAAUAUUUUCUGACUGUUUGUUUUUGUAACAACCCACAAACAGCCAUUAAAACACCCACUACUCAGUCAUUAAAAUUCUUCAUUAACAUGGUGAAGACUGUUACUUCCAUCUUGCCUAUAUAAACCCAUAUCUUGUUUUGGGAAAAAUUCACACAAAAAGAAAAUAGAAAAAUCAUCUUGCAUCAAUCCUCCUUUUCAUAUUCUGAAUUUCUUAUAUUCGGGUUUUUACAUUUAUUCUGGAGUACAAUUGAGAGUUCUAGAAAAAUCAUUUGUGAUUGCUGCACAAGUGGUUUACAAUCGUUGUAUCCUAGGAGUGAUUGUCCAUGGAGGUCGUAGCAAUUAUUGACGGACAAUUUCACUUUAGGAUAUCUUGCUAUCACGAUACUCGAUCGGACAAUAAGUUUUAUAUUUCUGCAUUAUAUUGUUCUGAUCACUACUGAAACUAAUUAUUUUUUCCAACAUAAAAUUGGAGCUGAAUUCUUGGAUUCAAUUUUUUUUUAAUUGCAUUUAAUUAGAUUUCUGGAUUUAAUUGAAUACAUUCAUAAAUCAUCAGUUUUUGUAAGUUGGGGUGGAUUCUGGUGUUUUGCUAAAGUUGUAUAAAACUGGCGCUGAAUUCUUUGCAAUGGGAAAAUCCGACUAUAAGUGCGUGAGAGAGUGCCACCAUUGGAGCUGUAAUUGAAUUCUUUGCAAUCGGGCGAACUUUUAGGUAGGGUUAGGGAAGAAGAUCAAGUGGGAUGGGAUGGCAUAGGGUGGGAGUGUAGAAGAAAAUAAAGUUUUAAAGAUUUGAGAUUGUAAUUGGUAUAUAUAAAACAAUUGAGUAUAAUUUGCAAAACAAUAAAAAUGUUGGGACUGCAAGCUUUUUGUUUUAUUUAAUCAUGAGGGUAUAUUCAUAAUUUUACUAUUUUUCUUAAUAAAUUGGAUGAAAAUAAUAAUUUUCGCAAUGAAAUGUCGAAACAUGAGUGAAAUGCAACAUUGGGACGCUUUGCAUAAUGAACUCCAUACGUAGGGACGUUUUUUUUGCUAAUAACCUUUUAAUUUCUUGUCAAUGAGAUUAAUUUUAUUUAACGAUGAUUCUUUAUUUUUAAAAUUCAAUUUAGUAGAUUUGGUCGAUAGUUGAGCGAGAAAUGCCGGAUCUACAUGAGUCUAUGUUUUUACUCCAAAAUUAAGCGCAAAUUGAUUUUUUUUCUAUAAUGUUUUCUGAAAUAAAAGGAAAAACUCUAUUUUACAUUGGACUAGAAUGGAUGAUGAGAUGCUGCUCAACAUCCUGAAGACGACAAAAUUCUUGGAAGAGGUCCAAUCUAUUAUUAAGAAAAAAAAUGGCAAAAAGAAGGUUUUUAUGUGGGGUAACAAUUUUUCAAGGAAAAUGAGUGCCCCAACAGAUGAUGCUUAACGCUGGGACUGGACAAAUUAUUAAGUUAAAUAUCCGAAUAAAAAUUGAAUCUUCCUAUUUUUUUAAUUAAUUUAUUUUAAAUAAGCAAAAUUAUUUUAUUUUUUUCAAAAUAAAUUUGCUAACUAGUUAAUUUAGUUCAAACCCAAAAAUAUAAUUUCAUAUUUCUAAUUUUCAAUUCAAAGCCAACUUAAUCAAAUUGAUCGAAAUUUUAUCCAAAUCUGUUACUCUGUCAUAGUGCUGUUUUUACAGUUAUGGAAAAAUCGAACUGAAGCUCAACAACGCAUCUCUUAUUAUUUUGGGCUCGCUAUCUUUCUCAUCAUAUGAUUUUCACAAUCAAAUCUAUGAAGAACUUAGCAAAGAGAGACACAAAAGAUACAUAAGAUUGGACUACGUUAUUUCGUAAGAGCUAAGAUUGAACAUAUCAUUAGUUGAAUUAAUGAAACUUUAUAAAUAUUAAAAAUUUUAAUUAUAUAUGAAAAUUGGGAACCGAACUUGAACGAUUCCAUAAUUAAAUUUGGACUCGACGAUUCCAUUACUAAAUACCAGAAACUUUCGGGUCGGUUCGAUUCUCGUUAGAACCAGAAACCAAAGAAAAUAAAAAAGAAUAGGAAAAAAGGAAAAUUAUCUUUUGUAUGUGUUUUUCUUAUAGGGUAAAGAUUUUUAAAAAAAAGGUGGGAAGAAUUGAAAAGCGAUUCAAUGAAUGGAAAUAAACAAGGUAAUUAUUAGAAUAGGAGUUGAAAUAAAGAGACUAAAAAUGGAAUCAUGAUGUCUAGGCAUGUGCAAUUAUGAGUAAAUCUAAUAUGAUUAUACUAGUCCACAAUACAUUUCAAUAUAUGAAACUUGUAAACUUGUAAAUUUGAUUUUUAAGUAAGUUGGCAAAGAUUUUGAAAUUGAUUAUUAUCGUAAAACUAUCCAGCAAGAUGAUAGAUCAUAAGAAAGUAAUAUAAUGAUGGAUAAAGUAUCUUCCAACAUAGAUUAAUUAUCUAUUCUAUUUUAUUAAAAGCUAAUUAUAACAUAAUAAGAUAAUUGCAGCCAGUGUCCCAUACUUUCAAAUUGCAACAACUUUUACUCUAACCUUUUAUUUGUUGCACCCAUAGUCCCAAAUCUUUCAAGUAUGUAUGGUUGUAUGACAAAUAGAUGAAUUAUGUCCGUAAGUCUAUCAGUUGACCCCCAAAAAAUUUGAUUUUAACCACAUUAUUAUCUUUCUUCUAAUUUAGUCCUUUAACUUUUGAGUUUAUUCAUUUUAGUCCUUAAACUUCUAUUGUGAUCCAAUUUGUCUUCCAAACUUUCCGUCUCUUCAAUUUUGGUCCUUCAAGUGUGGAUGUGUGCGUCGAUUUGUCGCUAGUUUAGAUGGAAUCUGUCCAACAAGUUCUUUGCUACUAAUUUAUGAAAGGUUGAGAAUGAUGCCAACAAAAUGAGAACGUUUGACUUGUAUUCACACAUUUCAAAAAGGUUAGUUGGACCGCUCCAACUUUCAGAAAUUAAGAUGAACAAAAGUGUAUAUUAAUUAACAAGAACUGAAGCAACUUGGCCUCAAAUCUCUUAUUGUACAAGUGAAAGCAUGAGAAUUACACUUGGACCAUCGAAGGGUUCCAAUUAUUUUAACAAAAUAACUAUAAAUUAUAACAUUUCUUUAUGUCUCAUCCAACAAGAGAAUUAGUGACAAAACUAAAGGAAUGUCCUGCAUGCAUCCAUGCUUGCAUUAUUCAACACAACUUCUCUAAAUAAAUCAAACGAACCAGUAAUUGUUGAUUUUUAACACCAUCGCAUCUUGACCUUUCAUAAUACCAUGUCGUUCUUCUUCAGUUUUGACAUCCUGUUACCUUCUUAGGCUUUUUAAGGAAAUUCAUCCUCCACAUGGCUAAUCUUUUAGGGAAUUUAGUCAAAUGUUCAUUCAAGAAGCCUGCAUAAAAAAUGCCAAAUCUAACAUUGCACUUUGGCCCAUUCAAUAUUAUCAAUCAGUGACCAUAUGAAGUAACCCUUCACACGUAAACCAUAACUGAGAAUAAAAGAAAAUUAAUCAAUUAAUUUCAAAACAUACAAUUUUAUUUAGAAUUGAACUUCCAUAUUUACAAUACAAAUGAUGACUUACUCUAUUGCCUUUCUAAGGUAUGCGAGAUGGUCCUUUUGAUACUAAAUCCUAGUUUCAUCAACACGAGCCUUUGAAAUUGUUAGGGCUUUACUGUUGACUUCAUCCAGCCCUACAAAAGAUCACGGAGGAAUUCAAUAAAUCACUAAACGCUCUGAAAAAUUAGUAAUUUUAAGUAUUCUUUUGUAAUAUAAAUAAACAAAUGAACAUGACUAUAUCCCAUUUUCUGUAAUGAUAAUAUUGGGAUUCUUAUAUUUUUUUCCUUAUAUAAAGCAUGAGAUGGUAAAUUCCCUCAGGAUAUAUGUACAGUCAUGGCCAACCAGCCUACCAUGAAAUAAGAAAGAUUGUUAUUACGUUAGAUUAUAUGUUAGCAUUGGAAAAUAUGUAAACUAUAAUUUGUAUUUUAAUUCGUUGUGCCUCUAUAUUAUGAGUCAUCAUAAUAUUUUGAUAUGCCUAAAUUGUUGUAAGAAUAAUCUAUUCUUUUUUAGAUUUUUCUCACGAAAGGGUAAUCUUAAUGGCUCACCUACUGACCAAUCGGCUUCCCAUGACGAUGAGCUGCAAAAGAAUGAGAAGUAAACAUAUUGUUAAUAGUAGUGUCCAUUUUAUGUCAACAUAAAAGAAUAUAACUGAAUUGUACUUACUGUGAUAUUCAACAUGUAGGUCAUCGUCAUAAUGGGAUGGUGAAUUAGUCUUUCUACGUAUAAUUUUGGCAUAAUAAGCCGUGUAAUAAUUUAUGCCUAAGAAAUCACAAGAUCAUUUCACUAGCGCCAACUCUUCGUUUGAUUUAAAUUUGGGAAGACGUUUUCCUCUUAUAUUAUUUCUCAUGGACAGUGGAUAAUCACCAGUUAAUACGGAGGCUACAAACCUGAACAUGAGAAAUGGCUUAACUAAAGGAUUACGAUAGAAGUACUACAUGAAAUUCUACAAAAAUAUAUCUGAUGUAUUUUCGAAAAGACACAUGAUCUUAUACAAUAUACAAACAACAAAAAUGUAUAAACAGGUUAAGGGAUAAACAAAAUAGAAGAGAUGAAAUUUCGAUAAUGAAAUCCAAUCUAAAGUACUUCCCUAUACACUAAUUUCAUUUGGAGAGUUAGGAAUCAACAGAGAUGAAGAGAAAUUUCACUCGGUAACUAUGAACUACUCAAGCAAGAACAAGGAUUGGAAGUAAAGUCGCUCCUUUGAUUAAAAAAAAAAAAAAAAAAACUCUCAAAUUGUCAAAAAGGUCCAUACAAUGAAAUUAAGUUCAUAUUUAUAUGAGUCCAAGAAUAACCCUAAAAAUCUAAUUAAAAAGGAAAAACAAGUACAAACAGUAUAAAAAUAUGGAAAGACUAGAGUUCUAGGUGAAUUAGGAAACUCGCGCAUUAAACUAAAAUUCUGUCCUAAAAUGACCCUAUGCGGCCGCAUAGAGUAACUCUAUACGAUCGCAUAGAGGAAGAUUAAAGUGCCUGAAAACCCCUGCAUCUGGCUAUGCGAUCGCAUAGCUGGGAGUACUAUGCGGUUGCAUUGCUUCUGGUUGGACUCCCUCUGUCUCCAGUUCGAACCAUGCCUCUUCCAUAUUGUUCCCUUGCCCAUGUCCCACGGAUAUCUUGACUUUAAGCCUAGUUUUUGCAUGAUGUUGGCUUCCAAACUUGAAUGAUUAACUUGGCUUGAAUCAAUCUUGAUUUCCAUGGCCCGAACAUGUGAUUGAUUGGCUUUAUUGUCUCCAUUGGUCUCGGUUUAUGCUUGAAUCUUGUCCCACUGUGCCUUGGAUUUUUGAUAAUUGGUGGUGCACCCCAGAUCGUAUCAAAAACCAUCAUAAACGAAUAGCACAUACAGCUAAAAUGAUAUUUAUUUACAUGUUUUUAUAAUUUCACAACUAUAGAGUAGUCAUUAGAUCAAAUUAAUGCAUGUUCACAGCUAUAUAGUAGUCAUUAAGUCAAAUGAAUUCACAAUUUGUAGUUUAAUAGUCUUCCCAUCCAGCUCCACAGUCCUAAUUUUCUACAUUAAUUAUGGAUAACUACAUUGAACCCUAAUAAAAACAGAGCUAAAGACAUAAAAAUAACUAAACUAUUUUGUAAUCUAAUCAACAUAAAUAAAGGAAUUAUUGGAAUAACACUCACAAAAUCCACUCCAAUGGUGCUAAUAUAGCUAUCAACAUAUGAAUCAUCCUAAGAGCAUCAAAGAACAGUGUCAUGUCCAUUAUACAAUUCACCGAAAAGAAAUUUUAAUAAAAACCUAGAGCUGAAUAUACUGACCCAACCAUAUUUCUACAAGCAACUCUCUAAACUAUAUAUUCAAUUGGCGAUCAAGCAAUUAAAUAAUAAAAAUUAGCAUGCAAGAUUAAUCAAGAAUUGCAAGAAUUUAACUAAACUACAUGUCCUGUAUUAAAAAUUAGCCCUUGUUUGGCCACCAUUCUUUUUCUCAUUUAUUUUAUCUCUCUUAUUUUCAACCAUACAAUCUUCCACAAAAUAAUGUUACACGCAAAUCAAAAACUUUUCAUUCUUUUUCAACCACAAAUUUUUCAAAAAACACUAUUCCAACCAUUAAAAGUUGGAAAGAAUGGGGGCCAAACGGGGGCUAAAUAAUAAAAAAUUUCAUCUUCAUCCAAUACAUGAGAGGAAUUAGCCUAGCAUAAUGUUUGAAUUAAACACAUAAAAGUGAAAAGACAUCAUCAAGAAUUGACGGAACGUGAGUAAUUUCCUUGCAAUUGUUGUAACUUAUCGAAAAGAAUCUGAAAAUAAUUAUUGCUAUUCUCCUUAAUCUCGUGCAUGUCCAGUCUUUCUUUUCCGUUUAUGAUAUCUCUAUUUGCAGCCUCAAUGUUUGACCUCCAAAACGAAACUCACUUGUGUUUAAUCUUCAAAGCAGCUGCACUGGUUGUGUAAUUCUAAUUCCACCUAGCUCGCAGUCGUUUUUCCUGUAGUUUUGUCUCCCUUUGUGAGCAUAUAUAUCGCAAAUUCAACCGCAAUCAGUUUUCCUCAAAGUGGCUGCCGUUUUUCCUUUUUUUCCCAAGGCAGCCGCCUUUUUCUAUGUGUGUAACAUAGUAUUGGGACAACCAAAUUAAAUCAAAAUUACUGCACCUUAAAUAUGUCUAAUAUUUUGUAACUGAAACAUGGCAAUAGCCAUGAAUUUGUAUAUAAUUAAAUGAAUUCCAUGAUUAAUUGGUUUGAUGACAUAAUCAUGAAACUUGCUAUAUCAGAAAUGAAAACUUGCAAUUGUUUAAUCAUGAUCUACGAGGUUAAGAACCUCAGAAGAUAUUUCUUGACAUCUUUGUAAUUCUCAAGAUAAGAACACAUCAUAUAAUUUUUUAUAAACUUAUUUUUUGACAUUAUAUUUAUAAUUUUUAUAAACAUACACUUCUAGAAAAAUCAAUAUGUAAAAUUUCCACUUAUUUCUCUAAUGUGGCAUAGGACAUCUUCCAUUUUAAUAAAGAUCAUUCUGUGUUAUCAGAUUGUUAAGUAUUCAUCCAAUGUUAAUAAAAUAUUGGGAAUUGCAACGUUAACAUCUAUCCUAUUGCUAUACUUCGAAAAAAUCUUCACACCUAUGCCCAUUCGGAAUUUACAAAAAAGCAGAAUGCUCGUCCAUUACUUGUAAACACUCAUUUCAAACUCAAAAACCAAUUUCAUUAACAAUAAGUUUUCAUCAAAAUCAAUAUAUUCGAAUGGAAUACAUCAUGUUGAAUGAAUUUAGCUCCUUAGAAAUUAAAAAAUGCAACUACCUCCAAUCCAACAUAUCUGAUCAAGUCUUAUUUUCAUAUUUUAUUCAGUGGUGGUGAUUGUUUGCAUGCCAUUCUGUCAUGGGUACAACCCCUGUAGCUUACACGUCUCGUUUCUUGAUCGUACUCUUGAUUUGAUUGUAUUCUUUGCCUUCUUAAGUAUCUUCAAUUGUCAUUUGGAUAUGAGAGGAAAUAUUAGGACUAGCUAUAAACCUCAUAAUAUUGAUGUAAAUUUAGUUUCAAUAUCCUAAAUUGGGAACAUUAGACACCGAUUGUGAUAAAUUAAAAUUUCACAAGAUCAAAGUUUUCAAGGAAAAAUAUAGCUUAAAUACCAAAUACAAAUUCUAGCAAACCAUUGGAUUAAUAGAAAUUUGUAGUGCAAAAACAAUCUUUAUGCAUUAUAAAAUUUCAACUAGAAAUUCAUAAAUUUUCAAAAAAGGGAAAAAGAAGAACCAAAAUAGCUUUUUCGAGGGGAAGAUAUACAAUAUAAUUAAUUCUAAAAACAUAAAAAAUAAUAUCCAAUAAAAAGAGAUAAAUUUACGUGGGAUUUAGUGGCUUUCUUCUUCUUUGGAAUUGAAGUUAAAUCUGUGGUGGACGACAAAGAACACAAGAUGUUGAAUCUUGGCCUUAGGGAUUGGGGUUCGGAAAGCAAAAUUUGAACGCAAUUAAAGGAAAUUUGGAUAAAUCAAGGAAGAAGGUAAAGCUGGAAAUUAGGAAUUUUGAAAAGGGAAAGAUUUGGUGAUCUAAUUUAUUGAGCACAAAUCACGGGAAGCAUACAUAGAUUUGGUUUUUCAUUUUUUUAUUACAAAAUGUCAAUAUGUUUGGAGUAUAAAAUGUGGAAAUGUAAGGGUACGGUUGGUUUGCGUUUGUGUUUCCUGUUUUGAGAAACUAUUUUCGAAUUAUAGAAAACGUGUUUGGUUUGUCAUUUUGAAAAACGAUUUCUCAAAACAGAAAACUAGAACGUGCGUUUGAUUUAAAAUUUUUAGAAAUUGUUUUAUGACAUUUAUUUAAUUAAUUUGAUUAUUUAAUAAAACAUAACAAUUUUAUGCUAAUAUAUUACCAGAUAAUAUAUAUUUUAAAUUUGGUGAAUUUACUAUUUUUGCUUGCUAAAAAAAUAAAAUAAUAAAUAAUAAAUUUUUUAGAAAUUGUGUUAUGACAUUCAUCCAAUAAUUUGAUUAUUUAGUAAAAAUCAAAUACAAAUUACAAAUAUCAAAUGUAAAAAUCAAAUACACAAAUAUAGUUGGUCAAUAAUAAAUUCCAAACAACCAUCAAUAUUUUCUUGUAAAAAUAUACAAGUGUAGUUGUUCAAACGGGUACUUUGCCUUUUGGGAUGUGAAUUGGAGCAGUAGGGGCUCUGGUUGUAGGCUGAAGAAGCUGUUCCUUAACUCUUCACCUUCCAAUUCUUCAAGCUCGGCCUCCAAUUCGUCCUAUCAUUAAAAAAAAAAAUUAUGACUUUAAAUUGCAUAUAUAACUUGUGUGUAUUAGCGAGAUAACUUCAAUAUAAAUAAAACUUCAAACAAGUAGAAGAAUUAGAGAUGAGCAAAGAACCUCAUCAAAAUCAGCUGCUGCACCAAUGGGGGUAGCCAAGGCUUCCUAUAUCUGCUUCAUGUUUUCUGUUUGUUCGUUUAUCUCAUCCAUUGUCUUGUCAACAUCAUCAAUGUUCCUAUAUGUAAGCCUUGUCAAAGUUGAGUUGAUAAAGAAUAUACGUGUUGUGAAGAAUACUAAGAUAUCAAUAGUACGCAAUUUAUCUAUACCGGAUUGUUGAAGAGCAAAAUGAUGCCACCCUAGCUGGAUUUUCGGAACCCCCAAAAUAGAGGAGCAGAGAAAUAUUGCAGAGACAACAGACGCAGUCGCCGGCCAAGAAGGGAAGAAAGAAGAAGAUAUGAUUUGAGCAACUUGUGUGAAUUGUGAUGACUUGGGCUAUUGGGCCUUUUUAAAAAAAAAAACAAAUAGAGUGGCCCAAAUCAAUGAAAUCGUCCAUUAAUGAUUAGGGAAAAUUAGGUUUAGUACCCUAAAAAAUUUAAAUAUUUGAUCAAUACCUUAAAACUAAUUUAAAACUAUUAUUACCGUAUUAAUUACAUUCAAGACUCACGAAAAAAACACCCAAAUCUGAAACCCCUGUAAUCAAAAAAACCUUAAGAAACAAGCCUCCAUUGCGGACAUUUUUGUUGAAAUUUAUCACCAAAGGCGCAGUGGAAAGCAACAACACCACCAACAGUAGCCACGGGUAUUGAUUUGGUCGCCGGAGGUAAGAGCAAGAAAACCAAGCGUACUGCUCCUAAAUCCAAUGAUAUUUACCUCCAACUUCUAGUCAGUCUGUGUUGAUUCCUCGUUAGGAGAACUGGAAGCAAGUUCAAUCCAGUUAUAUUGAAGAGACUGUUCAUGAGCAAGGUUAACAAGGCCCCACUUUCUCUCUCAUCUUGUCACUUCGUGAAGGGAAAGGAAGACAAAAUUGCAGUGCUUGUUGGGAAUGUGUCACUGAUGAUAUUCAGGCUUAUGAAGUCCCUGCAAUGAAGGUAACAACUUUUAGAUUCACAGAGAAAGCAAAGGUUGAGAAGGCAGAGAAGAAUGCUUAACUUUUGAUCAGCUAACUCAGAGCUCCUCUUGGGCAAAACACGGUAGUGAAUAUUCCAGUCUUUUUCUUGAUAAUUUUAAUGUUGCAAGAGUUUGAUAUAGUUGGUAGUAUAGAACGGUGGAAAUGAGAUUUUUAACCAAUAACAUGAAUAUCAUUUUGUCAGUGAUUUCAAUUAUGUAAUGAUUGUUGUGUUCACUACUUUGAUAGUUUGAUUCAUUAUUUCCUUUGAACUAGUAUUUAAGGUUUGAUAUGGAUUCUGUUACUCACAAAAUUGCUUUGUUAAAGAUUAUUAUUAUUUUUUUUUUGGCUCAAUGUUCAACUAUUUUGGUCUUGCUCACAACUAUGAUUCUGCUGGUAAAUUGUCAUUUCUGUUUGUGCUACAAAAACCUUGUGCUGUUAUGAAACCUAAAAUAGCUAACUGUUCUAUUUUGAUGCAGGUACUUCUUAGAGGACCCGUGAAGUCUCGUGAGGCAGCGAAGCACUUUGGUCCAACUCCUAGUGUUCCACACAGCCACACCAAGCCGAAUGUGAGAGCCAAGGGUAGAAAAUUUGAGCGUGCUAGAGGUACAAGAAGCAACAGAGGUUUUAAGGUCACAACCAUUAGUUAUUGCCAGGUUGAUGGCUAUUUUUUUUUUUUUUAUUUUAUCAGAUAUUCUAUAAAAUGUUUUGUCCCACUAUGUAUUCCCCGCCCCGAUUCUUUUCUUGUGUUCUCUCAUCUUUUUUUUUUUUUUGCUCUUCGAUGCAAUUGUUAUCACAUUUGCUACUAUAAUGUUACUUGUGAAUUUCUAUCACGUGGAUUGUCCUAGACAUGCUUAUUAUGUUAAAAAUCGCUACUACACUCACGUAAAUUGUACUGAACAUGUUGAUUAUAUUAAGAACAUGAUUACUGGUGCCACGCAAAUGAAUGAUGCUAUUUUGGUGUUUGUCAUUUUUUUAUUUUUAUUUUUAUUUUUUUUUAGUUUGUGUCUUUUUUUUCUUUUUUCUUAAUUUUGUCACUUUUUUUAUUAAAUUUGCCACUUAUUUUAAGUUUCUGUCACUUUUUCGAAUUACAAAAAAAGUGACAAUUUUUAUAAGAGUGGCAUUGCGUCACUUUUUAAUUUUACAUAGUUUAUUUCAUGGGUCACAAAUCAAAAAUUUUAUAGGUCACAAUUUUGUUGGUCACAAAUUAAUGAAUUUUAAGGUUACAAUUUAAUUGUUAGUCACAAAGAACCAAAUAUUUGGUCGUAUACACUAAACGCUCUACCCCACUCUCGAUCUACUAUCAAUACUUGGUCACAAAUCAAUCAAAUAAUUGAUCACAAAACACUCGUCAUCACAUCCCACUGCCGCCACUACAUCGCUACUGCUAACAAUAAUAACAACAACAAAAACAACACAAUGCCACACUAUCAUGUAUUUGUAUUCUUUGUGUUGAUGAACUUAGUUUCAUUACAGAAAAUAUCGUGCACUCAAGGAUGUUGUACGUGCAAUCCAUCAGGACAACAAUUUUGGUGAUUUUUUUCACUUGUAUAUUCAUUAUCUUGUGUCCAUUUGCCUCCAUAACAAACGAAAACAUUAAUUUUAUCCAUACCUGGAAAAAGAUUGCAAAAAAAAUUGUGAGUUUUUUUUUUUUUAAGUGACAGAGUAAUAUGCAUCUAGUUAAUUGCGCCAGUGAGAUACCGUGACUUUUUUAAGAAUGUCACUUUUUCACAUUCUCUUUAAACAAACACGUUUCAUGCAUCAAUGCAAUUGAUUCAAAGUUUUUCUAUUUCAUAUAUAUUACCAGAAAACAGUGCUUGAAUUGGUAUGUUCAAAUUUUCAAAAAAUGCACACGUAUGCAUCUAUUUAAUUGUUCCAAUGAUAUGAUGUGACUUUUUAUUGAAAAUAGUGACAAAAUAUUUUGUCAUUUUUUCAUAGAAAAGUGACAGAAUCACAUUCUCCUUGAGCAAAAGCCUUACAUACACCAAUGUAAUUAAUUCAAAAUUUUCUUUUUUAUAUGUAUUACCAGAAAACAGGAAUUGAAUUGGUAUUACCAAAUUUCAAAAAUACAAACGUAAUCACGUAUAAAAUUACUUAAUUGCUCCAAUGAUAUGGUAAUGGUAUGACUUUUUUUUGAAAAAAGUGACAAAAUGUCACUCUACAUGAGCAAACACCUUGCACGCAUCCACGUACUCGAUUCAAAUUUUUUUUUUCAUAUAUAUUACCAAAGAACAGGACAUGAAUUAGUAUGUUCAAACUUUCAAAAAAGCAUAUAUAUGCAUCAAGUUAAUUAUUCCAAUGAGAAAUGGUGAUUGUUUUGGAGAAAGGUCACAGAAUGUCACUUUUUCGUUUUUUUAGAAAAGUAACAGAAUUUCAAUCUUUAUGAGCAAACACCUUACAUGCAUCCAUGUAAGUGAAUCAAAGUUUUCUUUUUCAUAUAUACUACUAGAAAACAGGCCAUGAAUUAGUAUGUUCAUACUUUCAAAAAAGUACAUGUAUGCAUCAGGUUAAUUACUCCAAUAAUAAAGUGUGACUAUUUUGGAAAAAAAAGUGGCAAAAUGCCGCUUUUUCAUAGAAAAGUAACACAAUGUCACUUUUUUUGAGAAAAAGUCAUAGAAUGUCACACUCUCCAUGAGCAAACACCUUACACGCAUCCAUGUAGUGGAUUCAAAGUUUUUUUUUUCAUAUGUAUUACCAGAAAACAAGGCAUAAAUUGGUAUGUUCAAACUUUUAGAAAAGCACACGUAUGCAUCUGGUUAAUUGCUCGAAUGAUAAAGUGUGACUAUUUUGGAGAAAGGUCACACAAUGUUACUUUUUCGUAAAAAAGUGACACAACGUCACUUUUUUUAAAGAAAAGUGACAGCAUGUCACCCUCUCCAUGUGCAAACACAUUGCAUGCAUCCAUGUAAUUGAUUCAAAGUUUUCAUUUUCAUACGUAUUCUCAGAUAACAGGGCAUGAAUUGAUAUGUUUAAACUUUCAAAAAAAGGACACGUAUGCAUCCAGUUAAUUGUUCCAAUGAUAAAGGGUGAUUGUUCUUGUAGAAAGGUAACGAAUGUCACCUUUUCGUUGAAAAGUGAAACAAUGUCACUUUUUUUAGAAAGGUGACAGAAUGUCACUCUUCAUGAUCAAACAUCUUGCAAGCAUCCAUGUAGUCGAUUCAAAGUUUUCUUUUUCAUAUGUAUUACCAAAAAAAAAGAUAUGAAUUAGUAUAUUCAAACUUUCAAAAAAGCACACAUAUGCAUCCGAUUAAUCACUCCAAUGACAAAUGGUGACUGUUUUGGAGAAAGGUCACAAAAUGUCACUUUUUCUAAGAAAAGUGACAAAAUUCCACUUUCUCACCUUCUCCUAUAAGCAAACACUUUGCAAGCGUCAACGCAAUUGGUUCAAAGUUUUCUUUCUCAUGUGUAUUACCAAAAAAUAUGGCUUGAAUAUAUACAUUCAAAUUUCCAAAAACUCACACAUGUAUAUCUAGCUAAUUGCUCAAGAGAGAUACUGUGACUUUUUUUUUAGAAAAGUGACAGAAUGCCACUUUCUCACCUUUUCCUUUGAGCAAACACAUUGCAAGCAUCAAUGCAAUUGGUUUAAAAUUUUCUUUCUAAUGUGUAUUACUAGAAAAUAGAGCUUGAAUAUGUACGUUCAAAUUUCCAAAAACUCACACAUGCAUACCUAGUUAAUUGCUCAAAAGAAAUGUUAUGACUUUUUUUUCAGAAACGUGACAGAAUUCCACUUUCUCACCUUCUCCUUUUAGCAAACACAUAGCAAGCAUCAAUGCUAUUGGUUUAAAGUUUUCUUUCUCAUGUGUAUUACCAAAAAAUAGGGCUUGAAUAUGUACGUUCAAAUUUCCAAGAACUCACAUGUGCAUGCCUAGCUAAUUGCUUAAAAGAGAUGCUGUGACAUUUUUUGAAAAAAGUGAUAGAAAGCCACUUUUUCACAUUAUCUUUUUGUCAAACACCUUGCAAGCAUCAAUGUAAUUAAUUCAAAACUAAUUUUUCAUAUGUAUUGACACAAUCCACUCAACUUCAACAAUUUUAUUUUCAUACAUGUUUCCAAUUAAAUUAAUAAAAUCGUCAAAAAGAAACUUCAUAAAUAUUAAUUAUACAUUAUGAGAUUUAAACUAAAUCUAAUCAUGAAAUUCAAACGAAAAUGAGAUGGAUAAUGAGCUAUAAUCAUGGAAUCCAAAACAUAGAAAUACCUGUAAUUUUGUUUGUGUUUUUGUGGAAGAUCUCCUCGACUUUUUUUUCCAGAUUUUUCAAUGUUUUUGUGGAUGGUUUCCUUGAUUUGAAGAAUGAACAAACUUUGUUUAUGUAUUUGUGGAAGAUUUCCUCUUUUCCUUUCAAUUUUCCUUUGAUUUUUGCAUAUUGGAGGCUGAUUUAUGAGGAUUAUUGUGAGUUUAGGUUUUGAGCGUAUAUUUUACGUUAAAUUUUAAGUAAUUACCAUUUAAUCCAAGUUUAUAAUUUUUUUUAAAACAACCCAAAAAUUUAGGGUAUUUUUGUAAGUACCCCUAAUGAUUAAUCCAUACCCAUAUCAGUUUCUCCCAAAUGAAAUCCCGUCAGUUAGGCGAGAGCAGAGAGCAAACCCUUGAAUUCUUUCCAUUAUUCACCCCUGAUUCCAUAAUUUCCAUCCCAUAAUUUCCUUCCACAUUUCCAUUCAAAGUGUGAAGUGGGUUGAUUGGGUAAUGGGCUAGUGGCGUGUGGGUUGCGAUUGCGAAGUGCGAGUCGGAGUCGGGCGGUGCAAGGAGCGGUGUGCCGUGCGAGAUUGUGCGAAUUGCAAAGGAGAAGAAGCCGUGUGCAGUGUGGGCCAAGGUCCUUAGGGUGAGUUCAUUGUUCUUCAUACUUGGAAGUCUUGAAUGGUUGAAUUGUUUUUAUUUUUGUUGAAUUCUUUUGGUUCAAAUCUUUCGUUAUCUUAUCUGUUUUUGGUGAAUUGCGAUUGCAAAAUGAAAUCAGGAUCUCUUUUCGUUGAAUUGUUGAAACUUGAAUGUUGAAUUAUUGAUUUGUUGCACUUGUUUGUUGAGACUUGAGAGUGUUGUCUUGCCUGCCUAAUGUAUUUUGGAUUUGGUAGGUAUUAGGUAGAAUUUAUUUAUAAUUGAUAAUAUUAUUUAAUCAAAUUUAAAUAAAUGACCGGCUGCUAGUCGGACCUGACUAUUACGAUCGUUGAUUAUCAACGGUCAACGAUCAAAGUCAACAUCCGCCCUAGAUGAACAUGCAUCCUGGAUUCGCCACUGGAUAUACAAAUGAGUAAGUGCACAAAGGUAAAAGAGUGAUAAUAAUUUCUGCAACAAUGGAAAAAGUAGACAAUAAAAAAAAAAUAAUAUGAAACUCCAUCUUAUCACCAUUAAUAAACGACAAAUUUCAAUAGAAUAGCCCUACUCGGCCCACUUCAUCUUGGAAAUUGUUUGAUGCAAAAAAGAAAAGAAGUAAUAUUAACCUAGAAACACACGAUCGAUAAUGGUGUGGCACUGUGGUGGCGGAAGGCUGAGAGAGAAGUGAGAAGACGGCAUCAAGGCAGACAGGUGGGUUUUGCUGUUUCGGGUUGUUCUCGCACAGGCAUUAGAGGGAUUGAAUGAGGCCUUCCAAUCUGAGUUUUUCAUUUUCAUAUAUUAAAAAAAAAAAAAAAUCAGAGGCGACUUAAAUUGUUAGGUCUGAGGCAUGGGCCUCACUUGCCUUUGCCCAAAACCGGGCCUGCCUCAGAUCCAAUGUAGAAAAUACACUAAAAAAAAUAAAUAAAUAAAUAAAAAAAAAAAAAGGGAAGACACCCUCAACUAAUUAUCCCCAAAAAACUCCAACAUUCCACUUCAAGAAUAUGAUCCCUUCCCAAAACUCAUACCAACCAACAAAAAAUCCAAUAAAGUCAAAAAGGGAAUCUUUACUAUUUUUGGGAAAAUUUUCUAUCUUCUUGAAUGUUCAAUAAAAAAAAAAAAAAAUCACUUAAUUGCAACAUUUUUAGGAAAAAAAAACCACAAACCCCAUUUUCUCAAAAAACAGCACAAUUAAAAAAAAUUAAUAAUAAUAAUAAUAAUAAUAAUAAUAAUAAUAAUAAUAAUAAUAAUAAUAAUUUGGGUUUCUUGAAAUGGAACAAAUUUGUACCUUUGACACCAAAAUCCCUCAUUCAACAAAAACAUUAUUAACAGAAAAUUUUACGAAAAAAUAAUGUAAAGUUCUGAAUAGGAGUAGAUCAGUGGAACAAAACUACUGAAGCAUCCAAUUAACUGAAUUCAGUGUAGAUUCAGCUCAAAAUGGAACAAUUUUAUUUCAUUAUUUCAUAUUUCAAGUGUUAUUUCCCCCAUUAUAGGCUACAACCGAAACGAUAAUUUCAAAUCUAACAUAGAUUUUCAAAGAUUCUCAUAUUUUUAUCAAUGAAUUAUUGAACACAUAAUGGUAAAACUGUAGAAUCAGGUCUUAUUACUAUCUGAAUUAAGCAACAUAUGACGAAUUCUUGAUUUCUAAAGUGUUGCAAACUACGAGAAUUCAAAAUUAAGCCAUCCCAACUUUCACCCCUUAUUUGAUAACUGAAUUUCAAUAAAAAUUAUAGGCCAGUGUUCAUAGACACAAAUAGGUUCAGAAUAAAUUUCUAUAAAUAGUGGGAAAGAAGUACUUACCUGCCCGCCAGAUUGUACGAUUAUACCCAAAAAAAAGAAAAAAAAGUUUUCCAAGCCAGUUUUGAGGAAUAUUACAUACCUCUCGCCAGAUUGUAGGACCUCGUCAGAGUGGUGCUGGACGGAGGACGUCUUCGUGUAGGCUAAUUGGAGAAGGCGUCGAGUGAAGUGAGAUAGAAGAGAGGAAUCGUGAGCAAAAGGGCCAAGUUUCUGUUGUUUUAAUUAGAAAUUUUACUAUAGCGGGUUUGAGCAUGUUUUGGCCAUUUUGAGCAUUGUCAACUAAAAACCCUCAAAUUGGGGGGAAAAAAAACUCAUUUUCCAUUUUCAGUUACAAGUUUUUCCUUAUUUUCGAAAAUGCAUUUUCGGAAAUGACGUACGCCUUUUGAGCGUUUUAGAAAACUAAAAACAAAAGACGGCUGGAAAAUGGCAAAGGGAAUGUCCCCUAAUUUUGGAAGUAAUAUCUUAAAUAGGGUACUUAGUGUAAUUUACACUUAAAAAAUAGAGUUCAAGCCCAUUUGAAUCCAUUCUCAUUGAAGUUCAUAAUUUAGGCCCAUUUAAUGUGAUGCUUGCUUCAAGACCUCAAUUUUUUUAAAAUAGUGCAAUUUAGUCCUUGAUGUAAUCCAUGUGCAACCAAUGUCUUCCUCAAAUUUAGACUUGUGGAGUUUAAGCCCAAAUUAUAGAUUUUACUCGAUUUUUUCCUUCUUCCUUUCCACUUACUUCAAACGAGUCCAACACUAAAAAUAAAAAGAAAAUUAACCCAAGUUAAAUAAUAAUUAAUAAUUUGACGACUUUAAAGUUUAAUAAUGUGGCCUAAAUAAGUGCACAAAUUGCACUUAUCAGUAAGAAUGCUACUUAUCAUUUUCGAAUGAAGCACAUUUGUGUGAAAAUACCACUGGCUAUGGCAAGUAGUGGCGGAACGAUUGAUAUUAUUAGAAAAGAUUCAUAGUGAAAAGAAUCUUCCUGAUAUGAUGACAAAGAUUGUGAUAAGAGGAAAGCUUGAACUUUUUUCCAGACUGGACAGCAUAUAUUCUAUCUAGUUGUUAGAUGAUAAUCUCCUUCCUCAGUGGGUUGGAAGGAGAGAUUGUUAUAUGAGCUUCUAGCCCAUGAGAAAUUAAAUGCCCAAUCCACUAUUAUAUGAUGUGGAAAUUACAUGAUACCCUAGAGUUAAAGCCUAGGGUUCAAAAAUUAGAUUCAAGUUUUUUAUAUUCACAAAUCAGAUAUUGAUUUAAUUAUUAUAAAUCAUUAUAUUAAUAAUAAAUAAUAAUAUUAUAUCAAUUAAUUUAUAAAUAAAAGCCCUAUAAGUCUGUAACCAAAUUAAAUGGCCAAAUCAUUUUCUCUUCUCUCCCAUCACUCUCCACCACCUGUUCUACAUGCAGAUCGUCGUCGUCGGGAUAUGCGAUGGUGUAUAUACAAAUUGCGGCUAUGGAUUUGCAUAUCUUCAUCCCCUCUCUCUCUCUCUCCACAAACUCGCAGCCACCAUUUUCUCCCUCUCUUCAUCUUCUCUCCUCCCUCGAAUCGCCACCACUCACGGUGUCGCCGCUUGCGGCUGAGGCAAUCUGUAGAUGUGAAGAUGUAGUUAGGUAAUCUGUAACGUGGAUCUGCCCAAAUAUGUAGAUGUGAAGAUGUGGUUGCAAUGCUGCUCUGCCCAAAUUAGCAAUGCUGCCACGAUUUUGUUGGGAGUAUUUUUUAUUAGAUCUGUUGUGCGGUGGUAGGCGGUGGUGGUGGUGGUUGUGGCGGGUUGUUUGUGUGUGGGAUAGCAUGGGUGAAUCUGGUGGUUGAUUUUUUGGGGUGUGUUUUUUUUUUAAUCGAUCUACUAUGCGGCGGUCAAGGGCAGUGGUGGUGGCGGCGAUGAUUUGGGGCGGAUGUUAUGGUUGUGAUGCUUUUGGUUGUAGAUCUGAUGGUUUGGUGGUGGUUGGCGAAUCUGGUAUUUUGGUGGUGUUUGGCGGUGGCUAAUCUGGUGGUUGUGGUGAUGGCGGUGGAUCUGGCAGUUUCGAUGUGGUGGUGGUACAGGUGGUUGAUGGCGGUUGCGGUGGUUUUGGUUGUUAAGUGGUGGUGGUGGUUUUGGCACCGAUGAUAGAGGUGGUACUGUUGGAGGCAAUGGAGGUAGUAAGUGUUGGUGGCAGUCACCGAUGGUAGUCACAGAUUAUUUAGUUGAUUUGUGAGCAUUAAAUUGAUUAAUCUGUGACCAUUAAAUAAUAUGUAACCAAUGAAAAAGUUAAAUUGUGACAAAAAAAUAAUGCGUGACUGAAAAAAUUAAUUAACUCAAUCAUAAAUAAAUUUUAUAAAAUAUCUGAUUUUUGAAAGUUUAAACUUAUGUUCUUAAUUUUGAAAUAGGCCAUACUUAUCUUCUUACUUUUGAAUUUUUCCCUUAUAUGAUUGUAGGUCACAUAAGGAGGCUGAAUAGUAAGAAAAAAUAGAGACUACGCAUCUACAAGAGAAAACAGGGACUGUGGCUGCUGAACAUUAAAUAGGGUUGCCGGAAAACAUUUUUCUUUAAACUUUUGAUGUGAUUUUUCACACAGAGCAAAUUGAAGUUUCUUUGAGAUCAAGGUUUUUUGGUGCUUCAUCAACUGAGUUGUGGUGAAUUGUAAUUUUCCUUGAAGAAUUAAAAUUGUUGAUUUUCAAUUUACCUACAUUCAUGUUUUGGGUCUAAACAUAAAUGUUGUAAUCUCUAUUUAUUAUAUUGGAAUUGAUUCAAGUUGUCUCGUGGUUUUUUCCCUCUACGCUAGAGGAUUUUUCCACGUAAAAAUUUGCUGUAUUCUUUCUUUAUUGCUCUUUUGGUAUUUAAUUAAUUGGUUUGCUUGGAUUGUGAACUUAAUCCUGCAAGAAGUGAAAUGGCCCAACAAAUAUUGAUGAAGUCUCUAUAGUAAACAGCUCCCCACUUGUUCUAGCAAUGCAAAUUUCCACUACCCUGAUGUAUGAAUUAAGUUCUGUAAACUUACCGUUUCUCAUAUAAUUGAUGUAUGGUAUUUGUUUUGGUUAUACUCUACAAAAUGAUCCCAUAUCUACCAUGAGUAGAUGUCAACCUCUGUAGUCUUUCUAAUUGAUCAGAAAAAAAAAAGAAUAUUUAAAAAUAGCAUGAUGAGUCUUUUAAUUUUACAUUUAUAUUUCAUUUUGAAUUUACCCGACGUGUCCUCAUGAUGAAUUUUCAGGUUAGACAAUAUAGUUCAGCAUAACUCACCUAUUACAGUGGACUAACUGAAUUGAUUUUAGCACACCAUCAGGGGGGAAUCCAGGAUAAUAAGCAAGUACGGGCGACCGUCAAUCGUCAACCGCAACAAAAUAUUAAGAGCCUAUUUGAUGCCAUUUUUUUUUGCAAAAAUAUGCAUUUUGAAAUAGUGAUUUGAUGGAGAAUGUAUUGUUAAAAAUAAGAAAGUUUUAAAUUUGUGUGUAAUAUUAUUUUUUUAAAGAAUUUGUGGAUAAAAAAAAAGAAAAAAUACAUUUUGAAAAGAAUGAGAAUCAAACAAGGCUUAAAAUUUAAAUAUAACAAUUAUUUUGUUCAAAUUAAACAUAUAUAAUAUUAUUAUAAAGUUUAGUUGUACUUACCAAAUGAUAUUGUGGCCAAGUUUUGAAUAAUUUGAACGAAGAGCACGGUUUCAUAUCUUUUACAAUUACAAUUGCAACCGCUAAAAUUUAACAUAUAUUAUUUUGUUCAAUUUAGUGUCAAAAUCCAACAUUUGUCAAAAUGGUCAAGUUAACGAUAGCUCUAUCAAUAGGCCACGAGUUGGAAUUGGUCCCCUCCCUAUUGAAUUUUGGCAAAAAAAAGUAGUAUUAAAAUAUUGCACAAUAAAUUUAUCAGAAAGGGAAUUCGAACCCAAGACUUGAGCUAUAUACCUUUUCAGCUAUAACCAAGUGUGCUGCAAAAAGAUAUUUGACAAUGGGAUGACUUACCAGUAAUAUAAUAUAAAACUGUAAUCUAUUGUCACAAAAAAAAAAAAAAAAAAACUCCUGCAAAUCCAGCACGGGCAGCCGCCGAAGCUCGCCAUCUGCCACAUCCGCCACUGCACACCAUGUAAACUCCAUUUUUUUUUUUAACUUUGAAAUUCUAGCACUUAAUUUUUUAUUUUAUUUUAUUUUUUGGUGUACAAAAGUUUUAGGCAUAUAUUUACUGUUUCUCAUUAGAAUAAGGCACAACAAAAAAAUCAAGGAAAUCUUGAAAAAAAUUAAGAUAAACACAAAUUUGUACACUCUUGUAAUGUAGGAUAGUGGUGUAAUCUUUUGGUAAAGGCUCUUCCUUGUGCGUGAUUCAAGUACAAUUUCUUCAAUCUAUAUCUCUUUUACACUAAUUUUUUUAUUCUUUCAUAGUGAGUAGUGACUAGCAAAACCGUUUGUCAAGUACCUUUGUAUAUUCUUCCUUUAUAACUUAUCGCUGUUCCUCGACUAUUCUAUGUAUUUCGAUUUUUAAAUUUAUAACUUCAACGGGUUCACAUUCGUAAUUACAUUUUUAUUAUUUGCAUUAUAGCUUUAGAAAUUGAAUGUAUACGUGAUUAACGUACGACUUAUGUACUAUAAUUUUGUUGGUCUUUUGUAGUGAAUUACAAAAUACCUUUUUAUGUUUUUGCUUGAUUACUUUCAAUUAUUUCCCUUGUUCUUUUGUGCAUUUCCAUUGGUGAACUUAUAAGUUUAUUAAGUUUGUGAUUGCUUCCAAAUUACUUACAUUAUGGCCUUAGAAAUAGAUUGAAUAUGUGGAAUGUGUAAUCAUAUUAUAUAUCUUUUACUUGUUCAGUGUUUGGGAGAUAGAGCACUAUAAUCAGACCUUUUUUAAAAUAUAUAUAUAUAUAUACACACACACACACACACAUUCAGUCUCUUCAAAUUAUGUACUUCUCUUCCCAACAUAUAUUUUUUAAUUUCAUUUUAGCCUUCUAUUUCAUGCGAAGUCUCUCAACUGUUGAUUCCUGUGGUUUCUUUGGGUACUCUAUCGAACCGUAGAAGUCAUCCUUUCGCAUUUAAUAAUUUUUUACAUGGAAAGUUGGCUAAAACAACAAAUCUGAAAACAAUAAUGAAAUAAAAUAGUUCCUUUAUUGCAAUGGCUACAUAAAAACAUGAUAGGGUGUGAGCAAAACCACUAAAAUUAGAGAUAUAACACAUGGUUCUUUAUGGAAAAGUCUUUCUUUUCUUACUCUUCAAUAUUUGUUUAGGAAAACCGUUUAGAAAAUAACAAUAGUACUUAUCUUUUAAAAAAAAUCUUCGUUUUAAAAAGUUAUAUGAAAAAGGUAAAUUUUUUCACAUUUAAAUCCUAUAAAUCUUAUUUAAAUUUUAUUUAUUAAAUCAAUAUUUAAGGCAGAAACAUUUAUGUUUAUUACCAUUGCAUUGAAGUUUAUAAUUUUGUGACUAUACUUUAGCUUAUGCACAUUAUUAAUGUUAUGAAAGUGUGGUUAACUUGUAUGUGUCAAUUUUUUUACUGUGGCAAACUGAGUAGUAUUAUUAUUUGUUUUUUUCAUUCAUUCAUUGAGACAAUAAUUUUUGCUUUCAUUAAAUUAGAGGUGAAGAUUUUGUUCUGAUUGUUAUACUUAUUAAGUGGACUAGCCUUUCAUUGAGUCAUUUUUUAAGCCAAUAAUGGGAUGGGCCUUUUUCUUUUAUAAACGCAUAUGGAGGCCCCUACUCUCACCCCACUUAAUAAUAUAUAUAUAUAUAUAAAAACAUGUUGGCGCUUUCACCUCUUAACUGGCAAGCUAAGAGGUGUCGGUUUCAAGAGGGCAGAGAGUAGUUUCUCUCCAUAGCACAGUUUCUUCCAUCUUUCCAGCCUAAGGAAUCUAUGGAAAAUCAAUUGCAAGCUACGGGAGGUAUGAUUUCCUUUGUUAUUGUUGAAUACAUGCUAUGAUAAUGAGAAGAAGAGAUUGUUAAAUCUGUUUAUGUUAACGAUUGGUAUGGAUUCUUCAAAAAUAUCUGCUAAUUGUGAAUUUGGUUUUUGUAACAUGAAAGUACUUCCCAAAGUGCAACUGAAUCAUAUCUGGCCUCCAUUAGCCAAAAAAACACAAAAAGACAGCUAGAUAGGAGGAAUCUAAUUCAAACUCCACGCAUUGAUCGUCGUAAAAGGAUAAAUGAUUCUAUGUUAUCUGAAAAUAAUAAUUCAGGUGCUUCCUAUACUCAUGAAUAUGCAAUACAUCUUAAUUUUAAAGCUUCUACUUUAAAUCAGGAAUCAAUAAAUCAUGUUCAUUCUAAAUUACAAAGAAGUUUUAACCUAUUGAACAUUCCAACCAAUGCAUAUGUAUUACCGACAUUCAUCUAUUGUGAACAUUGUGGUGCACAAAAAUUUAAUAGAGACUAAUAUUAGUAUCAAUUUUCGUUAUUUAGUCAUUACACUUCUUGAGAACAUGUAUAUCUAGUUCUCGUACUGAUUUCAUAAUUCAUUUCAAUAGUUUCUGAUCCUGUUCUACAGAUAAUUUACUUGCAUCCUUGCAAAAAGCCAUAUCAUAUAAUUUUUCAUUUGUCUAUUGAGUGCUGAUAGAGUAUGAUGUCCACAUUUUGAGGAUACUAAUGGCAUACAAUCAACUAUUUCUUUUGGCAGAUUAACAGCUUCAUUAUCUUGUUAGUACGCAAUACCAGUUUAUGAAGGGGAAAAUCAGCAUUCAUUCUUUCGUGCUAUGCAUUAUUCGUGGUGACAUACAAACUAGGGGAUGGGGAUAGGGGUGGAGUUGGAGGUGGAGGUGGGGAUGAUACACGCUUUCUAAUAACAUGCAAUCCCAUGACAUAGAAACACGUUUAAGAUGUAAAAUCUACACAACAGAUCGUAUUAAACAUACCAUUUUUUAGAAGAUGAGCAAAGUGUAUAUGAUGAUGUUAAAACUGCCACAAUAGACUUCGAAAGAAAUGAGGACACAUGCCAGUUGGCAAACGUGAUAACACCUGUUGGGAAUGUAAGAAUGACUUGGAUGGUUGGAAUAUAGUUUAUGCAGAUCUAAAGAAGUUUUCAAUUGCAGGAGUGAAGCUUAAAGGUUAGAAGAAAAAAAUGAGUAAAUUAGUACAGUUUUUAUCUUGCUAUUGUCAUUUUCAUCAUAGUAUAUAUCUCUAAUCAUACUUCUAAUUUAAUUGGAAGCUGUGUGGGAGAGAUAAAAAUGUUAAACCUUUCUAAAAAGUACUAGUUUUUGUAACACAAAAGUCUUUGCUGUGUGUUAAUGCACAUGUCAUUUAGCCUUGUAGGAUACAUGCUUCCUCAUUUGCCAACUAUAUUAGGCUGUAUGCUUCAUUAGGCCAGUCCCCUCUCGUAUGCAUGCUGGGGACAAAACCUUCCGAAGUCAUCAGCUAUACAUUUAUGUAAUCUUUCUCUUUCUUGUCAUCUUUUACUCCUCUUUUUUCUCCCCAGUUUCACUUAUAUCCUGUUAACCAAUUUUAACAGUCAUUCUUGCAGAUUUUAACAAAUGCAAUAACUUCAAUACGUGUUCCUAUGAAACAUGAUAGAGUACAUAAUCAUGACUCGUGUAUUUAUUAUUAUGCAAAUACUUUACUACUUUUUUUUGUUCAAAACAUGAAUACAUUUAAAAUUACCGAUAUCAUCUCAGUCAUUUUCAACCACAAAUUAAAGAUUACUACCUCACUCAAUUUUGAAAUAGAGUAAACGACUCCAUGAACAUAGAACAGGUAAAAUAAUAGGUGAACUCUAAUUGUCCUAUCAUCGAUAAAUUCAAUUCUUGUCUUACAAUAUUGUUCACCUGUACAAUUACAAUUUCAUAUUUAACUCACUCGAUAAUUUCAUUUCAUGUGAUGCAGAAACACAAUGCGACAAGUAAACAUGGUGUAAAAACUUAAAAAACAAAUGAUCAACAAUGCAUAGAACGAACUUCCACUUAAAACUACCAUCUUCGUUUAAAGAAGCAUAUUAAUAACACAUGUUACUAGAAAAUUAGUUAAUACCUGUAUGUUUUCUCGUACUAAUUUUACAAAAAAGAAAAAUAAGCAGCACUAACAAUUGCAGCCUUAUAUAUUUCCAUAGAACUUAAUCCUUUUAUUUUUCUAACAAGUAUAAGAUGACCAACUAAAACAACUUUUGUACAUUAUAAUAUGAUACAAAAUAAGAUAGAUAUUUUACAAUUGACACUUGUAUAUACAUUAAUUAUAAGAGAUAAUACCAACUUUUCAUGAAAGACUUUUCAACUAUAUACAUAAACCAUCUUCACAAACAUUAUUUUAUUGAGCUUACUGAUGAAUAAUUGCCUCAAUAUGUCUGAGUAUUUUCAUCCACAAGAGAAUACAUUUUACUACUGUAUACAUGUAUUAACACUACAAUCCUUCUCUCUAUAAAACAGCUAUUACUCUCUCCCACAUGUUCUAUAAAUACCCACACUUACUCCUUCACCAUCUUACCUCAAAAAUACAUCACAGUUAUCACAGUCCCCAUUUAAAUCUAUCAACACUUUCAAAACUUUGUCUUCAUCUCGUUACUUGUAAGUUCUUUUCACAUUACUACUUUUUAAUUUUAAUUAUCUUUUAAUCAAGAAAAAGCAGUUAUACUAAAUUCUUACAAGAAAAAACUUCAAAAAAAGUCAACUCAGAUUAUAUAAAAAAAAAAUUUCUUAUUAGCAAUGUCAGUAAAAAAAAUUUACAUUGACUUCAAUAUAACUUUCUUAAGAUGGGCUAUAAAACUUUUUCUUUUAAUAAUAUAAGUCAUAGAAUUUUUAUCCAAACAUUAUGAUAAAUCUUGUAAAAGACGUUGAAUUGAGCAAAAAUCAAUGCUUAUGAGCUUUGGAUGGCCUGAAGAGACUAUAGAUAGAUUCCUUCUCUUUUGCAUAAUUAUUCUGUGUACAAAUACAUUGUUCAUAUAUGAUUUGUAGAAAAAAGUGAAAAGCAUAGAGGUUGUAUUCUUGAAUUAUAGUACAUUUUACUAUAGAAAGAUCUUUAGGAACAUUUUACAUAAAGAAUAUACUUGUUAGAAUCGAUUUUCUAAUUCUAUCUUGUCUACAUUCUAUGGUUUUUUCUCUAUAUAGAUAUGUGAAAGAAGCGUAAGAAAAGAAGCUAUUGAACCCAACGAGAGAGAUUAAAGGGCGAAACCUUGUCCUUGACAUUUUCGUCACCAGUGCAAAUAUCAUCUUACCAGAGAUACUAAGGUGUAAUUUCAUCGCUCAUACAUUUUUUAUUUUAUUGAGUAUUUCGGAAGUUGAAUGCAAUUUUAUGUAUUAUAUUUUAUAUUUUCAGGACUUAAAGCAAUUCAGUGGCUAAUCUCUCUUUUUCUCUAAACGUAAGUUUCACAAAAUCUGAAGCUAUUUUCUAGAGGGUUCUAUUAUUUGUAGACAAGCUAUGCAAGGUACUAUUAUUGCUUACCACAUUGCGAAAAUCAUAUGCGAGUGGUUUAUAUAAGUAGUUUAUAAAAUAAGAAAAGAACUUAAAUCAAAGUACUUAAUAACAUGGCAAAACAUUUAUACAAACUUUCUACCCGCCUGCAGGUGUUCCAUUGCUGAAAUCUCCUUGUUUUGGCUGUUUUCACAUAGUUGUAACUUGUCUAUUGCAUAUUCUGGCUUCUGACUUCUAACCUGCUUUUGUUCAAUGUGCAAAUUUUCAGAAUUAGUCAAUUAGAUAUGUGCAAUUCCAUUAGAUACGGCCGAAUUGAGGCUUCAGUUGCAGAAGAAAUCUGUUGCAGUAGCUUUGCCAAAGUAUAAGGGAUUAUUGAGUACAGCUGGUACUAUUGUAAGGGAAGAAGAUUUAUCUGCUCUGGAAAGGCAUUGUGCCAUAGUUACAUCGUCAAUGCUUAUAUGGACGGCUAUGAAUCAAGUAAUAUAAGCCUGUAAGUUUUACAUAAAUUUGUGAAAGUCCAUAAUGCGUGUGUUGCUUCACUGGGUUUUUGAGUGUAAAACAUUCUCAUACUCGUCAGCUUAAAACCUCUUAUGCAGUACAAGAUCACGUUAGAAAUGUACCAUUCUUAAAUGAGAUACUUGUUGCACUAACGAUUGGUGGGGACAUUUAUUUUUUUUUUUUGUCCUUUUUAGUUCCAAAAAUAAGUAGAUAUAUAUGUCUCCAACAUCUUAUGUAGUUAUGAUAUACGUGUUCAUGAACUGUCAAUCAUUAGUUACUUUCUAUUUUGGCAACAUUAAUUGUUCAAUUAUAUAUCAAAUAGGUUUUGUUGCCAUUAAAGUGGCCAAUCCUACUAAUCUUGUUAAAGUAAGACUCCGAGUAGAGGGUAAACUGCCUCCGGGGAGUGCCAAUGUAAUAUUUUGGAGCACUAAAUGCUUACUCUACAAUAGUGAGACAAGUCUUUCUUUGCCUUAUUUCGCGUUGUCCUUCUUGCUUUGGGCUACUUUUGGUCUAGAUUAUUACCUUUUAUUUUUGGGCUUGUAUUAUGUAUUGGGCUAGCCCAAGCCCUUUUUCCUUUGUGUUGUAUUUUAUAUAUGUAGGCAGCCUUUCGUAAGGGAGAGACGGAUACGAUAGAAUUAAUUGAAUUGAGUGUUGUAGGAGUGUUUUCCUUUUCCACCGCCCUUUCUUCUCCUCUCCCCCUUCUCUCCUUCCUCCCGUGGCUGGCUAUCUUCUUUACCUAUCCUUCUCCUCCUAAUUUCUUCAUUCCAUCCUACAUCAACUUGGUAUCAGAGCUAAACCUGGUUCCAACAUCUUCAACUGAAAUUUGGAGUCACAGAAUUGCCAUGGAAGUGAUGAAAAGUUCGGUCAAAUUCCUAUCUUCAGCUUGCUAUUCAACACCAUAAAGCCUUACCCAUAAGGUGACCCAUCCAUCCUCUCCAAACCACACACAAACAUCUAAUUCAUACACACUUAGCCAAUUACACCCAACGCUGUCUCCUCUGGCUACUGUCAACAACUACCAACGAUUCCUCAAACUCCCCACUCAAAAUUACAGCAACUCAAAAAUUGACCCAUCGCCUUUCCGAGCUUGACCCACUCGCGACAACUCGGAGCACCCACCCCGCAACCGCUACCUCCGCUAUCAAAACCCAUGAACGCCGACCGCCAGUCAUCCUCCCAGCAUCGCCUUCACAGUAAAUUCACUCACUGCAACCACCGAUCUUCGUCUGCCUAAGCCACCACGUCGUCAGACCAACACAAAAGGUGAGUCAGUGCCUUCUUCGAGUAGCGCUGCUCGUAAUCACCUUCACUUAGACCCAAUUCUCAUACGGACCGCAUAGAUACAAUGGGGAAAAACAACUGGGCCAAGAUAACAGUGGGCAGUUUAAUUUAAUUGGACUGUGGCUUAGUAAAUAUUCUGGGCUUGGGCUUGGGCUUGUGUGGCUUGGGAUUUAAUUGUAAUUGGGCUUAGUUUUGUGAUUUGGACUCAUUCAUUGCCCUAUUUGUUUAUAUGUAAGUUAGUUUGAUUUUGUAAGUUGGAAAAAAAAAAAAAAAGGACCAAAAAAAAGGACCAAAAAAAAGAAAAGAAAAACGAAAAAAAGGAGCAAAAUAAAUAAAUAAAUAAAAUAAAAUUCUAUUUUUUAACAUCAUUUUGCAGGCACCUCUUCUUAUCCUGUCGAUCAACCCAACUACUUCAGCGAGCAAAAAAGGGAGUUACUAUUUUUAUCUAUAUUUGGUUUAUAUUACUGUUAAUUUAAAAUUGCGUCAAUUAAAUUUUUGUGCUACUAUUGUUCUAUUUUUUUUUAUUUUUUAUUUUUUGCCUAAAUUCAUGUAAUUGAUCUAUUAACUUUGUUAAAUUCCACUUUUACAUCAUUUAUUUUACGUAAUUCGAUUUGACUAGUAUUUUACUCCUUCUUUUGCUAUUUUACAUAUAUCAGCAAUAUUAGCUUAUCGUAUUUGGAUUUAUUUAAUCCCAAAAUCUUAACAAAAAAAUAAAAUAAAAAUCAUAAUUGCUCAAGUCUAUAUUGUCUUUAUGUGCAAUUGUUAUUCAUUGAUCUCCCCAUACAUUUCAUUUAAUCGUUACUACAUUGCAUGCAAUUGCGAGUGGUCAUCUUGUCAUCCCUAGUGCUAAUACUUUGACCAAGGAUCCUUCCCAAUUUGAUGCACUAUCACGACAAUUAGCCCAACUUGUCACUAAUCAACAACAAUUUCAGAGUCAAUUAGCGACUGUCCAAUUCGAUAUAACUGCUACUCGUGAGGAGAGAAAGAACCUAGCUGCUAAAACAAGCCAUUUUAAGUAAAUCCCUCAUUCGACUGACAUUCAUAAAUCUAAAGUGAUCCAUAAUAGACAAUAUCAUCAUCGACAGAGUGAUAAAAAAUACUUCCGACACGAUCGUAUGGAUAGGGAUUAGGUUCGUGAGCAAGAACGAGGUUGUAAUCAUCACAGUACUCAUUCACUUUCUCGUCAUAAGAAGAGUUUCUUUAGAGACAUUAAAUUAGAUACUCCUACUUUUGAUGGUUGCUUAGAUUUUGAAGUUUUUACUCAAUGGAUUGCUCUUAAACAAGGUAAUCGACCAGUGACUGAGUAUAUUGCACAAUUUGAGGAAUUUCGAAUCAAAUGUCAUGUCAUUGAGGAUGAGAUCACGACAUUUAGUAGAUUUAGCAAAAGUCUAAGAAAUGAUCUUAGGCGUGAACUUUUUCUUCGAAGUGUCACUACUCUUGAUCACGCUUAUAAUUUAGCUCGAGAUUAUGAAUUGACUAUUAGUACUCUAUAUGAAAAGCGUGAUCACCAUCGUUCGGCCAUGUCAUUAGUGCCACCUCAACAUAAAUCUGUCAUAGAACCUUUCUCGUCUAGUGUUCCUCCCAUUUGGGAAAAUAAGUGUAAAGGUCGUGAUAGUCCAAGGCCCCUUUCUCCAUAUAGAAAGCGUAUUAACAACCAUUCUUCUGUUUCAUUGGCUCCACUUCCUUUGGUUAAGUCCCUUCUAGGACCUCCCUUGUACAAUGUUCCUCCAAUAUUAGAAAAUAAGGGCAAAAUUUUUGAAAUUCCAAAGACUUCUUCUCACUUGCAAUGUAUUAGCUGUAAGGACUUUGGCCACAUCUCUUCCAGAUGUCCUAAACGAGCCUUAGUCAUAGAAGAACGAAGAAUGUAAUAGAAGAAUCGUUAGUAGAUCUAGUAUAUAAACCUAACCUUGAAGAUUUUGAUGAUGAUGGUGAGGACACCUCAUUAAGUGGCAUCUAGACUCUUCCUGAGACUCUAGAUACUAUAUCCCAUGAUUUCACUAGUUACUUUUCGAGAAUUCAGUCGCCUAUGGUUAGCACUAAAUCGAAAUUCUACACUGCAGACCAACCUCAGACUGAUGGUUAAAAUGGAGUCGUUAACCAAAGUUCUAGCAAUUUAUUCAAGUCUCUAGUCUAGAAAAAUCAUGGUAAUUGGGACUUGAUCCCCCAACUGUUCAAAAUGCAUAUAAUAAUUUUGUUAAUCGAUUUCUAAGUCUAAAUCCAUUUGAAGUUGUUCAUAGUUAUAAGUCUAGGUGGCCGUUAGAUCUUAUUCUCAUGUCCCCGCAUGCUGGUGUAUUGUUGUCAACUAAAGCAUUUGUAUAUCAUCUUUCUUACUUGCAUACUGAGAUCAAUAAGCAACUUGACACAAGUAAUGCAUUAUAUAAACCUCGAUCUGAUUGGCAAUGGCAUAAACAAUCAUUCGAAUUUAACAUUGGGAAUUAUGUUAUACUGUAAGUUUGUAGUGCUGAUCCUUAUAAAAUUUUAAAGUAUGUUUAUUUAAAUGCAUGUGUCAUUGAUCUUUUAUCACAUUUUGGCCACCAUUCUAUUUUAACUGUUAAGAACUUCGUCACUUACAAAUGUUAUUUUAACCCCUCUGCCGAUCCGUUCUACCUCCCAUGGGAAGUCUUACAUUGAAUCUUUUACUAUGUCUACUUCAAUCCUUCCUAUCAUAGCACACAAAGAUAAAAUUUUUGUUAUUUUAGAUGAACAGAUUAUGUUGACCAAUGAUGGAGAGAUUUGGAACUUCCUUGCUUGUUAGGUAAAUCGGCCUAAUUUUGAUUGCACAUGGAUUGUCAAAGAAAAGUUACAACAACUCUGGAUUAAGCUUGAGUUUCGAUCUUUGUUUCUUACUAAAGAUCGUCCCCCUUGGUAAAAGUUCAACCACUCGACAAAGUCGAGUUUUUCCCCACUCUAGAAGAGUUGAUGAGGACAUCUAAUUUUGGGCUAGUUUAGCAUUUUUGCUUUGGGCUACUUUUGGGCUAGUUUAGUAUCUUUUAUUUUUGGGCUUGUAUUAUGUAUUGGGCUGGCCCAAGCCCUUUUUCCUUUGUGUUACAUGUAGGCAACCUUUUGUGGGAGAGAUAUGAUAGAAUGAAUUGAAUUGAGUGUUGCAGGAACGUUCUCCUUUUCCACCGCCCUUUGUUCUCCUCUACUCCUCUCCUUCUUCCUCCCCUGGCUGGCUGUCUUAUUUACCUAUGCUUCUCCUCCUAAUUUCUUCAUUCCAUACUACAUCACAAAGUACACAUCACAUGCACAUCAAUUCUGAUUCUUAUUAUGCAUAUUCAGAAUACACGAUCAGAAGAGAAUAUUCAAAGACAACUAACUAAUGGGAAGAGGCAAAUAAUCUGAAUCCCCAACUUUAUUCUCUAUUUUAUCACAAAAUGAUCUCACACUAGUGUCCAAAGACUUCUUCAAUACCAGAAGAGCAUAAAUCAAAUAUAUGUGGGAUUGUGGGAAUGAUGUCCUGAACUAGGAGGAUAAAAGACUAAUCAUUUCUAUGAAGCAAAGAUGGGGGGAGUAUAGCAUAUAACACUUAAAACUGUGAAGUUUCUCGCAUAAGAUGGUCACACCUUACUCUGACCGGCAUCAGGACUCCUCGGUUUCAAGGUACUGGGAAUGAGAGGCUGCGAUGAGUGCAGCUCCAAUGCCAGAGCUGUCUUUGGAAAGCUCAAUGUUAACGCUCUCUGAAACCUCCUCCCCCAGGAGCUCUUUAAGUGUAUUCUUCAGACAAUUCCUGAAUUCAGAAUACUGCUCAAACAGUCCGCCAUCCAACGCAAUCACUGACCUCUGCUUCUCACCCUUUUUUACAGUAUCUCUUCCCAGUUUUUUGAGAAUUCCAAAGAUUCCAGCAGCCGAAAGACGGGCCCCACGAGUGGCAACAAUUUCACAUACUUCCACAAUCAUUUUCCUCAUUUUUAAGGAAGAAUUAGGUAUCUGUCACAAAGAAAAAUGGAGACAAUGUGUAACUGCAUUAGGUUUUUGCACAAGCAGCCAACUUUAAUUGCUCCUCGGAUGCACCCCAGUCAACAUAGUAGAGAUGCCAAAAUUUGCUAGCUCUACAAAGAGAUAGAUGACCAUUUAUACCACUAUGCCUCUCGAUGAAUACAAAGUAUUUUACCUCCAAGAUAUCCUUUAGUUUGCUCCCAACCAAUUUGAGAUCAGCAGUAUCGUCGUGAUGCAUUGCAGCCAUGACAGGGAUCCUGCACCGCAUUUUUCUCUCAGUAUCUAUAUUACAAAUGAUUUAGCACCUCUUUCAGGCCCCUUUUUUCAGUAUAGAUUUUGUAAAAAAAAGUGAUUUUUUGGAGGAUAUGUGGUUGAAAAGUAGGGAAAUGUUUUCGGUUUACACACAUUAUUUUAUUGGGAGGGUUGAAAAUGAAUUUGGGGAAAAAUCAGUUUUAAAGAAUGAGGCUCAAGCAAGGGCUUCAUUUCCUCGAUGAAACAAUGUAGUAUUAUGAGGAUUUUAUUUGACCAAAGCUAUAAGUUAAACCACAUCCGAUAAUUCGUUAAUAGAACUACGGUUUUAGGUGCAUUUGUUGGACCAUGAAAGGACAAAAAUGUCCAUAAGAUAAAUGCAUCUAAAAAUGAGGAUUUUAAGAUAGAUGGCCAAACUAAAAUGACUAAAUACACAAUGAGAAAUAUGUCAAAGAGUGAAGAGGGCACAAAUUAUGGAGAAAUUAAGGGUAGGAAGAAUUAGAUAGGAUAUCUCGCUUAAGCCUCGGGAAAUGUCCACAAAAGAAAUGUGAAAGAUUUGAUUCUUUGGACCUUUCAGUACAAAUAACACUGAUUGAACUUGUGUAGAUUCACCACGUUUGUUAGCAAUAAGACUAACUUCUUGUAUCACUACUGAAAUUAGAUGGUACAUUAGCUUACAGAGAUUCUCGUAUCCAGCCAGCAUCGCCAUCACUACUCACCUUAUUAUGAAUGGAAUUCUCAGUUUUAUCGGGAUAUCAUCACCAAAAAAGGAUGCUUCUUCUGCCAACCUGCAAAAGACUCGGCGUACAAUUUCUCCCAAAUACAUGCCAGAAAUUAUCUUCUCAAAAAUCUGAAGAAACAAGUUAUGGGUGAGAUCAGACAUAUAACCAAGCAGAAGUAAUAAGAAAAAGCUAUUGAAAUGACCUGCUCGCCAGGGUUUAAACUUUCAGCAUCAAGACUUCGAUCAUACUCUGUUAACGGAAGAUGUGAUGAUCGGAAGUUACCCCAUUCCAUGUUUAUAACUUGCAAAAGUGAAGCAAAAUCUAGUUAAUAAUAUAGAUCACAACGAUGUCCACGCAUGGCUAAAUAAACGGGCGGUGAAAAUUGAUGAAGCAUAAAGGGAGAGAUGAUCAAUGAUGAAAGGACAAUUUAUGCCUUGAUCAACAUUAGAUAACAAUAUACAAUCGAAGGAUGGAGCUGCUAACCAUUUCCCCAGAUUUAGGAAGCGGACCUUGCCACUUUGGAAUAGCAUUUGCCCAUUCUACAUAUGCGGCAUUAGUUCCAGUACCCAAUAUCACCGCAGCAAUCACAUCAGGGUGGUUGUAUUGUCCUCCGGCUAAUGUUCCAACUGUAUCAUUGACCUGCAUACCCCGAGGAAGAUAUUGAAGUUCUAAUUUAUUAGAUAUUCUACAAGUUAAAGUUUGGUGUAAAUGGUCGGCCAAAAGGAGGCCGGACCAAGAUUUUGGUCCAUAGUUCAACCUUCAAUGCUCUCUCACGAUCAUGUGGGGUUUUAAGUUCACAAAGAAGUAAAAGGUUACUUUAAACAUAAGUACAAGAUACUAGUAACUUUGUGUUUCCAAAUAUGUUAGCACAAGUUAUUUUUUUUUUUUUUUUUUUUUUUUUUUAAGUUUUAAAUUAAAAAAUUAUGUAUUUCAAAAGUAAUCCUGACCUUUAGCAUCAAAAAUUAUUAAUUCAAAUUUUUCUGAUUUCAUAAAUAUAUGUUUUGCCAAACAAACCACUUCCAUUGGGCAAGUUCAGAAAAUACAGGUAAAAGAAAUAAUUGAUAAAGUAGACUAUGUGACAUCAAAAAUAUUAUAUGCACAAGCAAGGUGAAAGUAGAAAAAUUUCAUGAUGGGAAAAUCUAGACUUACCAAAGCAGUCACAUGCAUAUCAAGGCCAACUCUUUCCAUUGCUUUAGUCAACUCUCCGACAAUAUCUUGUCCUAUCUAUUUAAAACCAUCAAUAAUAGAUACAUUGGAGAAUUAGAAUCCUAUAAGUAAAUAUGUCUAAUCCUCAGGGAGCGAGCACACACAUGGAACAACAAUCACAGUUCUAUUCAGAUCCAGCAAUUAACCAUCAACAUUUGUCAUAUACAUUUCCUGAGUCAUUAAGGGAUGGAUGGUAAACUAGAAAACAUCAAAUUAGAAAGGAAGGUUCCAUGACAAAAUCAAGAAUCAGGUAGAGAAUGCACAACCACAAAUACAUAGGGAGGAGAGAACUAGCUUAUUUUCUUUACUUAGUUCAUUUAUAGCUAAAGGAGAAGUCACCAGAUAGAUAAGUGGAAUGUGAAAAAGAAAUGACAUAUUCUUACAUAUGACUCACUUAUCUACACUUACUAGUAAUUAGCUAGUACUUCCUUAUAAAUAAAAUUCAAUGAGACCACAGUACUAGUUUACACUAACCAAGCAAAUGAAUUGAUUGAAUCCCAGAACAAACCAAACAUUAACCAGUUUACUGAAAAGAAUGGUUGAAAUCAGAUCAUAGACCUUACAUCAUUAAAACAUCACAUAUAAGUUGACCAACAAGGGUAAAAAUAUUUUGGAGCACAGUUAGUAAGGUUGAUAUGCCAAAUUAUCUAUCACUACAGCUGCAGAAAAAAAAAAAUAAUAAAUAAAUAAUCUGAAGACGAGUGGAUUUUUGUGAAAAUCAGCUUCGGCAAGUGGAUAUAGCUCUCACAUUGAUGUCAAACACUGUAUGUUUGUGUUCUUUGUGCAUUUUCUGAUUCCCUUUCAGAGUUAGAUAUUAAGGUUUAAUCCUAAAAUGAAACCCAAGUGCAAUAGGUAUGCCUCUGCACAGAUAAAUAACAGAAUAAUAAAUGCAAGUUCAACAAAUAAAAAAGAAAGAGAAGAAAGCUAAGAUCUGAAACUAACUGCGUCUUCUAUGAGGAAGCCUUUAGUCCACUUUGUAAGAGUCCCAGAAGCCAAUGAUAAUUGCUUAACUGGGAAGGAAAAGGUGAAACCCAGCUCCCUUUGCCUGCCAGGUGGAUGAACAAAGUCUUCACCUUCUGUUGCAACAAAGUUUGCAAGUGCCGCAGCAAUAAAAUCAAACAAUUCCUGGAAUCACCAUGAAAUGAAAUUUCACAUCAUAAUAACAAUUGAAACAACAUUUAAAACUGAAAGAAUGGCUGAAGACACUUACAAGAGAUGAUCCAACCAUCAAAUGUGGAGGAAUUGAAAGUACUUCAGGUUCUUUUUUGACCACACGGUUUUCUUUUCCACCAAGCUGCACACGCAGGACUCGGAAGUUUGUGCCACCUAGGUCCAAUGCAUAAAAUACUCCUUUUUCAUCGCUGAAGCAGAAAUAUUGACGAACAUAAGCACGAUAAGUGAAGCCUAUCUCCAGGAAGAGAAACAGAGACAAAACUUAAUCAUAUUAAAUUAGUCCAGGAUCUGAUAGAACUAAGGGCACUACAAUCUAGCCGUCCUCAAGAUCAUGGUAGCUAAAGAAAACAGAAUUUUACAGUUCUUAGUAUUCUCUCAGAAUAAUGUUUCCACUAUUUGUAUCUUGUUUACUGUAAGUCCAUUAUAUAGUGAUUGAGAUCAUUCCUCUGAGAACUUCCAUUUCCUGAAUAUUUCAAGAGAAUAAUUAAUAGUCAGCUAGUAGCCCAGUGAUCCAUUUGAGUUUGUUUAUUUCAUGUGUCACUUUGAACAAACUUGUACUGAACCACAGUGAAAUUACGAUGUAAUUCACAGUUAAAACAGAAAGCAAAAUGAUAAAACAACCACAACAUUCAUGACGUCCAACUAUAGAAUAUUUUGAUGUAUCAGAGUAAUGAUAAGUGGUCAAGACAAUCUGAGGAUUUAAGUCAAUAAGUAAGCUAGUUAGCAGUAAUUUUGACUUGAUAAUGGAAAGUAGAAGCUAAUUCAGAAUACAACAAGAAAAUUAUAGAUGCAACUUCAAUAAAAACUCAAAUCUGAAUAGUGUUUUAUUUUGGAAAAAGUGGAGAUAAUUGUGCAAAACUAUAAUAGUAUUCAGAUAGUACAGGUAGUAAAUUAUGCAACAAAAUCAGGUUACAGUUGUAAAAUGAAGAGUUAAUACUAUGUUUGACUAUUCAGGAAAUUGAGUCAACAGAAUUAAAAACACGAUAAAAAGAGAAAAACUUAAAAACAAGAACAGUUAAAAUAAUUUUUAACAUGUGAUGAUAAUGAUGAAGAAACUAAUAAAUGAACCCGAUAAGGAGAAGCGGAAGAACCAAAGAAGUAAAAAAUGUAAAAAGAAUAACAAUGCGUGCUUGCAUGUCAGAAGGUCCACAAAUGAAAGAUUUAUGUGUAUUUAACGCUCGAGUCACUAAGAAAGGCGUAAAAGAGGAUUCAGAAAUAGGAAAGAAAAUAAAGGUCCCUAGUUACGUUUACAACAGACAUUAAAUAAAAGCACAAACAAAUCUUUGUUAAAGAAAAUGUCAAUUGUCUAUUAGCAUAAGAUUGCCAUGAAAUGAGUGAACUCUCAACUCAACCAGAACCUUAAACUGAAAUCAGAGUAUGCCUUAAAAAGUGAAUUACAAUUCAAUGAACUAAUAUCAAAGCAUGUAUGGUCUCUCCAAUAAAGUCAAGGCUAUAUUGCGCUUAUAUGAAUCGUAUUUUCAAAAUAACAGGCUAAAAUUAUUCCCGAAAUAUGAGAAUAAGGUUUCUUAUUCAAUAAACAAUUUUACCUGUUCAACCACACCUAAAAUCAUAUAUUUGCAUCGCCACUCUUUGGUUUAGAUAAAAAUCCGAUUUUUUGUAGAAUUUGACAUAAAUUGAUGAAAUAUGUGGUUGAAAUUUUGAUAAGUUGUGGGUCACACUAUGCUCGUGGUUUAAAAUGAAUUUAAGGAAAAAUGAGUUUUAGAAAAUGAGACCAAAUAGGGGCUAAAACUCAAUAUUAUCAGAGAUAUAAGAAUUGCAGAAGCAAUAGAAGCAAGUUAGUGAUAAUGAGCUGACCGUACACUUGGCAUGUUUUAUAAGUCAAAUUGGACCAUACUCGACAAUAUUAACAAAGAAAAAGUAGCUAAAUAUAAUCUGUCCUGUUCAAUCCAGUCCCAUAGUGCAUUCAAAACAAGUCCGUAUAGGCUAAUAGCAACUAAUCUUCAAGAUUUAUUCAUAUGGGAGCUCAAUUUACUAUUUAAAAAAAAAUAAAAAUAAUAUAUAUAUAUAUAUAUAUAUAUAUAUAUAUAGCUGAUGAGCAUCUUUAGUUUGCUGCCGCCUUCGGAGGCGAGGCCGGCGUGCAUCUCAACCGUCAUGGCGUCAGCCACCUGCAGGAGCAUACCAGUUGGGGUGCCACACUUCUCUUCCAGCUCUCUCAAAAUGGCCUUCGCCUUGGUCCAUUUCCCGGAGCUCUUCAUCCGGUGUCUCGUCACCAGCACAGCUGCGGCACAUACCGCUGCCGUACACACCACCGCUGCCGCCGCCGCCACCUUCCCCAUCUCAGUACGAUGAACAACUCAAAACCCACUAUUCACUUACCCCACAAAAACAAUUCACUCUGUAUGUUUAUUUAUGUCAAAGAUUGAAGCUUUGAUUUGAUUUUUGAGUUAGAAGUAACCAUUCCACCCCAUGUGAGUAGAAAAUUAGAAAAAAAUACCAAUCUCACCCACCUCCCACGUGAGUGUUAUGUAAUGGUAAUGGUUCAGAACCAUUAUUCUAUAGAACAAGGAGUGUAAAAGUAAUUAGAAGAUGCAAAUGGAAAACAGCAACGAAAAUGGUGAAAGCUUACCGGGAUAAUUUUGAGAAUGGCCGGGAAAUUAUUCCACUUUCUCACAAUAGCCUAAUUUGUUAAAAGUACUACUUUACCCUUAUUAAGGUUAUUUAUGAGAUAUAUCCUUUAUCUUUUAAGGUCUUAUCAAUCAGGUCCUAUAUCUAUAUUUUUGAGCCUUUCAAACACCUUUAAAUAUUCUCUGUAUAUUGAAAGUUCUUCAAAAAUUAUAGGUUGUCCUUUUUUAGUUAUGUAUCCUUUAAAUAAGCCUUCUGAAAUUUCUUCUUGUAUAUUUCUAUGUCUAGUUAUAAUAUCUUCUACUUUUCGUAUUUCGUUAUGAGUUCUCACAGAAUCAAAUCCUAUAUUAUUCUUACAACUAUAAUCUAUAUCUCUAUAUAUUUCUUCAAUUUUUUCUUUACCAAUAGGAAAUAUAACAUCAGAUUUUACAUCUAGUUUAAGCAGAAAAGAAACAUCUUUUUCAUCUAAAAAUAAAAUAAGAUUAUUAUCAUCAUUAACAGUGGAAGUGGAUGCUUGUGAAUUGUUCAUUAAAGAUAAUUAAAACAUAAGAAUGUAAAGCAAGUAAGUAACUUACAGUAAUCAAAUGAAUAAAUAGGCUUUCCUUCCAGUAUGUUCUUAUAGAUGCUUUGCAUGUACUUAAUCAAUCUUCUGAAUCAAGUAAAGAUUUAAAAUAUUUUUGAAAUCAUUUGGGUCCACAACUGCUUCCGCAAAAGGCUUUUCAAUUAAGGUUGCAUUUCUCAUUCUAGAGAACUAGUCGUGUUUCCACAGACGCUAUUUCACAGUAUCCAGAGUCUCUGUUUUCACCUUUAUCCAAACUCUUUUCAGAAUCAAGUUCCUACUUGGAACGAAAUUUUAAAAGAUAACUCACACUCAAGGUGCUACAAUUUUUGUUAGAAAACUGCCCUUUUCCCCUAAACCAUUCAUCAAAAACGGGUACUUUAGCAUGGCUAACAUCCAUUCAAAAUCAAUGUUUUGAAAAUCUUUUAAAAUCUCUAUCUGUACUGCCGAGGAAUCAUGAGAAACUUAACGAAAUCCUUUUAUGAAAGCUUUGUUGAACAUAACAAACUUUACUUUGAUAUUCAUAAAUUGAAAUUGUACAUGCUUACAAACUAUAUUUACAUACCUUUGGUACUCACCUUAUGAAGUUUAAAACUCCAUAAGUGAUUACCUUAUUACACGCUUUCCUAUCUUCAAGCUAUCUAAUAUCUUUUUCUGAAUACAAGUGGUGUAUACAGAUUAUAAAGAAUUUUUCUCCAAUGUGUUUUCAGAGGAUAGAGAUAGAUUUUUCGAGAUAUCUUCCUUCUUCCUUCAUGCCUCCUUUUAUAGGAAAGUUUGGAACCUUAUCUUGGACAGGUGUCUUCCACUUUCUUUGUUAGGUAGGAAGGCAUCUUAUCUCCACCGAAUUCUUCAUUGUCUUCUUGCUAUGUGGACCUUUCUUUGAAAAUUAUGUGCCUUAUCUUUAGAGUUUGUCUGCCACUUAUGUCAAUUAGUGGAUAAGUGGUCAUAAUAAUGGAGACUUUCUUAUAUUAUUUCUUGUCUUUAGUAGCCACAGUUUUUCUUUAAUAAAUUUCUUUAUUAAAGUAGUGAUAAAGGGCUACUUCAAUCACUUCACUUCUCCAUUUUUGAAUCAAAGAAUUCUACAGGGAAUUCUUCAUCGUUAAGAGAUGCUUGGCUCAUAUCUUCAACAACACAGUAUUCACAGUGGUGAUCACUGUAAUUCCAAAGUAACUUGCAUAAUUCCUUAGCCAUAUCUUCUGAUCCAUGCACUUGGUUGGAUAUAAUUGCAGAUAAUAAAUGGUCAAGAUAACAAAGAUCUUCCUCUUUAGUGGUUAUCCUUGCACUGAAAUAUAUAAUAUGAUCUUCAGAAGGAUAAACCCAUAUUUUUUCUUUCUCAGUAAUUAUCUGAGUUACAUGUUCAAAUAUUUUUUUGUACCCUUUUGCUCUUCUAUAGGGCAUCAUAUUAAGAAUAUCUUGAUAUCCAUUUUUAACAACCUUUUGAUUGGUUGGUAAAAAAUGUUGAUUUGUAAGUCCCAAUUUUAUCACAUGGAACAAUGGAUGCAUAUAUUCAAGAGAAGGAUCCCAUUCCAUUGUUGCUGAAUAGAAUCUGAUAUAUAUAUUUGUUGUUUUAACAACUUCAGUAUAUCUCUUGAUAGCUUUCCUGAUGUUGGCUGGAAGUUGAGCUAUCUCUUUAAGAUCUUUGCUUGGAUAUAUACAAAGUAUAUUUCCUAUCUCAAAGCAAUUUCGAACCCAAUUGGCUGGUGCUCCUGGAUAGAAAUUUAUCUUGUUGUAUUUUGAAUAGUGGAGAGUCUUCAUCCACUUUCCAAUCUCCAAAUACCAAUCUGAUAGAAUGUUAAAAAUAACAAUAAACAAUGUUACUUCUUCAAAACUAUCUUUUCUCGGCGUUUUUGCUUCAUGGCAUAUUUUGACAAUAUCUUUAGGAUCUAUCCUUUCAAUAGAAAGUUUGGAUUGAGUUUGGCUCUGUGAAGAGCUACCUUCUCUUUUGAUAUUUGGAAUAUCUUCAUUACCAGUAAUAGGUUUGAGUAUUCCCUGUGAAGGGGUUCCUAUUACUUUCUUUUCUUUCCCUUUAUCCUCGGGAAGAGCGCUAGUAUUCACAAGUCCCUGCGAAGGGAUACUAGGCUUGGUACAAGUAUCUUCUACCUCAAGGGCUAUAUUUUUGCCUCGAAGAUUAUCUUGGAUAUUUUGAAUUUGAGCUUCCAAAUAGGAAACUUUUAUUUCAAGUAUCUGGACUUUCGUCCUUAGUUGUUCUAGCUCCAUCCAUGCUAAGAUAAUCAGGAAGAAAGUUAGUUUUACCUUUUAUGUAUUCAAUGUCAAAUUUGAAAUAUGAAAACCAAAUUUGUAUCCUAAUAAUAUAUCUAUUAUUAAUAGAUGGAUCGACAUUAUUCUUUAAAAAUGCUUUAACUUGAGUAUUAUCAGUUCUAAUUAAGAAUUUCUUUGGCAAUAAAUAAUCUUCAUAUUUCUGAACUCCUCUUUUUACAGCAAUGAGUUCUUUUCUGUUCGUCUCAUAUCUGGUUUCAACUUCUUUGAAUGUUCCCGAAGUAUAACCUGCAAGUAUUUCAGGACAAGAACAAUCUUUUUCACAUUUAUAUUCUUUAUGAUUCUUUUUAACUUUUAAAACUGCUCCCCAGUAAUAAUCUGAAGCAUCAGUUUCCAAGAUAAAAAAAUAAUCUUCUUGUGGUAUUACUAGUUUGGGCAAUACCUUCAAUUCUUCUUUAACUUUCCUUAUAUUUUCACAAUAUUUUUCUUCCUAAGACCACAUUAUAUUUUUUCUUAAUUUUGGAAGAAAAUAAUUUUUCAAUUUAGCACAAUUUUCAAUGAAUCCUUCAGCAUAAUUCAAUAUACCAAAGAAACUUUGUAAUUUUUUUUAUCUUUGAUUUCUUUAGGAAUUCUUGAAGUUUUUCACCAAUAUGAGAUUGCAACUGCAAUUCUCCUUCUUUUAUAAAUAAUCCUAAAAAUUCAAUUUCUGUUUUAGCUAUCUCAGCUUUCUUUUGAGAGAGUGUAAUACCAUGUUUUUUCAUGAUAUAACAAAAUUUUUCAAGAUGCUCUAUAUGUUCAUCAAUAUUAUUUGAAUGAAUAAGUAAAUCAUCUACAUAUGCAAUACAAAAAUGAGUAAUUGGUUUAAUUACCUCAUCCAUUCUUCUUUGGAAUAUCUGUGGUGCAUUUUUCAACCCAAAUGGCAUUACAUUCCAUUCGUAUUGUCCUAAAGGAUUGGGGGUACUAAAUGCAGUUAGUGGUCUACUUUCUUCUGUAAGCAUGAUUUGCCAAAACCCUGACUUACAUUCAAAUUUUGAAAAUAUCUUUUUGUUUUGUACUUGUUUAAUAAGGGUAUCCUUAUUUGGCAAAUAAUAUCCAUCAAACUUAGUUACUUCAUUUAAUUUUUUAUAAUUUAUCACCAUUCUGGCUUUUCCUCUUUUUAUCUCACUAUGUUUUCUAACCAUAAAGGCUGGACUGCUAUGUGGGCUUUUACUAGACCUAAUUAGUUUAGCUUCUAGCAAUUCUUUUAUCUGAUUUUUAAAUUCUUUUUGAUCAUCAACACUAUAUUUCAUAGGUUUAACUCUAACAAUAGUAUCUGGAUUGGUUAAUUCUAUUUUUGCCUUUACUUUAUCUAUAUUCCAUUUUUCUAAUGGAUUUUCAGAAUAUGUUUCAGAAAUUUCUUUUUUCAAUUUUUCAAUCCUAUUUUCUGUUGUCAUUUUUAAGACUGUAACUGGUUUAAAUUUUUCUGUACUCCAACAUCCACCACACUGGGUUGAAGAACUCUGAUGGUUUAUUUUUCUAUAUGCAAUUGUAACAGCCUUAUUUAUUUUUGGUGUAAAUAUCCUAUGUGCACAAGGUGUUGUGAACAUAUAUUUAUCAAUAUAUUGUGUAAAUGAUGCAUAUUUUAAUAGGAAAUUUUGUCCUAAUAAAAUAUCACAUCCAAUUGUGGUUGACAUAUAUAUUGUAUCAACAAAUACUUCUCUAAAGGAAAUUAGAAAAGGUACUUGAGUAGCAUACUUACUAUAUACUACCUUAUUUCCACCUACUGUUGUAGCAGUUACUAUCUUCUUCGAGUUGUAUUUUCAGCAUUCAGAUGGUAGUAAAUUUGGUAAACAUAGACUUAUUGUACUUCCUGUAUCUAAGUAAGCAUGGAAUUUAAUUCUACAAUAGCCUUUUACAUUAAGUAUAAUUUCAAUAUAUGAACUCAUGGGAUUAGUACUAAUUAUUCUUUCCAUGAUAACAAUGAUUUCAUAUUUUCACCUAUUCUUGGAAUGAUAAUUGGAUUAUCAUCAACUGUUAUCUUUAAAUAUCAUUGGCAGAUUUUAUAAGGACUAUAUUUUUCAAGAAAGUUCAUUCCUAGUAGAAUAGGUGAACGAUCUACUCCAUAUAANNNNNNNNNNNNNNNNNNNNNNNNNNNNNNNNNNNNNNNNNNNNNNNNNNNNNNNNNNNNNNNNNNNNNNNNNUAAUAUUGCGAACUUGAUGGUUCAGCAAUACUUAGAUUCUUAAGUCUGCUUAUCUUAGAGUCUUGUCUCGAGGAAAAUCUUGCUAUAAGAUUAUCUCCUUCUAAGCUGACACUAUUUCUUCUUAUUAAUUUUCCUUCAGAAUUAAUUUCUCUAGCUUGUUUAUGGAAAUCAAGCAUUAUUUGUUCUGGUAUAGUGACUUCAUAUUCUUGGUAUUUUCUAGGAGGUAUAUAUUGUGCUAACUCCUCAAAAUCUUUAUGUAUGAUAAUAUUAUCAGUUAUUUUUCUUAAAUUGUUAUGAUAGCUAGUACUAAAAGCAAAAAUUGAUUUUAUACUUAUACUAACAGCCUUACUUCUUCGUAACAUUUUCAAGUUACCAAUUCUAUAAUAUAGAUUGAAGCUUUGGUCAAUAUUUUCAUCACUUAAUGAUAUUGCAUAAUUUGGUUUUACUGUAAAUAUUAUCUUUUGAUAGACUAAGUUUCCUACAACUGUUCCUAAUAGAGCAUCUAUAGGAUCUUGUAAGAUUCUAUUAUCCAUACAGUAUAUUUCUAUUGGUAUAUUCAUACCUUCUCUAAAAAAUCCUUUUACCAUUAUUUGGAUUCCUCCUAACUCAAUACAUUUUAAUUUAUUUCUUACAUUUUCUGGGAUUUUGGAUAACUUUUGUUUUACCCAUUCUUUUGUAAUUAUAGGUAUUCUUGCUUUUCCUAUGGUAUCUUCUAUAUUGAUAGACAUUUCUUUAUAAUUCAUACUAACAAUUGUUUUAUUUACUCUUGGUAAAAUUCCUAAGAAUCCUUGAUGGAAUAUACCUUUUUCCUGUAGGUCAAGUAUCUUCUUAGUGAUUCCUGCGUAUUUUUUAAUAUCAAAGAUAAUUUCUUGAUUUAUACCUUCUAUAGUAUCUUCAACUUCUUCAAUUGUUUCUAUUUCUAUUUCUGAUUGUUGUAUUUCUUGAUUCAUAUAUACAAUUUCCUCAUAUUCUUCCUCUGAUGAGGAUGUAUCUAAUUCAUAAAUACUACUGCAUUCACUGUGUUAGAUCUUCAAAAUAUUCAAUUGGUUCUAUAUCACUAUCAUCUUGGAAUUUUUCAUAAAUUCUAAGAGUUUUUAUAUUUUGUCUAUCUUUUUUUUUUUAGGACAUUGAGGGGCAAUGUGUCCUUCUUCAUUACAAAUAAAACAUCUACAUUUUUUAAUGUAUCUUGGUUUAAAUUUCUUAUUCCAAUUUCUUUUCUUGAAAUAUUUUUUAUGUGGUUUAAAAUUCUUUUUACUGAAUUUUUUAUAAUUUUUGAAUUUUCUUUUAUAUUUCUUAUAUGGUUUAUACUUCUUUUUAUAGCAUCCAAAUUGUUCUACCUGGCCAUUAUCUUUGUAACAACAUAAUGAAUUUUUUCUUAUUUUAUAAGCUUUUUUAUUUUAUAGUGCUUCUCUACACCACAUACUUAUCAUUCUUUUUGUAAAUUCAAUUAUACUUCCAAGACUAUCUAUUUCAACUCCUUCCUCUUUUCCUAGAGGCAAUAAUUUCUCAUAUUCUUUUAGUAACUUAAUUCCCCAUGGGAAUGGUAACUUUGUAAAGUAAGAUCUUAAAAUAGGUUUAUUUUCUUGAUAAUCUCCUUGAUUAAGUAUAUAAUAUAAUUCUUCAAAUUUACAUGUAUAUCUUUCUAACUCACACAUAUCACAUAUCUUUAGAUUUUCCAUUGCAAUCAUCCCUUGAUUAUAUUCUUCUUGUGUUCUUUCUUCUUCAUUAGAAGUAUGUCUAUUUCCUAGAAAUUCUAUUCUUAAGAUUUUCUCAAAUCUUUUUAAUAUUUCCUGUAUAUUUUGUUCAUUUAGGGAAUUUCUAUUAUCUAAUACUCCAGUUCUAUUUGCUCCAUAUUUUACACCUCCUUUGAUAAUUUCUGGUAACUUUCUCCACCAUUCAGAGACAGUUCCUCUAAAUGUAUGUUCUAUAAAUCCAAAAGUCGUAUAUGUUUUCCAUUUAUUAAAUUGUAUAGCUAAGUCGGUACUUUUCAUCCAUAUUUCAAUAGCUUUAUUUUUAUCUACACAAUCUAAGUCUAACCAUACUCCUGUUGUGUGGAUUGGUUCAUUAUAAGAUUUCAUUGGAUUUAUUUCUUUUAUGGAUUGUUUUCUUACAUUUUCAGUGUAUCUUUUCUGGGUUUUUCUAUAUUGAUUAAUAUCAACCUUAUCAGAUAUUGGGGUACCAUAAGGAAAAUCUUGUUCUUCAUCACUACUGAAUUCUACUUUUAUAUCUUGACUUGAAGAUGGAUUAGUAUUCAUCUUUAUAUUUUCCAUUUUUUCAGUUAAUUCUUCUAACUGUUUUUUAUAUUCUUCAUACUCUUCACCUGUAGAUUCUAAAAAUUUUUGUUCUAUUUCUUCUACAUCUGUAAUCAUAUAUUGUUUUUCUUCAUGUUUUUUAUUUUUUUUCGUUCUAAAAUCUUGGGGUGGAUUAAUUAUAAUCCUAUCUUUUCCUCUAAGAUUAUUAUCUAAUAAUGCAUUUCCUACUUGUAGAUUAUAUUCUAGAUUUUCUAAUUUUUUAUGUAUAUCCUCAAAAUUUUCAUUUGUAGUAUUUUUAGGUAAAUAGGGAUAACUAGGUUUUUUUUUGUUUUUUAACCUUUUCCAGAAAUUUUUCAAUUAUAUUUUCUUCAUCUACUAUAUUUAUCAUAAUUUUUGGUUCGUAACAUGGCUCUGAUACCAUUUCUUCGGAGUGUGCAGCGGAGGGGUUAAUAUUUUUGAGCCAAUUAAAUUCUUCAUAAGUAUUUAAAAUAUCACAAUAGAAUUUAUAAAAUUCACUAUUUUUUACCAAUAUUUUUUCUUGAAUAAUUAUGUUUAAUUCUUUAAUUCUCCUUCUUAAGUUAAGAAUUAAUUUAUAUAUAUCUUUUUCCAUUUUGAUUGCUUCAUCAUCUAUGGAAUCAUUUUUAUUUUUUAGUUUUGGGUCUAAAUAUUCUAUAAAGAAGUCUUUUAGAUCUUCUUCCAAAUAGGUUAAUUCAUUUUCUGUAGCGUUUUUUAGGUCAAUAAAAUUUUGUAUAAUAUUUGAAUCUAAAUUUAUUAAAGAAUUUUGAUCUAUAUUUCUUUGGGGACUUAUUUGAAGAUUUUUAUACAUUAUAGUGGCUUUGGUUGCAAUUUCUCUAUAAGGGGUAUUUUAGGAAAUAUAAUUUUUUAAAGGUUAUUUUGGAAAUGUUUUUAUUUCUUAGUCUAAUUUGGAAAAUCCUCCUUUUAUUUAGACUAUUUUGAUGUAUUUUCCAAGCUUACCGGAUAUGUUUGGGUGGAAGAUUUUUGUGUAACUAAGCCCUUGGAUCCAUUAUUCCAAAAAAUUAUUUUUCUCUUAUUUUUUUCUAUUUUUCAAUCACACAAUAUAUUAUACGUAAAUAAAAAAAAUUUACAUCUUUUUCAAUCACCCAUUUUUUAAAAAAUAUUAUUUCAAAAAUUAUAAUUACCAUAUAGGAGCCAAACGAGGCUAAAAAAUGUGAAAGAAAAAGAUCUGGAUGAAGUAGAAAGCUUCUUUGAUUUAUUUAUUUAUUUGAGGAAAACUGCUACGUAGUCUCACUCAUUACAACCUUAAUUUAGGUGGUAUUAGUGUGCAAUUAAAUGAUAGGUGGAAUUAUAAUAUCACAUUUCAUUCAACCUAUCAUCUAACGUCACUUAGAUUGGAGUUUGUAAUUCUAGUAGAGUUAAAUAGCAUUACUUUUAUUUGAGAGAAUGUAUAGUAGAAAAUAAGUUUGGAGAUUUUAUUUUUAUUUGUUUAUUUAUUUAUUUUUGGAAUAAUAGAGCUCAAACAAUUGCUAAAAUAUCUAUUGUCUGGAAAUGAGUUUAGGGACUAAACCAUGUUUGGUGGAAAUUAAAAUUUAUAUUUAAUGUAAGUCAAAUUAAAUAAUUAAAUCUUAUCACAUAUUUUAUAAGAUUCAUAACUUUUCAACCACAUAUUUUAUUAAAUUUUAUCAAAAUCUGAUAAAAAAUUUAUUCUAAUCCCCACCAAAUAGGAGCAAUAAAUGAAUAAUAUUAUCUAGUGCAUGUAGUGUUGAGCAUCAUUCUAGGAAUCAGCAUAUCAUAAGUCAUAUUAAAUUGAUUAUAAUUAUUUAUAUUUAAUUGAAUUUAUUAUUUAAUGUCAUAGUGUUGUCAUUCAAAUUGGUAUUAAAUAUUUAUAAAAUAGAUGGAUAAUCCCCAGCAUAUAAGACCAAGUUCAUCGGUUUGAGCAUGUGAUCACGUGACACAAUUUUUCCAAUGGCUCAUCCAUAUCUGAAUUUGGAUCUACCCACACACAAAAGGAUUUGGACUGGAAAUGUCAAACUAAAUAAUAGCAAUUUCUUGAAAAAUAAUGAAACCCAUGACCUUGAAGGUGUCUAGGCUAUAUACACCAAUUUCGUUCCCUCAUUCUACCUCAAAGUCAAUUUGAGAAGAAAAUAAUGAGUAUUGUUCGUGAACAGUAUGGGGUGCAAAGUUUUCUAAAAAUACAUCAAGAUUAUGUCAAUUUCAAGAUUAAUUUAUGUUAUUGCACAUAUUUAAUUACAAUAUACAUUCAAAUGUUGAAUUGAAGUCAACAUUUCAAUCCAUGAUAUUACUCAUCGCAAUUUGGUAUACAUUGUACAACCUGUGAUUAAAUAUACAUAUAAUCUCAUAAAUAAAAUUUUGUUGAUAUCUAAAAAUGAUGUGAUAAAUUUAGAUCAACUUAAUAGAAUUUUGUCGAGUGAUUGCCAAAAUUGAAUUAGGAUAUAGAGCAUUUGUAUUACAUAAAGCUUUUCAAAGGGUGUUGUUUGCUAAAAGUCUUAGGUUGCCUAAAAGGGGACCUUUUGCCCUUAUUUAUAUGCUGGAAGAUCAUGUCACUUGCUUGUUCAGUGUCAUUUCUGCUAUAGCAUCGUCCUAGAAAUGUGUGCCAUCGACAAAAUCCUUUUUUCUUAUUUGGAAUUCAGGGUUGACCAUUCAAUUCAUCAUGAUGCCUAGGCCAUAAGUAUGGCAUCAGGCAAUGAUGACCUAAUAUUGGGUAAUCAUGAGUUACUUAUAACUGAUUGAAAAUUAGGUGCUGACAUCAUAUCCGCUAUGUGUCAUUCUGGGAGUGGUUGGUGUUUAGAUGCAGACGUUACAAUGACAAUGAUUAUGAAUCAUGAUGUUUUUGCUAAUUACGGUGGCCUUGUCUGAGUUGAUCUCAAUAAUAUGGUGUUUGUAUGCAAACUUUUAAUCCAAACUCUACUUAAUGGAGUGUGAGGUUGGACUCCAACAAUAUAAAAAAUGAAAUCUUGCCUUUGUUCAGCCCUAAUUUUACAAAACUCAUCUUUUUUCGAAUUCAUUUUUAAUGUCAAAUUUUAUAAUAUCCACAUUUUUUAUCAACUUUUUAACUACACAUUUCAUCGAUUUUUAUCAAAAUCUAUAAAAAUUUGAUUUUUAGCCAAACUAAACGAGGACUUAAAAUUUUAUACUAUUUUGUUCAAUAUCGUAGGAAUGAGGCUAAUAUACAUAUAUUGAGAGCAUAAAUUUAAAUUCUGAAAUUCCCUCCUCAAGUGUGGGUACCUAAAGAUUUCAUCCACAUUUCUCCUGUGGCAUUAUCAAACGUAAGUCACACUCAACUUUAGGCUAGCAAAAAUGGAGCCAUUUCUCAUCAAUCAUUUAGUCUAGCAUUAUUAUUCCCAUAUCUAAAUUGGCUACAACAUUUACAUGUGACAUGACCAGCUCCAAAACAAAAUUUCAGUGUAAAUUAGGUACUUCUUUCCAUUUUUCUGAACUAGUGGUGCUAACGUUUAAAUGGAAUGAUGUUUUAUAUCUGCACAUGCAAUGCACAAAUAAAGUAAAGGGACAAGGUCAAAGAGUUCAACUGAAAUCGAAACGGAGAUUGCAAAUAGUUUUAUAUACUUGGAAGCUUGUCGAUAGACAAGCUUUUUUUUGUCAUGCUUUGGAGUUUUUGCACUCCUUCAAUUAGAGUACAAAUUUCACCGGACCAUAGAGCCAAAAGCACGAUCAUAAAUUUCUAAAAUGUUAUGCAACAAGAAACUCAAUCAACCCAAGGCUGGUCACCAAUUACAUCUCGAUUUCUUUGAGAUGUACUUUUUCGAGUAUAUAUAGACUUCUGUACUGGUUUAAGAUUUUUCAGAUCAAACUAGCCAAUUUCUAAAAACUUUGCUUCUAGCACAAUGUAUGAAGUCUUAGUAAUUAUAAACCACAAAACAAGGACAGGACAAAAUCGAUUCGUUUAUUUACAAGGCUCUGCUAACAUAUCAAGUAAUGUAUGGAGAAAAAAGGAACUUCUGCUGACUAAUCGUAAGCCUAGGACUAGGUCCAAUUGGAAAAAUUACAACAACGAUACUUCAAGAAGACAAUUACAAUCAUAUAGACAAGUUCAAUCAGAUAAAGACUUUUCUAUUCAACGGUUCUUAAAAAUAAGAUUACCAAAAAUCUAUUCACCAAGGUCUGUAAGAGUAGGAAUCAUGGGAACAAGAUAAUUCCCAUAUGGCAAAUCAAAGAUUAUAAAGUUGCAAGUGUAACCAUCUUGUUGUACCUUGGCUAGUGCAGAAUUCCUCGUCUAUUGAAUCGUGAUGUUGAUGGUGCUAGUUUGAGCCUUAGAAACCUCCACAUUCGUCACAAGCAAGAUAUGUUACAAGUGAUACAAAAAUAAAUGUGAUAAUAAGCAUAACCAAAAACUAAUGAAACUUGGAUAUGGAAAAGGGACAUGUUGGUCCCAAAACAUAUUUGAACAAUAUAAAACAACAAAAUAUUUGCAGAAAUGAAAAAUAGCAAAAAGUAAAAGUAAAAACACAAAGACCUUUCACAACUAAUGGGUUCGAAUGUUCAUGUGCUCUAAACGCUACACAACCAUCGGACAUCUACAAGUAGAUAUUGCUCCAAAUCACUAAAAUUAGCUAAGAAUCAGUUUGUACAAAUGUAUGAGAUUUCUUCAAAUAUUUCUCUCGCCUCACAAAGAUAAGCUUACGAGUUAAAUCUCCACUUCAAACUUAAAUUAUACACUCAGUACAUCAAGAAAAUUCACUCAUGAUUAUAUGCGAUUGAAUAAUGGAAUGAGAGAAAAUAAAGGAUGAAAAUCCUCACAAAACGGCUCUCACACAAAUUGUGUGAAGAAAAUGGCCAAGUGCGUCUUUUAUAUUCCACUACAAAACCAUGGAUCCAACGUCCAAUAUUCAAACAAGUGUAAGGCCAAAUUGUAGCAAAACACCAGCUAAACUUAUUUAAGAAAAGUAACUUGGUACCAAGAUCAGAUGGAUUAAACUCAGUUGGACCUUUUUUCUACCACGUCACUUACAAAAUGAAAUUUUAUAUCAACAUGCUUAGUUCUAUCAUGAUACACAUGAAUCUUAUUAAAGAGAAUUGCACUUUGGUUAUCAAUAUAUAAUCUAAUAACUUCAACUAUAAAACCAAUUUCUUUUAAUAAUCCUCCUUUCUUGAUAGCAUCACAUGCUGCAAUAUAUUCUGCCUUAGUUGAAGAUAGAGCCACAAACUUUUGCAGUUAAAAUUUCCAACUAAUAAGCCCAUCACAGAGUGUGAAAAUAUAAGAAGUAGAUCAUCUUUUCUCUAAGUCAGCUGGAAAAUCAGUGUCUGUGUAUCCCUUCAAAAUUAUACAUUUAUUACACCUUUUAAAAUUUUAGCCCUAAGUCAGAUAAACAUUUUAAAUAUUUCAGCAUCUAUUUUAUACAGGGCAGUGUGUUCACCUGGUUUUACCAUAAAUCUGAUCAAAAUACUUAUGUCAUUAGCCAAAUCAGGUCUAAUACAUACAAUUAAAUGCAUAAUAGAUCAAAUAGUUUUAGCAUAAUAUAUUUGAUUCAUACUUUAAAAUUCUUCAUCUGUUUUAGAAGAUUGUUUACAUGACAAUUUAAAGGUAGUAUAAUAGGAUUGUACUUAAACAUAAAUUUUUUUUCACGUGCUUUAUUCACAUAUAAGCACCGAUUCACAUGAAGAGUGUAAUUAAUUCUAUUUCUUUUAAUUUUAAUACCCAAAAUUCUCUUUGAUUGGUCUAGAUCUUUUAUUUUAAAUUCAGAUUUUAAUUUUGAUUUGAUUAUAUCUAUGUUAGUUUUAUCAUAGCAAGCAAGAAACAUAUCAUCAAAAUUUAAUAGAAGAUAAACAAAUAUUGACCCCCACAAACUUUAUAACAAAUCCUAGAGUUCGAACAUGUAAGUUUAAUUUCUUAUACCAUUGCCUAUGGACUUGUUUUAAAUUAUAGAGGAAUUUUUUUUCAACAAACAAAGCUUCUCAUAUUUAGAAUUAAUUUCAAAAUCUUUAGGCUGACUCAUAUUUAUAACUUCAUCUAGAUCGCCAUUUAGGAAAGAAAUUUUAACAUCAAGCUGAUCCAACUUUUAGUCAAAAUGAGCAGUUAAAGUAAGCAAAAUUCUGAUUGAAGUAUAUUUUGCAACAAGACACAUUUUUAAAAAUAAAAAAUUAUAAUCAAUAUCCUACCUUUGUGUAUACCCUUUAGCUACUAACCUGACUUUAUAUUUCUUAUCUUUAAUACUGGACUCAGCUUCUUUAAUUUUAUGAACUCACUUACUAUCAACUAUUUUCUGAUUAUUAGGCUUGUUAACAAGAAUUCAUGUUUUAUUUUUAAUCAAAGAGUUUAUUUCAUCUUUUAUAGUUUUUUCCCCAAAAAACAGAUUCUUUACACAGUUAACAAAUUCUUCAAAAGUAGUAGAUUCAAAAUUGAAAAAGUCUAAAGUAGAGAAAAUGGUCACAAAAUCAUCGCUGCCAAUUAUAGUAGAGGGAAUUCUAUUCCUUUUACUUCUAUCUCAAGUAAACUGAUAAUUAGUUAUAGUAGGAUUUUGGGGUUGGUUUUCAUUUUCAAUAUCAUUCUGAACCUAAUCUAUUUCAAAUUGAGAAGUCUAUACCUCAAUCUGAUCAUCAAACUCAAUAGGAUUGGUGUUUUGAUAUUCCAAAACUAUUUCUUUAACUAACGAAUUUUCAUCAAAUUUCAAUUUAGAAGAAACAACAAAGGGUAUGUCAUUUUCAUUAAAAAUGACAUAUCUACCUAUAAUGACCUUGAAACCAUUUUACUCUCCAAUCCAAAGUCUAUAACCUUCAGUUUCUUUCCUAUAGCCCAGAAAAAUAUACUUUAAGAACCUAGACUCAAGUUUACCUUCACUUUGAUGAAAAUAAGCUACAUAGCCAAACAGCUUAAGUCUAGAAUAAUCGGAAAACUUACCAAACCACAUUUGUUCUUGUACUUGAAAGUUAAUGGUACUAGAAAGAAUUCUAUUGUUUGAAUAUCUAGCAAUUUAUAAAGCUUCUCCCUAGAAUAGUCUAGGGAGACUAGAACUUAAUAGUAUACAUUUGAAGGGUAUACGUUAUAGUUCCUCGUUAAAAUUUCAGAUUCUUCGAAAAAAGUCAAAUUCAAAAUUAUAGUAUUCAAAACCAUUAUUAGUUCUAAGUGCUUUAACUUUCUAACUAGUUUGAUUUUUAAUCAUCAAUUUCUAUUGCUUAAAGUUUUGAAAAGUAUCAAAUUUAGGCUUUAAUAGAAAAGUUCAUAUUGUUUUUGAAAAAUCAUCUAAUACAAGUAAAUCAAGCUUGAAGCCACUGAGAGCAUUUUCAAAUGCUGAACCAUAAUAUCAACACAUAAAUAAUCAAGAACAGAACAAGAAUAAUGAAAUCUAAUUUUGAAAGGAAAUUUGUUUUGCUUUCCAAUAACACAUUCUUUUCAAAACAUAAGUUUUUCGAUGUUAUCAUUUCCAAAACAUCCAAGUUUAUUAAGUAUUAUCAGUCACUUUUCACUAAUGUGGCCAAAUCUUUUAUGUCAAUUAAAGACUUGUUAGAAUGGAAAUUUGCAGGUGCAAAGCUAUUUACAGCCAAUGUUUUAGCUUGCAGAGUGUUAAUUCCAUUCACUUUGGAAGUAGAUAUAACUUCCUUAACAUUCAUGUUUAUUUGGUAAGAUCUUUAUGAAUUCUUAUAUCGUAUUCAUCAUCUAAUUCACCUAAGGAAAUCAGAUUGCUCUACAGGUCAGACACCUACCUAGUUUAUCCACUCAAGAAUAUGAUCAUUUUUCUGUAAGAGAUUAAGUUUUUCAAUUCUUUUUAUUUGACAACUCAUUUCCUAUCUGAACUUGUCCACCAUUUAAGUCAACAAAUUUAUUAAACUAUUCUUUUAUGAGACACAUGUGAAAGGUACAAUCAAGGUCAAGAACCCAUUCAAUUGUGUUUCUUUUUGGUUGCAGUAACAAGGACCACUUCUUCUAUUUUAGAGUCAUUAUUACAUGCAAUAGCCGCUGAACAAUCAGAGUUGGAUUUCUCUUUCAGUUCAGAAGCUUUCUUGAAACAAGUUCUUAUGAAAUGACCGAUUUUUUCACAAUAGUAGCUUUUCUUGAUCUUAUUCUUAAUUUUUCCUUCGUUCUUGUUAUUGUCUUUGAACUUAUCAUUUUGAAUUUUUCCUUUCUUAUAAAAGUUGUAAUUGCUAAAAUUGUUACUCUUAUUUUUGUUCAAUCUUUCUUUUACAUUCAAUCCCUCACCAUUCCUAGCAUCUUUGAAAUCAGAUUUUAAUUCAAGUUCUUUAUUUCUUAGAGUUGAGGUUAUAAUGUUAAAAGUCAAUUUUUUCAAUACUCUAAAGCGUUUUUAAUUUCCCUAUACAUGUCACCUAAGAAAUUCAACAGUGCUACAACUUGCUGAUCAUCGAACAAUUUCUCAUCACAGAUUGCUAAAUCCUAAAUCAAUUUUGUAAACUUUUCAAUAUUUUCUUUUAGGCUAGAGGAAGAAUCAAGCCUAAAGUUAUAUAGUUAUUUCAAAAGAUAGUAUUUAUUAGACACUGUCUUAGUUGGAUAAAGUAUUUAAACUUUUUUAUAGUUACUCAGCUAACGUAGUUUUCCCAACUUUCCUUAUCACAUUACUAGAAGGAUGAAUGGAAACUGAGCUCCAUGCUAUCCCAUCUAAUUCUAAUCCCCUAUAUGCACUAAUCAGUUUCCCAAACCCUAUCAAGAGCUCUAGUAUAUCUCUUAUUAUAACAAGGCUCUCAUUUUCUGGUGUCAGAGACUAAAAUCUCCACUAAAAUCAUGUUAACAAUUAAAGUCUCAAAAUCACACACACGCACACAAUAUCACAAUUAGGCAAUAUGAAAUAUUCACUGUAUAUGUAAAAUUUCAACUAAGGAAUUACAGUACAGUACUAUUUAUUUAUCAUAAAAUGUACAAAAACUAUAAACUAGAUUAUACAAUAUGACUUCGUAGAAAAUAGAAUUAUAUAAUCACAACUAAGGAUGAUAAAAAAUGUAGUUUAUCAAAUUGAAUUCUUAAUAUAAUCCGCUGCUCCCUCAAAUCCCCAAAUUCUCAUAGGAGAUCUUGGACAAAGGUAAAUAGUGACAAGUCUAUUAUCUUAAUAGCCACAAUAAAAUGAGACAGUGUGCAAUUUGUAAAAUAGAAUUUAAUUAAGGUUUGUAGAAAACUACCACAAUCGAAAACAUUAAUUUUCCGAACAAAGCUGAUGAGUAAAGAAUACCAAAAUUGAACCAGGGUCUCCAAAUAGAGUGAAAGAACUCAACGAUUCAAGAUGAAUCAGUAGAACUCAGGAAUGAGUUAAGAAAUCAGUAGGAACCGGAGCGAGUUAACUCAACUCAAUAGAAACUAGAACGAGUUACACAAAACCCACCAUAACUCAGUAGUGAGUUACCAAGAAUCUCCAAAAAUUAGUGUAAGUUACCAUGAAUCACCAGAAAUCAGUGUAAAGUGUACAAGAAUUUUUUAGGUCAAAAAUGUGUUGCAAGAUUUUUUUAAAAGAAGUUUUAAGAAACCUCAAGAAACUUACAGAGCUCAAGAUCUUUACGGAUCUAAAUCAUAAAACAUAGUCUUUUAGAGAUCCAACCAGAAGUUCAGUCAAAGGUAGAUCAACCAGAUUUCUUUUAGAAGACAUUUUUUUUUUUAACAAUACUUUGAGAUUAAAUGAUUUUUCAGAAAAUGCAAACACUUUGAAGAAUACUUAGCAUCUGUUUGAGUUUGAGCCCCAUUUUUCACAAAAAGAAAUUUGUAAUAGUAAAUUUUUGAAGAACGUGAUUAAAAAAUGGGAAAUUUUUUUUGAUUUACAUACAAAUUAUUUCAUUGAAAAAAUAUGUGGUUGAAAAAUGAGCUUGGGAAAAAAAAAUAAUAUUUUGAAUAAUGGAGCUCAAACAGGGGAUAUGGUUUUUGAAAAAUCACUGAAUCUCUUUCUUGAAAAAUUAGAUUUGAUAUUACUUGCUAGUCCCAAAACGUAUUUGAACAAAAUCAAACAACAAAAUAUUUAUAGAAAUGAAAAAUCAUGGAAACUAAAAGUAAGAAUACAAAGACUUUUACCCACUACCAAGUCCGAAUAUUCAUGAGCUCCAAACAUUACUUACCCAUUGCGUAUCUACAAGUAGAUAUUGGUCAAAAUCACUAAAAUCAGUCAAGAAUUAGUUUGUUCAAAUGUAUGAAAAAAUCAAAGAUUUCUUCAAGUAUUUCUCUCGCCCCACAAAGAUAAGUUUAUCACAGCAAACCUUUACUUCAAACUCAGAUUAUACACCUAGCCACUAUUUGGCAUGGAUUAAAUUUUUGAUCUAAGUAGAAAUAAAUAAUUAAUUUUAAUUACACAUUUCAUAUGAUCCAUGACUUUUUAGUUAUACAUGUCAUCAAUUUUUAUCUAAACCUACUAAAAAUCCAAUUUUAAUUCCCAUCAAAUGGGGGUUUAAUACAUCAACAGAAUCCAUUCUAAAUUACAAGAUAUUGAAGAAUAGAAUGAGAGAAAAAAGAGAGACAAAAACCCUUGCGAGCAGCUCACAUAAUGUGAAAAUGGCCAAGUGUGCCAUUUAUACACCGCCACAUAACCAACAUCUAAUAUUCACCACGUGUAAGGCUAGAUUGUACCAAAAAACAAGCCAAAAGUCACAUUAUAAAAAAUGCACCUUUAUAAAAUAACGGUUAAAGGUUCGAGUCCGAGUCAAAGUAAAAAAUGUGAGGCAAAUUCAAACAAGGACACAUGACAUGGACAUACCAUGCGAAUUAAAGUGAUGAAUUUAUAUUUCCCACCUCUAUGUUUAUAUCUUUUAGCUUUCAUUUUGAAUUUUGCAUGUAAAAAUCUUCACCUAAAACAUAUUUCACAUAAAGUUUUAGAAUUUUCACAUAUUAUUAUUGCUUGUUACACACAUUAUAAUAGUUAAUCUUCGCUAAAUUUAUACUUCCAACUAUACAAAGUGGGGCUUGUUGUGUCCUUCACAUGUCGAGGACAUGUUUGUUGCACAUCAGACAUUGAAACGAUACAAAAAAAUAAGGCAAGGUAAAUCUCAUUGCGCUUACAUGCCCAAGAGAAGUAGAUGAAGUAUCAAGUGCAAUAUGUUAAAAAAAAAAUUAAAAAUAUAUAAAAGAGGACAAUGAGUAGCACAUUCUAAGGAGUUUCAAUGUCCGAUUUGUGUCGAACAGUGAUACUCUAUCCUAAGAAUGUCCAUGCUUUACAGGUCAAAUAAAAUGUGUACCCAUGGUCUAUUAACUGGUGUUGACAUUACAUCCCUCUUCUUUGAUGGUGAGUUAAUCGGCGUGCAAUGAAAAUAUAUCACUGGUGUUAGUAUCUCCACCAUUAUCAGAUUCAUAAAGCAUUAGUAAAUUAGAAAAAUGGGCUAAAACUUUUUUAGUACUCCCUCCAUCCCAUAAAAAUAGCCAUAUUUUUCUUUUUCGCCUGUACCAAAAUACAGCAUUAUUUCUUAUUUGAGAGUAUAGUUAGUAUAUUAGUUUCCUAAUAUAUAUGUGCUUUGUUAUCACAAAUAUAAUUUAAUUACCAUCAAUAUUUAUUGCAUUAAUGUAUAAAUAUAUUAGGAAAAAUGAUAGUAAAAUUUAUUGUUUCAACUAUAUUAACUAAAUUUUCUUAAUUUGUGUGAAAAAAGAAAUAGAACUAUCUUUAUGGGACGAAGGGAAUAUGAUACUCUGUAGUUUUUGAAUUUAGUUGCUACUCAAAAUAACUCUUUAAUCUUUAUAAAAUUAGAGCUGAAAUGUUGCGAGCAUUGAUUUAAGAAAAAAAGAGACCCCUUCAUUUUUUUCGUGUGUGCACGCACAUGCAGUGGCAGAUUUAGGAAUUUGAGUGAGUUAGGAUGAACCCAGAUUUGUUUACAUCCAUGGCAAAGAGAUUCAACAUUGCUAACAACAUAGUAAACAUACUAUAAGGGUUAAAAGCAGUUGACCAGUUCAUAUUGCUUUUCCAAGAUGACACAAUCCAAAAUCAAAUACACACAUUUUAAUUAAUCACUUAGUAAUUCAGAGAAUGACCACCAUCACUUGAGAAAUCAAAUACACCCACAUUUGUUUUAGACAUUCUAACGUGAGACUAUGAAGCUUCUACCUUAGAAUGGAAACAUUUAAACAUUAUUCUUAAUCCUUAUAUAUCUUUCAUAAACUGGUAAUUGAGAUAGGGACAUGUUAGCCUUACCCUCACAAUUAUAUGAAGAAAAGGGAAGAUUAUUAAAGUUAUAAAUACAGAUGUAAUACUUCCAUUAAACAUAUAAGGAUUCCUCUAAUGUCCGUCGCGAAGUCUACUUGUAACCAAAUUUUCGUAAUUUUUCAUUUUUUAAACAAAAAAAGCUUGCUGCAAAUUGUCCUCAACUUCGCUUCCUAUUUAGUUCCAUUGUUAAAAAAGAAUAAUAUUUUUCCAAUAAAAAAAAUAAUUUUUUUAAUAGUCAAAUAGACGAUGUUAAAACAAGAACAAAAUAUUGUAAUUUGAUGUAUAGGUUGCAAUUUUCCCUAGAAAAAAAGGUUCGAAUAUCUUUCAUUUCAAAGACACGUCGCUCCAGAAAGUAUUUUGCCAACUUUUUCUUUUCAAAAAGGCUCCUGCCUCCAGUUUUCGGAUUGGUUAAGAAAAAAUAAAGCCCAUUUUAUCAAUUCACAUAAUCAUAUUCUAUAUGCAAGUGGGGUCCACUUUACAGUAGGCUAUUAAAGCAAUAAAUUAAUAAAAAGGCAAUGCGUCUAUAUCUGCAUGUAGACUCUAAAUAAAGCUGUAAAUCACAUCAUUCACACAUAUUUAUUGAUCAAUUAUUCAAUAUAUCCUAUUCUCAAUGUUGAUUCUCGACUCGAAUAUCAGAACAAAAUCUUCUUGAUUUCAUUGAACAAAUACGUACCAACUCAUUUACCCGACUAUUAGAAAAACACCCUUUUGAGCACUUUAAAAUGUGCAUCAAAAAGUGCAUCGAAAAAAAUUCAGAAUAUCGACUAUUGAAUCAUAUGGUUCGUACCAUCUAUCAUAUGUAUAACCAUGUUUAGAAAUUUUCGUGAUCAUCAUAGAUAAAUUAUUUGGUUUAAUCCAGUACAUAUCACUCUGUAACCACUGACAGCAAAUUUAACGAUUACCGGGUUGCAUUUUACUUUAUUUCCUAACAUUUGCAUGAAAAUUUUCCAAACUAGAAAAAGAACCUUUUUAUGAGCAGAUGUAAAAGUUUCUUUAUAUGAAACUUUAACCCUUUUAAUAGAGAGAGCUGCAUGUAUAAAAUAUAGAGAUGUACGUUUAAUGAAACUCCAUUUCCCUUUCUGAAAAUCAGCCAAAUGGGAAGAGCAACAAGGUGGUUGAAGAGCCUUUUUUGGAUGAAGAAAGACAGGGAUAAGAAACAAAACUCAAAAUAUUCCGGCCAUUCGACAAUAGGGUUGUGCAAUAAAUCAACCACCAUACCGCCCAAUAUUACACAUUCUGAGGUUGAAUGGCUGAGAUCUUUACACAGAGUGACUGAAAAAGAGCAAAACAAGCAUGAAAUUGAAGUGGCUGCCGCCACAGCCGCGGUCGCAGACACAGCCAUGGCCGUCGCCCAGGCGGCAGUUGCUGUCGUGAGGUUUACUGCCAGUCAGGGUAAAAGCAGCCGUGAAAUACGAGCUGCUAUCAAGAUUCAAACUGUGUUUCGAGGAUACCUAGUAAGUAGUUAAUUUGAUAUCAGUGUGUAGAUGACAUGAUUUAAAUAAAUACAUCAUUCUGUCUGUUUUAGCGAAAUGAAUUUGCUUGUAGAUACGAAAAACAGGCAAGAAAAGCGCUAAGGGCAUUGCGAGGAUUGGUGAGACUACAAGCACUAGUGAGAGGCUAUUUUGUGCGUAAGCGGGCCGCGGCCACCUUUCAUUGCAUGCGGGCUCUUAUAAGAGCACAAACAAAUGUCUUGGCCCGAAAGACUCAUCAAUUCAACACUCAACUCAAUGCUCGAAAAUCCGUGGUCAGUCCAUGAAUUUCAAAUUCAUCACAACUAAAACUUAUAAUCUUGAUUGAGAAAUUUGAGAACAAUUAUAUAAAGUGUAAUCUUUCCUCUAGCAGGAUAAGUUUGUUAGUACAGGAAAUGAGCACAAAAUGUCAAUCCACAGCAGAAGGUUUUCUGCCUCAUAUGAAAGCCCGAAAAUUGUGGGGGUUGAUACAGGGCGGACUAGAUCAAGAUCCAGAAGAACUAACACAUGGAUGCCGGGUUCCAACGACGACUUAUUGGGCCAAUCAAUGUCAUCUCCACUUCCGGACAGAUUCCCAAUAAGCCGAUUGAUGCCGGACUCGAGGAAUAUCCGGGGCGUAACUGGAAUCGAAUGCCAAGGUUUUUUCACAACACAAGUCCGGGCUACUCCAAGGUUUGCCAAUUCUGGUGGGUGUGAUGGAUCAAUUACCCCUGCAAGAAGUUUUUGUGUAGAGAGCUAUUUCAGGAACACUGUAAACUACCAAAAUUAUGUGGCUAAUACACACUCAUUCGAAGCUAAGUUGAGAUCCCAAAGUGCCCCAAAGCAAAGGCCCGACCCCAGCCCUAAAAGGGGACUGUCCCACAAAGAAAUUAAGGAAUCAAGAAACAGUCUUGAUGGUGUCAGAAUGCGGAGGUCCAAAGAAGCCCCAAAAAUGCCAUCAAUUUCUACAAAGUUUUGAUGGGAAAUUUUGGUAUAAUUUCAUUUAGAUUAUAUUACAUGAAAAAGAAAAAGAAAAAAAUUCUUAAACCGGGCAUUUCGCUUAAUUCUGUAAUAAUUAUUUUAGCUGAUACGAUCUACUGAUCUUGUAUUUGUUUGAACUUUAUUCAUUUAUUUUUGUAUGAAGUGUGGCAUGUCUAAGCCUAAAAAAAAUAAUAUUCAAAAUCCAACCCAGUUUGUGUAAGUUCUACGAUUUAUUUUUAUUUUUUUGACAGCAGACUAUGGAAUGAAAUAUUGAGCUGAGCUCACUCUGCAUUUAAAGGUCGUCAACAAUUCUUUUUAUUCACAUGUUUAGCUCUAGCAAGUACGGCUAUUCAAAAUAUAAACGAUUCAAAUCUUUUAACACUAUAGUGGAACCAAACUAUCAUGAGCUCCUUUUUUGAGUUGACAGCUAGAAAAUGAUUAGUAAAGAAGUAUUCUUACGAUGAUAAACUCAUAGAAGAGUGAUAUGUUUAAUAUAUCUUUAUUGACCAAUUUGAUAUGCAUAUACACAACUAAAACUAAACUACUUCCCUUCGAAUGAUGAAUCCCUUAAUUCUUAAUUUAAGAAUUAAAGUGGGGUGUGCAGUGGGGUUAUUGCGGCGCGAGCUUAGCAUGUUCUAGCUUCUCUAUUGUCUUGUUGAUCAACCAAGCUAGCUUCAUUCAGUCGGGACCUAAAAGAUCGAAUGGAACAAUACAUAGACAAGUAAAUCCCUUAUGAAUUCCUGGAAAUUAGGAGGCGUUGAAAACAAAGAAAUUGUUGGAGUUCUCAUUUCUAUCUAGUCCCAACACGCUUGAUGUUAAGAAAAGAUCUCUUGCAGGAAGGUUCGGGUAUCUAGUAAAUGGAACCGUCGGGUCCAAAUAUAAUUGUGGAACCGUUCGGGUUCGGUUCUGUACUAUAAUUAAAUUUUUUAACAUUUAUAACAACAUUAUAUAAAUACAACUAAUGAUACAUUCAAUGAUUUUGGAAUGACAGAGAUUAGUAAACUACCUUGUUCAAAUGAUCGUUAUGAUCAAAGUUUCGGUUGGCGAAUGUCACAGCUUCGAUCGGAGGUCACAGUGUCGACCAAUAAUUGUAUAGGUUUUGGAAUAUUAGCGAGGCUGCGAGAGUCGAGACAACGUUAUGCACUUUGAUGUUGGUGUUUAGGGUUAUUUAGUGGAUUUGAUCUUGCUUGGCUAAGAAAUGAAACAAUAAAAUGGGUAAUUGGGCAAAAAAUUAAAAAAAUUAGAAAUGAAACAAAUUAUUGGGCCAAAAAUUUGGAUUUAGAAAUCGUUAAUUUGUUAAUUUGUUUAGAAAAAAUUAAAAUAAUUUGAUUUACUCAAUAUAAAAAAAAUAAAAUUAGAAAGAUUCGGUUCUUAUUCGGUUCUUCGGUUCUAGGUCUAGAACCGAGAACCGAACCGUACCCGUCGGUUCUCAAUUCAGAUACCCGUUUGGGUAUUUAAUUUGACAAGAACCGUCGGGUUCGGUUAGGUUCGGUUCGGUCGGUUCGGUUCGGGAGAUUUGCCCAGUCCUAAUUGUGGUAAAGAAAUGUUAAUAUAAAGGAAAGAAUAUAAUAUCUUAAUCAAUUAAGCCAAUCAAUAUAUAAUCAAAUACUUCUUAUGCUAGUUUAGAAAAAGGAACAUCAAAUACUUCUUUAGGUUUUUAUUGGGACUUUAGUUUGAUCAUGUAAAUUAACCUUGACUGCACAAUUCAAGCUCGCUCACUAGUCACCAUAAAGAUCAAGAAAUAAUAAGAAAAGAAUAUCAUUAGAAAGAAGGAUUUUGAGUGGAUCGAUAACCACAAUAAAUAAGGUGUAAAUUUAAGACUCGAAGGGUCGGCCCAUGCUCUGCAAAAAAAUCUAUCCAUAUGGAACAAAAAAAAAAAAAAAAAACUUCGGGAGAAAGAGCCGAGGACCUAGAUUAGUUCAUGUUUUUCUCAUGAUGACUUCCUCCUUCUGUAUUUUGAACAAGUAUUUUUCAUUUUUCACGAUCAUGUAUGGCUGAUGUCUCGAUCAUGACAAACUCAAAUAGCUCAACAUUAAGAUGAUUCAAUAACUUAACGUUUGGGAUACAUAUUAAACAGGUCAAUGCCUAAGAUGUAUUAAUAUCUCGACGCCUAAAAAUGACUUAAUAGCUCAAUGCCUAGAUUAAAUAUCUCGAUGCCUAGGGUGAAUUGACAACUCGACGCCUAGAUUAAAUAUCUGGACGCCUAGGGUGAUUUGACAACUUGACGCCUAGAUUAAUUAAAUAUCUCGACGCCUAGAUGAAGUUUUAGCCUUGACGUAUGUAUUAGUUAUCUCGAGGACUCAAUUUGAAAAAUCAUUUAUGAACAUUGUGUUGAUCCCAAGCAUCUAUGCAAGUGAUAUAUCUCGAGGACUCAAUUUGAAAAAUCAUUUAUGAACAUUAAGUGUUGAUCCCGAGCAUGUAUGCAAGUUAUCUCGAGGACUCAAUUUGAAAAAUCAUUUAUGAACAUUGUGUUGAUCCCGAGCAUGUAUGCAAGUGAUAUAAUUGUAUCGACCUAUAGCGUGAUUCCUGAGGACAAUAAUGGCCUUUUUAUAAGAUCUCUCACACCAUUGAUUGGGCACUAGUGACCGGGAAUGUUAUUUGACGUGCUUACGCGGGGCAAGGCUUUCUGUUUGCUUGCGAAGGGCAAGGCUUUUUUAUUGUUUGCGCGGGGCAAGGCUUUUUGUUUACUUACGAGGGGCAAGGCUUUUUGAUUGCUUGCGUGGGGCAAGACUUUUUGAUUGCUUGCACUAGGCAAGGCUUUUUGUUUACUUGCGCGGGGUAAGGCUUUUUUGAUUGCUUGCGCGGGGCAAGACUUUUUGUAGCUAGAUCAUAUUUUAACGAAUAGCUUAAUUCUUAUUAUACUUUUUAAAAAUAGACUUGCCACGCAGGCCUGACUACCGAAAACGUGAUCCUUGGCACGCAGGCCUAACUAUCGAAAAAUGAAACUUGGCACGCAGGCCUGAGAAUUGAAAACGUGAACCUUGACGCGCAGGCCUGAGAACAUUGUGUUGAUCCUUGGCACGCAAGCCUGACUGCCAAAAAAUGAAACUUGGCACGCAGGCCUGAGAAUUGAAAACGUGAACUUUGACGCGCAGGCCUGACUACCGAUAACUGGAAGACCAAGUUACUUGUAAUAUAUCUUUAAAUUCUCGGCGUUCCAUGGUCUUGGAAGCGGCCUUCCUGACGUAUCCCUUAAACUGUAUGCGCCUCCUUGGAGUUGUCGUAUGAUUUCGAAGGGCCCUUCCCAAACUGGUCCUAGCUUACCCGGGGCAUGACCUGCUGUUUCGACCUUUCUUAACACAAGGUCUCCUGCUCUGAAUCUCCGCGUCCUCACUUUCUUAUUGAAGUACUUUGCUAUUUUAUCUUGGUAGGAGGCCAUUUUUAAAGUUGCCGGAUCACAAACUUCUUCCAAGAGGUCGAGGUGUUCAGUGGUGCGCCCUGCUUCUUCGGGCUCGAGCCUCCUUUGGCUGGGCAACCUUACUUCAAUAGGAACGAUGGCCUCAAUACCAAAAGCCAACAUGAAGGGGGUUUCCCCUGUAGCAGUUCUGUGUGACAUUCUAUACGUCCAAAGUAUAGAAGGCAACUCAUCAGACCAGGAAUCUCUUGCAUCGCCGAUCCUUGUACAGAGGUCUUGCAAUAUAAUCCGAUUGGUCACUUCGACAAGACCAUUACUUUGAGGAUGGAAAAUCGACAUCAAACGGUGAUCAACCCCUAGGUCGGUACAAAAGUUUUUAAAUUGUGCCUUGUCAAACUACCUGCCAUUAUCAGUUAUGAGGACUUUCGGUAUCCCGAACUUGCAUAUGAUGGAUCUCCAAAUGAAACUUCUUAACUUCGGCUCUGAAAUUGUUGCUAAAGGCUCGACCUCUACCCACUUAGUGAAAUACUCUACAGCCACAGCCACAGCCACAAACUUCAAUUUUCCCCUACUUAUUGGAAAGGGACCAAGGAUGUCAAUUCCCCACUGCUUAAAUGGGGCUGUGCAACUAAUGCUAUUGAGGUCUUCUGCGGGAGGGUGGAUGACAUUGCCAAAUCUUUGGCACUUGUUGCACUUCUUGACAUAUUCCUUGGCGUCUUUCUUCAUGGUUGGCCAAUAAUAUCCAUACCUUAUGAGCUUGAAGGCUAAUGCCCAAGCUCCUUGAUGGUUCCCACAUACACCUUCAUGAACUUCUUCUAGGGCCUGGGAUGAUUCGAAAGGCCUAAGGCAUCUGAGUUAUGGAAGUGUGAGGCUUCCGCGAAAUAAAACACCUUCAAUCAUGCAAUACCUCGGAGCUUUGGACUGGAUGCUUCUCGCUGCCCGAGGAUCUUCUGGAAGGCGGCCAUGUUUUAUGAAGUCCACUAUUGGGUCCAUCCAUGAUGGCUCAUUAUCAAUAUCCAUAACGCCUAUGGUCUGAUUGAUGCUUGGCUCGGUUACAAUUCUGACGUGGACUGUCCUGUCAAGCCCAUCUAUUUCCAUAAACACCAAUCUUGACAAGGCAUCGGCCCUACAAUUCUCAGCCCGAGAAUUUUUUACAAUUUCAUAACUCUUGAACUUUCUGUAGAGAGCAUGCACUUUCAAGCAGUAUAAGCUCAUCUUCUCAUCCUUUCUAUUGAACGUCCCUUUGAUUUGUUCAACCACCAACUGGGAAUCACUAUAAAUUUUGAUAAUUUCAAGCUCGAGAUUUAUGGCGAGUUCCAUGGCUAUGAUGACGGCCUCAUACUCUGCUUCAUUAUUGGUCGCCUCAAAUUCGAACCUUAGUGCACACUGAAUGUUUAUGAGCAUGUUCGGGCUUAUGAUUAUGACUCCUGCGCCCAAGCCCGAGGAGUUUGAUGCUCCAUCUACGAAAAUUUCCCACAUAGAUAUGCUCGAGCUCGAGCUACUAUCUGGCCCCCAAGGCCUUGGGGUGAGUUCUGCAAUGAAGUCAGCUAUGGCCUGAGCUUUGAUAGAUGGUCGGGGCUUGAACUCUAUGUCAAAUUCUUUGAGUUCAAUUUCCCACCUCAGUAAUCUUCCUGAGACGUCUGGUUUCUGAAGAAUAUUUUUUAGAGGCUGAUUGGUGAGCACAACAAUAGGAUGUGAUUGAAAAUAUUGCCGAAGCUUUCAUGCUAUUACUAUCAGUGCAAGGGCAAGUCGUUAUGCUAAAGUAUAUCUUGUUUCUGCAUCAAGUAGGACUUUGCUUACGUAAUAAAUGGGUUGCUGGCCCCUGUUAACCUCUUUCACCAAGACACCACUCACUGCAUUCUGAGAUACGGCUAAGUACAAAUACAGAGUUUCUCCGGGCUCGGGUUUGGUGAGGAUAGGGGGAGAUUCCAAUAUCUGUUUGGGCUCCUGAAAAGUUUUCUCACACUCCUCAUUCCAUUCAAAGCAAUGAUUACCCCUGAGGGCUUUGAAGAAGGAGAAGCACAUGUCCGCUGCUCGGGACAUGAACCUAUUUAAGGCGGCUACCCUGCCUGUCAACUUUUGAACCUCUUUCUUGGUCCUUGGUGAUUCUAUUGCUGCCAAAGCCUAAAUUUUGUUGGGGUUAGCCUCAAUGCCUCGAUGAGUGAUCAUGAAACCUAGAAACUUUCCUGAAGCUACGCCAAAUACACACUUCUCUGGGUUGAGCUUCAUCUUAUAUUUUCGUAGGGUGGCGAACACCUCCUCAAGGUCGAAUAUAUGUUCCUUCACCUUCUUACUUUUUACAACCAUGUCAUCAACAUAGGCCUCGAUGUUCUUCCCUAUCAAAUCGACGAAGACUUUGUUGAUGAGCCUCUGAUAUGUUGCCCCAGCAUUUUUCAAUCUAAAUGGCAUUACCCUAUAGCAAUAUAUGGCUGAAUCAGCCAUGAAUGAGGUUUUCUCUUGGUCUUCUUUGGCCAUGAGGAUUUGAUGAUAUCCUGAGAAUGCGUCUAAGAAGCUGUACAGCUUAUGUCCGGAUGUGCUAUCCACAAGAUUAUCGAUCCUAGGUAGCGGGUAGCUUUCCUUCGAGCAUGCCUUAUUCAGAUCUGUGAAGUCAAUGCAGACCCUCCACUUACCGCUGGGCUUUUUCACCAGAACAACAUUAGCGAGCCAAUCGGGGUAUUGGACUUCCUUUAUGAACCCCGCUCCCAACAAUUUGCCGACUUCUUCCUGAAUGACCACAAGUCUUUCCGGCGCAAACUGUCUCUUCCUUUGCUUAACAGGUUUGGCCCCUGGGCUGAUAUUAAGUUUAUGGACAGCUACUUCUGGGUCUAUCCCUGGCAUAUCCCCCACCUUCCAUGCAAAAACAUCAAUGUUGCGGGACAGACAACUGAUGACCUCCUCCCGGAGGUUGGCCUUCAUAUCCCGACCAAUAGUAAUGGCUUUUCCAUGGUCGACCUCGACCACUUCCAAUUCCUCAACGGGGGCCAAUCUAUCCCUUGGCUCGAGCUCGAGCUCGAGCUCUAUGAGUUGCAUGACAUCAGCACUCAUGCCUCGGAUGCUUGUAACAUAGCACUGUCUAGCCACCGUUUGGUCUCCUCGAACUACUCCGAUGCCAUGACCUGUGGGGAACUUCAUGGCGAGGUGGAAAGUUGACAUAAUAGCCUGGAUCUUAUUCAGUAGGGGUCUUCCCAGAAUGAUGUUGUAGACCAUUAGGGUGUUAACCACUUGGAAUGGUGUGAUCUCCGUUACUUGUGUACUACAAGCUCCUAAUGUAAGCGGGAGCUCGACGAUGCCUUCAGGGAUAAUGAUUCCACACCAAAUCCUUGUAGGUGGGUUUUUACUACUUUGAGCUAUUUGGGAGAGAUUCCCAUUUUGGUGAAAGCCUCCUGCGACAAUAUGUUCGCAACACUCCCAUUAUCAACCAGAAUCCUCCUUACUUCGAAGUUAGCCACAGCCGCAGAAACGACCAAGGCAUCGUCAUGAGGUUAUGAUAUCCCUUCCAAAUCUCUUGUGCCAAAAGUGAUGUCUCUAACUUCAUCACGGAUUCUCUUGGGGUAUGAGCAUAUUGGCGGGCAUACUGCUUUCGCCCACUACUUGUGUCUCCGUCGAACUCUAUACCCCCGACGAUAAUAUUAAUGGUUCCAGCAGUGGGUUAGCACUGCUUCCAGCCCCAGGCUCUUUUCGAUUGUCACGGUCAUUCCUUGGCCGUUUAUCAUGACCAAUGUAAUUCUUUAAAAAUCUUCUUUUGAUAAGGCCUUCAAUUUCUUGCUGUAAAGCAUGACAAUCCUUUGUAGUAUGUCCAUGAUCCCGGUGAAAUUCGCAAUACUUGCUCCUAUCUCUUGUGUCAGGGGGUGACUUCAUCCUUGAAGGCCACUUUAAUUCUUUCAUAUCCUUAACCUCCAUCAAAAUGUUUGCCUUAGAGGUGUUCAACCGAGUAAGAGGUGCUGAUGGUGCCUCGUUCCUGCGCUUAUCCCGGGGAAACUCAUGUCGGGAAAUGGGAUCAUGUUUCCUUUUGUUCUCGGUCUUUUCAUGGAAAGGAUUAGGUCUCCUUGGAUUUAGUGUUUCGUCCAUAUUAAUGUAUUUUUCAGCUCGAGUGAGGAGCUCGAUCACUAUCUGCGGCGGGGUCUUUGAUAAAGACAUCUUGAAAGCUUCACAUCUUACUGCGUAAGUGAGGACGGAGACAGCUGCUGUGAUGUGGAGGUCGAGUAUUUGAAGCCUUUCCUUGUUGAACCUUGUCAUAAAUCCUCGCAGGGUUUCGGUUGGUCCCUGGCGAAGUUGCAUGAGAGAGGCCGCGAUCUUCCUGAUUCGCUUGCUACUUGCAAAGAAGGCUGAGAACUUAUCAGCCAAAUCUGAGAAUGAGGCUAUGGAGUUGGGCUCCAAUGUCAAGAACCAAUCCCUAGCAGCAUUAGUCAGCGUUUGUGGAAAGGCUUUGCACAUAACCUGAUCCGGUGCAACUUGUAAGUUCAUGACAUCAGUGUAUACAUUGAGAUGGUUGAUGGGGUCGGUCGUCCCAUCAUACUCUUUAAUGCGAGGAUAUUUGAAUCUGUCAGGCAAGGGAUAUGUCAAUAUCUCUGGCGUGAAUGGAGUGUUAGGGAUGAAGCCUGUUGCCCCCGAGCAUUACGUUGCAGGCCAGCUGUAAUUCCUUCUUGAAUGAUUCGGGCAAUUUCACCGGAAUCCAUGGCGACCGAUCUCGAGCCCGAGGCCAUAUUAUGAAUACCCGAGGUUCUAACUCCGCCAUUUGCUAGGUUUGGUGGUCUUGCUUGAGCAUCGGCCAUAAAACCGCCAUGCUCCACAUGUGCUGGCGACGGAUGUGAAUUUCUUUGACUUAACAGUUGCGUGAGCAUGGCCACCUGCUGACGCAACUCUUCAAAGGCUUCGAUUGUAAUGACUACUGGCGGAGGUAUGGGCACUCCCGAGGAUUCUUCAUGAGGAGCCGGUUGAUCUUCGGCAGGAUGAGGGAUGGGAGCGGAUGAGCUUGCAGGAGGAAGACCUGAUCGCGUAUUAACCAUGGCUUUUGGUAGAGUUUCCCACAGACGGCGCCAAUGAGGCUACCAAAAAUCGUACCUGCAGAUUUCCAAAAAUAUAUGCACAGGUUAAAAAAAAAGGGGGGGUCCCUUGUCAAGGUAUUCUAGAAUUGAAAUCUCAAUCAGAUCAAUCAAGUACCACUAAAACCACAAGAACAAGCACACGUCGACCGAAUGAGGCCUCCUUGUCUGCUCCAAGUAAUUUCCCAAUGCAUUCGGCUCGAGCAAAUCAGAUAAACUCAUUUUUUAUCUGUUUCUUUGUGUCAUUCAAUGUAUAUGGCUUUACAGUUUCUCACAAGAAGUUAAAUUUCUGUUUUGAUUUCACAUUAUUCCCUUAUACAAAUAUUGGGUAUUCCUUUGAAUUUUAUUAUUUUCCUGACUGAAAUUUUUGAUAGCCAUGAAAUCUCAGUGGCGUCAAUUAUUGAUGUAUCCUCCUUUUUUUCGAUAGGAUAUGAAUUAAAGUCGUAUACAAGCAAAAUGUUAAAGCAAAUGCUGGCAUGUUGCAAGGUGUACAUAUCUGAAAGCCGAAAUAGGGCUGCAUUGGAGUCAAUUGAAAGGGCAGCCAAGCUUUUUCCAGAGGCUCCAAUUGUCAACAAAUUUGAAGACGAAACUUAUAAUAGAGUUGGGUACACCCUUGUGUCCAAAUUGGUUCCAUGUUGUACCCUCAAGAGUGUCGUUCUUGAAAUGGUGAAAGCUGCUUUUGAAUCCAUUGACCUUGAAAUGCACAUUGGGACUCAUCCUAGGCUUGGUGUUGUGGACCACAUUUGUUUCCAUCCCUUGGUUGGUGCUUCUUUGGAUGAUGUUGCAGGGACUGCAAAAUCUCUGGCUGCUGAUGUUGGCUCAAGGCUUCAAGGUUUGUUCUCUUGAAACUGAGAUUUUGAAGUUUUACUCAGUUGGACUAAUUUCAUUUAAUGUGUUAAGAUUAUAUUAUUGUUCGUUUUUCAUGAGGUGUCAAGAGGAAUCUAUAAUGAGUUCUACAGAAGUUGAACAUGAAGAUGUGAUGUGCAUGGAAAAUUAAUUCGGGAAUUUCGUUGGCUGUUAACUACUUGUAUUGAGCAUCCAUAAAAAACACGGCUUUAUGCAUACUAGGGUGACCUUAUUAUCGACCCUGUAGCACCUAAAUUGAAGGUUACUCCUCUUUCUUUUCAAACCAAUUUGUCCACAACUUUAUCCCUCCUGGUUUGAUGAGAUCAAUUUAUCAGGAUCAUGUACCUUUCAUGAUAAGUAUAUUAUGGCAUUGUUUCCAAUAAAGCUUCGGAAUAAGAGAUCUUUACUUGGUUCUUUGAUCAUUUGCUCAAGUGCUUGUAUGUAUGUGCUUGUAUUUGAGGCGGUGGGGAUUUGAGUUCUGGAACUUGUUUUGCAAUGAAGUGACUUGUAAUAUCAGAAUAGGCAUAUCCUUUUUCAAUUGUUAAACAUUCAUAUCCCUGAGGAUUAAGCGAAACACAAUAUUAUCCUCUCUCUCUAUCGGAUUUGUUAAUGAUUUUAAACAUAGCUUGUGCAUAGAAAUUAAUUUGGGAAUUUCAUUUGGCUGUGAUUAAAAUGAGUUCCAAGAAAUUGUCCAAAUGGUCUUCUUCCAUCAUUUUUGCUUUACUGCAGAAGAGGAAUCUGAAUCACUAAUUCAAUUGGUUUUUCAGAUAUGGUAAUUUGGAGAGUUCUUCGUAACCUAUGGCCCAAGCUUUUCUCAAGUUGGGCCACGGGCCGCCAGAACCGACGAGCCAAAUUUACAUCCCUAUACAAGGGUGUUUUUGGAUUUUCCCUAAAAUCUUGUACAGAUAUAUAUAUAUAUAUAUACAUAUACAUAAAUAUAUAAUAUAAUAUAAUAAAAUAAAAUAAAAAUAUAGCCACCUCGCUCUUGCGGACGUAUGUCCAUUGCCAAUUAUGAAUUAAAGUUCCUAUUUAUACUAGAAAUAUAAAACCUAAUUUUAAAAGGAAUGAAAUACUAGGAAAUAAUUUAAAAACGUACUAAAUCUCCUAAAUUAUGGAAAUUACCAAAGAGAAUAGAAUCCUAGAUAAAAUAGAAGAUCUCGCGAAUAUGGAAAAAUUCUAUCUGGGAAAACAGUGGUGCGACCGCAUGGGCAAAACUGGUAAGGUCGCAUGGUUCUGCCGGAUGCUGCUCCAUUAGGCUCGGACCCCUUUUGUGCGGCUACAUGGCUGGGAAGCUGUGCGAACAUGUUUUGCCUCCUUUUUUUUCAGUUGUUCAACCAACUCAUUCUAAAUCUUUUCGGCUCCUAAUCCCAACUUCAAUCUUGAACUUUGGCUCGUUGACUUCAUCAAUUUCUCAAAAUUUCUACCCACCCCCUCUCUUUUUGAAAGGAUUCGACCUCGAAUCUGAACCCUUAUUGCCCAGAAUAUAACCCUUGUCCCCAAUCAACUUAAGCACGUGACAUGGUCCGUCACCUCGAGGAUGAAACUUAGACCUCCUUUGAACCCGAAUCCAUCUCUUGCAUAUGUAAAUCCAAACUCCUAGACAUAGAUCAAAGUGUACUUGCCUUGGCUUCUUCUUGCAAGUAUAUGAUCAUCCAAGAAUAAUUUCAGCUGAUAGAUCACAAUGCAUGUUCCUUGAUUUAUUCGGCCUAGGCAAUUGUAGUAAUGACACUUCAAAUGGCUUCAUUUUUCCCUUCAGAUCAAUGUCUUCAUUCAACCCCUUGCAUAUGAGCUCUUGGCAAAUAAAUUCCUUCCAUUGCUUUUGAAAUUCCUUCGUCUCCUCAAGGAUAACAAAAUCAAUUUCUGGCAAAUAAGAUAUCUCCAAAGAAAGAUGUUGCUGAAUGUUAUCCACCAAUUGAUGCUUAAUACUCGUCUUGUGAAGGAUUCCAAUUGCAUUAAUUUUUGGAAUCGAAUCUUCGUUGACAUGCAAAAUAGAAUUAGCUAAAAUAGGGAGGGAAAUGUUAGUUUUCUCCAUCACCCCUCAACUUCACACUCCUGUUCAUUUAAGCUUACUUCCAAUACUUCUUUUAUCUCCGAAGACUCUUCCUCCUUCUCAUCUUGUAACUCCAAUUCCAUUCUAGUCUCUCGACUUUCUUUUCACUUUCUCAUGGCUCUUCUUCCUUUCUCUCACAACUAACCACCUCAAUAUUUUCUCUCCUUUGCACUUUCAUGUGAUUGAUUGGUGAUUUAACCUUGUCACAAAGCCCUGAUGAUUCUAAUUUGAAUUCCCAACUCGCCAACUCACUUGAUGUACUACGCACAUGCUUCGUCGAUCACGUCAAUCACUCCUAUAAGACCUCAUGGAAAUCUCCCUAAAUUCCCGCUCAUGUCGAUCACUCCUAUAAUAAUAAUUAGGUGCAUAACGUCUCCUCAUAAUUGUCCUCAACUCAUCCCACUUCUCAAUCGGCCUCUCACCAUACCUUCGUCUAGAUGUUUUCAACUUAUCCCACCAAAUUAAAGUAUAAUCCACGAAUGAGCCAACUCCUAACUUCAACUCUUUCUCCUUGGAAUAAUUAUAGCAUCCAAACAUUAAUUCUACAUUUUCCUUCCAUGCCAUGUAUGCCUCGGGAUCUUUCCUACCCUUAAAUUGUGGAAGUGAUAAUUUGCUAUUUCCCAUAUUCUUUCCAACUCCAUACCCAACAUAAUUUCUAUCACAUUCUCCAAGCCUAUCGCCUCUAUUUUUCAUUCCUCGAAAAUCAACAUCAAUGCCACCACCAUCAUCAUAUGCGUUACGAAUUUCAAUCCUACGCUCCCAACUAUCCCGCUUUCGCACAUUAGACAUUUCAUCACAUUGAUCCCCAUGAAUAUUUUUCAGUUUCAUGUCAACCUCGUCUAACUUAUUCCCCAUGUUCUCAAACAUCCUUUCAAACCUCUUCAUCAUCUUUUUCGACAUGUUGUAUGAAUUUGACAUUUUUUUGACUUCUUUUUUUUGACACUUUUUUUACUCAAAUUUUUUUAACAGUAUCGUACGUAGGGGUGGGCACGGGUCGGUUCGGUUCGGUUCUAAAGAGAACCAAACCGAACCAAAAUUUUCGGGUAUCUAAUAGAUGGAACCGUCGGGUCCGAAUAUAAUUAUGGAACCGUUCGGGUUUGGUUCAGUUCGGUUCGAUUCGGUUCGAUUUGGUUCCCUUCAGUUCUGUACUAUAAUUAAAUUUUUUAACAUUUAUAACAACAUUAUAUAAAUACAACUAAUGAUACAUUCAAUGGUUUUGGAAUGUUAGAGACUAGUAGACUAACUUGUUCAAAUGAUCGCUACGGUCAAAGCUUCGGUCGACGGAGGUCACAACGUCGACCGACGAUUGUAUAGGUUUUGGAAUGUUAGCGUGGCUAUGAGAGCCAAGACAACGUUUUGCACUUUAGUAUAGGUGUUUAAGGUUAUUUAGUGGAUUGGAUUGUGUUGAGCUAAGAAAUGAAACAAUAAACUGGGUAAUUGGGCCAAAAAUUAAAAAAUUAAAAACGAAACAAAUUAGUGGGCCAAAAUUUGGAUUUAGAAAUUGUUAAUUUGUUUAGAAAAAAUUAAAAUUAAAAUAAUUUAAUUUACUCAAUAUAAAAAAAAUAGAAAGAUUCGGUUCUUAUUCGGUUCUUUAGUUCUUGGUCUAGAAUCGAGAACCUAACUGUACCCAUCGGUUCUCAAUUCAGAUACCCGUUUGGGUAUUUAAUUUGACAAGAACCAUUGGGUUCUGUUAGGGAGAUUUGCCCAGCCCUAACUGUAUGGAUGAAUAGUAUCGUACGGUGAACAGUAAAAAAAAAUUUUCAACUUUUUUUUUGACUCACUGGAUAGAAAAUCCAAUUACAAAUCCGGCAAAACAAACAGAAGUUGGUUUAAAUACCAAAUCAGCCCAAAAACAACUUUUGAAAUUUUAACAGGAUUUAAACGGAUCAAAGACUCAACAAAAUUGACUGAUCGAAAGAACACGAAAAACAAUAAGGAAAAAAGUAACAACUGACUCAACAAAAAUUAAAAAAAGGGAUAUAACCUUGAUCUUGGUGCCUUAAGCUUUGAUACCAAAUAAUGUGAACCCAAUCAGUAAGGUUACAAUCGAACCCAAAGGAUAUUGAAUCGGAUCCCAAGAAUGCCCAAAUAUGACCAAGGUUUAGGAUAUAAUCCCUAAAUGUUGAACCAACAACCAAAGGUAUAUUAAACGAACGACCUCUUGAUCACAAAGUCUUGAAAUUACACCCGAAUUGUGGAUUUGAAACAAUAAAAGAUGAACCAAAAAACCCAACGAUAACGAUGACGCGAAAGACCCCUUGAUUACACAAUUCAAUGAUUCAACCUGAUGUUUUGAACGCCACAAGAUGAUUAGUCUUGAUAAGUUGCCCCAUUCAAUUUAAUGAACAAGAUAAAUUUGAAGCAAAGCUUCAAGAAGAAUUUUAUUAAUUCAACAUAUGAUAAGUCUUGUACAAUAAUGAAUUAAAGUUCCUAUUUAUACUAGAAAUAUAAAACCUAAUUUUAAAAGGAAUUAAAUACUAGGAAAUAAUUUAAAAAUGUACUAAAUCUCCUAAAAUAUGGAAAUUACCAAAGAGAAUAGAAUCCUAGAUAAAAUAGAAGAUCUUGCGAAUAUGGAAAAAUUCUAUCUCGAAAAACCGUGGUGCGAUCGCAUGGGCAAAACUGGUGCGAUCGCAUGGUUCUACCGGAUGCUGCUCCAUUAGGCUCGAACCCCUUCUAUGCAGCCGCAUGGCUAGGAAGGUUGCACAACUUCAUGUUUUGCCUCCGUUUUUUUCAGUUGUUCAACCAAGUUGUUCCAAAUCUUUUUGGCUCCUGAUCCCAACUUCAAUCUUGAACUUUGGCUCGUUGACUUCAUCAAUUUCUCAAAAUUUCUACCCCCCCUUGGAUCACAUCAGAUUAUCUACUAUACAAAUAUUUUGACAAGGGAAACUUCAGACUCUUUGCUACCUGUCAACCAUUUUGAAAACACCACAUAGCAUAUUAACGAAAAGCAAAUGAACAUGGUGCUUCUAACAACUGCCUACAAGAAAAUUACCUUUAAAGCCAUGUCCUAGGAGACUGCUGAUCUGUACCGAAUUGCUCCUUCCAAUGGGUAGCUACCUCAUUUGCUGAUGAAUUUAGCACUACAUAGACUAGAUAAUUGCAGGAGAACAUCAGACAUUAGUCCACUAUCCCAACCAUUGGCUCCUAGUCCAUCAAUUUGUGGCACUUCAUCACCGGAUGAAUAUUCUGCAACAGAAGAGAUACACAGAAAUAUUGCUAACAACCUUUAUAAUGGGAAAGUUCAUGGCCCUUUCAUGAGUAAUUCUUGUUCUUUACUUUCCUUCUUCUCUAUCGAUUUUUCAGAGCUCCUGAGUAGCAUAACUAGUAGAAAAUAUAAUCAAAUUACUUUCAUACUUUUUGAUGCAUAUUAGCUCCCGUUUGGCCCCCAUUUUGUGAAAAUGAAAAUGGGUGGAAUAGUGUUUAUUUUUUUUAUUUUUAAAAUGAGUGGUUGAAAAAGAAGAAAAAGUCUUUGAUUUACGUGUAACCUGUGAUGCUUGGACUAUUCAUUUCAGUCGGAGUACUAGUGUCGACACGACAUGACACGACACGACACGGGUACCGGUACGAAAUACGUGUCAGAUUCUUCCAAUUUCAAUUGGAGUCGGCAAGAAAUCCUAAGAAAAAUUGAAGAUUUACCUUAUUGGCUGGAGAUGGAAGAUGUGUGUAAAGAAAUAGCAGGUUAGCGCAGGCGAUCUUUCGUCCAAAAUAAAUCUCCGGGCUGUCUUCUGAUGGAACCCUAAAAUCGUGAAGGAGAAGAAGGAAGAGGGGGACUCGUCUGGGAGACAGGGAUGAAAGAAGAUACUUGGGUUUAAUUGGAGUUGGUCUAUUUUUAUUGGGGCUAAUAAUAUGGAGGUGGAUUGGAUUAAUAAUAUGGACGUGGAUGGAUUUAAGAGGAAAUGUCACCACACACUUCUUAUUUGAAAGUAAUUCUAUUUUUACAUUUCAGUUCAUUUUUCUCCAAAAAUACUGCAAAUUGGUCUAGUAUAUUUGGAAUUUGGGAAAUAUCUUUAUUUACGUAUAUAAAAUGUAUGGGCCUAAUUUAUGUGCAAGAAAUCCGCUCCAUUUUACGCUCCAGUACCCUACCCGCCCCAACUAACGUACCCUUCCAGAUCUUGUGUCAUCUUCCUAGUACAUAAUGCAAGAAAAUCCAAAAAAAUCAAAACCUUUGUUUUCUUCCCCAAAUCGCAACCACAAAAUCGUUAAAUCAGCUCUAGAAAUUUUUUUUUCGUAUCUCAAGAUCUGCUUCCACCAUAUAAUCCGUCCAAAAUCGCUAUUUGCCCACUGCAUUAUUAUCAGCCCCACGAAAAAAAAUUUGCUAUAUAAACCACAAUACCGAACCUGUAAUUUCACCAUUCCAACUUCAUUAUCAAUUAGUUCUUCCAUUCAUAAACCCUUCUAUAUACUCUUGAUUCGGAAGAUGACAUCAUCGAUUUCCCGAUUGUCUUUGGGUACUCACAAGAAGAAGAAUAUUGCAGUUGAUUCUUCAUUUGCAGCUGCUACUUCUCGCCGGUUGUGUAUGGGAUCUGAAAAUAUUCAGGGCCAAGUUGCUUUCACCAAUUCUUUUGUCCAGUUAUAUUUUUAUGGGGGAUUCAUUUAAAAGGCUUGGUCAAACUAAACAUUUGUUCAAAAAGACCAAGAACUAAGACUUUUAGUUGAAAGGCCUAAAGUUAUUAAAUAUGGAAAAUAGAAUUUGUAAAAGACUAAAAUAUCCUUGUAUGUGAAAUGAUGAUAUUGCCCUUAUUUUCAUUUCAAUUUCCUUUCAACCCUAAUCUCCUUCCCUCCCUCCUCUAUGAACGACUCAACCACUGUAGAUGCCUCCAUGCUGAUUUUCUUAUCAUCAUCUUCUUCUCUACUUAAUAAAAUCACAAAAUCUACAUUCUCAUUCCCUUGAACAUUCAUUUGGUUGAAGUGAAUAAUAAAGUCUUGCUAUAUUUUUAUUGGGCAUUUGGAGAAGAAGAGAGGGUAUGGUAAAUUUUCGAUAUUUGAGCCACUUUCUUUCUCCAUUGUUUUGAAUCAUCCGUUCGUGUUGUUGUAUAUGUGUUUGCGGUGUUCAUUUUUCAAUAAUGAUUUUGAAUUUAUUUUAUGAUUUGAUUGGAUCUUUAAAUGGGUUACUUCCCAAUCUUAUUCUCAUUACCCCUUAUUUGUAUUCCUUAGCAUUAAUUGAAGUGAAAUUUAAAGUGGGGAAGGAUGAUUGGCUUUUUUCACAUUGUUUUCACGUGAAACGUGUAUUUGAUUUUUUCAGUAUGGAAUGACAUUCAUAUCGUUUUAUGAAAUUGUGAACGACAUAGAUAUCGUUUUCUGAAAUCCAUGACAACAUACAUAUCAUUAUCAAUACUAUAUGAUGUUUGAAAUUUGAUGAAAUUUAUAUGUUGAGUUACAGGUUAUGGACACCAUGGACAUGGUAUGGAUAUCGGUUUGUUAUCCAAUUGAUUAUGAGCAGACAGUUGAAGGUGGAUGGAAAUGGAAGUAUUCUGAAAAUGGCAAAGGGAAAACAAUACCUAUUCUUGUUGCAAAAACAAUUUCUUACAUAUGAUAAAGUUAAGGAGGCACUGAAUAUCGAUACGAGUCUAUACAAAAUGGAGAUUUCAGCUCUUGUCCUGAUAAUGUCUAAAGCUCCAGCUGCACCAAUCAUAAUUGAUUGUGACAACAACGUAAAGUGGUUUAUAUCUGCAUAUACAGAAACUUUUCUUUGUGUAAGUAUUUUAAAUGAAGUUGUUGAGAAUCAGGAAGAUUUUGGUGAUGAAGGAUGUUUAUUAGUAAUAGAUGGUGGAGAACAAAUUGGAAAUAUGAACAACGAGGAGGAACAAGAUCGGGCAGACAAUGAUGGUAAUGAUGACAAUGGUGGUGGAAUAUUUGUAGAUUGUAAUGGUUUUGACGUAAGUGAAGAUAGUCCCCGAAGGGUAGAUGACGAAGUUAAUUCUCCUGUGGCAGAUGACAAUAAUUUUGAGUUACACACGCAUAAACCUUGCAGUAGGGAUAUAGUGAAUGGUAAUGAUGUUGAAUGUACUCAAAUUGUAUCUGAAAGUGUAAGUUCGCUCUGUUAUGAGACAUCAGUAAAAAUUUCGGAACGAUCAGAUGUGCGAGUCAACCAGUUGUUUCCAUCGAAAUAUGACCUAAUAUCAAAAUUACAGCUGCUAGCUAUGAAGUGCCAGUUUGAGUACAAAGUUAAGAAGUCAAAUAAGAGCACUAAUACAAUUGUUUGUAUCGAUGAAAAUUGCAAGUGGCGCUUACGGGCAACCAAAAUCGUAGAAAGUCCCAUUUUCGAAGUUCAAAAGUACAAUGGUCAUCAUUCUUGCUCCAUGAGUGUUCGUCACAGAGAUCAUAGGCAUGCUUAAUAUAUGAUUAUUGGAAACCACAUCGCUCCUAAGUAUGAAGAUGUCAAUCGAGUUUACAGACUAAGGGACAUUAUUAAUGACAUUCGUCGAGAGUUCGGCAUAACUGUAAGCUAUACUAAAGCGUACAUGGCUAAAAAUUUUGCUUGUGGAUUGAUACAUGGGAAACCCCGUGAGAGUUAUGCAAAAUUGCUAGCAUAUUGUCAUGUUUUGGAGAUGCAAAAUCCUGGUACACUGACAUUCAUUCAUACUAAUGAUGAUCGGCGCUUCAAGUACCUUUUUAUGGCAUUGGGACCAAGUAUACAUGGGUUCGUAAACUCAAUGCGAAAGGUAAUUUCUGUAGAUGGUGCAUUCUUGACAUCGAGAAUGAAAGGUACUCUACUCGUAGCAACUUCUCAGGAUGCAAAUUUUCAAAUAUUUCCACUCGCAUGGGAAGUAGUUGAUUCGGAGAAUGAUGAAUAUUGGACUUGGUUCUUUUAGAAGUUGUGGUUAAUAACAGAUGAUACGGAUGACCUUGUGAUUAUAUCUGACCAUGCAACGUGCAUAAAAAAUGGAGUUAGAAAUGUGUUUCGAGUUGCUCAUCAUGGUAAUUGUACAUAUCACUUGCAAAAGAACAUGAAGACAAAUUUUCCACGGUGUGAUAUUGCAACUUUGUUUAGGGCAGCGUCAGAGGCUUAUACUGUAACCGAAUUUGAGUCCUACAUGGCAACUCUAUGCAGUAAAAAGGAGGGCAUCAAAGAGUACCUAUUAGAAGAAGAUUUUCAAUGUUGGGCUAGAGCGCAUUUUACCGGGAUACGUUACAAUAUCAUGACUACAAAUAAUGCUGAAUCUAUAAAUGGUUUGUUGAAGAGUGCUCGAGAACUUCCCAUAGUUGGUUCACUAGAAUAUAUUCGUGAGAUACUACAAAGGUGGUUUUAUGAAAGACAUGUUGAAGCAGAAAAAUGUGUGACCCAACUCACGCCAGCAUUAGAGAAAAAGAUGUGCAUGACGUAUAAUGAGUCAAAUGUGUUCGAGGUAAAUCAGGUUUCUCCGGACAUUUAUCAAGUUGGUGACAAUUUAGAACACCACUUUGUGGAUUUUUACGAAAUGACAUGUACGUGUAGAAGAUUUGAUAUGUACAUUGAAAUUGUAUUCAAACUCCAAAAUAGCUACUACUCCAAAGCCAAAACAACCAAGUGACUACAUAAUGUUAUAAAAAUAUAAAAAAAUACGAGCAAAGCACAAUCUACGGCUCAAAAUCCCAAGCCAACCACUCUACAGCCAGUUUCUUUCUCCAUACUGGUACGUAAUCCGGUCGAAUUGUAUUUACAUCCAUAUUUGCGUGCAGAAAUUCUAUGAAUUUGAUAGCAAAUAUUCCACAAUCGGAUCUACAAAAAAGUUGUAAAAUUUUUGUAUUAAUUUUCAACACUCAAGAUAAUAUGGUACUACUAAUUAUGAAAUUAGUCAUUCCUAUCCGUUCACUUGUUGGGGAACAUCUUUUACGUUCACAAAUUUGAAGUUCUCCGUACUAUAUUUGCUUUCACUGGUGACAUGAGAUUUUAUUAUCAACGUAAUAAGCACCUGUAGAGGCAAAAGAUAAGCUUCCAACGCUGCCCGGCGAAUGUGACCCUUCAGACUAUCAAACAUUAAAAUGGCCCAUUCCUCCAUGUCGACUUGAACUGCAAACCAAUGGUCGCGGGUCCAACAAGAAAGAUACAAAUAUUUACAGUCCCUCCAAGGUUUACCGAGCUCCGGAGUAGCCCCUCUCACAUAAUUCAUUAGACUCUUACUACAUUUGAGCUCUUUACUUGACUGUAAUUGGCCAUAUGCAUUGACAACAAAUUGAUAGAAAUAAGUAUCCAAUAUGCAAUAGUCUUGCCGAAACAGAUUGGGAAAUCUGGAAGCCCUUUCUCGUAUCUGAUAUAGGGCCUCGUUCAUAAUCUACAAAAAUAAACUAAUAAAUUCAAACUGAAUUCUUUUGUGACAUUAUCGUAAAAUCAUUAAAGUUGGAUUACUUACACUGUCAUUAAUCCAACCAUCCUCUUUUGAAAGAUCCAUCAAACUUUUUGCUUGAACAUCAUAGAACAUACAACAAAAUCAACACGAAUUUAUAUUUAGGUAAUACUAUCAUUACUUUUACAUGUACUUACAACUAUAUGUAAUAAUUUACAACGAAGGUGUAGUUUCCAUCCAUUUGCAAAAAGCCUCAACCUUGCUGGGAUCUACUUCUCGAUAAGGAUCGUAUACAUUGAUGUCUGACAACUUUCUCCUCUUCGUCAGGUCAGUGUACGGAGAACACAGUAAGCGCGCUUUUCUCUUCUGACGAUACCCUCGUCCUUUCGAUGGAUCGGAUCCCGCCUCAUCGAUUUCUACAACGUCCCCUAUAUGUUGCAAAUAACAACAAUUAGAAGUGGAAAAUUUGUUUCAUUUGGAUAUAAAGAUGUAAAACUUAACUUUGAAUUCAUUUUUACAUACCUUGCAUGGAUUCAUUUGUAUCUGCAUCAUGCUUUUCAGGCGUCACAAAAUCAGCAAUCCCUUUCUCCAUGUCGAGAUGCUCCUCCUCUAAUAUUAUUUCUUUUCCAACACUCUUCUUGAUCAUUUUUUCAUUUUCUUGCUCAUCUAUAUCAUUCCCAGAUCCAGCUUCCUUUUUCAAGUCCUUCCUUCCUACAUUUUUGCCUCUAACCUCCUCCUCUAACUUUGGGUCCUCCUCACGCGCUUCUACAUUUGUUUCAGCGGCAGGCACAUCUUUCACAUCAUCAAAUCCAGGCUCAGUUUCCAACUCCUUCCCUCCUACAUUUUUUCCUCUAACCUCCUCCUCCUCCUCUAACUUUGAAUCCUCUUGAGGCAGAUGUACCUUUCUUUCAGUAGCAUGCACAUCUGUCACAUCAUCAAACCCAACCUCCUUUUCCAACCCAUCCUUCGGUUCAUUUCCUGGUACAUAAGCUGUGCUACUAGUGGCACCAUCAAAUGUACUAGUUGCUGGAUGGAACCGACCCGCCACAUCCAAUUCAACUAACCUGUCAACCUUUUUCUCCACCCGAUCAAGUUGAGUCGAUAUAACUGCUUGUAGCCUUCCCUCAAGUUUUUCAAUUUCCAUUCUCAAUAAAUCCUCUAUGUUAAUCUCAAAACCACGCUGUGGUGGUUGAGCUGCUCUAGGAGACUCUUCGUGGUAUGCAUGCUAUGGCUCGGCAUCUUGCUCAGCCUCGUCUCCUUCCGAAUGAUGUGAAACACUCUCAUCUUCUUCCACGAUUGGUUUCAACUCUUUCCAAUAGGCCUCCUCGAGUUCAGCUUCGGUGGGAAUCAAUGUGGAAUUAACCUCCAACUGCAAAUAUUAAAAGGUGCAAGUCAUUAGUCAUUCAUGAAGCUAAUUCCACAAUUUGUUCCCAUUAAACUUAAUAAAGACAAUUUUACCUCCUUCGAAUUCAACAUGUUCUCAAUGGCAGCAGACGUUAACCCCUUAGGCAUUUCUCAAGUGACCAUUCUUGGUAUUACAUCUCGAUAUUUCAUACCAAACUUCAUUCCCAAAGUUGGGAUCGCUUCAAAUGCCCAAAUCUAUUGCAAAACAAACAUUUAUAUUAUCUCACAACACAAAUUUAUAUAUAUUAAAAAAAAAUAUGAGUCAAGUGUAUUAUUUGUUCAUACCAUUAUAGCGAGGGGAAAGCCGUGCAAUGAAUAUCGGCAACGUGAUUCGCCUCCGACGUCCGAACUUUUCAAUUUAUCUCCCAUCUCACGUUUGAAUAUACUGAUCGUGUAUUCAAAUGAAAACUUUCCCCAUGGAUACGUCUCGAACCUAUCUAGAUCAUCCACCAAGUCUAGCCAUCAUAAAUCGAUGUAUGUAUUCUCCUCUAUAGCCCACAGGACGUACGCCAAGAUUACGAUCAAUCCUAACUUAUACUUAUCGCUCUUUCUUUUCUUGCAAAUUACAAAUGCAUUGUAAGCAUCUCCCUUCGUUAUCUUCUCCCCACUAUUCUUAAAAUACUCUUUCACGAUCCGACACUCUUCCCCAAAGGUCUUAUCUACGUCGUUAUCAUCACCCGUAUUUACGCCCGUAACUAAAAUAAAUUCUUCCAACCCAAAUUUUGCAUUUUUCUCUCCUAUCUUAAACUAAACUUCUUUUUUGUUGGUCCUUAUCUUUCGCAAUAACAACUGAUGUAUAACUUGUGAAGCCAACUUUAUGUCCUUCAACCUAAGAAGAGAUCCAAAGCAGCUUUCACUAAGCUUGUUUUUGUAAUUUGUAUCGAGCUUCUCAUACACAUCUCGCACUAUUUGCAAUCUACAUCUCGUCGUAAUCGUAGCAUCUACUUGAAGAAUCUUCUUCAUAGCACUGCAAAUUAUAAAAUAUGUACUAAUAUUAGAACUGAUGAUAGUAAAGCACAUAAUAACAAAUAUAAAAACUAGAAAUAUUAAAACAAGCUACCUAGUUCUUCUAGUUUUUCUUGUAGUAGAAUUUUUUUUUGAAUAUGAAAUUUAAUAGCAGGUAUUAUCAUUGCUAACGACAAAGUAUAUUUUAUUUGAUAUUCAUUUAUUAGGCGUUCUUAGCUUAUGUGCUUUAUAGAACUUGUAAGUACAAUGUAUUAUAAAUUGUGCAUGCGGUGGCUUUAUAGUUAAAUGCCUCACCUUAGUAUAGUAAUUUGUUUACAAAUUCAGCAUUUUCAUUUUCUAAAUCAUUUAAACCUAACAUAAAGAAGUCAUUUUUUCUUUUAAACAUUUGGUAAACUUUCUACAAAUUAUUCGAUCUUUUCUGGAAGAAUGAAAAGAGAUGGCUUUGGACUUGAAGAAAAAGAGUUAAAUGUCGAAAAUAGCCAAUAACCCAAACAAGAAUAAGAAACAAAAGAAUGAUGGAAACUAAAUAACCAUUAAAAAAAAUUACAGUAAAAAAUGACAAAGAAACCACAUUAGAAGCUAAAAGUAUUAAACAUAGUGUCUAACAGGUCAUUUGUUUUCCAAACUGGAUAAAUAAAAUGAUCGCCAAGACAUAUGAUUCACAGGUACAAGUAUCCCAAAAAUAAUGGACCAUAUUAAUUUCCUAGAUGAUUUUCCCACAUCUUCAAAAUAUAAGGGUCCGUUUGAUUGCAAAGGUGGAAUUUGGGUGGAAAGAAAACGAAUUCCAGGAAUUGAAUUGAUGGGAAAUUAUUUUCCUGUAAAUUGUAAAUUAUUGUGUUUGAUUGGUAUAAUUUUUCACAUGGAAAAUGUUUAAAUUAAAGUGUCUUUUGGGGUCCGUUUGAUUUUGUUUUACAUAAAAACUGUCAAUUAAAGGGAUAGAAUUUACUGGUAUUGGGAAUGAAAUUUGUUUCCGUUGCAAAAACCAAAAAAAAAAAAAUUCAAGAAAAUCAUCUAUUUUUGGGUGUUCGUUUGAUUUUGUUUUACAUGAAAAUCGUAAAUUAAAGGGAAAUAUUUUUUUACAAUAAAUCUUAGAAUUUGUUUCCACUGCAAACAAAAAAAAAAAGAAAAAGAAAAAGAAAAAGAAAAAAAAGGUGCUACAGUAAAUCGGGAAAACAAAGAAAACUUCAAUUCCCAAGAAAAGUUAGAAAAUGCAAUUCCAUGGAAAAAAAAAGGUAUCAAACACUCUUAAAGCUCAAAGUUGGAAUUGAUUUUCCACUUUCCCUAAAAAAUUUUGGCCUAUCAAACAGUGUCUAAGUUGUUAACUUGCUCACCAAAAAAAUAAAGUGGUUAAAAUGAUUUCUUGACAUAAUUUCAAAAAUAACCAAAUUCCUUUCAGGUAAAAUUUCAGAAAAGAAAAAGGGAAAUCACCACAUUCACAUUUGUUAUCAUGCACUAUGCUAUUCCUUCCAUAGUUACACAACUUCCUAAACAAAGUUCAUUUUUAUAAAAACUAUUUAGGAUCACCAUUCACAAGAAUUAAUCCCUAUAUUUAAAAUUGAAAUUCAAGACUCAGUUGGGAAAACCGGAAACAUUAUUUAACCAUCUCCCUUAUAUGUGGUCAGAUAAAAUUUGAAAAUCAUUACAACGAGAUUAAUCUUCUCUCAUCCAACCCACAAAUUUUUUUUCUCGCUUUCCACCAGAAUCCAAUCAAUUCUUAAAUUUAAAUAUCUUAUACCCCUAAAACACAAUAUUGGCGCAGUCAAGCACCGCGCAAGUUUAAUUAAAGUAAAAACAAUAAAGAGAAGAUUUCUUAAUCUCAGAAAUGUUAAAAAAAGAUUCCAAAAAAUAAGAUAGUAAGAUCCAAAGUAACAUUAACAAUUGCUAUAAGAGAAAUACCAUAAAAACCGUAUAUGAAAAUAAUCAGAUACAUGAGAGAACUUGGGAUCCGCUUAAAUUUGAAGCUUUAGUAUCUGAUUGAGACAAAACCCUAAGGCCGUGAAGCAGAAAGAAGGAAAUGAAAGGGUCCCCCUUCUUUCUUCUUUCGUUUGGGGAGAAAUAAUGGAAGGUUAUAAUUGUCUUUUUAAAUAUUUGCAUAUUUAUAUUUUAUGUUAUUUUCAAAAUUCUAGUCAAAGGCCUUUUAAACAAAACCCACCUGAAAGCAGCCUUCCCAACUCAUUUCCCCUAUUUUUAUGUUGUCAUAUGCAAUGUUUUUGUUCCCUGAGUUAUGUGUCUGUGUUUCAAUGUGUAUCUACACAAUGUCUGUUUGUGUAAGUAUAUAUACCAUCCAUGUAGUCAAUGCAUGCCAUUUAAAAAUCAGGCGCCACUGUUAUUGAAAUAAUAGUCCUAGAGUGUAAUAUCACCAAUUCUUUUGUUUCUAGUUGGAAAUGAUUUGGAAAAAAAUGUACAUUAUGCAACCCGUAAUCAGGGGCGGACCUUGGGGGGGGGGGGGUUUAUAGGGGCAAUUGACCCUCUAAAUUUUGAGGAAAAAAAUUAUUUUGCUUAGCUUUUUUUUUUUUUUUUUUUUUCUCCUUAACUUUUUUUUUUAUUAGAAGAUACCCUAUAAAUUUUAUUUUUGACCCCCUAACUCAAAUCGUCUGGGUCCACCCCUACCCGUAAUGUUGCGAUAAACAACUGUUGCUCCUCAGUACACAUAUUUUCGACAACAUGCACUCACAAAUGUUUUGUAUAUCACGUCUUAUUUUAUGCUGUAUGUGAUCACAACAUUUUGUAUCCUCAUGUCAUGUCUGUAAGAUAUCGUUUGACAGUUUUUACUAUCCAGAUCUUGCUAAGAAAUAUGUGAGACCCAAGAUUCAGGAUUACAUGCAAGCUUAUAUUCCCAGGUUUGGUUCACAAAGUAGCUCUUAAAACAUGUGAGUUACAGUACUAUGAACGAUGUAGCAUCACACAUUCCGUGCUGUUGCUUCUAAUAAAUGAUAUUUUCCCAAGUCGUUAAUAUUGUGCAUACAUUUCAUAAGUUGUGAUACGUAAACUGAUUGCUAUGCACUGAUGAGGUUUUGCUAUAUUAUGAACAUGUUCUAUCUUCACAACAUGGAUUAAUUCACUGCUGAGUGCAGGUGUCACGUUACAUUUUGUUUGCCCUGUUGCAAUUAAACUUUUUUUAAAUGAAAAUGUAGGUAGAAUCUUCAUUCUACAUUCCCCCCGAGAACAGAUUUGGUGCAAGCUUGAAUGUGUUCUUCAGGAAGAAGGUUAUAUCGAAGCUGAAUAGCAAGCUGACCACAUCACAAAAGGAAAUGUUUCGAUGCUUGUUUCGGACACUUCUUGCAAAUGAAUGACCUGCGCAUAUGUGUUACAGGCAGCUAUCAACGCUCGGCGCCUCAGGGGUGCAAUCUCAUUAUCACACAUAAACCUAAAAAUAUUCCGGUAAUCGCAUGUAUUACCUGAUCGCUCGGAGAAACCCCUGAAAAUUGAAGCCUUCAAAGAAUCGGUUGAACACAGAUCGAGAAUCUUGGGUGAUUACGGGCUAUUCCCACUACGAUUUUUUUGUUAUAUGUAACGAAGUAAUGUUCAAUGGUAAAUGGGAUUCAUAUUCUGCAGUAUCUCCCAGUUUGAAUUUUUGAAAACCCAUGUAAUUUGCAACCGUCCGUUUUAUUGGCCGUGAUAACGGCAUCUGUGUCUUCAGUUACAAUUCAAUAUUUGGAAGGUCAUGAGGGUAGUAUUUUUGUUUAUAAUAUAUCCCAAUUGUAGUAAGAAAGUUAUAUGUUUAUGCAUUUCAGUAUUUUUAGUAAUAGUUUGUUUUUCACAUGCAAAUACGAAAAUUUCCCUAAUUUCAACCUAGGAAUCCUGAUAGAUUGAUGGAGUGGGGUGAGGCUGGGCUGGGCUGGGUUGUGUGGACCGAGUGGUCAUUGGCUUCCACUGUCAAUAUUUCAGUUUGUCCACUGCCUAUUUUUUUCAAAGCAGCGUCAUGCAUACGCCUAGGCGCUACUAUCAACACUUAAAUUCUUCAUAAUUAAUGUAUUUGUUUUCUCUAUAUUAGUCAAUUGAAUAAAAUACUCAUUUCUUCUAUCAAUUAAUUCUUUGCAUUCUAUCUUGUUGUUUGUUUACGAUUAUAUACUUCAUACCCCUGUCAUAUGCAUUAUCUAGAUCCAUUUUAUUUCCCAAAAAGUGGUAUCAGGGCUAUUGGUUAUGAUUUGUUCAAUGCCUUUGUUAUUGAUGACAGUCAUGAAGUAUGAAAUUUCACUCUUCGAUUGCAAUACAAGAUUCUCAUUGUGGCAAUUGAAGAUGUGAGUUGUACUCCCUCAGAUGGAUUUGGAUGAUGCAUUCUUGAGAUUUGACAAAAUAUCCACAACUUAUGGAGGAGAAACAACGGAAGGGUUGAAAGGCACUUUUACAUAUCUAUCUUCAUUUUUCUAAUAAUAAUUUUCGGGACAUUUUAAGGGAGAAUGGCAGCAACAUUGUGGUUGAAGUUGGAGCAAUUGUGUAUAACUAAAAGUCUAAUAAGCAAAUUGCAUUUGAAGCAGAUGUUGUAUUUUCAUUGUUUGGCAAAAAGCCAAUCUUUGGAAGAUCUAGCUGUAUCCAAGGAGAUCUUGAGGAUUUGGUGACUUUAGAGAUAAAGUAUAACAAACAAUAUUUGGUCUUAAUCCUUUUGUGUUCGUUGCCUACUUCGUUUACUUGAUUUAGAGACAUGAUCUUUUAUCUUUCAAAACUCCGCAGCGACUCGGGAUGGAAGGUAACCCAACGCCGCUUACCCUAAGGGUCAUAUAAAAUUCUACACACAUUGAAUCGACAUGAUUUCAACUAUACUCAAUAGCUAAUGCCUGAGAUAUCAAACCUAAUUGGUUUCGUCCAAAAAAUUCAAGUAACGAGCGAGUUAUGAAUUUUGGAAACUAAGGGUAGAAGCUGAAUAUCAGCUGCACUUCCUAGUGCCGUCUACUUUAUGUGACAAUUAAAAUUCUACCAACAUCGGAUUGACAUGAUUCAAAAUUCAUUCAGUAGCUAACCUAUGAGGCUAUCCAACACCACUGGUUUUGCCUAAAAAUUCCAAGUAAUAAUUUAUAUACGAAUUUUUAAAGUCAAGGCAGAAACUGACAUUUUAAAGAAAACAGCAAACUUUAAAUUUCUAAAGCUUCUUUUUUUCCUAUGUAAACGGUGAUUUGUAAAAUGAUUUCUUGAUACAUAUCUACUUUUAAACAUAAUUUAUUCAUAAAGAAAUAUUCUUGAAAUAUCUCCAUAUAUGACGUCCAUAGAAAUCUAUUUAACAGAAAACAAACGCAAAUAUUUCAUAAUUAAAUUUAGAAUAUCAAGUCACCGGCUUUCUUCGUGGCAUGUCGCAUCAUCUUUUACUAUUAUCCACGCCCAAGGAAAUCCAUUCAACCUGAAGGAAGGGAAUUAACCCAUGAAUUUGAAACUCAAUAGAUAUCAUCGGUGUAAUUCGUUCUCAAAUUAGAAAUUUCAAACUAUAGAUUCAUACCGUUGCAUGUAGAUAGAUUUUUGGUAAAAUCCAAUUUCUAUAGCAUUAUUAUAACACGUAGAGCCAGAGAAUGAUCAUUCAAAUUGUUGUAGUGCCGAGGCACCAUACCCAGAGAUACUAUUUCAUUCAACCUAUAGUAGUGCCGAAGCACCGUACCCGAAGGUACCAAUUCGUUCAAAAUUUUAUUGAAAAAUCAAAAUUUGAAAACGAAAUAACACUUGCACCUCUAUCUACCUUCGUUUGAUGCUUUUGAAUCGAUAAAGUUGGUUGGUGAAUGUUGUUUCCCAACAGCACCCAAAGCUUAAGAAAUUUGCUCCUCUCCUAUGUCUUUCUUACUUUUGAAAUUUUCUUUUCUUGUUUCAAAUUGCGAGAAAUGAAAGUUUUAUCUUCUAAAAGAAAAACUCUUAUAAUCAAGUUUAUAAUUCUCACGUACUCCAAGUAAAUCAAUUGCCGUUCGGUUCUGUCACUUAAUUACAAAUGUAUGAGAUGCCAAUAAAAGAGUUUUAUGGGAAAACUUUAAAUUAAUUAUUAUAAAAGUUAAUGCUUUAACCAUGUUUAAUUUAUAACACCCUAUCCACUUCCAAGUAAUUGUAACAAAUUGAAAAAUGAAAGUAUUUUUUUCUUUUCCACACGUAACCUACAAAAUCUCGAAAGACACACAUAACUUACAAAAUUCAAAAAGGCAUAUUCAUGUUAAUUAGGACUAAUGAAAUUAAUCAAUCAAGAGUUUAAGUUGCAUAAUGUGUGUGUAUAUUUUUGGGAUUUAAAUGACUUGUUUGUACCAACUAAUCAGAUUAAUUGUUUGACCAUUCAAUCGAAAGUUAUUUUUAACGUGUAGUUGUUAUGUGUGUGUAUAUAAUACUAUAUAUUUGUCAUUUUAAAAAACUAACAUGUACGAAAAUCAAAUUUUUUUAACUAUACAUAAAAUAAAUUUUCACUGUUGGGUUCAAUCUUUGGGAAAAACAUUAAAUUAUUCCAUCCAACUUCAUCAAAUAAUUUUUUAAAAAUAUGUAUAGUGGCUGAACCUGGGUUGCGUGUUGAACCACCAAAAGAUUGUAAAUAAAUUCAUUUUAAAGUAUAUUGGACUAGUAUUGAGCUUUCAUUUCUUUUGUGGGUCGCGCAUGAGGUUCAUCUAUAGGCUAGGCUCGUGAUACUAGAUCGUCACAUUAAAAUAUGAGCCUAACUUCAUUUUUUUGGGCCUUUUACAUCCCUUGCACCUUAAAUAAAAUUUCGUCCUUGAAAUUUAUCUUAUGGUUGGACAAAGAGUGUCGGGUAUCUGUCUUUAACUUUUUCUUCUCUUUCCCAAGUAGCUUCUUCUACUCCACGAUUAUUCCAUUACAUUUUGACUAGUUGAAUCUCCUUGUUUCAUAAUUUAUGUACCUUUCAAUCCAAUACCUUAAUCGAUAAUUCCUCAUAAGAUAAGUCUUUUUAUACUCGCAAGGAUUGAUAAUUUACCACGUGAUUGGGGUCGUGCAUAUACUUUCUGAUCAUUCAUAUAUGAAACACAUUCUGAACUGUUGAUAGUUCAGGCGGCAAAGCUAAUCGAUAAACCACAUUUUCGACCUUGUUAUGUAUUUCAAAAGGCCCGAUAUAAUGAGGCCAUAGUUUGCCUUUCUCGCCGAACCUAAGUACACCCUUUAUUGCUGCCAUCUUUAAAAAAACUUUCUCUCCAACUUCAAAUUCCAUAUCUUUUUUCCUAGUAUUUGCAUGGCUCUUUUGUCCAUCUUGAGCAGCCUUUAUCCUAGUACGGAUUUUAUCAAUGACUUCAACUAUUCUUUCAAUGAUAUCUGGUUCCAAAACUCUCUUCUCUUCAAUUUCAUCCCAAUGAACAGGUUAUCUGUAUCUUCUACCAUAGAGAGCUUCAUACAGUGUCAUUCCAAUAGUUUCUUGAAAACUGUUAUUAUAUGCAAAUUCCACCAAAGGUAAAUACGAUUCCCAACUGCCUCCUAGAUCCAGAACAUAGGCCUUUAGCAUAUCUUCCAAAGUUUGAAUGGUCCUUUCAAACUGACCAUUGGAUUGAGGGUGAUACGCCGUACUGAAAUUCAAUUUCAUUCCCAAAGCUCCUUGUAAGCUCUUUCAAAACUUUGACAUAAAUCUCGGAUCUCUAUCUGAUACAAUGAACACGGGGACAACAUAUAAUCUUACAAUCUCUCUAAUGUACAAUCGUGUCAGCUGAUCUAGACUAAAUGUCAUUUUCACUGGAAGAAAUGAGUGGACUUUGUUAGACGAUCCACUAUUACCCAUAUAGCAUUGUGUCCUCUUGCUGACUUUGAAAAUCCUACCACAAAGUCCAUUACGAUAUUCUCCUACUUCCAUCAGGUAUGUCUAAUGGAUUUAAUAUCCCUGCUAGUCUUUUUAUGUUCUGCUUUAACUUGUUGACACACUAUGCAUUUUGCUACAAAUGAGCCUAUACUUCUUUUCAUAUUCCUCCACCAAAAUGUAUUUCGAAGGUCUCGAUACAUUUUCAUACUAUCGGGAUGUGCGGUGUAGGGGCGGAAUGAGCCUCAUCCAAUAUCUCCUUCCUCAAAAUUUCAUCCUUAGGUACACAAUUUCUUCCUUUAAACAAUAGUGCCUGAUCUGAAACUAUUUCAAAAUCCUUUCUCUUAUCAUUAACAAUCUCGUUCUUGAUCUUCUGCAAAAAUGGGUCUUUGUUUUGUGCUUCUAUGAUCCGAUCUUUAAGAGUAGAUAGAACCACCAAAGUUGCUAAAUAGGCAGUGACUUGUUUUGGUGUGGUAAUCACUUUGAUUCACAAAUUUUCCAAUUCUUUGAUCAACUCCAUUGGAAUAAUAGUUAAUGAUGCCAACUGUCCCAUCGAUUUUCUGUUUAGAGCAUCAGCAACAACAUUAGCCUUACCCGAAUGAUACUGAAUAGUGCAAUCAUAAUCAUUUACUAGCUCCAACCAUCGUCUCUGUCUCAUAUUCAAUUCCUUCUAUGUGAAGAAAUAUUUGAGACUCUUAGGAUCUGUGUAAAUAUUGCACUUCCCUCCAUAUAAGUAAUGACGCCAUAUCUUUAAUGCAUGAACCACCGCUGCAAGUUCUAGAUCAUGCGUCUGGUAGUUCUGCUCAUGUUGCUUCAAUUGUCUUGAAGCUUAGGCAAUUACUUUUCCAUACUGCAUCAUUACACAUCCGAAACCUUGUUUGAAUGCAUCACUAUAUAUAUUAAACCCUUCCGAACCUUCAGGUAUGGUUAACACAGGUGCUGUAAUCAACCGUUAUUUUAGCUCUUGAAAGCUUUGCUCACUUUUAUCUGUCCAUUGAAACUUUACUCAUUUCCUUGUCAAUUGUGUCACUGGUCUAACUAUUUUGAAGAAUCCUUCUAUAAAUCUUCGAUAGUAUCCAGCCAUUCCCUGAAAACUUCGAACUUCACCAGCAUUAGUCGGUGUCUUCCAAUUAGUUAUCACUUCCACCUUUACUGGAUCUACUUCAAUUUCUUGGGCAAUAACUACAUGACCAGGAAAUCCAACUCGCUCAAACCAAAAUUUACACAUUUUAAAUUUAGCGUAUAACUUUUCCUUGCGUAAUGUUUCUAACGUUAUUUUAAGAUGUUCUUUAUGUUGAUCUUUACUCUUGGAGUAAAUCAAAAUGUCAUCAAUGAAGACUAUAGCAAAUUUAUCCAAAUAUUGAUGAAACACUCGGUUCAUCAGAUCCAUGAACACUGUUGGAGCAUUUGUCAAUUCGAAUGACAUAACUGUGUACUUGUAAUGUCCAUAACGAGUUCUGAAAACUGUCUUAGGUAACCCAGGGCUCUUAUAAAAUUCUACACACAUCGAAUCAACAUGAUUUCAACUAUACUCACUAGCUAACCCUUGAGACUAUCAAAUCCAAUUGGUUUCGUCCAAAAACUUCAAGUAGCGAGUGAGUUAUGAAUUUUCGAAACUAAGGGUCCGUUUGAUUGCAAAGAUGGAAUUGAAUUGAAUUGAAUUGAAAAGGAAUUUUAGGGAAUUGAAUUGAUGGGAAAUUGAUUUCCUGGGAAUUGUAAAUUAUUGUGUUUGAUUGAUAUAAUUUUUCACGUGGAAAAUGUUGAAAUAAAAGUAUUUUUUGGUGCUCGUUUGACUUUAUUUUACAUGAAAAUUGUCAAUUAAAGGGAUAGAAUUUACUGGUAUUGGGGAUGAAAUUUUUUUCCAUUGCCAAAAAAUAAAAAAAAAAUCAAGAAAAUCAUACAUCUUUUGAUGUUUGUUUGGCUUUGUUUUACAUAAAAAUCGUCAAUUAAAAUGAAAUAUUUUUUUACAAUAAUUCGUAAAAUUUGUUUCCAUUACAAACACACACACCAAAAAAAAAAAAAAAUGCUACAGUAACAUGAAAUUCCAAUUCUCACCAAAUUGGUGAGAAUUGGUUUCCUUAUAAACCAAGAAAAGAUCAAUUCCCAAGACAAGCAAGAAAAGGUAAUUCCAUGGAAAUAAAACCCUAUCAAACACCAUAAAGUUGGAAAAUGAAAUUAUUUCCAUUUUCCAUGGAAAAAAAACCACAUAUCAAACACUACCUAAGGGCAGAAGCUGAUUAACAGCUGCACUUCCUAGUGCCGUCUACUUUAUGUGACAAAAUUCUACCGAUAUCGGAUUGACAUGAUUCCAAGUUCAUUCAGUAGCUAACCUAUGGGGCUAUCUGAUAAGAGUGUAAAAGAUAACAUUUUCCCCUCUUAAUUAUUUCAUUCGUGUGAUUAUUUGAUACCAAAAUGCACUCAUUAUACUUAUGUUUUGAUUCAGGUUGUAUUUUGGUAGAAAAGGUGAAAUUCAGAAGAAACAAGUGAAAAUGGACCAAAAUGGAAGAAAGCGAAAGUUCAGGAACCAAGUUGUAAAUAAUCCAAAGAUGAGACAAGAAAUGAAAUGAAGAUCCGAGAAAUUUAGGAGUCCAUUGGGUGCAAUUAGAAGUCAAAAGAAGUUAAAUAUGCCCACAAUAUUUUCACAAAUCAAAUUCCAACCGUAUAAGGAUUUUUCAGAUUUUCAGCCGAACAUUGAGAUCAACCUUUGACCUAGAAAGAUAUAUUUCCAGAAAAAUUAUAUUCAUUUGAGUUAGCUUUCCUAUGCAACUUGAAUCACCUCAAUUGGACAUCGGGGAACAAAGUUAUGGUCAAAAUACCAAAAGCAGUCGUAUAGAAAAUUCUGGCCGAAAAUUUACUUUUCUUAUUCGGUUCAACCUCUUUUGGAAACAUUUUGGCACACGACUUUUAACCCUAAUCUUGACCAGAAAACCCACCAGUCAGCCUCAUACACUUUUCUCUCAUCUUGGACACAAGAAACUCCAUGAAGAACUAAAAUCUUUGGUGAAGCCACCAAGGAACUCAUUGGAUUUGGAGAUUUCUUGUUAUAAUUUCAUGUAAUUCGAACUUUCAUUGCUUAAUAAUUUCUAGAUUUGGAUUUUCUCGUAAUGAAUUAGUAUUGAAAUUGGUUUAACUUUUACUAGAUUUUUUUUAUGGAUUCAAUCAUGCUUUUUCCAUUGUUAAAUUAAACUAUUUGUUGAGUUUUAAUUUCAAUUACUUAUUGUUGAGAUUGUUUUAACUUUUAUCAAAUCCUUCAUAGAUCUGAUCAUGCUCUUUCUAUCAAAUGAUUGAAAUAAUUGUUGGAUUUUAAUCUUAAUAUUACUUUACUGGCGGAUUGAUUACGUACUUAUGCUGGAUGUAUAUGGUCGAUUUUUGAUCUUGUUCCAAUAAAAAUGUGCGAAUGUGUUGUAGAAAAUCUAGAUUCUAGAAAUAUAAUUGGAAUUAAAUUGGACUUUAUUGUUAAAUCUUCUGAUUAGAGAGUUGGGAAGAAACCUCUAAUUGAGUAAAAAUACAUGAAUUAUUGAUGUUGAUUGAUCCAAUCUAAUGGGAGAAUUCCGACGCUUCACUAAUUUCGCAUAUUGAUAAUUAACUUUUAUUCCAAGUGACAAUCAUUCCCACGUAAAAUUAUGAAAAUCCUAGUUUGUUAGAUCCUUUGACAAAUUUCCCAUCUCCCUGUGGAUACGACACCCCAAAACUGUACUGCAACUACCGCAUUAUACUUUGGGCGUAAUCUAAUUUUGGCGUCCUUGUCGGGAGACGGUACAAGUGAUUGAAGGAUUCUCGAGCAAAAGGGUGACUUCGUUCCUCUUUUAUCAGUUAGUUAAUUUAUUUUCUUUAUUGUUAUUUUAUAAUUUUGCAUUUAAUUCCAUUUUUGUAUUUUAUGAACAGGAAUUAAGAAGAGCGAUGGCGAUUUGUUGAUAGGCCUCUACUAGAGUUUGAAUCACUUUCUAACCCUUUCUUUAACACUAUAUCUAUUGGCACGAGCACUACACCACACAACACAAUGAGUGAUAGUGAGCACAGCGAUGCGCCCUAUAGGACCCUACGUGAUUACCUUCACCCAACACGCACUUCCACGCCAUUUUGCAUUAUAUUCCCACCCAAUAAGUCACAUAUGGACCUAAAAUCGGGAAUGAUUAAACUUCUUCCCACUUUUCACGGACUUGAAAAUGAGAAUCCAUACAUGCAUAUUCAGGAAUUUGAGGAAGUGGUUGCAACCUUCCACAAUCAACGUGGUACAAUGGAUACAAUUAGGCUUAAAAUUUUCCCAUUUUUACUUGAAGAACGAGCAAAAAGCUGGUUGUACUCAUUGAAACCACGUUCGAUUGGGACUUGGGUUGAAAUGACCCAAGCUUUUUUUGGCAAAUAUUACCCCUAUCAUAAGACCACUGCUGUUAAGAAGCAAAUUUCUUCAUUUGCCCAAAAGGAUAGCGAAGCCUUAUAUCAAGCCUGAGAGAGAUAUAAAGAGUUGUAAACUCUUUGCCCCCACCAUGGAUAUGAGAAUUGGCGUGUGGUGAGUUACUUUUGUGAGGGCCUAACACGUAGGGAGCGUCAAUUUGUUGAAAUGAUGUGCAAUGGUGAUUUUUUACAAAAAGAUCUAGAUGAAGCCACAGAGUAUCUAGAUGACUUAGCUGAAAAGGCUCACACUUGGACUGGACCUAGUGCUUCUGAUUGUAAAAAUAGGUCACGACCAAUAGGAAACCCAACUAGCACAUGCAUUUAGCACCUUAGAGAGGAAGACAACCUUAAAGCCAUGGUAGAAACCCUUACUAGAGAACUUGAAGCUCUACGUGCUAAGGAAUAAAAAACAACCCAACUUGUUUCCCAUAUUGAGUCUUUAGAGCCUUGUUUUAUGUGUGGUGGAACGUAUCAUCCAGCACAAGAGUGUGACACCUAUGCUGAAAUGAGGGGACUUUAUGAGUAACACUGUAAUGCUUUAGGCAUAUAUCAAAAACCCUAUACUCCUUACUCUGAAUCCUAUAAUCUAGGGUGGCGGAAUCAUCCCAAUCUCAGCUAGAAAUCUUAAAACCAACAACCUAUCCCAUCUAAUAGAGCCUACACUAUAUCUCCAUAUCAAACCACAUCCUCUAGAAACUCUUUGGAAGACACCCUACAUGCAUUCAUAAAGGCACAAAGUAAAAUCAAGCAGAAAUUUGAGACUAUGAUUACCUAGAUUGUUGAGGAAAACAAGGAAAUCAAAACUCAUAUGCCAAAACUAACUAAUGCCUUAGCUAUAGAGGAGCAAGGAAAAUUUCCAGCACAAGCUCAACCAAACCCUAGGGGACAACAUACGGCACAAACCUUAAGACUCCAAGAAAACAACCUUAAAGAAGUUAAUGCCAUAACCACUCGGUCCGGUAAGGUUAUUGAAUCAACCCCAAAACCUAAGGAAGAUGAAAAGGACCCUAGCAAUUCAAAAGAGGAUACCCCUAGUGAGGAGGUAGUGAAAAAUCCACUGCGAGUACCCUUUCCUCAAGCUCUUAAUUUUACCUCGAAAUCUGUAUGUCAACAUAGUGAAAUCCUAGAGCACCUCAAACAAGUAAAAAUCAAUAUGCCGCUCUUGCACGUGAUUUCCCAGGUCCCCACUUAUGCUAAAGUCCUUAAAGACUUGUGUACUGUAAAAAGAAAGCACCAUGUUAGGAAAAUCGCUUUCUUGACUGAACAUGUGAGUGUCGUAAUUGAGCAAAGUGUUCCACCAAAGUAUAAGAACCCUGGUUGCCCACUAUGUCUUGCACUAUUGGGAACCAUGAUUUUGCACAAGCUCUUCUCGAUUUAGGGGCUAGUGUCAACAUUAUGCCUUAUGCAAUAUACUCGUUGUUAGGUCUAGGUGAGAUCAAACCACUUCAGUGGUCUUAUAAUUAGCUGAUCGAUCCGCUAUUAGGCCUAGGGGAGUAGUUGAGGAUGUGUUGGUACAAGUUGACAAAUUUUAUUACCUCGUUGAUUUCUUGGUUUUGGAUUUAAAAGAAGAUGUGAGUGUUAACUCCAAGAUUCUCAUUAUUCUUGGUAGACCUUUUCUUGCCACAGGUAAUGCUCUUAUCAAUUGCAGGAAUGGUCUAAUGAAACUAUCAUUUAGGAACAUGACCUUGGACGUCAACAUUUUUCAUAUCAUGAAAUAGCCUGAGGAAGAUGAUGAGUGUCAUCAAACAUACAUGAUUGAUGCACUCGUUCAGGAGGAAACACCUGCGAUUAUUGAUCCCGACCCUUUAAAUUUUGAAAUUCUCAUAGGGUAUGAUAGUGGAGAAUAUGCUACUUUUGAUUAAUUUUAGGAUUAUAGAACACCACCAGUGACUACUUCCAAUGAGUUUGGUUCAAUGCAAGGAAGAUUGACAACACCCUGGCUAGAUGCGGGCUAAAGAAAAAAAACACUGGGUCGAGCCAACGACAAUAAACAAAGGCGCUGCUUGGGAGGCAACCCAAGAGGAGUUCGUUCCCUUCUCUUUCUUUUUAUUUUCAUUUAUGCAUUCUCUCUAGGUUUAGUCCAUACAUUAUUCAUUGCAAUCCUUUUAUUUUCAUUUUCUGCACUAACCUUUCCAUCGAAGAUUUUUGGGCUUCUUAUACUUUAGCUCAUGUGAUUCACUUCGGUACUCAGGUAACAUCUUUUCUUACCUUUAUUUAGCAGACAUGUUUUUGCAUUGAGGACAAUGCAAUGUUUAGUUGGGGGGAGAGUUUAACUUAGAUUUUGUUGUGAAUUGCAUGUUUUUCAUGAAAUUUUGGCCUAAUUGUUUUUAAGUCCCUAAUGCGCUACAUGUUCUUGAAUGACAAUAUAUUUUACUAGGAAUUAAUAUUGUUUAUGAAAAUUUGGAUACUGAGACAUUUGCUAAAUCCUUUUGUGCACACAAGCUUUGUGGUAAGAUAGUGGUUUAACACAUGUAGUUAGAGGAGUCUCUUGUUGAAGUUUUCUUAUGUGAGAGUUGAUGAGGAUUGAGAGCUAUCACAUAUUAAAAAUGGCAGUAAGUGCUCAUUGGUUUUGUGAACUGGACACUUCUGUUGAGAAUAACAUUACACAGUCUGUGGUAAGACGGUGGUUUAUACUUGGGAAAUGAUAACGGUCAACAUAGGAUUGAAUUUGAGCCUUCAGACUAGUUCUUUUUCAUUAUUAUAAUUUCCUAAUAGCCACUUUGAGCCAAUACAAAUACAUAACCAUUUCAUUUCAUGUGCCUAAGUUAUCCAUACCUCCUUACAUUGGAAUAAAGUCGAUAAAUAUUCAAUUUUCUACCUUUAUGCUUCCAAGUAUAUAGUAGGUGUUAAAUGUCCAUUUCAGAAGAAAAGUAACAAGGAAAGUGAUAAGAGAUUAUAAGUGCUCGGGUGAAGUGAAAAAACACAAAAGGAAAGGGAAUUUGAAAAAUAAAAAAAAAACAAACAAACAACCAAACAAAAGAAAAGAAAAGAAGAAAAAAUGGAAAAAAAAAAAAGAAAUGAAAAAAAAAGGUGGAUUGUUGUUGGGAAUUAAAAGGUUGAGGAAUGCGUUGAUGUAAAGAAUUGAUAUGUUGAAAUACUUGUUGAGAUGCCUAGCCAGAUACUUGGAAGUCCUUAAAUUCUUUUUGCCCUACUUUUCAUAUAACCCAACUUAACCUUUUACACACCCUUUGCAUUGACUGUUUUGAUCUCAAGUAGGUUUGUGGUAAGAAGUUGAUGAAUUUUCAAUUGGAAGUAUGCCUAUCAUGUGAUCAAUGUUUGCUUGUUGCUUGUUCAUAAACAUUUAAGCCUCCAAAUUAUGAGUGUAUCCAUUUCUCAGCUCUAUAGAGAGAAAAUCACACUAAACACUUUGAUACACGUGAGUUGUGGAGCUGAACCUUUAGCUCGAGACAUACUUGAUGUUAAAUGUGUUAGGGUUGACAGUAAGAUGGCUAUAGCUUGACACACACUCACACAUUUAGCAAGUGUUUUUGACAUCUUGAUGAUCAUAACAUUGUUAUUUUCUUGUGGUGUUGAGUUUGAAAAGAGAAUGAACUAUUGACUUAGAACUUAACAAUUUCACUUGUAAUAUUGACCAAUCACUCAUUUGCUUUACUUUGCAUUAAAUUGCUCUAGCAAUAAGCAAGUCGGGGGUAUGAUAAGAGUGUAAAAGAUAACAUUUUCCCCUCUUAAUUAUUGCAUUCGUGUGAUUAUUUGAUACCAAAAUGCACUCAUUAUACUUAUAUUUUGAUUCAGGUUGUAUUUUGGUAGAAAAUGUAAAAUUCAGAAGAAACAAGUGAAAAAAGGACCAAAAUGGAAGAAAGCGAAAGUUCAGGGACCAAGUUUCAAAUAAUCCAAAGAUGAGACGGGCGAUGGAAUGAUGAUUUGAGAAAUUUAGGAGUCCAUUGGGUGCAAUUAGAAGUCAAAAGAAGUUAAAUAUGUCCAUAAUAUUUUCACAAAUCAAAUUCCAACCGCAUAAGGAUUUUUCAGAUUUUCAGCCGAAGAUUGAGAUCAACUUUUGACCUAGUAAACGUCCGAAUUUGGAAAGAUAUAUUUCUAGUAAAAUUAUAUUCCUUCGAGUUAUCUUUUCUAUGCAACUUGAAUCACCUCAAUCAGAUAUUGGGAGACAAAGUUACGGUCAAAAUACCAAAAACAGUCGCACAGAAAAUUCUGGCCGAAAAUUUACUUUACUUAUUCGGUUCAACCUCUUUUGGAAACAUUUUGGCACACGACUUCUAACCCUAAUCUCGACCAGAACACCCACCAUUCAUCCUCAUACACUUUUCUCUCAUCUUGGACACAAGAAACUCCAUGACAAACUAAAAUCUUUGGUGAAGCCACCAAGGAACUCAUUGGAUUUGGAGAUUUCACGUCAUAAUUUCAUGUAAUUCGAACUUUCUUUGCUUAAUAAUUUCUCGAUUUGAAUUUUUUCAUUAUGAAUUAGUAUUGAAAUUAGUUUAACUUUUACUAGAGUUUUUAUGGAUCCAGUCAUGCUUUUUCCAUUGUUAAAUUAAACCAUUUGUUGAGUUUCAAUUUCAAUUACUUACUGUUGAGAUUGUUAUAACUUUUAUCAAAUCAUUCAUAGAUCUGGUCAUGCUUUUUCUAUCGAAUGAUUGAAAUAAUUGUUGAAUUUUAAUCUUAAUAUUACUUUAUUGACGGAUUGAUUACUGCCUUAUGCUUGAUGCAUAUGGUCGAUCUUUAAUUUUGUUCCGAUAAUAAUGUGCGAAUGUGUUAUAGAAAAUCUAGAUUCUAGAAAUAUAAUUGGAAUUAAAUUGGACUUUAUUGUUAAAUCUUCUGAUUAGAGAGUUGGGAAGAAAACAUCUAAUUGAGUAAAAAUACAUGAAUUAUUGAUGUUUAUUGAUCCAAUCCAAUGAGGGAAUUCCGAGGCUUCACUAAUUUUGCAUAUUGAUAAUUAACUUUUAUUCCAAGUGACAAAUCAUUCCCACAUAAAAUUACGAAAAUCCUAGUUUGUUUGAUCCUUUGACAAAUUUCUCAUCUUCCUGUGGAUACGAUACCCCAAACCUGUACUAUAACUACCGCAUUAUACUAUGGGCAUAAUCACUAUCCAACACCACUAGCUUUGUGUAAAAAUUCUAAGCAACGAUUUAGAUACGAAUUUUUAAAAUCAAGGCAGAAAUUGACAUUUUAAAGAAAUUAGCAAACUUUAAAUUGCUAAUGCUUCUUUUUUUCCUGUGUAAACGGUGAUUCGUAAAUUGAUUUCUUGACACAUAUCUACUUUUAAACAUAAUUUAUUCAUAAAGAAAUAUUCUUGAAAUAUCUCCACAUAUGAUGUCCAUAGAAAUCUAUUUAACAAAAAAUAAACGGAAACAUUUCAUAGACGAAUUUAAAAUAUCAAGUCACUGGCUUUCUCUAGGGGAUGUCGCAUCAUCUUUUACCAUCAUCCACGCCCAAGGAAAUCCAUUCAACUUGUAGGAAGGGAAUUAACUCAUGAGUUUGAAACUCAAUAGUUAUCAUCAAUGCAUUUCAUUCUUAAAUUAGAAAUUUCGAAUUAUGGAUUCAUACCGUCACACGUAGAUGGAUUUCUGGAAAAAUUCCAAUUUCUGUAACAUUAUUAUAACACGUAGAGUCGGGAAAUGAUCAUUCAAACUGUUGUACUGCCAAAGCACAGUACUCGAAAGUACCAUUUCAUUCAAACUAUAGUAGUGGCAAAGCACCGUACCUGAAGGUACCAAUUCAUUCAAAAUUUUAUCGAAAAAUCAAAAUUUGAAAACGAAAUUGCAGUUGGGUUUUCUCACUUAAUUACAAAUGUGUUAGAUGCCAAUAAAAGAGUUUUAUGGGAAUACUUUAAAUUAAUUAUUAUAAAAGUUAAUGCUUUAACCAUGUUUAAUUUAUAACACCCUUUCCACUUCCAAGUAAUUGCAACAAAUUGAAAAAUGAAAGUUUUUUUUUUCUUUUCCACACGUAACCUACAAAAUCUAGAAAGACACACAUAACUUACAAAAUUCAAAAAGUCAUAUUCAUGUUAAUUAGGAUUAAUGAAAUUAAUCAAUCUAGAGUUUAAGUUGCAUAAUGUGUGUGUAUAUUUUUGGGAUUUCAAUGACUUGUUUGUACCAACUAAUCAGAUUAAUUGUUUGACUAUUCAGUCGAAAGUUAUUUUUAACGUGUAGUUGUUAUGUGUGUGUAUAUAAUACUAUAUAUUUGUCAUUUUAAAAAACUAACAUGUACGAAAAUCAAUUUUUUUAACCAUACAUAAAAUAAAUUUUCACCGUUGGGUCCAAUCUUUGGGAAAAGCAUUAAAUUAUUCCGUUCAACUUCAUCAAAUAAUUUUUUAAAUAUAUGUAUGGUGGUUGAACCUGGGUUGCACGUUGAACCACCAAAAGAUUGUAAAUAAAUUCAUUUUAAAGUAUAUUGGACUAGUAUUGAGCUUUCAUUUCUUUUGUGGGUCGAGCAUGAGGUUCAUCUAUAGGUUAAGCUCGUGAUACAAGAUUGUCACAUUAAAAUAUGAGCCUAAAUUCAUUUUUUUAGGGCUCCUAUACUUGAAAGGCUGUCUCACACGCAUCCGUCCAUUGAAACUUCUUACCUUGCUUCAAAAUCUCGAAGAAAGGUAGGCUUUUAUCAAUAGCUCUGGAGAUGAAGCGACUGAGUGCAACAAUCCUUCCAUUGAGGCUUUGUACCUCUUUUGGUAUCUGUGGUGAUCUCAUCUCUGACAAGGCCCUUAUUUUUUCUGGGUUUGCCUUAAUUCCUCUUUGAUUCACAAUAUAUCCCAAAAAUUGACUCGGCGCUACCUCGAAGGUACAUUUGAGAGGGUUCAACUUCAUUUUAUAUUUCCUUAGAAUUUGAAAAGUAUUGUCGAGGUGACUUAAGUGGUCCCUAGCAUGGAGGCUUUUGAUCAGCAUGCCAUCAGCAUAGACCUCCAUAGUUUUGUUAAUGAGGUCGACGAACAUCAUGUUGACCAGCCUCUGAUAUGUGGCGCCAUCAUUUUUCAAUCCGAAGGGCACCGCCUUGUAGUAGCACAAUCCCCUAUCCAUGAUGAACGAUGUGGCUUCCUCAUUAGGUCGGAACAUAGGUAUUUGGUUACACCCUGAGUAAGCAUCCAUGAAGCUUAGGAGUUCAUGUCCAACAGUGGUGUCCACAUGUUGGUCUACCUUUGGGAGAGUGAAACUGUCUUUUGGACAUGCUUUAUUUAAAUUGGUGAAGUCAACACAUACCCUCCUUUUCCCACUGGGUUUCUUUACAAGGAUCGGAUUGGAUAUCCACUUCGAAUAAAUGGCUUCUCUGAUGAAGCCAUUGCAGCUCAGUUUAUUGACCUCUUCUUUGAGCGCCUCAUAUCGCUCUGGAUUGAGUGCUCACCUUUUUUGUCGAUGUAGAGCAUAGGAGGAGUUGAUGUUAAGAUGGUGGCAACUGACCCUUGUGUCUAUUCCCACCAUGUCUUCAUGCUUCCAAGCAAAGACGUCCAAAUUCCUUUUCAAGAAAUUCAUCAGUUCUUCUUCCAUUUCAAGAGGCAGUGCUUUUCCUAUUCGUAAGACUUGAGUGGGGUCUUGAGAGUUGGUGGGGGAAAGUUUCAAGUUCUUCCAUUGGGGUUGCAUUCAGUUUGGACUCAAUAAUUCAAGGAUCCUAUUCAUCAAGAGGGUACCCUUCUUUGGGGGCCUCGGCCAUGUCGAAGUCUUUCUCCUGUUCAGAGGUAUACCUUUAUUUUGGGGCAUCGAGCAUUUCUAUGUCCAUGUCAGUUUCGUCUGCAACUUUAGUUAUAAUCACAUUAAUAGUGCGAGGCUCGAAUUUUCAUAGAGAGAUAAGAUAACAUGCUCUUGAGCCCAUUUGGUCGCCUCGAACAUAGGAAAUCCCAUGCUCAGUUGGGAACUUCAUACACAAGUAAUGAAUGGGGAUGAUAGCCCAAAGAUCUUUCUGGGCAGGUCGACUCAAUACUCCGUGAUAAGCUGAUAUGUGGUCUAAACUAAAAACUCUAUGAAGUGGUAAGCCACUAAGGGGGCUGAUCCCAUCUCGACAGGAAAGGUGAUUCGCCCAUGUGGGACAAUGCUGUCGCCUAUGAAUCCAAAUAUUGGGUCGGUCAUGGGGAUCAAUCCAUGUUCAAUUUGUAUUUUGUCAAAGGUAUAUUCAUCGAGCUUCAAUUGUCGAAAAUCAUGAGCUUGAGUCCGUUUCGAGCCACUAUGGCUCUUAUUACCAAUAGGGAUGGCAAUUUGAAUCGUCAAAACUAAAAACUGUGGUUAACCGAACCGAAUGGGAUGAAAAAAACCAAACCAAUGGUGCAAUGGGACGGUGUGGGUAUGGUAUUUACGCUGUUGAACCAAAAUCGAACCGAUUACCCGCAAAAAAUACACACACAAUUGAAUUGAUUAUUUGGCUUUACACCAUUUUUCUAUGCAGCACAAAACGAAAUUCCACAAAUUACAUCUACCUGACCCAGCUGGCCAACUUACUUACCAUUAGCCAAUAAUAAUAGCAUUAGUAUGACAGUAUAUAAAUGUAAACCCUACUCUCCACAGACCACAAACUCACGCACGGCUCCACUACCUCCACGGUCCAAGCCAUCGUUGCCUCCAAAAAAUUUUCCACACGACUUCAGUUUGAAUCAGAUUAGAUUUCAGUUUUAAAGAAAAGACAGGACCUCAAGUGAGGGGCCUUCUUAAUCAAGAUUAUUGGAACAAAAUUUUCAUCUCAAUCAUUUUUGUUGUAUCUGUAAUCUGAUUGCAUUUUAUAUCCAAUUCCAGGGAUGCAUUUUCAAGAUUUGAUGCAGAAAUUGUUUCAAUUUUUGUCGAAAAAAGGAUAAAUUCAAUCAGUACUAAUUAUAGUAUAGGCUUGAGCUAAGUCCGAGGCAUGGUCGACAACUCUAACCAAAUUCUUAAGGUUAGCAUUACUUUUAUAUUACAUUAAAGCCUUAGUUUCUUUUAUAUUAGAUUUGCUCUAAUGUUUUUGAAUUGCAGUGCAUAUAUUAAUGCUCAUUUUUUCUUUUUCUUUUUUAAAGCAUUGAUGGAUGUUUUGAUGAAUUGAUAUUGUUGUGGCAAGGUGCUGGGUAAGGUUGUGCAAUAUGAAUUGGUAUCUUAAAUGUUGAUUUAACACGAUAUUACUACUGGCAUCCGAGUCGACGUUUAGUACAAGUGGUAGAUUUGUCCACAUAGAAAUAGGCUUUACCCGAAGUCUCUAGAAGCUUUAAUGUGCGCUCAGGAUUGGCUUUGGACUGAUAUUCAUGAUAGAAUUUAUUGUUUUAUAUUUGUUAUUUAUACACUUCCUUUUAUUGUUAAUUUUUUUUAUUGUGUAGAAAAUUUUACUCCUUCAUCAUAGUCUGGAGCUUGUGCAAUGUUUAGCGAGGAGCAAGCUGACGAAGAGGUAUUUUUUUUAUUUAAAUCUUUGUUAAGACAAUUUUGGAAUAGGUAGUAUCGUUGUAUUGUCUAUUUACAUUUCUUAUUUACUGUAUAGGAAUCAACUUUGAGUGCUGAUUGAUACUAGUAAGACUUGUGGGGAAGAAUGAAUCAAGUAACUUCGAUGCACAACAAUCAAGAAUGAAGGAAAAGUUUAGUAUUGUUAUAUUCAUGAUAUUUUCGUUAAAUUUGUAUUUUGCAAUUGGAAAUUGGGAUAAUGUUUACAUCUUCGUUUGAUAAUGUUUGCAUUUUCGUUUGAUAAUGUUUGCAUUUUCGUUUGGAAUAUUGUGUUUUUGUUUUCAUUAAUUUUUUUCAUAAAUUGUUUUAUAACAAUUUGACUGAUGAACCUAUAAAAAAUAAUUUAUUUUCGUGGUUAUUAACCGAACCGAACUGUACCAAAUUGAGAUAAAAAUUGAACCGAAUCGAACCAAUUUACGUGGUUAUGGUGCGGUUAUGAUAUGAUCAAAAAAUUGGUGAUGCGGUUAUGGAUUUGGCCGAACUGGCCCAUAACCAAAAUGUUACCAACCCUAACUACCAACGUAUCACAAUGGGGGUGAUGAACACCUUGUGCAUUUUCUUGGGAGAAAGUGAUUAGGGCCAUUCUAUUGGCUUCUUGAGACUGAUCAACAAUGUAGGUAAUUAUUGGUGGAUCAUUUGCUUCUCGUGUAUAAUUCCUUUGGGCAUUUUUUGUGUUGCCCCUGAUGUGAGGUUCUACAAUGAUUGUAUCACUUUCUCGGAUAGUUUGGCCUCCAGUGGAUGGGGCCUAAUCCCUAUGCCUGGAUUCUCCUCUAUCCCUUGUUUUUCUCCUUCGAGGUGACUGAUUUCUUUGUCGCCUCUCCUCUCUAUUGGAAGAGGCGAAUCUACGCGGGUAUUCUUGAUAGUUAUCCCUCCUGGAGGACCUUAGGUUACACUGAUUUGAAGAUCGAGGAGCAUCCCUACAUUCGCUGGUGUCGUGGCCAUAGAGUUGGUGGAAUGUGCAGAACCUUGCCCCUUUUAGGGGUCUGUUUGAUCGCUUCUUCUUCUUGUGCCGAUUGUUGUUUGUCCCUCCAGAUGUUCUUACUUCAACAAUUGCAUUUUCAUAUGCUAAUAUUGACACUGCAUUUAUCAUGGCUGAUGCCAAUGCUUGUUCGGAUGUGGGAGCUACUGUGUGCCGUGGUUGGGUCCAUUGCUGGGGUCGACCUACCUGCCUCUGAGGCGGAUGGAGUCCCUAGGCUAUACGAUUUCGGUGGUCAAUCAUCUCUUUAUUGACGAUCUCCAUUCUCAUCAUCUCUACCAGGUCGUCAUAAGUGGCUAGAUUCUUGCUACACACAUCCUUCCAUAACAAAGUGUUCAUGUUGAGGCCUUCGUUCAGGGCUAAAAGAGCCUCUCUGUCAGUGACUUGCUCGCAAUAUGUGAUUUCAUCAAUAAACCUGAUGAGAUAGCUUUUCAGCGUCUCUCCAGGAGCUUACUUCAUAUCUUGUAAGCGUUGCACUGGGGCCUCUCAUUCUCUUCGCGAGAGGUACUGGUUUAGGAAUGCCUUCUUCAAAUCUGGCCAACUUCUAAUACUCAAAGGUGGCAGCCUACUGUACCACACUUUGACAGCUCUGGCAAGGUUAGAUGGAAGGCCCUGCAUUUCAGUGCAUGGGAGGCUCAUCUGAGGCUCAUUUGCGUCAUAUACUUGGUGAGGUGCUUUUCUGAGUCUCUCUUUCCCUCAUAUUUAGGGAUUUUAGGGGGCAUCAAGUUUUUAGGCAUUAAGAAGCUUCGGAUCUCCCUUGAGAAGGGGAGGUUGUCAUCAUCACCAUCAAUUUUAUAAGAGUGACAUGGCUUUUCAGUGCCUUUGUUAUCUUGCACGUUUUGGGGAGGUGAAGAUGCUUUUGCUCGACUGUCCCAAUCAACUAAAUUUCUCAUUUCCUGCCUAUUCCCAGGUGGAGGAGAUGCUUGUUCUUGUUCUUGCUCUUGUUGAGCUGAUCUCUGUAUGGAGCAGACCCUACUACUUAGGUUUUGUCCUAUUCGGUCGAAGACACUAAUCGAUCUUUGUGGCUUAUACUCUGGUGGGAAGUUUUCUCCCAGCUGUGGUUCUGCUGCUUGGCUCCCUUGUGCAUAAGAUAUGACAUCUACGCUCACUUUUCUUUCGAUGGGGUGUUACCUGCACUGGCUCGAAUAGCCUCAAUCAUGAGAUGUAGGAACUUGGUCUUUGAGCUGGGUAGGGUCCUUGUGGCAUUUGGAAGCUCUGAUGACCUUGGGCUUGCUUGAAGAGUUCACGCAUCGCCAUAUUUUAAGCUGCAAUGUCUCUUAUGUCUGCAGCUAUUUGAGUAAUUCCUUCAAUGAGUGUGGCCGUUCUUUCACCUCGGCGACGCCAGUGAUGGUGUCUCGGUGAGUGACAUUGGUUCGAAGCACCUCUUCUUCAAAGGCAUCCCUGAAUCUAGGAUUUGCAUCCUCAUUGGUAGAACUCAUUUUCUUGUCUCCUUUUUCAAGGGUAUUAAGAAUUUGUAUUGUAGGUUGACUUAGUACUUUUUCAAGAAUGUUCCCUUCUCAAGGUAAGUCGAUGGUUUUUCGACGGCUUUUUUGGUGGUAAAUGUGGAACUUUUUGGACGAAAAGAUUUUCCACAGACGGUGCCAAUCUAUUAUCAUGUGGCCAAUCAACAGCCACUCCACGCAAUCCUCCAUGCACAUAAUAACGAAAGGUUAGAAGCACACGGCCAGAACUAGCUAGGUGGUGGCCGCCGCAUACACUCCGACGGUCAAGUAAAUGAUCAUUGGUCAGAACAGUGCUCGAAUUGUGCAAGAGAGUGGGGAGGAGAAUAUAUAUAUUUCUUGAAUUUGGAGAGCUAAGUUGAGAGAGUUUCAUUACCCUUGUCUCUUGCCAAACCUCAGGUAUUUAUAGAUGAGAAGCCUCGUUGGAUGUGGAACAUGUGUAUGCAUCUGACGGUGUGAGGCAUCUGUUCAUAGGUAUCACUAAGCCGCGUCUAGAGUGGGCAGGUAAUUAAUUCUUAUGAGUUGAGUUGACAUAAAAUUGAUACAUCACAUCAAUUAGACCCAUGAAAAUGUCACAUCAAUUAACCCAUGGAGAUAAAGAAAGUCUUGACACAGAUAUAUUUCUGAAAUUAACGGCAGAGGGAUCUAUUAAGGAAGCACCUCGAAGUACCUAACUCUUCGGCAUCGGGGGACACUUCAGUUACUUUCAUGGAGUGCCCCAUGUUUCAGCAUCAAGGGACACUUCGGUUGCUUCAGUAGAUUUACUUUGUGAUGCUUGUGCCUUGCAGCACAUCAAGUUGAAGUUUGGCCAAGGUUGACGUCACUUUAGAACCACUUUGAAAGGACAUAUGUUGUCUCGUGGAAGAGUAUGCCUGACGUACAGAAGUGGUUUAGUGAGGGGUGUAACAGCUACUACAUUUGUGAAAGGUUGAGAAUGUCUAUAAUAAAAUGAGAGAUUUUAACUUUUAUUCAUAUAUUUCACAAAGGUUAUUUGGACCGCUACAACUUUUAGAAAUUAAGAAGAAAAAAGAGUAUACUAAUUAACAAUAACUGAAGCAAGUCGGCCUCAAAUCUCUUAUUGCACAAAUGAAAGCAGUAGAAUUACACUUGGAGCCUCGAAGGUUUCCAAUUAUUUCAACAUAAUAGCUACAAAUUAAUUAUAACUUUUCUUUAUGUCUCAUCCAACAAGAGAAUUAGUGAUGAAACUAAAGGAAUGUCUAGCAUGCAUCAAUGCUUGCAUUAUUCAACACAACUUUUCUAAAAAAAUCAAAGGAACCAGUAAUUGUUUAUUUUUAACACCGUCACAUCUUGACCUUCUCAUGAUACCAUGUCGUUCUUCUUCAGUUUUAACAUCAUGUUAACUUCUUAGGCUUUUUUAGGAAAUUCAUCCACAAGGUAGCUGAUCUUUUAGGAAAUUUACUGAGAACCGAGCUCCACGUAGAGGGACCUAUUUCACUGGCCCUUCCAGGUGAGACACAUGUGGGGGUAGGUGAUGUGAUCCCGAGUGUGCUACCAAUUACCAAGAAUUCCACUAGCAUUGGAAGGAAGAUCAAGGUGGAAACAAGCCUAAUGUUUGAACUAAAUUGGAGGCCAAAAGAAGGUGAUAAAGCUGGAAGAUUAUUUGAUCGAAAUUAUGAAGCGCUAAAUAUUGGAAUUAACGGGCUAAGUCAAAAGUUGGGGAUGAAAAUCACAAGCCAACGUCCAAGAUUAAUAUUGAGAUAGAUUGAGCAAUCAAGUUACAAGCCGAAAAAAUGAAUGCCAAAAUAAUUGGCACAGAUUGGUUGCAAAACAAUGGUUGAAUGGCUGUGAACUACAACUAUGCGACCGCAAGGUUGAACCACCCAUGCGGCCGCAUGAACCAUCACAGGGAUUUGAGACCAGGUCGCCAAGUAUUCCAUGCGACCGCAUAGGAAACAGCAAUGUGGUCGUAGCUUUUCUGGCAGGGAAAAUUUCCAGAAAUUCCAGAGCAUCACGGUAGUUUUCUUUUUCUCUUGGAGUCCAAUCUUUUCACGUUUUCUUCAUUAUUUUAGGGUUGUUUUUCCUUUUUAAAAUAGGAUUUUAAUAUUUUUAUUUCAUUUUUAUUAUUUUUAGGGUUUUAGUAUAAAUAGGAAAUUAUUUUCAUUACUGUAUUGGAAGUUUAUGAUGAAUUAAAAAUUAGAGAAUUCUCUCUUUAGAGGCUUGAUGCUUCAACCAUUGUCGAACUUAUCGGGAUGAUUUUCUCAUGGCAUUCAACAAAUCCGGGUGAGAUUCUUAAACUGUGUAUUCAAAAGUCGUUAAUUUAAUAUAUUAAUGGUUGUUUGAGUCAUUGUUUGGGGGUUAAAUCCAAAACCAUCGAUUCAUUGGCACUCUUGGAAACUAUGGCAAUCUUGUUGUGGGUUCAUGAGUGUUCGUUGCUCACGGGUUUGAAUCAGUAGGCCUCACAAUCUUUUUAAUACAUGGGAGGCCUGCCCCCAAAUAGUGAGGGGCAUGUGAGGCCCCUAUGAAGCUGUACCAUAUACAUGUAGCUUUAAUCAUUUAGUCAAACGUCCAUUCAGGAAGUCUACAUAAAAAAAUGCCAAAUCUAACAUUGUAUUUGUACCCUUGGGCCCAUUCAAAAUUAUCAAGCAAUGACCAUACGAAGUAACCCUUCACACGUACACCAUGACUGAGAAUGAAGGAAAAUUAAUCGAUUAAUUUCAAAACAUGCAGUUUUAUUUCAAAUUGAACUACCAUAUGUGUAAAACAAAUGAUGACUUACUCUAUUGCCUUUCUUAGGUAUGCGAGAUGGUCCCUGUGAUACUUAAUCCUAGUUUCAUCAAUACGAGCCUUUGAAAUUGUUAGGGCUUUACUGUUGACUUCAUCCAAGCCUACAAAAUAUCAUGGAAGAAUUCAACAAACCACUAAAUGCUAUGAAAAAAUUGUAAUUUUAAAAUAUUCUUUUGUAAUAUAAAUAAACAAAUGAACACGACUAUAUACCAUUUUAUGUAAUGAUAAUCUUGGGACUAUUAUAUUUUUUUCAUUAUAUGAAGCAUGAGAUGGAAAAUUGCCUUUCGAACGAUGUACAGCCACGGCCAACCAGCCUACCACGAAAUAAGAAAGAUUGUUAUUACAUUAGAUUAUACAUUAGCAUUGGAAAUUAUGUAAACAUAAUUUGUAUUUUAAUUUGUUGUGCCUCUAUUAUGAGUCUAUGUCACAAUCAUGUAUCAUCAUAAUUUUUUGAUAUUCCUAAAUUGUUGUUAGAAUAAUCUAUUCAUUUUCAAUUUUUUCUCACAAAAGGAUAAUGUUAAUGGCUCAGCCGCUGACCAAUCGACUUCCCAUUACAAUAAGCUACAAAAGAAUGAGAAGUAAACAUAUUGUUAUUAGUAGUGUCCAUUUUAUAUCAAGAUAAAAGAAUAUAUAACUGAAUUGUACUUACUGUGAUUAUGCUUGGGCGAGAGUUGGUUCGUUCAUUUUAAAGAGAACCGAACUAAACCAAAAAUUUUCNNNNNNNNNNNNNNNNNNNNNNNNNNNNNNNNNNNNNNNNNNNNNNNNNNNNNNNNNNNNNNNNNNNNNNNNNNNNNNNNNNNNNNNNNNNNNNNNNNNNNNNNNNNNNNNNNNNNNNNNNNNNNNNNNNNNNNNNNNNNNNNNNNNNNNNNNNNNNNNNNNNNNNNNNNNNNNNNNNNNNNNNNNNNNNNNNNNNNNNNNNNNNNNNNNNNNNNNNNNNNNNNNNNNNNNNNNNNNNNNNNNNNNNNNNNNNNNNNNNNNNNNNNNNNNNNNNNNNNNNNNNNNNNNNNNNNNNNNNNNNNNNNNNNNNNNNNNNNNNNNNNNNNNNNNNNNNNNNNNNNNNNNNNNNNNNNNNNNNNNNNNNNNNNNNNNNNNNNNNNNNNNNNNNNNNNNNNNNNNNNNNNNNNNNNNNNNNNNNNNNNNNNNNNNNNNNNNNNNNNNNNGGUUCGAACCAGACAUUUUGCCCAGCCCUAACUACGAUAUUCAACAUGCAGAUCAUUGUCAUAAUGGGGUUGUGGAGUUUUUUCACGUAUAUUUCUGGAAUAAUAAGUCAUGUAAUAAUUUAUACCUAAGAUGUCACAAGAUCCAUUCACUAGCGCCACCUCCUUUUGUUUAAUUUUGGGAAGACCUUUUCUUAUAUUAUUUCUCAUGUAUGGUGGAUAAUCACCAGUUAUUACAGGGGCUACAAACUUGAACAGGAGAAAUGAGGAUUACAAUAGAAGUACUAUCUGAAAUUCUAUAAAAGUAUAUCUGAUGUAUUCUCGAAAAGACACGUGAUUUAUACAAUAUAAAAACAACAAAAAUGUAUAAACAAGUUAAAAUAUAAACAAAAUAGAAGAGAAGAAAUUUUCGAUAAUGAAAUCACAUUUAAAUUACUUCCCUUCACACUAAUUUCAUUUGGAGAGUUAGGAAUUAACAGAGAUGAAGAGAAAUUUGUCUUGGUAACGAUAAACUUCUCAAGCACAUGUAGUAAUUACCAUCCUAACAUAAAAUCAAUUGCCUAUUGGAAAUAUUUCAGAAUUAAGGGAAAUGGAGAAGAAGCAAGAUAGAAAAUAUAUCAAGUAGAUGAAAAUGAUAAAGAAGGCUCGAACACGAUAUCGUUGUCUUCAAACGACAUUUGCCCCCUCUAAGAUACAAUUUUGGUACUUAUAGGGUUCCUAGGCAAAUGGUUUGAAUGAUUAAUCAAGCCUUGUAGAGAAUUUAACACUUAAUCAUUGAUGUAAUUCUACAAAACUCAAGAGCACAAAAGGAGAGGUUUGACCAUGAAUUUCAAUAUAAUUGUAAUGAAUAGUUUGAUCUUAAUUGUGGCUAUAGAUUUUUCAAUAUUUUUUCUAGGUUAUCAACCACAUAUUUAUAGCCUUCAAACAUGCCGUAUGAAGUCGUACCAAAAAAACCUUCAAAAGCUACCGAAAUUUUGAACAAAGAUGGCUACUAACGAUCCUAUGAUUAUUCUAUGUGGUUGCAUAGUAUUAACCUAUGCGACCGCAUAGGUUGUUCGAAAGCCUCUGUGUGUUUGCACCCUUUUAGGGUCUAUGUGGUCGCAUAGAUCAUGGGCUUGGCCCGUAUGUGGUCAUUUGUUUCCACUUUCAUUCCACACAUCUCACUUGUUGAUUUUGAACAACAAUUCUCAUCAAUCCCCACUUGUUCAAAAAUUCAUUAAAUCUCAUAUUCAAGGUUUACAAUGCUCAUGCAUAAGGAUUAGAUAACUUUCGAUUUAAAUCUAACCAUAGCGUAAUAUAAACAAAGUAAAGUCGGAAACAAAGGUAGCAUGAAGUUUUGAACUAGUUAUUCCAGGUGGCAAUACUGGUAAGAACAUAUACAAGUAUCACGCGUUCUCAACUUUCUCAAACUCGCUUAGCGCUAAUAUGGCCUUGCACUUAUCAUUUUUAACAAACUUUUGAGAGAAAAACUCCAACUCUUUAUUGAGGUGGCACCACCUCGAAGUUCUUUUAGGUGAAGUGAUGCAAACCCCGAAGCAACAGUGACUACGAAACCCACAACUAGAUUGAUGCAGAACCCAAGAACGCCAAUUGAUAAUUCGAUUUUGGAUUUGAACCCGACAAAUUGAAACAAGAAACCCAAAGAUAACUGUGAUGCGAUGAACCCCUUUUUUACAAAUUAAAGAACCCACGAUCCGAUGUUGAACGCCACAGAGAAUUAAUCUUUGAUAAGUUAAAAUGAUUGUUCGAAGAAGAACGAAGGAAGAAAGCAAAUUGCCUCUCCUCUUGAAUUCUAAAAAUAAUGUAAUACAAUGAAAAUGAAAUCCUAUUUAUACUAAACCUAAAAAUUAUGGAAAAACGAACUCAUAAUCUUCCAAUAUGGUAAGUAGUUCAAUUGGAAUAAAAUUCUGGCAGAAAAUGUGGAAAAUGCUUAAAAAAAUAAAAUUUCGAAUUUAAGCAUUGCUCGAGCGACAUCAAGCAAAAUUCGAGCGACAACAGCAUCUCUCAAGAGAAGACCCAACGAAAAGCAAGCGAAAUUGGUUUUGCUUUUCUCACUCAAGAGAGGGUCCAGCGAUGAGAGGGCGAAAUUCCUGCACUUCGUCAACUACGUUCUAGACUUGAAUUAAGUUCAACCACUUGGAUUUAGCUCCCGAGCUCAAAACCAAACUUGUUCCUUUUUGCUCCAAGACCAAUGUUUUUUCAACUGUUGAUUGAACUAGCAUUCCCAUUGCCUGGUUGACCAUCUUUGCCUUCGACUUAGUAUCGGACUAGCUCCAACGAUUAACAGAUCUCUACCUAGAUUUGAAUUCUCGACCUUCGGCUCCUAGAUCAUAUCAUCCCCUUUCUCUUCAAAAGGAUUCGUCCUCGAAUCUGCACUUGUAUAAAAAAAAGAUAGACCGGCAACAUUAAAUGUAGCCGAAACAUUAUACUCACCUGGCAGAUCCACUUUUUAUGCAUUAUCAUUGAUUUUCUCGAUGACUUGGAAAGGUCCAUCUCCUCGCGGUUGCAAUUUGGACUUUCUCUACUCCGGGAAACGCUCCUUCUUGAAAUGUACCUAGACCCUAUCUCCAGGCUCAAAUGUCACGCGUCUUCUCCCUUUGUUUACUUUUGAUGCAAUCAACUUACUCUUUUCUUCGAUCUAUAUCUUAACCUUCUCAUGGAGUGACUUUACCAACACAGCUUUUCUUUUACCAUUCAAGCUACCUCGUUCAUUUACAGGCAAAGGCAAUAAAUCCAAAAAAGUUAGUGGAUUAAAGCCGUAGGCUAUUUCAAAUGGUGAAAAUGAAGUAGUAGAAUGCACAGCUCUGUUAUAAGCAAACUCAAUAAAUGGUAAGCACUCUUCCCAAAAUUUUCAAGUUUUUAUUGAUCACAGUUCGAGGCAAUUGAGUUAUGGUCCUAUUUACUACCUCAGUUUGUCGGUGACAAGUUGUAGAAAAUAAAAUUUUAGUUCCUAACUUAUUCCACAAAACACGCCAGAAAUGAUUCAAAAAGUUACCAUCACGAUCAGACACUAUGCUCCUAGGGACUCCUUGCAAUCAUACUAUUUCCCUAAAGAACAAUCCUGCAAUGCUAGUGGCAUCAUCGGUUUUGUGACAUAGUAUAAAGUGUGCCAUUUUACUAAACCUAUCAACCGCUAAAAAGAUUGUAUCUCGACCUCUUUUUGCCCUAGGCAAACCCAACACAAAAUCUAUUGAGAUGUCAACUUAAGGUUCACUAGGUACUGGCAAAGGAAUAUACAAACCAUGAGGUAAAACCUUAGACUUAGCCUUUUUACAAGUUAUGCAUUUUUUUCAAACUCAUUCUACAUCACUUCGCAUUUUAGGCCAAUAAAAAUGUUCUCCUAACAUGUCUAAAGUCUUUUGAACCCUAGAGUACCCCAUUAAACCUCCACUAUGUGCUUUCCUUACCAACAAUUCACCUAUAGAACAAUUAGGUGUGCACAAUUUAUUUUCUCUAAACAAAUAUCCUUCAUGCCUAUAGCAUUUAUCAACAACUCUCUUAUCACAUAAUUCAUAUAUGCUAGAGAAAUCAAUGUCAUUUUCAUACAUGCUCUUUAUAUCUUCAAAACCAAGUAACUUUGUAUUUAAAGAAUUAAGAAGCAUGUACCUUCAUUACAACGCAUCCACAACCACAUUUUCAUUACCUUGUUUAUGCCUGAUGAUGUAGGAAAACAUCUCUAUGAACUCCAUCCACCUCGCAUGUCUCUUAUUCAACUUACCUUGACUUCAUAAAUGCUUUAGGGACUCAUGAUCAGUGUGCAUCACGAAUUCCUUAGGCCACAAGUAAUGUUGCUAAGUCUCCAAUGCUCGAACAAGUGAGUACAACUCCUUGUCAUAUGUCGAAUAGUUUAGUAUAGCUCCGCUUAACUUCUCACUAAAAUAAGCAAUAGGUCUCCAUUCCUAUAUUAACACUGCUCCAAUAUCUAUCCCUAAUGCAUCACACUCAAUCUCGAAUGUUUUAUCGAAGUUAGGUAAUGCCAAAAUAGGUGCUUUACACAAUUUGUCCUUAAUAAUGUUAAAUGCAAGUUCUUGUGCUUCACCCCAGUGAAAACCUACGCUUUUCUAAACAAUUUCAGUUAAUGUUGAUGUGAUUGUGCUAAAAUCUCUUACAAAUCGCCUAUAAAAACUAGCCAAACGAUGGAAACUCCUAACGUCAGUUAUGGUUUUAAGUGUUGGCCACUCUUUAAUAGGUUUUACCUUUUUUUCAUCUACUUCUACACCACUAGUACUCACCACAAAUCCUAGAAAGACAACUUUUUCCGUACAAAACGUGCAUUUCUUGAAAUUAGCAUAUAGUUAUUCUUUCCUUAACACAACAAGCACAUAUUUUAAAUGUUCCAAAUGCUCAUCUAGGUCUUUGCUAUAGAUUAAAAUGUCAUCAAAAUAAACUACAAACAAAUUUCCCUAUGUAAGCACGCAAAACAUGAUUCUUGAAACGCAUGAAAGUGCUCAGUACAUUAGUAAGACCAAACGGCAUAACCAACCAUUCAUACAAUCCAUAUUUAGUUUUAAAUACCGUUUUCCACUCAUCACCCUCCCUCAUACAAAUUUGAUGAUACCUGCUCUUAAGAUCAAUCUUACUAAAAAUGCAAGCACUAUGAAAUUCAUCUAGCAUAUCAUCUAGCCUAGGUAUUGGGUGACGAUACUUUACCGUUAUGUUGUUUAUAGCUCUGCAAUCCACACACAUUCUCCAAGUUGCAUCCUUCUUUGGCACCAAUAGAACAGGCACAACACAUAGACUUAUACUCUCCUUCACAUAUCCUUUGCUCAUCAACUCCUCCACUUACCUCUGAAGCUUUUUUUUUCUCGGGAUUGUUUCGGUAAGCUAGUUUGUUUGGAAUGAUAGCUCCAGGUAUGAAGUCGAUCUGAUGCUCGAUGCCUCCAAUUGGUGGUAAUCCACUUGGCACAUCCUCUAGAAGUAUAUAUUCAAAUUCCUGCAACAAAGACUUAACCAAACUAGGGAGGGGUGUGUUAGAUUCCUCAAAAUUGAGGAAUGACUCUUUUUAUACCAACAACAACAACAAUGUUUACCUUUUAUCAACUUACUCCCCUUCGCAAAAAAGUUUACUUUCAGCUUUUCUCUCCUCUCAACUAACUUUUUUUUCUCCACUCAACUGACUCUUUUUCUCUCCUUUCAUGUGACCUCUCUCUUUUUCCCACUCUCGGCCACCUCACAAUUUUCUCUCUUACUCAGUAUCUCACUAUCUUCUCUCUCUUUUCUAAGCUCUCUCACUCUUCUCUCUUCCUCAUUUUUUAGUUUAAUUUGGUCUUCAUACACCUGUGCCGAUGUUAACGGUGCAAGAGUAAUGGAUUUCCCAUCAUUGACAAAGCUAUACCGAUUCCUAUACCCAUCAUGUGUAACUUUCCUAUCAUAUUGUCAUGGUCUUCCCAACAAGAUAUGACCCGCAAGCAUAGGUAAUACAUCACGUACAACCUUGUCACUAUAACUCCCAAUCGAGAAAUUAAUUAAAACCAGUUUGUUCACCAUAACUUCUCCACUUUCAUUCAACCACUACAAUUUAUAAGGCCUAUGGUGUAUAAGUAAAGCUAAUCCUAAUUUCUCAACUAAAGUUGUGGUAGCUAUAUUUGUGCAACUUUCACCAUCAAUAAUCAAAAUACAUACCUUAUCGUAGAUAUGGCACCGAGUAUGGAAGAUAUUUUCCCGCUGCUACUCCGAAUCAUCCUCCUUGAUUUGAGUGUUAAAAGUUCGCCUCGAAACCAACAAGUCCCCAACAACAAACUCUACCUUAUCCUCUUCUAUGUCAUCGUACUCUCCUUCACUCUCACUCACUACUUCUCCAUUGUCUAGCAACACCAUCACCCGCUUAUUUGGACAUUGAGAAGCGAUGUGCCCAGACCUCAAGCAUCUAAAACACUUGAUUUCUUGACUCUUUGGUCGUUGUGACUCCAUUUUAGGCAUUGCUUUACUAGCAUCUUCAUCUUUUCCCUUUUGUCAUUCAUUCAUGCCUUUAGGUAUAGCCUCAUUUCUUUUACUAUUUUCCCUCCUCGAUUUCUAAGAUGAAUUAGAACCCGAAGUACCGAGUUGUUGCCUAGCUGUCCCUUUCCUCUUCAACCAUCUCUCCACCUUAAUGGACACAUGCAUCAUGUCUUCUAAUUUCUCAUAAUGCUGCAACUCAACUACAUUAGUAAUUUCCCUAUUUAAACCAUUCAAGAACCUUGCCAUAAUAGCUUCCCGGUCCUCCACCACAUUUGCUCUAAUAAUGAGUAUCUCCAUUUCCUUGUGGUAAUCCUCUAUACUCUUUGACCCCUGAUACAAGCUUUGCAAUUUUAAGUGGAUCUCCCUAUAAUAGUGGCUAGGAAUGAACUAUUUUCUCAUCAAUGCCUUCAACUCAUCCCAUGUGCUAAUUAGUCUUCCCCCACUCCUACAUUGUGAAGUAACCGCUUGAUCCCACCAGGUUAUGUCAUAGUCAAUGAAUUCUAACACUGCCAACUUGACGUUCUUCUCCUCCAAGUAGUUAUAACACUCAAAAACUAAUUCUACCUUUCUCUCCCACUCUAAGUAUGCUUCCGGGUCACUUCUCCCUUUAAACUGUGGAAUGGUCAUUUUGAUACUACCCAGAUUCCCAUCCAUCUCAUCUCCAUGAUUAUUCCUAACCCGUCUUUCAAACCUAUAGCCUCUAUUCGUCAUCCAUCCCAAAUCAAUGUCAUUAGCCUCAUACUCAUCUAGAUCACUAUCAUAUUCCUCAUACCUUACCUUCCUAGGUUCUCGCCUACUUAGUCCCCUAGCAUUUGACAUCUCUAUUGGCUGUCCCUUAUGAAGAUUAGCCACUGAUGCAUCUAACCUAGUCAUCCAAGCCUCCUGUUGAUCCAACCUAUCCCUCACAACUCCAAAAGUACUCUCAAAUCGCUGUAUCAAAUCAUUUAUUGCACCGUUAUGAUUGCUGUGUUGGCUUGAAUUGGGAUCUUCUCAUUUAGACAUCCUAAAACUAGAAAUUUUUAUUUGCCUCAUCCGUAUUCACUCGAAAAUCACAAAAUAUGGCUUUUACCCUCUAAUAAGCUCACCAUCUACCUUUUACCACUCAAUGAUUUCAAUAAGUGCUUCCAAGAACAAUCAAUGAACUCACCGGAUUCAAACUUUGUGGACUCAAGACCGAAUGCAAGUCAAGGAAUAUAAUUUAAGGGAUUUUCGAACAAUGGAAUUGGAAUUUUGAAAAGACUCAACUAAACAAUUUAACAAUGGAGGUGUAAUAAAGAUUUUAAAAUGAUUUUGACAACUUUGAAUUUUUUUUUUUUUUUUUUUUUGUGAAUCAAACUUGGAAUGUUGGUAGUAAACCCAUAAAAAAAAAAUUAUGUGAACAGUAACUCUUUUUUUUUUUUUUUUUAUAAAACAACAACAAGAUUAUACUACCAAAAAAAUUUCGAUCUAAGAACAAGGAACAAAGAAUGACUCUAGAACACAAAAGGAGAACUAGGAAACGAAAGAAAUUGGCGAACAAACAAGAAAACAAAGAUAUAACCUAAUUAUAUUGGAGCCAAAGCUCUAAUACCAAUUGAUGUGAACCCUGUAGCAACAGUAAUUAUGAAAACCCAUUAUUAGAUUGAUGCAGAACUCAAGAACACCAAUUGAUAAUCUGAUUUUGGAUUUGAACCCGACAAACUGAAACAAGAAACCCAAAGAUAAUUGUGAUGCGAUGAACCCCUCAUUUACAAAUUGAAGAACCCACGAUCCAAUGCUGGACGCCACAAAUAAUUAAUCUUUGAUAAGUUCAAAAGAUUGUUCAAAGAAGAACGAAGGAAGAAAGUAAAUUGCCUCUCCUAUUGAAUUCUCAAAAUAAUGUAAAGUUCUAAAUGCAAUGAAAAUAAAAUCCUAUUUAUCUCAUAAUCUUCCAAUAUGGUAAGUAGUUCAAUUGGAAUAAAAUUCUGCAAAAAUAUGGAAAAAUGCGUAAAAAAAUAAAAUCUUGAAUUUAAGCGUCUCUCGAGCGAUGUCGAGCAAAGACCCAGCUAAAAGCGAGCGACAUUGGUUCAACUUUUCUCGCUCGAGCGAGGGUCAAGCGAUGAGCAAGCGAAAUUUCGGCACUUCAUCAACUUCGUUUUGGACUUGAAUUAAGUUCAACCACUUGGAUUCAGCUCCUGAGCUCAACACCAAACAUGUUCCUUUUUGCUCCAAGACCGAUGUUUCUUCAACUGUUGAUUGAACUUCUUUGCCCUCGUCCAAGUCAUCGGACCAGCUCCAACGAUCAAUGGAUCUCUGCUCGGACUUGAAUUCUUGACCUUCACCUCCUGGAUCAUAUCAUGAAGUUCUUCUAGUAUCUUUGGUACAUUUAGAGAUACUUGUAUUUAGUACUUAACUUCAUUAUGAGCUUGAAGCCCAAUCCUCAAUCCAGUAACAACCAACAUUAUUUAAUUAGGAUAGGGUUAUCAUGGAUUUUUAUAAUGUUGAAACUAUCUAUAUAUCAAAUGAUUUGUUGUUACUCUUUGAACCCGUGGAUUACCCUUUGAGUAAUGACAGGUAGGGUUGCCGUCAUUGGUGGACCUUUUAAUUUAGGAGUUUCAACCUCAUUAUACUUGAAGUAGAUGCUAUUAAUUCUCUAUUUAGAGGUUUAGCUAAAGGAUCUACUAAGUUCUUGAUUGACUUUACAUAAUUUAAGAAAAUUGUUCCAUCCUUAAUUAAUUUCCUUAUGAAGUCACGUCUAAGACUUAUAUGUCUAGAUUUUCCAAUACGUGUGACUUAUUAUCUUAUCAAAUGUAGCUAGCCAAUGAUCAAUUCAUUUAAUAGAUACAACUUGUCACUAUCACGAAAUCCUCUUAUGAAGCUAUGUGCUUCUCACUAGCUUUAUCUAAAGCUUUAUUGAUUUCCAAACACGGUUGGAGGAUUCAAAUUAUCACAUUAGUCAAUCACUUUUGCUAGUGGAUUUCAUACAUGGGAAUUCAAUUCUCAUCAUUAAAAUAUUACAAUGACCUUCAAUAUUAUGAAUAUUCUUUAAAUAUUCCAUUUGUUUUUGCAAAUGCCAUAAUCGGCUUUAACCUAUUUCAUCCACUUUAGACUUAGUGUAUAUCAUCAUUAUAAUCGUAUAAGGAUUUUCUACAUUUUCUCCUCCAUAGACAUCUUUCUAUGAUUAAAACGGCACAAGAAACUGUGACUUUUAUACUAAGUUAGCCCUACAAUUCCUUAAUUAGGAAUACAAAUGCAAUCUAGUAAUGUUGCAUUCACAAGUCUUGAACUUCUCAUAUAAUUUCACAAGCAUUAAUGUUAACGCCCACAUUUUGGGUUAUAGUUGAACUCAGAGUUCAUUAAAUCUUUCAUAAUUUAAUUCAUUUAUCACUUUGAUAAUAUCCGUGAAAGUGUAUAUACUUUCAGAUAGUGUUUGUUAAGUCACAAUGUACUUCAAUCCAACAAUCUUUAAUUUUGAUCACACACAAUUUAAUCAAGGUCAUUUCAUAGAUCAAAAUGAUUUUCCAAGCAUAAACCAACUUAAAUGGUUCCACGAUUGAAGUUAAAUUUAACAAUGAAGAAGACUAAGCAUCUUGGUUCUCAAGAAUUGGUACUUCUCCAAAUAUAAGUGACUUAUCACUUUUGUGACCUUUCAUAAGUUAGCAUCAUAUCACAUCAAAUAAUGAGGUACAUAUUCACUUUAUUCAUAUUUGGAUAAAAUAACAUUUUGUCAUGUUCAUUUUCAAAUAUAAUUUUGUAUAAAUCAUCUCACAUAAUUUCAUCCAAUUAAUUGAAGCUAUCAUCAUAAUCAUAGUUAGUAUGAUUUUAACAAGAUGUGAAAAUUUAAAUUUCAACAAGAUCAAUCAUAUAAUUUUUCAUAUUUCAAUAAAAGGAAUAGUCAUGAAAGUUCAUAUACUUUCAACCAAUAUUUGGUAAUCUUCCAACAUUAUCAUCCCAUGCAUAUGAACCAUUUCCAAUUGUUACGAUAAAGUGAGAAUAAUCAAUUUAUUUCAUUUUCCACAUGCAGUAACAGUAACAUUCAUAAAAAAUUGGAAUAAGUCAAAACUUUGGAAAGUCAUAUCUUUUCAUCUUUCUUAUUAGGUUGAUACUUAUUAAAAGUAUUCUAUUUGUCACAAUUUAAAAAUAAUCAAUCAUAUAGAUCAAAAAACAUACUCUACAGUUUUACUCUGCCAAUGGUGAACAUAGUUUAUUACAUGAAUAGAUGCAAUUUGUAACUUUCAACCGCAUAUGGUUUUAAUUGACCAAUUUUCAAUUUCAACUUAAAAACCACAAAGGAAAUAACACAUUGCUUGUUAAACAUGAUAUCCAAACCAUAAACUAUGAAUGUUUACAAAUUUCAGCAAACGAUCAUGCACAUAUAUACUUUGACAUGAUAAAAUUGAACACAAACCAGAAUAUGCAAAUUUGGACCAAAAGUCAUGCAUAAAUUCGCCUUUUCACAUUAUAGCAAUGUAGGCAUUCAUAUAUUCUUUUUCUAUCAACAGCAAUCAUUUGACCAUUGAAAUAUAAUGCACACCAUAUAAAUUAAUAUCCAUUUGGUGGGUUUCAUCUCCUUUGUUUUUCAUAUGUCAAAACUAUAUUUAUAUAAUGAAAAUAGAUGUUCAAUCCGUUUUAUGCAUAUAAAAUCAGAUUAAUAUGUAGUCAAAACCCACAUAAAUUUUUUUUCAUGUGCGAAGAUCGAAUAAAAUUUCGACUUGCCAUAAUGGAAUUUGAGAAAACGAAAUGGUAAUUACUAGAAUCGAAUAUGUGAUGAUGGAUUCAAUCCUUUCCAAAACAUUAUCUCCAAUGCCGUUAGAAGAAACUCCAACUUGGCAUACCAUCUUGUGAAGUUUGUCCCACCAAAAUGGUCCAAACAAGAUCUUGAUUCAUCAACUUGAUCGUAGCCAUUAUGGUUUCAUUCUCCAUAGCAGAAAUAUCGUUUGAGAUCGUUGGAAAUAUUUCACAACCAAGGGAAGUAGAGAAGAAACAAGAUAGAAAAUAUAUCAAGUGAAUGAAAAUGAUGAUGAAGGCUUGAACAAUCCUCAAAUGAUACUUGCCCCCUCUAGGAUACAAUUUUGGUUCUUAAAGGGUUCAUUGGAAAAUGGUUUGAAGUAUUAAUCAAGCCUUAUAAAGAAUUUAGUACUUAAGCACUGGUGUAAUUCUCCAAAACUCAAGAACAUAAAAGGAAAGGCUUGAAUAUGAAUCUGAAUAUAAUUGGAAUGAAUAGUUUGAUCUUAAUUGUGGCUAUAGAUUUUUCAAUAUUUUUUCUAGUUUAUCAACCACAUAUUUAUAGCCUUCAAACAUGCCAUACGAAGUGGUGCCAAAAAACUUUUAAAAACCACAUGAAAUUUAAACAAAAUGGCUACUAAUGGUUACAUGAUUACCCUAGUAUUAGCCUAUGCGACCGCAUAGGUUGUUCAAAGCAGGGCUUGCUUCUAUGCGACCAUACCUUUAUAGGGUCUAUACGGUCCCAUAGAUCACGUGUUUGGCCUGUUUGUGGCUGCUUGUUUCCACUUUCAUUCCAUACACCUCACUUAUUGAUUUUGAACAACAAUUCUCGUGACUGCCCUCAAAGCAGCCUAUUCAUCCUCCUGGGUGUUGUCCCUUAGUGGAUAAAACCAUGUUGAAACAUUUGUCACCCCUUUUUUUGCCUCCUUGGUGUUCCUGUAUGUACAAAUGUAAUAAUAUUUAUAAUCAAUAGUUAAAUCUCAAAAGUGUUUAUUUAUAUGUGUGUUUGAAAUGAAAACUUGAUAAUAUUUCCUAUACAUAUAAACCGCAUGUGCGCGAGCAAGGAUCAAAUUGUGUGCCACAAUAUAUGGAUCAGUGCCCGGAUUUCCAUUUGAGAAAGUCUGGUGAGGCAAUUUUUGUGCCAUAGCAACUAUUUCUCCGAUUGGAUCUCUUUUAGAGGAAUCAAGUUCUCUGACCGGAUCACCUUCUGAAGAAGUAAAGUGAGGAUUAGUCAUUGGACAUAUGUGAUGAAGGAUCGAAGAAUGCAUCAAUUGUUUUAUUGAAGUUUCAUUUGCUAAAGUUGCACGAGGGGAGAAAUUGCCUGUCACAUAUCCAUAAUAAAUAAAGGCCCAUCGCUCAAUUUAGUGUGAUCCAUUGUUUUACUCGAUUACCGAAUUCCUCAAAGCACAUCUUAGCAAACUCACAAAACGCAACGUGAAACAAGUUAAUAUCAAGAUAUACGUGUAACGUGCACAUGAUAAAAAUUUUCACAUAUCAUGUUAAAUUCUCCCUAGCAUAGAACUAGAGAGCAGUAAACAAAAAAGAAAAUAUUGAAAUCAUCUCCCUAUCAUAGAACUAGACAGCAAUAAGAAGAAAAGAUACUCUCUAGCAUAGAAUUAGAGAGCGCAAAAAGAAGAAGAGAUAAAUUCAAUGUGAAAUCAUAUUGAAGAUUGGAAAAUAACCAAUGACUUAUAAGGUAUACAAGUGCUCUAUUUAUAGACACGGUACAAUAGCAUUAUAGCUGGACUUCAACAGAUUUAACUGACUAACUAUAUUUAUUCUAAGUAACCAAACUAACUAACCAACUAACUAACAUAACUACAUAACAGCUGGAAUCAAGAUUGGAAUCUGGUGAGCUGAACUGGAAGGGAUCUACUAAUAUGUAUUGUUUCUGGUUCUAUAUUGUAAGAGCCCCCCUCAAGAGGGGCAUGGAUGUUCAAAAUGCCCAUGUUGCAGAUAUUGGAAUGAAGCAUGACAGAUGAUAGAAACACCAUAUGGUUCAAUUUAGAUUCCAGCAGCUAAAUAUCCAAGAAUAGAUUUUUCAGAAUCACAUGGUACUUUCUGGAACACGUCAAUGGAAAGACUAUACCUCCGCGUGCUAUUCUUCAGUUUUUCACAACUAAUGACUUUGUUUUCAGUAAACAAAAGGUAAAGCCAAGAUCUUAACAGCUUAUCCUCAAUAAACUAAGAUCAGAUUUUAUCACAGAUAAGAAACCAAAAAGGAGUAACAAAGCAGAUUUCGAGAGAGAAAAUUAGGAAUUAUAUUUCAUGAUGGGUAAAAUAUAUAUGGAAACUAUAGAUAGAAUUAUGUAACUUCUAAUUUUUCGUGUCAUCCUAUAACACGAGAAUUAAUAGAGAAAGCAUAUUGAAGAGGAAGAUCUAAAACAUACAAAAGGAAUUCAAGAAUCAAGAAGAAGAAUUCAAGAAUCAAUAAUUAAGAAUCAAGAUUAAAGAUCCGAAAGUCAAGACUCAAAGAUUAUAAUUCAAAAUUAAUUAUUCGAGAGACAAAUUAAUGGAUCGAGGUAUGUUUUGCAUUAAUUAUUCUUUUUUGUUGAUUUGACAUGGAGAUCUUGACAAUUAUGUAAAGUUUAUAAAGUUUAAUUUUCAUAAAUAUUCAACAAGUGGUUUCAUAGCCAAUCCAUGUUAAACUAUUGAGAUUAAAGGAAGAGUUUUAAUGUUGAAAUUCAUAAUUAGUAUAUAUAUAUAUAUAUAUAUGUCGGAUAAGUAAAGAAGGAAUCAAAUGCUAUCCCGAUCUCAUAGAUGCACUUUUGGCUAUAUAUAUAACAUUUAAAUUGAGGAAAUUGCUUGGCAACGUCAUUCGAAGUUUCAAAACUUUUUGUCCUUUGAUCUAAAGAUAUCAUUUUUCUCGUCAAAAGUUUUUCUAAAUUUAUCUCAUCCUUUUCCAUGAGUUACUAUGCAAGAUUGUCGAGACUUUCUAGUCCAUUUAGACAACUGAGCCCUACUUUUCAGUGAGAACAAUAAACUCUACAUUGUCAACAAUCUCGUCUGCUUUGCCAAGUGAGGAUUUUGAUAAAAGGCAGUAUAGUCAUAUAAACUUUCAAGAAAAAAGCUCUUUGGCCUAAAAAAAUUAGAUUACUUGGAAAACUUUGCCUUUCAAAUAAAAUAAUGCACAAACUCUAAAUCUUCCACGUUUCAAUAUUGAAAUAAAAUAUCUAUUUUUAUAUUUUUAUUGAAGUAGAAUCCAAUACUUGGUAAGAUUCUGGACCAUGAGAUUGAAAUCUAUAAGAAUUCAAACCUUCUUCAUCAAAGCCACAUCUUCCUGCAAAAUUAUGAGCACAAUUAACAAUGAAACAGAUAAUUCUUGGUGUCUUAAAUUAGAGCACAGUCAAUCAUAAUGGAAAUAAUUUUUGUUUCUACCAUUUUUUUUUUCAAAAUUGAAAAUUUUGACUUCAAAUGUAACUAAGUAUCAACUCUGUUAGGUCUAAGAGUGUAAUUAGUGAUUUUGGGAAUAAAAGGGAUGUAAUUGAAUGUUUGUAAAAGUUAGGGACUCAAUUGAACAUUGAUGUAAAAGUCAGGGCCUUGCAUUGCAAUUUUGUAAAGUUGGGUAGGCUAGGGUUUACACUUGAGGCUAGGGUAAAGAUACACCAAAACUUCGCUGGCCGCUCGCCUGACCAAUGCUCGAGCAUAAAAAGAAGAGAGCUCGUCACUCGCUCUUCGUCCCCUCAUCGCUCGAGCGAUAAUGUUUUGCCAGUAAUUCUAAGUCUAAUUUUUCGAGACUUUCACAUGGCCCAGGACUCUCAUCUAUCCCCAGAUAUAAAUACAAAGGUCGUGAACGAAAGGAGGAGAUUGCCACAUUGUGCCUACAUUGCAAAACAUCUUCCUACAUUCUUUCAAGAGGUCCAAGAUUGAAUUGAUCAAGGAAUUCAUCUAUAAUAUCUUGUGAUUUGGGCAAUCUACCAUGGGAAAACAUCAAAGUUCGUGAAGACAAAACAACGUGUCUUCCUUCAUCCGUUGAGGAAGAGACUAUCUCAUUGGGGAUUGAGAGAGGUGGACGUCAAGCACAGUGAAUUGGACAAGAAUAGGCGAUUCUUGAAAUUCCAUUUUGUGAUACAAUCAGCUAAGGACUAGAAGGUUAUAGUGGAUCGUGAGACUGGAGCAGUGGGUUUGAUUGGGUACGAAGUUUGGUGUAACUUGUACUUGCUAAAUUGGUAUAGUAGACAUCACUGGCUUGGUCUUGGAGUUUUUUUUUCCACAUUGGGUUUCUCUGGCAACAAACUGUGAGUUGUGUUGAUUUAUUCUUUUACAUAUUGCAAAACGAUAGUUCAAUAUAGGAUUAACAUGACUUGUAUGUUUAACCAUCUAGAUUAAUUAGUGACUUUUUGCUAUUAAUUGUAUUAAUUCUGCACGUAAGGUCGAAUUGGUAACUUGGAACGUAAACUGGGUAAAGCAUAAAAUUUGAAUUUAGGAUUAGUUCAUUUUACAAGUAGUAUCCAAAGCGUUCCUAGAACUUUCAAGUGGUAUCAGAGCCUAAGCACGAGUCCUGACCUUACAUUGUCUAGAUGAGUAUGUCAUUGAGUAUGCCGCCCCAUUUUGAUGGGAAUAAUUUUGCGUAUUAAAAAGUAAGAAUGAGGGCAUUUUUGAAGCUAUCACUACAACAAAAAUGUGAUUUUGCGACAAGAUAUUUUGUGAUAUACGAAAAGUUGUCGUAAUAAGUGAUUUAGCGCAACACAUUUUUUAAGUUUGUCGCAAAGAUUGACAUGAAAAAAAUAAGUAACAAAAAAUAUAAGGCGACAUUAAAAGUUGUUGUGAAAUGUGAGAAGGUGCGACAAAUAAUAAAGAUUGUCACCAAAAACUGGAGAGAAGCAAAAUGCCAAAAAUAUUUUUGGUGGGAAAUUUAUGGCUACAAACUUUUUUUUUUGCAACAAAGUGUGUGUGAUGCAAUAGAGUCCACUUUUUGCGACAAGGAAUAUGUGUUGCUAAAAUUUCUAUAGAUAGAGGAAAAAAUCGUUACAAGAAAAACUAUUUUUUACAACGGACAAAAAAUGUAUCAUUAGGUCUUUCGCAACACUCACUCGUAUGUUGUAGGUUCUAAUGUUGUCGUAGAGUAGAAAGAUAUGGCAACAUGCAAUGCAUGUUUCAAAAGGUCUCAAAUCACGUUGUUGUUAUGUUUUUGCAAUGUACCGUGUCAUAGCUUUUAUUAUAUUUCGCAAUGCUCUUUGCCUAUUGCCUUAACUUCUUGCAAUGUUCUUUUAUUUUUUUGUAACAAAUGUUUAUUUUUCAUCUAGUUAAAGAUGACAUUUUAAUAUGUACUACAAUUUUUUUUUUAAAUUUUAAUUAUUUUUGACCAAGAGAAAAAUUAUUUAAUAAAAAUUUUGUAAACUGUCAAGAAUAACUUUAUCUUCAACCAAAAAAAAAAAAAAAAGUUCAUUAGACAAUAAAAGUUUCAAUCAUAUAAUAACUUAUAAAAAGAACUACUAUGCUGAACCAAUUAAAAAAAAAAAAAAUAAGCAGUAAAAAUGACCAUCUUUUUUUGGUAUUAAAAAAUUAAAAAAUUGUUUUGUUUUUUAAUUUUCUAUUUUACCCUUCAACCUAAUAAAAACACCCACGAUUAAACAUUAUUUUAUUCCCAGCCAAAUUUCGCAAGGGUUUCUUCCAAGUAAAAAUCCCCAAAUCCAUAUCAAUUGGCGGCACAGUCCAAUAGGCCACCACCACUCUUCUCACGCCUCCAUUGCCGUCAACCGCAUCCAAAGCGUUUUCUACUUACUGCUUAUCUGAGAAAUUUUAGUAGGUCGAUUUGCAUUUUUUUCCCCUUCUAAUCUGUUGAGGAGAAACUUAGAUUUACAAUUUUGGUUUCUUCUUUAUUUGGGUUUGAUAUGUGUAUGUUUAAUCAUACAUUUUUCUUGUUGAUUUGAUGGUUAAGCAAUGCACAAAUGUGCUUAUGAAUUUCUUUCGUUUUAAUAUACGAGAAGGGUGUUAAUAUUGGGUUUAAGUCCCUGAACGGUUACUUUUGCUCCCUUCUCUCAUCAUCUUAUUUCUAUAAUACUCUAUGCUAGAUUAGAUUAUAGAUAUGAUCUGCUAAACCAAUUAUUUUUGUGACUUAUACGCCAGUUUCUAUGUUGCACAAAGACAGAGUUUAACAAUGGCUUAUUAGAUUAGUCAAAACAAAUGAUACCACAGUUCUUGUUUUACAGUUCGAAGUUUAGUUGGCUGCCUUCCCAUUAUUGAUGUGUUUCAUAAUUAUUUCUGGGUAAUGGGUGGUUUUUUUAAAGGACGUGUCGUCACUCUUCAUGGAUGUUGUUAACUACAGGGAAAAGAAAAUUUGGACCUGGAAAAGCUAGUUUAUUUACAUCUCGUCGUAGUCUGAUCUUGUUAUACUUGACGUGAACACAACGGUGAAGGUAAUAUGCACUAAAAUGUCAAUCUUCUUCAAAUUGAUACAUUUUGAGCAUAUUCUUACACUUCUAGACUUACAAUUUAUGUUGAAUUAUGAUAUGAUUUUCCACCAAUUUCUUGCACUCAUAGAAUAUAUAGUUUGCAGAAGGUGGUCAUCUCAAAUGGAAGCCCAUUUGAACUUUGCAAGUUUUUUUAUUUUCAUUAACUUUAUAUAAUCUUCCUAGAAUAAGAUUGAAUUCUGUUGUCCAUGAGUUUAUUAGUCCUACAAAUUGCAAGCAGUUUUCCUAUUUGAGUUAUUAAUUGUUACUUGUACAAGGGAAGUACUUAUUCUACGAAAAAAAUAUGUAUACUAAAUUUGUAUAUGGGAAAAUAUGUAUUCUAGAACCGACCUAUUAUAGUAAAUAAUGCAGAUGUAUUUUGUUGGGGGCUAGUUUCAUGAGAACCAACUAUUUCCACCCUUGUUGCUUUCAGCUUCGUCACAAGAUCCUCAUUUGUUAAAUUCUCUAUUGUAUUUAGGUUGACUAUUAGAAUUUGUUUCAUGAGUUAAUUAUUGCACUAAAUUGGAAGUGUUCAAAAGAAUCUAAUUUUUAGAAUAUCCAUUCCAGUAGCUUAUUCUUUUGUUUUGGUUAACAUUGUUUGUUGUUUUCACUAAAAACUACUAACUAAAUAUUCUCUUUUGUAUGGUCUAUGUGAAUACAGAGAUAUACAUGCUAGAUAGGAGUUGGAUGCAACUUUGUAACAAAUUAAGUGAUCAAUAUUUAGAUGGUGUUAAUUCAAGAGGUAGCAAAACAAUGUUUGGAUGAGAACAACGAGGUUCAGUGUCCAUGUCGAAAUUGUCAAAAUGCAUUUAUGGUAGAAUCUCAUUUAUAUCAUCCCAAAGUCUCUGCAAGUUAUGAGAGAGAUUUUUCAUGGGGUGGAACUUGAGAAUGAUACGGAGGGUGUUGAAAGAAAUACAUCUAAAUUGGAUGAAGCAGAAAAUGAUGAUGAGAUGAUGAUAUGUUAGAAGACCUAUGUGCUGCUAAAGUCAUUUGAAGCUGGCCAAACUCGAGAGGGGGAAGCAUAUGGCAGAAAUCAUAAUUUCUCACAUAUGAUGAUGCAACAAACUCUCUGUGUUGUGAAAUAAAUUUAAUUACAAACAUCACUUGUUUUAUGAUAAACUGUAUUAUAAAUUUUGAAUAUCUUAAAAUAUAUUAUGCAACAUAUCAAAUGCAUUGUAAAUCAUAUUUCGCUACAAAUUUGACUUGUUAUUAAAUAUAUAUCGCUAUGAGCAUGUGUUGUUGCAAAAUAGAAUCGGUAACAAAAUUUAUACCUUUAAAAUAAUAUUCGCAAUAGAUAUUUUUCUUGGAAAAACUUUAUAGUAAUAAUUGUUGCAACAGACUGGCUUGUCGCCUUUUUAAUUUUUAGCGACAAAUAUGAGUUGCGACGACACUAUGAUGACAAAUAUUGUGUUGCUAUUUCAUACUUUCGCAUCAAAUAAAUAAUGUUGUGAGUUUAUUAAUGCGAUGAACCGGUGAAAGUUGUCGCAAAAUAUAUUUUGUGACUCAUAUAGCGUGAUAAUGCCUGCAACAAGCGUCUAGUUGUUGCUAAAUUUCUUUUGCAACAAAAUCUCAAUUUUUGCGACUAUUUUUUUGUCGCGAAAUCGGUUAUUUUUUUUUAGUGUAUGGAUGAGAGGAUAUGGUUAAGUGUUGUGAAUGGUUGGUCUGCCCCUAGUACCACAGUCGAUGGUGUUGUCACUCCCACCUCCAUAGAAAAUUGGUCUAGAGUUGAAUUAGAUAAAUGUAAUUGGAAUAGUAAAGCCUUGCAUGCCCUAUUUAUGGCUAUUUCCCCUGAAGAAUUUAGGAAAGUGUCCAUGUGCGAGGUAGCAAAGGAAGUUUGAAAUAUUUUAGAAACCACACAUGAAGGAACUCAGGCAGUUAAGAAUUCUAAACUGCAGAUGCUGGCCACUAGGCUUGAAGAGAUAAGAAUGAGAGAUGAUGAGAUGUUUGAUGUAUGCGAGCCUAAAUGACAAAGUGAAUUCGUCCUUCUAUUAAGGGUAGAAAAUCCCCGAGUCUAAGAGAGUGAGGAAGAUUCUUAGAUCCUUACCCGAACGUUUUAGGCCUAAAGACUCUGCAAUUGAGGAAAGUAAGGACAUAGACACUAUCAAUGUAGAAGAGCUAGUUGGAUCCUUCCAGACCUAUGAGCUUACCUUAAACAAUCUAGCUAAGGAAAAAUCUAUAGCCUCGAAAUUUGCUCGGAAUAACUGGAUGGAAUCUUCUGAUUCACAUUCACCCAACAAUGAGGAGAUCACCUACUAACUAAGAAAUUUCAAAAAAAGUUUAGGAAGAAGAAGCUGCAAGAGAAACUGAGAAGUAGCCUCAGUGACUCUAGGAGAAAGUCUAAAUCUGUGAGAUGCCAUAAGCGUGGAGGUUUUGGCCAUUUCAAGAGUGAGUACCCUAAUGCUAAGAUAGUCAAGAAGAAGGCUAUGAAUGCUACUCUCACUAAUGACGAGUGUAGCUCGAACAGUCAGAGUGAGAAAUCCACACAUGAGAAGAGUGGAAAAUAUAUGGCCUUCAUUGCUUGGUUAAGAGUGGAUCCGAACAAGGUAGUGAAAGGGAUGAUGAUAUAGAUGGUAGUGAAGAAUCUAGUGAUGAGAAUGGAAGUGAGAAAGAUCUUGAAGAAGCUUAUGAUAAAAUUUAUAAGGAAAGUCUCAAGAUCAUAGCUACUAACCAAGUGCUGAACAAGAAAGUGAAAGAACUUAGGUUAGAGAAAGAAUAUUUAGAGGCCCAAGUUAGUGAUCUCACCAGUAAGAAUGAUAUGUCCUCUAGGAGAGUAAGUGAGCUAACCGAUGGAAAUAAGACCUUAGCUAUUUGGGUCAAGCACCUUGAAAGUGAGCUUGAGUUGUCUAGUUCUCAGAUACUUGUCUUUUCUAGCAAUUUUGAAAAGCUAGAUAAUAUUUUAGGAAUAGGUAAGCCGAUGGGUGAUAAGGGAGGUCUAGAUUUUAAUAAUAAUGCUGCUAGUAAUUCACAAACCACUUUUGUUCGUGCUACUGACCAAUCUAACACUGUGGUUAGCCCCAUAACUAAUGUUGUGGAAUCUUUAGGACAGAGGUCUACCAAACAUCGUAGGAUCCAUCAACAUAGGAAUAGAACUCAGCGUCACCAUAACCAUAGUGCUAGGUUCAUCCCUACUUACUUUCACUGUGGAGAGUUAGGUCACAUACGCCCUAGAUGUCAUCAGUACUUGAACAAAAAUAGGAACAUGAACUUAAAUGAGAACAAAAAUUAGGUGUCUGUUGGUCAGAUUGGAUUCCUUACUGAGCUAGUGAAUUGUUUGACCAAGUUGGUGACACAACUGUCGGGGAACUGCUCUCUCGCGAGAUAGGUUUGGGUGAAAAGGAGUGAUCUACAGAAUCUGGAAGUGGAUCAUGAUGCUCUUAAAAAAAAUAACACUUAUAUAUCUAGAUAAUUAGGUAUAUGUGAUGCAUGCUUGCUCUUAAUUGACAAACGAGUGUUGCAUGCAUCACAUGAUUUUUGCUUAUUUUUGUCUAAUCUUUUUAUUUUAUGCAUGUGCAUUUUCAUUUUUUUGCUUUGACACAUGCAUAUUUAGUUUAAUCUUUGUGUGCUUGUCUUUAUUUUCUUUUGUGUGUGGAGCAUUCAUUUUAGGAAAAAUGAAAAAUACAAAAAAAAAAAAAUUGAAAAAGAUAAAAACGGUCAGUUAUGAAAAUUGCUAUAGCCUCUCCUCCCGAGCCUCAAUUCAAUCCUAUUGAAUUGAGUAAGGCUCGUACACCCACUGGGGCUGUCUAUCCAUGUAGGGCAGAAUAAUCUUGUGCGCGAACCCAACAAGGUAUGGAUACAGAUAGCGGUUCAUGAGGUCCGCGUGUGCCUCGCUGAAGAUUUUGAUCUUCGAAGUUAUGACCUGAUUUCUUAUGUAAACCAUAAGGAGAGAGUGACAGGUGCUUGGCCUGAUGGUUGAUGACCAACCUUCUCGUGACCUUGCUCGAUUUUCGCGUCUAUAGAGGUGCCCUUAUGUUAUUGUCUUUCGAUCAUUCGGUUUAGUUCUUCAUCGAACCUAUGAUUUCAGGGAUUGCUCCACUCCGAUUGUGUUACUGAUUCCGUUGUCGAAGAACAAUCAGACAUAUAAUUCUGAACUUGCUAGUUGUAAUCAUGUAUGAGCUAAAAUUGAUAAGAUGUAGAGUAAUUUUCAUUUCUUGGUUAGGUCUAUUUUGAUUAAUUUGUAUAAGUAUCUUCAUAUACCGUCUGUACUUUACACACUAUGAACUUUUUAGUGGGACUCUCCCGCGAGUGUGAGAUUUGGGAUGGUUGUCACGUGUUAAUGGGGUGACUUCAAACAUGAAUUGACCAUUUUUUUGUAGACAUUAACGUAAAAAAUUUCUCCCAUUUUAUAUUAGCUCAUAUCUUAAUGUCCUUCUUUGAGGCCUACUUGACUCAAGCAAUUAAGUCUACGGGGUCUCUUAAAACCUAGUAUCUAUCGUCAACUGACUUAGAUUAAUCAAUCUAAAGCUCGCUACGGGGUCAUCUCAGUCGUCUAAUGGAGGAGAUAAAUGAGCCCGGAAUAAAAUGUGAAAAUAUGAUGAGCUGAAAAAUGUGAAAAUGAAAAAAAUAAAUGCUCAUAGUAAGGGGGAGAAAAAAAAUAAGUAUAGGUUCUACUGCACGUCACAUGAUUUGACUUUCAUAAGUAGAUGAAUAUACUUAUUGNNNNNNNNNNNNNNNNNNNNNNNNNNNNNNNNNNNNNNNNNNNNNNNNNNNNNNNNNNNNNNNNNNNNNNNNNNNNNNNNNNNNNNNNNNNNNNNNNNNNNNNNNNNNNNNNNNNNNNNNNNNNNNNNNNNNNNNNNNNNNNNNNNNNNNNNNNNNNNNNNNNNNNNNNNNNNNNNNNNNNNNNNNNNNNNNNNNNNNNNNNNNNNNNNNNNNNNNNNNNNNNNNNNNNNNNNNNNNNNNNNNNNNNNNNNNNNNNNNNNNNNNNNNNNNNNNNNNNNNNNNNNNNNNNNNNNNNNNNNNNNNNNNNNNNNNNNNNNNNNNNNNNNNNNNNNNNNNNNNNNNNNNNNNNNNNNNNNNNNNNNNNNNNNNNNNNNNNNNNNNNNNNNNNNNNNNNNNNNNNNNNNNNNNNNNNNNNNNNNNNNNNNNNNNNNNNNNNNNNNNNNNNNNNNNNNNNNNNNNNNNNNNNNNNNNNNNNNNNNNNNNNNNNNNNNNNNNNNNNNNNNNNNNNNNNNNNNNNNNNNNNNNNNNNNNNNNNNNNNNNNNNNNNNNNNNNNNNNNNNNNNNNNNNNNNNNNNNNNNNNNNNNNNNNNNNNNNNNNNNNNNNNNNNNNNNNNNNNNNNNNNNNNNNNNNNNNNNNNNNNNNNNNNNNNNNNNNNNNNNNNNNNNNNNNNNNNNNNNNNNNNNNNNNNNNNNNNNNNNNNNNNNNNNNNNNNNNNNNNNNNNNNNNNNNNNNNNNNNNNNNNNNNNNNNNNNNNNNNNNNNNNNNNNNNNNNNNNNNNNNNNNNNNNNNNNNNNNNNNNNNNNNNNNNNNNNNNNNNNNNNNNNNNNNNNNNNNNNNNNNNNNNNNNNNNNNNNNNNNNNNNNNNNNNNNNNNNNNNNNNNNNNNNNNNNNNNNNNNNNNNNNNNNNNNNNNNNNNNNNNNNNNNNNNNNNNNNNNNNNNNNNNNNNNNNNNNNNNNNNNUUAAUUAGUGACUUCUUGCUAUUAAUUUUAUUAAUUCCGCACGAAAGAUCGAAUUUGUAACUUGAAAUGUAAAAUGGGUAAGGCAUAAAAUUUGAAUUUAGGAUUAGUGCGUGUUUCAAGCAGUAUCCAGAGCGUUCCUAGAAAUUUCAAGCUCAUUUUGAAUUUAAUGUUCCAAAUAAUGGUCACAAAUUUAUCAUUUUCAAUAACGGGAGAAAAUUUUUUCUUGCAUUAUUGAAUCAAAAAGGUUAUUUAAAUAGCUUAAAGUUGUUCAUUCAGUUCAUUUUUCACUCUAUUUAUUAAACUUCAUUGUAUCACUUGUAGAAAAUUUAUUUAGAUUUUCAUUUUGUGAAUGAACAAGUACUUCAAGCCACUUCUAGUGAUUCAAAUUCUAAAUAUGUCAAUUUUCUUAGUAUGGUGGUAGAAAAAUAUUAUUCAUUUCAUUUCUACCAACGUAUUUAUGAAACAUAUUAGAAAUAGUGGUAGAUUCAAAAUCAACAAUUUGGAGAGAAAAAUAUUGAAAAUAGAUGAGUAAAAAGAACUCAGGGGGACUCGUGGUAGUGUUUCUUAGAAAUGGUGAGUAUUUAUUUUGAUAUCAAUUUAUAGAAAAGUAGUAAAAGUAUAGAAGUUCUUCCAAAUAUGAGGGCCUACAUGACUGCCUCACUUAGUGUUUGAACUGGUAAGGAAUUUUGAUAAAGGAUUAAAUUAAAAGGGGCAACCUGCGUAUUGAUGAGGCGACUUCAGAUCUACGCCAACCUAGUGAGGCAUGGAUAUGCAUUGAUGUUAAUUUGUUGUAUAAGCUUCCAGAUAGGAUUUGGAUUGAGCGUGAAAAGCGCGAAGGAUAUUGGCAGAUAGUUGUGUACGAGAAGAAGCCAGAUUACUAUUUUUGAUGCAGACACUUUCGUCAUGCUGAGGACCAUUUUUUAGUUAGAUCACGCCCUGUACCACCACCAGCUAUAAUUGUUGACCCCAUCCCUAAACAUAAUAUAGAAGUGGCCCACGAUAAGGGAAAAGGAAAUUAGGUUGUCAUAGAACCUCCUAAGAGAUGGUUCCAGUUCAGAGAGACCAGAGGAGACAGCAUGCUACUAGCACAUCUAGAGUCCAGAUUUCGUCUUCUGUAUCUAUUCUUAUUACAUUAGCUACGCUUCCUACUGCCUCUAGCUCAUAUGUUCAGACCAGCUAGCUACUCCUUCAAUAGCUCUUCCAAUUGUUAUAACUUUGCAAAUUAUCAUCACAGUAGCUCAACAGCCCCUCCAGAAUCCCCUUCCGAUUUUGCAGCACCUCCAGCUACUUGGAGGUAGUAUAUCAUCCAGUUACUAUUACAUUUACUCUACCUCUAGUUCCUAUUCCCACUGCUACUACUGAGGUAUCCUCUGAGCCGACACAUAUUAGCUAUCCACCAUUGAAGACACAUACAAAUGGUACUCAAUCAACAUAAGGAUAAGAUACAGGAUCAGUUCCUUAUGCUGCUCUUGCAUAGGGGUUGUUGGCUGAGAUCAGCUCAGAGCGGCAUGGUGUCAAGCAAAUAUUGAUCGAUCACUUUAAGAGGGACCAUGGAAUGAAAGUUGGAUCUACCAUGGGACUUUCCAUUGAGGACUUGUGAUGUGAACCUGGAUAACUAGAUCGCUAUUAAACCCACAAAAAAAUGGCAUAAACCUCAAGAAAGCCAAAAAUCAAAGUUUAUGGAAUUCGACCCACAAUUAUGAAUUAAACAACCAACACAAUCACUAGGAUAUGCUAGCCUUUUGAUUACAAGAUUUAUGAAAUCAUACUUGGAAUUUUAAAGAUUGACUCGAAGAAUAAAAUGAACCAGAAACCAAAGCAAUUACUAGAAUACCUUGAUCUCGUGAUUGUAUAAUCCACGAAUAGCAUUUUGAUUGGUGAAUGCCAUGAGAAAUUAUCCCAAUAAGUUUGAUAAAUUGUUCUCAAAAAAUAAAGAUGGAAGUAACCUUGCCUCUGAUUAAUUCAAAAUACCAAAAGUCCUACAAUGUAUAAUAGGAAAAAGUAUUUAUACUACCCUAGGAAUAAUGAAAAAAAAUGAAUAUUAAGAGUCCUAAACUUAUAAAGUUACCAAAAAUAACAAUUUAAAUCAAAACAGAAUCCUCACGAAAAAAGGAAAAAGUCGCGUCCUGAAUGAACCAUGCGACCGCGUGGUUCUUUUAGCCGCGGUCGCAUGGAAGAAACGUGGGCUGCCUCUUCAAUCCCUAUCCUAGUCUAUGCGAGCGCAUGGGCUUUAAAGCCUUGUGGCCGCAUGGCUUUGUGUGUUGGCCCUAAUUUUGGUUUCUUCCAACGAUGCGUUCUUUAACUUAUCGGCCCUUGACCCUAGCAUUGAACUUGACACUUGAUAUGUUAUCUUCAACCCCAUGUGCCUCGCUUCUUGAGUAUGCAUUUAUAUGACCUUGGGUAUCAUCAUUGUUCCAUAUUACUCCCAAUUGAGCCCCUUGCACCUUUUCCAUGAACUUUGCUCCCUUGAUUGAUCUUGAUCGACCCAGGAUCAUAUCAAUUUGGUUUUCAAGCUAUUUGGUGAGGAACUUUCUAUGAGUAAAACUCCUACAUAUAAACCUUCACUUAGUCCUUCUAUCACGACUCCUACACAAAAUAAGGUAAAAGCACAUAUAUAGAGAGACAUGGAUGGCAUGGGCCUUGGAGACUACGUGCAAAAUGCAAAGGACGAUGUAGCCAUAGUCAUCAAAUCACUCUCCCAUGCUUCAGAUGUUGUAGCACAGAGCACCAUAAGAUCAAACGCACAUGCAACUAGCACUAUGAGAUUAGAUGUACUCGCUUUUAGCCCGACUUUUAGUUCACCAUCAUGUGGACAACAUUUUUCACCUAGGCAAGCCUCUUCAUGUAGGCGAGACCCCUCUCCAAUGAGCGAGCCAGACUACACAGACUACUAUGAUCCAAAAAUGUUUGAAACCAGGCUCAUGACCCAAUUAAUGUCUAUGUACUACCACCCAAAGAUCUACCAUUGGGAAUACCCUUGAGUAGUUUUAAUUAGUUUUUGUUCAUAUCUUGUUUACUGUUGAUUGCAAUUCAUUUUGAGAUAUUUGUUGCAAUUUACAUUUACUAGAGGUCAGGUCUGUGCCUCCUCUUCUAUUUGUAUUCUCGUUAUUAUUGUAUGAAAUAAUCCAUACUAGUGGUAUUUGCUAUAAAAAAAAAAGUCUUGACUGAAAAUAAAAAUAAAAAUUCUUUAAAUUUGAGUGAUAUUUCCUUUUAUGAUUGGUGCAAUAAAUGAGUGAUACAAUAUUAAAAUUAGAAAUUUCAUCUCAAAAUGUCAAUAUUAUUACGAUCAGUACCCGAAUCUUUUAUAUGUUGGUUAAUAUAUAUUUAACUGAUGUAGAAUUAUGUUAACAUCUAUAUUAAUACACAAAUACAUACUCUGUGAGAGAGAGAAAGAGAGAGACCAAGUUCAUUACUGUUUACUUUACCACCUGCAUUCCGAGCUUCUUUGACCUACAGUAAUUAAUUACGUGUUGGCAUGAGUUGUCAACAUACAAUAUUGAAAUAUGGUAGGGGUGGGUUAUUCCCCAGUUGUAAUAUAAAAUUUCCUUUGUUUAGCCGGAUUCUUAACCUAGAAUAGCUCUCUUUAUUUUACUCUCUACACUAUAUAUGUAUAUGAUUUUAUUCAUUCAAAAAAUAAGAAAAAUAAUCCCUUUGUUAUCAUGGUAUCAAAGCAAAAAAGCCUAGGAUUUCUGCUACAGCAAACACGUUACCAAAACUGAUCAGAAAUUAUGGUAGAACCUAAAUACGUGGUGGCAGACCAGAGACAUGAUGAGAACUCUACUACAACCAUCCUCGAUGAUUUAAUGACUCGACUAAUGUAAGCCCUAACCCAAAAUCAAACCAAGAAUUAAGUGCAGACCUAUGAACCUCCUGCUGCGCCGAUUGGGAUCAGGCUAGAUGGAUUAAACUAUGGUUUAUGGUCCCAAGUUGUUGAGAUAUCUAUCUCUGGCAAGGACAAAUUGGGAUAUAUUAAUGGAGACAUUCUAGAACCUGAAUCAUCAGACCCCAUGUUUCGAAAAUGGAGAAUCGAAAAUACAAUUUUGAAGGGAUGGAUAAUUAAUUCCAUAGACCUGACUCCAAUCGGAAAUUUUAUUCGAUUUUCUACUGCAAAAAUGGUGUGGGAUGCAAUUGCUACUAUUUAUUUCGAUGGAACAAACACUUCUCAAGUGUAUGGUUUGAAGAAACAUGUGACAAGAAUGAGACAAGCAGGAGGAUCCAUUGAAGAAUAUUACAAUGGUCUACAAGGCUUGUGGAGAGAUAUUGAUUUUUGUAGGUCAAACCCAAUGGAAUGCCCUGCUGAAAUAAAGAUAUACAACUUGGCUAUAUAGGAAGAUAGAGUCUAUCUCUUUCUUGAUGGGUUGGAUGAUCACCUAGAUAAAAUUAGGGCUGAUGUGUUCCAAAUCCGACCAUUCCCGACAGUUGAACAAGCUUAUGCUCAUGUUCAAAGAGAGGCUAUACGACAAUAUGUUAUGAAUUCAAACAUAGAACAUACACAUGCCACUGCUAUGGCCUCAAAAGGAGUUAAGACAUGACCAACACUCCAAAUAUCCAAGGGUGGACCUUCUUCAACAGGUGGUGGAAAGGCCAAUACAACCUAUAAGGGAAAAACACAAUCCAACAGAGGUUGUAUACACUGUGGGAACAUAAAGCAUGAUCGUGAAACCUAUUUCAGGUUAAACCCAAAGUGGUGGAAUGAACUUAAAGCACGAAAACAGGGUGAAUAGAAAGCUAACACCAAUGGUGAACCGAGACGAGCUGCUUGGGCAAAGGCAGAACAUUUACUUUCUUUUUACCCCACUGAUGGAACCAUCAGAUGAGUCAAAUUCUCUCAAUAACCAAGAUAAAUGCGGUCUUGCAUUAUUCGGUUCCAGUCAAGAUAAUUAUGGUGGUUGGAUUGUUGACUCGGGGGCAACCGAUCACAUGACCUUAGAUAGUAACGACUUUUCUAAGAUUACCCAACCAAAACGAAGUAGCGUUGCUAAUACUAAUGGAGUCACAUACCCUGUUAUAGGAGCUGGAACCGUUGGUUUAUCACCUUCUCUCUCUUUAUCCAAUACUUUACUUGUUCCAUCUCUCUUAAAUAAGUUAGUGUCCAUAGCCCAAGUCACUAAAGAACUAAAUUGUGUUGCUUUAAUAUAUCCUAAUUUUUAUCUCUUUCAGGAUAUUCUCACAUAGGAGAUCAUUGGGCAUGGCACUAAGAGAGGGGUUGUACCACAUAGAUGAUUUCAGCCUGGGGAAAACAAAUUAAACCUUAUAUCCUAUGCAAUUAGGAGUUCAACUUAUCUUAACGUGUGCAUGCAUGGAUAAUGAUAACUUAAUUGGAAACAAAUCAAUUCAAAGAAACGUAUUUAAUAUGUAUUUUUUAUAAUGUACCUUUUAAGAUAAUUAGCAAAAGAUUAUAAUAUUUUAUUAUACAAUCAAGUUUAAAAAUCUUAUUUAAAUUCUGUUUCCUCCAUUAGAUAUAUUAUUUUAAGAUUUAAUCUUAUCCCAAGUCUAUUUUUUUCAUUUGAAAUCCAUUGUAACAAAAGUUGGUUUCCACUUUUGGUGUGCGUGACUAGCAAAAGGCUUGUAUCUUUUAAGAUAAUUAGGAAAAAAAUAUAAUAGUUUAUUUAUAUAAUUAUAAUUACCAUAACUUGGAAAAUGAUUUAAUCAUAUCUCUGCCUUUCCAUUUGAAAUCCAGUACCAUAACAGAAUCAGUUUUCUCAUCCGUGUUGAACACGUGUUGUAUAUAAUUUAAUUUUCUCCUACAUUUGUAUGUGUUGGGUAUAAUUAUAUAUAAUGUAAUUUAUCUCUGUUUUAAUCCUAUCACUUGUGUUAUCCUUAUUUUGACAAUGAUUACUCUUGAUUUAUAAUUGUUCUUCAUAUAAUUUGGAUAGAUUUCAAUCUUAUAGAGGAUAAUAACUAACACAAUCCUGACCUAUAUCAGCUACUCUAUGUUUGCCUGUAAAUACUUUUGCCAUACACAUAUUUUUACCAUGAACCCCAUUUCCUUAGUUUUAAUUUCAUCCUUUAAGUUCAGUAGAAAUCCCCUAUUAUAUUCAUAUUCUACCAAAAUUAUAAUUCUCUUGCCUCUUUUCCAUCUAUUACAUGCACAUACAAUUCGUAAGCAAGAGAUAAAAGAAAACAAUUGGAACGUGACUCUUGAAUUUCUUUCAACAUUUAUUUGAUAAGGUAGGAUACUAUGUGCAAAUGAUUUAUCCUUGCAAUAUUAUAAUUUUUUUUACGUGAUUUAUUUCAUGAAAUGCUAAUUGACCUGCGGGUCCUUAUGAAAUGAAAUGUGAGAUCUCCUUCGAGUCUUCUCAAAUAUGUUAGAGUAUUCGAUGGAUCAUCGACUGCUCUUUAUGAAAUGAUGAUAUGAAAUGUUGUAAAUUCAUGUUUUAAAAAUUAUCAUAUUGUUUUGGACGUAUGUAUCCUAUUGAGUAUAAAAUACUCACUCCUUCAAUUUUAAAAUUUCAAGUUAGACAAAUCGACGUGGAUAGUGGCUGAGUGGUGCACGGGUUGCCAAGUAAAGAAACUUGACAAGAAAAUAUUUUAAAAUAAUUCUAUUAGGAUAUUAUGUGUUUCGGUUUAAUCCCGUUUAAUUUUCUAUGUUUACGUGACAUUAUUUUGGUAUUUGAGUAUUUAAUAUAUUAAGAGUUUUAAAGUUCCAAUUUAUAUUUUUGCUUGAUGUAUGUUUAUGAAAUGAUAUCAGAAAUACCUCAAAUUCUAGUCGAUAAAAUUUGGGGCGUUACACGAAGUAUCCAAUUGCCAACUAUAUAUAGACUCAAAAAUUGGAGAAACCCUUCAAGGUAUUUGUAUACAGUUUGCCUACAUGCCAGAUUCCUAAUGGAAUACAACAGGCCUUAGAGGAUCCAAAGUGGGCUCAAGCGAUAAAAGAAGAAAUGGAAGCACUACAAAAAAAUAAAACAUGGAAUCUUCUUUCAUUACCAGAAGGAAAGAAGAUAAUAGGGUGUAAGUGGGUUUCUCCAUCAAACAUAAGGCUAAUGGGUCCAUUGAAAGUUACAAGGCAAGACUUGUGGUGAAAGGAUAUACACAAACUUAUGGCAUAGACUAUGAAAAGACAUUUUCUCUGGUGGCAAAUCUAAACCAUGUGAGGGUCUUAUUAUCUCUUGCAGCAAAUUUAGAUUGACCACUACACCAGUUUGAUGUAAAGAAUGCCUUCCUUCAUGGUGAUCUUGAAGAAGAGGUUUAUAUGGAUAUUCCAUCAGGAUGCAGCAUUUCUUCAAAAUCAGGGGUUGUAUGCAAAUUGCAACGAUCACUAUAUGGACUAAAACAAUCAACCCGCGCAUGGUUUGGUCGUUUUAGCUUGGCUACGAAGAAACGUGGUUUUCAACAAAGCAACUUAGAUCAUACUUUAUUCCUGAAGCAUAGACGGGGAAAGGUAACAACUCUAAUAAUACAUGUGGAUGACAUGAUUAUUACAAGAAAUGACAUGGAAGAGAUCGACAGACUUCAAAAAAAUUUGGCAAAUGAAUUUGAAAUGAAGAACUUUGGGGGCCUAAAAUAUUUCUUAGGGAUUGAAGUAGCCAGAUCAAGAAAGGGUAUAUUUUUUUUCCCAAAGAAAAUAUGUGUUAGAUUUAUUAUCCUAAGUGGAUCUUCUUGACUGUAAAUUAGCCGAUACCCCAAUUGCUCAGAAUCAUAAGCUUGGAGAAUACCCAGAUCAAGUCCCAACUAAUAAGGAGAGAUAUCAAAGAUUGGUUGGAAAACUAAUUUAUUUAUCCCACACUCGACCUGACAUUACUUAUGCAAUGAGCAUAGUGAGUGAAUUUAUGCACUCACCAAGUAAAGAGCAUAUGGGUGCAGUAAUUCGAAUUCUUCGAUAUUUGAAAUCUGCACCAGGGAAAGGACUUAUGUUCUUCUAGAACAAUCACCUCAAUGUCGAUAGCUAUACCGAUGCAGACUGGGCUGGUAGCAUAUCUGACAGGAAGUCUACAUCAAGCUACUUUACAUUUGUAGGAGGCAAUCUUGUCAUGUGGAGAAGCAAGAAACAAAAGGUGGUGGCUUUAUCAAAUGCUAAAGCUGAGUUUAGAGGCAUAGCCAAAGGACUUUGUGAACUCCUUUGGCUUAGGAUGUUAUUGACUGAGAUUGGCUUUGCAUCCAAAUCUGCAAUGAACUUAUUUUGCGACAAUAAGGGAGCCGUUGACAUUUCUCAUAAUCCAGUUCAGGAAGAUAGGAUGAAACACGUUGAAGUGGAUUGACAUUUUAUCAAUCAGGAUCUCAAAUCAAAGAUAGUUCUCUUCCCAUUUCUAAAAUCUGAAGAUCAAUUAGUAGAUAUACUGACGAAAGCUAUCUCCAGCAAGGUCUUUCACGACUCACUUAACAAGUUGGGCAUUUACAAUAUCUAUGGACCAACUUGAGGAGAAGUGUUGGUGUGAGUUGUCAACAUACCAUAUUGAAAUAUGGUAGGGAUGGGUUAUUCCCCAGCUGUAAUAUAAAAUUCCCUUUGUUUAGCUGGAUUUUCAGCCUAAAAUUGCUCUCUUUAUUUUGCACUCUACACUAUAUGUGUAUGAUUGUAUUCAUUCAGAAAAUAAGAAAAAUAAUCCCUUUGUUAUCAUUACGAAACCCAUAAAACAAAUUAUAUAUCCAGAAAUUAAGAAGAAGAAAAUUUUUUAAUUACAUGUUAACGGACAUUCUGACAUAUGUACUCGCGCAUUGUAACAAUGGUUUUGGCGAAUCUUUAUUAUUCCUAGCAACAAUGGAAUAUUUAAUAAGGUGUAUUUAAUGGUACUGAAUAAUAUUAACAAAGUAAUAACUAUAGGCUACAGAAUUGUUUAUUUUUCUGUCCAAUUUUGCUUGCUACAAAAUAAUAAAAUAUACUAAUAACACACUUGAUAUGCCGAUGUUAUAGCGCCAAAGAUAAACUCCUAGAAAAAUUAGAUUGUUUGGCCUCCAUUUCGGUGGGAUAUGUUAGGAUUGUGACUCAAAUAGGAGUUUUGAAGUGGCAUAAUUCGACUUGAACUCUUAAAGCAUUGGAUUAGGGUUCAAGGAAACGAAGUUGAACAAAGAGAGGAGUUCUUGUUCUUCACGGUGAGAUGUAUGCGGUCACAUUCACAUGCCAUCACACCACGUGACCAAAUGGUAAAUGGCAGAGAGUUUUCAGCCUCUAUUAUGCAACCGCAUGAGAUGUAAUAUGCGGUUGCAUAGUACAUUUCUAGGCGCCGUCCUUGUUUUUCAAUUUUUAAGCAUUUUAACCAAAUUGUAAUAUAUUUUCUUACCCUUUAGGACUCUAUCAGGGUUUUGAUUGUGUACUAUAAAUAAGAGGCUCCUUUGCUAGUUUAUGUAGAAGCAAUUUUGCUAAAUUGUACUUGUUUUCUCCAUAUUGUUGAAUAAUAAAUAUCAUUCCUCCGCGAUUAAAUCUUUUGUUCUUCUUUACGUUAAAUCUUGUUUCGUGGUGUGAUCUUGAAUACUUCAUAAUUGUCAUUAAAUCUCAUUCUUUACAAUCCAUUUGGGUCCAACAGGAUCCAUCGGAAUGAAUGGGAUGACAAAUUUAACUAAUAUUACAAAGAAAUAUUUUGAACAUUACGUAUAGAUGUGACGACAUAGUUGGUUGGCCCAUCACAAAUCCCUUUGAUAUAUAAUCUUGCAUUCCGAUAAUGGUUUUAGAGUAUUUUCAUUUUUUUUUUCACACAUUAGUGGCAUGUUUGAUAAGAUGGUUGUAAAAUAGAGAUCACUGAUAACAAACUAAAAAUAGGCUAAACUCUUGUCCAUUCUUCCAUUCAAUACGACCUAGGAAAACAUACAAUAAUUGGUUGCUAUCACCUGAUAUGCCGAUGUAGCAACACCAAAGAUAAAAUUAUUGGGAAAACUAGAGCGUUCAACUGCAAUUUCGGAUGGAUCCAUUGGAAUGACCGGGAUAAGAUAUUAUAGUUAGCUGGGAUAGGUGUGUGGUUCAUCUAAUCCAUGUACUCUAAUUAUAGACUCUGAACCUAAUUUUGACUAAUUUGAUGGUUUUAACCGAAUUCGAGUAUUUUGACCAAUUUGGGUAUUUUUACCAUAUUUGGAUUCCAGUGAAAAUUAAGGGUUAACAUCAAUCUGGGAAAUCAGGGUUUGAACUUAAUCUAAUUUCAAUUAAAAUUAGGGCCUCACUUCAAAAAUAAAGUUUGACUUAAUUCUGAUUUUUAUUCAAUGUUGGAUUUUCGAUUAAAAUUAAAAUCAAAUUUUGCUAUCAAAUUAAUUAAUUAGUACUUAGUUUGAUAUAUGAAUAGAACUAUCAAACUGUAGUUUGAUUUGCUACUUUCAUCGUAUCUAAAGUUUUUAAUUUUGUAUAAUAUCCAAAACUUAUUUGGUUUGGUAUUUUAGGAUUAAAUUUAUAACAUAAAACUCAAAACAUAUUUUUUAAUGUUUUUAGUGUUUUUAGUAAAACCAUAAAACAUGAAAAAUAAAACUAAUCUAAUUCCUCCUUCCUUUAUUUGGAAAAUGACAGAAUUUUUAUUUGCUAAUCGUGUUCAACUAUAAAAUUGCAACUUAUUUCAUUUUUGUCCCUACUUCAUGAUUUUGGUAAUUUUUUGUCCAAAUCUUCAAUAUUGAUCCUAUAACUUUCAAAAGCUUCCACAUUGGUCCAUGAACCUGAAUAAUCUUUUAAAAUUCGUACUCCAAAAGUUCUACAAAUGUGCAAUUUAGUCUUGAUUUUUCGAUAAAUUGUAUUUCACUCCUGAUUUUUCCCUAAUACUUAUAAUUAAUCCUCUACAAUCCUCUUAGCCUUCAUUUCCUCCAAUUCAACUCCAGUCAGGCUAAAAUGAUUCAAUAGUUGUUUGUAUUUUAUUUUUGUAGUGGAAUUGUUUUUUAAGAUUCAUUAACUUUAAAAUUAUAUAUUACUUGAUGAUAUAUUAGCAUAAAAUUUCCUAUUUUUCCGAAUAAAUUCAGUGACUAAAAUGUCAUAAAAUAAUUUCUAAAAAUGCCAAACUAAUUAAAUAUGCUUUUCAGUUUUCUGCUUUGAGCAACAGUUUUCAGGAUCACAAACCGUUGCUACCUUUCCAAUCUUAUGUUUCUCCAUUGGUAAUAAAAGUUAGAUUUUGACAUUGUUGAAUUUUAAAGAAGACAAAGUCUUCGCACAAUAAAACUAGAGAGCAGAGAACCUAAUUGCUUCUUGGUGUCUUUAUUCAUCAAUCAAAUGGCCUUUAUAUAGGCAUUAACACAACAGAUAAAAGCAAGAAAAAAGGAACUGACUAACAAAUCCUAUAGACUUGGUAAUUACAAAACUAACUAGCUAAUGAUGCUAAAGAUUAGGUCAACAUGUAAAUUACUUAUUCAACAAUCCCUCCCUUAAAUUCAUGAUUAUAAUAUCAUUUAUUUCUUCAGCGUGCAAACUCCAAGCAAUUUCCCCAGCUUCUGAAAUGCAUCCAAUUUAAUGGCUUUUGUAAACAUAUCAGCAACUUGAUCAUCUCCUUUGCAGUAAAUAAGAUCAAUGGUUUCAUCAAAAUGAUACCUUCCAUCAAUAUGUUUGCUCCUUCCAUGUAGAACAGGAUUCUUGGACAACUUUAUAGCUUAAGUGUUAUCACAGUAGAUGUGAGUGGGUCCUUCUUGCUUGAAACAAAGAAACUCAAGAGUCCUCCAUAGCCAAAUUGCUUGACAUGCACAUGCUAUUGCUGCCACAAACUCUGCUUCUGUAGUUGACAAUGUUACAAUGGCUUGCUUCCUUGAGGACCAUGAGACUGCUCCUGUCCCAUCAUAAACCAGAUGUGCUUUUUCUAUCCUAUGGAUCACCAACAUAGUCACCAUAUGUAAAACCAAAUAAAUAUGAUUUUUCACCUCUUUCGUAAAGCAAACCAUAAUCAGCGGUGCCUUGUAAGUAUUUGAAAAUUAUUUUUGAAGCCAAGAGAUACAUCUCCUUUGGACACUUCAUAAAUCUGCUGAUGAGACUAACAACGUACAUUAUGUCAGUCCUUGUUCUUGUUAAAUACAUCAAGCUUCCUACGAUUUUCUUGUAAAGAGUAUUGUCAAUAUCUCUUCCUUUAGGUCCUUUGAUGAGCUUCACAUUUAUUUUUGUUGGUGUGCUAACACGAUUACAUUCAUUCAUUCCAAACUUGUCAAGAAUUUCUAGCACAUACUGUUCUGAGAGAUAAAAAUGCCAACAGUAGAUUGAACCACCUCUAUGCCAAGAAAGUAAUGUAUCAUGCCAAGAUCAGACAUAUCAAAUUCAAUCAUCAUGGACUUCUUAAAGUUCUUAAACAUGACCAGAUCAUUUCUAGCGUAGAUUAAGUUAGCUACAUACAUGCAAACCAUGAGCAUCUUGCCAUUAUCCUCCAAUUUCAUGAAAAGUGUGUGUUGAUAAGGACAUUUUUUAAAUCCUUCCUUCAAAAAAUAAGCUUUGAUAUGACUGUACCAAACUCAUGGGGUUUGUCAUAACCCAUAUAAAGCUUUUUUUUAGCUUAAGCACUUUACAUUCUUUUCCAAUCUUAACAUAUCCAGGAGGUUGAUUAACAAAUACUUGCUCUUCCAAGUCUCCAUGUAAGAAUGCUGAUUCAACAUCUAGUUGAAAAAUACACCAACAAUUUUGUAUUGCUAAUGCAAUCACCAAUCUGAUUGUGUCGUACCUUACAACUGGAGCAAAAACUUCUUUGUAGUCGAUGUUGAAUUCUUGUUUGUAGCCUUUGGCAACCAAGCGCGCCUUGUAUUUAUCAACUUCACCAUUUUCUUUCAGUUUUGUCUUGUAGACCCAUUUUACACCAAUAGUCUUCUACCCUUGAGGAAGUUCAGUCAAUGUCCAAGUAUUAUUAUUUUCAAUGGCUAUAAUUUCAUCAUCCAUUGCCUUUCUCCAUUUUGAUUGUUUGACAGCUUCUUCAAAAAUCAUAGGAUCACAAUCUGAAAAUAGAACAAAGUGUGCAAGUGAGUUUUCGAAUUGGUCAAUCCCUGUGAACUCAUAUUCAGCCAUCCAUGUGGGUUUUCUUCGGAAAUGUUCUGAUCUUGGUAUGCUAUGGACCCUUCUUGGAUAACUGUGGGUUGUGGUUCUUACUCUACAAUCUGCCGCCCUUCAAUAUGCUACCCUUCUUCAUUUUCUCCAUCAAUGUUUGUAGGGAGUUGUGAUGUUACUCCGUCUUCAUUCCAUGGCCACUUUCUUUCUUCAUUAAAGACUACAUCUCGACUGAUGACAAUCCUUUUAGUGAUAGGAUUAUAUAACUUGUAAGCUUUCGAAUGAUCACUAAUACCAAGAAAGACACAUUUUUCUCCUUUGUCAUCCAACUUCUUCCUGUUCUCAUUAGGUAUGUAAGCAUAAGCUAUACCUAAAAAUUAUCCACAUCUGGUCUUCGUCCUUUCCAAGCUUCCUCAGGUGUUAUAUUUUUAACAACAAGUGUAGGACUUCUAUUCAAUAUAUGAACACUCCAACUAACAGCUCUAGGCUCAAAACUUUUUGAAACACCACUCCUUAGCAAGAUGCUUCGCACCAUAUUUAAAAUUGAGCGAUUCUUCCUUUCACAAACGCCAUUUUGCUGAGGAGUGUAAGCUGCUAUAAGUUGCCUUUUAAUUCCAUGAGUCUCACAAGAUUUUGCAAAUUCCUGUGAGUUGUACUCUCUACUGCGAUCAGUACGAAGUAUUUGUAUUUCCUGCCCACCUCAUUUUCAACAUGCACUUUAAAGUUUUAAAAGCUGCAAAAGCUUCAAAUUUUCCUGUAAAAAAUACACCCAUGUUUUUCGACUAAAGUCGUCAACAAAGGUGAUUAUGUAUCUUUUACCUCCAUUAGAACAUGGUGUUAUUGGCCCACGAAUAUCAUAAUGAAGUAUUUCCAAUGCCUUAUUUGCUCUACAUGAUUUGCCUAGGGGGAAUGGAUUACGGUGUUGUUUGCUAACAACACAUUUUUCACGAGCUUCAGAAGGAGUUGUAAUUUGAGGAAGGCCUAUCACCAUAUGUGUUCUCAACCCACCAAAAUUUAGAUGACCAAAUCGAAAAUUCCAAAGCCAAACCACAUCUUGUAGUUUUGCUAUGAAGCAUGAUUGAUGAGUAUUAUUAAGAUAUACAUGAAACAUUUUGUUUGUAGUCAUUGUGGCUUGAGCAAUUAAACCUAAAUUAUCAUCUUGAACUUUGUAAACUGUUAGACAUCAUGUUGUCAAACGACCUCCCUGGCGAUGAUGAAAACUAAUUUAUCAGUCGACAUGAAUGAUUGAACGAUAAAUCAACACCGAAUAAUGGAUGAACCGACCUAGCGUUGCUUUACCUAUUGGAUGGCUAAUAAUCUUUGUGGCUUGUUGAUUUUCUAUUGGGACUUAACCCUAGUCGAACCUACUUACCAUAUUGUGACUUACCUUAUGUUGGCCAAUGAACUAAUAUAUAUAUUGGUAAUUGGUUCUUCUCCUGUGUGCCGUGCUUGAAGAGAACUCGAGAGAGAGAGGCGUUAUUCUUCUUCUUCUCCUUCAUACAUCCUGCCAAUUUAUCUUCCCUACCAAUUGCUUGAGGCUUUGUAACUCUUACCUGUGUGGUAUCCAUCCUAAGUGUGUGGUAGAAUCAACAAGCAAAAGAGAAAAGCAACCAUAGGAAGUGAGCAGUCCGGCGGUCGUUCAUCUCUCGGUUUGGUGUUUGAAUUUGAUGUUUAAUGGUUAACUGAGCCCGGAAAUCACUUUGAGCAGCUUGAGGAAGAUCCUAACAUCUGGUAUCAGAGCUUGGGUAGCAAAAAUUGGCUCAAAAUCGGCUGAUUUUUGGACAUGAACCUUAGAACCCGAAUCUGAAAAUUUCCAAUUACUCACAAACCAAAGCUCGGUUGGACAAACGGAGGCCAUACCCAUCACCAGCAGGUCGAGGCGCUCCCGGAGAGGCGGCGCGUGGACGAAGGCGACGGCGGGUGGGCUGACGGCGGCAGCACGUGGGCGACUGUCCAGCGACGUUGUCUUCAGGUAACUUGCUUGUUUCGAUCUCCUGAAUGCGCUGAUAUACUUUGUUUUGUGUUUCAGGUUACACAGAAAAAGUUGGACGAUUUUGCCCCUGUGCGACGCCGGCUGAAAUUCAACAGCAAGCUCGUUUUUCUCCACUCUACGGACUCAGAUAGGUCCGCGCUGGUAAAUUGGCUUAAUCCAUUUAAAUUCAGCAAUAGCAAGAUCAUCGUGCGGGGUGAUCGUUAGGUUUUGGGGUUACCGUGAAGGGGUAACCAUUGCUUGUGCUAGAACUAGGAUUACUUGCUUUUAUUGAGUGCUUGUUCUUUUGAUUUAAAGUGCUUGGUAUUUCUUGGUGGACGUAGCGUUUAGGUUAAUUGUUACUUUUACUAAGAAUUAACAAGAUAUUAUCUUAUCACGCUUCCCAAUACUACUUCGUGUGGCUUAAUUAGUGUGUUAACCAAUGACAACACAUAAUUUUGAUUUGGAAAUUUUUAACGGUAAAGGGGACUUCUUUAUCUGGCAACAAAAGAUGAGAGGCAUAUUAGUCCAACAAAAGGUGUCAAAAGUCAUCGAAGGCAAUUUUGCACCUGAUAUCUCAAAAGAACAAAAAGAGGAAGUCGAUGAGCUUGCCUAUACCUCAAUAAUAUUACACUUGUCUGACGCUGUCUUAAGAAAAGUGGGAAAACUAAAAACCACCAAAGAACUUUGGAAAAGACUAGAAGACUUAUACUUGCUUAAAUCUGUACCGAAUAAACUCUACCUACUCGAACGAUUCUUCAGCUUUAAAAUGGAUCCUUCAAAGGAUCUCGACGACAAUUUAGAUGUAUUUAAAAAAUUGGUGCAAGAUAUUGUCAAUUGUGACGAAGCCGUGUCUGAAACCUAUAAGGCCAUUAUCUUGCUCAAUUCAAUCCUNNNNNNNNNNNNNNNNNNNNNNNNNNNNNNNNNNNNNNNNNNNNNNNNNNNNNNNNNNNNNNNNNNNNNNNNNNNNNNNNNNNNNNNNNNNNNNNNNNNNNNNNNNNNNNNNNNNNNNNNNNNNNNNNNNNNNNNNNNNNNNNNNNNNNNNNNNNNNNNNNNNNNNNNNNNNNNNNNNNNNNNNNNNNNNNNNNNNNNNNNNNNNNNNNNNNNNNNNNNNNNNNNNNNNNNNNNNNNNNNNNNNNNNNNNNNNNNNNNNNNNNNNNNNNNNNNNNNNNNNNNNNNNNNNNNNNNNNNNNNNNNNNNNNNNNNNNNNNNNNNNNNNNNNNNNNNNNNNNNNNNNNNNNNNNNNNNNNNNNNNNNNNNNNNNNNNNNNNNNNNNNNNNNNNNNNNNNNNNNNNNNNNNNNNNNNNNNNNNNNNNNNNNNNNNNNNNNNNNNNNNNNNNNNNNNNNNNNNNAGACAACUUCACCGGUAAAAUUGAAAACGGUAUGUUUAAAAUGAUGAAGGGUGCGUUAAUCUCUAUUAAGGGAAUCAAGAAAACGACAUUUGCAUCACUACUGGGGAAGUGAUUAGAGGAUUAAACUCCUCUAUUUCUUCCGCCAAAAUCGAUCACACUCAUACAUGGCAUAGUAGGCUCGCACACGUAAGCAUUAAAGGACUUAAGCUACUUAAUGAAAAAGGUGCAUUUGGUAAUGACUGUGUGUCUGACCUAUCGUUCUAUAAUCACUGUGUGCUUGGAAAGCACCAUAGAGUGUCGUUCUCCACUAGUACGCAUAAGGCUAAAAGCAUGCUUGAAUAUGUGCAUUCUGAUCUGUGGGGUCCUGCUAGUAAUCCCACAUCGGGUGGGAAUAGGUAUUUCCUAUCUAUCAUAGAUGACUACACCAGGGAAAGUGUGGGUCUAUCUAUUGAAAGACAAAAUUGAAACCUUCCAUAACUUUAACAACUGGAAGAAACAAAUGGAAAACCAAACUAGCAAGAGGAUCAAAUUUUUAAGGACAGAUAACGGCCUAGAAUUCUGUAAUGCUGAAUUCGAUAGGAUGUGUAAAGAAAGUGGAAUAACAAGGCACAAAACGGUUCCUUAUACUCCCUAGUAAAACGGGGUAGCAGAAAGAAUGAAUAGGACCAUAUAGACAAAGUGCGCUGCAUGAUGUUAAGUUCUGGGGUUCCUAAGUCAUUUUGGGGUGAAGCCGUUGUCACUGCCUGUUAUUUAAUAAAUUUGACUCCAUCGGCUGCAUUAAAUGGUGAUACUCCACAUGAGAAAUGGUCUGAAAAAUUGGGUGACUACUCAAUGCUUAAAGCGUUUGGCUGUGCUGCCUUUUCUCAUCAAAGUGAGGGAAAGUUAGAACCUAGAGCCAGGAAAUGUGUCUUUCUAGGAUAUCCCGAAGGGGUUAAGAGCUAUAGGCUAUGGGAUAGAAACCAAAAAGGAGUUAAAAUCAUCGUGAGUAGGGAUGUCACAUUUAAUGAGAGUGAGAUGCCUUGUCUAAAGAAUGAAACCGAACCUAUAAGUGAAACUGAAUCAAGUGAAGAAAGAAAUCGGUUUAAGGUGGAGUUAGGAAAAUUUAACACAUCAGUACCUAGUACUUCGAGUGAGGUGGAGAUUCAGGUCCAAGAACCUGAAGAGAAAAAUGAAGUAGUGAUAGAAGAACAUCCUGAGGAAGAAAAUCCAUUAGCUAACUAUAACUUAGUUAGAGAUAGAGAGAGAAGACAAUCGAGAGAACCUAGGAGUUUCGAGUAUGAAUCUGAAUUGGAUUUUGCAUACGCUAGUUACGAAGAACUAGUUGAUAGGGAGCCAGAAACUUUUGAAGAGGCUAUGAAUAGUGGUCAAUCUAAGGAGUGGCUUAAGGCUAUGAAAGAAGAGAUGAGUUCUCUAGAAAAGAAUCAAACUUGGGAGUUAGUACUGAGACCUAAGAAUAAAUCAAUCGUUGAUUGCAAGUGAGUCUUUAAGGUUAAGGAAGGUACUAGUAGUACAGAACCCUUAAGAUUUAAGGCUAGGUUAGUAGCAAAGGGUUGCACACAGAAAGAAGGUGUUGAUUAUAACGAGAUUUUCUCACCAGUUGUCAAGUACACUACUAUUAGGGUCAUGCUCGCAUUGGUUGCGCUCUUUGACUGGGAACUUGAACAACUCAAUAUAAAAAUCGCUUUUUUACAUGGAGAGCUUGAUGAACAAAUCUUUAUGAAUCAACCAAAAGGUUUUAAAGAUAAGUUAAAACCUGAUUAUUUGUGUUUUCUGAAAAGAUCCCUAUACGGUCUAAAGCAAUCACCUAGACAGUGGUACAAGAGGUUUGAUUUCUUUGUACUCACUAUAGGAUUUCAAAGAAGUAAAUUCGAUCACUGCCUAUACUUUUAACACAACGAGACUGAUAACAAUUAUUUGUUCUUGUUGCUCUAUGUGGACGACAUGCUUUUAGUUGGAUCAUCUCCUAAGUGGAUAAACAAUAUAAAAGCAUAUCUGAGUGGAGAAUUUGACAUGAAAGACCUAGGAAAGGCUAAAAGGAUUCUAGGCAUGGAAAUAGAAUGAAAUAGGUCAAAUUCCAUCGUAUUCUUGCAUCAAUCUCCAUACAUAUCAAAGGUGUUGAAAAAGUUUAAUAUGAGUGACUGCAAACCUAUCACGUUGCCUCUUGCAAACCAUUUUGUUCUAUCAAAAGAACAAGCUCCCUGCAAUGAACGUGAAGUGGAAUACAUGAGUAAAAUUCCAUACUCAAAUGUGAUUAGUUCCAUAAUGUAUUUGAUGGUUUGCACUAGACCGGACUUAGGAUUCGCUGUUAGUACUCUCAGUAGGUACAUGUCUAAUCCAGGUCCUGAACAUUGGGAAGCAUUAAAGUGGCUUUUAAGAUAUUUGAAGGGUACAAGUGACGUAGGUCUAAAAUUUAGUGCUAAUAAGGAAGGCGUGAAAUUAAAAGGUUUUGUAGAUGCUGACCAUGCAGGAGAUAGGGAUGGUAGGAAAUCAACUUCCUCUUACGUAUUCACCUUAUCAAAUUCGUGUGUUAGUUGGAAAUCAUAGUUACAACACAUCGUUGCACUAUCCACUACAGAGUCAGAAUAUAUUGCCACCACUGAAGCAAUUAAAGAGGCUCUAUGGCUUAGAGGUCUACUUCAUGAAUUGAGUGUCUUGAAUGAGUAUGUGGUUGUGUACUCUGAUAGUCAGUCAUCCAUACAUCUGUGUAAGAAUUCUGUUUUUCAUGAACGCACUAAACAUAUCGAUGUUAGGUUACACUUCAUUAGGGAUAUAAUAUCACAAGAAGUAGUAAGACUCGAAAAAAUUCACAUACAAUAUAAUCCUUUAGAUAUGGGCACGAAAGUGCUGCCACUGGUAAAGUUUAGAAGUUGCAAGGAGCUUCUAAACAUCGGUACAGGUAAAUGAUUUCAAUUCUAUCGAUUUUCUGUUAGAGGUGUCACUAAUGGAAAACGUUUUUCUUUGCAGGUCCUUUGACACCAAGGUGGAGGUUGUUAGACAUCAUGUUGUCAAACGACCUCCCGGGCGAUGAUGAAAACCAAUUUAUCAGUCGACAUGAAUGAUUGAACGAUAAAUCAACACCGAAUAAUGGAUGAACCGACCUAGCAUUGCUUUACCUAUUGGAUGGCUAAUAAUCUUUGUGACUUGUUGUUUUUCUAUUGGGACUUAACCCUAGUCGAACCUACUUACCAUAUUGUGACUUACCUUAAGUUGGCCAUUGAACUAAUAUAUAUAUUGGUAAUUGGUUCUUCUCCUAUGUGCCGUGCUUGAAGAGAACCCGAGAGAGAGAGGCGUUAUUCUUCUUCUUCUCCUUCAUGCAUCCUGCCAAUUUAUCUUCCCUACCAAUUGCUUGAGGCUUUGUAACUCUUACCUGUGUGGUAUCUAUCCUAAGUGUGUGGUAGAAUCAACAAGCAAAAGAGAAAAGCAACCAUAGGAAGUGAGCAGUCCGGCGGUCAGUCAUCUCUCGGUUUGGUGUUUGAAUUCGAUGUUUAAUGGUUAACUGAGCCCGAAAAUCACUUUGAGCAGCUUGAGGAAGAUCCUAACAUAAACUCCAUCUUUGAUAGAAAUCUCAUAACCCUUUUCUUACAAUUGACCAAUGCUGAGGAAAUUGGUUUUCAAAUCUGGAACAAAAAGGACAUUGAAAAUAUUUUUAGUAGCAUUUUCAUUGGUAUGAAUAAUUACCUAUCCUUUUCCCAUAACUAGUACUUUAGAGUUGUCUCCAAACUUCACGUUAUCUCAGAAUGAUUCAUCUAGAGUGGAGAAAGAGUGGAGAAAAUUGACUUGUCUAUACUCAUGUGAUUAUUGCAGCCUGUGCCUUGAUACCACAAAUGCUUAUUGUUGGUUUCUUCCUUUGCAUGACUAACCAUCAAUAAGCAUACUUCCUAUUCUUCCUUCACUACAUAAUAAUUAGAUCUCUCCCCAUGACCUUUGGGUAAAUUAGUUCGACAUUCUGAUUUAUAAUGAUCAUACUUAUAACAUCUGUAGUACUCAACAUCAGACUUGUCUGCUGACUCAGGCCAGAAAGUAUUUGAGUGGUAGCCCCCUCUUCCUCUUCCACGAUUAUUGUAAUCUCUGCCUCUCUCUCUCUACCUCUACCGCAUUUGCCUCUUCCUUGGUCUCCUCUACUGGAUGUCAAGUGAUUUUCUAUUGAGGCCUUCAAAGCAUGCUCGUCUUUCUCGUGCUGGGUAAUUGUACGUUCAUGAACUAACAAAGAACUUUAUAAUUCAUCAAUUGAAAGUGCAUCAAUAUCAUGAGAUUGUUCUAUAGAACAGACAACAAAAUUAAAUUUUGGUGUUAGGGAUCGAAGAAUCUCUCAACAAUGGUGACAUCUUUCGUUUUGUCAUCGUGGGUAUGCAUCUUGUUGACAACUACCGUCGUCCAUGAGAAAUAUUUUGUAAACGACUCUCCUGAUGUCAUUUGAAGCAAUUCGGACUGCGAACAAAGUGAAAGUUGCUGCCUCUUUGUUCUUGUUGAUCCUUGAUACUUCUUUUUCAUAGUAUCCCAACUAUGCUUGGAGGUAUCUUUGCAAAGAAUGGUCUCCAAGAUUGAACGAUCAAUGGCUUGAAAGAGAUAAUUUUUUUCUUUGAGAUCUUUCAACUUCAGCCCUUCAAGCUCUGUCUUUUGAGCAUCAGUCACCACAGAAGCUUCUGCUGGUUCUGCUAUUCCAUUGACAACAACCGUCAAGUAUUCUUAAGACCUCAAGAAGUUCUCCAUGAGCAUGCUCCAAUGGUCAUAGUGACCACUGGCCAUCAAAGCGUGGUAUAGUUGGUUGCACAAAGCUGUCAGAAGCCAUUGUUUACUUCUGCUGCAAAAAGGUUGAGACUGAAUGCUGGGAGGGAGGACUUAUGAUAGAAAGUAAAAAUCUGCAGGCCCCUUUUUGGAGNAUGCAUCUUGUUGACAACUACCGUCGUCCAUGAGAAAUAUUUUGUAAACGACUCUCCUGAUGUCAUUUGAAGCAAUUCGGACUCCGAACAAAGUGCCUGAAGUUGCUGCCUCUUUGUUCUUGUUGAUCCUUGAUACUUCUUUUUCAUAGUAUCCCAACUAUGCUUGGAGGUAUCUUUGCAAAGAAUGGUCUCCAAGAUUGAACGAUCAAUGGCUUGAAAGAGAUAAUUUUUUUCUUUGAGAUCUUUCAACUUCAGCCCUUCAAGCUCUGUCUUUUGAGCAUCAGUCACCACAGAAGCUUCUGCUGGUUCUGCUAUUCCAUUGACAACAACCGUCAAGUAUUCUUAAGACCUCAAGAAGUUCUCCAUGAGCAUGCUCCAAUGGUCAUAGUGACCACUGACCAUCAAAGCGUGGUAUAGUUGGUUGCACAAAGCUGUCAGAAGCCAUUGUUUAGUUCUGCUGCAAAAAGGUUGAGACUGAAUGCUGGGAGGGAGGACUUAUGAUAGAAAGUAAAAAUCUGCAGGCCCCUUUUUGGAGUUAGGCUAUGGAAUAGAUACUAUUUCUUAUAGCAUGUGGAAAGACUUGUUUCUGCAAGAUUUAAAUCCUACUGGAUUGGAUUACUACUGUUGCAAUUUAUGGGAAAGAGGCGGUCAGAAAUUUUUGUAGAAGGUUUUGAAGAUAACCUGUUCUGAUACCACUGUUGAAUUUUAAAGAAGACAAAGCCUUCAUACAACAAAACUAGAGAGCAGAGAAGAAUAGAGAACAUAAUUGCUUCUUGGUAUCUUUAUUCAUCAAUCAAAUGUCCUUUAUAUAGGCAUUAAUGGAACAGAUAAAAGUAAGAAAAGAAGAACUGACUAACAAAUCCUAUGGACUUGGUAAUUAGCAAAACAAACUAGCUAAUGAUGCUAAAGAUUAGGUCUACAUGUAAAUCACUUAUUCAACAGACGUUGGUUUAGGUUUUAGAUUCUCAUUUGUGUUGGUGGUGGUAGGGUUGGUCUGUAAAAAUAGAAUAUAUAAUUAGUGUUUGCCAGCAUGAUACUGGGAUUCAGUUGGAGAGGAAGAUGAUGACGGUGGUGGCAGAAAUUCAAAUUUAAGUGGUUGGUGAUGGGUAGAGUUGAUGGUGGAGGUGGUGACAGCGAUGAGAGGCAAGGCAUGGCAAAAACGCCAUGUGUAGGGCCUGGGCGGCUAAUUAAGCGAUCAACGAAAGUGUUGACUGCUUAACACCAUCUAGGUGUUCAUUAUUAUUAUUAUUAUUAUUUUCAAUUCUUAAAACUAAAAAGGCUUUUUUCUUCGCUUUCUUGUUUGCCUUAUAAGUUAAAACAUAGCCAAUGAAGAGAGAAAGAGUCGCUUGAACAAAAGAAAAGUGCCAAAAAUUCCUUUCUCCUCCAAAUUCAAUAUCCACUUCGGCACUUGCUACGUUAAUUAAGCUGGUAAGAUCUCUAUCUCCAUCUUCAUCUAAAGAAGAAACCCGCCAUAAGGGGGAAUAAAAACUGAAUUCGGAUUUAUGCCUAGAAGAAAAGUGCUAUUGAAAGUUCUGUAAUAAAGUCAGUUUGUGUCUUUUGCCACUUUGCUUCAUGUUUCUUACCGUAUUAUUAAGACUAGUAAAGUUUUCUGUUUGAUUAGGUUCAAUGGUAAGUUUAAGGAUGGUCUUUUUUGCAAUAAUUAAAGAAACAGGUGAUUUUGGAAUACGAUAUGCAUUGCAUUUUAGCUGCUGCAGAUCAUAGCAUCAAAUAUGUGGUGUCCUGUGCACUGCCGAAUUGUUGUUAGUUUUGUUUACGUACUUCAAUUUAAAUACAAGCGGGGUAUUGUUCACUGGUUGUGUUUUAUUGUUUGCUUCUUAAUGUGUAUCUAUGUUUACUGUUAUGUAACCUUCUUAAGUUUCCGCAUAUAAACCCUUGGAGAAUUUGAGUGUAUGAUUAACUUAAUUUAAACAAUUUCUUUUUCUUUUUUUUUUUUUUUGGGGGAACCAAUGGAAGAAAAUGAUUCUUCAAUGACAUCAAAAUUCAAUGCUAGUCAAAUAAAAAGGGAUUCCAAAGAUGUUGGAUGGGAAAUCAUGAUUUUUGCAGAUCCUAAAAAUCUUAAUAAUAUGAAACGAUUUUUGCAAAUCCUAAAAAUCUUAAUAAUGUGAAAUGCAUAUUAUGUGAUAAUGUUACUAAGGGGGGAAUUUCUAGGCAUAAAAUUCAUAUAGCAGGAAUCAAGGGAAGAUGUGGUAUAUAUAUCAUGUCCUAGAGCAAGUGAAGAACGAAAAGCCAAGUGUGCUGAAGCUAUUCAAGGGACGAAGUCUAAAGCAAUAGAGAAGCUAUUGAAUGAUGUUAAGUUGAGGGAAGAUGUGGGUUGUAUCUUUGCCAGCAAUACAACAUGAAGAAGAUGAAAUUUCUAUUGGGACUAGGAAAAGGCCUAUUAAUGUGGGGCCUACAGAUCAAUUUGCAAGAUCUAUCAAUGUCAAUGAUGCUUCUAUGAGUGCAAGUAAGAAACUAAGACAACAAAAUGUGAAUGAUGCAAUUUAUAAAAAAAAAUGGUUUUUAAGGUUCAUUGAUACUUUACAAGAUGAGUUUAUGAAGCUGCAAUUCCUUUUAAUGCCGUUGACAAUGAUAGUUAUUAAACUAAUUGUGGAAGCUCUUGGUCAAUAUGGCUUGGCUUACCUUUCUUCUUCCCAAUACCAAGGGAGGCACUUUUAAAGGGAGAAGUGCAAAGGUCAAAAGAAACAAGAAAAAAGUGGAAAAAUAAUGGGUGUUCAAUCAAGACUUAUGCUUGGAGUGACAAGAAAAGGAGAAGCAUCAUGAAUUUGUGUGUGUAUUGUAAAUUGGGGACCACAUUUAUUUCAUCAAAGGAAGCUUCAAAUGAUGCCCAUACCGGUAAAUUUAUAUUUGACUAUUUCAAUUAAAGAUGUUGGGGUCGAAAAUGUGGUUCAAAUUGGGACCGACGAUGCCUCCAAUAAUAUGGCCACCGCAAAAUUGUUGGAAUUACAAAGGCCUAAAAUGUUUUGGACAUCAUGUACCACUCACACUUUACUUCUUAUGCGUGAAGGAAUCUCUAAACUUCCUAGCUUCAGAGAAGUGAUUAACAAGGGAAAAUCAUUCACUAUAUUCAUUUAUGCACAUCACAAGACUUUGGCGCUGAUGAGAAAGCUCACAAAAAAAGAGAUAGUUAGGUCGGGAGUCACUAGAUUUGCAUCGUCUUUCUUUACAGUGCGAAAUUUGCUUGAUAAAAAACAAUAGCUGAGAAAUAUGAUGACUAGCAAUGAAUGGGAUAAGAUAAAAUGGUCUAGGUAUAAAGAGGAAAAAGAUGCAUUUGAUAUUUUUGUUAUGAUCUUUGGAACAUGGUAAAGUCGUGUUUGAGAGUAUUCACUCCUGUAGUGAAAGUGCUUAGAAUUGAUUGUAGAGAAAAAAAAGCCUUAAAUGAGCUUUUUCAUGUAGAGCUACUAAUGACAAAGGAUGACAAUUAAAAGAUAACGAAGAGGGAGCAUGAUUAUAGGCUUGGACAUUAUUGAUGCUAAAAGCAAUAGUCACCUUGAUAGUACACUUCAUACUCCAGCUGAUUUUUUGAAUCCAUUCUAUUUCUUCAAAAAUCCAUAUAUCAAAGAUGAUCACUGAUGAUAAAUAACUUGACUGCUUUUGUUAAGAAAUUCUUUUCUAAUGAUCAAAUGCAACAUCAUGUGAUAAAUAUUGAAUUGCAAAGAUUUGUCCAAAAAGAAGGCUCAUUUGGAAGAAAGCUUGCAACAAGUUGAUGUUAGAACAAUGAUAAAAACUACAAUCUGGGUAUGUUAACAUAUUACUCUUUUUCUCGUGUCAUUAACGUUUUAAGUUAUUAUAGUAUGAUUAUAUAUAGAUAUUAAAUAACAUGUUUAUCUCUUUUAUUUAUUUUUAUUAGUUACUUGGUGAGAUUUUUAUGGCAAUGAAACACCAAAUUUAAAGACCAUGGAAAAAAUUAUACUUGGUUUGAGUACUAGUUCAUUGGAUUGUGACAGAAAUUGGAGUUCAUUUGAAGGGGUGACUAUUAAUUAGGUUGUCACAUUUUACUUACUAAUGAGUAAUGAAUAAUUCCUUGAAUAUGCUUUGCUCCAUUAAAUGUAACUUUCUUUUUCUUUUACUUCUUCUUCCCCAACCUUUGUGUGUGUGUGUGUGUGUGUGCGGAUAUACACCUAGGAAAGGAAUAAGCUUGACACUAAAAGGGUGAACAAUAUUGUUUGUCCAAUUUAAUACAAGGCUGGUGAACAAAAAGAAGAGAAAACGCAAAAUAGAUAUCUUACAAAGUACAAGAGUUACUAGAAAUGCUCAAAAUGAAAUAAAGGAGCUUGAGGAAAAGGAUUUUGUAUCGGACAACAUGGAGGACGAACUAGAUAAAGAAGAUGAUAUUGAAUUGGAGUUUGAUAAACAGGUAGAUAAGAUUUAAGUUUCUAUGAUAUCUACAUUAUGUAACUAUUAUUUUGAUACUUAUCUUUUUGUAUUAUUAGUUAGAUGUUUGGUAGGUAUUAUUUUAAUUAUUAAAUAAUUUCUAGAUUGAUUAAAAAUUAAAAAUAAUAAUAAAAUAAGAAAAUAAUUUUUUUUUUCACACGUAUCCUUGCCUAACCCGAAGCUUGACCUCUACACAGCCACGCAUUAUACCUUUUAGAAUAGUGGUUGUCAAAAGCAGUGGAACAAUGUGUUAUAAAUGUAAUACAAAUUAUUAUCAGUGGCAAAGGAGAGAAAUGCUGUCUAUACAAGUGGUGGUCACGAUAGCGAUGGCCACGAGUAAGAUGUUAUAUUACAAGUGUAGCAUAAUUUCUUACAGGUGGUGGUGAUGGUGGAUAGUUUUGGACGAAUGUGACAAAAUAUAUUAUUGUUAGAAAGUGUAGCAUAAAAGUAAAUUAAAAAUAAAUAUUGACAAAAAAAAGUUGGACGACAAGUUGAGGAACUGUUUGAUAAUUAUGCUUAUUUUUGUAAAGUACCCUACUUUAAUGUGGCCCCUUUGAGCCGUCAUUUUCUGGGUAGUGUUUCUUUUAAAUGAAAUUUACACAACACAACCUUUUAAAUAAAAUUUCCAGAUUAUACGGAUCAACUGUUUUAUUGCUAAGAAUACUAGAAAUAGUAUAUUUGGUAACUUAAAAAUCACAUAACUCCUUAAUAUAAUUUGGGAUAAUUAUAUUCACGCCACAAUUUCUUUUCUUGCUCCACAGUUUAAUUUACUUAAAGUUUUUAAUCUUUACUCAUUAUAAUACUAAUGUACCUAAUGAUUUUUAAAAUUAUUCUUAUAAUCAAACAUUUCAUUAGUUAACACAAUUUGUAUUUAAUAACAGUUUUAUGUUCAAAAGUAUGUUGAAAUUAUGCAAAGCAACUUAUUUUUCAUCAUAUAUUUUUUUAGAAAAAAUAAAUAAAAAGUGCUAAAAAUAUUUUUUUCCUCAUUUCAAAGCAUAAAAAUAAAAUAUUUUGAUAUAAAUCAUGAUCAAGGACGAAUCUUAAUUUCACACACAAUAAUAUUGCUCCAUUUUAAUCCCCUAUCUUUUACCCCAACUUUCAAUUCCCAAAAAACAAAAAAAAAAAAAGAAGGGGGAAAAAAGAAGAAGAAGAAGAAAAAAAAGGUCAAAAACCUAUAUUUUACUUCAAUUUCUUCAUUGAUUGUGAGAAUCAAAAAUAGAUUGUUGAGUGGAGAUCUUUCUUUUCCAUAUAUAUUAGGAUCUCCAAAGAUCCAUUGAAGAUUUUUGUCCACGGUUUAGCCUAAGCAUCAUCAAACCUCUAUUCUGCUUCAAUUUAUUCAUCAAUUGUGAUAAUCAGACAUCGAUUGUUGGCCUGAAGAUAUUAUUUUUCAUAUGCACUGAGAUAUUCAAAGAUCAAUGGAAGACUAUUCUUUCGACAUAGUGCAUCCAACCUCUAGAUAAGAAUUCGUUCUUAGGGAUUUCUGUCAUAUAUCAUACUUUUAGCCACUAAGUAAAGUGAUUUCACCCCCAAGAAGUAGCUAUAAAUACUGUGAAAUGGAAACCCUAAAAUACAUUUCAACCAUGGGUUCUGACAAGAAUAAGUAGUCACACCAUCACUGGCAGACACAAGGGGUGGCAUGGAGUCAUGUGACCCCCAACUUUUAAGCAAUUUGUUUUUUAUGGGACACGAAACGAAGUUGAAAUAUUACAUUCUUAACACCUGUUUGAUGGGUAUUAAAAUUAGAUUUUUAAUAUAUUUUGAUAAAAGUUGAUGAAAUGUGUGGUUGAAAAGUUUUGGGUUCCAUAAAAUGUGUGGUUUAAAUUAAUUGUUGAUUUUGAUUUAAAUCGAAAUCUAGAUUUCAAUUUAUACCAAACAAGGACUUAAUACUAUUUCAAAGUGCUCAUAGCUUAGUUUUCCAUGUCGUUAAUGGCACAUGAAACAAUCAACCAUAGCUAAUAUUGCGGCUAUUCAAAGUAGAUCUUUUCAGAUUAGUAUUUCGAGAAUUUCGAUAACAUGCUUUUAAAAAUUAUUCGACGAUUGCACACUAGUCGAAUUUUUAGAAUUGACUACGUGAUCUUGAAGCUUUUCGAGAACUACAUUAUAGACAUAUCGAACAGUCCAAAUGGAUAUUGAAAAUAGUUAAAGGUGCAUCAAAUUUCUUGAAAUUUUAAUUUUUUUGAAUUAUUUCAUUAAUUUUUAUUAUUAAUUAUACCCUACAAAUUCUCAAUUUAAUUUGCAUAGUUUUAUUAGAAAAUUUUAUAAGGGGUAUGACGUCAAUUUUUUUUGAAGUUUUACAUUCGGAAAAGUCAUAUACUAUAUAAAUUUUACAUGGGGUAUGACGUUUUCAAAUGUAAAUUUUUUAAUAUAAAUUUCUCACAACUUUUUUGUAAGUUUAAUUAUGUCCCCUAAUUUAAAUUCCUUCAAGAAGCAUUACAAUAAGUAAUAUCCCACAUGGAAGGGGUUAGUGUUUGUGGCAUGCUCGAAACUAAUUACAACAAGGAGUUGCAUAGAAGAUUACUCCAAUCAACCAUUCUUGUUCAGUCAUGCUACAUAUACAUAAUGGUUUACAUAAUAGUUUACACAUACAUGAUGUGAUGAAAUAUAAUUGGGUCAGAAUUUUUUCAACCGAAUAAAAAGCUUCUUCACUUUCUUUUUGACACAUCAUUUAUAUAUAAAUUAUUAUAUAACUCAAUUAUGUACCAGUAGCAUUAUUCAUUCUGAUUCAGCAUGGCACCUUGACGAAUGCAGCCUAGGCCUGCCCCAGCCCAUAUACAAAAUUAAGAGUAAAAUUUCAUUUUUUAGCCCAAAUAUUUUAUGUGUAGCCUGACUCUACUCUAGUCCCAAAAAAAGGGGCAACUUACAAAAAUACCCUUAAAAUUAGAGGUGUUUUGAAAAAUCAUAUGAAAAGUUUUUAGGAAGUAAAAAAUACUGUGUAAAAUGAAAAAAGUGACACAAUGUCACUUUUUUAUAAAAAUUGUCAAUUUUUUUUUUAAACAAACUCAAAAAAAGUGGCACGAACACUAAAAAAGUAAGAAACACCAAAAUAGCACCAUCCAUUUGGACAGUACCACUAAUCACAUUCUUAAUAUAAUCAGCAUAUCUAUGACAAUUCACGUGAGCGUAGUGGCGGUUCUUAACAUAAUCAACACGUGGAUUGUUAAUGUUCUAAUUAUGUUAGGAAAAUAUAACAUAUUAUGUCACUUUUUUAUCUUCUUCAAAAAGUGACAAAUAUUUAAAAAAGUGACAAAAACUUAGAAGGUGACAUAAAAACUCAAAAAAGUGACACAAUAUCAUUUUUAAAAGUUUGGUGUCACUUUUUUAUUAAAAAAUGACAUACAAUCUCACUUUUAUUAAAAAAAAAAUUAUGUUUGCCAUUGAAAAGGUGAUAAAAAUUUCAAGAAGUUGACUUAAAAAAAAGUAAUGAACAAUAAAUAAAAGUGACAAAAUUUCAAAAAAAGUGGCAAAAUUUCAAAAAAGUGAGAAAUUAAAAAAGUGACGAACACUAAAAAAAGUGGCGAAUUUAAAAAAGAGAGAGAAAUCAAGAAGGUGACAAACAUUAAAAAGUGACGAAAAUUCAAACAAAAGUGACGAAUUCAAAAAAAAUGCAACCAAGUUUACAGUAAGCUCACAAGUCACAACUAAUGAAAAUUGAUGACUAAACUAAGAUGUAAAUAUCAAAAAGUCAUAUAAACGCUCAUCACUAUUAAUCGAAUAAUAUUUUUUGCGGUCUUCAAGUCAUAACAUAUCCUACAGUUUGCAUACUGACCAAACAGUUUACCAAACUCGGACAAUAUUUUGAGUACCUGAAAAUCAUUGUAAUAUGGGAAACGUUGUUCUUCUGGGGCACUGCAUCAAAAAAUCCGCAUGCUAAUUUUAUCUUCCUGCAAUCUUGGUACCCACAGAUCAUAGCAUUCCAGGAAGCAAAACUAUUCCUUGGCAUCUGUUGAAACAAUGCAUAUCCCUGCUCCAUAUUCUUGCCCCUUGCAUAACUAGAAACCAUUUCAUUCCAAGAUAUCACAUCCUUCUUUGGCAUUUCAUCGAACACACUUUGAGCUGCUAAAGUUAUGAUUUGAACAGAAAUUUAGCUUUUGCCUUUUAGCAAACUGAUAAAAGGAGUAUAUAUAUAUUGCAUACCAAGUUGAAUAGAUGAGAAUUUAGAAUGUGUUUCUAGACAGAGAAACACAGAGAUGUAGAGAGAGAUGAGGCGCUCCAAAGGGGAUGGUGUAUUGAUGAAACCAUUGUAUUCCAAGAUAUCACAUCCUUCUCUGGCAUUUCGUCAAACACACUCUAAGCUAUUUCUAAAUCUCCCUGAUUUCACAUACCCUGCUAACAUCGAAUUCCAGAAACAACAUUCUUCCCCUCAAUUCCAUCGAACACCUGACGUGCAAUGUCCAUAUGACCCAUAUUCGAAUAGAAGUCCACCAGAGCAGUCUGAACAAACAACAUUACAAAAACCAUAUUUGAAUACAAAAACAAUAUUACAAAAACAUAUUCAAGUUCUCGUGCAACAUAGUUUCCAAUUUCCACCCAGGACCACGUCGCAACAGCCAUUGCAAACGAUAGUGAGGUGGUGUUCGCCUAGAAGGGUGAAACACUUCACGAGUGCAGGUGGUGCAGCGAGCGGGCUCUCGAUUGGGGAUCUGGUGGUGGAACCGAUUUGAGUUGUGAAUGACUGUGGCGAUGCUACUCCCCUCAUUCAUGAAGGCUUCAGGAGUUUGGAGGUUUGGGGGAGGUUAUAACGUAUUAAUUAUGUUGUUGAAUGAUUUUAUUAAUUAAAUAGGGUAUUAAUCAAAUUAGUAAUUUUUUUUAGGGCAUUGGGCCUAAUUUACCCAAAAAAAAAAACUUGCUCCCAGCCCAUAUACAAAAUUAGGUGAAAUUUUUAAAUUGGGAAAAUUACACCUAGACACGUUUUUUAAAAUUUCAAAUACAAUAAUCAGGCUUUAACUUUAUUAUUUCACAAAUCGGGUUAUAAUUUAAUUAUUUAGUAUUAAAUUUAUAAUAUAAUAUUACUAAUUAAAAUUAUAUUACAGUCAUUAUCCCUACAAGGGGGGGGGGGAAUUAUUUAAAGCAUUUCAAAACACUAUUCUUCUACCACAUCCAUUGAGAGGGAGAUUAUGGAUCCUAUUUCAAUCGAUUCAUCCACAUUCGUUGAGGAACAGUAACAAUUGGAGGACUUAAUUGUCGUUCGCCCACAAUUUCCCAUUUCCUAAUGUUCAGCAUAUUGUUAAAUAUUUUGAAUUAAUAUUUCAACCUUUUUUUCAACCAUAAAUCUAUACAAAUUCAACUUAAUGGGUUCGGCCAAAGAGAAAUACUCUAAAUUUCUAUAAAAUGGGGAAAACUAAUCGUGGAUUGUUUUUUUUUUUCUAAUAUAUUGAGAAGAAAGGCGAGAAUCGCUUCAAGUAUUUUUUAUGGCCCUUAGAAAAUGCAUUCGUGGAUUUUGAAAAGCGAUGCGAAUCUUAAUUCUAGUCGACAGUACAACCUUUAAGACUAGAUACGAAGGCAAGUUUAUUAUUGCAACAUAUCAAGAUGCUACUUCCAAAUUUAUCCCCUUACAUUCAGCAUAGUUGAUGGAGAGAAUGACUUAGCGAUACGUUGGUUCUACACGAAACUGAGGGAAGUAAUUGGGGACAUCGAGAACUUUGCAUUCAUAACUGUCUAGAGGUAGUUAAUAAUAAAUGGUAUUGCAGAAAUCUUUCCCAAGCACAUCAUGAUUAUUGUAUAUACCAUAUAUAUGGCAACUCAAAGACUAAGUAUCAGGGCAGUGGUAUUAUUGCAUUGUUUAGGAAAGCUACAGAGGCAUAUAAUUUUGAAAAGUUUAAUAAGGUCAUGGUCGAAAUAAAAAAUAAAUCACGUGCUAUAUAGGAUUAUCUAACAGAGAUGAUGAUCGAACAUUGGGCACAAUCACGUUUUCCAAGACGUCGAUAUAAUAUGAUGACGUUAAACAAUGUGGAGUCACUAAUGUAUUAUUUAAUAAGGAUCGAGAGUUACCAAUUCCUACAAUGAUUUAGUCCAAUCGUAACAAACUACUUAGUGGUUUCAUAAUCGGCAUGAGGAAUCCCGGCUCAGGAAGAUAAGACUUUAGAGAUGUUGAGAAAGGUAUCUGUGGAACCACUGGAUCAAUUUCACUUCUCCGUGAGAUGUGGACUUGAAUGAUAGCAUGUGCACAUGUAGAAAGUUUCAAUUGGAAAUUUUUUUCAUGUAUGUAUGUAGUGACAGUGGCUAUGCAUAAAGGAUUUCUAUCACACACCUUAUGCAGUUAUUAUUAUAUAGCUUAUUAUUGGAGAGCAACGUAUGCUGAAACUACCAAAUAAAGUCGAGUAGAAAGUUCUCAACUACAUUAUCCCACUUAAUAAUUUGUUGCCACCCGAAGUCGGACUAUGUACUCCUGAACAUACACGUACGUCUAGGAUACCAUCUACUGGAGAAUUUUUUCAAUCUUGUAAAUGCGGUAGGUGCGAGGCAAUAAGGUAUACUUGCCGAUUUUGUACAAGUAAGAUUCCUCUAUAUAACAAUUCAAUGAAUGUGUAAUGUAAUACCCCGAAUUUUUAUUUACUAUUUUCACAUGGGCCUAAAUUUAAAGUUAGUUAUUUAGUAAGUGGAAUAGUUCAUUAUUCUUCCCGUUAUUAAUAACACUUAAUUUUUAUUUAUUUUCACAUUAUGUCAUUAUUUAAUAGUUUUUUAUGUUCGAGCAUUUGACAUCCUAUAUUAAAUUUAAAUUGAUGGUUUGAAAUAGUAGUAUUUUUAGCUAUUUGUUUGCUUAUACAAUCAAGUUUAUUGUCAUAAAAAAAUAAUAAGAUUUUUAGUUAUUUGUUUGAUCAUACAGUCAAAUGUGCUUCGAAUCACACAUACAGUUGUGCUACAACACAUGUCACAAUAAAGUCAACAAUAUUUAUAUAUUUUUAAUAAAAUAAUACGUAAUGUACUAAGGAUCACAAUUGUAUGCAUACAAAUUGCAAGCUAACUUCAAUCUCUACAUAUCUAUGCAAGGUUGGUUUAUUGUAUCAACUUUGCGAACAAUAUUCAAAAACUCUAUAUACUUUAUUACGAAUAUAGCGCAAUCACCCCUGCAAGUAAAUAAUAUUAUAUUAGUUCGAUAACAUAUAUCUAAAAAUUAAGUUUUCAAAUUAAAAACUUGUAAAUACUUAAGACACUCUGUGUCUCGCUGUCGUCAUGUUAUACACAAUGGCUAAUUCGUCAUUUACUCGAAUCACUGUAUGUCUAGCUACAAUGGGAAUGAUCAUAAUCAUCAGAUCCAUUAUUUGCUCCAAUUAACCUUGUGUCUAACAGCUAUGAUCAGAGUUGUACACAUGGAUAGUAGAAUCAGGGAAUGCGAUCUCAACUGCAAAACAAUGUAAGUUCACGAUCACUAGAAUAUACAUACGUAUACAAUCUGUCCAUGGCUUUCACACGUCUGCUCUAGCCCAAUGACCCACUCGAAUAUGUAUUCUGACACCACAUAUAUAUUUUUCGUGAGUAGAAGUGUAAUAUGCAAUAUCAACAUGUGCAAACCUGGAGCUCAAAAUGACUCGAUCAAGAAUGUCACAAGAUCUCGGGUGUCUUUGAGCCAGAUUAUGUAACAUUUCCAUGGUUACGUCGAUAUGCUGAAGUAAAAAUACCAGCAAAAAGAGUGAGGAUCAUUUAAUUAAAUAAAUCAACAAAUUAUAUAAACAUAAUAAUAACAACAAGAAUACACUUACAUUAUCGACGAACCAAGCUAACUUCGUCAGUACAUCUUCAAACCACGUUCGAAAUUGUCUUCUCCCCAAUCUUUUAACUAUUUUUGAAAAAAUAAAAAAGUGAAAUUUUAACAAAAGUAUAGAUAAUCUCAUAUAUACUUUAGUAAAAAUUAUGAAAUACUCAUUCCGACUUAAAGGAUUUAAACCAUUCAAUGAACUUUUUGUGUUUAACUGGGUUGACCUCGUGGAAGAUAUUGAGGAAUGUCUUGUCCACAAAAAUCCUUCUCUUUGUCUCAACCAUGAAGGGAAAAAUGAUGUAAUGUGAAAGCAAUCUCUGCCUCUUACCAACUACACGCUUUGGCACGUCACCAACACGCUUCUUACCCUUCCUCACCUCCAUCAUCCCCUCCACGCAAAAAUUACAUCCUCAAUAGUGUCUAGCAUCCUCUCGUCCUCUGCCAUAACACUUCCUAUAUCCUUUCCAUCACAUCUCCUACCACCAUCACCAUCAAGAGCCCUUUGCCGCCUCUGUCGGGGCCAUACGUUUCUUUGUGUAUGAAAAUGAAUCGAAUGUAGCAUUCAAUAGCUACGACGAAUCAUCACACCGUAUCUGACCAUCUCCUCCAUCAUUCCCUUAUCCCUGAGAAUCGCAAGUCCCUCCGUCAACCCCUCCAUCUCCAUCGAAGCUAGUCUCUUCAUCAUCCACUCCAUCCCGAGAGCUACUAGUCCAUUCCAGGCCUGCUAUAUCACCUCAUAUCACUAUGAUCUCAGCAUGAAGAUAUCCUAAAUCGGCUCAUUGCAUCAUGACAUCAUGUCAUAUCUCCGCUACGUCGCCUCUCAUCUCCAUCAUAAAUGUAGGUAGAAGUUUGAACAAAUCAUCGGUGGAAGCAUCACAACUAUGUGCAUAAGAUCUACGUGGGACGAGUCUGGAUGUAGGAGUAGGUGAUCUCAUGUGUGAAGGUGACCUCCUUAGGGAAGGUGAUAUCGUCGGAAAAAAUGAUCUCCUUGAUGGAGGUGAUCUCCUCAUCGCAGGUGAUACCGACAUUUCACUGAUUUAAUGACCAUGUGUUGAGAUUUUGAAAGCACAUAAAUAUAAAUUGCAAAUGUAAACUACAUACCUCGGGAUCAUCAAAGAGUGCUGAUUAUUGUUUGGCAAAUGAUUUGUCUUGUGCUCGGCAAUGAUGCAUUUGAGGGUAGCAUGUCUCCUAUCUCUUCGGAUAUCGAUCAGCCAAGAUAGGGAUAGUCUAGUACACCCAUAUUUGUAAUAAUUACAAAUAUUAUAUAAAAUUUAAUUAAAAAAUAGAUAGUUCAUUAUGUUAAAUAUUUACUUGCAAAGCCAAAGGCAAGCCAUGUGCAUAGUACUUGUGCUCGGGCCUACCCUCUAGGCAUCGAAUACUCCAUCUGAAAGACAUGCAAAGUAUCCAUAAAACAUCUUUGCCCACGAAUAGUUGUUGAACGUAUCAAUGUCAUCAACAACUUCCAAAUGGAAAACAUCAAUUGACAUCUUCUUGUGAUGACUUCUGAGCACACUUUCAAGAAUAAGCAUCAAGCCUAGCUUGGUCACAUUCUCUAAAUGCAUCUCCUAACUAUACCAGAGUUACUAUCAUUUGUCCAUGAAAAUAUUCAUUUACCAGCCUCACGUUUCUUAAAAUAUGACCCUUACUACUUCUUCGCCUGUACAUCUCAAUUCGAUGAUGAGGGCAAACUCAAAUAUAGAGAAUGUAGCUACCUUAGCCCCAAAUCAAAAAGGAGGAUAUCUCUAUCAACUGGCUUAAGCAGUCAACAUAGUAAUGUAUUGAGCAACUGUCCAAAGAACUGUACGUCACGCAACGAAUAUAAGGGCCAUAAGCAGGAUCAAUGUAAUAUGUUUGUGUGUUCCUCAUCUAGCAAAUCUAGUACCAUCGUAAAUUGGAAAAGUCACAAUUCGAUGUAACUCUGUUAGCAAUCUGUCUAAUGGUAGUGUUUAAGUGGUAUUCUAUUCGGCAAAAUUUCAAAUGUUAGAACAUUUUGCAAGAAAUAAUGGAUAAAAUAUAAUAUUAGAAUAUUAAACUAACCGAUCUGUAACUACUAUACCCAAGAAUUAGCAUAUAAUAGAAAAAAGGAAAAUGAAAGUAAAUAAAAAUUAUAAAACAAAAUUAUAAAAAGUGAUAAUUAAUUUUUUUUUGUGAACAACAUUAAAAAUUCAAGAAAAAAUCAAACUAUAAUUAAUAUUAGUUAAAAUAUUAAAAAAGAAAUUAAAAUCAAAUAUGAAAUAAAUAAUUAAAAUAUCAAACGAAUAUUAAAUAAACAAUUAAAAUAAGUAAUUAAAUAUUAAAUAAUUAAUUAUAAAAGCGAUUACAUAUUAUAUAAACCUUUAAAAUAAAUAAUUCACAUAAAAAGAAAUAAUUAAAUAUUAAAUAAACAACUAAAUAAAGAAUUACAAAUUCAAUUAAAUAUUACAUAUUACAUAAACUAUUAAAAUAAUUAAUUAAAUGAUAAAAAACUAAAAUAAAUAAUUAAAAUAUACAAUUAAAAUAAAAAAAUUUAAAAAAUAAUUAAAAUAAAUUAUUACAAAAACAAUUACAAAUUAAAUAAGCAGUUAAACAAUUAAAAUAAACACUUAAAAUAAAUAAUUACAAAAACAAUUGCAUAUUAAAUAAACAAUUAAAAUAAAUAAUUACAAAACAAAUAAAAUUAAGCCCCCGUCUGGGCACGAUUUGUGAAAUGGGAGAAUCAAUUCUCCUGCCUUAUCAGCUGGCCCCACCUGAAGACAUUUUGGUUGUUCAAUGUAGAGGUCCGUGCAUAAAUUACAAGUUUGCCCACAUGACUUCAACUGUGCACUAACAUAAUGAAGAGACUUUUGACCGGCAAUGAUAAAGAAUUUGGGGAGAUAAUGCAUACAUGAUGGGUCCCAUUCAAACAUGAAUAUUUUUUGUCCAUCAAAUAUUUUUGACAUGGAAUUUCAUUGCAAGAAAACCAAUUGGGGACGUGUGACAUUAUUCAUGAUAACAUUUUUUUCCGAUUUUGACGUGAAACGACGUCCAUUUCUCUUGUCGAAAAACAUCCUACUUAAUCAACCCGUCUAGUUUCGACCAAAAAAAUACACGUAUUUAUUGUUGUGCCAAGUAAUUUUGAACAUGUCCCACUCAUCUCGUCGUGAUUCCGGUACAUUCAUUUUCGCUAAAGUUUUGUCACGUGCGCUUGGGAGCUCCACUUCUGCUGCGUCGGGGUCUGCCUCCGCUCAUAGGAAUGCUUCGUCCACCACGCCUGCCCAUCGAAGAAAGUUAUGAAUGGUCAUGGUUGCAAUUACAACAUGUGUUUGCACGUUGAACGCAUAACUUGGCAUACGAUCGAGUAUUUUCCACUGACUUUUCCAAAUGCCAAAUGCAUGUUCGAGGACGUUCCUACAGGACGAGUACCUGAAAUUAAAUUUUUCGCUUGCAUUGCGGAAGUUACGUCUGCGACCAGUGUCUCCGUCAUAGAAUUUUUGAAAAUGGUACAAUACAUCCGAACCCUUAUAGGGCACCAUAUACCCAGGUCAAUGAGUAAAUCCUGAGUCAACCAGGUAAUAUUUUCCAGGUGCAGGUUGCAGAAACUCAAUCUCAGGAUUAUGUAUUGCCCGAGCCAAGAUUCGAGCAUCGUAGGAGUUCUCCGUUGUACCUACAAGCACAAAUGUAAAGUAAAAAUUGAAAUCACAUGCCGCUAGCACAUUCUGGAUUGGAAUUCCUUUUCAUCCGAUAAAACUCACGUGCUGCUCCUGUGGAAGGACGACUCUAACGUGGGAUCUGUCAAUUGCACCAAUUCAAUCCCAAAAAAUGUGAUGCUUGUUCAGAUUCGGAAUGUGAUGCUUAGCAUAAUUAUUGUAGUUUGAAUCUGGUCGAAUUACUCAUCGAGAGAAUUCGAGAACCACUCAAAGCACAAGCUUGAAGUAGCAUCCGACGGUUUCCAAUGAAUGGUUGAAAGGGGUAUGUCCUAUCUGUACCCCUUUCCAUGCGCUAAUAUGCAAAGAAACAUACCAACAUGUUCAUAAAAAUCUAUGUGCUGAUGACUGCAAAGCCCAUACUCGUCACGCAGCAUAUGUACGAACGCUCGCAACAUCACGGGAUACAUGCAAAACUCGGCGUAGCAUUGUUGAGGACUACAAUUCAUUGCGUCCAACAUGAACAUAUGACCAUUUCGCACGAACGGAUAUCGUGAAACACGAGUGCUUUAUUCACGAUAGUAAUUUCUGAGAGUAACCUCAUUGAUUUGACAGUACCGAAACCACUACAUAAUGUCCACUUGCAAUUCUUACAUGAAUGCCUCGUCGCCCUAUUCGUCCUCCGCAUCAGAGGUCGAGUGCAACUCGUAGGUGAAAUCCGAAUGUGCCAUACGACCACAAUCACAAUAUGAUAUCCAUGACUAUGGCUUUUGCAUGUUGUAAACUUUUAUUGCAUUUAUGUGCCUUUUAUAGAACAAUUUGUCUUUCAAGCUAUGGCUAGGACAACCAAUAAUUUAUGUGAAAAUGGGACUGAUGUGACCAGUCCACCAACUAAUGGAGCACUUCUUUGACCCAAAUGUGAACAGCAUUCAAAAGUUUGUUUGUUUGCACAUCUGCUUGUAAUCUAACAGAAUCAAACUUUUGGCACGCAUAUGAAAAUAAAACGUUUCAACUGUAAAAAGCAAACUUAGGCAACUGUACCCCGUACAUACUAGACACAAAUAAAAUGUCUUCACAUCAAACAUAGUACAUGUAAACAUAAACAAUAGCAAGAAAAAUUUAAAACAUCCCAUGGACGUGUACGCAAUCUACACAAACAUAUAUAAUCGUGGCUGUGUUUUCCUAUAUCCCUGAUAGCUCCACUCCACCCAGGCAAUCUUGUCAUUUGCAUUGUCUUGCAUGUCCAGUACCUCUCUAUUGGCCUUUUGCGAAAGGAAUUUAAACGUGAAAAAGUACAGAUCCAUUUGUUUUUGGAGUCGACCCGUAGCCAAUAACUCGCUCAUGCAUGUCUUUGGGUUGGACACAACCACUCCGAUGAAGUAGUCAAUUUUUGCAGCAAUCUUCUCACUGGUGGAGGUAGCACAAUCCACAGAGUAGGACACGUCUCGAGAUGAAAACUUCUUCUUCUUCUCCUUCAAUCACUUUUCGACGGCCUUCCGUUUGUCCCCGCUAUACGAGUGUUCGCGAAAAUUAUUUGUUCUCGAUUUUAAAACCCACCGCAAGUGUAUUAACAAGUAGUAAAAUGGAUUAUGAGUCCAAGUAUCAUUCCCACGAGGAUUGAAUUAGCUCUAAUUAGACUAAUGUGACCUUAACCGAAUCUAAUUGAAUGAAAAUUUGGUUUAAAUUUGAAAAGCCCUAAUUUUGGAAGAAAUCCCCAAUUUGAAACCCUAAUUGCAAAGUAAACCCUAAUUUCAAAAUUGGAAACCCUAAUUUCGAAAUUUUCACUAAUCUAAUGAAAUAAACACGCAACUGAAAUGUAAAUAUGCAAUUUUAGAAUUAUUGUAUUGAAAUGAAUCGAAAUGAACUCAUUAAGAACUCGAAUCCCCAAUUGACUAUUAAAAACCCUAAUUUCACAAAUUCAACGAAUCGAUGGAACAAAAUUCCAAUUCAAUGUUCCUAAAUUAUCCAAUACACUCUCUCGAUAUAUAUUGAAUCUACUCUUACACACCACCAGCCUAUAUUUCUAUGGAUGAUGCAAUAUACAAGAAUGCAUGACUUUUUAUGAACAUUUUCAUGAAUUGCAUAAGGCAUAGAGGUAAGUUUCCAUCCCCUAUCGGACCCUAUGUCGAUUUAUAUUCUAUCGAAUUUAUUCCCCUUCUUUCGAAUGCUAAGAAUAAAUCAUCUACAAUCACAUAACAAUUGACCAAUUAAUUAUGGAAGCAUUCAAAUCAUAUAAAUCAAACAUUUGUCCAAUCGAAACUAAUGUUGAAUUUAUGAAAUAACGGAAAUUUAAAUCAUCAAAAGGUUCAUCAAAUUCCUAAUGAACAAAAACCCUAGCCUAUAAUCAUCAUUACAAAAUCAAGAAAUUGAAAAAAUGAAAUUAAAAGAUAAUAAGAAUACACCCGUAUGGAAUUUCUUCAAUCCGUGUGUAUAAUCUUCAAUCCCGUCUCGAACCCGUGCGAAAUUGAAUCCAAAAUCAAGUUUCUUGCCUCCAAUUUUGGUCUCCCCCUUCUCCCUGGUCGUUUUUCUCCUUAAUAUGAUGAUUUUGGGUAUUUAUAUCGCGUCCAAAUUAAGUAGGAAAGGAGUUUCAACCAAAACGAACAACNNNNNNNNNNNNNNNNNNNNNNNNNNNNNNNNNNNNNNNNNNNNNNNNNNNNNNNNNNNNNNNNNNNNNNNNNNNNNNNNNNNNNNNNNNNNNNNNNNNNNNNNNNNNNNNNNNNNNNNNNNNNNNNNNNNNNNNNNNNNNNNNNNNNNNNNNNNNNNNNNNNNNNNNNNNNNNNNNNNNNNNNNNNNNNNNNNNNNNNNNNNNNNNNNNNNNNNNNNNNNNNNNNNNNNNNNNNNNNNNNNNNNNNNNNNNNNNNNNNNNNNNNNNNNNNNNNNNNNNNNNNNNNNNNNNNNNNNNNNNNNNNNNNNNNNNNNNNNNNNNNNNNNNNNNNNNNNNNNNNNNNNNNNNNNNNNNNNNNNNNNNNNNNNNNNNNNNNNNNNNNNNNNNNNNNNNNNNNNNNNNNNNNNNNNNNNNNNNNNNNNNNNNNNNNNNNNNNNNNNNNNNNNNNNNNNNNNNNNNNNNNNNNNNNNNNNNNNNNNNNNNNNNNNNNNNNNNNNNNNNNNNNNNNNNNNNNNNNNNNNNNNNNNNNNNNNNNNNNNNNNNNNNCUAUCAAGCUUAUGAAUGGUUUGUUCCCGAUCCAUAAUGGUCAAAUUUAUCCUUACAUCACUCGAGAGAUACACAAAUUCCCCAAACUUAUUCUUUUCACUCAAUUAUCUUGGGGUGUUUUCUAAGGUUAGGAGUUCAACAACUAUAAUCCUUACCCUCUCUUAGUUUGGAUAGAUCUUACCCUUACUAGUACACAUAUCAACAAGUAGAGACUCUCUUUAGUCCCUAUUUGGCCCCCAUUUUUGGUAAUGAAAAUGAGGGGAAUAGUGUUUUGUUGAAAAAAUGAGUGGUUGAAAAAGAAGGAAAAUUUUUAGAUUUACGUGUAAUAUUAUUUUAUGGAAGAUUGUGUGGUUAAAAAUAGGAGAAAGAAAAAUAGAAUGUAAUUUAAUGGGGAUCAAACAGGGGCUUAAUUUGAUUGUUUCAACCUUUAAGCUCAAACUAAGCUACUUACCUCGCAUCAAGGUUAAAGUCAUAUCAACCAUAUGUCCAACAAGGGUUUUUUUAUUUUUUUUUCCUCCAUCUUCUCAUUUGCUUUCUAUAUAACCCAUAUAACGAGUUUUAGGCGAUGACUCCCAAACCCGUUGGUCUUAGGGCACCAGGUUUUAAACCGUUGCAGCCUUAUUCACCCGAGUUAUAAAGGCUCGAUAAGAUGAAUUUUUGUCAACUUCUCCUUUUUCUUGCUUUCUAUAUGACCCCUGUAACGAGCUUUAGGCCGAUAAUUCCCAAACCAGUUGGCUUUAGGAUAUCAGGUUUUAAGCCCUAACAGGCUUACUUGCUCGAGUCAUAAAGGCUUUAGAGAGAAGUGAUAAUUUUCCAAUUUUUAUUUUAUGCCCUCUACUUGUUUUUUUUUUUUUUCUAGACAUUUGAUUUCAACAACCAUCCUCAACUUAAAGCUUUCACCUAUUUCUCACCUUCUGGGUCUAGGCAAUCCACACAAUAUAAAUUCAUGCACUGAGCCUCUACUUAUCUCCAUGUUUACCUAUAGUGGCUCAACCAUCUCCAAACUAUCUUAUGGUGAUUUAACGGGUUAAUGAUAUAGAGGGUUAACCUAGGUUUCUCAUAUUUUACUCCAACAAACCCAUUCAAUAACUUAACAUGAAAACAUGAGUGGCGUGCAAAAGAAUGCCAAGCAUUGCAUCAAUGAGUAUCAGCUAAUUAAAUCCUGUACUAUAUCCACAGUUCUAUUUUACACCUGUCCAAUAAUCACAUCAUAGGCGGCAAGGCUACCAAACCCACACAAGCAUGCAAAAGUAAAAUCAACACUCAUUCAUCACGCAUGCAUCAUGCAAGAAGAUAGUCAAUUUAAUGAUUGAUUGUGAAAAUGCAUAUUAACUAAAUGCCGAAUAUUUGUUUGAAAAUUAUGCUACCAUCCCCCAAACUUAUACAGUACAUUGUCCUCAAUGUAAAUGUAAAGUUAGAAAAGCAUAAUUUAAAAAUAUAAACACAACUUGGCAAAUAGAGGUAAACAACACUCCCCUGAUCAAAGUGGUGGUCGCGGUGUGUAACUGGGACCCGCAGCAUGAUCUUCAGGAGGAGAUGGAAGGCGAGAUAGGAUUUCUCUCAUCAGUGCUGACUGCUGUGUCAUUUCAUCGUGGAUCCCCUCAACCCGUGCUCCAAAUGGCCUAAACACUCCCAAGUUUCAUUUACCCUCAGCUGGAUGCCAUCCACCCUGCCCACGUACACACUUAGUCGACCAUUCAUAGUGUCCAUCUCCCUCCUAGCUGCCUGGGCAUCCUGGCGAGCGGCACAUGACAUAUCAGUGGCAAUGCGGAUGUCACGGUGGGCUGUAUGCAUCUCAGUCGUCAAAGUUCCCAUAGCCUGCUGGAGACUCUGCACAUCACGGCUGAUCCCCGUGGUGGUGGUGAAAAUCUGCCUCAAAACCUGAUUGUCCAUAUCAACCUGGGGUGGUGGUGGAGGAAUUUGAGGCAUGUCAAGGUCUGCACCUGCUUGACCUUCCUCAUUCAAUUGCUGUCGUCGUCGUGCGUUUUCUAAUUUCUGUUGGUGCUUCAGUCUUGCUCGGUCUUGGGCCUCUAGUGUGGAUUGCUUGAUAAAGGGGCUUGGCUUUUCUGGUGCUUCCCCAGGUUGGAUUUGUAUCCCCGCUGCUCUACAUAUUCCACUUAUCAGACUGGGAAAAAUUAGUGAGUAGUGCCGAUCACCCCAAGUGCCUGUACCAUGAAUUUGGUGGUAGAUGUAUGUGGCUAGAUCAAUCUUGUUCCCUCUAACCAAAUGGUAUAUGAAUCCGGCCCUUGGAUUUGUAAAUGUUGUUCUGUGGGAUAUAGGCUCGAUGUUAUGGCACAUGAAUAACCAUAAAAUUGCUAUGGAUGUGGCGAGAUCUAUCUGAUGCCAGUCUGCUGUAGGUAGAGGCCAUACGUUUUCACGUCCCAACAAUAUUUCUGCAACCUCAUUCCAGUUGAAGUUCUCUGGGAUAGGGACCACAUUGUUCCAAGAUAACUGAUAAUAGUCAUGGAUUACCUCCGGUGAGAACAUAAUCCAUUUGCCCCUAACCCAUGUCUGAUGUAAGUGCUCCGAUCCGGGAGUGUCGAUUUCUGUGUUGAAAUUUGCAUAAAACUCCUUUGCUAGAUUCUCAUACACCAGAUGAGGUCUUUCUAUAACCUUUUCCCAACCACAAUUGUGAAUAAGAUAUGUCAAUUCAAAGUUGGGGAAGUCUUCUAACUUUACUGGCCUCUCGGGAAUGUUUGCCCAAUCACGCAUAACAUUGGCGUAUCGGGCUGCCGUAUCUGAUGAUAGGAAUCGUCUGACACCCCCUUCGAGUUCCCUUGUUCGGGUUGUUCCAGACGAUGAGCCGACUUUCUCUUUUCCCUUUGAACUUCGUUUCGGAGGCAUCCUGCAAAAGGAAAUACACAAUAUCACUCACUUGGUGUAAAAAAAAAAAAGGGCAUGAAUAAACUUUGAAUUCAUAAUCCCCUAAACUUUCUUCAAUAUGCACAUUUACGUGUGUUUAUGCAAUGUUUCAUAACAUGAAUCAUCAAUAUAACUCUAGCAUUGCAUAAGUAUGGAAAACUCAAAAUUUUGGCUCGAACAUGCAUUUCUAAAAAUUUUUACCCAUGAUCAAAUGACCAAGUUCGGCCCCGGGCAUCACUGAGAAAUAUCCAAAUUUUCCCAAGCAAGUUUUGGACAUGUGAAAGUACAUAAUGGUAUCUGGCAUAUAUCCAAAUUUCACCCUAAUCGGAGGUCGUUUGCAUUAGAAAACAUAGGGACGAAGGUAGUGACGUGAGUGGAUAUGUUGAACCAUGAAAUGCCUUUGUGAAUUCAAAUGUUAAGGUAAUGUUUUCUAUUGAAAUAUCACAUGAUUUUUCGACAAAAAUGCUACAGAAUAACGAUGUAAACUAUUACAUAAGUAAAAAGCCCAAAAAAUCAAAACAUGUGUUAAUGUGGCAUUUCGUCGAACACUUGGUGUGCAAUGUGAAUUACUUCCUAUUUCUUACAUACACUACCAUGAAAUUUCCCAAAUUCACAAUAGUACACCAAUCUACCACAAUACAUCCUAACUAAAUCCACACAUUGAAAGAGAAUGUAAGAAUGAAGCUCGAAAUUAAGGAUUAGAAGAACAUACCUUGUAUUUUCAAUUUUCUUGUUAAAUGAAAUGUUGAACUCAAUUUAUAGUCCAAUCCAAAUUGAGUGCUUGAAUUGUGAAUGUGUGAAGUAGGUGCAAGUGAGGAGUGAUAUGUGUGUGGUGUGCAAGUGUGAAGGUGGGUGAAGUGUGUGUGAGUGUCUCGAGUGUGAGGGAGAGGGGGGAAAAAUUUGGGGAGGAAUGGUGUGGUCACGGGUUACACUAUGCGACCGCAUAAUGUUGUACUAUGCGGUCGCAUAGUGCAAACCAAUGCCCCCCUUUGGCUUUCGGUUAAGGUCUAUGCGGUCGCAUAGACCAAACCGGGUUUCAAUUCAAAUUUUUUUUUUUUUAAAUGACUUAAACUUUAAACUCCCCCAAAAUCGGUUUUUUACUUAAAAUUUUGAAUCGAAAAGAGGAAUAUGCUUAUUGAAACUUGGCACUAAAAUCGAUUUUUCAUACAUGUUGUCCCGCAUUCUGAAAGCUUAACCAAAACGAACAUCUUCGCACAUCGAAAUGCGUGACACCCACUCGAACACCCAAACACUUUAUUCAGCACCCAUUCAUGCAACAUUAAACAUGUAGUGCCUAGGCUAUCAUGCAUAAUAUGAUCGAUGACCUACGAAACAAACUAAAAUCAAACAAAUUCCUAAACUAAUGCAAUGCAAUAAAAUAAAAGAUACAGUGGGUUGCCUCCCACUCAGCGCUAUGUUAUAGUCGAUAGCUCGACUUUACCGUAAUGCGUCAUUCUGGUGAUCCAAGUUGGACGGUAGACUUGUCCUUUGAGAAAUCACCGCCCCAGUAGUGCUUCAACCGCUAUCCAUUGACUUUGAAUGUCCCCUUGCUGUCGUGAGUGAUCUCAAUUGCCCCAUGUGGAAAUACUUGUGUAAUGGUAUAUGGACCAGACCAUCUCGAUCUCAAUUUUCCUGGAAACAGUUUAAGCCUGGAGUUGUAAAGUAGCACUUUCUGCCCCACCUUAAAGUCACGCGUUCUCAUAGGCUUCCAUUCUGAGUUCAUCAAGUUGAUUCAGUUGUAACAGCCGUUUUUCUCCUGCAGCCUACAAAUCCAAGUUCAACUUCUUCAUUGCCCAUUAAGCAUGAUGUUCGAUCUCGAGAGGUAGAUGGCAUGCUUUCCCAAAAACCAGUCGAUAUGGAGACAUUCCUAUAGGAGUCUUGAAUGCAGUCAUGUAGGCCCACAAGGCAUCAUCCAGUUCCUUUGACCAAUCCUUUCGUGAUGAGUUAACUGUGACUUCCAGAAUACGCUUCAAUUGCCUAUUGGAUACUUCGACCUGUCCGCUGGUUUGGGGAUGAUAUGAGGUGGCUAUGCGGUGCUUGACACCAUAUUUUGAUAACAACUGCUUGAACUGACGAUUGCAAAAAUGUGUGCCCCCGUCACUGAUUAUGGCUCUCGGUGUCCCAAAUCGGGUGAAAAUAUUCUUCUUCACAAACUCAAUCACCACUUUCCCAUCAUUUGUAGGCAAUGCAACCGCUUCAACCCACUUCGAGACAUAGUCCACCGCCACUAAAAUGUAUUGAUUUGAAAAAGAUGGUGGGAAUGGCCCCAUGAAAUCGAUCCCCCAGACAUCAAAUAAUUCCACCUCCAAGAUACUACUCAAAGGCAUCUCAUUUCUUCUAGAGAUGUUACCCGUGCGCUGACAUCGGUCACACCUCUUUACAAAUUCAAACGUGUCCUUAAAGAGUGUGGGCCAGUAAAAACCUGAUUGGAGAAUUUUNNNNNNNNNNNNNNNNNNNNNNNNNNNNNNNNNNNNNNNNNNNNNNNNNNNNNNNNNNNNNNNNNNNNNNNNNNNNNNNNNNNNNNNNNNNNNNNNNNNNNNNNNNNNNNNNNNNNNNNNNNNNNNNNNNNNNNNNNNNNNNNNNNNNNNNNNNNNNNNNNNNNNNNNNNNNNNNNNNNNNNNNNNNNNNNNNNNNNNNNNNNNNNNNNNNNNNNNNNNNNNNNNNNNNNNNNNNNNNNNNNNNNNNNNNNNNNNNNNNNNNNNNNNNNNNNNNNNNNNNNNNNNNNNNNNNNNNNNNNNNNNNNNNNNNNNNNNNNNNNNNNNNNNNNNNNNNNNNNNNNNNNNNNNNNNNNNNNNNNNNNNNNNNNNNNNNNNNNNNNNNNNNNNNNNNNNNNNNNNNNNNNNNNNNNNNNNNNNNNNNNNNNNNNNNNNNNNNNNNNNNNNNNNNNNNNNNNNNNNNNNNNNNNNNNNNNNNNNNNNNNNNNNNNNNNNNNNNNNNNNNNNNNNNNNNNNNNNNNNNNNNNNNNNNNNNNNNNNNNNNNNGGCUCCCACAGCAUAGUCACUGGCGUCACACAUUAAUUCAAAUGGCAGAUUCCAAUCCGGUGUGAUAAUUACAGGUGCUGAAGUCAACUUCUCUUUCAAAGUGUUAAAGGCCUGCAGGCACUCAUCAGUAAACUCAAAUGGGGAUUCCUUCAUCAGUAAAUAGCAGAGAGGUUUGGUAAUUUUUGAAAAAUCCUUGAUAAAUCUUCUGUAGAAUCCAGCGUGCCCAAGAAAACUGCGAACACCCUUCACUGAGGUAGGUGGUGGUAACUUCUCGAUCACCUGAAUCUUUGCCCUGUCCACUUCAAUACCCUUUGCUGAAAUUUUGUGUCCUAGUACGAUACCUUCUUGCACCAUAAAGUGACAUUUCUCCUAAUUCAACACCAAGUUGGUCUCCGUACACCGUUGUAGCACAAGACUUAGAUGCUCCAAGCACUCAUCAAAUGAAGAUCCAAACACAGAGAAGUCAUCCAUGAAUACCUCGAUGAAUUUCUCAAUCAUGUCUGAGAAAAUAGCCAUCAUGCAGCGCUGAAAGGUAGCGGGAGCGUUGCAUAAUCCAAAUGGCAUCCUUCUGUAUGCAAAGGUGCCGUAGGGGCAAGUGAAAGUGGUCUUCUCCUGAUCGUCUGGUGCCACUGGAAUCUGAUUAUACCCGGAGUACCCAUCUAGGAAACAGUAGUGCGAAUGCCCUGCUAAUCUCUCCAACAUCUGAUCAAUGAACGGUAAUGGAAAGUGAUCCUUUCGAGUAGCUGAGUUAAGCUUACGGUAGUCAAUGCACACUCUCCAUCCAGUCACUGUCCGCGUAGGAAUCAACUCAUUUCUCUCAUUUUCUAUCACUGUGAUUCCUCCUUUCUUGGGAACAACUUGCACUGCACUGAUCCAUGCACUAUCUGAUAUUGGAUAAAUAAUGUCUGCAUCAAGCAACUUCAAUACAUCAGCUCUAAUCACAUCCUUCAUGUGUGGAUUCAAUCUCCGCUGCCCAUCAAUGCUUGGUUUAAAUUUUUCCUCUAUGAGUAUCUUAUGCAUGCAUAUAGAUGGGCUGAUCCCCUUUAUAUCUGCAAUCGACCAUCCAAUAGCUGUUUUAUUCUCCCUUAACACCCGAAGUAGUUUCUCUUCCUCUACCUCACUGACAGUGCUUGAAAUAAUAACAGGUAGUGUAGAAGAUUCCCCCAUGUACGCAUAUCGAAGAUGUGGUGGCAGUUGUUUGAGUUUAAAUUUGGGUGGUUUCACAAUAGAUGGCACUGAUUUUGCAGUUCUAGUUCCCAGCUCUUCAUAGUAGCGUCUGCGCAUAUAUGGCUGGUUACUCUCCAAAAACCGAGCACAUGUCUCAAUCUCACUUGAUUCAGAAUGGGUGGAUUGUGAAUGUGCAAUGCAUGCCUCAUAUGCAUCGGAAGGAUGAUGUAGCCGAAAUGUGUCUUGAACUAUUCGGUCGACUACAUCGAUCUGGAAACAACUGUCUACCUCAGUAGGGAAUUUCAUUGCUUUGAACACGUUGAAUGAGAUUUGCUCGUCACCAAGCCUUAAUAUCAGCUGCCCCUUCUGAACAUCUACAAUUGCUCUCCCAGUGGCUAAGAAAGGUCGCCCCAAAAUGAGUGGGACAUCUUUAUCUUCUUUCAUGUCCAAGAUAAGAAAAUCAGCUGGAAAUAUGAACUUCUCCACUUUUACCAGCACGUCUUCAAUGAUUCCUCUUGGAUGUGUAAGGGAUCGAUCUGCUAACUGCAAUGUCACUGUUGUGGCUUUCGCUUCUCCCAAGCCGAGUUUCCUGAAAACAGAAAGAGGCAUUAGAUUAAUACUUGCUCCCAAAUCACACAAAGCUUUAUCAAAAUAACAGUCUCCAAUAGUGCAGGGUACAGUAAAACUCCCUGGAUCUUUCAGUUUUAGGGGUAGCUUUCUCUGGAUUCUGGCACUGCAUUCCUCAGUCAACAUUACUGUUUCGUGUUCUUCUAACUUUCGCUUGUUGGAGAGGAUAUCCUUCAAGAAUUUUGCAUAGCUCGGCAUCUGGACAAGUGCUUCAGCAAAUGGAAUGUUGAUAUGCAGUUUCUUGAAGACUUCAAGGAAUUUACUGUAUUGCUGAUCCAUUUUUUGCUUUCUCAACCUUUGUGGAAAUGGAAUAAGAGGCUCAUGAGGGCUAACAGGAUUAGUAUUUUUACCCUGUAAUGUCUUGGAGUUCCUCUUAACCUCAUCUUCUGUUGCAUUGUCAGUUUGCUCCACACUACCUUCUUCCAAGAUUGGCAUUGCUUCCUUGUUGGCUCCAGAACUUGUUACAUGUGGUUCCGGCAGUUGUACUCCACUUCUAGUUGUCCGACAGUUGUACUCCACUUCUGGUUGUUAUAGCCUUUGCAUGUUCCUUAGGGUUAACUUCAGUAUUGCUGGGUAGGUUUCCCGGUGCUCUACCUGUUAUGGAAAUUGCUAUCUGUCCCACUUGUGUCUCUAAGUUCUUGAUCGCUGCACUUUGAUCUUGAAGCGUUGUUUCCGUCCUUCGCAUAAAUUGGUUAUUGGCUUCCAUGUACAGAUUGGUGUGUGUCAUAAAUUUCUCGAACAUGUCCUCCAAAUUUGGCUUUUUGUCUUGCUGCUGAUAUUGCCCUUGUGGUCUAUUUUGAUUCUGGUUGCUCCAAGAGAAAUUUUUGAUUCUGGUUGUUCCAAGAGAAAUUUGGGUGUUUUCUCCAGCCUUGAUUGAAAGUUUCUGAAUGUGGGUUAUUCUGCUGGCGCUGACCCCAUUGUGCAAAUUCUGCAUGUUCUACUCCUUGUACCAGAAUUGGGCAAGUAGCAAUACUGUGAUCUACGCCACAUUCUUUACAACUCUGCUUCAUAACUUGCUUAGCAGUGGCGGUUUGUGAAAUGCUUUCAACCUUAUGGAAUAAGGAAUCUAUUUUCGCCGACAGUGCUGAGUAAGUAUCUACUUCAUACACCCCAGGUGCUCUCUUCUGAACUACUCGAUCUGUAGACCACAUAGCUGAAGUUGUAGCCAUCCUUUCAAACAACUCCCAGGCUCCGUCAAUUGUUCUUGUAGAGAUAGACCCGUCAGAUGAUGCAUCCACCAUACUCUUGAAUGAUGGGAGUAAUCCAGGGAAGAAAAAUAUGAUCUGAGUCUUCUUGUCAAAGCCAUGUUGUGGGCACUUCCUUAACAUGUUCUUGAAACGGUUCCAUGCCUCUUCAAAUGAUUCUGACUCGAUCUGGUUGAAUAUUGAGAUGUCAUGCCGCAUUUUAGCUACUUUAGCUGGCGAGAAGAACUUGGGGCAGAAUUUAUGAGCUAGCUCAUUCCAAGUGGUGAUGCUUCCGACAGAAAGUGAAUCCAGCCAUUCGAGUACUUUAUCCCUUAAGGUGUGCGGGAACAGACGCAGUCUUAUAGCAUCAUCAGAGAUACCUUGGUAUCUGAAGUGUUGACACAUAUCAAGAAAUCGAGAUAUGUGUGUAUGCGGAUUCUCACUAGCCAUCCCAUGGUAUUGAUGCCCAUUCUGAAACAGUUGAAUCACGUUUGUCUUCAGUUGGAAGUUCGGUUGCCCAAAUGGAGGAUAUACAAUACUAGAUUGACUUUGCACCACCAAUGGUGCCAUGAAAUCCCCAAGUACUGUAUUUCCAUCCUCUUCCACUGCCACACCUUCAUUGAGUGGAAUUCCCGGUCGAUUUUGCUCGUUAGCCAUUUGUUGUACCACUCUUGCUUCCCUUUGCCUGUGACGGAAUGUGCAUUCAAUCUCUGGAUCUAUAGAGACCAAGUCCUGAUCAGGUGCUCCUUGCAUGCAAGCCCUGAUAUGGCAAAAUUAACACAAAAAUUUAAUAUAAACAAUAAUUAAUAUAUCUAAUAAAAUUAAAAAGUACUGAAAUGAAUAAGUUCGAAUUAGUGUCACAAAAGAUAGAAUUUAAUCUAAAAUUUAAUCCCCAGCAACGGCGCCAAAAACUUGUUCGCGAAAAUUAUUUGUUCUCGAUUUUAAAACCCACCGCAAGUGUACGGUUCGUUAACAAGUAGUAAAAUGGAUUAUGAGUCCAAGUAUCGUUCCCACGAGGAUUGAAUUAGCUCUAAUUAGACUAAUGUGACCUUAAUCGAAUCUAAUUGAAUGAAAAUUUGGUUUAAAUGUGAAAAGCCCUAAUUUUGGAAGAAAUCCCCAAUUUGAAACCCUAAUUGCAAAGUAAACCCUAAUUUCAAAAUUGGAAACCCUAAUUUCGAAAUUUUCACUAAUCUAAUGAAAUAAACACGCAACUGAAAUGUAGAUAUGCAAUUUUAGAACUAUUGUAUUGAAAUGAAUCGAAAUGAAAUCAUUAAGAACUCGAAUCCCCAAUUGACUAUUAAAAACCCUAAUUUCACAAAUUCAACGAAUCGAUGGAACAAAAUGCCAAUUCAAUGUUCCUAAAUUAUCCAAUACACUCUCUCGAUAUAAAUUGAAUCUACUCUUACACACCACCAGCCUAUAUUUCUAUGGAUGAUGCAAUGUACAAGAAUGCAUGACUUUUUAUGAACAUUUUCAUGAAUUGCAUAAGGCAUAGAGGUAAGUUUCCAUCCCUAUCGGACCCUAUGUCGAUUUAUAUUCUAUCGAAUUUAUUCCCCUUCUUUCGAAUGCAAAGAAUAAAUCAUCUACAAUCACAUAACAAUUGGCCAAUUAAUUAUGGAAGCAUUCAAAUCAUAUAAAUCAAACAUUUGUCCAAUCGAAACUAAUGUUGAAUUUAUGAAAUAACGGAAAUUUAAAUCAUCAAAAGGUUCAUCAAAUUCCUAAUGAACAAAAACCCUAGCCUAUAAUCAUCAUUACAAAAUCAAGAAAUUGAAAAAAUGAAAUUAAAAGAUAAUAAGAAUACACCCGUAUGGAAUUUCUUCAAUCCGUGUGUAUAAUCUUCAAUCCCGUCUCGAACCCGUGCGAAAUUGAAUCCAAAAUCAAGUUUCUUGCUCUAAUUUUGGUCUCCCCCUUCUCCUUGGUCAUUUUUCUCCUUAAUAUGAUGAUUUUGGAUAUUUAUAUCGCGUCCAAAUUAAGUAGGAAAGGAGUUUCAACCAAAACGAACAACUACGCCCGAAGUUCAAAACUUAACUAUGCGACCGCAUAGAAGGGAUCUAUGCGGUCGCAUAGAUCAAAUUUUUUUGGCUCAUUGAAUCCCUGAAACCUUCUAUGCGGUCGCAUAGAAGUAACCAUCUAUGUGGUUUGUGCAAUUUGGUCCCUGAACUUCUUUGUUGCUUCUCUUGACUUCUUUCUUCGAUUUCUUCAUCUUUUCAACAAUUCUUAUCUUCCAAUUGAUGAUCGACACUUUCAAAUAUUAUGCCACUCAUUCGGCACAUCUUUUGAGUAUUUGCAUUUAGUCCUCCAACUUUCAAUUAUCUUCAUUUUAGUCCAUCUACCAUUCUUUCUUCCUCCACUUGUUUUGCUUUGUCAUUGAGCUCAUACUUGGCAUGUUUUUACUCUCGUUUUGCAUUUAGCUCAACUUUUCAAUAUUUACAUCUUUGGUCCUCGAACUAUCAAAUUGUUGCAUUUUGGUCCUUCUUCUGCUCUUUUCUCCUGAAUUCCACAAUUUCCAUUGAAUUACCUACAAUGCAUGAAUUUAACUGGAUUAAGUCACAAUUCAACCAUUUUAUCCAUGUUUAAGUCAUGUUUGUGAACCAAAUAAGUGUGUAAAAACACACUUAUCAACGGGCCAGAUUCAUCCAUGGUCGUCGAAGGCGGUGCAGCUACACCAUCCUCGUCGUUUGAGCUCCUACUCUCUACAUCAACUGGGAUCUCGUCGCGGUGGUCUUUGUGUCCACUGUCUUCGAACGUUGCGAAGCCAGUGUGGCUUGCUUGGCUUGGUGUGACUGCGUACUUAUCGUAGUCGAAAACAUCCCCGAAUAAAACCUUGUAUCGGUACAACUCUCGGCAAUCCUUGUCCUUGUACUCUUUGUACUCCUUCCUCUCCUGAAACAAUACAAACCAGACAAGGUUCACAUCUUUUGCAAACAAAGUGUGAAAGAAGCAAUUACAAUUGACUAAAACAAAAAAUUGUGGAUUGCAUCUAUUACAAAAAAUAACAACAAUGUCAGCCAUUCCUACCCACGUACAUAAAUGUGGAAAUGAAACAAAAACACAAUUACAAUAACAUUUGAAUGAAAUUCCAGGAAAAUGUCAAAAUCGACCAAGGUUAACUUGAAGAAGCCAAAACUAUUUUUCUUCACUUCCCACCGACGUGUAAGUCAAGCGUUUUGGUUUUUUCAUCGCUAGUGUCAAUUCAGCCAAAUGUGGACAGAAACAUGUUGAUGAGAAUAUGAUGGUACCUUAAUCUUUCGAUCCCACCACUCCAUCGAGACGCUGAUCAAGCUAGUGGACGUGUCGUACGCAACGCUACUGCUGUUGAUCAAUUCUUCAAAUCACUUGUGUUUCAAGCGGAGUGCAUCCCAUCGAUUUUUCAGUUGUCCCUUGCUCCAAUUGUGCCCAGAGUUAGUACUAAAUAAGUGAACCAAUGUCUGCCAUCCGUAUUUGGUGAAGCACUUCCCAUUUUGGUGUCCAUCGAGGAUUAUGGUCUCACAGGCAGCGACAAAAAUUUGCGUCUCAUAGUCAGUCCAUUGUGCAUGCUUACGAGGCCUCUCUCGAUGAGCAAAUUCUUUUCCGGCAAGUUACACGACCGUGUGUGUACCGGAGAAAUUGGGAUCACCUUUUACAGUUCAAAUUCAAGUGCAAAUGUAUUUUAUUUAUGUCAGGCCCUUGUGAAUCAAAUAGUUGAAACAAAUGUAUAGAUUGGUGAUGAGUGAGGAACGUGUAAGGGGAACGAAUAGAGAUCUAAGACACAGAUGCUUACCUACGAUUGAUGAGCAAAUUCUUUUCCGGCAAGUUACACGACCGUGUGUGUACCGGAGAAAUUGGGAUCACCUUUUACAGUUCAAAUUCAAGUGCAAAUGUAUUUUAUUUAUGUCAGGCCCUUGUGAAUCAAAUAGUCGAAACAAAUGUAUAGAUUGGUGAUGAGUGAGGAACGUGUAAGGGGAACGAAUAGAGAUCUAAGACACAGAUGCUUACCUACGAUGUUGCACGGGAAUGGGGAACUACGAGGACGUCGAUUGUGAUAGUAGUGCAGUCGCUUGUAUCGGUGGCCGAAGAAGGCGAACGUCGCACGACAUAUUGGGGGUUGAAGCUGUUGGCAGGGGCUCCAUCAACCCGCCGCUACAGUCGUUGGAGCAGGGUGGGGGCAAUCGGGUUGUUACAGAAACUGUUGCCGGCUGUCGGAAGAAUAUUUUCUCUCCAUCGGACAACAGAUGUAGCAGAUAUUGCUGUUGCCGAAAAGCAAGUAGUGUUGGCAGCUUCGUCCAGUGGAGGAGUGCAAACUGAGCAUCUUUUACUUUUUGAUUUCGCAGAAGACAAGAAAUGUGGUUUGGUUUGGCAUGUUAAUUGUGGGAGUAGAAAGGGGAAAAACUAGUUGACAUGGGUGUCAGUCUAUUUGAUUCCCAUAUCAGUAGAAGGUGGAAAUGUGGCUGUUGGACAUAUCAACGGUCAGAAAAUCACUUAAUUCUGACAAUAAAGUGUGCUCAAACAUGGCCUAAAUAAACAAUUAAAAUAAAUGAUUAAAUUUAAAUUAUCUAUUUAAAUAAAUUAUUAAAUAACUUUAUGUUAAAUUAAUAAUUACAAAACAAGUGCAUAUUAAAUAAACAAUUAAAAUAAAUAAUUAAAUAUUAAACAAACAAUUAAGCUAAAUAAUUACAUAAAUGAUUAAAUAUUCAAUAAAUAAUUAAGAAAAACAUAAUUAAACGUUUAAAUAAAUAAAAUAAGUAUAUAAUAAGCAAAAAAAAAAUCGAAGGCAGCCCAAUACAUAGAUCUAGACGGCCAUCUGGAUUUGGGUCAUCUAGAAAGACUGAAUUGCCAUUCCGGACACUGGAAACGACAGAGAUCACACCAUUCCUGAUGAUCUCCACCCCUAAAGUGUAUCAAAAUAAUCAAUUUCAUGUACAAUUUAUAAUCUACAACAAUUUCUACAACAAAUGAACAUAUAACAUGCUUUAUUUAUUCAAUUAAGGGUAUCUAAAGUUUCAAAGCUGACUUUCUACAGAGAAAUGACGAUCUUCGAUCUGGGUCGUCCGCUUCUUGGUGGUGUGGGUCAACGGUUUCUAGUUGGUUGUUUUCUACUCUUCUCUAUCUUCAAAAAUCAGUGAGGGUAUAAAUGGCUUUUCUAUGUUUUUCAUGGUUUUAAUAAUUUUUCCUUUUUUUCAAAAAAAUGGUUAAUGGCCAUUUUAGAAAGAUGGUCGGAUCAACCAAUCAUGAUGUGAACCCGCAUAGGCAGUCACUACAGAACCCAUGAACAAGAUGAAAAUCUUCUCAAGAAAGCCAAAGUAAGGUUUUGAAUUAAACCCAACGAACUUGGAACCUAGCAACCCAAAUCGCGAACGAUGUGCAGACCUCUUGAUUACACAAAUUAAUUGAAUACCACUUGAAAUUUUGGAUCCGACUCAAUAACUACGAACCAAACAACCAACACAGUUACAUGCACAUGCCGACCUUUUGAUUACAAAUAAUUAAUUGAAGUCACAGCCCAAUUCUGAACGCCAGGAGAAUAUAUUCCUGAUAAGUUCGGUAGAUUUGCCCAUUGAAGAACAAAAGUUUUGAAGUGAAGCUUCGAGAGAAAAUAUCUAAUUUAAUUCAUAUCAAAGUUCUGAAUACAAUUAUGAAAGAUAUUUCCUAUUUAUACUAAAGCAAGAAUAUAAUAUAAAAAUGAAAAAAAAUAAAUCCAAAAUAUAUUAAAGAUGCUAAAAUAUUAGAAUUCUAACUAAACUAGGAAAUUGCUAAAAUAUGGAAUUCUCGAAUCACAUUAGAUCCUCUCUAUUAGAAAGGAUUCGUCCUCGAGUCCUGUUCCAUAUUGUAGCCUUUGUCCCCAAUCAAUGCAAGAACAUGAAAUGGUCCGUCUCCCCUCGGAUGCAAUUUGGACCUCCUUUGACUUCGUAUUCGUCUUUUUCGUAAGUAAACCCAAUCUCCUUUACAUGGACUAAAGUGUGCUCACCUCGACUGCUUAAUCUUGCAAGUUGGAACUGCUCCAUUAACAAUUCCAUAUGAUGAAUAAUCGUGCAUUUUCCUUACUUUACUUGGCUCAAGCACUUGACACGAUAUCACUUCCAAUAUAUCCAUAUUAUCCUUAAGUUCAUCUUCCUCAAUCAACUCUCUACAUAUGUAAUUCAUCAAGUGCCUUUGAAACUCCUUUAUCUCCUUGGCAAUCACAAAGUCAACUUGUGGCAGAUAAGAAAAAUUCAACUGCAGCUCAAUUCUUGGAUCGGGUGGUAUUCUAAUAGGAUAGUUUGCUGAAUUAAAUCUUCGAUAACCUAUAAAACAGAAAUAUCCAAAAUAGGGAGGGAAUUGUUAGUUAUCACCAUGGCCUCCUCAACUUCAGGCUUCCUUUCAAUUAAACUCACUUACAACUCCUCCUUCCUUUCUCAAGACUCUUCUUCGUUUUCAUUCUGCAGAUCCACUUCCCUUUUUGUAUUUUCACUCUCAACUUCUUUUUCACUCUCUUGUGGCAUUUCUUCUUUUUUCUCACAAUCAACCACCUUACUAUUUUCUCUCUUACCCGUUUGUUCUUCCAUGUGAGUUUUCUUAAAGUUAAUCAUGUUACAAAUCUCUAAGAGUUCACGCUUAUAAUCCAACCAAACACUUUUGCUUGAUGUACUACCAAAACACCUCCCAAAAUAUGUUUUCUAUUCCCCUGGAUGCUCAUUCCCAUAACUUCUUCUGGGCUAAUCCUUAAAUUCUAUUUCUCGUCGAUCCCUCCUAUAAUAAUUUGGCUCAUGUCGUCUCCUCAUGAUCGCCCUCAACUCAUCCCAAUUCUCAAUCAGCUUUUCACCAUACCUUCGCCUAGAUUUCGUAAAUUCAUCAUACCAAGUUAUUGCAUAAUCUACGAAUGAGCUCACGACCAACUUCAACUCUUUCUCCUCGAAAUAAUUGUAGUGCUCAAACAUCAACUCAACCUUUUCUUCCCAUGCCACAUACGCCUCGGGAUCUUUCCUACCUUUGAAAGAUGGAAUUUUCAUUUUUAUAUUUCCCAAACUCCUAUUUAUAUUUCCCAAACUCCUAUUAACACCAUCCCCAGUAAAAUUUCUACUCUGCCUUUCAAGCCUAUCUAUUCUAUUUCCCAUAUCCUCCAUAUUUACCAACCUCUCCAAUAGCCGAAUCACCCUUUCAGUCAUAGUGAAUUAUAUUCCAAUUGGAAUGUGUGAGAAUUGUGACUCAAAGACUCAAAAGAAUUUUGAACUGGACAACUUUGAUUGUACUUUUAUAAAUUCAAGAAAGUGGUUCUUGAAUUGGAUUUGGACCGACAAACUAGAAUUUUGAUUCAAAGAAAUUAGUCGAUAAAUUUUUUUUUUUUUGGAAGAGUAUUGUACAAUGAACAGUAUCAUAUGGAUGAACUAUAAAAAUAUAUAUAUUUUUUUACUCUUUAGAAGGAAAAUCUGACUAUGACACUAAACGAAACAAACGGAAGUAGAUUUGGACUCAAAUUGAAUCCAAAAACAACUUUUGAAUUUUUUUUGGAAUUUUUUUGGAUCAAAUACUCAAAAUAAUGAUUGACUCGAAGAACAAUAAAGAAAAAGAACAACUGACUCAACAGAAUUAAAAAGGGAUAUAGCCUUCGAUUGGAGCCAAGCUUUAAUACAAACUGAUGUGAACCCACGUAGGCAGUCAUUACGGAACCCAUGAACAAGAUGGAAAUCUUCCAAAGAAAGUCAAAGCAAGGUUUUGGAUUAAAUCCAACGAACUUGGAACCAAGCAACCCGAAUCACCGACAAUGUACAGACCUCUUGAUUACGCAAAUUAAUUGAAUAUCACCCGAAAUUUUGGAUUUGACUCAAUAACUAUGAACCAAACAACCAACACAGUCACAUGGACAUGCCGACCUUUUGAUUACAAAUAAUUAAUUGAAAUCACAACCCAAUUUUGAACGCCACAAGAAUAUUAAUUCCUGAUAAGUUCUGUAGAUUUGCCCAUUGAAGAAAAAAAGUUUUGAAGCGAAGCUUCGAGAGAAAAUCUCUAAUUUAAUUCAUAUUAAAGUUCUGAAUACAAUUAUGAAAGAUAUUUCCUAUUUAUAGUAAAGCUAGAAAAUAAUAUAAAAAUGGAAAAAAAUAAAUCCAAAAUAUAUUAAAGAUGCUAAAAUAUUAGAAUUCUAACUAAACUAGGAAACUGCCAAAAUAUGGAAUUCUCGAAUCAUAUCAAAUCAUCUUCCACUGUUUUUCCUAUGCUCUACUCAUCUUCGACUGUUGUAAUCCAUCAUCGGUUGUCCACUCCAAUUGGCUGCACUCAACAUCACUAACAAUGUUUUCCAAAACCUACAAUCCCAAUCGCCACCCUAUGCUAUAACCGGAAUCUCUAUUAUGCCCUACCAUCACCCAUCUAUCAGCCUGACAUAUAAUAAAUGAAACCAACCUACUCCAAUCAUCGACGCAACCCACCUUUGACACAUGAUCCUACCCAAUUCCACAGCCAGUCGUACCUAUAACUCGCAGCUGCAAAACACAAUUGCCACCACAAUCUUGUGUCGGACGCACUCCACAGGGAUAAAAAUUUCUAUUCUCUCAUGCAUACAGAGAUAGCUCAUUUUAUUUUGACUGAAGGAAGGAGCUGAAAGAGAAAUUGGGACUAGAUUAUUAGGUUCGGGAAGAAAAAUAAAAAGGAGAGAAAUUGCAGCCAGGUAAACAGGCUUUUUUUUUCACAACAAGCCUCCUGUCGAGAGACAAGAAAAUCGAUGGCUAGUUAGCCAGGGAUUAUAAUAGCGACUCACUAUUUCUACUUAUCUUUGGAUUUAUACUAUUGUUUCAUUUAAAGUGUGUCUAUUAUUUUCUAUGUUGCUGUUAUCCUAGUGUAUUAUCCAAACUCAUUUGACUGGAUCCUUUGACUUCAUUAAAUCCCCACUCUUUACACCAUUUAUUUUAUGUAAUUAGGUUUUUAACUAGCAUUUGGCCUUUGCUUUGCUAUUUUACAUAAACCAGGAUGACUAACUUUCCAUAUUUGGAUUUGUUAAAUCCAAAAAAAUAAAUUAAAAUGCCCAAGUAGCUACUUUUUGUUAUUCGCACUUAUUGCUCAUUGAUCUUCCCAUUGCACGUCAUUUAGCUAUUAUUACAUUGCAUGUAGUUGCUUAGUAGUCAUAGUUCAUCUUUCGUUCUUAUAUUUUGACCAUGGACUUUGCUAAUUUGAUGCACUCACCCAAUAAAUAACUUAAAUUGCCACCGGUAGUAGUACACUUAAUUAGUGGUUGUCCAAAUUGAGAUGACUGCUGCUCAUGAACAGAGAGUGAACCUAGCUGCUAGAUUAAACAAGUUCAAGGAAAAUCCUCAUUCGACUAACGUUGAUAAUUUUGAGGUGUCCCAUAAUGGAUAAUAUCAUCAUCGCAAGGUGAUCAAAAAUAUUUUCGACACGAUUGAAUGGAUGGGGAUUAGAAUCGUGAGCUAGAACAAGUCUAUGGCCAUGAUGAUACUCAUUCUCUUCCUCGCCAUGAGGAGCAUUUCUUUAGAAAAUAAAGUUAAUGCUCUAACAUUCGAUGAUUCCUUAGAUCCUAAAGUUUUCACUCAAUGGAAUGCUUUAGGACAAGAAAAGCAGCUACUGACUGAGUAUAUCACUCAAUUUGCGAAAUUUCAAAUGAAAUAUCAUGCCAUUGAGGAUGAGGCCCUAACUUUGUGUAGAAUUAGACAAUGUCUAAGGGUCUAUUUAAUUACAAAGAUGGAAUUUGUGGGAAAAGAAAAUGAAUUUCAGGGAAUUGAAUUACCUGAAAAUUGUUUUUCUGAGAAUUGUCAAUUAUUGUGGUUAAUUGGUAUAAUUUUUCACCUGGAAAAUAUUAAAAUAAAAGUGUCUUUUGGUGUUCCUUUGACUUUGUUUUACAUGAAAAUUGUGAAUUUAAGGAAUAUCCACUUUUACAACUAUUCCUAGAAUUUGUUUUCAUUAUCAAAAAAAGGUCCAAAAAUCAUCGUUUGGCUUUGUUUUAUAUGAAAAUUGUCAAUUUAAGGGUUAGAGGUUUUUUACAAUUGUUCCUAAAUUUUUUUUCCAUUACUAAAAAAAAAAAGGUGGAAAACCAAAAGCCACCAAAAUGGUGGGAAAGCAAAUUCAAAGAAAUCCAAGAAAACGUGCACGUGUGGGAGAAAGGAAGAAAUGGAAUUGUCAAGAAAAUUUUUCAAAUCAAACAAGGCAAAAGUGGAAAAUGGAAGGAAAAAAAGGGGCUAUCAAACAGGCCCUAAGAGAUGAUCUUAGGCAUGAGCUUUUCUUUCGGGGUGUCACCACUCUUGAUCAUCCUCACUCUUUAGCUCGAGAUUUUGAGUUGAUUAUUGGUACGCCAUAUGAAAUGUGUAAUGACAACCGUAUAUCCAUCUAUCAGCACUCUCUCCUCUUAAGUAUAUUAGAAUACCUUCCUUAUCCAAUGUUCCUCAUUUGUUGGAAAAUAAGUGUAAAAUUCCAAAAUUUCCAAGGACUUUUCCUCACUUGUAGUGCCUCAACUAUGAGGACUUUGGCUACAUCUCUUCCAAAUGUCCUAGUUGCACUUUAGUCAUUCAGGAAAGAAAGAAUGUAAUAGAUGAACCAUUAGAAAUUCUCGUUUAUGAACUUAAAUUUGAAGAUUUUGAUGACUUUGAUAAAUGUGAGGACACCUACUUAUGUGGUAUCCGGACUCUUCUUGAGAAUCUAGAUAUUAUACCCCUUGUUCCCAACACUUCUCGAGUACAUGUUGUAUGUCGUACCUUUAUCCAACCUAAAGAGGUUGAUGAUUUCACUAGUGGAGCAACCUGUCGCAUAUGGUUAGCACUAAAAUGAAAUUCUUCACUGCAGACCACCCUUAGACUGAUAGUCAAAUUGAAGUUGCUAACUGGAGUCUUGGCAAUUUCUUAAAUUAUCUAGUCGAGGAAAAUCUUGGGAAUUGGGGCUUGAUCCUCCUAGCAGUUCAAAUUGCUUGUAACAAUUUUGUGAAUCAGUAAUAGGAGGCCUUUAGACCUUAUUCUUAUGUCCUCACAUGCUAGUGUGUCAAUGUCAGCUGAAGUUUUUGUACAUCAUCUUUAUGACUUGUAUAUUGAGAUCAAUAAACAACUUGAAGCAAGUAAUGCAUCAUAUGAACUUCAGACUGAUUUGCAUAAAUGACAUGUUUGAUUUAAUAUUGUGGAUUAUGUUAUAUUGCAAGCCUGUAGUGCUUUGUUCUUUCACAUGUGUUUUCUUCUUUCACUUUUUUUCUAUUUCUCAAUCCUUCCAAAUUUGCCACCAACUACAAGGAAUCAAUGUAUUUAAGUAUUACAAAUAUACUAUUUUUUAUUCACUCAAAAGAAUAUUAUUGCAUCACCAUUAAAUACACAUCUUUUGUCAGUUCCUUUGGGUGUAUUCUAAUGCUCCGUUUGGUAGAGGUUUUAUUUUUUUUUUUCAUUUUUUUUUUACUUCUACAUUUUGUAGCGAAAUUCUUUGAGCAAACUAUCUUAGGCCAACGUCCUCUAAAAUUUCUUCUAAUUUUGUAGAAAAUUAUUUAAACAUGUUCAAAAAUAUUUUCUUAGUUUCAAAAUUAACUUUUGAUUUUUCUAAAACAUUGCCAAAUGGGGCCUAGACCUUACUUAUUUCAAAUUUUUUAGGUAUCUUCUGAACAUAGAACAAAGAAUGAAGAAUGUAGAGUGAGAUAUUUAUGAAGAAUAAUCAAUGACACUCAUGCAACCCUAACCCUAGCUAUAUUAUAUAAGUCACUAUUAUUCCUUAGGUGAUUGUUUCUACAUACUUCCCACUCCUACCAGCUUACUCUAAACCAGGCAUUGCACCAAGGUCAAAAAGUAUGUUUUGUUAAUAAAAAGUAAAUUUUAAGUAAUUUUAGUUUAAACUACUAGUUAUAUCAAAAACAAAAGUUUAAUAUAAUUAUGAAUUUAAGUUUUAAUAAUACGUAGCAAGGGAUUUACUUAUGUGCUGUAGUGAAAGAUAUCAAAUUCUUGUCAAGCGCCCUAUGAAUCAUUUUAUUCUCAAGAUUAUCAACAUUUAUUGUUACAUCGUUUAUUUUUUUCCCCGAAUUGCACGAAUUACCCCUUAAUAGGUAAAUGUUAAUACCUUUUAGAGUUAGCGAUGAAUUCUAGAUGAUCAUGGAUGAAAUAUUCUGCCAUGAUUGCAAUUUUUCUACAGGCAGCAGUCUAGCAACAUAUGGAGAAACUAAAAAUUAAGAGGAAAUAAGAUAUUUAAUUACUAUGAAUAAGGUCAUGUUUGACCUCUAUUUUCUAAAAUUUAGUUUUUCUUAAACUCAUUUUCAGCUACAUAUUUUAUUGAUAAAUAAUUUUAUACGUUACCAUAAUUUUUUCCUAUUUUUAAACAAUUCAUUCCCCAAAAUCCCUUACACUAAAAUUCCAAAAUAAUAAUAAAUUACCAUGUACUAUAGUUUCUAUUUUUAAAAUUUAAAUUUCAUUACUACUACUACUACUACUACUACUACUACUACUACUACUACUAUUAUUAUUAUUAUUAUUAUUAUUAUUAUUAUCAUCAUUAUCAUUAUCAUUAUCAUUAUUAUUAUUAUUAUUAUUAUUAUUAUUAUUAUUAUUAUUAUUAUUAUUAUUAUUAUUAUUAUUAUAUUGUUCUCUCUCAUGAAUUCGCUAAUUUCACAAUUCAUGGGAAUUGAGGCUUAAUCCUUCCAGCAGUUCAAAUUGCAUGUAACAAUUUUGUGAAUCGGUAAUAGGACGCCUUUAGACCUUAUUCCUAUGUCCUCAUAUGCUAGUGUGUCGAUGUUAGUUGAAGUAUUUGUACAUCAUCUUUAUGACUUGUAUAUUGAGACCAAUAAACAACUUGAAGCAAGUAAUGCAUCAUAUGAACUUCAAGCUGAUUUUGCAUAAAUUACAUGUUUGAUUUAAUAUUGGGGAUUAUGUUGUAUUGCAAGCCUGUAGUGCUUUCUUCUUUCACUUUUUUCUGUUUCUCAAUCCUUCGAAAUUUGCCACCAAGUUUGAUUGAAAAUUCUUCUUCUAUUUUGGGUUUUUAAGUUCUUCUUGGUAGAUUUAAAAUUUACUUUUGUGGGUUGAGAGUUUUGAUCGAAAUUCCUACAUCUCUUAAGGUUUUCAAGUUUCUUCUUAGUAGAUUUACUAUUUAUUUUUGUGGAUUGGAGUUUGAUUGAAGUCUUGUAUCUCUGUUGGUAGAUUUAUUUAGUUUUGUGGGUGGGAGUUUGAUUGAAAAUAUGAAGAUUUGCAACUCGUCAGAAGGGAGAAGCCAACAUUAACGAUGGUGAUGAUGCAAAUAGUAUUUGCUAGAAUCGAUAUUGUUUAUAAAAUGACUGCAAGUGAUGGAAUGAAAUGUUGUCCAUUUUGGUUGGCUAUGGAUUCAUGUUUGGCCUGGUUUUAUGGUUUCGGUUGCCCUCUUGGUUAAAAGGUUCUAAUGAACAGAAGUAAAUUUCACCUUAUCAAAAAGGGACAGAGCUUGCAACCAACCAUUCUCAUUUUGACCCAUGAGAGUCCAAGGACUACUCCAUAAACUUGAUUGUAAAAGAGAUGUAGUUCCUCUAAUAACAAUGAAGCCUCCUCAAAUGAACUAUAGUGGCUCCGACCACAGAGAAAGCCAUGAAACUGACAUUAAUUAUCAAAUAAACAUAGGUUAUACAAAUAACUGGCAGAGAUAGAAAACUGAUCACUAAGAAAAAAUUGAGAUUAUGCAUUGGUAAAGGAAUAAAAUAAUAAUAAAAAUACACCAGUACUUGUAAAAGCACAUGAAUCCAAUUUGAAGGAAAGCCCAUGAAAUUUACAUUGAUUAAGUAUAAAAAGGGCUAUUGCCGCUAAAACAGUCUAAACACUAGAAUCCAAGUUAUAUAACCCAGAAAAUAAGGAGGACAAGAAGUUACAUAUCCUGAUACCGUUCAAAUACAAAUAUGUUUAAAUUGAACAGGAAAUCAUCUGGUGCAACUUAAAAUGCAUAGCUGCUCUUAGCACAUCUAAGGCAUAUAAAUGCUUUCAAAAAAAAGAACCACACCAUGGUGUCAAGAAUGCAGAGAUAUAACAAAAAUAUGCCAUUGCUUGGCUUUUAGAAAAUAUUUACUUCAAUAAAAAUUUAGGAAACACCUUCACCAUAUUACCAAGGAAUACAAGAAACAAGCAUUAUAUAUGAAUAAGUAUAGCCACCAUUUCAGUCUAACAAUUCUUAAAAUGUCCAUAGAAAUUUUAGAACACGUGAUCCCUAGAAAUUUUGAAAUGAAUUUAAAGCAAGUGGAUCAUUCCUCCAAAUUGGGUGCUAAUGUGUCUUUCACAUUCGCAAGUAAGUUGAGCAAGUUCCUUCUGUACAAUUUUAUGGGAAAAUAAUCAGAAAUUAAAAAAAAAAAUCUUAUAAACCACUUUCAAUAUUGUGCUCCUUCGCAAUAGAAGCAAAAAGAAAAGAACUGAUAUGAAUAUUUUAUGUAUAUCAAUGUAUUGGAUCUGGUUUAUUUGAGAAAAGGUCUUCAUACCUUGGGGAAGUUCAUACCAGAUGCAGCCAUUACAACAAAAGUUAAGCAAGAGGUUUACAACUUUCAUCUCUGCAAAUAAAUAUUUAUGAUUGUUGGCGAAUGUUCAUCCCUAUUUUGCUUAAUCUCAAUCAUAAAACUAAGAGUGAUAUUAAAAUAAAUUGAGACUAAGAGCCAAUCAUUCCCUAUCAUAGCAAGAAACGUCAAUUGUAAUUUAAUCGAUUAAAUCUAGACUGAAAAUAUGUAAAAUAUUGAGAGUCUUAACUACGCUCACAACUUCAAACCAAAACAUUUUUUUCCCUUUCGAUACUUAUUUGCAUGAAGUAGAUAUUAUAGGUAGCAGAACAUCAUAAACGAAUAGCACAUACAGCUAAAAUAAUAUUUAUCUACAUGUUUUAUAAUUUCACAAUUAUAGAGUAGUCAUUAGGUCAAAUUAAUGUAUGUUCAGAGCUAUAUAGUAGUCAUUAAGUCAAAUGAACUCAAAAUUUGUGGUUUAAUUGUCUUCCCAUCUAGCUCCACAGUCCUAAUUUUCUAUAGUAAUUAUGAAUAACUACAUUGAACCCCUAAUAAAAGCAGAGCUAAAGCCAUGAAAAUAACUAAACUAUUUUGUAAUCUAAUCAACAUAAAUAAAGGAAUUAUUGGAAUAACACUCACAAAAUCCACUCCAAUUGUGCUAAUAUAGCUGUCAACAUAUGAAUCAUCCUAAAAGCAUCAAAGAAUAGCAUCAUGUCCACUAUACAAUUCACCGAAAAGAAAAUUUAAUAAAACCCAGAGCUGAAUAUACUAACCCAACCAUAUUUCUAGAAGCAAAUCACUAAAGAAUAUUGAAAAGAAACCCAUUAUAAACCACGUGCAGAUGAAGAAAUCAAAUCUAUAGUUAUUGGAGAAAUCAAAAUUUCACCUUCCACCACUGCCUUUAGAGAUAUUUUAUGUCUGAUUUCUUCACACCAUCACCGUUAGCUAAACCAGCCGAUCAAACCUCAUCCCUCAUAGAUUCAUUCGCUACAACAUCACUUACCACAUCUUUAUCUCCAAUGAAUCAUUCGUUGAUGAAGAAGAUGCCUCCGCCGCCUACUUUAAUAUAUUAUUGUUAAUGGUUCAUGAUUUUUCUUUACAUUCUUUCAUGAAGUAAAUGACAUGGAUUGCAUUUAAUUAAGUUUUAAUCUUAGAAGAGCUUGUUUACUUGAAAAGUGUUAUUAAUGGAUGAAGAAAUUGGGGAUUUUCUUCACGUCCAUGUAGAUAAAUUUUGUGUAUAGAAAUAAAUCAACUUCAAGUAUGUGUGACUUUGUAGUUAUGGAUGGUGAAUCUCAUUAUCUGUUUUAGUUGACCCAAAAAUAUAUAUAUAUAUAUAUAUAUAUAUAUAUGGACAAACCUGGUUUUCCUCUAAAUGAAGGCAUUUGUAAAAUCUAUUAUUAUUUCUAAAGACCCUUCGGAUGCUAUUGUUCUUAAUUCUGAAUUUUGAGGUAAAGCUUUGUGUUCAUUCGAGAUUCACUUCUUUCUUUCAUGAUAAAUGUUGACUUUCAACAAUUAAAGUUAGCAUUUAAAGAACAAUAAAAGAUAUUUUUUGAUGACUAUAUAUGUGAAUUUGAAGCUAAUUUGAAUACAACCAAAUACUUCACAAAAUCUCUUUAACUCACAAUGCAAACAUUACAUCAACAAAUAGCUCACCAAUUCGAAGAAUUUUUAAACAUGAUGUUGAUAACCUAGCAAACAAAAAGAAAAAGUAGUAGUUAUCUGAGAAUUUCAAAUAUGUAUUUUGAUUUUCUUUUGCAUGCUUAUGUCUACAAUCCACCAUACCUCCAUUUGUCAUAAUAGAUUUUGUUUAUUAUAAUAUAAACAUGUUAAACCCAUGUAUCUAAUUACGGCAUGAAACAACUCUACUUUUUGCUUAAUAUUACCAUCAGCAAUGAAAAUACUUGUCGAGACAAUUUAUAUAAUCCAGUAUAAUCUUCAUGCAAAGCCAUUUUCAUUUUCCACUGAAAUCCCACAAAAUCGAAAUCCAACACUAUUAUUUACACUACAUUACCAACUACACGUGCAAUGCACGUGCAUUCACCAGUCUAACUAAAAGUAAAAGAGGCAUAUUUUAGUUACUAUUCACAAGCCGUUGGCUCAGCCAUUUUGGACUGAGCCGAGUUUGUCGAAUCAGUUGGAAAUAAGCUGAAUUUUUAAACGACAUCGUUUUGUGUGAUUAAAAGAGGAUAAGUUUUCCUUUCACUUUUUCUCUUUCUAGAACAUUCAUUUUGUCUUUGCUUUUCUCUUUGUUUUUAGAUCUGAAAACUUCCUUUGUUGAUUUGAUUUUCAUUUUCAAGAUAUCUUCGAAAUUUGGUUAUGGAGUGAUGUUUUCCAAAUUUCAGAGUUAGCGGCGGUGGCAACUUCCACUUCGGCGGUGGCAACUUCCACUUCGGCGGUGACAAUUGCCACCUUGGUGCUCCAUCUCCUCCUACCAUAUUCACUCACUUCUCUGCCUUGAGUUUUUUUAGAUAAACUUGUUCUAUAGAAAGAUUCAAGGUGCUAGCUCUAAAGCUUUUUGUUUGUGCUUAUUAAUUUUGCAUUUCGUGCUUAAUGUUUUGUCGAAUUACGGAAGUUGGUAGUGUUUCAUGGGAUUUUAGUUGGUUAAAGGUACCACUUCAAUGACAAGAAGCCCUAAAUUUUCUUAGAAUUUGUUCAUGAAUUAGCAAAAAAAAAUAAAACUCAUUUAUUAUUGGGUUUCAGUUUUGCUUUACUUUAUUGAUGCUUUCAAACAUCCUGAUUCACUUGACGUAUGUUAAAAAUAGUGUGUUUUCAUUCCAAUAUUUUGAUUCUGCUUGAAAAGCUCUUUUCUUAAUGUGCGAGCAUCAAUUUUUAUGCUUCCCAGACUAUCUGGAGGAUUCUGCAAGCAUGCAAGCUAGGCUGUAACAUUUGAGCAAUAUCCUUCUUUAGGUAAUUGUGUUGUGGGUACCUCCAAAUCUACGUACCUAGCAUAAUUGAAAAUGAAAACAUUAAGAGCAUAAUUGAAAAUGAAAACGUUAAGAACUAGAUAACAUAAUUCUUCUUCUCAAAUCUUUUGUAUGACUCAGCUCUAUACUGUUUAAUUAUCACCACAAAAAAUGAAAGCAAAGAAAUUCACAAGCAAUUAAUUUUAUAUCAUUCAAGUAUUUCCAUACCACUUAUAUUGCUUUCUGUAUUAGAAUUUAUUGAAUGAGAAACAAUGUAUUAAACUCCAUGAAGGAGAAGAUGAAUUACACUCCAUGAAAAGACGAAAUGAACAGCUUCAUAAAAGGAGAAAGACACUCCAUAAUAGGAGGAAAUGAAACCUCCAUGGAUGGAGGGAUUGGAGGACAAUCCAAUAGACUAAAAAUUCAUCCACGGUGCUGUACUUAUAGAGCAAAAUGGCUAAAGUAAUUAACUAACUAAUUAGCUAAUUAACAAUCUAAUCACUAACUAACUAACAACUAAGACAGCUGGACACAACCAUUUGGAAUCUGAUAUGUUGAGAUGGAAGUCUCUAGAAUCUGGUGCACACGUGAUGCUGGAAUCUGCUGAUGUUUGGUGCGUGUGUAUUCCAACUUUCUAUUCUUUAUCUAUGUCGUUUGAUUUUUGAUAAUUUUAAAGCAACGUUUAAAAUUCUCCAAAAGGGAUUGCUAUUAUGUUUCACAACCUUAAGUUGAUCAUAAUAACUUUGUAGUGUACGCUGUAAAAAGGAGUUGAAGUGAGUUUUUUCCUGUUGAGAUGAGCCAAUUAGUGGUAGAUUUAUUUGUGUUGUUGUGUAUGUAUUUUCGCAGUUUGUAUAAUAUAUCUGCAAGAACGUAGGAUUUGACUUUUGAAAAUAGCUCUGAUUCACCAUGUCUCAGAAACUGGUUUGACAUAUCCAGCAAGCGAGAACUGAUACAAAAAUUGAGACAACAAUUAAAGAGAAAAGAUGAUAUGAUGCUAGAAAUACAAGAUCAGAUUGCAAAACUUUGAGACUCUCUGUGAAGUGCUUUUGUAUUCUUCCCAUCUACAAUAGCUACUCAAUUCUACAAACAAGGAUCUGUUUGAUUCCAAAGGAAAAUAUAGAGAUUAAGAAAGGCAAUUGUAGAUAAUUAUGGGGGACAAGUGGUUUUUAGUGACAAUCCCCCUGCUGUUCAUCUAGUAGAAGGAAGGAAUGGCCACAUAAAUGGAUAUUCCAAGGUUGAAAGCAAUCUCGACUCUUAAGAAAAAGGGAAAGGAGAUUGGGAUAUAACAUUGAAACAUUAAGAAGGGAAGUCGGCGGGUGAAAAUAAGUAAUAAUCCAAAAUCUCGAAACUUUUGGGCCUUCGUAUCUUAUCUAAACUCAAAAUAUUAGAAAUUUCAAACAUAUGUUUUCUACGUGUGACAACGAUUAAGAAGAAAAGUAGAUGUUAUGGUAUCUUGUUAAUAUAUAACUAAGAAAACAUUUUGAAAAAAAAAAAAAUCAAAGAUAAUUAUUUUUAGAAGUGAAAAGUUACAUCUUUGAAUUAAUUUUCAUGUUAUUAUAUUUAUUCAAGACAUCUUUUGGUAAGCUUCCAAGAUUGAGCUUAUUUGUUCAUCUUUUGGAAUUAAUUGAUAACUGUAGGUGUUUAGUCAAGAAUGCUUGUUUGGUUUUGCCGUUCUUGAUUAAUCUUCAAAUUCGAUUGAUUUUCUUGAUUUUGGCUUUUUUUUUAUUAGUAAGCGAAAAGAAAAAAACAUUUUUGUUGUUCUGAUUAUAUGUCAUAAUUUAUUGUAUCUAUUUAAUGAGUUAAACCAUGUGGUAUUACCUAAUUGUUUCUAUGCACAACUGAAAAAUAAUGUAGUUUCGUUCUUCACAUGGUUUAUUACUAAAUGGUAUUUGAUCCUUUUUCACUUAGCUUGCACUUUACCGACAUGAGUUUUUGUUGACUUCCUUGAAGUGAGAUGUGUUUGAUGUGGCACUAAGACAUGAAUUUUCUAAACUAUACUUCAGAUUUUUAGCCUCAUUUGAGACCCAUUUACAACAUAGAAAACAUUCAAUUUGGAAAAUGAUUUCUAAAGAAAAAUUGUAGCUCUUUGAGUUAGCUUUCCAACGCACUUUGAAUUACCUCAAUCGGAUAUUGGGAGAAGAAGUUAUGAUAGAAAUACUAAAAGCUGUACAGUAUCAACCAAAGUACGCGAAAUAUGAAAAGUCAAAUUCCUACACGAUUAUCUAGCACCUUCUUAAACCUAUAACUCCCACAUAAAUGACACUCGUAUUAAUGAGUAUUAGGCCCUUCACUUGCCCUUAAGUUGUGAGAUUUUCACCUAUAAAUAGGCUUCAAUGCAUACACAUUUUUCACAUCAAGACAAAAGUUUCUAAGCAUAAAAGAGAGAGUUUUCAAGUCUAGAAAAAAGAGAAUGGAGACGGAGGAAAAUUAGUUUUUCCUAAAAGUUUUGGUGCUAUCAAGAAGUGUUUUCCCAGUAUCAAUUCUCAACGGAGUGUUUUUUUUGAAACAUCAAAGGAGUGCAUUUUUCAACAAGGUUCAAAGCAUCAAUCAAGGUAGGUAGAGGUGCAAAGUGUUAAUUCGUGUUAAGUUAUAAGUUUCUAGCAAAUGAAGAUUUAUGUUAAUGUUUGUAUGUCGAAUGGUACAUUCGGUAUGGCAUACACCUCCAUGUCUAAUGGUAGCUUCGGGUACGGCAUGUACUUCUGGUCAAGGCGUUGUGUUAAGUCAUGACUCUACGUGUUUGGGAUUCUACCGAAAAUCCUACUAUGAAAAGGUUUCUAAAGUUACAGCUUUGAAAUGUAUAGCUUGAUCACGAAUGUACCAAUGAUAUCUAUUGAGUUUUUCUAACUCAAGGAUUUAACCCCUUCUCUACAAAUUGAUAUAAUUCUACCUUGGGCCUGAAUAAUGGAAAAGAUGGAGAGUGGUGCAACGAGUCCAUGGAAAAAUCGGUGAACAAGUUAUUUAGAUUUAUUUUUGUGAACAUUUUCAAUGUUAUUUCUUUAAAGUAUUUGAAUAACGCUGCACGCGAGAACAAGUUGUGUUUUCUUCAAAUAAAUUAUGUUCCAUUAUUUUUUUAUUCAGUGUUUUAUUUAAAGUAUUCGAAAGGUUGUUGUUAAAAUUAUCAUUGUAAAAAUUACACUUCUGCUAAAACAUAUUCUCCUAUGACUAAAUCACCGGUUAGUUAAGUAAAGUAAGUAGCGUUCCGGUCUACAAGGGGUCAAGGCGUUACACUUCCAGAGUUUCAAGGACCACAUCAAAUUUUUUGAUUAAUAAACUUGAGAUUUAAUUUAAACAACCCAAUUUCAUGCAAUUUAUUAAGGAAGCUAAGGAUAUGGAUCAGGAUUUUUGGUAUUUUGUUGAACAAAAGAACAGAUAAUAACCAAUAUCGAUUCUCUAGUAUUUUAUAUUCCAUUUCUGACUUUUAGCAAGCGAACUUUUAUAGCUCUUGUAAGAGGUUUAGUACUUAGCACAAUAUUCAUUUUUUUGUAAUUGCAAUUUAGCUAAGACAUCUUGCAGUUGUAGCGUGGCAGGUAUUAAUCAGGGUUGAAAUUAUAAAAGAAAACGGAAAUAAUAUAACCAAUCUCUGUCUUCAAUAAACAUUACAUGCAUGCCAACCAACAAGUUGGAGGAAAACCAAAAAAGUGGAGAAGAGGAACUACAACAUUAGAUUUCACGAAUACGAAUUAUGAGUGCCCUAUUUGAGCCCCAUUUUUUCAAGAAUUCAUUAUUUCAAAUCUCAUUUUCAACCACACAUUCUCUCAUAAAAUAACUAUAUGCGUAUUUUAAAUAUUUUUCUUACUUUUUAGCCACACGUUCUACAAAAAAUCUCUAUUCUAUAAUACAUUUUAUGCAAAAAUGGGCAUCAAACGGGGACUAGAUUUCCGCUACAAAGUAAACUUUACCUUUCUCUUCAGUAUGUUGUCUUGGUCAGUGGCGGAUCCAAGAGUUGGAGCCAACUAGGGCAGUUGUAACCGUCGACUGACGCAUUUGCAAGAUCCUUUUUUAAAAUUUUAUUAAAUAAUAUUAAAAUUUUUUAAUUAAUAUAUAAAUACAGUAAAACGUAAAUCACAUAUUAACAAUCAUCAAGUUUCCAUUUUCAAAUUUCACAAAUACUAAUAGAUUCCAUAAGUCCACAAAUACUAACAGUUAUUUCCAAAAUCCCUAAUCUUCACGAAUUUCAUAGUCCACAUAUAUGAUAUCGCAUAUCCUCAAACUCAUGAAACCUCCAAUUUUCGUAAAUACUAUUGGAGGCUCAUAACUCACAAAGUCACAGACUAACAGUAAAUACUCAUAAAACAUAAAUUCAUAAAUCAUAACUGAUUAUUUUAACUGAUAAAUCAUAAUUUGAUAAAUAAUAAAUCAAUAAACGAACUAGACGAACAAAAACAAAAAAUAAAAAUAAAAAAUGAAGAGAGGCAGGAGGCUCACGACUCAUGUCCCGCCAUCACGAGUGGAAUUAGUUACCAGUGAUACAAUGGUGGUGUAGUGCUGCAGUUGCCGGUGGCUCGAUGUCGCUAAUUCUACGGUGGCUUAGCUUGAGUACUAGCAGCUAAAAAUAGGGUUGGAAAUUGGAAUUGGAUGGAAUUGCUUGAUUUUGGGUUUGAACUGCCGAGUGAUACGUGGCUUUGUGCGUUUGAUUUAUGAAGGGAAAAUUUCAUGAAACACAGUUAAUUUAUAUUAUUGUCUAUUCUACAUUGCCACUGUAUUCUUAUUCUAAUUAUACUACUUUUUAUAUAGUAUUUUGGAAAAUUGAAUGGGAGAACAAAUAAGCAGGUGUAUUAUAUCUUGCACUUUCCCAAAAAAUCCAUUUCAUAUUCCUCUCUCUCCAUCUUGCAGAAAACUAAACACCGCCGUCCAUGCAAAUCCAAGAUCCCCAAAUCAAUUAAUCAAGAAAAGGGGUUAGUUUACUACACAGAUCGAUCUCAUUACCUCACAUACCCAUGGGCUCCGUCUAUAUCCUACGGUCGGAAGUUGAAUGUUGUAAGUUGGCUAUCCCUUGACGGAAGUUGUCGCUGGCUUCCAAAGAGGGUAUUAAUGGAGGGGAAGCUUCGGUAUUUGUGGAGAUAGUGACGACGAAAAUGGAAGAUGCACGUUCUCCUUCGUGUCGAAUUACACGAUCUAUAGCCGUUCUGUCAGAAUAUAAGGAACGAGACCACCCAGCCGUCAAAGAAGUGUUUAAAACCUCAGCCAAUGUUGAUAAAAGUGAGAAGAGGCGACUAUGUUGACGAAGAAUCCUCUAUGAAGAAGAUGAAAAUGGCGUUGCAUUCGAACCCGAAAGAAGGAAAUUCUACGUCUCACGUAUUUUUUGGGGAUUUUUGAAAACUGUGAAUGUUAAUAUGCUAAAUUUUGUUUGUUAUCCUGAGGUUCACAUUUUAGAGACAAUGAAUUACAUAUGUAUGCGAUUUACGUGAAGUUCUCCUCCAUGCCUCUUUGACCUUGCUUAUUGUCUGUACCAAAACCAUUGGAUGACACACCGAAACGAGAAGAGGUGACUAUGUUGACGAAGAAUCCUCUAUGAAGAAGAUGAAAAUGGCGUUGCAUUCGAACCCGAAAGAAGGAAAUUCUACGUCUCACGUAUUUUUUGGGGAUUUUUGAAAACUGUGAAUGUUAAUAUGCUAAAUUUUGUUUGUUAUCCUGAGGUUGACAUUUUAGAGACAAUGAAUUACAUAUGUAUGCGAUUUACGUGAAGUUCUCCUCCAUGCCUCUUUGACCUUGCUUAUUGUCUGUACCAAAACCAUUGGAUGACACACCGAAACCUUACACUGCUGUGUGUGAUAUGUCGCGUUUGAAGAGUUUGAUAUGCUAAAAUUUACUUACAUCUUUGUGAUUGAUUGUGAAUAUUAAUUCUUCUUUUCUUAUGAUGACAACAUAUGCAAUAUAUAUAUAUAUAUAUUUUUUUUUUUUUUUUUUUUUUUUUUUUUUUUUUUUUUUUACAAUGUGUAGUGGAAACUCAUUUUACACUUGAUUGUGAUGUUCAGAUUGCACAUUGUCUAUUAGAAAAUGGAAAUCAGCUGCAGGUGAGUCAGCUUGGGAGUCAGCAAAGCACGUACACUCCAGUACACAUGGGCGACAAGCUGGACCAUAGAUGGAAGAAUAAAUCUAGAAAGAUGUAUCAUAUUUUCUAUUAUGUGGUUUUCCUUUCGUAACAGUGUUGUUUAUAUUGAUUCUUUUUUUUGCCUGCUGUAUAGGUUUUCCGUUAGGCUGGUACUCUUCUCAUUCUAUAUAUAGUGUGAUCUGUAAAGAAGUGAAUAUAGCAGAUUCAAUAUCAUGAGAAAAUUCUCCCAAAACUCUUGCACUCCACCUGCUCGAUAGUUUUUUUCUUUCGUUUAUUUCUUCUUUUCUUAUAUGGUAUCAGAGCAAGAUAUGGCACAACCUGAUUCUGCUAAUCCAAAUCCAGUUGAAUCUUCAAACACAAAUAUAAAUCAACACCCAAAUCCAAUCUCGGUUGAUCCCUCACAGCCAAACAGUCCAUACUCUAUUGGAGCUAAUGAUAGCUCUGGAUCCAUACUCAUUACUCAUGUAUUGGAUUCAAACAAUUAUCAUUCCUGGGAACGUGCGAUCCAAAGAGCACUCACGAUUAAAAAUAAGCUCGGUUUUGUUGAUGGAAGCAUUUCAGAGCCUAAUGAUGCAGACAGUCCACUUAUGGAGCAUUGGUUGAGAUGUAAUGAUAUAGUAAUCACUUGGUUGCAGAAUACUAUGGCACCAUGUAUGCUGAAAUGGCACAUUAUCUAUGGAAGGAACUUGAACAGAGGUUGGCACAGUAAAAUGCACCUAGGAUUUUUGAGCUCAAACAAAGUAUUGUAAACCUGAUACAAAAUCAAUUCAGUGUAAGUGUGUAUUUCUCAAAGCUGAAAACUCUUUUGGAUGAAUCGCUAAAUUAUGAAUCAGUACCCAAUUAUUCCUGUGGAGGUUUGAAGGUUGAGGUGAACAACCAACAAAGAGGUUGGGUUAUGAAAUUCCUAAUGGGUCUCAAUGAUACGUACAAGGGAUUAAAGGCUCAAAUUCUCCUCAUUAAGCCUUUCCCAAGCUUGAAUGAAGUAUACUCCAUAAUUUAGUAAGAAGAGAAGAGAAGGCAAAUAUCCACUGAUAGUUCACUUGAUGAAACUAUGGCACUACUUGCUAAGGGUAACCUUGAUGUGAGAAAACUAAACCAAUCCUCUCAGAAGAAGGAUAGGUACUACUGCACCUAUUGUAAGAUAGCUGGCCAUUCCCUUGAACUAUGCUUCAAGGCUAAUCCCAACAAACCAGCAUGCUCUUAUUGCCUAAUGCCUGGUCAUACAGUUGGAAAAUGUUUUGAGUUACACGGGUAUCCAUCGGGGCACAAAUCAGAAGGGAGAAACAAGCCAUCAACAUCAUUUGCUAAUCAGACUACUGCACUUAUGCCUCUUUUCCAGGAACAGGUAAAUAACAAAGCUCAAAUUCUUUAACUCGGGAGCAAUAUGAUCAGCUCAUGGCAUUGCGGAACCCACAAACUCAUCAAAACUUCAUCCCUUCUGCAAAUCAUGUUCAAACUUUAUUCCAACUCAUUCUGAUAAUGGUGAGAUGCCAAAAGUUUUAGGUAUAUCUCUAUGUCUGUUUGCCUUUAGCACUAAACUUUAUGAUCAUUCAGUUGCACCUUGGAUAUUAGACACGGGGUACAGAUCAUAUGAUCUGCUCAACCUCUCUUUUUACCAUAAUAAAGUCUAAAGUUUCAUAUUCAGUAGCUCUCCCAAAUGGUAAAGUUGUUCCUGUCACUCACAUUGGGACAGUAAAAUUUUCAGAAUCUUUCAUUUUGGAUAAUGUUCAUUAUGUUCCGUCGUUUUCUUUUAAUUUGAUAUCAGCUAGAAAAAUAACGCAGAACAUGAAUUGUUGCCUCCUUGUCUUCCUGGUUGUUGUUUUAUACAGGACCUUUUGACUUGGAAAAGGACUGGAAUGGGUGAAGUAAAGCAAGGACUCUAUCACUUGAUGCAAUAUGAAGUGUCUCCUUUUGCCUUGACCAAGAAAUUAGCCUAUCUAACUCAAAAGACACACAUAUCCGCUUCCUGUAUUUUCAAUAAUGGUGAAGAUUUCGAUCUUUGGCACUGUAGGUUAGGACACUCCACCUAUUCCAAGCUUAAUUUACCAGAAGACACCACAAGAUCCACCAAACAGCCUUGCCUUACUUGUCCUUUAGCCAAACUACAAAAAUUACCAUUUCCUGUCAGCCAGCAUAGAUCAGAAAAAUGUUUUGAUCUCAUACAUUGUGAUAUUUGGGGACCAUGUAAUGAGAUUAGUUAUGAUGAUUUUCGUUAUUUUCUAGCUAUUGUGGAUGAUUUCAGUAGAUGUACUUGGGUUUAUAUGUUGAAAUUCAAAUCUCAUGCUGGCAUUGUUUUGCAAAGUUUUUGCUCUAUGAUUGAAACACAAUUUGAAUGUAAAGUUAAAACUAUUAGAUCAGACAAUGGAGAUGAAUUUGAGAUGAAGAAAUUUUAUUCACGAAAGGGAAUCAUUCACCAUAAAACUUGUGCAGAGACUCCUCAACAAUAUGCCAUAGUUGAAAGAAGACAUCAACACAUUUUAAAUGUGGCAAGAGCUUUAAAAUUUCAAAGUGGCAUCCCAUUAAGAUAUUGGAGUGAUUGUGCUCUCACGGCAGUUUAUCUUAUAAACAGAACCCCUAUACCUCUUUUAGACCACAAAACACCCUUUGAAAUUCUUUUUCAAACCAGACCAGAUUACACUUAUCUUAGAGUUUUCGGAUGCCUAACAUUUGCUAGUACCCUAGUGAGUGGAAGACAUAAGUUUGAUCCUAGAGCUAGGAGAUGCAUUUUUUUGGGAUACCCAUUUGGAAUCAAAGGAUACAAAUUAAUGGAUUUCAACACAAAGGUGGUCUUUAUCUCUAGGAAUGUUAUCUUUCCACGAGAGUGUUUCCUUGCAAGCAAAAUGCUAUCAACAGUGCUUAUUUUAGUCCAAAUCCAACUUCAAAAAUAGAUUUCAUUUAUGAAAUUCCUAUUAUCUCAGAUCACAUAGAAAACAGCCCAAAUCAUUCUCUUAUCAACACUUCAGACAAAAUGCAGCAACAGACCACUCAACAGACUUUGAAUCUCUUUCAUUAGAACAAAAUCAUGGCUUAUCUGGACCUGCAAAUACAUUUAUAAUUGACAGUGAGCCAUCCCAAAAACAAGUCGUACCUUGAAGGUCAAAUAGAAUCAAGAGAACCCCUACAUAUCUCAAGGAUUUUGUCUGCCAACAGGUCACUUUGCUUCCCCAUUCACAGGCUUUGGACAAGCAAAGGGUCACCGUUCCCUCAGGUAAUCCCUAUCCUCUUGAGAAUAGUGUGUCAUAUCAUAAACUCUCCACUCCCUACAAGGCUUUUGUUGUUUCUAUCAGCACACAAACUGAACCAAAAAAUUUCCAAGAAGCACUAGAAUCUCUCAAGUGGUGUAAUGCUAUGAAAGCUGAAAUAAAUGCUCUCGAAUUAAAUGAUACUUGGAUAGUUGUUGAUCUAUCUCCUAGUAAGGAGGCCAUAGGGUGUAAGUGGGUUUAUAAAAUCAAAUUCAAUGCUAAUGGGACCAUAGAGAGAUAUUAAGGCAAGUUAGUGGUUAAGGGAUAUACACAACAACAAGGACUCGACUAUCAUGAAACAUUUUCUCCUGUGGCAAAACUAGUUACUGUAAGGACUUUGUUGGCUUUAGCUGCUAUUAAAGGUUGGCACUUAUACCAAUUUGAUGUAAACAAUGCAUUUCUACAUGGAGAUUUGGCGGAAGAAAUUUACAUGCAAUUGCCUCUGGGUUAUCCCACUGUUAAUGGGAUGAAAGCUUGCAAAUUGAAGAAAAGCUUGUGUGGCCUUAAACAAGUCUCUAGACAGUGGUAUUCUAAGCUAUCUAACUUCAUUAUUGAGCAAGGUUUUUCACAAUCUAAGGCUGAUUAUAGCUUAUUUACAAGAGCUACAAAACAUUCUUUUAUUGUCAUCCUCGUAUAUGUCGAUGACAUUAUAGUGUUCAGCAACUGCAUUGACUCUAUUAAUGUUCUCAAGCAUACCCUACAUGAGAAAUUCAAAAUCAAGGAUCAAUAUAGUUGAAAUACUUCCUUGGGAUGAAGUGGCUUGGUCAGAUCAUGGCAUCCAUAUAUGCCAAAGAAAGUAUGCCUUAGACAUCUUGACAGAUUCAGGCAAAAUUGGGGGCAGCACCAACUCGAAUUCCAUUGAUCAGAAUCUUAAGCUUUCUAAAGAGCAAGGCAAACUAAUAUCUAACCCAUCACUCUAUAGAAGGCUAGUUGGAAGAUUACUAUAUUUAACUAUAACAAGAUCGGAUCUAUCCUUUUCAGUGCAAUAUUAAGUCAAUUCAUGGAUAACCUUGGAUUACCACACCUUAAUGAAGCCUACAAGGUUUUAAGGUAUAUCAAAAAGGCUCCAGGAUAAGGUUUGUUUUAUUCUAUUGAAUCAAGCCUGCAGCUUAUAGGUUACUGUGAUUCAGAUUGAGGAGCAUGCCAGGACACAAGAAGAUCGGGUCAGUGAUUAUUGUGUGUUUAUUGGGUCUUCUUUGGUGGCCUGGAAGUCAAAGAAACAAGGGGUCGUGUCUAGAUCAUCUACGGAGACAGAAUACCGAGCAAUGGGUAACCUGUGCUGUGAAUUAACUUGAAUGAGAUAUUUACUUCAUGACUUGCAGAUUACACAUUCUCAGGCUGCCACUGUGUUUUGUGAUAACAAGGCUGCACUUCACAUCGCAUCAAACCCUGUCUUUCAUGAGAGAACCAUGAGAGAACCAAGCACAUUGAGCUUGAUUGUCAUCUCAUCCAUGACAAGAUUCAAGAUGGAAGCAUAACCACUGGUUAUAUUGGUAGUGGAUUACAAGUUGCAAACCUCCUAACUAAGGCCUCAAGUUCUUCUGUUUUCUAUACUCUUUUGCUCAAGAUGGGAGUAGAAGAUAUCUACUCUCCACCUUGCGAGGGGCUAUUAGAAAAUGGAAAUCAGCUGCAGGUGAGUCAGCUUGGGAGUCAGCAAAGCACUCACACUCCAGUACACAUGGGCAACAAGCUGGACCAUAGGUAGAAGAAUAAAUCUAGAAGGAUUUAGCAUCUUUUCUGUUAUGUGGUUUUCCUUUUGUAACAGAGUUGUUUAUAUAGAUUCUUUUUGCUGCCUGCUGUAUAGGUUUUCCGUUAGGCUGGCACUCUUCUCAUUCUAUAUAUAGUGUGAUCAACCUGUAAAGAAGUGAAUAUAGCAGAUUCAAUAUCAUGAGAUAUCCUGAUGAACGGUAGAUUUUCUAGUAGUGAUUAUAACAAACUUGCUGCUCGGAAAAUUGGACCGUUGGAAGUAAUUGAAAAUAUCAAUCCUAAUGCAUACAGGUUGAAGCUUCCAAGCCAUGUUGCGACCAGUAAUGUUUUUAACGUCAAGCACCUGGUUCCAUAUGUUGGUGAUUUGUCAAUAGAGGACUCGAAUUCGAGGACGAAUUCUCUCCAACCCGAGAAGGAUGAUGUAGAUCGAGUGGCCUAUAAUUUUAUUGAGAAGUAUGAGAGGAGGCUUGAGAAACAGGAAUAUUAAUUUUUUUGUUAUUUCUUUAUUAUGUCUGUCAAAUUAAGUUUCCUUAUUAUGUUGUCUAAGUUUCUGUUAUUAAAUUAUUCUGUCUUAUCACUUAUUUUAGGUAAGUUGUCUGUUUAGGGUUUAUAUAUUUGUAGUCUUCUGUAGCCGCAGACAGUUUUCUGGAGUUAUUAUGUUAUCAAUAAAAACUCUCUGCAAGAGUUUUAUUUGUUCCUGCAAUUCCUAGUCCCGAUUUCUAGGUUUGUGGAAGACUUGUGAAUUUAUUGUGUGCACAGAUUCUGCUUCUGUUCUUUCCGCUGCAUCAUUAGGGAUGGUAGUUGGUUGCUAGCUCAACUUUGAAGGAUCUUUUUUUUUUUUUUUUUUUGAAGACUCUCUUGUUGCUGUUUUAAAUUAUAUACAACGACUAGGAAUGCAUUUCUGAUUUCCCGGGUUUUUUCGUUAUCUUUUGGUAAUGUAAAUAUUCAUUAUGUAAUCUGAUGUAUUGCAUACUUCAUGGGUCGGAUCGUACACGUGAAAUGGUACCAAUUGAAGUGUCGAUUGUGUCCAAUUAUAUCGUAUUGCACAUGCAGCUGACAUUUAUGUUUUUAACCUCAAUGAAAUCUCCAUUGGUCUAUUUUUUUAGCGUAAUUAGUUUCCUCUAGUGUACUGGCAUGUGCAUUUUUCAAGAUUAAGCAUUCUUGCGACCAUCGUCUUGACGACAUCGAAUCAAUGUUUUUUCUUUAAAAAAAAAAACAUUUACACGUGUGACAUUACCGUUGUAAUGGAAUCAUUUUUUUUUUCUUAAAUAUACUUUAGAUGUGUGAAAUUAGCGUGUAAAAAACUUGUAAUGUAUGGCAUUCUGAAAACAUCAAUACACAAAUCUAUUGCUAUAAGCUCCCAUAAUACGGUAGGAUAUAGUAAGGUUAUAUACCUUGACUCAAUGGAGUAUACUAAUAGUGCACUCUAAUGUUCACAUUACGUCGAAUUUGCAAUAUUUAUAGGUCUAUCGUUCACCAUAGAUCUGGUUCUAUUUCCUACUUUACUAUCGUAUAUAGUCAGAAUGAUAUCUUGAUUUUUACAGAUUCACGUUUGCAAUACACGAGACUCCGUAGUAUUACAGAUUCAGACCAUCGAAUUCCAUUUUUUUAAUAUAUAACACAUGUCACAUUCGCACUUUCGAAAUAAGAUUGAUGCAGGUAGAUGUAGUUUACUAAUUUUGCAUAGAGACGAACACAUACUGACUAAUUUUAAUGUGGCAAAAAAUAUUCAUGUUUCAUUCAUAUUUACAUUGAUAUUGUAACGAACGCAUAUUUUCACUUACAGGUUUUCCCAGUGAUGAUUAAUCGUUUAGCAACCUCACAGCAAGAAGUUAUAUUUCAUGUCUGGUGAAUUGAGUGCGUGGAAGGAGCUGUCCGGCUAAUAAAGCAGAAAUCUGUAAUGGGAAGGUGUUGAGUCACAUUUAUUCAAUAUAUCAUGUUUCCGAAUUCACAAUUCAAAAUUCUCUUACGAGUUAUAUUAUACAAUCAAUACAUUCAAACACCUUCUAGGUUGUGUCAGACUAGAUAAAAACCUAAUAAAAAUUUUACCCUUAAAAUGCCGAUGUGUGCAUCUAUUUGCCGGGAGUUUAGAUGGGAUCCAUACAACAAAAUCUUUGCUACUACAUUUAUAACAGUUCACAAUGACGCUAACCAAAUGUAAAAGUUCAAUGCCCAUUAUUGCAGAAACACGAUAUUACACUUGGGACCUCGAAGGGGUCCAUUUAUUUGAAUAUAUUGACUAAAAGUUACAACAUUAAUUUAUUUCUUUGCCGACAAGAGAAUAAAGGACGAAACUAAAGGUAGAUCAAGCAUGCAUCCAUGCUUGUAUUAUUCAACACAACAUUUUUAAAUUAAUUAAAGUAAGCAGUAAUUGUUAAUUUAAACAUUGUUUCUUUUUGGCCUUUUUGCAGAACUGUUUGUUUUUCUUGAGUUUUGACAUCCUGUAGCCAUGGAGUCCUUUUAGUUUUUCAGGAAAUCCUUCCACCACUUAGCUGAAUCUUUAGGGUGUCUUUCCAAAUCAUUCUCGUUCUUGAAGUCUACAUAAUGAACUCCAAAUCUAAGAUUGUACCCUUGUGUCCAUUCAAAAUUAUCAAAAAAUGACCAUUUGAAGUAACCUUUCAAGCGUACACCAUCCCUGAAAACGAAAGACUAGUUGAUUAGUUUCAAAAUUUACAAUUUUACUUCGAAUUUAACUACAAUAUGUGAUUAAAGAUAAAAUAAAAAAAAAUGACGUACUCUAUUGCCUUUCUAAGUUGGUCAAGAUGGUCCUUGUGAUACGUAACCCUUUUUUCAUCUUUAACAGCCUCUGGAAUUGUUAGUUCAUCGUUUUUCAAUUCAUCCAGCCCUACAAGAGAUUAUAAAAGAAUUCAACAAAUCACUAAAUGCUCUAAAAAUUUAGUAUUUCUAAUGUAUAUUCUUGCUAUAUAAAUAAAUAAACAUGACUAUAUACCAUUCUCUGUAAUGAAAAUCUCGGGAUUAUCAUAAGUUUUCUUUAUAUAGAGCAUUAUCUCGUAAAUUCCCUCUGGAACUAUGUACAACCAUGACGAACCACCCUGACACGAAGUAAAAAAGAUUUGUAAUUACAUUAGAUUAUACAUAAGCAUCGAAAAUAAUGUAAACCAUUAUAUCUAUUUUAGUUCAUUGUGCCCGUAUAUUAGGAGUCUAUGACAUAAUCAUAUUUCACCAAAAAUUGUUGAUAUGCCUAAAUUGUUAGAAUAAUCCAUUCCAUUGUCUAUAUUCUUUUUCUAAGGGAGGGUACUAUUAAUGACUCACCUUAUCACCAAUCGGCUUGUCAUUGCAAUCAUGAGCUAAAAGAAUGAAAAGUAAACAUCUUGUUAGAAGUAGUGUCCAUUUUUUGUCAAGGUAAAAAGUUAUAACUGAACAUGAGAAAAGGUCCCAGUACUUACUCCUCUCAUCAACAUGCAGAUCAUUCUCAAAAUGUGUUUUUGAAGAAUCUCGAGGUACAUUUUGGGCAUAACGAGCCGUGUAAUAAUUUAUGCCCAAGAAGUCACAGGAACCUUUCACUAGUGCAACCUCGUCUGGUUUAAACAUGGGAAGACGUUCUCCUACAUUGAUUCUCAUGGAUAGUGGAUAAUCACCUGUUAUUACAGGGGCUACAAACCUGAACAGGAGAAAUGUGUUAAAAUUAGAAUUAUUAUCGAUGUACUAUAUACCUAAACUUCUACAAAAAUAUAUCUAUAAUGUAUUCUCUUAAUAAGGCAUAAACAGGCUAAAGGAUAAAAAGAAUAGAAGAGAAGAAACUUCCGAUAAUGGAUUCCAAUUUAACGAAUUUCCCAGGCACUAAUUUCAUUGGGAGAUUUAGGAAUUUAUAGAGAUGCAGAGUAAUUGCUCGUGGUAAAGAUAAACUGCUCUAACACAAGUAACAAUUACCAUCCUAACAAAAAAUCAAGUGCUCUCGAAGCAGCCUCGACAUCCUCUUUGUUGUCUUCCUUAAAUGGAUAAUACCAGAUUGAAACGUUUGUCAUCCCUAUUUUGCCUCGUUGGCUUUCCUGUAUGUACAGAUGUAUUAAUAUUUGUAAAAUUUCAAAAGUGUGUAUUUACCUAUUUAUUUUUGUACAUGUGUGAAAUAUUAAAAUAAAAACCUGAUAUUGUUUCCGGUAUAUAUUAACCGCAUGCGCAUGAGCAAGGAUCAAAUUGUGUGCCACUAUAUAUGGUUCUGUUCCCGGAUCUCCUUCAAAGGAAGUACCAUCUUCAGAGGAUGCAGUGUAAGGCACAUUGAGUGCCUCAGCAAUUACUUUUCUCGCUGCAUCUCGUUCAGAGGAAGGAAUGUUGUCCGAAUUGUAUGCGAUAUCAACUAGUUCACUGAUUGGAUCUCUGGCCAUAUAUCCUCUUGAUGAAGGAAACAGAGGAACAUUGAUGCUGCUUCUAUGCUGAAGGAUCGAGGAACGACACAUUCGUUCCAAUGAUUCUCGAGUGCGAUCCGAUGCUGAUGCCGAUGCUCCAAGUUGAUAACCUCGACGAGGGGGAAACCUUGGAUGCACAUAUCCAUAAAAAGUGAAGGACCGUGGCUCAUUGAGCGUGACCCAAUAUUUCACUCGAUCACCAAAUUUCGAAAAGCAUAUGUCAGCAAACUCACAAAAAUGUUUCCUAUUAUGACAAUGUAAAGAAAGUUAAAUUUCAACAUAUAUGUCUGUAAUAAAACCAUAGAUGGUUAAAAAAAUUCACUUAUGUCUUUUAUCUUUGCACAAGAGAUCAAUCUGCUUAUUAUUAUCCAUUUUCUUUGAAGAAAAUAUUUCUGCUUUUUCCUUCAAAAUAUAGAUUUUGAGAAAAUAACUUUGCUUAAUUCAUCUGUUAAACAUCUAGCACACGAUGUUCGAUGCUAUGCAAGAUCGUUUACUUACACAAUUUGAUGAUCUAAGAAGCCGCCAUAUUCAUCUUCCAAUUUUUGUGGAACAUCCCAAUGGAAGAGAGUUGCACAGGGCUCAAUGCCUACACAAAAGUAAUGUAGAGAAAUCAAUGUACAUGAUAUCUUUAAAUUUUAUAUUUUAAUUUAUAAGAAAAGAAAUGAUUUCAAUGGCAUAUCAAUUUGAACUUCCAAUCAUGUACUAAUUAAAUAUAAAAUAAGAAUAAUUUUCUUAAAGAUACAAUAAACACGUGAAUUCAAAGAAGUCUAACCUUCUUUCAAAAGUUCGUCUAUAAGAUUGUUAUAGAAUUGGAUUCCUUUUUCGCUUAUGCCAUCGCAUCGUCUACCACCUAAAAUAUCAAUAUAAAUUUAUACUCAUAUUAAAAUAAAGAACUAAUUUAGUUGUAUAUAAUGAGGUGUAUCUAAGGGUGUACACCCCCCUCACAUGGAGUCUGGGAUCCACCCGAAUAAGUGUUUUUUUUAUUCGGGUGGAUUCCACACCGCAUGUGAGAGGGGUGUACACGCUUAGGUACACCCCAAUGUAUUACUAGCACCACCGUAAAAUAAAGUCAAGGAACUUCUAUUGAUAUCCAAUAUUGAGGAAAUUACUUGGUGAGGUCUCAUAUUAGAGACUACUUCUGGUUUUCUAAAUACUUCUAUUUUUCAAAAUAUUUUGUCAAAAUACUUCUAACGAGAACUUUUUCUUGUCAAGAGUUUUUCUACAUUUUUCUCUUCCUUUUCUUUGUGUUCGACUUGAAAACUAGGCAAGGUUUAUGAGGCUUUCGAGUCCAUUUAGAAAUCCUAGUCAAACUUAUCAAUGUAGACCAUUAACUCUAUAUUGUCCAGAAUCUUUUCCACUUUGUCUAGCCCUUUAUAGUCAUUUAAAAAAUUUUAAGCAGAAAACAUCACUUUAGCUUAAAAAUUAAAUAAUGUACAAACGCUACAUCUUUGACGUUUCAUUAUUGAAGUGAAAAAAAAAACUGUUUUUCUAAAAUCAUUUAAGCACAAUCCGGUACCUGGUAAGAUUCUGGACCAUGAAAUUGAAAAUCUAUAAGAAUCCAAACCAACUUCCUUCAUCAAAGCCACAUCGUCCUGCAGCAUUAUUGACAGUGAGUACAUUAUACAUUCAAAAAUAUUAUUCUUGGUGGCUUAAAUUAGAAUACAAUCAAUUAUAAUUGAUUUUUUUCUUUCUUGUUUCUUCCACUUUUUUUCAAAAUAGAACUUUUUGACUUCAAGCGCCAACAAAGUAUCAACUUAUUUUGAAUGCUAUGUUCCAGAUAAUAGUCAUGUUUGAACAAUGGCAAUGAGCAUUUUUUUUUUCAUUAAUGGAUCAAAAGAGUUAUUUAAUUCAUUUACAGCUAUUAGUUCAAUUCAUUUUUCACUUACUUAAAUAUUGUAAAUGGAUGAGUAAAAAAAGAACACUGGUGGACUGGUGGUAGGUUUUCUUAGAAAUGAUGAGUUUUUAUGUUGAUAUCAAUUAGAAGAAAGUGGUCAAAUUAUUAUUAUUUUUUUUUUUUUAUAAGGGCUUUAUCACUUGGCCCCCACCUCAUCCCCUGGACGUCCAAGGGGAUUGUCCCUGAAGCAUGGCUCUUUUUAUAAAUUUAGACCUUAAUAAAAUAUAAGGGAUCAGAUGAUCCUCGCUUAAUGCUUGAAUAGAUAUAGAAUUUUGAUACGGUAAUAUAAAUGAAUUAACAUCACUAUCUGCCACGAAAAAUUAAAUAGCUGAGCGCAUUUACCUUGAACUUGUUAUAGUGAUUGAUUGCCACUUGUCCAUUUGAACCAUCCGCAAUGCUAUCUGCCACACAGACAUUUUAAAUUAGGAGGGCACAAUCAAACUUUGUACAGAUCGAAUACUUUAUUCUUAAUUUUUGAAUGAUUCAUACUUGACUCGAAAAAAAGAAGAUUUACGUUUAAAAAAAAUCCCUUCAUUAAGAUUUUGGUCAUCAUUUUCAUUCAUUUGAUUUCAAACAGUCAUUUUAUUAAUAUUUUGCUCAUCACAAAAGAAUACAUAUUUAUGUUUAAAAAAUUUAUAGUGUAUUUGAAAUUUUGAUUUAAACAAUCAAUUAAAAUGAUCGAUUCAAAUAAUCGAAAGAAAAAAUAUUUAACAAAUAUUCAAUACUAAUUAAUAAUCAAUCAAAUAAACACAAUUCAUUAAAUAUAAGUAAAAUUGGACAUAAUCACUUCAGACACAUUUUGUAUACACAAUUUGAUAGGAAAAGAUAAUCUAUAGGUUCUAAUUAAUUGAAAAUUUGAUUGAGAAGUGAAGAAUUGUAAUAGAUGUGAUAAUCUACAGAAAAAUUAUAGAUAAAUUUUUAAAAAUUAGAAGAUUUAAGAAUUUGAUAAAAUGCGUGAGGGAGAAAGUAGCGAAAGAGAAAGAUACAAGAAAAAAGUUCGAAUCUAUUAUGAUUUUUAGUAGAUUUUGAUAAAGUUAAAAUGUUAUGGAUUUCAUGAAAUAUUCUAUUAAAAUUAAUUAUUAACUGUGAUUCAUAUUAAAAUUUAGAUUUUAAUUCAUACCAAACAUGACUUAAAAAAAAUCCCAAAAAUAAACUACCAGGACCCCGUCUCCACCGCUGCACGUACAUGUGCGUGUGUAAAUUAAUAUGUUCUAUUUUAAAAUGAAAACUUUGGUAAAAAGAGUUACACAAGCCUUCUUCUGUUGAUUGAUAUAUUUAACUGAUAAGAGAUUAUACAUUUAACAUGCCUCUACAGGAUAAUGACUUGUUAAAAAACUUCAAUCCUUGAACUCGAACGCUUGUUUGAGUUUGAGAUGGAUCAUGUUACUUAUUUGAGCUUGUUGGACGGUGAUAAGAUACUUAGAAUAGAGAUUUUAUCUCAAAUGGACAACCAUAUAUAUAGGAGUAGCUGAGCUCUUUUAUGUUAAUUUAUAUUUUAUAUUUAGUGAUUUUAAACACACAAGACUAGAGAGAGAGAGAUUGAAGAGACCAGGAUGCUUUUCUGUCAUAUCAUCCCAAUUACUCGGGCCUUUACCAUCUACAUUCCAAGCACCUUCUACCUGAAAUAAAUUAUACAUCCACAAAUUAAGAACUCAAGAAAGUUAAAUUGCAUGUGAUGGACCGUCUAACAUAUACAUUCCCACAUGAUCGUUUCAGCAAAUCUUCAUUAUUCUAAACUAUAAUGGAUUCUUUUAUAAGGUACAUUUAAUAAUAUUUCACAUUAUUAACGAAUAGUACGGUUUGCCCAUUUUUCUGACCAAAUCUGCCUGAUACAACAUACUAAAACAUACCAAUUACUCACUUGAUAUGCCAGUGUUAGCACCGAAGAUAAACUCGAAAAAUCAGUUGCAAACCUGAUAUGCCGAUGUUGCACCACCAAAUAUAAAAUCCUUGGGGAAAUCAGAGCGUUUGACCUCGGUUUGGGAUGUAGCCAUUUGAAUAAGCAGGAUGAGAUAUUAUAGUCAGUUGGGAGAGAUGUGUGGUUCCUCUUGUCCAUUCACUCUAUUUAUAGACUAUGGGUUUCAAAUACUUGUAUCAUACCAUUAGACAACAAGCAUAAAGUAAGUAUAAUAUAUUGGGAAAGGUAUCAAUACUUAUCUUAAAGGUUGAACCCCAACCUUGAAGGCCCCCACCGUCCCGCCCCUAGAGCUUUGUGAGGGAGGUAAAUCACAGGAUGUGCCCCAACAGAUCAGGGAACAAGAGUUGCAUGUACACUGCGCGUACAAGGAGUCCAAUUCCAUGUCUUAGGAAUCGAACCCUCAUACUGCGACUGUCAGCAAGGCGUGUGACAACCUCACUCCGGUCCUUUGCACCACUAGGCUAUAUCCCGGGAGGCAUAUUAAUGCUUUUCUUUAUUCUACUUAAAGUAAAUACAAGUAUAUGUAAACCUUUAAGUAAUUCUUUACUUCCUUCUCAUUACAUCUCAAGACCUUUCUUUGAUUCUGCACUUUUAAGUCAUUCUUUACUUCAUUCUCAUUAAAUCUAAAUACCUUUCUUUGAUUAUCCAUAUUAUACCUCUUGAGUUAAUUACGAUUUUUGUGUCUAGAUAUUUUUCUAUUUGGGUUACUAUUAGUAAGAAUAACUCUUAAGUUUGUAAGGGACAAAAUAAAAAACUUAAUUAAUACAACUUUUUAUCAAUUAAUUGGCAACACAAAGGGGUAGCAAUCAAAGUCAAGUUUUUUUAUCCAAUUGCUGAGACGUAUUGGAUAUGUAAUUAUUGAAUUAAACGUGCGAUUUCACUCGUUUAGUGGAACAGUUUUCGAAAUUAAUAUUCAAGCCCGAGUUUAAAAUAAGAUGAUUUGGAGCUUGAAUUGUGUCAAGUCAUUGGCUUCGAUGAAGCCACACUAUUGGGUUGAUAGAAGGAUGAGAUUCACAAUAAGACGACAAACCUCGUGGGAUAUAAAUAAGAUGAUUACUUUUGUACUUUAAGAUGAUUUCAAUCUCCGUAAUCUUAUUUCUUUAGAUUUGCACGGUAAAUACUUACUCUUAAAUCAAAUUAAUACACUGACAUGAGGACACACCACUUUGUUAGUAAAGAUAGGAGAGACGCUCCAGGUGUACCAAGGGUAUAGUAAUUUCAACAUUGUCAUGGAUAAAUCAGUGAAUGACGAAAUCCUUGGACAACCCGCCAUGAAGCAUGCAAAUAUAAUCAUCUUCCUCCAUCAAUUGCAUGUGAGGUAUUCCAUGAAUAAAGGUGAAAUGUUCUUAAAGUAUAAUCAAAGAAACCUGCUUAUGAACCAUAAAAUCAAUAAAAAAAUGAGACAUGAAAGCUUUUCCGUUAGCUCAACAGAUGCGAGUAAAGCUUUAAAAAUUGGCAAGGAAUUGAGUGAACCCAUAAAAGGAUUGUUAAAAAACAUCCUAGUUGCUAACAUAGGUAUAUUCCCUUGGAAACAUGCUGACAUUAUGAGGAUAGAUCCCAAAGUCGCUUCUAUGCAAAAAUUAAGCCUAAGAUGCAAAGGUGGAUAAACUAUUAGAGAAUGCUUUUAUUCACAAAGCUUAAUAUCUAGCGUGGGUAUGUAAUUCAGUUAUAGUACCAAAGAGCAAUGGAAAAUAAAGAACGUGCCAAAAUUUUAAACUUUGUUCUAAGGACAUGAUGCGAACCCGUGAGCAACAAACACUCGAGAACCGACAACGAGAUUGCCACAGUUCCCAAGAACGUCAAUGGAUCGAUGGUUUUGGAUUUAAUCCCUAAACAAUGACUCAAACAACUGUUAAUAUAUGAAAUUAACGACAUUUUGAAUACACGGUUUAAGAAUCCCACCUGGGUUUUGUUGAACGCCAUGAAAAAAUCAUCCCAAUAAAUUCGAAUUGUCCAUCAAAGACAAGGUUUUGAAGCAACGGCUUCGGAAGAAAAAACUCUCAUUCAUUAAUUCAUCAAAGUCUCGUUACAAUGUAGAAUAAAAUUCCUAUUUAUACUAAGACUAGGAAACUAAUUAAAAAAACCUAAUUAAAAAAUAAAUAAAUAAAUAAAAUAAAAUUAUAAUAACACCUAGAAUCCUAGUCUAAAAGGAAACUAAUAAUAUACCACUAAUUAACAUCCUAAUUAACUUAAAGAUAUUAAAAAUAUUAGAAUACUAAUCAAAUAAGGGGACAAAUAUUAAAGGAUCACCCAAACUGUCGGCCAUAUAGAAUUAUGUCAAUUUGGUAACUAGCGCCCAAUUGAAACUUUCCGCCUUUGGCAUAACUGUGCAAAUUUGGAAUAAAAUCUGCUUCGGACUCCACUGUGCGACGGCACCGUUACCUGUAUUGCGGCCGCAUGGCUCACAUGUUGAGUCUCCAAAUUUUCCCCGCAUGUUUGGUGCGACCGCAAGGCUUGGAGAGCUAUGCGGUCGCAUAGCUCUUGGUUUUUGGCUGCACUUUCGGCUGGAAUUAACAAGCUGUUCCCAAUUGAUUUGGACCUCGGUUCCUUCUUCAAACUUACUCAUUGACUUGUGAAAUUCAUGGUUUUGAACCCCGUUGAUUGAAUAUAUAAGUGACCAGCGUUAUUAGCUUCUUUGAAGUCUCGACUUGGCUCAAGUCCUUCAACGUUUACACCUACACUUCUCCAACCGGUUUUGCCAUUCACGCCCAGCAUGAAUAGUGACAUUUGGCUCAAUAACUUCAACAUCUUGAAUUCCAUAGCUUGAUCAGGAGUUUUGCCAGCUUGAUCAACCCUAAUUGGCCUCCAAAUGAGCGUGAACUUUGGUAUCUAUCGACCUCCAACAAUCUUCAAAUAAUUGAUAAUUAGUGGCGUAACCUGAUUUAUAUCAGGACAGCUCUCCUCUCCCCAGAAUUGAUCGGCUAGUAGAUGCCACUGCGGGACACGAACUGUUAUUGACCUGACAAGGAAUAUACCACAUUUGUAAUAGAUCAGGGACUAUACUGUUUAAUAUUAUGUCAUUUGAACUAAAAAAUAUUGGGACUGAGUGCCAAAGAUCAGUGAAAAGAAUGUUCCUAGAUCGGAUAGAAAAAUGGUGGAAGUAUACGUUGAUGACAUACAUGUAAAAAACCUUCAGGUUGGAGACUUUUUAAAACAUCUAGAAGAGGCUUUCAACAUAUUGGGAAAAUAAAGGAUGAAACCUUAUCCGUUGAAAUACUCCUUUGGAGAACCCCGACAAAAUUCAGGCCCUCAUAAAAAUAUGUCCCCAUCUAAAUCAAAGGAGGUACAAAACCUAAAGGAAAGAGUCGUCGAUCUAGGAUAUUUUGUAUUACGUUUGAUAAAUUGCUGCCUAACCUCUUGUAUUUAUCAUUUUUUACAGACAAUUAUAUGAUUUGAAGUGAAUUUGAAAGAAAGAACGAAAUAUUGGUGAAAAUGGAUAAAAUUCAAGGUUCGGGGAUCAAAUUGAAAUUAUCUAGUAGUUAAUUCAGAUCACAAAGCGAUAAUUGGAGAUAGUAAGAAGUUAAAAAGGAAUGAAAUAUAAUCAAAGAAUCUUCACAAAUCAAUUUCUAAUUGCAUAAGGCACAUUCCAGAUUUUAAGCCAGAGUUUAAGACUCAUUUUUGGAAUAGUCAAAGUUCGAAUUAGAAAAAUUCUUCUUCUGUAAGAAUUAUAGCCCUUUGAGUUAGUAUUCCAACACAUUAUAAAUCACCUUAAUCGGAUAUUCGGAGAGAAUGUUAUAUCCAAAAUAUUGAUGACUAAGCAAGGACAUAAUCAUGCGUGCACAAAAGGCAAUUUUCAUAUGUUAUUGCAACUCUUUUGGGAUCCAAUUUGGACAUGACUUUUGACCUAAUUUUGCCAUAUAGAAUACAUAACAUAAGCAUCCAUUAAAAGAUCUCUCUCUUAACUUUCAAAUUACAUCCCUAUCAUAAAAUCAUUUAAGAAUAGUGGGUAAAUUCAAUAUAAGUUGGAGAGUAGAAUAAAUCUUGUAAGAAAUUGAAUCAAGACACAUCAAAAACUUGAAGAAUCAAAUUUUGAGGUUGAUAAUUAAGAACAAGAGUUGGACCGUGACAAUUUCUUUCUUUUUUUCCUUUUUUUUUUUUGUAUUUAUAAAUUUCAGAUGAUGUUCUUCCAUUCUUCUUAUUGUUUUAUCAUUAGAAACAUAGUUAGCUAGGUUUCUUUGUGUUGAAUGAAAUUCAACUUUAUUGUUAUUUAUUUUAAAUUCAAGUUCCGAGUUAUUUAGUAAAUUUUUUCGUGAUUGAUCUCAUAUGCCUGCUGCAUUAUUUGAUUACUUGAUCACCAAUUAAAUAAUUAAUUACUUGUUGUAGUAGUGGAAUGCUCACAAUAGUUUUAAAAAACUAAAAUUUCAACACACAGGCGAUAGAUGUUAGGAAUAGCAUGUAUGUCAUAUGAAAUCUUGUCGACAAUCAUGUGAUUGAAUAAGUGUUAUGCAUAUAAAUUUGGAAUAGGAAGAUGAUUUGGUCGUGUUUAGGAUAUAAUUAACUUAUCUUGGAAAAUAAAGUUAAAUAAAAUUGAAUUACUGAUUGUCAUGUAUGCACAAAUUAUGUUAAAAUAUAUAUGUAGAGAAUUGAAAAUAAAAUAAUAAUAGGUGAAUUAGAAUUCCAACACAUACAACCCAUAUUUAGUUAGAAACAAUUGUAGAUAAUUUAGCUAUAACCAAAACAUCCCUUUUGUUAUUUACAUUCGAAUUUGAUAGCGAGUUGAUAAAUUUCAAUAUAAUGCUUAUUUCUCGUGGGACGAUACUCUUAAUUCACUUAAUCUAUUACUUGUCAACGACCACAUAUACUUGCGGAUUUUUUUGUCAGAACGAGUCUUUGGAGCUGUUGCACAGGAAUAAAGUUUUUAAACUCAAUUUAUUAAUUUGAACUGGAUUUAUUUUAUUAUUUUGUUAAUUUUAGCUAUCCAUCAUGAUCUCUCUUGUGUUUGGUGGUUUUUAUAUAAUACUCAAUAGUAUAUGUAUGAUUCUAACAAUUACAAGGGAGUAAAAUGGUUGUAAUAAGCAAUCUCGACAUGGAUGAUAAUAAUAUGCUUGUAGAAGAUAUAUAUUGUGAGCUUUUUUAUAAGAUGCAUUAUAUUGAGCAUUGUUUAUAAACAUGCCAGACUCUCGCAAGUUAAAGCUUCUGUAGUUUAUAAGAUGUCGAAAACAAAUAAUUGACAAAUAUAAUGAAAUCUACAUGAUUGUGGGAGAUUAUGCAUCUAUCGAUUGUGAUGAGGAUAUCAUACUUGUGGGAGAUGGUCCUCCUUUGUCGAAGAAAAAAGUACUUGCAGAAUAUUUUAAUAAACGUACCAAGUUGGAUGAUAGCAACACACAUGUGGGAGAUGGGAUAUACCGGCUUUAAUUUAAGAGGAAGGGACAUAAUUCACUUGAAACGGUUGAAAAUAAAGAGUUAUUAUUGCCCAUGGAUUUAGACUGGGAACCGACUAUUCAACCUUAAGGAACAUCAACUAUUAAAAAGAGCAUAAAGAGAAUGAUAAAUUAUUCACAAAGGAACUAAACAAAUAAGUGAUAAUUAAUGAAGAUAAAAUUAACAAACAUUCUUUCGACUUCAUCGAUUUCCCAACAAUUGAAUUUAUGAUUAAGUUUGAGGAGGAGGUACAAGUAUAAAUAGUUGAUUUUGAAAUGGAUAGAAUAGGCAAGUCUUAUCACAUUGAAAUAGGUAGUGUUUUAUUUGGAGAAUCAACGAAAAGUGGAUCCAAGUCAAAAGAAGCAAACUGUGCAAGGCAUUACAGGAUUUCUUUAGAAUUUCAUGGUGUAGGUUACCAAAGUCAAGCUAAUGACUACAAACAAGCGUUUAUUGGGAAGCAACCUGAUUUUCUUCCCUUUUAUUUAUUAUAAUUUCUAAAAUAAUAGGUUGAGUUAUUCCAUUUUACUAGAAUCAAAUCGACAAAAUGAGUUGGCAAAUUGUGAUUGGAUGAUUGAAAAAUGUUUUUUACCCAACUACCCAUGAAAUGCCGCUAGAUGUUAAUGUGGGUCAAUUAUGGUAAAAUCAAUCUAGUAAUGUAGUAUGACUCUAAUAGGUUAGAUAUUUUAAAUUGAUUUUGUGUGUUAGUUAGUAAUUUAAGUAUCUUCAUCCCUAUAUUGUCCUAUAGAUUGUUUUUGAGCUUAUUAUAAAUUAUUUCAUAUUAUUAUGAUUGAUUUCUCUUUAUUAUGUAGGAACAUGACAAUUGAAAAUGUAACUAACAAUGGAUAAGGAAAAUAUUAAUUGAUAUUUAUCGAUGUGAAUUUUGACACUCUUUAAGUUUAGCAUUAUAAAGGAAUGAGUUGAUUCAUAUUUGAUAGGUUGAAAACAGUGGCCUUAGAUGCUGAACAAAACAAUCACUAUAAUAUAUAUCCUUAAACAAAUUUUAGGAUGGUUUAGAGGAGAUUGAACUAUUGUAGGAAGAUAUUGAGAUGAAUUGGGAUUUUAUGUGUACAAACUCUUAUGUGAAUUGUCUAAGGCCAAUAAUAUGAAAAAUAGGUUAAAAUCUUGAGUUAAAGACUGCUUUAUGAGAAUGAGGGUUUAAUAAAGGGUAUUGUAUUGAUCAUUAUAUGGAAAGGGAAAAAACUACCAUGUCGUGAACCUACCCUGUAAAAGAUCCCAAAUGAGGACACUUGUUGAAAACACCAAAAAGAAAACUAAAAAAGGGGAUCAAGUUUGUGCAUGAAAUAGAAGACAUACUAAAUGUCUUGAUUAAGCCCUAAACAUUUAUUUGAGUGAAUUAGACAUUUGGAUAGGAAUUAUUAGAUAAGCUGAUUCUUAAAGGCUGAAACAAUCAAAAUAAAAAAGAAUCCCUAUUUCUUGAGCUAUUGACUUGCCAUUAGUAAGGUCUAUCCAAAUUCGAGAGUGCAAGAAUUAGUAUAUAAAUUCAUCCUUAGAAUAUAGCUUGGAAAUGUGAGUUAAAAGAAUAAGUUUCAGGGUGUGUAUCUUAAAAGUGAUAACCAAUAUGGGUUGUUAAAUGAAACAACUUAUGAAUUUAUGAUGUUUUACUUAAUUUUCCAUAUGCAUACAUCAAUUUUGCAUUGGAUAAGUAGAAAUUGAUUUAUGUAUUGUGAUUUUGAAGUUGUUCAUGAAUUUAAUACAAUGAUUAAAAAUAAGAGCAAAUGACAAGCUAUUAUUGCAUUACUUGAUUGACUAGCCACCAUUAUGUAAUUAGCAUUGCAUGCUUGUUCGUUGAUAAUAUUUAUUAUUAUUAUUAUUAUUAUUAUUAUUAUUAUUAUUAUUAUUAUUAUUAUUAUUAUUAUUAUUAUUAUUAUAUACUUAAUAGGCCAUUAAACUAGAAUAUUUUGUAUUACUUUUGAUAAAUAUAGUGUAACCUCUUGUAUUUUUCAUUUAUUAGAAACAACUCAAUGACUUGAAGUGAAUUUGGAAGAAUGAACAUAAUAUUGGUGAAAUGGAUGAAACUCAAAGUUCACGGAUCAAAUUGCAAUUAUCUAUAGUUGAUUUGGAUCACAAAUCGAUAAAGGAGAUUGUUAGGGUCAAUUGGAUGCAACAAAAAGUCAAAAAGGAAUGAAAUAUAAUAAAAGGAUAUUCACAAAUCAAUUUCCAACCUAAAUCAAUUUUCAAAUGAUUCACUUGAUCAGUAAGAAAUCCAAUCUGACUAACAAACACCUAAUUCUUGUUCUUUUUCAAGUUCAUGUUUUUUCUUUUGUUCAAGUACCGAUGACAUCUAGGGCAGAUAUGACCUAACUCACAACAAUGAUAGCAUGUAGGGAUAAACCAAGGACCUGUGUUAUCUGAGCGCUGACGCCUAUUCCUAGGUCGACUGGCUCUAUGCUUUCUAGUAGACCUCUGUUCUACAGAUCCCUUGUCUUUAGGUUCAGGGUUAGGUACAUUUUUAGGCUGGUUUGUGGCAGGGACAAAUGUGUCUUGGAUGUGCUAGCAACAUUAUGAUUUUUACACUUUUAUCCCAGACUUCCCUUAUUGCCAGUCGGCUUACCCAUUCCUAGAAUAUUAUCUAACUGUAACGAACCACAAGUGAAGGCAAGCAGUUGAGACUUAGAAUGUUCUAGAUUGCUCACAAGGUUUUUAAAUUGGAUUUCUAAAGUCUCAUUCUUGGUGGUCAGCUCAUUAACUUUCCAAGAGGGCCUCUUGAGCUCACUGGUAAGAUUUUUAACCUAAGACUCUAAGGAUUCAUUCAUCAUUUUAAGUUCACUCAGGAUUGUGGAAGAUUCCUUAGUGUAUGCUACUAACUUCUCUUUCUCCAACUGAAGCUCCUUAACUGUCAUACUUAAGGUGUUGUUCUUACUAAGAAUUUUAAGACUCUACUGAUACAUUUUCUCAUAUGCCUCUUUAAUAUCUUCAUCAUUUACAGACUCAUCACAAGAAUUCUCACCACUAUCUAUGUCCUCAUCCCUCUCAUUCCCAUGUUUGGAUCCACUCUUAACCCUAUCAAUGAAGGCAACAUAUUUUCCACUUUCCACACGAGUGGAUUUUUCACUCUGAUUGUCCGAGCAAGACUCGUCAUCAGUGAGAGUAGUAUUCAUAGGCUUCUCUUCGACUUUCUUAGAAUUAGGGCACUCUUUCUUAACAUGACCUAUACCUUAACAAUUAUAGCGCCUCAAAAAUUUGGAUCUUCUCCUAGAUUCACUCGCACCACAUCUCGAUCUCUCUUGCAGUGUCUUAUUCCUAAACAUCUUAUGAAAUUUUUUAGCUAGGUAGGUCAUCUCCUCAUCAUUGGGUAAAUCUUAGUUUGAAGAUUCGAUCUGAUAAUUCCUAGCAGAUUUGAAGGCCAAGGGCUUUUCCUUAGCUAAGUUGCCUACAAUCAGCUCAUAGGUCUGGAUGGAUCCAACUUGCUCUUCUAGCUUAAUAGUCUCUAUCUCCUUACUUUCCUCAAUUGCCGUGACUUUAGGCCUAAAAUGCUUGGGUAAGGAUCUAAGGAUUUUUCUCACUAUUUUAGGCUUGGAGAUUUUCCUACCUAGGUUGAAAGAUGAAUUCACAAUGUCGUUUAGGCAUGCAUAGAAUACAGCAAGGUCUCAUCCUGAUCUCUUCAAACCUAGUAGCCAAUAUCUGCAAUUUCAAGUUCUUAACUGCUUGUGUUCCCUCAUGUGUGAUUUCUAAAAUAUCCCAAACUUCUUUCACUACCUCACACAUGGACACUCUCCUAAAUUCCUCAAGAAAAUAUCCAUAAAAAUGGUAUAAAAGGCUUUUCUAUUCCAGCUGUACCUAUCUAGUUCAGCCUUAGACCAAUUUUCUAUGGGGAUGGGAGUAAUGACAUUGCCAACCAUUGUACUAGGAAUAGACCUACCGUUAACUACGCUCAACCAAAUCUUUUAAUCCAUAGAUUUCAAGAACACCCUCAUCCUAAUUUUCCAGUAGGCAUAAUUAUUACCAUCAAAAUAGGACGGCACGCUCAACAAGAUACUCAUUUGGACAAUGAAUGGUCAGGAAACAUGUUUAGGCACUGAUACCACUUUUUGAGAAUUUGUAACAUUCUAAUAUCACUUUAAGUUUUAGAGUUACCAAUUUUACGUUCUAGAUUACCGAUUAGUUUGACUUUACGUGCGGAAUUGACUAAUUAAAGCAAACACGUCACUUCUAAUUAGUUUCUAGAUGAUUAAGCAUAUAAUUCAAUUAAACCUAUGUUUGAUUACAACAAUUUGUAAUAAAUUACUAGAAAUUAAAGAAUACAAAAUUUGAUGACGGAGAAACCCAAUGUGGGAAAAACUUCGGGAUCAAGCCAGUUACUUCCACUAUAGACAGCUCAGGGGAUACACAACAAUUUCAACUCUUGUAUCCACUAAGACCCCCUGUCACAGUCUUACGAUCUACUUCCGUAAAUACCUCUAGCCUGCUAGACCUCCUGUAGCCUCCUGCUAGACUUCCUAAUCUAUCUUCUGCACUGAAUGUCUCUCCAAGUGGAACACUCUGUUCUUGUGCUUGUAACUGCGCUUCUAUCCACCUCUCUCACUUCUCCAAUGAGAGAGUCCCUUGCUUUAUCAAUUAAGGAAGCACGGUGUUUUGUAUUCACAAGCCUUGAUGUUUUCUCAUUUCUAGGUUACUAGAUCACAAGAUGAAUGUGUUUGAUUCUCCCAAUUGUAUUUCGUUCUUGGAUCACAAUGAUGAUAUGAAAGUUAUGGAGAUGAAGAAUAAUGUGGCAAAACCCCUCUCUCACAUCCCAGACUUUGCUUUUUAUAAUUGGGGGUAAAUAAGUGUCUUGGGCCGAAUGAAAUUAUCCAAAACACGGUCUAGGAAUUGGCCACGUAACACUGUCAUUCGAGCAACACUUCAGCAAGAAGUGAGUGAUAGCUUCUUCGCUCAAACGAUUCCUGGGCGAACAAUGAGGGACGAUGGUUCUGCUUCCUCCGCUCGAGCAAUACCUUGGCUAGUAGCUAGCGAAAAAAUCGACGAGUCUUCUACCUUGUUCCAAACUCAACCCUAGCCUAAACCAUCUAUACAAAUUGCAAUCCAAGUCACUGACUUUUACAUCAUGUUCAAUUUAGUCCCUUUUGUUCAUAGAGUUACCAAUUACAAUAUAAAACCUAGCACUCUUACCUUUCAAGUUACAUCCAUAUUAUAAAAUCAUUCAAGAAGAAGGACAAAUUCAAUAUAUAUUGGAGAGAAGAACAAAUCUAGCACGGGAUUGAAUCACAAAACAUUAGGAACUUGAAGAAUCAAAUCUUGGGAUUGAUAAACAAGAACAAGAAUUGUACCAUAACUUCUCCUUUUUGUAUUUAUAAAUUGGAUAACCCUUGUGGUGCAUCACCCUUGGUACACAAGGGUGUCCACCUGUACCCAUAGAUCAACCCUUAUAAAUUUCGGGUGAAGUUCUUCCGUCAUUCUUUUUGUUUUAUCAUUAGAAACAUGUUUAGAUAGGCUUGUUUGUAUUGAAAGAAGAUGAACCUUAUUAUUAUUUAUUUUUAAUUCAAAGACCAAGUAGUCUAUUAAAUUUGUUUUCUUGAUUGAUCCUAUAAGCUUAUUGCAUGUUUUAAUUGCUUGAUCACUAAUUAAAUAAUUAGUUGCUUGUUGUCGUGUUGGAAGUCUAACAAUAGGUUUAGAACACAAAAGUUUCUACGAAUGAGCAAUAUAUGCUAGAAACAAAUGUAUGUCGUGUGAAAUCUUGUUGAUAAUCGUAUUAUUAAAUGCAUGCUAUGUAUAUAAAUUUGGAAUAUGAAUAGAACCGGGCUGUGUUUAGCAUAUAACUAGCUUAUCUUGGAAAAGAGAGUUAAAUAAGUUUGGAUUAUCGAAUCUAGUGCUUACAAAAAUAAUGUUCAAUUAUAUUGGUCAAGAAUUGGAAAUAAAAUAAUAAUAGUUGAAUUGGAAUUCCAGCACAUACAUCCCAUAUUUAAUUAGAAACAUUUGUAGAUAAUUUGGCUAUAACCAAAUCAUUCAUUUUGUUAUUUACAUUUGAAUUUGAUAACGAGAUCAUAAAUUUCAAUUUGAAACUUAUUCUUUGAGGAACGAUACUCAUAACUUACUUAAUCUAUUACAUGUCAACGAGCCCGUAUGCUUGCGGGUUUUGUCUGAACAUGUACUACAUAAGUAAAGCCCUUCAAAAAGCCGAGGCAAGAUAUAUGAAUAUUGAAAAGAUGGCCCUCGCCUUAGUUAUAGCGUUGCAAAAGUUUUGACCAUAUUUUUGGAGUCACAACAUUGAAGUACUAACUAAUUUCCUAAUCAAGCAAGUAAUGCAAAAACUUGAUGCAUUAGGGAGAUUAUUGAAAUGUGCUGUAGAGCUGAGUCAAUUUGAAAUAAGAUACAAAAGCGAUCCGCAAUCAAAGAACAAGAAUUAGUUGACUUUAAUGUGGAAUUGUAAAUUGUUACCGUUCUUGAGGAAGAGUAUGAAGAGUGAAUGUGAAAUUUAUUUGAGGAUAGAUCAUUUGGAGAAAUCGAUUGUGGAAUAGUCAUAAUCUUGACAAGCCGAAAAUGACAUUAAAUGAAUCGUGUAUUAAGGUUCACAUUUUAAAGAAAUCAACAACGUGGCUGAAUAUGAAGCUUUAUUGGUAGGUUUACAACUGGAAAAAGAAAUGUGAGCUAAAAAAAUAAAAUUAAAAAGUUACUCAAGAUUGGUAGUAAAUAAAGUGAAAUGAAAGUUUACAACCAAGGAUAAAAUAAUAGUUGUUUGCUGUGUAGAAGACAUAAGAUCAUUUCAGUGUUUCAACAAGUUCAAAUUCAAUCAAAUCUAUAGAGAGGAGAAUAAAUACACGAUGCCUUGUUGAAAUUGGCAAGUUCAGAGGACACAUAAACUAUUUAAGACAGAACGUGAUGUGAACCCGAUCAGCAAUGUUGCAAUCAAGCCCACAGAGGAAUGACUCAAACCCCAAAAAAGAUAGAAAACAAAGUUUAUGGAAUUAACCCACAAUUAAUGAAUCAAACAACCAACAGAAUCACUAGGAUAUGCUGACCUUUUGAUUACAAUAUUUAUGAAAAUCAAAUCCAAAAUUUAAAGUUUGACUCGAAGAAUUAAAUGAACCAGAAACCAAGACAAUUACUAGAAUACCUUGACCCCAUGAUUGCACAACCCACGAAUCGCACUUUGAUUGUUGAACGCCUCGAGAGAUUCUCGAUAAGUUUGGAAUUGUUCGCGAAGAACAAAGAAAGGAAGUAAACAUGCCUCUGAAUUAAUUCAAUUGUCAAAAGUCUGAAUACAACUAGAAACAAAAUCCUAUUUAUACUAAGCCCUAAAAUGAAUGGAAAAAUGUGCAAAUAGAGUCCUAAAAACUAUAAAGUUGCCAAAAUAGGAAAUUUAGUAAAAUUAAAAGUCUCACGAAAAAAAAAAAUCCUAUUUAAAUAUGUUGCUCAAGCGACAUCGAGCGAGAAGCGAGGGACGCUAUGUUGCCCGAACAAAACCCCCACGAAGAGUGAGCGAAGUUGAUUUUACUUUUCUCGCUCGAGCGAGGUUCCAGCGGACGGCGAACGAAAAUUUGGCAAGUUUUUAACCUCGUUCCAAAUUGUUUUAAUUGCUUCUUUGACCCUCGAACUUUCACUAACAUGCUUCUUAACUUGUAAACUUCAUCUCACUGAAUUCCAACACUUGAACAAGUAAUUGUAUGGCUCGUACCCCCUCUAAUUAGCCUCGAUCAUGCCCUUUGCAGCUUCUCCAUGAACACUGAAUUCUUGAUCACCUUCGGCCUAGCCCAGUUCACACAGACCCUUUCUCUUCAAGAGGUGGUUCAAAGACUUUGCAACUUCCAUCUGCUUGGCCAUAACUCAGUUCUUGAUUGUGACUUCGAUAUUCCACCAGGUUGUUGUAGAAUGAUUCUCCCAUGCUCAUAAAAUCCUCCAAUGGCAAUACAUAAACUGGAUAUUCAAAUGGGAAUAUUCCUUUGGCAAAAUCUUCAUGCAAUAACAUUUUAUAAUCCUGCAACAAAGAAUUAUGAAAACUGGGGAGGGAUAUGUUAGCCUUUACCAACUCACUUCCACCACCAAGCUCACUCUUCUUUACAAAUAAGAUCUCCUUUCGUUUGUCUUUCACUUUUCCCUCAUCGCCUUUCAACCUCAACUAAUCAUCAUACCUAUUUCUAUUCCCAUCAUGCUUCACCUUCCUAUCGUAUUGCUAAGGCCUACCCAAUAAGAUAUGCCCCGCAUCCAUUGGCACAACGUCAUACAAUACCUUAUCCUUAUACCUCCCAAUUGACAAAUUAACCAACAGCCUCCUAUUAACCUUAACUUCUCCUUUAUCAGCUAACCAUUGCAAUUUAUAAUGUUUUGGGUGUUUUUAUCAUCUCUAAUCCCAACUUUUUUACAAGUGUGUAACUAGCUAUAUUUGUACAACUACCCUCAUUAAUAUUCAAGUUGCAUACCUUAUCAUUGAUGUGGCACCGUGUAUGAAAGAUAUACUUUCGAUGCUCUUCUCCGUCAACCUUGAUUUUUGCUUUGAGUGCACGCAUCAAGACAAGCGCUUCUCCUUCAACCGGAUAUUCCACUACAUCACCAUUACUAACUUCUUCCAACUUAGGCAUUUCUUUCUCAUCACUGUCACUCACCACUUCUCCACUAUCCUUCAAGCUCAUAGCUCGUUUGUUUGGACACUAGGAAGCAAUGUGUCCUGUUCCCAAGCACUUGAUGUCUUGACUCCUAGGUUGUGGUGGUUCUGCCUUCAGUUCAACCUUGCUGGCAUUGUCAUCCAUUCUCCUAGGUGGUUCAAUUUUAUUGCUGCCACUAGCCCCACCAACCUUUUCUUCAUCCCAUCUAGACCUCCACUAUGAAUUAGGCCCUGUUUGACCUCUAGCUGCCCCCUUUUGCUUCAACUGCCUUUCAACCUUCAUCGCCACAUGUAGCCUAUCCUCCAAUUCCACAUAAUGCUGUAAUUCAACAACAUUGGAGAUGUCUCUGUUUAACCCAUUCAAAAAAUGAGCCAUAGUGGCUUUCCUAUCCUCCUCCACAUUAGCCCAAAUAAUUAGAAUUUUCGUUCCUUUGAGGUAAUCUUCCACACUCCUCGACCCUUGGUACAACCCCUACAACCUUUGAUGAAGCUCUCUAUAACAGUUGUUAGGAAAAUAUUGUAAUUGGCAAUCUGUGACCAAAAGGACCAAUUUGUCAAGUUUGUGAAGUCAAGGACUAAUUUGUAAAGGUCUAAAAGUUCAGUGACUUGUGUUGCAAUUUAGCAAAAAUUAUGGUAUAGGUCUAGGGUAAAGUUGGGUGCCUUGAAGAUGAAAACGGCGCAAGAUCACUUAGAGUUUCGCCUUAACCUCGCUCGAGCUUAAAUAACAGAACCUAUCUCGCUAGAGUUUCGCCACUGCUUCGCUCGAGCGAAAAUGCGCCGCUAGAGUUUCGCCGGCACUUCGCUCGAGCGACAGUACUAUCUAACUUUUGGUAAUUUUCCUUCCUUGCAAUUUUUAGAUGCUCCAUACUGCCAAAAAUGACCUCAUAUAUAUUCAGAAGUCCCAUUUUUCAUACAUAACCUUUGGAAAAACACAAUUGAAAGAUUUUUCUUCUCGACCAAAGGAUCAACUUCAUAAUUCCUUCUUUUCAUCACAUGUCUUAUUGAAGAAAAACAUCAAACAUCUCUUAAAACAAAACACCUUUCAAAAAUCCUCACUACUUCCAGAAGAUUGACUGAUUGAAGAUUCGGGAAGGAGAUUGAUUGAAGAACUGGAGUUCUUAUUGAUUCACGGGAAAUAGAAGAAGAACAAGGCUGGGAUUUUGGGGCAGAUCUGUAAAAUCCAGGAGAGCUUUUGUUGAUACAGUAAGGAUGUCAGAGUGUUGCUAGAUACAGUCAUGUCUGGCGUACUGUAAGUUGAAGUCAUCUAUAGUGAAUCCCUACUGGCUUGUGCCAAGAGUUUUUACCCAGUUGGAUUUUCUCCGUCAACAAUUUAUUGAGUUAUUUAUUACUUUAUGUCAUUUUUAAUUCAACUGGAAAUUCAACAUAGGUAGUUAAAUUAUGUGAAUGAAUCUGGACAAAGUUUAAUUUAUGUGACUUGUUGCAUAAGUUGAUUGAAUUGUUAAAAUCCACAUAAACACCUAUUCACCCCCCUCUAGGUGUUGUUUGGGUCGAACUAUAGUCUUUUCAAGUGGUAUCAGAGCCAAAUCUCGAGUCCUGACCCAUAGUUGUCUAGAUGAGUCAAUCACUUUCUGUACCUCCGUACUUUGACGGAAGUAAUUAUGCUUACUGGAAGGUUAGAAUGCGUGCAUUUCUUAAGUCUCUAGAUGAGCAUGUUUGGGUGAGUGUGCAAAAUGGCUGGAAACCUCUCUCCACUACCGUAUCAGGAACUAUUAAUCUUACUGAUAUAUCACUAUGGACUAAGGAUGAGAUAGCUGAGUGUAAUUGGAAUAGCAAGGGACUUCAUGCCUUGUUUAUGGCCGUGUCUCCCGAAGAGUUUAGGAGAGUGUCAAUGUGCGAAACUGCUAAAGAAGUUUGGGACAUUGUUGAAACUACAUAUAAGGGAACUAAAAUGGUAAAGAACUCGAAAUUACAAAUGCUAGCUUCUAGGUUUGAAGAAGUAAGGAUGAAGGAUGAUGAAACCUUUGAUGAAUUUUAUGCAAAACUGAAUGAUAUUGUUAAUUCUAGUUUCAAUCUAGGCGAGAGAAUUCUCGAUUCUAAAAUUGUUAAAAAAGUACUUAGGUCUUUGCCCGAGAGAUUUAGGCCUAAAGUUACCGCCAUUGAGGAAAGUAAGGAUCUAGAUGAAGUUAAGAUUGAAGAACUUGUAGGGUCCUUGCAAACUUAUGAACUCACUGUCACACAACCUAAGAAAGGAAAGUCCAUUGCUUUAAAAUCCAUCAAAGAGGAUGAAUCUUCUGAUACUGAGUCUCUUAGGGACGAUGAAUUGCAUAUUUUAUUAAGAAAUUUCAAAAGGUUCUCAAGAAUAGGAGAAAGCAUCAGGAUAGAAAAAGUGGAGACCCUAGCAGAUUCUGAAAGGAAAAAAUUGAAAGGUUCAACAAUAAAGGUUCUAGUGAUAAACCACAUUUGGUUAGGUGCCAUGAAUGUCAAGGUAUAGGUCACUAUAGGAAUGAGUGUCCUAGUUAUAAGAAGAAUCAAAGAAAAGGGAAAGGUAAGGCCUUAGUUGUUUCACUUAUAGAUAACGAAUCUUAGUCUAGUGAUAGGUAGGAAUCAUCUAGUAGUGAAGAUGAAGGGAACUAUAUAACAUUUGUGUCGACUGUUAAGAGUGAAUCUGAUAAGGAGAGUGACAAGGUUGAGGAAGAACUUCACAACAAUAAUUCUAGUAAUGAGGAUGAGGAUGAUAUAGACAUGCAAGAGGCCUAUCAACUCUUGUUCAAGGAGAGUCUUAAAAAAAAAGGUCAAUAAAGCCCUACUCAAAAAGGUUGAUGAACUUGAAAGAGAAAAAGAGAGACUUGCUAGUAAUCUUCAGAAUUCACUUAAGAGUGUUAGUGAGUUAAAAUGUGUCAAUGAGAAGUUAGAAGACAAGGUUAAGACAUUGACUAGUGAAUUGGAGAAAUCUAAUGCUCAUCUUCAGACUUUCAUAAGUGGGACUAAGAAAUUGGAUGAUAUUUUAGGAAUGAAUAGGCCUGCGGGAGAUAGGAAAGGUCUAGGAUAUGUUGAGGAUAAUACACAUAUUGCUAGUCCAUCUAGGACUGUAUUUAUUUCUGCCUCUAUGACGUCUAACGUUGUCAGCAAUCCAAAUAAGGGUAAGAAUGUUUCGAGGGAACAGAGUCAUCAAUCAUGAAGGAAUAUCAUGCCCAGAUACCCACAGACACGUACUUUUGAGCCUAGGUUCAUUUCCACCUGUCACCACUGUGGAGCUCUAGGACACACUAAGCCUAGAUGUUAUAAGUUAGGCAAUGAGCGUAGAAAUCAGAAUAUUCCUAGUCAGGUUAGCUUUCUGUCUAAUCAAGUUAGUCAUUUGACUGAGAUGCUCACUAAGCUAACUAGGAGUACCUCAUCGUCUAAGAAAGUUUGGGUUAAAAAGGGGGAUCUAGCUGGACAUUCAGGUCAGGUAAAUUGUUAUGUUGCUCAUGUUGCAUUAAAAGCCCAAAAUUACAAUAUGUGGUACCUUGAUAGUGCAUGUUCUAGGCAUGUGUGGUAAAAAAGGCUUUAUUCACUACUCUUGAUGAAUGCAAUGGGGGUAUGGUUACCUUUGGAGAUGGGGGUUUUGCACCUAUUCUUGGCAAAGGUACUGUACAAAUGCAUGGAUUACCUGUGAUUUCAAAUGUACUUUAUGUGAUAGGUUUAAAGUCGAACUUAUUAAGUAUUAGUCAGAUUUGUGAUGCUGAUUUUGAGGUUAGCUUUGUGCAAAAGAGAUGUACCGUGUAUGAUUCAUCUAGUGGGGUGGUCCUUGAAAAUGCUAGAACGUCUAAUAACUGUUAUACCUAAUUCUAACUAUGUGUGUAGGAGUGCAAAAAUUGAUGUGAGUGAACUCUGGCACAAAAGAUUGGGUCAUUUAAACUAUAAGAGUCUAGUACAGCUAGCUAAAAAGGAGUUGGUAGAUGGUUUGCCUAAAAUAGGUCCUAGUGAAAAUGUUGUGUGUGGACCAUGUCAAAUAGGUAAACAACUUAAGGGAAGCCAUAAAAAGACUUCUAAAAUUCGGACCAAAAGACCCCUGGAAUGGAUACACAUGGAUUUAAUGGGACUAUCUAGGACUGAGAGUCUAGGAGGUAAGCGGUAUAUUUUGGUUGUGGUAGAUGAUUUCUCGAGGUUCACAUGGAUAGAAUUGUUUAGGGAAAAAUCUGAUGCAUGUGAUCUUAUAAAAUCUUUGUGUAAACGGCUUAGUAAUGAACUCAAUCUCAAAGUGUCCAGAAUGUGUAGUGAUCAUGGAAAAGAGUUUGAAAAAUUUAAUCUUGAGAGUUUCUGCAUGGAUGAAGGGAUACUACAUGAGUUCUCUUCCCCUAUCACUCCUCAACAAAAUGGGGUGGUUGAAAGAAAGAAUCGUAUUCGUCAGGACAUGGCUAGAGCCAUGCUUCAUGGCAAGGGACUAGCCUUACAUUUUUGGGGAGAAGCUGUUAAUAAUGCAUGCCACAUAAUCAAUAGAGUCUACCUUAGACCCAAAAUCGAUCAGACUCCAUAUGAAAUUCUAAAGGGUAAAAAGCCUAUUGUUAAAUACUUUCGUGUGUUUGGGAGUAAGUGCUACAUUUUGCAUGAUAGAGAGAACUUGAGUAAGUUUGAAUCUAAGAGUGACGAAGGAAUUUUCUUAGUGUACUCUAGAAAUAGCUGAGCAUUCCGAGUAUAUAACUCACGUACUCGUGUUGUGAUGGAGUCAGUCAAUGUUGUGAUAGAUGAUAGUGUGAGUGAAGGGGAGAAUGUUGAAAAUUGUGAUAGGAUGGACGAUAGAAACGGUGAUCUUAUAAGGUCUAGUGAUCCUACUGAACCACCUGUGUCUGAAUCAUCUCUUAGAAUACCUGAAACACCUGAAAGGGAAACACAUCCACAAGAUCGAGACAAAAAUCCUAAGGAACCAUCGUCUAGGGUCAAGUCCAAUCAUCCUAAGGACAAUAUCAUUGGGGAUCUAGAUGAAGGUAUGAGGCUUCGUAAGAGGGUACUGAACAAUCUAGCGUAUACUAGCUAUGUUUCACAGGUUGAGCCCAAGAAGGUCGAAGAGGCGAGUGUUGGGUGAAUGCAAUGCAUGAGGAACUAAAUCAAUUUGCUAGAAACAAUGUGUGGAUUUUAGUUCCUAGACUUGAAAACUGUAAUGUUAUUGGUACUAAGUGGAUCUUUAAGAACAAGAAAGAUGACCAAGGUACUAUACCAGAAAUAAGGCCAGAUUAAUUGCUCAGGGUUGUACUCAAGUUGAGGGAAUUGAUUUUGAUGAGACUUUUGCUCCUGUUGCACGACUUGAGUCCAUUCGGAUUCUGCUUGCUGUUGCCUGUACCCUAAGGUUCAAGCUUCAUCAAAUGGAUGUUAAGAGUGCCUUCUUGAAUGGACUUCUUCAAGAAGAAGUCUAUGUUGAACAACCAAACGGAUUUGUUGAUCCAAAGUUUCCCCACUAUGUCUACAAACUCCACAAAGCACUCUAUCGUCUAAAACAAGCUCCUAGAGCUUGGUAUGAGAGACUUACGUCAUAUCUUGAGGAACAUGGGUUCUCUCGAGGUGGUGCUGAUAGGACUUUAUUUAUUAGACAUAUUGAAGAAACUAUCACUAUUGCCCAAAUUUAUGUCGAUGUCAUCAUUUUUGGUUCUCCUGUUAAGUCUCUAGCGUAUGAGUUCGCCGAGUGUUUGAAGCAAGAAUUUGAGAUGAGUAUGGUUGGUGAGUUGAAUUACUUCCUUAGACUUCAGGUCAAAUAGAUUGAGGAUGGGUUGUUUAUUUCACAGUCUAAGUAUGCAAAGGAUUUAGUUAAGCGCUUUGUGUUAGACAGUAAGAAGCAUACUAGGACACCUAUGAGUACUAGCUUGAAGUUAGGUCGUGAUCCUUCAGGUAAGAGUGUAGAUCCUUCACUAUAUCGAAGUAUGAUAGGUAGUCUUCUCUAUCUCAUAGCUACUAGACCUGACAUUGCUUUCAGUGUUGGAGUGUGUGCUCAAUUUCAGGCAGAUCCCAAAGAAUCACACUUAAGCUCGGUUAGACACAUCAUUAGAUAUGUGAGUGGUACCGUUGAUCUAGGCAUUUUCUAUUCUAGAGAUUCUAAUCUUGAUUUGGCUGGCUACUCUGACGUCGAUUGGGCCGAGAAUGUAGAUGAUAGAAAAAGUAUGUUUGGGAGCUGUUUCUACAUGGGUAGCAAUCUCGUAGUCUGGUUAAGUAAGAAACAAAUUCCAUAUCCCUAUCCACGACAGAGGCCGAAUACAUAGCAGCUAGGAGUUGCUGCACUCAGCUUCUCUGGACGAAGCAGAUGCUGAGUGAUUAUGGGAUUAAUCAAGGGACCAUGACUAUUUUCUAUGACAAUACCAGUGCUAUAAAUAUCUCUAAGAAUCCUAUUCAACAUUCUCGAAUGAAAUAUAUUAACAUACGACAUCAUUUUAUUCGUGAACUUGUUGAAACACAUGUUGUCUCCCUAGAUCAUGUCUCUACUGACAACCAAUUGCCCAAUCUACUUACGAAACCACUAGAUGGGUUGAGGUUUGAGUCGUUUCGGACGGCUGUUGGUAUUUGUUUGCCUAUCUGAUCAUGGAUUCAUGCCUAUUCAUGCAUUUAUCACAUCUACACUUAUUCACUUCAUAUCUUGCAUGUGAUCAAUGUGUGUGUGGUGCAUUUUGAUUGUUGGUUCGUCUUUUAGUUUUGUUUUGUUUACUAAGUUUGUGUGCUUUACAAAAAAAAAAAAAAAAAGGAUUUUCUUUUUGUGUGCCUCUUGUGUGACUUUAUGACGUUUGCAUUUAGAAUUAAACUCUAUCUUUCAUCAUAUGUACGAGUCUGAGGUUCCAUCGUAGUUCUCAUUUUCUGUGGAGUUCUUGGUAUAUGGCUCAUUAUGCAUUUUCACACAACACACUGUAGUUCUGUAGGUGAGUCUUGACCACAUGGGUGAGACUUGGGAUGGUAUUCUUCUGUGAUUGGGGUUGUUUGUCCAUUUGACUUGAUCUGUGGCGAGUGUAACCUAUUCAAUUCUGUCUUUCCCCAUUUUCUAUGUUAUUAUCUGAACUUAUGUCUAUCUUCGGGGUCUAUUUGACUCGAACAAUUAAGCCUUAGGGGGUUCUAACCUGGUGCCCUAUGGUCAUUUGGCUUGGGAGUCACCGGCCUAAAGUUCGUUACCGGGGUCAUUUCUAUCGCCUAAUGAGGGUACAAUUACACCUAAGUUCUUAUGUUAUAUAUAUAAAAUUAAAUGCUGCCUCAUUAAAACCUUGCUAAGAAAAUUCAAUGGGACAAAACCUAAGCGAAGGAAAAAGAGUACAGCUACUCCCCCUGAUGUUGCUCACAGAAAAUCUUUGAGUCGGUGCAUUCAAAUCUCAUGAACUAAUUUCUUGAAUGUAGAUGUUGGCAGUGCUUUUGUGAAUAGAUCAACCACAUUGUCACUUGAGCGAAUUUGUUGAAUAUCAAUGUCACCAUUCUUCUGAAGUUCAUGUGUAUGAAAGAAUUUUGGAGAAAUAUGCUUCGUCCAGUUGCCUUUGAUAUAGCCUCCCUUGAGUUGUGCGAUACAAGCUGCAUUAUCUUCAAACAAAAUUGUUCGACUAUCUUUUGUUGAAGUCAAUCCACAUGAUGAUUGGAUAUGAUGGGUCAUAUUCCUCAACCAUACACAUUCUCGCCCUGCUUUAUAGAUUGCAAUAAUCUCAAAAUGAUUUGAGGAUGUUGCUGUCAAGGAUUGCUUCAUAGAUCUCCAUGAUAUAGCUGUUCCUCCACGUGUAAACACAUAUCCUAUUUGUGAUUUAGCUUUAUGUGGAUCGGAGAGAUAACCUGCAUCUGCAUAUCCCACUAAAGCAGAUCCUGACUUUUGAGAAUAAAAUAGUCCCAUAUCAAUAGUACCUUUUAGGUAACGAAAAAUAUGUUUAACACCAUUCCAAUGCCUUUGAGUUAGUGUAGAGCUAUAUCUUGCAAGGAGAUUUACAGAAAAAGCUAUGUCAGGUCGAGUGCAAUUUGCAAGAUAAGUUAAUGCUCCAAUUGCACUAAGGUAUGGUACUUCAGGACCAAGAAUCUUUUCUCCAUCUUCAAGUGGACGAAAUGAAUCGUUUUUAACAUCAAGUGAUCGAACAACUAUAGGUGAUGGCAAUGGAUGUGCAUUAUCCAUAUAAAAGCGUUUCAAGACUUUUUCUGUAUAAGUAGAUUGAUGAACAAAUAAUCCCUCUGGAAAAUAUUCAAUUUGUAAUCCAAGACAAAAUUUGGUUUUCCCCAAAUCUUUCAUCUCAAAUUCAUUUCUCAAAUAAUCUGCAAUUUUGUUGAGCUCUUCAGGAGUUCCAAUUAAAUUUAAAUCAUCAACAUAAACUGCCACAAUUGUAAAUCCAAUAUUUGUUUUCUUUAUGAAAACACAUGGGCAGAUAUCGUCAUUUUUAUAACACUCUUUCAACAAAUAUUCGCUAAGGCGAUUAUACCACAUGCGUCCAGAUUGUUUCAAUCCAUAUAAUGAUUUUUGCAAUUUAAUUGAGAACAUAGUUCUCGGACAUGUAUAAUUUAUUCCUGGCACCUUAAAUCCUUCAGGGACUUUCAUAUAUAUGUCACUGUCAAGUGAACCAUAUAGGUAGGCAGUUACUACAUUCAUAAGGCGCAUAUCGAGCCCUUGUGACACGGUUAAACUAAUUAAGAACCUAAAGGUGAUGGUAUCCAUUACGGGAGAAUAUGUUUCCUCAUAAUCAAUUCCCAGUCUUUGGGAGAAACCUUGAGCCACUAGUCGGGCUUUAUAUCUUGUAAUUUCAUUAUUCUCAUUUCUCUUUCGUACAAAAACCCAUUUGUAUCCAACAGCGAUUACAUUUUCAGGUGUUCGAACUACUAGUCCAAACACUUCUCGUUUCUCCAAAGAAUUCAAUUCUGCCUGUAUGGCUUUCCAUUUUGGCCAAUCAUUUAUAUUUCGACAGUCAUCAACAGACUGUGGUUCAGGAUCCUCAUUUUGCAUAAUAUCAAAAGCCAUGUUAAAGGCGAAAAUAUUGCCUAUAACAAUAUUAUUCCAUUCCCAUAAUUUAUGAGAUGUCAUAUAAUUUAUUGAGAUCUCAUUAUUUUUGGACACCUUUAGUUUUUCAGGAACCGUACAUUCAAUAUUUGAUUGAUCAAUCUUUUCUAAUGUGAUUUAUUCUGAAGUUUUUGGUUAGUUUUUCUCUUGUACUCUUCUUUUUCGAGGUACAGAGUCUUUUGAACCAACUGGUCGACCACGCUUCUGGCGUAUUUGAGAUUCAUUUGCUACAGCAGAUUAUCUUGGAGGGACAUUAAUUUUUGCUGGAAUAUUUUCUGCUGGAAUAUAUGACUUUGUCAUUUCUCUCGUGUCAACAAAUACAUCAGGUAGUUGAAUUGCAACUCUUUGCAAAUGAAUGAUUUUUUUCAACCUUUUGUUCACAUUGAUUGCUGCUGGGAUUAAAGUGAGAUAGAGUUGUCUCAUUCCAAGAAAUUCUAUCUUGUUUUUCAGGAUGUACUUUUUCUCCUCCCAAAGUUGGGAAAGUCAUUUCAUCAAAAUGACAAUCUGCAAAACGUGCAGUAAAUAAGUCAUCCAUUAAAGGUUCAAGAUAUCUAAUAAUAGAUGGUGAAUUAAAACCCACAUAAAUGCCAAGUUUUCGUUGGGGACCUAUUUUAGUACGUUUUGGGGGUAAAAUAGGAACUUGGAUAGCACAACCAAAAACCCGUAGGGGAGAAAUAUCAGGUUCAUGACCAAAUGCAAGUUGCAAAGGUGAAUAUUGAUGAUAGGCAGUUGGUCUUAUACGAACCAAUGAUGCAACAUAUAAUAUGGCAUGACCCCAAACAAUAGUUGGGAGUUUUGUUUUCAUAAGUACUGGUCUAACAAUAAGUUGUAGAUGUUUAAUAAACGAUUCUGCUAGACCAUUUUGUGUAUGAACAUGUGCAACUGAAUGUUCAAUUUCAAUCCCAAUUGACAUACAAUAAUCAUCAAAUACUUGUGAUCUAAAUUCACCAGCAUUGUCAAGACGAAUAGUCUUGAUUGAGUAAUUGGGGAAUUGUGCUUGCAAUUUUAUGAUUUGAGUAAGUAGUCUAGCAGAUGCUACAUUCCUAGUUGACAGUAGGCAAACAUGUGACCAUCUUGUAGAAGAAUCAAUUAAUACCAUAAAGUUGUGAAAUGGUCCACAUGGUGGGUGUAUUGGCCCACAUAUAUCUCCAUGUAUUCUUUUCAAGAAAGUUGGAGAUUCAAUAUUGACCUUUGUAGUUGAAGGUCUAAUGAAUAGCUUACUUUCCGAACAAGCUACACAUGGAUAAUCAUUAGAUAAAAGAAUCUUCUGGUUCUUUAAAGGAUGUCCAUAUUAGUUGUUUAUUAUUCGACGCAUCAUUAUGGCUAUUGGAUGUCCAAGUCGAUCAUGCCAAAGUAUAAAAAUUUUUGAAUCAACGAACUUCUGGUUCGUAACAUUAUUUGAUUUGACCAUUUUUAUAAAUGUAAAAUACAUGCCAGAUGGGAGUGCAUGAAAUUUUUUUUUUAUCUGCUUCUUGCCAAAUACAAAGGAAGUGAUGCAAAGAUAUUCAACAUUAUUUUCUUGCAUCGUCUUAAUGUGAUAUUCAUUGCAGCGAAUAUCUUUAAAACUAAGCAAAUUUCUUCUGAAUUUCCUAGAAUAAAGUACAUCCUCAAUAUAUAAUUUUGUAUUAUUUGGUAAAAUAAUACAAGCUCUUCCAGAGCCUUCAACGAUAUUCGACACACCCGAUAUCGUGUUAACAUUAUUUUCAGCUAAUAUGAAGUCCAAAAAGUAUUUUUUUUGUCUUGAAGAAUAGAAUGUGUAGUUGCACUAUCAAUUAAGCAGCUGUCUUGACUAUCCAUCAUAAAUCUAUAAAUAUAACAAAAUUAACAAAAUUAAAAAAACUUAAAUUUACAUUUAAAGAAGUAAACAUUACUUAAUAUCAUGAAAUAAACGAUGCAUAAUAGAGUUUUUUUUUAUUUUUGUGCGGAAAAGUAAAAACAUAUUUCAGACUGAUUUUUAAAACGAAAGAAAUACUAGUAAAUUAAUCUAUAUCUUUUAUCACACCACCCCCAACCAAAUGGUCAAUAUUUCCAUUUGGAUCAGUAAAGAAAUCGGAGACAUCCAAAUGAGUCACAUCAGUUGGACCAUCAUAAUCAGCAAAAUUAGUCACCAAUUUUUCUUUUCCCUUGAUUGAUCUCUGGUAAAGAUCCACAAGAUGUUUUGAGGUACGACAUGUACGUGCCCAAUGCCCUUUCAUUCCAUAUCUGAAGCAACUUUCUUCAUGCUCCCUUUUAGAUUUGCCACUCUCGUUUGCUUUGUGCCUUUUGAAUUUAUUGCCUUGUUGUUGAUAACUUUGUUGAUUAUUUCUUUCGUGAUUUAUUCCACGUACACGUCUGUGUCCGUGUCCGUGUCCGUAUCCAUGUCCAAAUCCAUGUCCACGUCCAUGUCCAUGUCCAUGUCCUUGUCUUGAUAUUGUAUUUGCUUCAAACAAUGUAGUACCAUUUGCUUCAGGCAAUGGUACAGAAUCAGUUGGACAUAAUCCAUGAUUUUUCAUCAACAAUUCAUUAUUUUGUUCAGCAACUAGUAGGCAAGAUAUAAGUUCUGAGUACUUUUUAAAGCCACGCUCACAAUAUUACUGCUGCAGGAGCACAUUCGAGGCAUGAAAGGUGGAGAAAUUUUUUUCCAGCAUAUCUUCAUCGGUGAUUUUUUCUCCACACAAAGCCAACUUUGAACAUAUUCUGACCAAUUUAGAAUUGUACUCACUAACCGUUUUAAAGUCUUGCAAACGAAGGUGCAUCCACUCAUAACGGGCUUUGGGAAGGGCUAUAGUCCUCUGAUGAUCAAAUCUUUCAGUUAACUUUUUCCAAAGAACUUGUGGAUCUUUCUUAAUGAGAUAUUCAAUUUUUAAUCCAUCGUGAAGAUGGUGACGGAGGAAAAUGAGUGCUUUCGCACGAUCCUGCAGGGAUUCAUUGUUUCCUUCUUUUAUUGUCUCUCCCAGACCCUUUGAGACGAGAUGGAUAUCAGCAUCCAGUAUCCAUGAUAGAUAAUUUUUACCAGGUAUGUCAAGCAACAAACUCAAGUUUCGUAAUGUUUGCCAUUUGUUUAACUACACAAUAAAAAAAUACAAUUAGUAUCGAAGAAUAUGAUUAAUUAUUACAUGUUAAUCAAAUAGUCAAUAUCAACAUGACUUUAAGUUACGUAUUUUCCUCUGGGGAUAAACACUAAUUUGAAAUAAUAUGUUCUUCAAAACAUAUGUUACUUCUGGAGCACAUUAUAUUUUACUAUUAUUUCUUCAAGUGCAAUAUGUCAAUAUUCUUCUGGAAUAUUGAGAGUUAUAAUUUAUGCUCUUCAGGAGCAAAUAAUAUUCUUAUAAUGUUGUGCUACUUUUGGAGCAACAACGAAUAAAUCUAUGAUUAAUAUUCUUCUGGAAUAUUAAUUAUAAUGUUGUGCUACUUCAGGAGCAACAACAAUUAAAAAUAAAUUUAAUGUAAUGUUUCAUAACUAAACAUAAAAAAAUGAUAAUACAUCUAAUUGCUCACCAUUAAUUAAUAUACAAACACAUGUAAAAUAUUAUUUUGAAUUAAUAAUGUGAGUCGAGUGAAACACAAAAAAAACUGGUGACAUGUAGAAACCUAUUCACAUAUUAUGGUACGAAAUUCUAAUUAUGUGCAAUUAAAAGAAUUAAAUUCGUAUUAACCAAUUAAGGCAUGUAAUUUGCAGAAACCAAUGGAUUUGAGAGAAAAGAUGAGUUGGGUACAGUUAUUUGUUAAUUGUAUAUUGUAUAUAUAUAUGGAAUCAGCCAAAAUAGAGAUCUAGAAUUGAAGCUUACUUAUAAAGAACAUUGACCAAUUAAACCAAAAAAAAUUAUAAGCAUGUGUAGAACGUAAAUGGCUAAUCUAAAUAUAAGGAGGGUAUAGGAACAUGAAUUAAUGUAUAUCAAUUGAUUUAACAUAAAUAUAUCUCCAUAAAAAUGCACGUGGAUUGAUGUAAAGGAAAAAAAACAUUAAUUAAUUCAAAGAGAGGUACAAAGAAAACAUAAUGAUCAAGAAAGAUAAGAUCACGUAUUGCAGAUUCAACAUAUAUAUAUGUAAAAUUCACGUAUUAUCAAAUUAAUUUUGAUAUACGUGAUAGAUGAUUAUGAAAAAAAAUUACUACCUUCUAAGAGCUUCGUGCUGAUAACGUGUUAUAAAAUGAGAGGAAAAGAGAAUAGAGAAAACUCAAUAAACUUUUUUCAGUAUUAUUGAAAACCAAAGCUCUAUAUUUAUAGGUAAGAAUCAGGGAUACAAUGGUAAUAAUUUCUAGGGCUACAUGGUACAAAUGUCAUUCACCAAUAAACUUUAAUGGACUUUCCAUUUACAACACAUUUCAUUAUUUUUAGUAAUAGUUUGUUUUUCACAUACAAAUACGAAAAUUUCCCUAAUUUCAACCUAGGAAUCCUGAUAGAUUGGUGGAGUGGGGUGAGGUUGGGCUGUGUGGACCGAGUGGUCAUUGGCUUCCACUGUCAAUAUUUCAGUUUGUCCACUGCCUAUUUUUUUCAAAGCAACAUCAUGCAUACGCUUAGGUGCUACUAUCAACACUUAAAUUCUACAUAAUUAAUGUAUUUGUUAUCUCUAUAUUAGUCAACUGAAUAAAAUACUCAUUUCUUCUAUCAAUUAAUUCUUUGCAUUCUAUCUUGUUGUUUGUUUAUGAUUAUAUACUUCAUACCCCUGUCAUAUACAUUAUCUAGAUCCAUUUUAUUUCCUAAAAAGUGGUAUCAGGGCUAUUGGUUAUGAUUUGUUCAAGGCCUUUGUUAUUGAUGACAGUCAUGAAGUAUGAAAUUUCACUCUUCGAUUGCAAUACAAGAUUCUCAUUGUGGCAAUUGAAGAUGUGAGUUUACUCGCUUAGAUGGAUUUGGAUGAUGCAUUCCUGAGAUUUGACAAAAUAUCCACAACUUAUGGAGGAGAAACAACGGAAGGGUUGGAAGGCACUUUUACAUAUAUAUCUUCAUCUUUCUAAUAAUAAUUUUUAGGACAUUUUAAGGGAGCAUGGUAGCAACGUUGUGGUUGAAGCUGGAGCAAUUGUGUAUGACUAAAAGUCUAACAAGAAAAUUGCAUUUGAAGCAGAUGUUGUAUUUUCAUUGUUUGGCAAAAAGCCAAUCGUUGGAAGAUCUCGCCGUAUCCAAGGAGAUCUCGAGGAUUUGGUGACUUUAGAGAUAAAGUAUAACAAACAAUAUUUGGUCUUAAUCCUUUUGUGUUCGUUGCCCACUUCGUCUACUUGAUUUAGAGACAUGAUCUUUUAUCUUUCAAAACUCUGCAGCGACUCGGGAUGGAAGGUAACCCAACGCCGCUUACCUCAAGGGUCAUAUAAAAUUCUACACACAUUGAAUCGACAUGAUUUCAACUAUACUCAAUAGCUAAUGCCUGAGAUAUCAAACCUAAUUGGUUUCGUCCAAAAAAUUCAAGUAAAGAGUGAGUUAUGAAUUUUGGAAAGUAAGGGUAGAAGCUGAAUAACAGCUGCACUUCCUAGUGCCGUCUACUUUAUGUGACAAUUAAAAUUCUACCAAUAUCGGAUUGACAUGAUUCAAAAUUCAUUCUGUAGCUAACCUAUGGGGCUAUCCAACACCACUGGUUUUGUCUAAAAAUUCCAAGUAACAAUUUAUAUACGAAUUUUUAAAGUCAAGGCAGAAACUGACAUUUUAAAGAAAACAGCAAACUUUAAAUUGCUAACGCUCCUUUUUUCCUAUGUAAACGGUGAUUCGUAAAAUGAUUUCUUGAUACAUAUCUAGUUUUAAACAUAAUUUAUUCAUAAAGAAAUAUUCUUGAAAUAUCUCCAUAUAUGACGUCCAUAGAAAUCUAUUUAACAGAAAACAAAUGCAAAUAUUUCAUAAUUAAAUUUAGAAUAUCAAGUCGCCGGCUUUCUCCGAGGCACCUCGCAUCAUCUUUUACUAUUAUCCACGUCCAAGGAAAUCCAUUCAACCUGAAGGAAGGGAAUUAACCCAUGAGUUUGAAACUCAAUAGAUAUCAUUGGUGUAAUUUGUUCUCAAAUUAGAAAUUUCAAACUAUAGAUUCGUACCGUUGCAUGUAGAUAGAUUUUUGGUAAAAUCCAAUUUUUGUAGCAUUAUUAUAACACGUAGAGCCAGAGAAUGAUCAUUCAAACUGUUGUAGUACCGAAGCACCAUACCUAGAGAUACUAUUUCAUUCAAACUAUAGUAGUGCUGAAGCACCGUACCCGAAGGUACCAAUUCAUUCAAAAUUUUAUCGAAAAAUCAAAAUUUGGAAACGAAAUAAUACUUGCACCUCUACCUACCUUCGUUUGAUGCUUUUGAAUCGAUAAAGUUGGUUGGUGAAUGUUGUUUCCCAACGGCACCCAAAGCUUAAGAAAUUUGCUCCUCUCCUAUGUCUUUCUUACUUUUUAAAUUUUCUUUUCUUGUUUCAAAUUGUGAAAAAUGAAAGUUGUAUCUUCUAAAAGAAAAACUCGUAUAAUCUAGUAUAUAAUUCUGACGUACUCCAAGUAAAUCAAUUGCCGUUCGGUUUUGUCACUUAAUUACAAAUGUAUGAGAUGCCAAUAAAAGAGUUUUAUGGGAAUACUUUAAAUUAAUUAUUAUAAAAGUUAAUGCUUUAACCAUGUUUAAUUUAUAACACCCUUUCCACUUCCAAGUAAUUGUAACAAAUUGAAAAAUGAAAGUAUUUUUUUCUUUUCCACACGUAACCUACAAAAUCUAGAAAGACACACAUAACUUACAAAAUUCAAAAAGGCAUAUUCAUGUUAAUUAGGACUAAUGAAAUUAAUCAAUCAAGAGUUUAAGUUGCAUAAUGUGUGUGUAUAUUUUUGGGAUUUCAAUGACUUGUUUGUACCAACUAAUCAGAUUAAUUGUUUGACCAUUCAAUCGAAAGUUAUUUUUAACGUGUAGUUGUUAUGUGUGUGUAUAUAAUACUAUAUAUUUGUCAUUUUAAAAAACUAACAUGUACGAAAAUCAAUUUUUUUUAACUAUACAUAAAAUAAAUUUUCACCGUUGGGUUCAAUCUUUGGGAAAAACAUUAAAUUAUUCCAUCCAACUUCAUCAAAUAAUUUUUUAAAAAUAUGUAUGGUGGCUAAACCUGUGUUGCAUGUUGAACUACCAUAAGAUUGUAAAUAAAUUCAUUUUAAAGCAUAUUGGACUAGUAUUGAGCUUUCAUUUCUUUUGUGGGUCGCGCAUGAGGUUCAUCUAUAGGCUAGGCUCGUGAUAUUAGAUCGUCGUAUUAAAAUAUGAGCCUAACUUCAUUUUUUUGGGGCUCUUACAUUCCUUACACCUUAAAUAAAAUUUCGUCCUUGAAAUUUACCUUAUGGUUGGACAAAGAGUGUCGGGUAUCUGUCUUUAAUUUUUUCUUCUCUUUCCCAAGUAGCUUCUUCUAUUCCAUGAUUAUUCCAUUGCACUUUGACCAGUUGAAUCUCCUUGUUUCAUAAUUUAUGUACCUUUCAAUCCAAUACUUUAAUCGAUAAUUCCUCAUAAGAUAAGUCUUUUUGUACUCGCAAGGAUUGAUAAUUUACCACGUGAUUAGGGUCAUGCAUAUACUUUCUGAUCAUUCAUAUAUGAAACACAUUCUGAACUGCUGAUAGUUCAGGCGGCAAAGCUAAUCGAUAAACCACAUUUUUGAUCUUGUUAUGUAUUUCAAAAGGUCCGAUAUAAUGAGGCCAUAGUUUGCCUUUCUUGCCGAACCUAAGUACACCCUUUAUUGAUGCCAUUUUUAGAAAAACUUUCUGUCCAUCUUCAAAUUCCAUAUCUUUUUUCCUAGUAUUUGCAUAGCUCUUUUGUCCAUCUUGAGCGGCCUUUAUCCUAGUACGGAUUUUGUCAAUGACUUCAACUGUUCUUUCAAUGAUAUCUGGUUCCAAAACUCUCUUCUCUUCAAUUUCAUCCCAAUGAACAGGUGACCUGCAUCUUCUGCCAUAGAGAGCUUCAUACAGUGUCAUUCCAAUAGUUGCUUGAAAACUGUUAUUAUAUGCAAAUUCCACCAAAGGUAAAUACGAUUCCCAACUACCUCCUAGAUCCAGAACAUAGGCCUUUAGCAUAUCUUCCAAAGUUUGAAUGGUCCUUUCAAACUAACCAUUGGAUUGAGGGUGAUACGGCGUACUGAAAUUCAAUUUCGUUCCCAUAGCUCCUUGGAAGCUCUUUCAAAACUUUGACAUAAAUCUCGGAUCUCUAUCAGAUACAAUGAACACGGGGACAACAUGUAAUCUCACAAUCUCUCUAAUUUACAAUUGCGCCAGCUGAUCUAGACUAAAUGUCAUUUUCACUGGAAGAAAUGAGUGGACUUUGUUAGACGAUCCACUAUUACCCAUAUAACAUUGUGUCCUCUUGCUGACUUUGAAAAUCCUACCACAAAAUCCAUUGCGAUAUUCUCCCACUUCCAUUCAGGUAUGUCUAAUGGAUUUAAUAUCCCUGCUGGUCUUUUUAUGUUCUGCUUUAACUUGUUGACACACUAUGCAUUUUGCUACAAAUGAGCCUAUACUUCAUUUCAUAUUCCUCCACCAAAAUGUAUUUCGAAGGUCUCAAUACAUUUUCCUACUAUUGGGAUGUGCAGUGUAGGGGCGGAAUGAGCCUCAUCCAAUAUCUCCUUCCUCAAAAUUUCAUCCUUAGGUACACAAAUUCUUCCUUUAAGUAAUUUUGCCUGAUCUAAAGCUAUUUCAAAAUCCUUUCUCUUAUCAUCAAUAAUCUCGUUCUUGAUCUUCUGCAAAAAUGGGUCUUUGUUUUGUGCUUCUAUGAUAUAAUCUUUAAGAGUAGAUAGAACCACCAAAGUUGCUAAAUAGGCAGUGACUUGUUUUGGUGUGACUUUGAUUCACAAAUUUUCUAAUUCUUUGAUCAACUCCAUUGGAAUAAUAGGUAAUGAUGCCAACUGUCCCAUCGAUUUUCUGUUUAGAGCAUCAGCAACAACAUUAGCCUUACCUGGAUGAUACUGAAUAGUGCAAUCAUAAUCAUUUACUAGCUCCAACCAUCGUCUCUGUCUCAUAUUCAAUUCCUUCUAUGUGAAGAAAUAUUUGAGACUCUUAGGAUCUGUGUAAAUAUUGCACUUCCCUCCAUAUAAGUAAUGACGCCAUAUCUUUAAUGCAUAAACCACCGCUGCAAGUUCAAGAUCCUGCGUCGGGUAGUUUUGCUCAUGUUGCUUCAAUUGUCUUGAAGCUUAGGCAAUUACUUUUCCAUGUUGCAUCAGUACACAUCCAAAACCUUAUUUAAAUGCAUCACUAUAUAUAUCAAACCCUUCCGAACCUUCAGGUAUGGUUAACACAGGUGCUAUAAUCAACCGUUAUUUUAGCUCCUGAAAGCUUUGCUCACACUUAUCUUUCCAUUGAAACUUUACUCAUUUCCUUGUCAAUUGUGUUAUUGGUCUAGCUAUUUUGGAAAAUCCUUCUAUAAAUCUUCGAUAGUAUCCAGCCAAUCCCUGAAAACUUCGAACUUCACCAGAAUUAGUCGGUGUCUUCCAAUUAGUUAUCGCUUCCACCUUUACUGGAUCUACUUCAAUUUCUUGGGCAAUAACUACAUGACCGAGAAAUCCAACUUGCCCAAACCAAAAUUUACACAUUUUAAAUUUAGCGUAUAACUUUUCCUUGCGUAAUGUUUCUAAUGUUAUUUUAAGAUGUUCUUUAUGUUGAUCUUUACUCUUGGAGUAAAUCAAAAUGUCAUCAAUGAAGACUAUAGCAAAUUUAUCCAAAUAUUGAUGAAACACUUGGUUCAUCAGAUCCACGAACACUGUCGGAGCAUUUGUCAAUUCGAAUGGUAUAACUGUGUACUUGUAAUGUCCAUAACGAGUUCUGAAAAUUGUCUUAGGUAACCCAGGGCUCUUAUAAAAUUCUACACACAUUGAAUCGACAUGAUUUCAACUAUACUCACUAGCUAACCCUUGAGACUAUCAAAUCCAAUUGGUUUCGUCCAAAAACUUCAAGUAACGAGUGAAUUAUGAAUUUUUGAAACAAAAGGUCCGUUUGAUUGCAAAGAUGAAAUUGAAUUGAAUUGAAAAUGAAUUUCAGGGAAUUGAAUUGAUGGGAAAUUGAUUUCCUAGGAAUGGUAAAUUAUUGUGUUUGAUUGAUAUAAUUUUUCAAGUGGAAAAUAUUGAAAUAAAAGUAUUUUUUGGUGCUCGUUUGACUUUAUUUUACAUAAAAAUUGUCAACUAAAGGGAUAGAAUUUACUGGUAUUGGGGAUGGAAUUUUUUUCCAUUGCCAAAAAAUAAAAAAAAUCAAGAAAAUCAUACAUCUUUUGAUGUUUGUUUGGCUUUAUUUUACAUAAAAAUUCUCAAUUAAAGGGAAAUAUUUUUUUACAAUAAUUCUUAAAAUUUGUUUCCAUUACCAACACAAAAAAAAAAAAAAAAUGCUACAGUAACAUGAAAUUCCAAUUCUCAUCAAUUUUUGGUGAGAAUUGGUUUCCUUAAAAACCAAGAAAAGAUCAAUUCCCAAAACAAGCAAGAAAAGGUAAUUCCAUGGAAAUAAAACCCUAUCAAACACCAUAAAGUUGGAAAAUGAAAUUAUUUCCAUUUUCCAUGGAAAAAAACCACAUAUCAAACACUACCUAAGGGCAGAAGCUGAUUAACAGCUACACUUCCUAGUGCCGUCUACUUUAUGUGACAUAAAAUUCUACCGAUAUCGGAUUGACAUGAUUCCAAGUUCAUUCAGUAGCUAACCUAUGGGGCUAUCUGAUAAGAGUGUAAAAGAUAACAUUUUCCCCACUUAAUUAUUGCAUUCGUGUGAUUAUUUGAUACCAAAAUGCACUCAUUAUACUUAUAUUUUGAUUCAGGUUAUAUUUUGGUAGAAAAGGUGAAAUUUGGAAGAAACAAGUUAAAAUGGACCAAAAUGGAAGAAAGCGAAAGUUCAGGAACCAAGUUGUAAAUAAUCCAAAGAUGAGACAAGAAGUGAAAUGAUGAUUUGAGAAAUUUAGGAGUCCAUUGGGUGCAAUUAGAAGUCAAAAGAAGUUAAAUGUACCCACAAUAUUUUCACAAAUCAGAUUCCAACCGUAUAAGGAUUUUUCAGAUUUUCAGCCGAGCAUUGAGACCAACCUUUGACCUGGAAAGAUAUAUUUCCAGAAAAAUUAUAUUCAUUUGAGUUAGCUUUCCUAUGCAACUUGAAUCACCUCAAUUGGACAUCGGGGGACAAUGUUAUGGUCAAAAUACCAAAAGCAGUCGUACAUAAAAUUCUGGCCGAAAAUUUACUUUUCUUAUUCAGUUCAACCUCUUUUGGAAACAUUUUGGCACACGACUUUUAACACUAAUCUCGACCAGAAAACCCACCAGUCAGCCUCAUAAACUUUUCUCUCAUCUUGGACACAAGAAACUCCAUGAAGAACUAAAAUCUUUGGUGAACCACCAAGGAACUCAUUGGAUUUGGAGAUUUCAUGUAAUUCGAACUUUCUUUGCUUAAUAAUUUCUCGAUUUGGAUUUUCUCGUAAUGAAUUAGUAUUGAAUUUGGUUUAACUUUUUCUAGAUUUUUUUUAUGGAUUCAAUCAUGCUUUUUCCAUUGUUAAAUUAAAUUAUUUGUUGAGUUUCAAUUUCAAUUACUUAUUGUUGAGAUUGUUUUAACUUUUAUCAAAUCCUUCAUAGAUCUAAUCAUGCUCUUUCUAUCGAAUGAUUGAAAUAAUUGUUGAAUUUUAAUCUUAAUAUUACUUUAUUGGCGGAUUGAUUACUGCCUUAUGCUUGAUGUAUAUGGUUGAUCUUUGAUCUUGUUCCAAUAAAAAUGUGCGAAUGUGUUGUAGAAAAUCUAGUUUCUAGAAAUAUAAUUGAAAUUAAAUUGGACUUUAUUGUUAAAUCUUCUGAUUAGGGAGUUGGGAAGAAACCUCUAAGUGAGUAAAAAUGCAUGAAUUAUUGAUGUUGAUUGAUCCAAUCCAAUGGGGAAAUUCCGACGCUUCACUAAUUUCGCAUAUUGAUAAUUAACUUUUAUUCCAAGUGACAAAUCAUUCCCAUAUAAAAUUACGAAAACCCUAGUUUGUUAGAUCCUUUGACAAAUUUCCCAUCUCCCUAUGGAUACGACACCCCAAAACUGUACUGCAACUACCACAUUAUACUUUGGGCGUAAUCUAAUUUUGGCAUCCUUGUCGGGGAGACGGUACAAGUGAUUGAAGGAUCCUCGAGCAAAAGGGUGACUUCGUUCCUCUUUUAUCUGUUAGUUAAUUUAUUUUCUUUAUUGUUAUUUUUUAAUUUUGCAUUUAAUUCCAUUUUUGUAUUUUAUGAACAGGAAUCAAGAAGAGCGAUGGCGAUUUGUUGAUAGGCCUCUCCUAGAGUUUGAAUCACUUUCUAACCCUUUCUUUGACACUAUAUCUAUUGGCACGAGCACUAAACCACACAACACAAUGAGUGAUAGUGAGCACGGCGAUGCGCCCUACAGGACCCUACAUGGUUACCUUCACCCAACACGCCCUUCCACGCCAUUUUGCAAUAUGUUCCCACCCAAUAUGUCACGUGUGGACCUAAAACUGGGAAUGAUUAAACUUCUUCCCACUUUUCACGGACUUGAAAAUGAGAAUCCAUACAUGCAUAUUCGGGAAUUUGAGGAAGUGGUUGCAACCUUCCACAAUCAACGUGGUACAAUGGAUACAAUUGGGCUUAAAAUUUUCCCAUUUUUACUUAAAGAAUGAGCAAAAAAGCUGAUUGUACUCAUUGAAACCACAUUCGAUUGGGACUUAGGUUGAAAUGACCCAAGCUUUCUUUGGCAAAUAUUACCCCCAUCAUAAGACCACUACCGUUAAGAAGCAAAUUUCUUCAUUUGCCCAAAAGGAUAGCGAAGCCUUAUAUCAAGCCUGGGAGAGAUAUAAAGAGUUGUAACCUCUUUGCCCCCACCAUGGAUAUGAGAAUUGACGUGUGGUGAGUUACUUUUGUGAGGGCCUAACACCUAGGGAGCAUCAAUUUGUUGAAAUGAUGUGCAAUGGUGAUUUGUCACAAAAAGAUCCAGAUGAAGCCACAGAGUAUCUAGAUGACUUAGCUGAAAAGGCUCACACUUGGAUUGGACCUAGUGCUUCUGAUUGUACCAAUAGGUCACGACCAAUAGGAAACCCAACUAGGACAUGCAUUUACCACCUUAGAGAGGAAGACAACCUUAAAGCCAUGGUAGAAACCCUCACUAGAGAACUUGAAGCUCUACGUGCUAAGGAAUAAAAAACAACCCCGACUUGUUUCCCAUGUUGAGUCUUUAGAGCCUUGUUUUAUGUGUGGUGGAACGUAUCCAGCACAAGAGUAUGGCACCUAUGCUGAAAUGAGGGGACUUUAUGAGUAACACCGUAAUGCUUUAGGCAUAUAUCAAAAACCCUAUACUCCCUACUCUGAAUCCUAUAAUCCAAGGCGGCGGAAUCAUCCCAAUCUCAGCUGGAAAUCUUAAAACCAACAACCUAUCCCAUCCAAUAGAGCCUACACUAUAUCUCCAUAUCAAACCACAUCCUCUAGAAACUCUUUGGAAGACACCCUACAUGCAUUCAUAAAGGCACAAAGUAAAAUCAAGCAGAAAUUUGAGACUAUGAUUACCUAGAUUGUUGAGGAAAACAAGGAAAUCAAAACUCAUAUGCCAAAACUAACUAAUGCCUUAGCUAUAGAGGAGCAGGGAAAAUUUCCAGCACAAGCUCAUCCAAACCCUAGGAGACAACAUAUGGCACAAACCUCAGGCCUCCAAGAAAACAACCUUAAUGAAGUUAAUGCCAUAACCACUAGGUCCGGUAAGGUUAUUGAACCAACCCCAAAACCUAAGGAAGAUGAAAAGGACCCUAGCAAUUCAGAAGAGAGUACCCCUAGCGAGGAGGUAGUGAAAAAUAUACUACGAGUACCCUUUCCUCAAGCUCUUAAUUUUACCUAGAAAUUUGUAUGUCAACAUAGUGAAAUCCUAGAGCACCUCAAACAAGUAAAAAUUAAUAUGCUGCUCUUGCACGUGAUUUCCCAGGUCCCCACUUAUGCUAAAGUCCUUAAAGACUUGUGUACUAUAAAAAGAAAGCACCAUGUCAGGAAAAUCACUUUCUUAAUUGAACAUGUGAGUGUCGAAUUGAGCAAAGAGUUCCACCAAAGUAUAAGGACCCUGGUUGCCCACUGUGUCUUGCACUAUUGGGAACCAUGAUUUUGCACAAGCUCUUCUCGAUUUUGGGGCUAGUGUCAACAUUAUGCCUUAUGCAAUAUACUCGGCAUUAGGUCUAGGUGAGAUCAAACCCACUUCAGUGGUCUUAUAAUUAGCUGAUCGAUCCACUAUUAGGCCUAGGAGAGUAGUUGAGGAUGUGUUGGUACAAGUUGACAAAUUUUAUUACCUCGUUGAUUUCUUAGUUUUGGAUUUAAAAGAAGAUGUGAGUGUUAACUCCAAGAUUCUCAUUAUUCUUGGUAGACCUUUUCUUGCCCUAGCUAAUGCUCUUAUCAAUUGUAGGAACGGUCUAAUGAAACUAUCAUUUAGGAACAUGACCUUGGACGUCAACAUUUUUCAUAUCAUGAAAUAGCCUGAGGAAGAUGAUGAGUGUCAUCAAACAUACAUGAUUGAUGCACUCGUUCAGGAGGAAGCACCUGCGAUUAUUGAUCCCGACCCUUUAAAUUCUAAAAUUCUCACAGGGUAUGAUAGUGGAGGAUAUGCUGCUUUUGAUUAUUUUCAGGAUUAUAGAACACCACCAGUGACUACUUCCAAUGAGUUUGGUGCAAUGCAAGGAAGAUUGACAACACCCUGGUUAGAUGCGGGCUAAAGAAGAAAAUACUGGGUCGAGCCAACGACAAUAAACAAAGGCACUGCUGGGGAGGCAACCCAAGGGGAGUUCGUUCCCUUCUCUUUCUUUUUAUUUUCAUUUAUGCAUUCUCUCUAAGUUUAGUCCAUGCAUUAUUCAUUGCAAUCCUUUUAUUUUCAUUUUCUGCACUAACCUUUCCAUCGAAGAUUUUCGGGCUUCUUAUACUUCAGCUCAUGUGAUUCACUUCGUUACUCAGGUAACAUCUUUUCUUACCUUUAUUUGGCAGACAUAUUUUUGCAUUGAGGACAAUGCAAUGUUUAGUUGGGGGGGAGAGUUUAACUUAAAUUUUGUUGUGAAUUGCAUGUUUUUAAUGAAAUUUUGGCCUAAUUGUUUUUAAGUCCCUAAUGCGCUACAUGUUCUUGAAUGGCAAUAUAUUUCACUAGGAAUUAAUAUUGUUUAUGAAAAUUUGGAUACUGAGAUAUUUGCUAAAUCUUUUUGUGCACACAAGCCUUGUGGUAAGAUAGUGGUUUAACACAUGUAGCUAGAGGAGUCUCUUGUUGAAGUUUUCUUAUGUGAGAGUCGAUGAGGAUUGAAAGCUAUCACAUAUUAAAAAUGGCAGUAAGUGCUCAUUAGUUUUGUGAACUGGACACUUCUGUUGAGAAUAACAUUACACAGUCUGUGGUAAGAUGGUGGUUUAUACUUGGGAAAUGAUAAUGGUCAACAUAGGAUUGAAUUUGAGCUUUCAGACUAGUUUUUUUUCAUUAUUAUAAUUCCCUAAUAACCACUUUGAGCCAAUGCACAUACAUAACCAUUUCAUUUCAUGUGCCUAAGUUAUCCAUACCUCCUUACAUUGGAAUAAAAUCUAUAAACAUUCAAUUUUCUACCUUUAUGCUUCCAAGUAUAUAGUAGGUGUUAAAUGUCCAUUUCAGAAGAAAAGCAACAUGGAAAGUGAUAAGAGAUUAUAAGUGCUCGGGUGAAGCGAAAAAACACAAAAGGAAAGGGAAUUUGAAAAAAAAAAACAAACAAACAACCAAACAAAAGAAAAGAAAAGAAGAAAAAAUGAAAAAAAAAAAGAAAUGAAAAAAAGGUGGAUUGUUGUUGGGAAUUGAAAGGUUGAAGAAUGCGUUGAUGUAAAGAAUUGAUAUGUUGAAAUACUUGUUGAGAUGCCUAGCCAGAUACUUGGAAGUCCUUAAAUUCUUUUUGCCCUACUUUUCAUAUAACCCAACUUAACCUUUUACACACCCUUUGCAUUGACUGUUUUGAUCUCAAGUAGGUUUGUGGUAAAAAGUUGAUGAAUUUUCAAUUGGAAGUAUGCCUAUCAUGUGAUCAAUGUUUGCUUGUUGCUUGCUCAUAAACAUUUAAGACUCCAAAUUAUGAGUGUAUCCAUUUCUCAGCUCUAUAGAGAGAAAAUCGCACUAAACACUUUGAUACCUGUGAGUUGUGGAGUUGAACCUUCAGCUCGAGACAUACUUGAUGUUAAAUAUGUUAGGGUUGGCAGUAAGAUGGCUAUAGCUUGGCACACACUCACACAUUUAGCAAGUGUUUUUGAUAUCUUGAUGAUCAUAACAUUGUUAAUUUCUUGUGGUGUUGAGUUUGAAAAGAGAAUGAACUGUUGAAUUAGAACUUAACAAUUUCACUUGUAACAUGGACCAAUUACUCAUUUGCUUUACUUUGCAUUAAAUUGCUAGGGACUAGCAAUAAGCAAGUCGGGGGUAUGAUAAGAGUGUAAAAGAUAACAUUUUCCCCUCUUAAUUAUUGCAUUCGUGUGAUUAUUUGAUACCAAAAUGUACUCAUUAUACUUUUAUUUUGAUUCAGGUUGUAUUUUGGUAGAAAAGGUAAAAUUCAGAAGAAACAAGUGAAAAAGGACCAAAAUGGAAGAAAGCGAAAGUUCAGGGACCAAGUUUCAAAUAAUCCAAAGAUGAGACGGGCGAUGGAAUGAUGAUUUGAGAAAUUUAGGAGUCCAUUGGGUGCAACUAGAAGUCAAAAGAAGUUAAAUAUGUCCCUAAUAUUUUCACAAAUCAAAUUCCAACCGCAUAAGGAUUUUUCAGAUUUUCAGCCGAAGAUUGAGAUUAACUUUUGACCUAGUAAACGUCCAAAUUUGGAAAGAUAUAUUUCUAGAAAAAUUAUAUUCCUUUGAGUUAGGUUUUCUAUGCAACUUGAAUCACCUCAAUCGGACAUUGGGAGACAAAGUUAUGGUCAAAAUACCAAAAACAGUUGCAGAGAAAAUUCUGGCCGAAAAUUUACUUUCCUUAUUCGGUUCAACCUCUUUUGGAAACAUUUUGGCACACGACUUUUAACCCUAAUCUCGACCAGAACACCCACCAUUCAUCCUCAAACACUUUUCUCUCAUCUUGGACACAAGAAACUCCAUGAUGAACUAAAAUUUUUGGUGAAGCCACCAAGGAACUCAUUGGAUUUGGAGAUUUCACGUCAUAAUUUCAUGUAAUUCGAAGUUUCUUUGCUUAAUAAUUUCUUUAUUUGGAUUUUCUCGUUAUGAAUUAGUAUUGAAAUUAGUUUAACUUUUACUAGAGUUUUUAUGGAUUCAUUCAUUCUUUUUCCAUUGUUAAAUUAAACUAUUUGUUGAGUUUCAAUUUCAAUUACUUAUUGUUGAGAUUGUUAUAACUUUUAUCAAAUCAUUCAUAGAUCUGGUCAUGCUUUUUCUAUCGAAUGAUUGAAAUAAUUGUUGAAUUUUAAUUUUAAUAUUAGUUUAUUAGCGGAUUGAUUACUGCCUUAUGCUUGAUGUAUAUGGUCGAUCUUUGAUCUUGUUCCGAUAAUAAUGUGCGAAUGUGUUAUAGAAAAUCUAGAUUCUAGAAAUAUAAUUGGAAUUAAAAUGGACUUUAUUGUUAAAUCUUCUGAUUAGAGAGUUGGGAAGAAAACCUCUAAUUGAGUAAAAAUACAUGAAUUAUUGAUGUUUAUUGAUCCAAUCCAAUGAGGAAAUUCCGAGGCUUCACUAAUUUCGCAUAUUGAUAAUUAACUUUUACUCCAAGUGACAAAUCAUUCCCACAUCAAAUUACGAAAAUCCUAGUUUGUUUGAUCCUUUGACAAAUUUCUCAUCUUCCUGUGGAUACGACACCCCAAAGCUGUACUAUAACUGCCGCGUUAUACUUUGGGCAUAAUCACUAUCCAACACCACUAGCUUUGUCUAAAAAUUCUAAGCAAUGAUUUAGAUACGAAUUUUUAAAAUCAAGGCAGAAAUUGACAUUUUAAAGAAAUUAGCAAACUUUAAAUUGCUAACGCUUCUUUUUUUCCCUGUGUAAACGGUGAUUCAUAAAUUGAUUUCUUGACACAUAUCUACUUUUAAACAUAAUUUAUUCAUAAAGAAAUAUUCUUGAAAUAUCUCCACAUAUGAUGUCCAUAGAAAUCUAUUUAACAGAAAACAAACGUAAACAUUUCAUAAUCGAAUUUAAAAUAACAAGUCACCGACUUUCUCUAGGGGAUGUCCCAUCAUCAUUUACCAUCAUCCACGCCCAAGGAAAUCCAUUCAACCUAUAGGAAGGGAAUUAACUAAUGAGUUUGAAACUCAAUAGUUAUCAUCAAUGCAUUUCAUUCUUAAGUUAGAAAUUUCGAAUUAUGGAUUCAUACCGUCACACGUAGAUGGAUUUCUGGAAAAAUCCAAUUUCUGUAGCAUUAUUAAAACACGUAGAGCCGGGGAAUGAUCAUUCAAACUAUUGUAAUGCCUAUGCACAGUACCCGAAAGUACCAUUUCAUUCAAACUAUAGUAGUGGCAAAGCACCAUACCCGAAGGUACCAAUUUAUUCAAAAUUUUAUCGAAAAAUCAAAAUUUGAAAACGAUAUAACACUUGUACCUCUACCUACCAUCGAUGAAGUUGGUUGUGAAUUUUGUUUCCCGACGGCACCCAAAGCUUAAGAAAUUUGCUCCUCUCCUGUCUUUCUUACUUUUGAAAUUUUCUUUUCUUGUUUCAAAUUGUGAGAAAUGAAAGUUUUAUCUUCUAAAAGAAAAACUCUUAUAACCAAGUAUAUAAUUCUCACGUACUCCAAGUAAAUCAAUUGCAGUUGGGUUUUCUCACUUAAUUACAAAUGUGUGAGAUGCCAAUAAAAGAGUUUUAUGGGAAUACUUUAAAUUAAUUAUUAUAAAAGUUAAUGCUUUAACCAUGUUUAAUUUAUAACACCCUUUCCACUUCCAAGUAAUUGCAACAAAUUGAAAAAUGAAAGUUUUUUUUUCUUUUCCCCACGUAACCUACAAAAUAUAGAAAGACACACAUAACUUACAAAAUUCAAAAAGUCAUAUUCAUGUUAAUUAGGAUUAAUGAAAUUAAUCAACCAAGAGUUUAAGUUGCAUAAUGUGUGUGUAUAUUUUUGGGAUUUCAAUGACUUGUUUGUACCAACUAAUCAUAUUAAUUGCUUGACUAUUCAAUUGAAAGUUAUUUUUAACGUGUAGUUGUUAUGUGUGUGUAUAUAAUACUAUAUAUUUGUCAUUUUAAAAAACUAACAUGUACGAAAAUAAAUUUUUUUAACCAUACAUAAAAUAAAUUUUCACCGUUGGGUCCAGUCUUUGGGAGAAGCAUUAAAUUAUUCCGUCCAACUUCAUGAAAUAAUUUUUUAAAUAUAUGUAUGGUGGCUGAACCUGGGUUGCACGUUGAACCACCNNNNNNNNNNNNNNNNNNNNNNNNNNNNNNNNNNNNNNNNNNNNNNNNNNNNNNNNNNNNNNNNNNNNNNNNNNNNNNNNNNNNNNNNNNNNNNNNNNNNNNNNNNNNNNNNNNNNNNNNNNNNNNNNNNNNNNNNNNNNNNNNNNNNNNNNNNNNNNNNNNNNNNNNNNNNNNNNNNNNNNNNNNNNNNNNNNNNNNNNNNNNNNNNNNNNNNNNNNNNNNNNNNNNNNNNNNNNNNNNNNNNNNNNNNNNNNNNNNNNNNNNNNNNNNNNNNNNNNNNNNNNNNNNNNNNNNNNNNNNNNNNNNNNNNNNNNNNNNNNNNNNNNNNNNNNNNNNNNNNNNNNNNNNNNNNNNNNNNNNNNNNNNNNNNNNNNNNNNNNNNNNNNNNNNNNNNNNNNNNNNNNNNNNNNNNNNNNNNNNNNNNNNNNNNNNNNNNNNNNNNNNNNNNNNNNNNNNNNNNNNNNNNNNNNNNNNNNNNNNNNNNNNNNNNNNNNNNNNNNNNNNNNNNNNNNNNNNNNNNNNNNNNNNNNNNNNNNNNNNNNNNNNNNNNNNNNNNNNNNNNNNNNNNNNNNNNNNNNNNNNNNNNNNNNNNNNNNNNNNNNNNNNNNNNNNNNNNNNNNNNNNNNNNNNNNNNNNNNNNNNNNNNNNNNNNNNNNNNNNNNNNNNNNNNNNNNNNNNNNNNNNNNNNNNNNNNNNNNNNNNNNNNNNNNNNNNNNNNNNNNNNNNNNNNNNNNNNNNNNNNNNNNNNNNNNNNNNNNNNNNNNNNNNNNNNNNNNNNNNNNNNNNNNNNNNNNNNNNNNNNNNNNNNNNNNNNNNNNNNNNNNNNNNNNNNNNNNNNNNNNNNNNNNNNNNNNNNNNNNNNNNNNNNNNNNNNNNNNNNNNNNNNNNNNNNNNNNNNNNNNNNNNNNNNNNNNNNNNNNNNNNNNNNNNNNNNNNNNNNNNNNNNNNNNNNNNNNNNNNNNNNNNNNNNNNNNNNNNNNNNNNNNNNNNNNNNNNNNNNNNNNNNNNNNNNNNNNNNNNNNNNNNNNNNNNNNNNNNNNNNNNNNNNNNNNNNNNNNNNNNNNNNNNNNNNNNNNNNNNNNNNNNNNNNNNNNNNNNNNNNNNNNNNNNNNNNNNNNNNNNNNNNNNNNNNNNNNNNNNNNNNNNNNNNNNNNNNNNNNNNNNNNNNNNNNNNNNNNNNNNNNNNNNNNNNNNNNNNNNNNNNNNNNNNNNNNNNNNNNNNNNNNNNNNNNNNNNNNNNNNNNNNNNNNNNNNNNNNNNNNNNNNNNNNNNNNNNNNNNNNNNNNNNNNNNNGGCAGGUCGACUCAAUACUCCGUGAUAAGCUGAUAUGUGGUCUAAACUAAAAACUCCAUGAAGUGGUAAGCCACUAAGGGGGCUGAUCCCAUCUCGACAGGAAAGGUGAUUCACCCAUGUGGGACAAUGCUGUCACCUAUGAAUCCAAAUAUUGGGUCGAUCAUGGGGAUCAAUCCAUGUUCAAUUUGUAUUUUGUCAAAGGUAUAUUCAUCUAGCUUCCAUCGUCAAAAAUCAUGCGUUUGAGUCCAUUUCGAGCCACUAUGGCUCUUAUUACCAAUAGGGAUGGCAAUUUGAAUAAUCAAAACUAAAAACUGUGGUUAACCGAACUGAAUGUGACGAAAAAAACCAAACCAAUGGUGCAACGGGAUGGUGUGGGUAUGGUAUUUACACUGUCGAACCAAAAUCGAGCUGAUUACCCGCAAAAAAAUACACACACAAUUGAAUUGAUUAUUUAGCUUUACACCAUUUUUCUAUCCAGCCCAAAACAAAAUUUCCUAAAUUACAUCUACCUGACCAAGUUGGCCAGCCUACUUACCAUUAGUCAAUAAUAAUAGCAUUAGUAUGACAAUAUAUAAAUGCAAACCCUACUCUUCACAAACCACAAACUCACGCACGGCUCCACUACCUCCACGGUCCAAGCCGUCGUUGCCUCCAAAAAAUUUUCCACACGACUUCAGUUUGAAUCAAAUCAGAUUUCAGUUUUACAGAAAAGAUAGGACCUCAAGUGACGGGCCUUCUUUAUCAAGAUUAUUGGAACAAAAAUUUCAUCUCAAUCAUUUUUGUUGUAUCUGUAAUCUGAUUGCAUUUUAUAUCCAAUUCCAGGGACGCAUUUUCAAGAUUUGAUGCAGAAAUUGUUUCAAUUUUUGUCGAAAAAAGGAUAAAUUCAAUCAGUACUAAUUAUAGUAUAGGCUUGAGCCAAGUCCGAGGCAUGGUCGACAACUCUAACCAAAUUCUUAAGGUUAGCAUUGCUUUUAUAUUACAUUUAAGCCUUAGUUUCUUUUAUAUUAGAUUUGCUCUAAUGUUUUUGAAUUGCAGUGCAUAUAUUAAUGCUCUUUUUAUUAAAGCAUUGAUGGAUGUUUUGAUGAAUUGAUAUUGUUGUGGCAAGGUGCUCGGUAAGGUUGUGCAAUAUGAAUUGGUAUCUUAAAUCUUGAUUUAACAGGAUAUUACUACUGGCAUCCGAGUCGACGUUUAGUACAAGUGGUAGAUUUGUCCACAUAGAAAUAGGCUUUACCUGAAGUCUCUAGAAGCUUUAAUGUGUGCUCAGGAUUUGCUUUGGACUGAUAUUCAUGAUAGAAUUUAUUGUUUUAUAUUUGUUAUUUAUACACUUCCUUUUAUUGUCAAUUUUUUUUAUUGUGUAGAAAAUUUUACUCCUUCAUCAUAGUCUAGAACUUGUGCAAUGUUUAGCGAGGAGCAAGCUGACGAAGAGGUACUUUUUUAUUUAAAUCUUAGUUAAGACAAUUUUGGAAUAGGUAGUAUCGUUGUAUUCUCUAUUUACUAUAUAGGAAUCAACUUUGAGUGCUGAUCUAUACUAGUAAGACUUGUGGGGAAGAAUGAAUCAAGUAACUUCGAUGCACAACAAUCAAAAAUGAAGGAAAAUAUUUUCGUUAAAUUUGUAUUUUGCAAUUGGAAAUUGGGAUAAUGUUUGCAUUUUCAUUUGGAAUAUUGUGUUUUUGUUUUCAUUAAUUUCUUUUCAUAAAUUGUUUUAUAACAACUUGACGGAUGAACCUAUAAAAAAUAAUUUAUUUUCGUGGUUAUUAACCGAACCGAACCGUUCCAAAACGAGAUAAAAAUUGAACCGAAUCGAACCAAUUUACGUGGUUAUGGUGCGGUUAUGACAUGGUCAAAAAAAUUGGUGAUACGGUUAUGGAUUUGGCCGAACCGACCUAUAACCAAAACGUUGCCAACCCUAACUAGCAACGUACCACAAUGGGGGUGAUGAACACCUUGUGCAUUUUCUUGGGAGAAAGUGAUUAGGGCCAUUCUAUUGGCUUCUUGAGACUGAUCAACAAUGUAGGUAAUUAUUGGUGGAUCAUUUGCUUCUCGUGUAUAAUUCCUUUGGGCAUUUCUUGUGUUGCCCCCAAUGUGAGGUUCUACAAUGAUUGUAUCACUUUCUCGAAUAGUUUGCCCUCCAGUUGAUGUGGCCUAAUCCCUAUGCCUGGAUUCUCCUCUAUCCCUUGUUUUUCUCCUUCGAGGUGAUUGCUUUCUUUGUCGCCUCUCCUCUCUGUUGGGGGAGGUGAAUCUACGAGGGUAUUCUUGAUAGUUAUCCCUCCUGGAGGACCUUAGGUUACUCCGAUUUGAAGAUCGAGGAGCAUCCCUACAUUCGCUAAUGUCGUGGCUAUAGAGUUGGUGGAAUGUGCAGAAUCUUGCCCCUUUUGGGGUCUGUUUGAUCGCUUCUUAUUCUUGUGCCAAUUGCUGUUUGUCCCUCUAGAUGGUCUUGCUUCAACAAUUGCAUUUUCAUAUGCUAAUAUCAACACUGCAUUUAGCGUGGCUGAAGCCAAUGCUUGUCCGGAUGUGGGAGCUAUUGUGUGCCGUAGUUGGGUCCAUUGCUGGGGUCGACCUACCUGCCUCCGAGGUGGAUGGAGUCCCUGGGCUAUACGAUUUCGAUGGUCAAUCAUCUCUUUAUUGACGAUCUCCACUCUCAUCAUCUCUACCAGGUCUUCAUAAGUAGCUAGAUUCUUGCUACGCACAUCCCUCCAUAACAAAGUGUUCAUGUUGAGGCCUUCGUUCAGGGCUAAAAGAGCCUCUCUGUCAGUGACUUGCUCACAAUAUGUGAUUUCAUCAAUAAACCUGAUGAGAUAGCUUUUCAGCGUCUCUCCAGGAGCUUACUUCAUAUCUUGUAGGCGUUGCACUGGGUCCUCUCAUUCUCUUGCCAUCUUCAAAUUUGGCUAACUUCUAAUACUCAAAGGUGGUAGCCUACUGUACCACACUUUGAUAGUUUUGGCAAGGUUAGAUGGAAGGCCCUGCAUUUCAGUGCAUGGGAGGCUCAUCUGAGGCUCAUUUGCGUUAUAUACUUAGUGAGGUGCUUUUCUGAGACUCUCUUUCCCUCAUAUUUAGGGAUUUUAGGGGGCAUGAAGUUUUUAGGCAUUAGGAAGCUUCGGAUCUCCCUUGAGAAGGGGAGGUUGUCAUCAUCACCAUCAAUUUUAUAAGAGCGACAUGGCUUCUCAGUGCCUUCGUUAUCUUGCACAUUUUGGGGAGGUGAAGAUGCUCUUCCUCGACUGUCCCAAUCAACUAAAUUUCUCAUUUUCGGCCUAUUCCCAGGUGGAGGAGAUGCUUGUUCUUGUUUUUGCUCUUGUUGAGCUAAUCUCUGUAUGGAGCAGACCCUACUACUUGGGUUUUGCCCUAUUCGGUCGAAGACACUAAUCGAUCUUUGUGGCUUAUACUCUGGUGGGAAGUUUUCUCCCAGCUGUGGUUCUGCUGCUUGGCUCCCUUGUGCAUAAGAUAUGACAUCUAUGCUCACUUUUCUUUCGAUGGGGUGUUACCUGCACUGGCUCGAAUGGCCUCGGCCAUGAGAUGCAGGAACUUGGUCUUGAGCUGGGUAGGGUCCUUGUGGCAUUUGGAAGCCCUGAUUACCUUGGGCUUGCUUGAAGAAUUCACGCAUCGCCAUAUUUUAAGCUACAAUGUCUCUUAUGUCUGCAGCUAUUUGAGUAAUUCCUUCAACGAGUGUGGCCGUUCUUUCACUUCGGUGACGCCAAUGAUGGUGUCUCGGUGAGUGACAUUGGUUCGAAGCACCUCUUCUUCAAAGGCAUCCCUGAAUCUAGGAUUUGCAUCCUCAUUGCUAGAACUCAUUUUCUUGUCUCCUUUUUCAAGGGUGUUAAGAAUUUGUAUUGUAGGUUGACUUAGUACUUUUUCAGGAAUGUUCCCUUUUCAAGGUAAGUCGAUGGUUUUUCGACGGCUUUUUUGGUGGUAAAUGUGGAACUUUUUGGAGGAAAAUAUUUUCCACAGACGGCGCCAAUCUAUUGCCACGUGGCCAAUCGAUAGCCACUCCACGCAAUCCUCCCUGCAUACAAUAACGAAUGGUUAGAAGCACAUGGCUAGAACUAGCUAGGUGGUGGCUGCCGCGUACACUCUGACGGUCAAGUAAGUGAUCGUUGGUCAGAACAGUGCUUGAAUUGUGCAAGAGAGUGGGGAGGAGAAUAUAUAUAUUUCUUGAAUGUGGAGAGCUAAGUUGAGAGAGUUUCAUUACCUUUAUCUCUUGCCAAACCUCAGGUAUUUAUAGAUGAGGAGCCCCGUUGGAUGUGGAACAUGUGUAUGCAUCUGACGGUGUGAGGCAUCUGCUCAUAGGUAUCACUAAGCCGAGUCUAGAGUGGGCAGGUAAUUAAUUCUUAUGAGUUGAGUUGACAUAAAGUUGAUACAUCACAUCAACUAGACCCAUGAAAAUGUCACAUCAAUUAACCCAUGGCGAUAAAGAGGGUCCUGACAUAGAUAUAUUUAUGAAAUUGACGGCAGAGGGAUCUGUUAAGGAAGCACCUCGAAGUACAUAACUCUUCGGCAUCAGGGGACACUUCAGUUGCUUUCAUGGAGUGCCCCAUGUUUCAGCAUCGAGGGACACUUCGGUUGCUUCAGUAGAUUUACUUUGUGAUGCUUGUGCCUUGCAGCAUAUCAAGUUGAAGUUUGGCCGAGGUUGACGUCACUUCAAAACCACUUCGAAAGGACAUAUGUUGUCUCGUGGAAGAGUAUGCCUGACGUACAGAAGUGGUUUAAUGAGGGGUGUAAUAGCUACUACAUUUGUGAAAUGUUGAGAAUGUCGCUAAUAAAAUGAGAGAGUUUGACUUUUAUUCAUAUAUCUCACAAAGGUUAUUUGGACUGCUACAACUUUUAGAAAUUAAGAAGAAAAAAGAGUAUACUAAUUAACAAUAACUGAAGCAAGUCGGCCUCAAAUCUCUUAUUGAACAAAUGAAAGCAUGAGAAUUACACUUGGAGCCUCUAAGGUUUCCAAUUAUUUCAACUUUAUAGCCACAAAUUAAUUAUAACUUUUCCUUAUGUCUCAUCCAACAAGAGAAUUAGUGACGAAACUAAAGGAAUGUCUAGCAUGCAUCAUUGCUUGCAUUAUUCAACACAACUUUUCUAAAAAAAUCAAAGGAACCAGUAAUUGUUUAUUUUUAACACCAUCACAUCUUGACCUUCUCAUGAUACCAUGUCGUUCUUCUUCGGUUUUAACAUCAUGUUAACUUCUUAGGCUUUUUUAGGAAAUUCAUCCACAAGGUAGCUGAUCUUUUAGGAAAUUUACUGAGAACCGAGCUCCACGUACAGGGACCUAUUUCACUGGCCCUGCCAGGUGAGACACAUGUGGGGGUAGGUGAUGUGAUCCGAGUGUGCUACCAAUUACCAAGAAUUCCACUAGCAUUGGAAGGAAGAUCAAGGUUGAAACAAGCCCAAUGUUUGAACUAAAUUGGAGGCCAAAAGAAGGUGAUAAAGCUGGAAGAUUAUUUGAUUGAAAUUAUGAAGCGCUAAAUGUCGGAAUUAAUGAGCUAAGUCAAAAGUUGGGGAUGAAAAUCACAAGCCAACGUCCAAGAUUAAUAUUGAGAUUGAAGGCCACUUCAUUUAGAAGCAAUCGAGUUACAAGCCGGAAAAAUGAAGGCCAAAAUAAUUGGCACAGAUUGGAUGCAAAACAAUGGUUGAAUGGCUGUGAACUACAACUAUGCGACCGCAAGGUUGAACCACCCAUGCGGCCGCAUGAACCAUCAGAAGGAUUUGAGACCAGGUCGCCAAGUAUUCCAUGCGACCGCAUAGGAAAUAGCAAUGCGGUCGUAGUGUUACCGACAGGGAAAAUUUCCAGAAAUUCCAGAGCAUCUUGGUAGUUUCCUUUUUCUCUCCAAUCUUUUCAUGUUUUCUUCAUUAUUUUAGGAUUUUUUUUCCUUUUUAAAAUAGGAUUUUAAUAUUUUUAUUAUUUUUAGGGUUUUAGUAUAAAUAAGAAAUUAUUUUCAUUACUGUAUUGGAAGUUUAUGAUGAAUUAAAAAUUAGAGAAUUCUCUCUUUCGAGGCGUGAUGCUUCAACCAUUGUCGAACUUAUCGGGAUGAUUUUCUCGUGGCAUUCAACAAAUCCGGGUGAGAUUCUUAAACCGUGUAUUAAAAAGUCAUUAAUUUAAUAUAUUAAUGGCUGUUUGAGUCAUUGUUUAGGGGUUAAAUCCAAAACCAUCGAUUCAUUGGCACUCUUGGGAACUGUGGCAAUCUUGUUGUGGUUUCGUGAGUGUUCGUUGCUCAUGGGUUCGCAUCAGCAGGCCUCAAAAUCUUUUUAAUACAUGGGAGGCCUAUCCCCCAAUAGUGAGGGGCAUGUGAGGCCCUUAUGAAGCUGCACCAUAGACAUGUAGCUUUAAUCAUUUAGUCAAACGUCCAUUCAGGAAGUCUACAUAAAAAAAAUGCCAAAUCUAAUAUUGUAUUUGUACCCUUGGGUCCAUUCAAAAUUAUCAAGCAAUAACCAUAUGAAGUAACCCUUCACACAUACACAAUGACUAAGAAUGAAGGAAAAUUAAUCGAUUAAUUUCAAAACAUGCAGUUUUAUUUCAAAUUGAAGUACCAUAUGUGUAAAACAAAUGAUGACUUACUCUAUUGCCUUUCUAAGGUAUGAGAGAUGGUCCCUGUGAUACUUAAUCCUAGUUUCAUCAAUAUGAGCCUUUGAAAUUGUUAGGGCUUUACUGUUGACUUCAUCCAACCCUACAAAAUAUCAUGGAAGAAUUCAACAAACCACUAAAUGCUGUGAAAAAAUUGUAAUUUUAAAAUAUUCUUUUGUAAUUUAAAUAAACAAAUGAACACGACUAUAUACCAUUUUAUGUAAUGAUAAUCUUGGGACUAUCAUAUUUUUUUCAUUAUAUAAAGCAUGAGAUGGAAAAUUGCCUUUCGAACUAUGUACAGCCAUGGCCAACCAGCCUACCACGAAAUAAGAAAGAUUGCUAUUACGUUAGAUUAUACAUUAGCAUUGGAAAUUAUGUAAACCAUAAUUUGUAUUUUAAUUUGUUGUGUCUCUAUUAUGAGUCUAUGUCACGAUCAUGUGUCAUCAUAAUUUUUUGAUAUUCCUAAAUUGUUGUAAGAAUAAUCUAUUCAUUUUCAAUUUUUUCUCACAAAAGGAUAAUGUUAAUGGCUCAGCCGCUGACCAAUCGACUUCCCAUUACAAUAAGCUACAAAAGAAUGAGAAGUAAACAUAUUGUUAUUAGUAGUGUCCAUUUUAUGUCAAGAUAAAAGAAUAUAUGACUGAAUUGUACUUACUGUGAUUAUGCCUGGGCGAGAGUUGGUUCGUCCAUUUUAAAGAGAACCGAACUAAAGCAAAAAAUUUUGGGUGUUUAGUAAAUGGAACCGUCGGAUCCAAAUAUAUUUAUGGAACUGUUCGGGUUCUGUAUCAUUCGGUUCUAUUCGGUCCGAAUCGGUUCCAUUCUAUAAUUAAAUCUUUUAUCAUUUAUAACGACACUGCAUAAAUACAAUUAAUAAUACAUUCAAUAGUAGUUUUUACAAAUUAAUGUAGUUCAAUUUAAUAACAUAUAAAUGACAAGUUGUCCAACAAGAGUAAUUUACCAAUGCAUACAAAUACAAAAAAUUAGAUACCAAUACUAAAACUUCAAUGAUCCAUUGAAUGAUUCAUUUACUUCAAACCUUUAAGUCUACUUGAAAAAUGAAAUAUAAAUUAGAAGUCAUAGAGAUAAAAUAUUUUAAAGUAUUGUUAAUACUUACCAACUAUUUGAAUUGCCUAUCAAUUGUUUGACUUGCCAUACUCACAACUAAGAAACUCUACAAGAAAAAAUUGAAAAGUACAAUUAACAAACAUAAAUAAACUAAAAAUUGGAGCAUUAAUCACUUAAUUAGAUAAUUUUAUAAUUUAUUUAGAAAAAAUUAAAAGAAUUUGAUUUAUUCAGUUCUUCGUCUAGAACCGAGAACAGAACCGAACUUGUUGAUUCUUGAUUCAAAUACCCAUUCGAGCAUUUAACUUAAGAAAAACCGCAUGGUUCGAACCAGACAUUUUGCCCAGCCCUAACUGCGAUAUUCAACAUGCAGAUCAUUGUCAUAAUGGGGUUGUGGAGUUUUUUCACGUAUAUUUCUGGAAUAAUAAGUCAUGUAAUAAUUUAUACCUAAGACGUCACAAGAUCCAUUCGCUAGUGCCACCUCCUUUUGUUUAAUUUUGGGAAGACCUUUACUUAUAUUAUUUCUCAUGUAUGGUGGAUAAUCACCAGUUAUUACAGGGGCUACAAACCUGAACAGGGGAAAUGUGUUAACUAAAGGAUUACAAUAGAAGUACUAUCUGAAAUUCUAUAAAAGUAUAUCUGAUGUAUUCUCGAAAAGACACGUGAUUUAUACAAUAUAAAAACAACAAAAAUGUAUAAAGAAGUUAAAAUAUAAACAAAUUAGAAGAGAAGAAAUUUUCGAUAAUGAAAUCACAUUUAAAUUACUUCCCUUCACACUAAUUUCAUUUGGAGAGUUAGGAACUAACAGAGAUGAAGAGAAAUUUGUCUUGGUAAUGAUAAACUUCUCAAGCACAUGUAGUAAUUACCAUCCUAACAUAAAGUCAACUGCCUAUUGGAAAUAUUUCACAAUUAAGGGAAAUGGAGAAGAAGCAAGAUAGAAAAUAUAUCAAGUAGAUGAAAAUGAUAAAGAAGGCUCGAACACGAUAUCGUUGUCUUCAAACGACAUUUGCCCCCUCUAAGAUACAAUUUUGGUACUUAUAGGGUUCCUAGGCAAAAGGUUUGAACAUGAAUUUCAAUAUAAUUGUAAUGAAUAGUUUGAUCUUAAUUGUGGCUACAGAUUUUUCAAUAUUUUUUCUAGGUUAUCAACCACAUAUUUAUAGCCUUCAAACAUGCCGUAUGAAGUCGUACCAAAAAACCUUCAAAAGCUACCGGAAUUUUGAACAAAGAUGGCUGCUAACGAUCAUAUGAUUAUUCUAUGUGGUUGCAUAGCAUUAACCUAUGCGACCGCAUAGGUUGUUUGAAAGCCUCUAUGUGUUUGCACUCUAUUAAGGUCUACGUGGUCGCAUAGAUCAUGGGCUUGGCCCAUAUGUGGCCGUUUGUUUCCACUUUCAUUCCACACAUCUCACUUGUUCAAAAGUUCAUUAAAUCUCAUAUUCAAGGUUUACAAUGCUUAUGCAUAAGGAUUAGAUAACUUUCGAUUUAAAUCUAACCAUAGUGUAAUUUAAACAAAGUAAAGUCGGAAACAAAGGUAGCGUGAAGUUUUGAACUAGUUAUUCCAGGUGGCAAUACUGGUAAGAACAUACACAAGUAUAACGUGUUCUCAUGUUUCUCAAACUCGCUUAGCGCUAAUAUGGCCUUGCACUCAUCAUUUUUAACAAACUUUUAAGAGAAAAACUCCAACUCUUUAUUGAGGUGGCACCACCUUGAAGUUCUUUUAGGUGAAGUGAUGCAAACCCCGAAGCAACAGUGACUACAAAACCCACAACUAUAUUGAUGCGGAACCCAAGAACGCCAAUUGAUAAUUUAAUUUUGGAUUUGAACUCGACAAAUUGAAACAAGAAACCCAAAGAUAACUAUGAUGCGAUGAACCCCUUUUUUACAAAUUGAAGAACUCACGAUCCGAUGUUGAAUGCCACAAAGAAUUAAUCUUUGAUAAGUUAAAAUGAUUGUUCAAAGAAGAAUGAAGGAAGAAAGCAAAUUGCCUCUCUUAUUGAAUUCUAAAAAUAAUGUAAUACAAUGAAAAUAAAAUCCUAUUUAUACUAAACCUAAAAAUAAUGGAAAAAAUGAACUCAUAAUCUUCCAAUAUGGUAAGUAGUUCAAUUGGAAUAAAAUUCUGGCAGAAAAUGUGGAAAAUGCUUAAAAAAAUAAAAUUUUGAAUUUAAGCAUCGCUCGAGCGACGUUAAGCAAAAUUUGAGCGACAGCAGCAUCGCUCAAGAGAAGACACAACGAAAAGCAAGCGAAAUUGGUUUUGCUUUUCUCACUCAAGCGAGGGUCCAGCGAUGAGCGGGCGAAAUUCCUGCACUUCGUCAACUACGUUCUAGACUUGAAUUAAGUUCAACCACUUGGAUUUAGCUCCCGAGCUCAAAACCUGGAAUAAUUUCUUCAACUAUUGAUUGAACUAGCAUUCCCAUCGCCUGUUGACCGUCUUUGCCCUCGACUUAGUAUCGGACCAGCUCCAACGAUCAACAGAUCUCUACCAAGACUUGACUUCUCGACCUUCGGCUCCUAGAUCAUAUCAUCCCCUUUCUCUUCAAAAGGAUUCAUCCUCGAAUCUUCACCUGCAUCAAAAAAGAGAUAGACCAGCAACAUUAAAUGUAGCCGAAACAUUAUACUCACCUGGCAGAUCUACUUUGUAUGCAUUAUCAUUGAUUUUAUCGAUGACUUGGAAAGGUCCAUCUCCUCGCGGUUGCAAUUUGGACUUUUUCUGCUUCGGGAAACACUCCUUCUUGAAAUGUACCUAGACCCUAUCUCCAAGCUCAAAUGUCACGCAUCUUCUCCCUUUGUUUACUUUUGAUGCAAUCAACUUACUCUUUUCUUCGAUCUAUAUCUUAACCUUCUCAUGGAGUGACUUUAACAACACAGCUUUUCUUUUACCAUUCAAGCUACCUCGUUCAUUUACAGGCAAAGGCAAUAAAUCCAAAGAAGUUAGUGGAUUAAAGCCGUAGACUAUUUCAAAUGGUGAAAACGAAGUAGUAGAAUGCAUAGCUCUAUUAUAAGCAAACUCAAUAAAUGGUAAGCACUCUUCACAAAUUUUUCAAGUUUUUAUUGAUCACAGAUCGAGGCAAUUGAGUUAUGGUCCUAUUUACUACCUCAGUUUGCUCAUCGGUUUGUGGGUGACAAGUUGUAGAAAAUAAAAUUUUAGUUCCUAACUUAUUCCACAAGACACGCCAAAAAUGACUCAAAAAGUUACCAUCACGAUCAGACACUAUGCUCCUAGGGACUCCUUGCAAUCAUACUAUUUCCCUAAAGAACAAUCCUGCAAUGCUAGUGGUAUCAUCGGUUUUGUGACAUAGUAUAAAGUGUACCAUUUUACUAAACCUAUCAAUCGCUACAAAGAUUGUAUCUCGACCCCUUUUUGCCCUAAGCAAACCCAACACAAAAUCUAUUGAGAUGUCCACUUAAGGAUCACUAGGUACUGGCAAAGGAAUAUACAAACCAUGAGGUAAAAUCUUAGACUUAGCCUUUUUACAAGUUAUGCAUUUUUUACAAACUCAUUCUACAUCACUUCGCAUUUUAGGCCAAUAAAAAUGUUCUCCUAACAUAUCUAAAGUCUUUUGAACCCCAAAGUGCCUCAUUAAACCUCCACUAUGUGCUUCCCUUACCAACAAUUCACCUAUAAAACAAUUAGGUGUGCACAAAUUAUUUUCUCUAAACAAAUAUCCUUCAUGCCUAUAGCAUUUAUCAACAGCUCCCUUAUCACAUAAUUCAUAUAUGCUAGAGAAAUCAAUGUCAUUUUCAUACAUGCUCUUUAUAUCUUCAAAACCAAGUAACUUUGUAUUUAAAGAAUUAAGAAGCAUGUACCUUCAUUACAACGCAUCCACAACCACAUUUUCAUUACCUUGUUUAUGCCUGAUGAUGUAGGAAAACAUCUCUAUGAACUCCAUCCACCUCGCAUGUCUCUUAAUCAACUUACCUUGACUUCAUAAAUGCUUUAGGGACUCAUGAUCAGUGUGUAUCAUGAAUUCCUUAGGCCACAAGUAAUGCUGCCAAGUCUCCAAUGCACGAACAAGUGAGUACAACUCCUUGUCAUAUGUCGGAUAGUUUAGUACAACUCCGCUUAACUUCUCACUAAAAUAAGCAAUAGGUCUCCGUUCCUACAUUAACACUGCUCCAAUACCUAUCCCUAAAGUAUCACACUCAAUCUCGAAUGUUCUAUCGAAGUUAGGUAAUGCCAAAAUAGGUGCUUUACACAAUUUGUCCUUAAAAGUGUUAAAUGCAAGUUCUUGUGCUUCACCCCAGUGAAAACCUAUGCUUUUCUUAACAAUUUAUGUUAAUGUUGAUGUGAUUGUGCUAAAAUCUCUUACAAAUCUCCUAUAAAAACUAGCCAAACGAUGGAAACUCCAAACUUCAGUUAUGGUUUUAAGUGUUGGCCACUCUUUAAUAGCUUUUACCUUUUUUUAAUCUACUUCUACACCACUAGUACUCACCACAAAUCCUAGAAAGACAACUUUUUUCUGUACAAAACGUGCAUUUCUUGAAAUUAGCAUAUAGUUAUUCUUUCCUUAACACAGCAAGCACAUAUUUUAAAUGUUCCAAAUGCUCAUCUAGGUCUUUGCUAUAGAUUAAAAUGUCAUCAGAAUAAACUACAAACAAAUUUCCCUAUGUAAGCACGCAAAACAUGAUUCUUGAAAUGCAUGAAAGUGCUCAGUACAUUAGUGAGACCAAACAGCAUAACCAACCAUUCAUAUAAUCCAUAUUUAGUUUUAAAUAUCGUUUUCCACUUAUCAUCCUCCCUCAUACAAAUUUGAUGAUACCCGCUUUUAAGAUCAAUCUUACUAAAAAUGCAAGCACUUUGAAAUUCAUCUAGCAUAUCAUCUAGCCUAGGUAUUGGGUGACGAUACUUUACCGUUAUGUUGUUUAUAGCUCUGUAAUCCACACACAUUCUCCAAGUUCCAUCCUUCUUUGGCACCAAUAGAACAGGCACAAUGACUUAUACUCUCCUUCACAUAUCCGUUGCUCAUCAACUCCUCCACUUACCUCUGAAGCUCCUUUAUUUUCUCGGGAUUGUUUCGGUAAGGUAGUUUGUUUGGAAUGAUAGCUCCAGGUAUGAAGUCAAUCUGAUGCUCGAUGCCUCCAAUUGGUGGCAAUCCACUUGGCACGUCCUCUGGAAGUAUAUAUUCAAAUUCCUGCAACAAGGACUUAACCAAACUAGGGAGGGGUGUGUUAGAUUCCUCAAAAUUGAUAAAUGACUCUUUUUAUACGAACAACAACAACAAUGUUUACCUUUUAUCAACUUACUCCCCUUCGCAAAAAAGUUUACUUUCAGCUUUUCUCUCCUCUCAACUAACUUUUUUCUCUCCACUCAACUGAGUCUUUUCUCUCCUUUCAUGUGACCUCUCUCUUUUUCCCACUCUCGGCCACCUCACCAUUUUCUCUCUUACUCAGCGUCUCACUAUCUUCUCUCUCUUUUCUAAGCUCUCUCACUCUCCUCUCUUCCUCAUUUUUUAGUUUAAUUUGGUCUUCAUACACCUGUGCCGAUGUUAACGGUGCAAGAGUAAUGGAUCUCCCAUCCUUGACAAAGCUAUACCGAUUCCUAUACCCAUUAUGUGUAACUUUCCUAUCAUAUUGUCAUGGUCUUCCCAACAAGAUAUGACCCGCAAGCAUAGGUAAUACAUCAAGUACAACCUUGUCACUAUAACUCCCAAUCGAGAAAUUAAUUAAAACUCGUUUGUUAACCAUAACUUCUCCACUUUCAUUCAACCACUAUAAUUUGUAAGGCCUAGGGUGUAUAAGUAAAGCUAAUCCUAAUUUCUCAACUAAAGUUGUGGUAGCUAUAUUUGUGCAACUUUCACCAUCAAUAAUCAAAAUAUAUACCUUAUCAUGGAUGUGGCACCGAGUAUGGAAGAUAUUUUCCCGCUACUGCUCCGAAUCAUCCUCCUUGAUUUGAGUGUUAAAAGCUCACCUCGAAACCAACAAGUCCCCACCAACAAACUCUACCUUAUCCUCUUCUAUCUCAUCGUACUCUCCUUCACUCUCACUCACUACUUCUCCAUUGUCUAGCAACACCAUCACCUGCUUAUUUGGGCAUUGAGAAGCGAUGUGCCCAGACCUCAAGCAUCUAACACUUGAUUUCUUGACUCUUUGGUCGUUUUGACUCCAUUUUAGGCAUUGCUUUACUAGCAUCUUCAUCUUUUCCGUUUUGUCAUUCAUUCAUGCCUUUAGGUACAACAUCAUUUCUUUUACUAUUAUCCCACCUCGAUUUCUAAGAUGAAUUAGAACUCGAAGUACCUAGUUGUUGCCUAGCUGUCCCCUUCCUCUUCAACCAUCUCUCCACCUUUAUGGACACAUGCGUCAUGUCUUCGAAUUCCUCAUAAUGCUACAACUCAACUACAUUAGUAAUUUCCCUAUUUAAACCAUUCAAGAACCUUGCCAUAAUAGCUUCCCGAUCCUCCACCACAUUCACUCUAAUAAUGAGUAUCUCCAUUUCCUUGUGGUAAUCCUCUACACUCUUUGACCUCUGAUACAAGCUUUGCAAUUUUAAGUGGAUCUCCCUAUAAUAGUGGCUAGGAAUGAACUGUUUUCUCAUCAAUGCCUUCAACGCAUCCCAUGUGCUAAUUGGUCUUCCCCCACUCCUACGUUGUGAAGUAACCUCUUGAUCCCACCAGGUUAUGGUAUAGUCAAUGAAUUCUAACACCGCCAACUUGACGUUCUUCUACUCCAAGUAGUUAUAACACUCAAAAACUAAUUCUACCUUUCUCUCCCACUCUAAGUAUGCUUCUGGGUCACUUCUCCCAUUAAACCGUGGAAUGGUCAUUUUGAUACUACCCAGAUUCCCAUCCAUCUCAUCUCCAUGAUUAUUCCUAACCUGUCUUUCAAACCUAUCGCCUCUAUUCGUCGUCCAUCCCAAAUCAACGUCAUUAGCCUCAUACUCAUCUAGAUCACUAUCAUAUUCCUCAUACCUUAUCUUCCUAGGUUCUUGCCUACUCAGUCCCCUAGCAUUUGACAUCUCUAUUGGCUGUCCCCUAUGAAGAUUAGCCACUUAUGUAUCUAACCUAGUCAUCCAAGCCUCCUGUUGAUCCAACCUAUCCCUCACAACUCCAAAAGUACUCUCAAAUCGCUGUAUCAAAUCAUUUAUUGCGGCAUUAUGAUUGCCAUGUUGGCUUGAAUCGGAAUCUUCUCAUCUAGACAUCCUAAAACUAGAAAUUUUUAUUUGCCUCAUCCGUAUUCACUCGAAAAUCACAAAAUAUGGCUUUUAUCCUCUAAUAAGCUCACCAUCUACCUUUUACCACUCAAUGCUUUUACUAAGUGCUUCCAAGAACAAUCAAUGAACUCACCGGAUUCAAAAUUUGUGGACUCAAGACCGAAUGCAAGUCAAGGAAUAUAAUUUUUAAGGGAUUUUCGAACAAUGGAAUUGGAAUUUUGAAAAGACUCAACUAAACAAUUUAACAAUGGAGGUGUAAUAAAGAUUUUAAAAUGAUUUUGACAACUUUGAAUUUAUUUUUAUUUUUGUUAAUCAAACUUGGAAUGUUGGUAGUAAACCAAUCAAAAAAUUAGAAAUUUUUUUUUUAUGUGAACAUCAACUUUUUUUUUUUUUUUGAACAGCAACCUUUUUUUUUAUAUAUAAAACAACAACAAGAUUAUACUACCAACAAAAUUUCGAUCUAUGAACAAGGAACAAAGAACGACUCAAGAACACAAAAGGAGAACUAGGAAAUGAAAGAAUUUGGCGAACAAACAAGAAAAAAAAGAUAUAACCUAAUUAUAUUGGAGCCAAAGCUCUAAUACCAAUUGAUGUGAACCCCGUAGGUACAGUAAUUAUGUAAACCCAUUAUUAGAUUGAUGCAGAACCCAAGAACACCAAUUGAUAAUCUGAUUUUGGAUUUGAACCCGACAAACUGAAACAAGAAACCCAAAGAUAAUUGUGAUGCGAUGAACCCCUUGUUUACAAAUUGAAGAACCCACGAUCUGAUGCUGGAUGCCACAAAGAAUUAAUCUUUGAUAAGUUCAAAAGAUUGUUCAAAGAAGAAAGAAGGAAGAAAGUAAAUUGCCUCUUCUAUUGAAUUCUCAAAAUAAUGUAAAGUUCUAAAUGCAAUGAAAAUAAAAUCCUAUGUAUCUCAUAAUCUUCCAAUAUGGUAAGUAGUUCAAUUGGAAUAAAGUUCUGCAAAAAUAUGGAAAAACGCGUAAAAAUCUCGAAUUUAAGCGUCGCUCGAGCGAUGUCGAGUAAAGACCCAGCUAAAAGCGGGCGACAUUGGUUCUACUUUUCUCGCUCGAACGAUGAGCAAGCGAAAUUUUGGCACUUCGUCAACUUUGUUUUGGACUUGAAUUAAGUUCAACCACUAGGAUUAGGCUCCCGAGCUCAACACCAAACUUGUUCCUUUUUGCUCCAAGACCGAUGUUUCUUCAACUAUUGAUUGAACUUCUUUGCCCUCAUCCAAGUCAUCGGACCAGCUCCAACGAUCAAUGGAUCUCUGCUCGGACUUGAAUUCUCGACCUUCAGCUUCUGGAUCAUAUCAUGAAGUUCUUCAAGUAUCUUUGAUACAUUUAGAGAUACUUGUAUUUAGUACUUAACUUCAUUAAGAGCUUGAAGCCCAAUCCUCAAUCCAGUAACAACCAACAUUAUUUAAUUAGGAUAGGGUUAUCGUGGAUUUUUAUAAUGCUGAAACUAUCUAUAUAUCAAAUGAUUUGUUGUAACUUUUUGAACCCGUGGAUUACCCUUUGAGUAAUGAUAGGUAGGCUUGCCGUCAUUGGUGGACCUUUUAAUUUAGGAGUUUCAACCUCAUUAUACUUGAAGUACGUGCUAUUAAUUCUCUAUUUAGAGGUUUAGCUAAAGGAUCUACUAAAUUCUUGAUUGACUUUACAUAAUUUAAGAAAAUUAUUCCAUCCUUAAUUAAUUUCCUUAUGAAGUCACAUCUAAGACUCAUAUGUCUAGAUUUUCCAAUACACGUGACUUAGUAUCUUAUUAAAUGUAGCUAGCCAAUGAUCGAUUCAUUUAAUAGAUACAACUUGUCACUAUCACGAAAUCCUCUUAUGAAGCUAUGUGCUUCUCACUAACUUUAUCUAAAGCUUUAUUGAUUUCCAAACACGGUUGCAGGAUUCAAAUUAUCACACUAGUCAAUCAGUUUUGCUAGUGGAUUUCAUAUAUGGGAAUUCAAUUCUCAUCAUUGAAAUAUUACAAUGACCUUCAAUACUAAGAAUAUUAUUUAAAUAUUCCAAUUGUUUUUGCAAAUGCCAUAACCGGCUUUAACCUAUUUCAUCCACUUUAGACUUAGUGUAUAUCAUCAUUAUAAUCGUAUAAGGAUUUUCUACAUUUUCUCCUCCAUAGACAUCUUUCUAUGAUUAAAAUGGCACAACAAACUGUGACUUUUAUACUAAGUUAGCCCUACAAUUCCUUAAUUAGGAAUACAAAUGCAAUCUAGUAAUGUUGCAUCCACAAGUCUUGAACUUCUCAUAUAAUUUCACGAGCAUUAAUGUUAAUGCCCACAUUUUGGGUUAUACUUGAACUCAGAGUUCAUUAAAUCUUUCAUAGUUUAAUUCAUUUAUCACUUUGAUAAUAUCCAUGAAAGUGUAUAUACUUUCAGAUAGUGUUUGUUAAGUCACAAUGUACUUCAAUCCAACAAUCUUUAAUUUUGAUCACACACAAUUUAAUCAAGGUCAUUUCAUAGACCGAUAAUGCUUUUCCAAGCAUAAACCAACUUAAUUGGUUCCACGAUUGAAGUUAAAUUUAACAAUGAAGAAGACUAAGCAUCUUGGUUCUCAAGAAUUGGUACUUCUCCAAAUAUAAGUGACUUAUCACUUUUGUGACCUUUCAUAAGUUAGCAUCAUAUCACAUCAAAUAAUGAGGUACAUAUUCACUUUAUUCAUAUUUGGAUAAAAUCACAUUUUGUCAUGUUCAUUUGCAAAUAUAAUUUUGUAUCAAUCAACUCACAUAAUUUCAUCCAAUUAAUUGAAGCUAUCAUCAUAAUCAUAGUUAGUAUGAUUUUAACAAGAUGUGAAAAUUUAAAUUUCAACAAGAUCUAUCAUAUUUCAAUAAAAGGAAUAGUCAUGAAAGUUCAUAUACUUUCAACAAAUAUUUGGUAAUCUUCCAACAUUAUCAUCCCAUGCAUAUGAACCAUUUCCAACUGUUACGAUAAAGUGAGAAUAAUCAAUUUAUUUCAUUUUCCACAUGCAGUAACAGUAACAUUAAUAAAAAAUUGGAAUAAGUCAAAACUUUGGAAAGUCAUAUCUUUUCAUCUUUCUUAUUAGGUUGAUACUUAUUAAAAGUAUUCUAUUUGUCACAAUUUAAAAAUAAUCAAUCAUAUAGAUCAACAAACAUACUCUACCGUUUUACUCUGCCAAUAGUGAACAUAGUUUAUUAUAUGAAUAGAUGCAAUUUGUAACUUUCAACCGCAUAUGGUUUUAAUUGACCACAAAGGAAAUAACACAUUGCUUGUUAAAACAUGAUAUCCAAACCAUAAACUAUCAAUGUUUACAAAUUUCAGCAAACGAUCAUGCACAUAUAUACUUUGACAUGAUAAAAUUGAACACAUACCGCAAAUUUGGACCAAAAGUCAUGCAUAAAUUCGCCUUUUCACAUUAUAGCAAUGUAGGCAUUCAUAUAUUCUUUUUCUAUCAGCAGCAAUCAUUUGACCAUUGAAAUAUAAUGCACACCAUAUAAAUUAAUAUCCAUUUAGUGGGUUUCAUCUCCUUUUUUUCAUAUGUCAAAACUAUAUUUAUAUAAUGAAAAUAGAUGUUCAAUCCGUUUUAUGCAUAUAAAAUCAGAUUAAUAUGUAGUCAAAACCCACGUAAUUUUUUUUUCAUGUGCGAAGAUCGAAUAAAAUUUCGACUUGCCAUAAUGGAAUUUGAGAAAAUGAAAUGAUAAUUACUAGAAUCGAAUAUGUGGCGAUGGAUUCAAUCCUUUCCAAAACGUUAUCUCCAAUGCCGUUAGAGAAACUCCAACUUGGCAUACCAUCUUGUGAAGUUUGUCCCACCAAAAUGGUCCAAACAAGAUCAUGAUUCAUCAACUUGAUCGUAGCCAUUAUGGUUUCAUUCUCCAUAGCAGAAAUAUCGUUUGAGAUCGUUGGAAAUAUUUCACAACCAAGGGAAGUAGAGAAGAAACAAGAUAGAAAAUAUAUCAAGUGGACGAAAAUGAUGAUGAAGGCUUGAACAAUCCUCAAAUGAUAUUUACCCCCUCUAGAAUACAAUUUUGGUUCUUAAAGGGUUCAUUGGAAAAUGGUUUGAAGUAUUAAUCAAGCCUUAUAAAGAAUUUAAUUCUUAAGCACUGGUGUAAUUCUCCAAAACUCAAGAACAUAAAAGGAAAGGCUUGAAUAUGAAUCUGAAUAUAAUUGGAAUGAAUAGUUUGAUCUUAAUUGUGGCUAUAGAUUUUUCAAUAUUUUUUCUAGUUUAUCAACCACAUAUUUAUAGCCUUCAAACAUGCCAUACGAAGUGGUGCCAAAAAACUCUCAAAAACCACGUGAAAUUUGAACAAAAUGGCUACUAACGGUUACAUGAUUACCCUAGUAUUAGCCUAUGCGACCGCAUAGGUUGUUCAAAGCAGGGCCUAUCUCCUUGCGAUCAUACCCUUAUAGGGUCUAUACGGUCCCAUAGAUCAUGGGUUUGGCCUGUUUGUGGCUGCUCGUUUCCACUUUCAUUCCAUACACCUCACUUAUUGAUUUUGAACAACAAUUCUCAUCACUGCCCUCAAAGCAGCCUAUUCAUCCUCCUGGGUGUUGUCCCUAAGUGGGUAAAACCACGUUGAAACAUUUAUCACCCCUUUUUUGCCUCCUUGGUGUUCCUGUAUGUACAAAUGUAAUAAUAUUUAUAAUCAAUAGUUAAAUCUCAAAAGUGUUUAUUUAUAUGUGUGUUUGAAAUGAAAACUUGAUAAUAUUUCCUAUACAUAUAAACCGCAUGUGCGCGAGCAAGGAUCAAAUUGUGUGCCGCAAUAUAUGGAUCAGUGCCCAGAUUUCCAUUUGAGAAAGUAUGGUGAGGCAAUUUUUGUGCCAUAGCAAUUAUUUCUCCGAUUCGAUCUCUUUUAGAGGAAUCAAGUUCUCUGAUCGGAUCACCUUCUGAAGAAGUAAAGUGAGGAUUAGUCAUUGGACAUAUGUGAUGAAAGAUCGAAGAAUGCAUCAAUUGUUUUAUCGAAGUUUCAUUUGCUAAAGUUGCACAAGGGGAGAAAUUGCCUAUCACAUAUCCAUAAUAAGUAAAGGCCCAUCGCUCAAUUUAGUGUGAUCCAAUGUUUUACUCGAUUACCAAAUUCCUCAAAGCACAUCUUAGCAAACUCACAAAACGCAACGUGAAACAAGUUAAUAUCAAGAUAUACGUGUAACGUGCACAUGAUAAAAAUUUUCACAUAUCAUGUUAAAUUCUCCCUAGCAUAGAACUAGAGAGCAGUAAACAAAAAAGAAAAUAUUGAAAUCAUCUCCCUAUCAUAGAACUAGACAGCAAUAAGAAGAAAAGAUACUCUCUAGCAUAGAAUUAGAGAGCGCAAAAAGAAGAAGAGAUAAAUUCAACGUGAAAUCAUAUUGAAGAUUGGAAAAUAACCAAUGACUUAUAAGGUAUACAAGUGCUCUAUUUAUAGACACGGUACAAUAGCAUUAUAGCUGGACUUCAACAGAUUUAACUAACUAACUAUAUUUAUUCUAAGUAACUAAACUAACUAACCAACUAACUAACAUAACUACAUAACAGCUGGAAUCAAGAUUGGAAUCUGGUGAGCUGAACUGGAAGGGAUCUACUAAUAUGUAUUGUUUCUGGUUCUAUAUUGUAAGAGCCCCCCUCAAGAGGGGCAUGGAUGUUCAAAAUGCCCAUGUUGCAGAUAUUGGAAUGAAGCAUGACAGAUGAUAGAAACACCAUAUGGUUCAAUUUAGAUUCCAGCAGCUAAAUAUCCAAGAAUAGAUUUUUCAGAAUCACAUGGUACUUUCUGGAACACGUCAGUGGAAAGACUAUACCUCCGCGUGCAAUUCUUCAGUUUUUCACAACUAAUGACUUUGUUUUCAGUGAACAAAAGGUUAAGCCAAGAUCUUAACAGCUUAUCCUCAAUAAACUAAGAUCAGAUUUUAUCACGGAUAAGAAACCAAAAAGGCGUAACAAAGCAGAUUUCGAGAGAGAAAGUUAAAGAGGAGUGCAAGUGCACUUAAGAAGAACCAUGUCUUGUGAACCUUCACAAAGGUUUGGUUGGGUGGACUAUACAACAAUUUGCAUAGAUUUUGAAGUACUAAAGGAUGUUGUGAGAUACAGCAGACAAGAACUUGAGGUAGCCUGCGAAGAUUUCAGUAACAUCAUUGGAUCCUCUCCAGAUAGCCUCGUAUACAAAGGCACCAUGAAAGGUGGGCCUGAAAUUACUGUUUUAUAUAUAUAUAUAUAUAUAUAUAUAUAUAGGAUAAGUAAAGAAGGAAUCAAAUGCUAUCCCGAUCUCAUAGAUGCACUUUUGGCUAUAUAUAUAACAUUUAAAUUGAGGAAAUUGCUUGGCAACGUCAUUCGAAAUUUCAAAACUUUUUGUCCUUUGAUCUAAAGAUAUCAUUUUUCUCGUCAAAAGUUUUUCUAAAUUUAUCUCAUCCUUUUCCAUGAGUUACUAUGCAAGAUUGUCGAGACUUUCUAGUCCAUUUAGACAACUGAGCCCUACUUUUCAAUGAGAACAAUAAACUCUACAUUGUCAACAAUCUCGUCUGCUUUGCCAAGUGAGGAUUUUGAUAAAAGGCAGUAUAGUCAUAUAAACUUUCAAGAAAAAAGCUCUUUGGCCUUAAAAAAAUUAGAUUACUUGGAAAACUUUUCCUUUCAAAUAAAAUAAUGCACAAACUCUAAAUCUUCCACGUUUCAAUAUUGAAAUAAAAUAUCUAUUUUUAUAUUUUUAUUGAAGUAGAAUCCAAUACUUGGUAAGAUUCUGGACCAUGAGAUUGAAAUCUAUAAGAAUUCAAACCUUCUUCAUCAAAGCCACAACUUCCUGCAAAAUUAUGAGCACAAUUAACAAUGAAACAGAUAAUUCUUGGUGGCUUAAAUUAGAGCACAGUCAAUCAUAAUGGAAAUAAUUUUUGUUUCUACCAUUUUUUUUCAAAAUUGAAAAUUUUGACUUCAAAUGUUAACUAAGUAUCAACUCUGUUAGGUCUAAGAGUGUAAUUAGUGAUUUUGGGAAUAAAAGGGAUGUAAUUGAAUGUUUGUAAAAGUUAGGGACUCAAUUGAACAUUGAUGUAAAAGUCAGGGCCUUGCAUUGCAAUUUUGUAAAGUUGGGUAGGCUAGGGUUUACACUUGAGGCUAGGGUAAAGAUACAGCAAAGCGUCGCUGGCUGCUCGCUUGACCAAUGCUCGAGCAUAAAAAGCAGAGAGCUCGUCACUCGCUCUUCGUCCCCUCAUCGCUCGAGUGAUAAUGUUUUGCCAGUAAUUCUAAGUCUAAUUUUUCGAGACUUUUACAUGGCCCAGGACUCUCAUCUGUCCCCAGAUAUAAAUCAAAGGUCGUGAACAAAAGGAGGAGAUUGCCACAUUGUGCCUACAUUGCAAAACAUCUUCCUACAUUCUUUCAAGAGGUCCAAGAUAGAAUUGAUCAAGGAAUUCAUCUAUAACAUCUUGUGAUUUGGGCAAUCUACGAUGGGAAAACAUCAAAGUUCUUGAAGACAAAACAACGUGUCUUCCUUCAUCCGUUGAGGAAGAGACUAUCUCAUUGGGGAUUGAGAGAGGUGGACGUCAAGCACAGUGAAUCGGACAAGAACAGGCGAUUCUUGAAAUUCCACUUUGUGAUACAAUCGUGAGACUGGAGCAGUAGGUUUGAUUGGGUACGAAGUUUGAUGUAACUUGUACUUGCUAAAUUGGUAUAGUAGACAUCACUGACUUGGUCCUGGAGUUUUUUUUUUCCACAUUGGGUUUCUCUGGCAACAAACUGUGAGUUGUGUUGAUUUAUUCUUUUACAUAUUGCAAAACGAUAGUUCAAUAUAGGAUUAACAUGACUUGUAUGUUUAACGAACUAGAUUAAUUAGUGACUUUUUGCUAUUAAUUGUAUUAAUUCUGCACGUAAGGUCGAAUUGGUAACUUGGAACGUAAACUGGGUAAAGCAUAAAAUUUGAAUUUAGGAUUAGUUCAUUUUACAAGUAGUAUCCAAAGCGUUCCUAGAACUUUCAAGUGGUAUCAGAGCCUAAACACGAGUCGUGACCUUACAUUGUCUAGAUGAGUAUGUCAUUGAGUAUGCCGCCCCAUUUUGAUGGGAAUAAUUUUGCGUAUUAAAAAGUGAGAAUGAGGGCAUUUUUGAAGCUAUCACUACAACAAAAAUGUGAUUUUGCGACAAGAUAUUUUGUGAUAUACGGAAAGUUGUCGUAAUAAGUGAUUUAGCGCAACACAUUUUUUAAGUUUGUCGCAAAGAUUGAUAUGAAAAAAAUAAGUAACAAAAAAUAUAAGGCGACAUUAAAAGUUGUCGUGAAAUGUGAGAAGGUGCGACAAAUAAUAAAGAUUGUCACCAAAAACUGGAGAGAAGCAAAAUGCCAAAAAUAUUUUUGGUGGGAAAUUUAUGGCGACAAACUUUUAUUUUUGCAACAAAGUGUGUGUGAUGCAAUAGAGUCCACUUUUUGCGACAAGGAAUAUGUGUUGCUAAAAUUUCUAUAGAUAGAGGAAAAAAUCGUUACAAGAAAAACUAUUUUUUACAACGGACAAAAAAUGUAUCAUUAGGUCUUUCACAACACUCACUCGUAUGUUGCAGGUUCUAAUGUUGUCGUAGAGUAGAAAGAUAUGGCAACAUGCAAUGCAUGUUUCAAAAGGUCUCAAAUCACGUUGUUGUUAUGUUUUUGCAAUGUACCUCAUCAUAGCUUUUAUUAUAUUUCGCAAUGCUCUUUGCCUAUUGCCUUAACUUCUUGCAAUGUUCUUUUAUUUUUUUGUAACAAAUGUUUAUUUUUCAUCUAGUUAAAGAUGACAUUUUAAUAUGUACUACAAUUUUUUUUUUAAAUUUUAAUUAUUUUUGACCAAGAGAAAAAUUAUUUAAUAAAAAUUUUGUAAACUGUCAAGAAUAACUUUAUCUUCAACCAAAAAAAAAAAAAAAAGUUCAUUAGACAAUAAAAGUUUCAAUCAUAUAAUAACUUAUAAAAAGAACUACUAUGCUGAACCAAUUAAAAAAAAAAAAAAUAAGCAGUAAAAAUGACCAUCUUUUUUUGGUAUUAAAAAAUUAAAAAAUUGUUUUGUUUUUUAAUUUUCUAUUUUACCCUUCAACCUAAUAAAAACACCCACGAUUAAACAUUAUUUUAUUCCCAGCCAAAUUUCGCAAGGGUUUCUUCCAAGUAAAAAUCCCCAAAUCCAUAUCAAUUGGCGGCACAGUCCAAUAGGUCACCACCACUCUUCUCACGCCUCCAUUGCCGUCAACCGCAUCCAAAGCGUUUUCUACUUACUGCUUAUCUGAGAAAUUUUAGUAGGUCGAUUUGCAUUUUUUCCCCCUUCUAAUCUGUUGAGGAGAAACUUAGAUUUACAAUUUUGGUUUCUUCUUUAUUUGGGUUUGAUAUGUGUUUGUUUAAUCAUACAUUUUUCUUGUUGAUUUGAUCGUUAAGCAAUGCACAAAUGUGCUUAUGAAUUUCUUUUAUUUUAAUAUACAAGAAGGGUGUUAAUAUUGGGUUUAAGUCCCUGAACGGUUACUUUUGUUCCCUUCUCUCAUCAUCUUAUUUCUAUAAUACUCUAUGCUAGAUUAGAUUAUAGAUAUGAUCUGCUAAACCAAUUAUUUUUGUGACUUAUACGCCAGUUUCUAUGUUGCACAGAGACAGAGUUUAACAAUGGCUUAUUAGAUUAGUCAAAACAAAUGAUACCACAUUUCUUGUUUUACAGUUCGAAGUUUAGUAAGCUGCCUUCCCAUUAUUGAUGUGUUUCAUAAUUAUUUCUGGGUAAUGGGUGGUUUUUUUAAAGGACGUGUCCUCACUCUUCAUGGAUGUUGUUAACUACAGGGAAAAGAAAAUUUGGACCUGGAAAAGCUAGUUUAUUUACAUCUCGUCGUAGUCUGAUCUUGUUAUACUUGACGUGAACACAACGGUGAAGGUAAUAUGCACAAAAAUGUCAAUCUUCUUCAAAUUGAUACAUUUUGAGCAUAUUCUGACACUUCUAGACUUGCACUUUAUGUUGAAUUGUGAUAUGAUUUUCCACCAAUUUCUUGCACUCAUAGAAUAUAUAGUUUGCAGAAGGUGGUCAUCUCAAAUGGAAGCCCAUUUGAACUUUGCAAGUUUAUUUUUUUUUUCAUUAACUUUAUAUAAUCUUCCUAGAAUAAGAUUGAAUUCUGUUGUCCAUGAGUUUAUUAGUCCUACAAAUUGCAAGCAGUUUUCCUAUUUGAGUUAUUAAUUGUUACUUGUACAAGGGAAGUACUUAUUCUACGGAAAAAAUAUGUAUACUAAAUUUGUAUAUGGGAAAAUAUGUAUUCUAGAACUGACCUUUUAUAGUAAAUAAUGCAGAUGUAUUUUGUUGGGGGCUAGUUUCAUGAGAACCAACUGUUUCCACCCUUGUUGCUUUCAGCUUCGUCACGAGAUCAUCAUUUGUUAAAUUCUCUGUUGUAUUUAGGUUGACUAUUAGAAUUUGUUUCAUGAGUUAAUUAUUGCACUAAAUUGGAAGUGUUCAAAAGAAUCUAAUUUUUAGAAUAUCCAUUCCAGUAGCUUAUUCUUUUGUUUUGGUUAACAUUGUUUGUUGUUUUCACUAAAAAUUACUGACUACAUAUUCUCUUUUGUAUGGUCUAUGUAAAUACAGAGAUAUACAUGCUGGAUAGGAGUUGGAUGCAACUUUGUAACAGAUUAAGUAAUCAAUAUUUAGAUGGUGUUAAUUCAGGAGGUAGCAAAACAAUGUCUGGAUGAGAACAACGAGGUUCAGUGUCCACGUCGAGAUUGUCAAAAUGCAUUUAUGGUAGAAUCUCAUUUAUAUCAUCCCAAAGUCUCUGGAAGUUAUGAGAGAUGGAUUUUUCAUGGGGUGGAACUUGAGAAUGAUACGGAGGGUGUUGAAAGAAAUACAUCUAAAUUGGAUGAAGCAGAAAAUGAUGAUGAGAUGAUGAUAUGUUAGAAAAUCUAUGUGCUGCUAAAGUCAUCUGAAGCUGGCCAAACUCGAGAGGGGGAAGCAUAUGGCAGAAAUCAUAAUUUCUCACAUAUGAUGAUGCGACAAACUCUCUGUGUUGUGAAAUAAAUUUAAUUACAAACAUCACUUGUUUUAUGAUAAACUGUAUUAUAAAUUUUGAAUAUCUUAAAAUAUAUUAUGCAACAUAUCAAAUGCAUUGUAAAUCAUAUUUCGCUACAAAUUUGACUUGUUAUUAAAUAUAUAUCGCUAUGAGCAUGUGUUGCUGCAAAAUAGAAUCGGUAACAAAAUUUAUACCUUUAAAAUAAUAUUCGCAAUAGAUAUUUUUCUUGGAAAAACUUUAUAGUAAUAAUUGUUGCAACAGACUGACUUAUCGCCCUUUUAAUUUUUAGCGACAAAUAUGAGUUGCGACGACACUAUGGUGACAAAUAUUGUGUUGCUAUUUUGUACUUUCCGCAUCAAAUAAAUAAUGUUGUGAGUUUAUUAAUGUGAUGAACCAGUGAAAGUUGUCGCAAAAUAUAUUUUGUGACUCAUAUAGCGCGAUAAUGCCUGCAACAAGCGUCUAGUUGUUGCUAAAUUUCUUUUGCAACAAAAUCUCAAUUUUUGCGACAAUAUUUUUUUGUCGCGAAAUCGGUUAUUUUUUUUUAGUGUAUGUAUGAGAGGAUAUGGUUAAGUGUUGUGAAUGGUUGGUCUGCCCCUACUACCACAGUCGAUGGUGUUGUCACUCCUACCUCCAUAGAAAAUUGGUCUAGAGUUGAAUUAGAUAAAUGUAAUUGGAAUAGUAAAGCCUUGCAUGCCCUAUUUAUGGCUAUUUCCCCUGAAGAAUUUAGGAAAGUGUCCAUGUGUGAGGUAGCAAAGGAAGUUUGAAAUAUUUUAGAAACCACACAUGAAGGAACUCAGGCAGUUAAGAAUUCUACACUGCAGAUGCUAGCCACUAGGCUUGAAGAGAUAAGAAUGAGAGAUGAUGAGAUGUUUGAUGUAUGCGAGCCUAAAUGACAAAGUGAAUUCGUCCUUCUAUCAAGGGUAGAAAAUCCCCGAGUCUAAGAGAGUGAGGAAGAUUCUUAGAUCCUUACCCGAACGUUUUAGGCCUAAAGACUCUGCAAUUGAGGAAAGUAAGGACAUAGACACUAUCAAUGUAGAAGAGCUAGUUGGAUCCCUCCAGACCCAUGAGCUUACCUUAAACAAUCUAGCUAAGGAAAAAUCUAUAGCCUUGAAAUUCGCUCGGAAUAACUGGAUGGAAUCUUCUGAUUUACAUUCACCCAACAAUGAGGAGAUCACCUACUAACUAAGAAAUUUCAAAAAAAGUUUAGGAAGAAGAAGCUGCAAGAAAAACUGAGAAGUAGCCUCAGUGACUCUAGGAGAAAGUCUAAAUCUGUGAGAUGCCAUAAGCGUGGAGGUUUUGGCCAUUUUAAGAGUGAGUACCCUAAUGCUAAGAUAGUCAAGAACAAGGCUAUGAAUGCUACUCUCACUAAUGAUGAGUGUAGCUCGAACAGUCAGAGUAAGAAAUCCACAUAUGAGGAGAGUGGAAAAUAUAUGGCCUUCAUUGCUUGGUUAAGAGUGGAUCCCAACAAGAUGAUGAUAUAGAUGGUAGUGAAGAAUCUGGUGAUAAGAAUGGAAGUGAGGAAGAUCUUGAAGAAGCUUAUGAUAAAAUUUAUAAAGAAAGUCUCAAGAUCAUAGCUACUAACCAAGUGCUGAACAAGAAAGUGAAGGAACUUAGGUUAGAGAAAGAAUAUUUAGAGGCCCAGGUUAGUGAUCUCACGAGUAAGAAUGAUAUGUCCUCUAGGAGAGUAAGUGAGCUAACCGAUGGAAAUAAGACCUUAGCUAUUUAGGUCAAGCACCUUGAGAGUGAGCUGGAGUUGUCUAGUUCUCAGAUACUUGUCUUUUCUAGCAAUUUUGAAAAGCUAGAUAAUAUUUUAGGAAUAGGCAAGCCGAUGGGUGAAAAGGGAGGUCUAGAUUUUAAUAAUAAUGCUGCUAGUACUUCACAAACCACUUUUGUUCGUGCUACUGACCAGUCUAACACUGUGGCUAGCCCCAUAUCUAAUGUUGUGGAAUCUUUAGGACAGAGGUCUACCAAACAUCGUAGGAUCCAUCAACAUAGGAAUAGAAAUCAGCGUCACCAUAACCAUAGUGCUAGGUUCAUCCCUACUUACUUUCACUGUGGAGAAUUAGGUCACAUACGCCCUAGAUGUCAUCAGUACUUCAACAAAAAUAGGAACAUGAACUUAAAUGAGAACAAAAAUUAGGUGUCUAUUGGUCAAAUUGGAUUCCUUACUGAGCUAGUGAAUUGUUUGACCAAGUUGGUGACACAACUGUCGGGGAACUGCUCUCUCGCGAGAUAGGUUUGGGUGAAAAGGAGUGAUCUACAGAAUCUGGAAGUGGAUCAUGGUGCUCUUAAAGGAAAUAACACUUAUAUAUCUAGAUAAUUAGGUAUAUGUGAUGCAUGCUUGCUCUUAAUUGACAUACGAGUGUUGCAUGCAUCACAUGAUUUUUGCUUGUUUUUGUCUAAUCUUUUUAUUUUAUGCAUGUGCAUUUUCAUUUUUUUGCUUUGACACAUGCAUAUUUAGUUUAAUCUUUGUGUGCUUGUCUUUAUUUUCUUUUGUGUGUGGAGCAUUCAUUUUAGGAAAAAUGAAAAAUACAAAAAAAAAAUUGAAAAAGAUAAAAACGGUCGGUUAUGAAAAUUGCUAUAGCAUGACAUAUAAUUCUGAACUUGCUAGUUGUAAUCAUGUAUGAGCUAAAAUUGAUAAGAUGUAGAGUAAUUUUCAUUUCUUGGUUAGGUCUAUUUUGAUUAAUUUGUAUAAGUAUCUUCAUAUACCGCCUGUACUUUACACACUAUGAACUUUUUAGUGGGACUCUCCCGCGAGUGUGAGAUUUGGGAUGGCUGUCACGUGUUGAUGGGGUGACUUCAAACAUGAAUUGACCAUUUUUUUGUAGACAUUAACGCAAAAAUUUUCUCCCAUUUUAUAUUAGCUCAUAUCUUAAUGUCCUUCUUCGAGGCCUAUUUGACUCGAGGAAUUAAGUCUACGGGGUCUCUUAAAACCUAGUAUCUAUUGCCAACUGACUUAGAUUAAUCAAUCUAAAGCUCGCUACGGGGUCAUCUCAAUCGUUUAAUGGAGGAGAACCUUAACUUAAAAUGAAAAAUAAAUGAUCCCGGAAUAAAAUGUGAAAAUAUGAUGAGCUGAAAAAUGUGAAAAUGAAAAAUAUAAAUGCUCAUAGUAAGAGGGAGAAAAAAAAUAAGUAUAGGUUCUACUGCACGUCACAUGAUUUGAAUUUCAUAAGUAGAUGAAUAUACUUAUUGGUAGUAAUUGGCAUGUCUCACAAAAGGUUUGGAAUCCUGCUUGCAUUGGAUUAGUGACACGUUACACAAAUGAGUCACUUGUACUUUUCACUCCAUUUUGAUCUGAACUGAGUAUGUGGAGAGGUCUACUACUUGUUAAUUUUACUUUUCCUUGCUAUCAACUGCAUUUGUGAGGUAUUAUAUGUUAUUGCUCAGUUCGUUCUUAAUAUUAUUCCGUUCAGCAUUUGUAACAAAAAUGAGUAGAGGAAUGUGUAACUAAGGGGGAGAAAAAUAAUGAAUGAGCAUAUAAAUAGAGAGCGACUACAUUUGCAUGGCACAUGAUUUCACCGAUUGAUGUUACUUACAUUUUGCAUUGCUAUGUCUAGGGGUCGUUGGGGGAGAGACAUAGAUGCAUUGAUAUAUAGCAUUACAUUCAUGAGUACUUGCAAAAAAGUGAGAGUAUUGCAUUACAUUCCAUAUCACAUCCAUUUGUUUGAGUUUGUUUUUUUAUUUUUAGUGGUGUUGAUGUUUCGGUUGGUGUUUUGACUAGCAUCAAUAUCACGUCUCAACCUAGCAUGUUAUGUGUUUGUGAUUAAGUGUGUUAACCUUUUAUAUUUCCUAUAUCACGUGUUUUUACACUGGGCAUAUGAGUUUGAAAAUUUCAGAAAACAGGUACAAGAAGGAAUGCAAGACUCAGUUUUUGGAAUUACCGGGUAGUAUUGUUUUGUGUGUCAAGCCCAAGCUUAUUUUUUGUAUAGACCUAACUUAUAUUGUGUAGUUCUGUCACAGAAUGCCAAAGGAGGAGUUUAUGAAGUCUAAGAGUUUCAUUGGCGAUUUUGUGAACAAAAUGGAUGUAAUUGAAUGUUUGUAGAAGUCAGGGACUCAAUUGAACAUUGAUAUAAAGGUUAGGGACUUGCGUUGCAAUUUUAUAAAGUUGGUUAGGCUAGGGUUUACACUUGAGACCAGGGUAAGGAUACGUCGAAACUUCGUUGGCUGCUUACCUGACUAUCGCUCGAGCAUAAAAAGCAAAGAGCUCUUUGCUUGCCCUUCACCUCCUCGUCGCUCGAGCAAAAACACAUCUCUCACUUUUCACUUGAGCGGCAAUGUUAUGCUACCGAUUCUAAGUCACAUUGUUCAAGACUUUCACCAGGUCUAGGACUCUCAUCUAUCCCUAGAUAUAAAUACAAAGGUUGUGAACGAAAGGAGGAAAUUGCCCCAUUGUGCCUACAUUGCAAAAAACAUUCCUAUAUUCUUUCAAUAGAUCCAAGGUAGAAUUCAUCUAGAAAUUCAUCUAUAAAAUCUUGUGAUCCGGGCAAUCUAUGGUGAGAAAACAUCAAAGUUCUUGAAGACAAAACACCGUGUCUUCCUUCAUUUGUUGAGGAAGAGACUCUUAUUGGGGAUUGAGAAAUGUGGAUGUCAAGCGCAGUGAAUCAGACAAGAACAGGCGAUUCUUGGAAUUUCACUUUGUGAUGCAAUCAGUUAAGGACCAACAUGUUGUAGUGGAUAGCAAAUUGAACUACAGGAGGUAGAUUAGGAAGUCUAGCAGGAGGCUAGAUACAUUUACGAUAAUAGAUCGUGAGUCUGGAAUAGCGGGUCUAAUUGGGUAUGGAGUUUGGUAUAACUUGUACUUGCUGAAUUGGUAUAGUAGACAUCACUGGCUUGGUCCCAAAGUUUUUCCACAUCGGGUUUCUCCAUCAACAAACUGUGAGUUUGUUGAUUUGUUUAUUUUGCAUAUUGCAAACCAGCAGUUCAACAUAGGAUUAAUCGGACUUGUAUGUUUAACCACCUAGACAACAAUUAAUUAGUGACUUCUUGCUAUUAAUUUUAUUAAUUCCGCACGAAAGAUCGAAUUUGUAACUUGAAACGUAAAAUGGGUAAGGCAUAAAAUUUGAAUUUAGGAUUAGUGCGUGUUUCAAGUAGUAUCCAGAGCGUUCCUAGAAAUUUCAAGCUCAUUUUGAAUUUAAUGUUCCAAAUAAUGGUCACAAAUUUAUCGUUUUCAAUAAUGGGAGAAAAUUUUUUCUUGCAUUAUUGAAUCAAAAAGGUUAUUUAAAUAGCUUAAAGUUGUUCAUUCAGUUCAUUUUUCACUUUAGUUAUUAAACUUCAUUGUAUCACUUGUAGAAAAUUUAUUUAGAACUUCAUUUUGUGAAUGAACAAGUACUUCAAGCCACUUCUAGUGAUUCAAAUUCUAAAUCUGUCAAUUUUCUUAGUAUGGUGGUAGAAAAAUAUUAUUCAUUUCAUUUCUACCAACGGAUUUAUGAAACAUAUUAGAAAUGGUGGUAGAUUCAAAAUCAACAAUUUGGAGAGAAAAAUAUUGAAAAUAGAUGAGUAAAAAGAACUCAGGGAGACUCGUGGUAGUGUUUCUUAGAAAUGGUGAGUAUUUAUUUUGAUAUCAAUUUAUAGAAAAGUAGUAAAAGUAUAGAAGUUCUUACAAAUAUGAGGGCCUACAUGACUGCCUCACUUAGUGUUUGAACUGAUAUGGAAUUUUGAUAAAGGAUUAAAUUAAAAGGGGCAACCUGCGUAUUGAUGAGGCGACUUCAGAUCUACGCCAACCUAGUGAGGCAUGGAUAUGCAUUGAUGUUAAUUUGUUGUAUAAGCUUCCAAAUAGGAUUUGGAUUGAGCGUGAAAAGCGUGGAGGAUAUUGGCAGAUAGUUGUGUACGAGAAGAAGCCAGAUUACUAUUUUUGAUGCAGACACUUUGGUCAUGCUGAGGACCAUUUUUUAGUUAGAUCACGCCCUACACCACCACCUGCUAUAAUUGUUGACCCCAUCCCUAAACAUAAUAUAGAAGUGGCCCACGAUAAGGGAAAAGGAAAUUAGGUAUUCAUAGAACCUCCUAAGAAAUGGUUCCAGUUCAGAGAGACCAGAGGAGACAGCAUGCUACUAGCACAUCUAGAGUCCAGAUUUCAUCUUCUAUAUCUAUUGUUAUUACAUCAGCUACGCUUCCUACUGCUUCUAGCUCACAUGUUCAGACCAGUUAGCUACUCCUUCAAUAGCUCUUCCAAUUGUUACAACUUUGCCAAUUAUCAUCACAGUAGCUCAACAGCCCCUCCAGAAUCCCCUUCCGAUUUUGCAGCACCUCCAGCUACUUAGGAGGUAGUAUAUCAUCCAGUUACUAUUACAUUUACUCUACCUCUAGUUCCUAUUCCCACUGCUACUACUGAGCUAUCCUCUGAGCCGACACAUAUUAGCUAUCCACCAUUGAAGACACAUACAAAUGGUACUCAAUCAGCAUAAGGAUAAGAUACAGGGACAGUUCCUUAUGCUGCUCUUGCACACGGGUUGUUAGCUAAGAUCAGCUCAGAGUGGCAUGGUGUCAAGCAAAUAUUGAUCGAUCACUUUAAGAGGGACCAUGGAAUGAAAGUUGGAUCUACCAUGGGAUUUUCCAUUGAGGACUUGUGAUGUGAACCUGGAUAACUAGAUCGCUAUUAAACCCACAAAAGAAUGACAUAAACCCCAAGAAAGCCAAAAAUCAAAGUUUAUGGAAUUUGACCCACAAUUAUGAAUCAAACAACCAACACAAUCACUAGGAUAUGCUAGCCUUUUGAUUACAAGAUUUAUGAAAUCAUACUUGGAAUUUUAAAGAUUGACUUGAAGAAUAAAAUGAACCAGAAACCCAAGCAAUUACUAGAAUACCUUGACCUCGUGAUUGCAUAAUCCACGAAUAGCAUUUUGAUUGGUAAAUGCCAUGAGAAAUUAUCCCAAUAAGUUCGAUAAACUGUUCUCUAAAAAUAAAGAUGGAAGUAACCUUGCCUCUGAUUAAUUCAAAAUAUCAAAAGUCCUAUAAUGAAUAAUAGGAAAAAGUAUUUAUACUACCCUAGGAAUAAUGGAAAAAAAAUGAAUAUUAAGAGUCCUAAACUUAUAAAGUUACCAAAAAUAACAAUUUAAAUCAAAACAGAAUCCUCGCGAAAAAAGGAAAAAGUCGCGUCCCAAAUGAACCAUGCGACCGCGUGGUUCUUUUAGCCGCGGUCGCAUGGAAGAAACGUGGGCUGCCUCUUCAAUCCCUAUCCUAGUCUAUGCGAGCGCAUGGGCUUUAAAGCCUUGUGGCCGCAUGGCUUUGUGUGUUGGCCCUAAUUUUGGUUUCUUCCAACGAUGUGUUCUUUAACUUAUCGGCCCUUGACCCUAGCAUUGAACUUGACACUUGAUAUGUUAUCUUCAACCUCAUGUGCCUCGCUUCUUGAGUAUGCAUUUAUAUGACCUUUGGUAUCAUCAUUGUUCCAUAUUACUCCCAAUUGAGCCCCUUGCACCUCUUCCAUGAACUUUGCUCCCUUGAUUGAUCUUGAUCGACCCAGGAUCAUAUCAAUUUAGUUUUCAAGCUAUUUGGUGAGGAACUUUCUAUGAGUAAAACUCCUACAUAUAAACCUUCACUUAGUCCUUCUAUCACGGCUCCUACACAAAAUAAGGUAAAAGCACAUAUACAGAGAGACGUGGAUGGCAUGGGCCUUGGAGACUACGUGCAAAAUGCAAAGGACGAUGUAGCCACAGUCAGCGAAUCACUCUCCCAUGCUUCAUAUGUUGUAGCACAGAGCACCAUAAGAUCAAACGCACAUGCAACUAGCACUAUGAGAUUAGAUGUACUCGCUUUUAGCCCGACUUUCAGUGCACCAUCAUGUGGACAACAUUUUUCACCUAGGCAAGCCUCUUCAUGUAGGCGAGACCCCUCUCCAAUGAGCGAGCCAGACUACACAGUCUACUAUGAUCCAAAAAUGUUUGAAACCAGGCUCAUGACCCAAUUAAUGUCUAUGUACUACCACCCAAAGAUCUACCAUCGGGGAUACCCUUGAGUAGUUUUAAUUAGUUUUUGUUCAUAUCUUGUUUACUGUUGAUUGCAAUUCAUUUUGAGAUAUUUGUUGCAAUUUACAUUUACUAGAGGUCAGGUCUGUGCCUUCUCUUCUAUUUGUAUUCUCGUUUUUAUUGUAUAAAAUAAGCCAUACUAGUGGUAUUUGCUAAAAAAAAAAAGUCUUGACUGAAAAUAAAAAUAAAAAUUCUUUAAAUUUGAGUGAUAUUUCCUUUUAUGAUUGGUCCAAUAAAUGAGUGAUACAAUAUUAAAAUUAGAAAUUUCAUCUCAAAAUGUCAAUAUUAUUACGAUCAGUACCCGAAUCUUUUAUAUGUUGGUUAAUAUAUAUUUAACUGAUGUAUAAUUAUGUUAACAUCUAUAUUAAUACACAAAUACAUACUCUGUGAGAGAGAGAAAGAGAGAGACCAAGUUCAUUACUGUUUACUUUACCACCUACAUUUCGAGCUUCUUUGACCUACAGUAAUUAAUUACAUGUUGGCAUGAGUUGUCAACAUACAAUAUUGAAAUACGGUAGGGGUGGGUUAUUCCCCAGUUGUAAUAUAAAAUUUCCUUUGUUUAGCCAGAUUCUUAACCUAGAAUAGCUCUCUUUAUUUUACUCUCUACACUAUAUAUGUAUAUGAUUGUAUUCAUUCAAAAAAUAAGAAAAAUAAUCCCUUUGUUAUCAUAGUAUCAAAGCAAAAAAUCCUAGGAUUUCUGCUACAGCAAACACGUUACCAAAACUGAUCAGAAAUUAUGGUAGAACCUAAAUACGUGGUGGCAGACCAGAGACAUGAUGAGAACUCUACUACAACCAUCCUCGAUGAUUUAAUGACUCGACUAAUGUAAGCCCUAACCCAAAAUCAAACCAAGAAUUAAGUGCAGACCUAUGAACCUCCUGCUGCGCCGAUUGGGAUCAAGCUAGAUGGAUUAAACUAUGGUUUAUGGUCCCAAGUUGCUGAGAUGUCUAUCUCUGGCAAGGACAAAUUGGGAUAUAUUAAUGGAGACAUUCUAGAACUUGAAUCAUCAGACCCCAUGUUUCGAAAAUGGAGAAUCAAAAAUACAAUUUUGAAGGGAUGGAUAAUUAAUUCCAUAGACCUGACUCCAAUCAGCAAUUUUAUUCGAUUUUCUACUGCAAAAAUGGUGUGGGAUGCAAUUGCUACUAUUUAUUUUGAUGGAACAAACACUUCUCAUGUGUAUGGUUUGAAGAAACAUGUGACCAGAAUGAGACAAGCAAGAGGAUCCAUUGAAGAAUAUUACAAUGGUCUACAAGGCUUGUGGAGAGAUAUUGAUUUUUGUAGGUUAAACCCAAUGGAAUGCCCUGCUGAAAUAAAGAGAUACAACUUGGCUAUAUAGGAAGAUAGAGUCUAUCUCUUUCUUGAUGGGCUUUUUUUUUUUUUUUUUUUUUUUUUUUAAGCAAAUACCACUAGUGUGGUUUAUUUUAUAUAAUGAAAAGCGGGAAAACAAAGAGAGGAGGGGGGCAUGGACCUGACCUCCAGCGAAUGUAAAUUGUAACAAAUAUCUGAAGAUAAAAUGCAAUCACAGUAAACAAGAUACGAACAAAAACAAAUGAAAGGUACUUAAGGGUAUUCCCGAGGGUAAAUCUUCGGGUGGUAGUACAUAGACAUUGAUCUUGUCAUGCGUCUGGUUUGAAACAUUUCUGGAUCAUAGUAGUCUGCGAUGUCUGGCUCGCUCGUUGGAGACGGGUCUCGCCUGCGUGUAGGAGCCUGCUUUGGUGAUAAGUACUGUUCGGAUGGUGGUGCACUGAAUGUUGGGCGAAAAGCGGGUGCAUCUGAUCUCAUUGUACUAGUCGUAGGUGUGUCUAAUCUCAUGGUGUUCUGUGCUACGACAUCUAAAUCGUGGGAGAUUGACUUGCUUGCUGUAGGGACAUCGUCCUCUGCAUUUUGCAUGCAGUUUCCAAGGCCCAUGCCAUCCAUAUCUCUCUGUAUAUGUUCUUUCACCUUAUUGUGUGUAGGAGCUGUGAUAGAAGGACCAGGUGAAGGUGUAUGCGUAGGAGUCUUACUUACAGAAGGUCCCUCUCCAAAGAGCUUAAAAACCAAGUCUUCAAUAGCAAAUCUCAUGGUAGAUCCAACUUUCAUUCCAUGGUCCUUCUUAAAGUGAUCAAUCAACAUAUGCUUGACACCAUGUCGCUCGACUCUGUCACAACUGCGGUAGUAGUAGUGGGAAGCACAGAAGGCACUGCUGAAACUGGAACCCACUGCUUCUUUGGCUCCACAAACGUCACCUUGCCCUUAUCCUUAUCAGUCCUAGUAAUAGGGGGCCGAACAGGGGGGUGCGCAACAACUGCAGGAGAAGGAGGAGGAACCGUAGUACACUGAUCAUAAGAAUGACCCAAGUGUUUACAAGAGAAGCAAAAAAUUGGCCGCUUCUCAUAGAUAACUGUCUGCCAGAAGCCACGGUUACCAGCGCGCUCAAUAUAAACCCUGUCGGGCAACUUAUGUCCCAAAUUUACCUCAAUGCACACCCUUGCCUCACUAGGUCGUCUCAAGUCGGUGGUGGCCUCAUCAAUUCUCAAGGGCAUUCCUAUUGCCCCAGAUAAAGCGAAAAGGAACCCCUUCGCACGUAAAUGUACUGGAAGCAGAGGGAACGAUACCCAUACGGGAACUAUCGGAGUCUCUUGCUCAGGUGUAAAGUCACAUGUCCACUUAAGGACUCUCAUCGGACAACCAUCAAUAUACUAUGAAGGUUUAAGAAAAAGCCUGCUGUAAUCCUCCUCAUGUGUAAGGUGUAUAAGAAUGUGUGUUGUGUUAAUCAAUCCCACCUCGAAACAACCAUGGAACCCAAACUUUGAAAAAAUCUCACGUACCUUCCUCAUGGUUGGCUUGCGAUGUGGAAAUUUCCCCACAAGUGUAUACUUGUAAGGAUCAGCGAGUGUAGCCUCCUCGGACUCAAUCAAAACUAUUGCCGGCUCACCCAUAUGUAUAAAGGGGUCUUUAGCAGCAAACCCAGUAGUGGAAGAGUCAUCUAUACCCUGUAUAACCGAUGCAAACGACUUUCGUGAACUCCGUUCAGCUUGAGACAGGCCCGGACGGCCAGAAACUGCAGUAGCAUAGGUCUUUCGGCCCUGAUUGAGCACUGUCUGGGCCUCAUGUGGAAAAACCGAUGAUGGAAUUGGGUCCGUAACAAAAUUCCCCACAUUCUGGUGAAGUUUCACCGGCGCGUGACCACCACGCGCCGGCCGUUGACCGGCCGUUGACCGGCGGCGAUUUUCCAACGUUGUCAGAAAAUUAUGAUUUUUCACAGGCAGAUGCGUAAUUUCAUGCUGAUCAUCACGGUAUGUUCCGUUUUCCGAAAUGAGUUCAGGAUUGGCCGGAAUCUGCGAUUUUCCGAGUGACUGGCCGGAACUUGCGAUCGCCGGCAAGGGCGCGUCCGACGUCUGAAUUGGAUGAUUUUUUAGUCGAAGGUUCGCCUUUUCAUGGGAAAUCUGAUGGUCAGGCGCGUGUCCCUGUUUGAGCUCUGUGGAAGGGUUAAUUGAAAAAUCAGUUUUCGGCCCCUCGGGAUUCGAUCUGUCAAUUUCGGGCGAUUUGGACGAAAUCUCUACCACCCCCAGGGUUUUCGGCCCUUCUGGAAUCAUUGGUGAUGGUCCCAUAUCCAAAUUCUGAUCAGAAGUGGGUGUUUCGACGACCUUGGGAUUCGUGCCAUGAUUUUUCAAACUCAGAUCUAUUGAGUUGGGGGAUGAAUCUGAUAUUGGUGUUAUUGGAGAUGUUUGGGUGUUUGUUGGUGAUGAUUUUCCACCACUUAGAGUGCUGCAAUCCGGUGGUUUUGGUGGUGGAUCAAGUUUGUUGGAGUUUUGGAGGUUUUCUCCCAUUCUAGAGAGAAGGGAGAGCGUUUUGGAGGUAGAGAGAGAAAGUUGGUUUUUGGUUUGGUUUAGGGUGAUCUCUUUCUUGAUGGGCUGGAUGAUCACCUAAAUAAAAUUAGGGCGAUGUGUUCCAAAUCUGACCAUUCCCGACAAUUGAACAAGCUUAUGCUCAUGUUCAAAGAGAGGCUAUGCGACAAUAUGUUAUGAAUUCAAACACAGAACAUACACAUGCCACUGCUAUGGCCUCAAAAGGAGUUAAGACAUGACCAACACUCCAAAUAUCCACGGGUGGACCUUCUUCAACAGGUGGUGGAAAGGCCAAUACAACCUAUAAGGGAAAAACACAAUCCAACAAAGGUUGUAUACACUGUGGGAACAUAAAGCAUGAUCAUGAAACCUAUUUUAGGUUAAACCCAAAGUGGUGGAAUGAACUUAAAGCACGAAAAUAGGGUAAAUAGAAAGCUAACACCAAUGGUGAACCGAGACGAGCUGCUUGGGCAAAGGCAGAACAUUUACUUUCUUUUUACUCCACUGAUGGAACCAUCAGAUGAGUUAAAUUCUCUCAAUAACCAAGAUAAAUGUGGUCUUGCAUUAUUUGGUUCCAGUCAAGAUAAUUAUGGUGGCUGGAUUGUUGACUCGGGGGCAACCGAUCACAUGACUUUCAAUAGUAACAACUUUUCUAAGAUUACCCAACCAAAACGAAGUAGCGUUGCUAAUACUAAUGGAGUCACAUACCCUGUUAUAGGAGCUGGAACCAUUGGUUUAUCACCUUCUCUCUCUUUAUCCAAUACUUUACUUGUUCCAUCUCUCUCAAAUAAGUUAGUGUCUGUAGCCCAAGUCACUAAAGAACUAAAUUGUGUUGCUUUAAUAUAUCCUAAUUUUUAUCUCUUUUAGGAUAUUCUCACAUAGGAGAUCAUUGGGCAUGGCACUAAGAGAGGGGUUGUACCACAUAGAUGAUUCAUCCUGGGGAAAAUAAAUAACAUGCACCAUUCAACCACUAUCAAUGAGAGGCAGAUUUGGCUACGGCAUUGCGGAUUGGGACAUUCGUCUUUCAGUUAUAUAAAGUAUUUAUUUCCAAACUUAUUCUCAACCUUACAUGAUUCAAACUUUAAGUGUGAAACUUUCAUUUUAGCUAAAAGUCAUCGUCUAUCUUUUCCAAUAAGCUUGAAUAAAAGUGACGUUCCAUUUGCUUUAAUCAAUUCUGAUAUUUGGGGACCCUCUCCAAUUAUUACUUUUUCUGGAAUUUGUUGGUUCAUGAUACUUGUUGAUGAUUGUACUCAAAUGGCUUGGUUAUAUUUGUUGAAACAUGAAAAAUGAUGCCUUUCAUGUGUUUAAGUCCUUUCAUGCAAUGAUCAAGACUCAAUUUCUAGCAGAACCAAAGAUUCUUCAUUCUGACCAUGGUACGGAGUAUGUUAAUUAGGAUUUUCAAGCUUAUUUCCAGAGUCACAGUCUUCUUCAUGAAACCUUCUGUACUUAAACGCAACAAUAGAAUGGGGUGCCCGAACGAAAAAAUAGGCACAUCUUAGAAACUGCUCAUGCUUUAUUGAUUGGAGCACAUAUGUCGAAUAGAUAUUAGGAUUCUAUUGUGAUCACAACAGUACAUCUAUUGAACUGUAUACCUUCAAAAGUAUUGAAUUUUAAAACUCCAUUACAAACUCUAUCCCGUCACAUUUCUCUACCAUCUAUUUUGAUGAUCCCAACUCGAGAGUUUGGAUGUGUAACCUAUGUUCAUCUCCAUAAAAAUCAACACACUAAGCUUGAUCCAUGUGCGAUAUGAUGAAUUUUUUGGGGUAUGCUACACCAAAAAGGUUAUAUGUGCUACAAUCCUGCCACACAAUGUACCUAUGUCACCAUUGAUGUUACUUUCAUGGUGUCUAAAAGUUUUUACUCCUCGUCAGCAUCUAAUUCUUCUCGUUAGGGAGAGAUAAAAUAUGAAGAGCAGAAUUGAUGGAAUUGUGAGGUUUUUGAAGACACCCACAACUUAGUCCAGUUCGAAGUUGGGUCAGGAGGCAGGAUUAGUAAUGAUACUAUACAUGACAGUACACAAGAAGUUGAAGCUGAAAUUACACAAGUUAAGACUGAAGACAACAUCCUCAUCCUCUUCAGUGCCCAACGACCAAUCUCCUAAGAAUAUUCCUAAGGUAAGCUCUCCAACUACACCAGCUCUUGUUCAGAUAUUUUUGUUGGUUAUAACUUGCCUUUCAGACAUAAUCGUGGAAAACUCUCAAAUCGAUAUUCACCAAAUUUAGAGGAAAGGAGAUCGAAGUGUAACACCCUGAGAUAUUAUAGAAAUUUUGGGUCUAGUCAAGUCCUUCGGCAAGUCAAUUGGCUAUGCUGAAUAUUUAACAUGGAUCACGAUGAAGAUCUUUAUAGUUGAGGAAACAAAGUGGAAACAAAUAUAAAUUUGUACUUUUAUUGAGUCAAAAUGGUUAACUAUUGAUGGAGUUAAUUACCCUAACAAUAUUAGGCUCCUUUCAAAGCUCGAAUUAAAUGAUGAAUUGUGGAGCCAUAAUAAUAAUAACUACGUAGUUAAUAAUAUUAGUUAUCGAUUUAGACCAUAUUACUAUAGCAAUAUUAGACUCAUUUGAUUGGUCAAAAUUAAUUAUGUAUAUUAGAAUCGAGAUAAAAUUAAUAUGGAUAAGACUAAAUUAAGUUAAAGAGAUCAAAUAUUAAGGGAUUAAUUCGCUAAGCAGUAGGACGUGACUUGGAUUCCCUUAUUAGUUAGCUAGGGAAGGAUUAGGAAUCAGGUAUAAGUAAACUAGAAUUUAUGUGAUUAAGUCCCAUUGCAAUAAAAUUCUAUUAAAGUUCUCCACUUUUGCUCUCGGUUUGACAAAAAAUAAAAAUAAAUGUAAAUUUAAUAAGAGUUUUAUUAGUUAUAUUGUUCGUUCGUUUGCAUUAAAACAAAUUAAACCUUAUAUCCUAUGCAAUUAGGAGUUCAACUUAUCUUAACGUGUGCAUGCAUGGAUAAUGAUAACUUAAUUGGGAACAAAUCAAUGCAAAGAAACGUAUUUAAUAUGUAUUUUUUUAUAAUAUACCUUUUAAGAUAAUUAGCAAAAGAUUAUAAUAUUUUAUUAUACAAUCAAGUUUAUAAAUCUUAUUUAAAUUCUGUUUCCUCCAUUAGAUAUAUUAUUUUAAGAUUUAAUCUUAUCCCAAGUCUAUUUUUUUCAUUUGAAAUCCAUUGUAACAAAAGUUGGUUUCCACUAUUGGUGUGCGUGACUAGCAAAAGGCUUGUAUCUUUUAAGAUAAUUAGGAAAAAAAUAUAAUAGUUUAUUUAUAUAAUUAUAAUUAUCGUAACUUGGAAAAUGAUUUAAUCAUAUCUCUGCCUUUCCAUUUGAAAUCCAGUACCAAAGCAGAAUCAGUUUUCUCACCCGUGUUGAACACGUGUUGUAUAUAAUUUAAUUUUCUCCUACAUUUGUAUGUGAUGGGUAUAAUUAUAUAUAAUGUAAUUUAUCUCUGUUUUAAUCCUAUCACUUGUGUUAUCCUUCUUUUGACAAUGAUUACUGUUCGCAAAAUAUUUCUUCUCGAUUUUAAAAACCCACCGCAAGUGUACGGUUCGUUAACAAGUAGUAAAAUGGACUAUGAGUCCAAGUAUCGUUCCCACGAGGAUUGAAUUAGCACUAAUUAAACUAAUGUGACCUUAACCGAAUCUAAUUAAAUGAAAAUUUGGUUUAAAUGUGAAAAACCCUAAUUUUGGGAAAAAAUCCCCAAUUUGAAACCCUAAUUGCAAAGAAAACCCUAAUUUCAAAAUUGGAAACCCUAAUUUCGAAAUUUCACUAAUCUAAUGAAAUAAGCACGCAACUGAAAUGUAAAUAUGCAAUUUUAGAACUAUUGUAUUGAAAUGAAUCGAAAUGAAAUCAUUAAGAACUCGAAUCCCCAAUUGACUAUUAAAAACCCUAAUUUCACAAAUUCAACGAAUCGAUGGAACAAAAUGCCAAUUCAAUGUUCCUAAAUUAUCCAAUACACUCUCUCGAUAUAUAUUGAAUCUACUCUUACACACCACCAGCCUAUAUUUCUAUGGAUGAUGCAAUGUACAAGAAUGCAUGACUUUUUAUGAACAUUUUCAUGAAUUGCAUAAAGCAUAGAGGUAAGUUUCCAUCCCCUAUCGGACCCUUUGUCGAUUUAUAUUCUAUCGAAUUUAUUCCCCUUCUUUCGAAUGCAAAGAACAAAUCAUCUACAAUCACAUAACAAUUGGCCAAAUAAUUAUGGAAGCAUUCAAAUCAUAUAAAUCAAACAUUUGUCCAAUCGAAACUAUUGUUGAAUUAAUGAAAUAACGGAAAUUUAAAUCAUCAAAAGGUUCAUCAAAUUCCUAAUGAAAAAAAACCCUAGACUAUAACCAUCAUUACAAAAUCAAGAAAUUGAAAAACGAAAUUAAAAGAUAAUAAGAAUACACCCGUAUGGAAUUUCUUCAAUCCGUGUGUAUAAUCUUCAACCCCGUCUUGAGCCCGUGCGAAAUUGAAUCCAAAAUCAAGUUUCUUGCCUCCAAUUUUGGUCUCUCCCUCCUCCCUGGUCGUUCUUCCUCUUAAUAUGAUGAUUUUGGGUAUUUAUAUCGCGUCCAAAUUAAGUAGGGAAGGAGUUUCAACCAAAAUGAAAAACUACGCCCGAAAUUUCAAAACUUAACUAUGCGACCGCAUAGAAGGGAUCUAUGCGGUCGCAUAGAUCAUUUUUUUUCUCUCAUUUAAUUUCCUGAAACCUUCUAUGCGAUCGCAUAGAAGGUUACACUAUGCGGUCGCAUAGAAGUAGCCAUCUAUGUGGUUUGUGCAAUUUGGUCCCUGAACUUCUUUGUUGCUUCUCUUGACUUCUUUCUUUGAUUUCUUCAUCUUUUCAACAAUUCUUAUCUUCCAAUUGAUGAUCGACACUUUCAAAUAUUAUGCCACUCAUUUGGCACAUCUUUUGAGUAUUUGCACUUUAGUCCUCCAACUUUCAAUUAUCUUCAUUUUAGUCCAUCUUCCAUUCUUUCUUGCUCCAAUUGUUUUGCUUUGUCAUUGAGCUCAUACUCGGCACGUUUUUACUCUCGUUCUGCAUUUAGCUCAACUUCUCAAUAAUUGCACGAUUGGUCCUCGAACUAUCAAAUUGUUGCGUUUUGGUCCUUCUUCGGCUCUUUUCUCCUGAAUUCCACAAUUUCCAUUGAAUUACCUACAAUGCAUGAAUUUAACUGGAUUAAGUCACAAUUCUACCAUUUUAUCCAUGUUUAAGUCAUAUUUGUGAACCAAAUAAGUGUGUAAAAACACACUUAUCAAAUCCCCCAAACUUAAACUAUUGUUUGUCCUCAAACAAUGUAGUGACUCAACGUUAAACAAACAUGGCUUAGUAGCUUGCCGUGUCUCAGGAUUGGAACUUAGCAAUACAAUAGAACAAUAUCAAUAUUGCAAGAAUAAAAUUAACCUUUUCUCAUCAAAUGCAAUACUCAACGUGUGUGUGUGAACUCAUGCCAACAUAUCAAGCUUAUGAAUGGUUUGUUCCCAACCCAUAAUGGUCAAAUUUAUCCUUACAUCACUCGAGAGAUACACAAAUCCCCCAAACUUAUUCUUCUCACUCAAUUAUCUUGGGAUGUGUUCUAAGGUUAGGAGUUUAACAACUAUAAUCCUUACCCUCUCUUAGUUUGGAUACAUCUUACCCUUACAAGUACACAUAUCAAUAAGUAGAGACUCUCUUUAAUUUGAUUGUUUCAACCUUUAGGCUCAAACUACGCUACUUACCUCGCAUCAAGGUUAAAGUUAUAUCAACCAAAUGUCCAACAAGGGCCCCCCCAAUUUUUUUUUUUUUUGUGUCAUCUUCUCAUUUGCUUUCUAUAUAACCCGUGUAGCGAGUUCUUAGGCGAUGACUCCCAAACCAGUUGGUCUUAGGGCACCAGGUUUUAAACCCUUGCAGCCUUAUUCACCCAAGUUAUAAAGGCUCGAUAAGAUGAAUUUUGUCAACUUCUCCUUUAUCUUGCUUUCUAUAUGACCCCUGUAACGAGCUUUAGGCCGAUAAUUCCCAAACCAGUUGGCUUUAGGAUAUCAGGUUUUAAACCCUAACAGACUUACUUGCUCGAGUCAUAAAGGCUUUUGAGAGAAGUGAUGAUUUUCCUAUGUUUAUUUUAUGCCCUUUACUUGUUUUUUUUUUAUAGACAUUUGAUAUCAACAACCAUCCUCAACUUAAAGCUUUCACCUAUUUCUCACCUUCUGGGUCUAGGCAAUCCACACAAUAUAAAUUCAUGCACUGAGCCUCUACUUAUCUCCAUGUUUACCUAUAGUGGCUCAACCAUCUCCAAACUAUCUUAUGGUGAUUUAACGGGUUAAUGAUAUAGAGGGUUAACCUAGGUUUCUUAUGUUUUACUCCAACAAUCCCAUUCAAUAACUUAACAUGAAAACAUGAGUGGCGUGCAAAAGAAUGUCAAGCAUUGCAUCAAUAAGUAUCCGCUAAUUAAAUCCUGUACUAUAUCAACAGUUCUAUUUUUCACCUAUCCAAUAAUCACAUCAUAGCUGGCAAGGCUACCAAACCCACACAAGCAUGCAAAAGUAAAAUCAACACUCAUUCAUCAUGCAUGCAUCAUGCAAGAAGGUAGUCAAUUUAAUGAUUGAUUGUGAAAAUGCAUAUUAACUACAUGCCGAAUAUUUGUUUGAAAAUUAUGCUACCAUCCCCCAAACUUAUACAGUACAUUGUCCUCAAUGUAAAUGUAAAGUUAGAAAAGCAUAAUUUAAAAAUAUAAACACAACUUGGCAAAUAGAGGUAAACAACACUCCCUUGAUCAAAGUGGUGGUCGUGGUGUGUAGCUGGGACCCGCAGCAUGAUCUUCAGGAGGAGAUGGAAGGCGAGAUAGGAUUUCUCUCAUCAGUGCUGACUGCUGUGUCAUUUCAUCAUGGAUCCCCUCAAUCUGUGUCUCCAAACGGCCUAAACGCUCCCAAGUUUCAUUUACCCUCAGCUGGAUGCCAUCCACCCUGCCCACGUACACACUUAGUCGACCAUUCAUAGUGUCCAUCUCCCUCCUAGCUGCCUGGGCAUCCUGGCGAGCGGCACGUGACAUAUCAGUGGCAAUGCGGACGUCACGAUGGGCUGUAUGCAUCUCAGUCGUCAAAGUUCCCAUAGCCUGCUGGAGACUCUGCACAUCUUGGCUGAUCCCCGUGGUGGUGGUGAAAAUCUGCCUCAAAACCUGAUUGUCCAUAUCAACCUGGGGUGGUGGUGGAGGAAUUUGAGGCAUGUCAAGGUCUGCAUUUGCUUGACCUUCCUCAUUCAAUUGCUAUCGUCGUUGUGCAUUUUCUAAUUUCUGUUGGUGCUUCAGUCUUGCUCGGUCUUGGGCCUCUAGUGUGGAUUGCUUGAUAAAGGGGGUUGGCUUUUCUGGUGCUUCCCCAGGUUGGAUUUGUAUCCCCGCUGCUCUACAUAUUCCACUUAUCAGACUGGGAAAAAUUAGGGAGUAGUGCCUAUCACCCCAAGUGCCUGUACCAUGAAUUUGGUUGUAGAUGUACGUGGCUAGAUCAAUCUUGUUCCCUCUAACCAAAUGGUAUAUGAAUCCGGCCCUUGAAUUUGUAAAUGUUGUUCUGUGGGAUAUAGGCUCGAUGUUAUGGCAAAUGAAUAACCAUAAAAUUGCUAUGGAUGGGGUGAGAUCUAUCUAAUGCCAGUCUGCUGUAGGUAGAGGCCAAGCGUUUUCACGUCCCAACAAUAUUUCUGCAACCUCAUUCCAGUUGAAGUCUUCGGGAAUAGGGACCACAUUAUUCCAGGAUAACUGAUGGUAGUCAUGAAUUACCUCUGGUGAAAACAUAAUCCAUUUGCCCCUAACCCAAGUCUAAUGUAAGUGCUCCGAUCCGGGAGUGUCGAUUUCUGUGUUGAAGUUUGCAUAAAAUUCCUUUGCUAGAUUCUCAUACACCGGAUGAGGUCUUUCUAUUACCUUCUCCCAGCCACAAUUGUGAAUAAGAUAUGUCAAUUCAAAGUUGGGGAAGUCUUCUAACUUUACUGGCCUUUCGGGAAUGAUUGCCCAAUCACGCACAACAUUGGCGUAUCGGGCUGCCGUAUCUGAUGAUAGGAAUCUUCGAACACCCCCUUCGGGUUCUCUUGUUCGGGCCGUUCCAGAUGAGGAGCCGACUUUCUCUUUUCCCUUUGAAGUUCUUUUAGGAAGCAUCCUGCAAAAGGAAAUACACAAUAUCACUUACUUGGUAUAGGAAUAACGGGCAUUAAUAAUCUUUGAAUUCAUAAUCCCCCAAACUUUCUUCAACAUGCCAAUGUACGUAUGCUUAUGCAAUUUUUCAAGCCAUGAAUCACCAAUAUAACUCUAACUUUGCAUAAGUUUGGAAAACUCAAAACUAUGGCCCGAAUAUGCAUUUUUAGAAAAUUUGACCCAUGACCAAGUGACCAACUUCGGCCCCGGGCAUCACCGAGAAAUAUCGAAAUUUCCUCAGGCAAGUUUUGGACAUGUGAAAGUACUCAAUGAAAUCUAGCAUAUAUCCAAAUUUCACCUUAAUCGGAGGUCAUUUGCAUAAGAAAACAUAGGGACGAAAGUAGUGACGUGGGUGAAUAUGAUUAGCCAUGUUGUGCCUUUGUGAAUUCAAAUAUUGAGGUAGUGUGUUUUCAAAUGAAAUUGCACGUGAUUAUUCGGCCAGUAAGUUACACAAUAACGAUGUAAACUAUUGCAUAAGUGAAAAGUUCAAGAAUGUAAAACAAUCGUCAAUGUGGCAUUUCGUCGAACAUGUGGUGUGCAAUGUGAAAUUCUUCCUAUUUCUCCUAAAACACCACCAUGAAAAUGCCCCCAAUUCACAACACCAUGUCAAAUUACCUUAUUCCUUCUAACUAAUGCCAACACAAUGAAUGAUAACCGGAAAAUGAAGCUCGAAAUUAGGGAUUAGAAGAACAUACCUUGAAGUUCCAAUUUUCUUGUUAAAUGAAAUGUGGCACCUCAAAGUAGAAUCCAAUCCAAUUGAAUGAAGNNNNNNNNNNNNNNNNNNNNNNNNNNNNNNNNNNNNNNNNNNNNNNNNNNNNNNNNNNNNNNNNNNNNNNNNNNNNNNNNNNNNNNNNNNNNNNNNNNNNNNNNNNNNNNNNNNNNNNNNNNNNNNNNNNNNNNNNNNNNNNNNNNNNNNNNNNNNNNNNNNNNNNNNNNNNNNNNNNNNNNNNNNNNNNNNNNNNNNNNNNNNNNNNNNNNNNNNNNNNNNNNNNNNNNNNNNNNNNNNNNNNNNNNNNNNNNNNNNNNNNNNNNNNNNNNNNNNNNNNNNNNNNNNNNNNNNNNNNNNNNNNNNNNNNNNNNNNNNNNNNNNNNNNNNNNNNNNNNNNNNNNNNNNNNNNNNNNNNNNNNNNNNNNNNNNNNNNNNNNNNNNNNNNNNNNNNNNNNNNNNNNNNNNNNNNNNNNNNNNNNNNNNNNNNNNNNNNNNNNNNNNNNNNNNNNNNNNNNNNNNNNNNNNNNNNNNNNNNNNNNNNNNNNNNNNNNNNNNNNNNNNNNNNNNNNNNNNNNNNNNNNNNNNNNNNNNNNNNNNNNNNNNNNNNNNNNNNNNNNNNNNNNNNNNNNNNNNNNNNNNNNNNNNNNNNNNNNNNNNNNNNNNNNNNNNNNNNNNNNNNNNNNNNNNNNNNNNNNNNNNNNNNNNNNNNNNNNNNNNNNNNNNNNNNNNNNNNNNNNNNNNNNNNNNNNNNNNNNNNNNNNNNNNNNNNNNNNNNNNNNNNNNNNNNNNNNNNNNNNNNNNNNNNNNNNNNNNNNNNNNNNNNNNNNNNNNNNNNNNNNNNNNNNNNNNNNNNNNNNNNNNNNNNNNNNNNNNNNNNNNNNNNNNNNNNNNNNNNNNNNNNNNNNNNNNNNNNNNNNNNNNNNNNNNNNNNNNNNNNNNNNNNNNNNNNNNNNNNNNNNNNNNNNNNNNNNNNNNNNNNNNNNNNNNNNNNNNNNNNNNNNNNNNNNNNNNNNNNNNNNNNNNNNNNNNNNNNNNNNNNNNNNNNNNNNNNNNNNNNNNNNNNNNNNNNNNNNNNNNNNNNNNNNNNNNNNNNNNNNNNNNNNNNNNNNNNNNNNNNNNNNNNNNNNNNNNNNNNNNNNNNNNNNNNNNNNNNNNNNNNNNNNNNNNNNNNNNNNNNNNNNNNNNNNNNNNNNNNNNNNNNNNNNNNNNNNNNNNNNNNNNNNNNNNNNNNNNNNNNNNNNNNNNNNNNNNNNNNNNNNNNNNNNNNNNNNNNNNNNNNNNNNNNNNNNNNNNNNNNNNNNNNNNNNNNNNNNNNNNNNNNNNNNNNNNNNNNNNNNNNNNNNNNNNNNNNNNNNNNNNNNNNNNNNNNNNNNNNNNNNNNNNNNNNNNNNNNNNNNNNNNNNNNNNNNNNNNNNNNNNNNNNNNNNNNNNNNNNNNNNNNNNNNNNNNNNNNNNNNNNNNNNNNNNNNNNNNNNNNNNNNNNNNNNNNNNNNNNNNNNNNNNNNNNNNNNNNNNNNNNNNNNNNNNNNNNNNNNNNNNNNNNNNNNNNNNNNNNNNNNNNNNNNNNNNNNNNNNNNNNNNNNNNNNNNNNNNNNNNNNNNNNNNNNNNNNNNNNNNNNNNNNNNNNNNNNNNNNNNNNNNNNNNNNNNNNNNNNNNNNNNNNNNNNNNNNNNNNNNNNNNNNNNNNNNNNNNNNNNNNNNNNNNNNNNNNNNNNNNNNNNNNNNNNNNNNNNNNNNNNNNNNNNNNNNNNNNNNNNNNNNNNNNNNNNNNNNNNNNNNNNNNNNNNNNNNNNNNNNNNNNNNNNNNNNNNNNNNNNNNNNNNNNNNNNNNNNNNNNNNNNNNNNNNNNNNNNNNNNNNNNNNNNNNNNNNNNNNNNNNNNNNNNNNNNNNNNNNNNNNNNNNNNNNNNNNNNNNNNNNNNNNNNNNNNNNNNNNNNNNNNNNNNNNNNNNNNNNNNNNNNNNNNNNNNNNNNNNNNNNNNNNNNNNNNNNNNNNNNNNNNNNNNNNNNNNNNNNNNNNNNNNNNNNNNNNNNNNNNNNNNNNNNNNNNNNNNNNNNNNNNNNNNNNNNNNNNNNNNNNNNNNNNNNNNNNNNNNNNNNNNNNNNNNNNNNNNNNNNNNNNNNNNNNNNNNNNNNNNNNNNNNNNNNNNNNNNNNNNNNNNNNNNNNNNNNNNNNUCCAUGAAUUUUUCAAUCAUGUCUGAGAAAAUAGCCAUCAUGCAGCGCUGAAAAGUAGCGGGAGCGUUGCAUAAUCCAAAUGACAUCCUUCUGUAUGCAAAGGUGCCGUAGGGGCAAGUGAAAGUGGUCUUCUCCUGAUCAUCUGGUGCCACUGGAAUCUGAUUAUACCCGGAGUACCCAUCUAGGAAACAGUAAUGUGAAUGUCCCGCUAAUCUCUCCAACAUCUGAUUAAUGAACGGUAAUGGAAAGUGAUCCUUUCGAGUAGCUGUGUUAAGUUUACGGUAGUCAAUGCAAACUCUCCAUCCAGUCAUUGUUCGUGUAGGAAUCAACUCAUUUUUUCAUUUUCUAUCACUGUGAUACCCCCUUUCUUGGGAACAACCUGUAUGGCAUUGAUCCAUGCUCUAUCUGAUAUUGGAUAGAUGAUGCAUGCUGAUAUUAGAUAAAUAAUGCCUGCAUCGACCAACUUCAAUAUCUCAGCUCUAACCACUUUCUUCAUGUGGGGAUUCAAUCUCCGCUGUCCAUCAAUGCUUGGUUUAAAUUUUUCCUCCAUGAGUAUCUUAUGCAUGCAUAUAGAUGGGCUGAUCCCCUUUAUAUCUGCAAUCGGCCAUCUAAUAACUGUUUUAUUUUCCCUUAACACCCGAAGUAGUUUCUCUUCCUCUACCUCACUGACAGUGUUUGAAAUAAUAACAGGUAGUGUGGAAGAUUCCCCCAGGUAUGCAUAUCGAAGAUGUGGUGGCAGUUGUUUGAGUUCCAAUUUGGGCGGUUUCACAAUGGAUGGCACUGAUUUUGCAGUUCUAGUUCCCAGCUCUUCAUAGUAGCGUUUGCGCAUAUAUGGCUGGUUAUUCUCCAAAAACCUAGCACAUGUCUCAAUCUCACUUGAUUCAGAAUGGGUGGAUUGUGAAUGUGCAAUGUAUGCCUCAUAUGCAUCGGAAGGAUGAUGUAGCCGAAAUAUGUCUUGAACUAUUCGGUCGACUACAUCGAUCUGGAAACAACUGUCUGCCUCAGUAGGGAAUUUCAUUGCUUUGAACACGUUGAAUGAGAUUUGCUCGUCACCAAGCCUUAAUAUCAGCUGCCCCUUCUGAACAUCUACAAUUGCUCUCCCAGUGGCUAAGAAAGGUCGCCCCAAAAUGAGUGGAACAUCUUUAUCUUCUUCCAUGUCCAAGAUAAGAAAAUCAGCUGGAAAUAUGAACUUCUCCACUUUUACCAGCACGUCUUCAAUGAUUCCUCUUGGAUGUGUAAGGGAUCGAUCUGCUAACUGCAAUGUCACUAUUGUGGCUUUUGCUUCUCCCAAGCCGAGUUUCCUGAAAAUAGAAAGAGGCAUUAGAUUAAUACUUGCUCCCAAAUCACACAAAGCUUUAUCAAAAUAACAGUCUCCAAUAGUGCAGGGUACAGUAAAACUCCCUGGAUCUUUCAGUUUUGGGGGUAGCUUUCUCUAGAUUCUGACGCUGCAUUCCUCAGUCAACAUUACUGUUUCGUGUUCUUCUAUCUUUCGCUUGGUGGAGAGGAUAUCCUUCAAGAAUUUUGCAUAGCUCGGCAUCUGGACAAGUGCUUCAGCAAAUGGAAUGUUGAUAUGCAGUUUCUUGAAGACUUCAAGGAACUUACUGUAUUACUGAUCCAUUUUGUGCUUUCUCAACCUUUGUGGAAACGGAAUAGGAGGCUCAUGAGGGUUAACAGGAUUUGUAUUUUUACCCUGUGAUGUCUUGGAAUUCCUCUUAACCUCAUCUCCUGUUGCAUUGUCAGUUUGCUCCACACUUUCUUCCUCCAAGGUUGGCAUUGAUUCCUUGUUGGCUCCCGAACUUGUUACAUGUGGUUCCGGCAGUUGUACUCCACUUCUGGUUAUUAUAGCCUUUGCAUGUUCCUUGGGGUUAACUUCAGUAUUGCUGGGUAGGUUUCCCGGUGCUCUACCCGUUAUGGAAAUUGCUAUCUGUCCCACUUGUGUCUCCAAGUUCUUGAUCGCUGCACUUUGAUCUUGAAGCGUUGUUUCCGUCCUUCGCAUAAAUUGGUUAUUGGCUUCCAUGUACUGAUUGGUGUGUGUCAUAAAUUUCUCGAACAUAUCCUCCAAAUUUGGCUUUUUGUCUUGCUGCUGAUAUUGCCCUUGUGGUCUAUUUUGAUUCUGGUUGCUCCAAGAGAAAUUUGGGUGUUUUCUCCAGCCUUGAUUGAAAGUUUCUGAAUGUGGGUUAUUCUGCUGGUGCUGACCCCAUUGUGCGAAUUUUGCAUGUUCGACUCCUUGUGCCAGAAUUGGGCAAGUAGCAGUACUGUGAUCUGCUCCACAUUCUUCACAACUCUGCUUCAUAACUUGCUUAGCAGUGGCGGUUUGUGAAAUGCUUUCAACCUUAUGGAAUAAGGAAUCUAUUUUCACCGACAGUGCUGAGUAAGUAUCUACUUCAUACACCCCAGGUGCUCUCUUCUGAACUACUCGAUCUGUAGACCACAUAGCUGAAGUUGUAGCCAUCCUUUCAAACAACUCCCAGGCCCCGUCAAUUGUUCUUGUAGAGAUAGACCCGUUAGCCAUCCCAUGGUAUUGAUGCCCAUUCUGAAACAGUUGAAUCACGUUAGUCUUCAGUUGGAAGUUCGGUUGCCCAAAUGGAGGAUAUACAAUACUAGAUUGACUUUGCACCACCAGUGGUGCCAUGAAAUCCCCAAGUACCAUAUUUCCAUCCUCUUCCACUGCCAAACCUUCGUUGAGUAGAAUUCCCGGUCGAUUUUGCUCGUUAGCCAUUUGCUGUACCACUCUUGCUUCCCUUUGCCUGUGAUGGAAUGUGCGUUCAAUCUCUAGAUCUAUAGGGACCAAGUCUUGAUCAGGUGCUCCUUGCAUGCAAGCCCUGAUAUGGCAAAAUUAACACAAAAAGUCAAUAUAAACAAUAAUUAAAUAAAUCUAAUAAAAUUAGCAAGUACUAAAAUGAAUAAGUUCGAAUUAGUGUCACAAAAGAUAGAAUUAAAUCUAAAAUUUAAUCCCCGGCAACGGCGCCAAAAACUUGUUCGCAAAAUAUUUCUUCUCGAUUUUAAAAACCCACCGCAAGUGUACGAUUCGUUAACAAGUAGUAAAAUGGACUAUGAGUCCAAGUAUCGUUCCCACGACGAUUGAAUUAGCUCUAAUUAAACUAAUGUGACCUUAACCGAAUCCAAUUGAAUGAAAAUUUGGUUUAAAUGUGAAAAACCCUAAUUUUGGGAAAAAUCCCCAAUUUGAAACCCUAAUUGCAAAGAAAACCCUAAUUUCAAAAUUGGAAACCCUAAUUUCGAAAUUUCACUAAUCUAAUGAAAUAAGCACGCAACUGAAAUGUAAAUAUGCAAUUUUAGAACUAUUGUAUUGAAAUGAAUCGAAAUGAAAUCAUUAAGAACUUGAAUCCCCAAUUGAUUAUUAAAAAAAAAACCUAAUUUCACAAAUUCAACGAAUCGAUGGAACAAAAUGCCAAUUCAAUGUUCCUAAAUUAUCCAAUACACUCUCUCGAUAUAUAUUGAAUCUACUCUUACACACCACCAGCCUAUAUUUCUAUGGAUGAUGCAAUGUACAAGAAUGCAUGACUUUUUAUGAACAUUUUCAUGAAUUGCAUAAAGCAUAGAGGUAAGUUUCCAUCCCCUAUCGGACCCUAUGUCGAUUUAUAUUCUAUCGAAUUUAUUCCCCUUCUUUCGAAUGCAAAGAACAAAUCAUCUACAAUCACAUAACAAUUGGCCAAAUAAUUAUGGAAGCAUUCAAAUCAUAUAAAUCAAACAUUUGUCCAAUCGAAACUAUUGUUGAAUUAAUGAAAUAACGGAAAUUUAAAUCAUCAAAAGGUUCAUCAAAUUCCUAAUGAAAAAAAACCCUAGACUAUAACCAUCAUUACAAAAUCAAGAAAUUGAAAAACGAAAUUAAAAGAUAAUAAGAAUACACCCGUAUGGAAUUUCUUCAAUCCGUGUGUAUAAUCUUCAACCCCGUCUUGAGCCCGUGCGAAAUUGAAUCCAAAAUCAAGUUUCUUGCCUCCAAGUUUGGUCUCUCCCUUCUCCCUGGUCGUUCUUCCUCUUAAUAUGAUGAUUUUGGGUAUUUAUAUCGCGUCCAAAUUAAGUAGGGAAGGAGUUUCAACCAAAAUGAAAAACUACGUCCGAAAUUUCAAAACUUAACUAUGCGACAGCAUAGAAGGGAUCUAUGCGGUCGCAUAGAUCAUUUUUUUCUCUCAUUUAAUUCCCUGAAACCUUCUAUGCGACCGCAUAGAAGGUUACACUAUGCGGUCGCAUAGAAGUAGCCAUCUAUGUGGUUUGUGCAAUUUGGUCACUGAACUUCUUUGUUGCUUCUCUUGACUUCUUUCUUCGAUUUCUUCAUCUUUUCAACAAUUCUUAUCUUCCAAUUGAUGAUCGACACUUUCAAAUAUUAUGCCACUCAUUCGGCACAUCUUUUGAGUAUUUGCACUUUAGUCCUCCAACUUUCAAUUAUCUUCAUUUUAGUCCAUCUUCCAUUCUUUCUUGCUCCACUUGUUUUGCUUUGUCAUUGAGCUCAUACUCGGCAUGUUUUUACUCUCGUUCUGCAUUUAGCUCAACUUCUCAAUAAUUGCACUGUUGGUCCUCGAACUAUCAAAUUGUUGCGUUUUGGUCCUUCUUCGGCUCUUUUCUCCUGAAUUCCACAAUUUCCAUUGAAUUACCUACAAUGCAUGAAUUUAACUGGAUUAAGUCACAAUUCGACCAUUUUAUCCAUGUUUAAGUCAUGUUUGUGAACCAAAUAAGUGUGUAAAAACACACUUAUCAAUUACUCUUGAUUUAUAAUUGUCCUUCAUAUAAUUUGGAUAGAUUUCAAUCUUAUAGAGGAUAAUAACUAACACAAUCCUGACCCAAAUCAGCUACUCUAUGUUUGCCUGUAAAUACUUAUGCCAUACACAUAUUUUUACCAUGAACCCCAUUUCCUUAGUUUUAAUUUCAUCCUUUAAGUUCAGUAGAAAUCCCCUAUUAUAUUCAUAUUCUACCAAAAUUAUAAUUCUCUUGCCUCUUUUCCAUCUAUUACUUGCAAUACAAUUCGUAAGCAAGAGAUAAAAGAAAACAAUUGGAACAUGACUCUCGAAUUUCUUUCAACAUUUAUUUGAUAAGGUAGGAUACUAUGUGCAAGUGAUUUAUCCUUGCAAUAUUAUAAUUUUUUUUACGUGAUUUAUUUCAUGAAAUGCUAAUUGACCUGCGGGUCCUUAUGAAAUGAAAUGUGAGAUCUCCUUCGAGUCUUCUCAAAUAUGUUAGAGUGUUCGAUGGAUCAUCGACUGCUCUUUAUGAAAUGAUGAUAUGAAAUGUUGUAAAUUCAUGUUUUAAAAAUUAUCAUAUUGUUUUGGACGCAUGUAUCCUAUUGAGUAUAAAUUACUCACUCCUUCAAUUUUAAAAUUUCAAGUUAGACAAGUCGACGUGGAUAGUGGCUGAGCGGUGCCUGGGUUGCCAAGUAAAGAAACUUGACAAGAAAAUAUUUUAAAAUAAUUCUAUUAGGAUAUUACGUGUUUUGGUUUAAUCCUGUUUAAUUUUCUAUGUUUACGUGACAUUAUUUUGGUAUUUGAUUAUUUAAUCUAUUAAGAGUUUUAAAGUUCCAAUUUAUAUUUUUGCUUGAUGUAUGUUUAUGAAAUGAUAUCCGAAAUACCUCAAAUUCUAGUCGAUAAAAUUUGGGGCGUUACACAAAGUAUCCAAUUGCCAACUAUAAAUAGACUCAAAAAUUGGAGAAACCCUUCAAGGUGUUUGUAUACAGUUUGUCUGCAUGCCAGAUUCCUAAUGGAAUACAACAGGCCUUAGAGGAUCCAAAGUGGGCUCAAGCGAUAAAAGAAGAAAUGGAAGCACUACAAAAAAAUAAAACAUGGAAUCUUCUUCCAUUGCCAAAAGGAAAGAAGACAAUAGGGUGUAAGUUGGUUUUCUCCAUCAAACAUAAGGCUGAUGGGUCCAUUGAAAGAUACAAGGUAAGACUUGUGGCGAAAGGAUAUACACAAACUUAUGGCAUAGACUAUGAAAAGACAUUUUCUCUGGUGGCAAAGCUAAACCAUGUGAGGGUCUUAUUAUCUCUUGUAGCAAAUUUUUUUUGACCACUACACCAGUUUGAUGUAAAGAAUGCCUUCCUUCAUUGUGAUCUUAAAGAAUAGGUUUAUAUGGAUAUUCCACCAGGAUGCAGCAUUUCUUCAAAAUCAGGGGUUGUAUGCAAAUUGCAACGAUCACUAUAUGGACUAAAACAAUCAACCCGCGCAUGGUUUGGUCGUUUUAGCUUGGCUACGAAGAAACGUGGUUUUCAACAAAGCAACUUAGAUCAUACUUUAUUCCUGAAGCAUAGACGGGGAAAGGUAACAACUCUAAUAAUAUAUGUGGAUGACAUGAUUAUUACAAGAAAUGACAUGGAAGAGAUCGACAUGCUUCAAAAAAAUUUGGCAAAUGAAUUUGAAAUGAAGAACUUUGGGGGCCUAAAAUAUUUCUUAGGGAUUGAAGUAGCCAGAUCAAGAAAGGGUAUAUUUUUUUCCCAAAGAAAAUAUGUGUUAGAUUUAUUAUCCUAAGUGGGUCUUCUUGAUUGUAAAUUAGCCAAUACCCCAAUUGCUCAAAAUCAUAAGCUUGGAGAAUACCCGGAUCAAGUCCCAACUAAUAAGGAGAGAUAUCAAAGAUUGGUUGGAAAACUAAUUUAUUUAUCCCACACUCGACCUGACAUUACUUAUGCAAUGAGCAUAGUGAGUGAAUUUAUGCACUCAUCAAGUAAAGAGCAUAUGGGUGCAGUAAUUCGAAUUCUUCGAUAUUUGAAAUCUACACCAGGGAAAGGACUUAUGUUCUUCUAGAACAAUCACCUCAAUGUCGAUGGCUAUACCGAUGCAGACUGGGCUGGUAGCAUAUCUGACAGGAAGUCUACAUCAAGCGACUUUACAUUUGUAGGAGGCAAUCUUGGCAUGUGGAGAAGCAAGAAACAAAAGGUGGUGGCUUUAUCAAAUGCUAAAGCUGAGUUUAGAGGCAUAGCCAAAGGACUUUGUGAACUCCUUUGGCUUAGGAUGUUAUUGACUGAGAUUGGCUUUGCAUCCAAAUCUGCAAUGAACUUAUUUUGCGACAAUAAGGGAGCCGUUGACAUUUCUCAUAAUCCAGUUAAGGAAGAUAGGAUGAAACACGUUGAAGUGGAUCGACAUUUUAUCAAGCAGAAUCUCAAAUCAAAGAUAGUUCUCUUCCCAUUUGUGAAAUCUGAAGAUCAACUAGUAGAUAUACUGACAAAAGCUAUCUCCAGCAAGGUCUUUCACGACUCACUUAACAAGUUGGGCAUUUACAAUAUCUAUGAACCAACUUGAGGAGGAGUGUUGGUGUGAGUUGUCAACAUACCAUAUUGAAAUAUGGUAGGGAUGGGUUAUUCCCCAGCUGUAAUAUAAAAUUCCCUUUGUUUAGCCGGAUUCUCAGCCUAAAAUUGCUCUCUUUAUUUUGCACUCUACACUAUAUGUGUAUGAUUGUAUUCAUUCAGAAAAUAAGAAAAAUAAUCCCUUUGUUAUCAUUACGAAACCCAUAAAACAAAUUAUAUAUCCAGAAAUUAAGAAGAAAAAUUUUAAAUUAUAUGUUAACGGACAUUCUGACAUAUGUACUCACACAAUGUAACAAUGGUUUUGGCGAAUCUUUAUUAUUCCUAGCAACAAUGGAAUAUUUAAUAAGGUGUAUUUAAUGGUACUGAAUAAUAUUAACAAAGUAAUGAUUAUAGGCUACAGAAUUGUUUAUUUUUCUGUCCAAUUUUGCUUGAUACAAAAUAAUAAAAUAUACUAAUAACACACUUGAUAUGCCGAUGUUAUAGCACCAAAGAUAAACUCCUAGAAAAAUUAGAUUGUUUGGCCUCCAUUUCGGUGGGAUAUGUUAGGAUUGUGACUCAAAUAGGAGUUUUGAAGUGGCAUAAUUCGACUUGGACUCUUGAAGCAUUGGAUUAGGGUUCAAGGAAACGAAGUUGAACAAAGAGAGGAGUUCUUGUUCUUCACGGUGAGAUGUAUGCGGUCACAUUCACAUGCCAUCACACCACGUGACCACAUGGUAAAUGGCAGAGAGUUUUCAGCCUCUAUUAUGCAACCGCAUGAGAUGUAAUAUGAGGUUGCAUAGUACAUUUCUAGGCGCCGUCCUUGUUUUUCAAUUUUUAAGCGUUUUAACCAAAUUGUAAUAGAUUUUCUUACCCUUUAGGACUCUGUCAGAGUUUUGAUUGUGUACCAUAAAUAAGAGGCUCCUUUGUUAGUUUAUGUAGAAGCAAUUUUGCUAAAUUGUACUUGUUUUCUCCAUAUUGUUGAAUAAUAAAUAUCAUUCCUCCGCGAUUAAAUCUUUUGGUCUUCUUUACGUUAAAUCUUGUUUCGUGGUGUGAUCUUGAAUACUUCAUAAUUGUCAUUAAAUUUCAUUCUUUACAAUCCAUUUGGGUCCAACAGGAUCCAUCGGAAUGAAUGGGAUGACAAAUUUAACUAAUAUUACAAAGAAAUAUUUUGAACAUUACAUAUAGAUGUGACGACAUAGUUGGUUGGCCCAUCACAAAUCCCUUUGAUAUAUAAUCUUGUAUUCUGAUAAUAUGAUUCUUAGUCAAUGUUGGAUUUUCGAUUAAAAUUAAAAUCAAAUUUUGCUAUCAAAUUAAUUAAUUAGUACUUAGUUUGAUAUAUGAAUAGAACUAUCAAACUUUAGUUUGAUUUGCUACUUUCAUCGUAUCUAAAGUUUUUAAUUUUGUAUAAUAUCCAAAACUUAUUUGGUUUGGUAUUUUAGGAUUAAAUUUAUAACAUAAAACUCAAAACAUAUUUUUUUGAUGUUUUUAGUGUUUUUAGUAAAACCAUAAAACAUGAAAAAUAAAACUAAUCUAAUUCCUCCUUCCUUUAUUUGGAAAAUGACAGAAUUUUUAUUUGCUAAUCGUGUUCAACUAUAAAAUUGCAACUUAUUUCAUUUUUGUCCCUACUUCAUGAUUUUGGUAAUUUUUUGUCCAAAUCUUCAAUAUUGAUCCUAUAACUUUCAAAAGCCUCCACAUUGGUCCAUGAACCUGAAUAAUCUUUUAAAAUUUGUACUCCAAAAGUUCUACAAAUGUGCAAUUUAGUCUUGAUUUUUCGAUAAAUUGUAUUUCACUCCUGAUUUUUCCCUAUUACUUAUAAUUAAUCCUCUACAAUCCUCUUAGCCUUCAUUUCCUCCAAUUCAACUCCAGUCAGGCUAAAAUGAUUCAAUAUUUGUUUGUAUUUUAUUUUUGUAGUGGAAUUGUUUUUUAAGAUUCAUUAACUUUAAAAUUAUAUAUUCCUUGAUGAUAUAUUAGCAUAAAAUUUUCCUAUUUUUCUGAAUAAAUUCAGUGAAUAAAAUGUCAUAAAAUAAUUUCUAGAAAUUCCAAACUAAUUAAACCUGCUUUUCAGUUUUCUGCUUUGAGCAACAGUUUUCAGGAUCACAAACCGCUGCUACCUUUCCAAUCUUAUGUUUCUCCAUUGGUAAUAAAAGUUAGAUUUUGACAUUGUUGAAUUUUAAAGAAGACAAAGUCUUCACACAAUAAAACUAGAGAGCAGAGAACCUAAUUGCUUCUUGGUGUGUUUAUUCAUCAAUCAAAUGGCCUUUAUAUAGGCAUUAACACAACAGAUAAAAGCAAGAAAAAAGGAACUGACUAACAAAUCCUAUAGACUUGGUAAUUACAAAACUAACUAGCUAAUGAUACUAAAGAUUAGGUCAACAUGUAAAUUACUUAUUCAACAAUCCCUCCCUUAAAUUCAUGUUUAUAAUAUCAUUUAUUUCUUCAGCGUGCAAACUCCAAGCAAUUUUCCCAGCUUUUGAAAUGCAUCCAAUUUAAUGGUGUGAGAAAUAGAGUAGCAGGUGCCUAUGCGCCAUGAGUGGGCGCCUAGGUGCCCCCUAGUUCUGUUGAAGCAGAAACUAGGCACUUAGGUGCCAUGUGUGGGCGCCUAGGCACCCAAUUUCUACAAAGUGGGCAGAAACUUGGCGCCUAGGCGCCCGAUUUAGCUAUAUAUAGAGCUGAUUUUUCCUUUCAUGAUCGAUCCGAUUUUUAGAGAGAAAAUAGAAGAGAGGGCUUGGAGAGAAUUUAACAAGAAAGAUGUUGUUCUUUUUGGGUAUAAAUUCAAAGCUCUUUUUCUUUCUUGGGAAUUAACUUGAGGCUUGUUCAAGUAAUCAAAAUCUAUUGUUCAUCAUAUAUAUUGAAAAUCAUUUCUUCUCCAAUUUUCUUUUCUUUUCUUUUCAUCUUCAAGUGGUUGGGAUUUUCACAUUACAAGUUUAUUUGAUUUUGGGCAAUCUUAGGAGGUGUUUCUUCCCAACAAUUUGGUAUCAGAGCUUCUUCUUAAAUCAGGGUGGUUAAGCUCCGAUUUUUUGGUGGUUGGCUUGAACUUUGUUGUGCACACAAGGUGUUUGUGAAAAUUUCCAAGUGAACUUUGUUGUUUUAUUUUCGGUAAACAAGUAGAUAAAUCAUGUCUACUAGAGGAAUGGUGAAGAUUGGGAAGUAUGAGAUAGAUAAAUUCAAUGGAAAGAAUGACUUCUCAUAUUGGAGAAUGCAAAUGAGAAAUUUGUUAAUUUCUCAAAAGUUGCACAAGGCAUUGGCGGGAAAGGAGAAGAAGCACAUAGAUAUGUUUGAUGAGGAUUGGGAAGAUCUAGAUCUUGAGGCACGAGCGUCUAUCAUUAUUUGCCUUGAAAGAGAUGUAGCUUUCUUGGUUGAUGGUGAGGAAACGGCGGCGGAGGUGUGGACAAAGUUGGAGGCAAACUUCAUGACGAAGACUCUAACAAAUCGGAUUUAUUUGAAGUCCAAAUUGUAUACUUGCAAGAUGGAUGAAGGUACACGAAUCUGGGAGUACGUCAACAAGUUUGAUAGGUGCAUAUCAAACUUGAAGGACAUUGAUGUGAAAGUAGAUGAUGAGGAUCAAGCACUUCUACUACUUCUUUCAUUGCCUAAGUCUUAUGAGCACCUAGUACAAACAUUGAUGCUUGUAGGUGAUAAACUUGUGAUGGAAGACACUUGAACGUCACUUCUAGCGGAUGAUCUUCGAAAGAUUGCAACUAGUGGCAUGUCUACCAUUGGUAAUAAGGAGCAAGCUCAAGGAUUUUUUGUAAGAGGUAGAAGCAACGUGCAACCAAAGGGCAAGGGAGAAAAGUCUAGAUCGAGUUCUAGACCUCUUGCGGAAAGGCCUUGUUUCAAAUGCGGCGAGCUUGGGCAUUUCAAGGCGAAUUAUACUAACAACAGGGGUUGGAAGAAGAACAAUAAGAGCAACAAUAACGGGAAGGUGCAAGUCAAGCAAGAGGUUAGCUAUGCCUCGGAAGAAGGGGAAAGCGAUGAGUGCUACACCAUCUCUUGUGAUGAAGAAAUCUCCGGUAAGUGGAUCUUGACUCUGGAUGCUCUUACCAUAUGUGUCCAAAUAGGAAGUGGUUUACUAGCUAUAGAAGCACUGAUGGUGGAACCGUGUUGAUGGAUAAUAACCAUUCCUGAAAAAUAGUGGGGGCUCGGUUCAAUUAGAAUCAAGAUGUAUGAUGGAGUGGUUAGAACAUUGAUUGAUGUUAGACAUGUUCCUGAUUUGUGAAAGAACCUUAUCUCUGUUGGUGCUUUAGACUCUGGUGGUUCCAAGAUUGUAACAUGGAAUGGCGUAAAGAAGGUUGUUUGUGGUUCUUUGAUUGUGAUGAAGGGUAUUCGUGAAGGCAAUCUCUAUGUUCUUCAGGGUACUACAGUUACAGAAGAUGUAGCGGUUGGAACAAGUGGAAGUGGUGGAGACCCAUGUGAGUGCACUCGGCUAUGGCAUAGGAGGCUUGGAAAUAUGUCUGAAAAGGGGUUAGAUCUGCUAGUCAAGAAAGGUUUGCUAAAGAACUUGAAUAAGCCUUACAUGGAUUUUUACGAGCAUUGCGUGUACGGUAAAGCACAUCGAGUUCAGUUCCAGCCAAGCAAACAUAGAAGCAGAGGUAUUCUAGACCAUGUGCAUACGGAUGUAUGGGGUCCAGCUUCUGUCACUUCCGAAGGCGGUUCUAGGUAUUUUGUGACAUUUGUUGAUGAUUAUUCUAGAUAUGCUUGGAUUUAUUUUUUGAAGCAUAAGAAUGAGGUAUUCGACACUUCAAGAAGUGGAAAGCAAUGGUUGAAAACAAAAUAGGAAAGAAAUUGAAGACACUGCGAUCUGAUAACGGUACUGAGUAUACAGAUGGUGCUUUCAAGGAGUUCUAUGGUAAGGAAGGCAUUGCGAGACACUGGACAGUUAGGAAUACACCACAAUAGAAUGGGGUCACAGAAAGACUGAAUCGCACAUUUCGAGAUAAAUCGAUGUGUAUGCGAUCCUAUACUGGUUUGGGCAGAGUUGGUUGCAAAUGCUUGCUACAUUGUGAACCGAUCUCCACAUUUAAAGUUAAAUGGAGAUGUACCUUACAAGGUAUUGACAGGAGAACAUGUAGAUUAUGAGAAACUCAGAAUAUUCGGAUGCACAGUCUACUAUCACGUCAACGAGGGAAAGUUUGAUGCAAGGGCCAAGAAGGGUAUAUUCUUGGCAUAUGCAGUACGUGUAAGUGGCUAUCGCCUAUGGUGUGUAGAGGAUUCUAAGUUCAUAAUCAACAGAGAUGUUACUUUUGAUGAGAACUCCAUGAUAGCUUCGUUGAAUGCUACAGUGCCCACUGGUGAUGAUGUUGAGACUACAAAGUCUCAAGUUGUUGACAUAGAACAUAGAGAUCAACCUGGUUCCAAUCAUGUUCAAGAGGAGCACCAUGUAGACACUCAAGAUGAGAGUGAUGAUGAUGAGCUUGAACAAGAGGCGGUUCAGCAAGAGAAUAUACAGGCACAUCAACAAUAGCAGCUUGCAGAUAACUUGGCUUCCUCUAGGCCACGGCGUACUUACAAGCAAGUUCUAAAGUUGGGGUCAGACGAGCCUUUGAGGCACUAUGGGCAGAUAAAUUUGGUUGAGUAUGCACUCUUGGUGGAGGAUAAUGAGCCUGCCACUUUCAAGGAAGCUAUUUUAAACAACAAUAGUAAGAGUUGGUUGGCAACGAUGGAAGAAGAGAUGGAAUCACUUCACAAGAACCAAACAUGGGAGGUUGUCCUAUUGCCCAUAGGUAAGAAAGUUAUUGAUUGGAAGUGGUUGUACAAAAAGAAAGAUGAUCCUACCAAGCUCGGUGGUACAAGAUUCAAAGCAAGGUUAGUGGCUAAGAGGUUUGCACAAAGAGAGGGAGUUGACUACAAUGAGAUCUUUUCUCCGGUGGUCAAGCAUACUUCCAUUCGGGUGCUAUUGAGUAUUGUUGCUCAUCAUGAUCUUGAGCUGGAACAACUCGUGUCAAAACCGCCUUCUUGCACGGGGACUUGGAUGAGGAAAUCUAUAUGCAUCAACCUGAGGGCUACAAGGUUGAGGAUAAGGAACGUCAGGUAUGUCGCUUGAGAAAAUCACUAUAUGGAUUGAAACAAUCUCCUCGGCAAUGGUACAAGUGAUUUGACUCCUUCAUGCUAAAGCAUGUUUCUCCAGAAGUGAGUAUGACUGUUGUGUUUAUAUUCGAAAACUUCGGGGAGGUAACUAUAUCUAUCUUCUUUUGUAUGUGGAUGACAUGCUUAUUGCUUCGAAAAGCAAGGUAGAGAUAGAUAGGUUGAAAUCUCAACUUGGUAAAGAGUUUGAGAUGAAGGAUAUGGGGGCUACUAGGAAAAUACUAGGUAUGGAGAUUAGAAGAGAGAGGACGAACCGACGAAUUUUCUUAAGUCAGAAAGGCUACAUUGAGCGGGUUAUUGCUAGGUUCGGGUUGCAAGGUGCAAAGUCGGUGGUGACUCCAUUGGCUCCACAUUUCAGGCUCUUUGGUAAACAAUAUCCUACUACAGCGGAAGAAAAAGGUACGCAUGGAUCGUGUACCUUAUGCUAGUGUAGUUGGCAGUUUGAUGUAUGCCUAGUGUGUACACGCCCAGAUAUUUCACAGGCGGUUAGUGUGGUCAGUAGAUUCAUGGCGAAUUCGGGGAAGGCACAUUGGGAAGCUGUGAAGUGGAUCCUGAGGUACUUAAAAGGUACCGCAGAUAUGGGUUUAUAUUUUGGUGGAGAUGCAUGUCAGAUAAGUGGGUUUUUGGACUCGAAUUAUGCAGGUGAUCUAGAUAGACGACGAUCUACUACUGGAUAUGUGUUUUGCAUACAUGGUGCCCCAGUUAGUUGGCGAUCGAUGUUACAGGCUACAGUAGCUCUUUCUACUACAGAGGCCGAGUAUAUGGCCAUGGCAGAGGGAGUGAAGGUAGCAUUGUGGUUGUGGGGUCUUCUAGAUGAUUUGGGGAUUGAGCAGGAUUGUGUGGACUUGUGGUGUGAUAGCCAGAGUGCGAUUCAUUUGGCUAAGAAUUAGGUUCAUCAUGCUUGAACUAAGCAUAUCGACGUCAGGUAUCAUUUUGUGCGUGAUGUCAUAGAGGAAGGUGAUAUUUCUCUCUUGAGGUACACACAAAUGAGAACCCAGCAGACAUGUUAACCAAAGUGGUAAUGGGUAGCAAGUUUCAGCAUUGCUUGGACUUGCUUCACAUUAGUCCAUGCUGAUAUGCCCGAGUGGGCAUGGCCUUUUGGGGUGGGGUUGAAAUGAGGUGAAGAGUAUAUGAAGAUGGAGGUGAACUACGAAGGCUUGAUCCCGAGUUUUGGGUACGUAGGCAACCAUGGUUUGAAUGGUGCAGCCGAGUUUGGCGCUUGUUGCUUCUUCUUGUGUUCGUCCAAAAUUUGAGGUCUAUCAAAUGAUGUACAAAGUGGAGAAUUGUGAGAAAUGGAGUAACAGGCGCCUAGGCGCCCCCAGUUCUGCUGAAGCAAAAACUGGGCGCUUAGGCGCCAUGUGUGGGCGCCUAGGCGCCCAGUUUCUCAAAGUGGGCAGAAACUUGGCGCCUAGGUGCCACUCAUGGGCGCCUAGGCGCCCGAUUCAGCUAUAUAUAUAGCUGAUUUUUCCUUUCAUGAUCGAUCCAAUUUUUAGAGAGAAAAUAGAAGAGAGCGCUUGGAGAAAAUUUAACAAGAAAGAGGUUAUUCUUCUUGGGUAUAAAUUCAAAGCUAUUUUUCUUUCUUGGGGAUUAACUCGAGGCUUGUUCAAGUAAUCCAAAUCCAUUGUUCAUCAUAUAUAUUGAAAACCAUUUCUUCUCCAAUUUUCUUAUCUUUUCUUUUCAUCUUCAAGUGGUUGGAAUUUUCACAUUGCAAGUUUAUUUGACUUUGGGCAAUCUUGGGAGGUGUUUCUUCCCAACAAAUGGCUUUUGUAAACAUAUCAGCAACUUGAUCUUCUCCUUUGCAGUAAAUAAGAUCAAUGGUUUCAUCAAAAUGAUACCUUCCAUCAAUAUGUUUGCUUCUUCCAUGUAGAACAGGAUUCUUGGACAACUUUAUAGCUGAAGUGUUAUCACAAUAGAUGUGAGUGGGUCCUUCUUGCUUGAAACAGAGAAACUCGAGUCCUCCUUAGCCAAAUUACUUAGCAUGCACAUGCCGUUGCUGCCACAAACUCUGCUUCUAUAGUUAACAAUGUUACAAUAGCAUGCUUUCUUGAAGACCAUGAGACUGCUCCUGUCCCAUCAUAAACCAGAUGUGCUUUUUCUAUCCUCUGGAUCACCAACAUAGUCACUAUAUGUAAAACCAAAUAAAUAUGAUUUUUCACCUCUUUCGUAAAGCAAACCAUAAUCAGCGGUGCCUUGUAAGUAUUUGAAAAUUCUUUUCGAAGCCAAGAGAUACAUCUCCUUUGGACACUUUAUCUCUUCCCUUAGGUCCUUUGAUGAGCUUCACAUUUAUUUUUGUUGGUGUGCUAACACGAUUACAUUCAUUCAUUCCGAACUUGUCAAGAAUUUCUAGCACAUACUUUUUCUGAAAGAUAAAAAUGCCAACAGUAGAUUGAACCACCUCUAUGCCAAGAAAGUAAUGUAUCAUGCCAAGAUCAGACACAUCAAAUUCAAUCAUCGUGGACUUCUUAAAAUUCUUAAACAUGACUUGAUCAUUUCCAGUGUAGAUUAAGUCAGCUACAUACAAGCAAACCAUGAGAAUCUUGCCAUUAUCCUCCUAUUUCAUGAUAAGUGUGUGUUCAUAAGGACAUUUUUUAAAUCCUUCCUUCAAAAAAUAAGCUUCGAUACGAUUGUACCAAACUCGUGGGGUUUGUCAUAACCCAUAUAAAGCUUUUUUUCAGCUUAAGCACUUUACAUUCUUUUCCAAUCUUAACAUAUCUGGGAGGUUGAUUAACAAAUACUUGCUCUUCCAAGUCUCCAUGUAAGAAUGCUGAUUCAACAUCUAGUUGAAAAAUACACCAACAAUUUUGUGUUGCUAAUGCAAUCACCAAUCUGAUUGUGUCGUACUUUACAACUAGAGCAAAAACUUCUUUGUAGUCGAUGUUGAACUCUUGUUUGUAGCCUUUGGCAACCAAGCGCGCCUUGUAUUUAUCAACUUCACCAUUUUCUUUCAGGUUUUUCUUGUAGACCCAUUUUACACCAAUAGUCUUCUAUCCUUGAGGAAGUUCAGUCAAUGUCCAAGUAUUAUUAUUUUCAAUGGCUAUAAUUUCAUCAUCCAUUGCCUUUCUCCAUUUUGAUUGUUUGACAGCUUCUUCAUAAAUUAUAGGAUCACAAUCUGAAAAUAGAACAAAGUGUGCAAGUGAGUUCUCGAAUUGGUCAAUCCCCGUGAACUCAUAUUCAGCCAUCCAUGUGGGUUUUCUUUGGAAACGUUCUGAUCUUGGUAUGCUAUGGACCCUUCUUGGAUAACUGUGGGUUGUGGUUCUUGCUCUACAAUCUGCCGCCCUUCAAUAUGCUACUGGGAUUGGUAUGUAAAAAUAGAAUAUAUGAUUAGUGUUUGCCAGUAUGAUACUGGGAUUCGGUUGGAGAGGAAGAUGAUGGUGGUGGUGGCAAAAAUUCAAAUUUAAGUGGUUGGUGAUGGGUAGAGUUGAUGGUGGAGGUGGUGACAGUGAUGAGAGGCAAGGCAUGGCAAAAAUGCCACGUAUAGGGCCUGGGCGACUAAUUAAGCGAUUAACAAAAGUGUUGACUGCUUAAGGUGCAUCUAGGUGUUCAUUAUUAUUAUUAUUAUUUUCAAUUCUUAAAACUAAAAAGGCUUUUUUCUUCGCUUUCUUGUUUGCCUUAUAAGUUAAAACAUAGCCAAUGAAGAGAGAAAGAGUCGCUUGAACAAAAGAAAAGUGCCAAAAAUUCCUUUCUCCUCCAAAUUCAAUAUCCACUUCGGCACUUGCUAUGUUAAUUAAGCUGGUAAGAUCUCUAUCUCCAUCUUCAUCUAGAGAAGAAACCCGCUAUAAGUGGGAAUAAAAAUCGAAUUCGGAUUUAUGCCUAGAAGAAAAGUGCUAUUGAAAGUUCUGUAAUAAAGUCAGUUUGUGUCUUUUGCCACUUUGCUUCAUGUUUCUUACCGUAUUAUUAAGACUAGUAAAGUUUUCUGUUUGAUUAGGUUCAAUGGUAAGUUUAAGGAUGGUCUUUUUUGCACUAAUUAAAGAAACAGGUGAUUUUGGAAUACGAUAUGCAUUGCAUUUUAACUGCUGCAGAUCAUAGCAUCAAAUAUGUGGUGUCCUGUUCACUGCCGAAUUGUUGUUAGUUUUGUUUACGUACUUCAAUUUAAAUACAAGCGGGGUAUUGUUCACUGGUUGUGUUUUAUUGUUUGCUUCUUAAUGUGUAUCUAUGUUCACUGUUAUGUAACCUUCUUAAGUUUCCGCAUAUAAACCCUUGGAGAAUUUGAGUGUAUGAUUAACUUAAUUUAAAAAUUCAAUGACAUCAAAAUUCAAUGCUAGUCAAAUAAAAAGGGAUUCCAAAGAUGUUGGAUGGGAAAUCAUGAUUUUUGCAGAUCCUAAAAAUCUUAAUAAUAUGAAAUAAUUUUUGCAAAUCCUAAAAAUCAUAAUAAUGUGAAAUGCAUAUUAUGUGAUAAUGUUACUAAGGGGGGAAUUUCUAGGCAAAAAAUUCAUAUAGCAGGAAUCAAGGGAAGAUGUGGUAUAUAUAUCAUGUCCUAGAGCAAGUUAAGAACGAAAAGCCAAGUGUGUUGAAGCUAUUCAAGGGAUGAAGUCUAAAACAAUAGAGAAGCUAUUGAAUGAUGUUAAGUUGAGGGAAGAUGUGGGUUGUAUCUUUGCCAGCAAUACAACAUGAAGAAGAUGAAAUUUCUAUUGGGACUAGGAUAAUGCCUAUUAAUGUGGGGCCUACAAAUCAAUUUGCAAGAUCUAUCAAUGUCAAUGAUGCUUCUAUGAGUGCAAGUAAGAAACUAAGACAACAAAAUGUGAAUGAUGCAAUUUAUAAAAAAAAUGGUUUUUAAGGUUCAUUGAUACUUCACAAGAUGAGUUUAUGAAGCUGGAAUUCCUUUUAAUGCCAUUGACAAUGAUAGUUAUUAAACUAAUUGUGGAAGCUCUUGGUCAAUAUGGCUUGGCUUACCUUCCUUCUUCCCAAUACCAAGGGAGCACUUUUAAAGGGAGAAGUGCAAAGGUCAAAAGAAACAAGAAAAAUGUGGAAAAAUAAUGGGUGUUAAAUCAAGACUUAUGCUUGGAGUGAUAAGAAAAGGAGAAGCAUCAUGAAUUUGUGUGUGUAUUGUAAAUUGGGGACCACAUUUAUUUCAUCAAAGGAAGCUUCAAAUGAUGCCCAUACCGGUGAAUUUAUAUUUGACUAUUUCAAUUAAAGAUGUUGGGGUCGAAAAUGUGGUUCAAAUUGGGACCGACGAUGCCUCCAAUAAUAUGGCCACCGCAAAAUUGUUGGAAUUACAAAGGCCUAAAAUGUUUUGGACAUCAUGUGCCACUCACACUUCUUAUGCAUGAAGGAAUCUCUAAACUUCCUAGCUUCAGGGAAGUGAUUAACAAGGGAAAAUCAUUCACUAUAUUCAUUUAUGCACAUCACAAGACUUUGGCGCUGAUGAGAAAGCUCACAAAAAAGAGAUAGUUAGGUCGGGAGUCACUAGAUUUGCAUCUUCUUUAUUAACAGUGCAAAAUUUGCUUGAUAAAAAACAAUAGCUGAGAAAUAUGAUGAUUAGCAAUGAAUGGGAUAAGAUAAAAUGGUCUAGGUAUAAAGAGGAAAAAGAUGCAUUUCAUAUUUUUGUUAUGAAUGAUCUUUGGAACAUGGUAAAGUCUUGUUUGACAGUAUUCACUCCUUUAGUGAAAGUGCUUAGAGUUGAUUGUAGAGAAAAAAAGCCUUAAAUGGGCUUUUUCAUGUAGAGCUACUAAUGACAAAGGAUGACAAUUAAAAGAUAUCGAAGAGGGAGCAUCAGAAUGUACCUUUCUUUUUCUUCUUCUUCCUCAACCUUUGUGUGUGUGUGUGUGUGUGUGUGUGUGUGGAUAUACACCAAGGAAAGGAAUAAGCUUGACACUAAAAGGGUGAACAAUAUUGUUUAUGUCCAAUUUAAUGCAAGGCUGGUGAACAAAAAGAAGAGAAAACACAAAAUAGAUAUCUUACAACCUACAAGAGGUACUAUAAAUGCUCAAAAUGAAAUAAAGGAGCUUGAGGAAGAAGAUUUUGUAUUGGACAACAUGGAGGAGGAACUAGAUAAAGAAGAUGAUAUUGAAUUAGAGUUUGGUAAACAUGUAGAUAAGAUUUAAGUUUCUAUGAUAUCUACAUUAUGUAACUAUUAUUUUGAUACUUAUCUUUUUGUAUUAUUAGUUAGAUGCUUGGUAGGUAUUAUUUUAAUUAUUAAAUAAUUUCUAGAUUGAUUAAAAAUUAAAAAUAAUAUUAAAAUAAGAAAAUAAAUUUUUUUUUUCACUCCUAUCAUUGCCUAACCCAAAGCUUGACCUCUACACAGCCACACAUUAUACCUUUUAGAUUAGAGGUUGUCAGAAGCAGUGGAACAAUGUGUUAUAAAUGUAAUACAAAUUAUUAUAAGUGGCAAAGGAGAGAAACGCUAUCUAUACAAGUGGUGGUGACGAUAACGAUGGCCAUGAGUAAGAUAUUAUAUUACAAGUGUAGCAUAAUUUCUUACAGGUGGUGGUGACGGUGGACAGAUGUGGACGAAUGUGACAAAAUAUAUUAUUGUUAGAAAGUGUAGCAUAAAAGAAAAUUAAAAAUAAAUAUUGACAAAAAAAAGUUGGACGACAAGUUGAGAAACCGUUUGAUAUUUAUGUUUAUUUUUGUAAAGUACCCUAUUUUAAUGUGGCCCUUUGAGCCGUCAUUUUCUGGGUUGUGUUUCUUUUAAAUGAAAUUUACACUACACAACCUUUUAAAUAAAAUUUCCAACCUAUUUUAUUACUAAGAAUACUAGAAAUAGUAUAUUUGGUAACUUAAAAAUCACAUAACUCCUUAAUAUAAUUUGGGAUAAUUAUAUUCAUACCACAAUUUUUUUUUCUUGCUCCACAGUUUAAUUUACUUUAAGUUUUUAAUCUUUACUCAUUAUAGUACUGAUGUACCUAAUGAUUUUUAAAAUCAUUCUUAUAAUCAAACAUUUCAUUAGUUAACACAAUUUGUAUUUAAUAACAGUUUUAUUUUCAAAAGUCCGUUGAAAUUACGCAAAACAACUUAUUUGUUGUCAUAUAUUUUUAAUAAUAAAUAAAUAAAAAGUGCUAAAAAUAUUUUAUUUCCUCAUUUCAAAGCAUAAAAAUAAAAUAUUUUGAUAUAAAUCAUGAUCAAGGAUGAAUCUUAAUUUCACAUACAAUAAUAUUGCUCCAUUUUAAUCCCGUAUCUUUUACCCCAACUUUCAAUUCCAAAAAAAAAAAAAAAAAGGGUCAACAACCUAUAUUUUACUUCAAUUUCUUCAUUGAUUGUGAGAAUAAAAAAUCGAUUGUUGAGUGGAGAUCUUUCUUUUCCAUAUAUAUAUUAGGAUCUCCAAAGAUCCAUUGAAGAUUUUUGUCCAUGGUUUAGUCUAAGCAUCAUCAAACCUCUGUUCUGCUUCAAUUUAUUCGUCAAUUGUGAUAAUCAGACAUCAAUUGUUGGCCUGGAGAUAUUAUUUUUCAUGUGCACCGAGAUAUUCAAGGAUCAACGGAAGACUAUUCUUCCAACAUAGUGCAUCCAACCUCUAGAUAAGAAUUCGUUCUUAGGGAUUUCUGUCAUAUAUCAUACUUUUAGCCACUAGGUAAAGUGAUUUCACCCCACGAAGUAGCUAUAAAUAUUGUGAAAUGGAAACCCUAAAAUACAUUUCAACCAUGGGUUCUGACAAGAAUAAGUCGUCACACCAUCACUAGCAGACACAAGGGGUGGCAGGGGGUCAUGUGACCCCCAACUUUUGGACAAUUUGUUUUUUAUGGGAUAAGAAACAAAGUUGAAAUAUUACAUUCUUAGCACCUGUCUAACUGGUAUUAAAAUCAUAUUUUUAUUAUAUUUUGAUAAAAGUUGAUGAAAUGUGUGGUUGAAAAGUUUUGGGUUCCAUAAAAUUUGUGGUUUAAAUUAAUUGUUGAUUUUGACUUAAAUUGAAAUUUAGAUUUUAAUUUAUACCAAACAAGGACUUAAUACUAUUUCAAAGUGCUCAUGGCUUAGUUUUUCACGUCAUUAAUGGCACAUGAAACAAUCAAUCGUAGCUAAUAUUGGGGCUAUUCAAAGUACAUCGUUUCAAAUUAGUAUUUCGAGAAUUUCGAUAACAUGCUUUUAAAAAUUAUUCGACGAUUGCACGCUAGUCGAAUUUUCAGAAUUGACUACAUGAUCUUGAAGCUUUUCGAGAACUACAUUAUAGACAUAUCGAACCAUCCAAAUGGAUAUUGAAAAUAGUUAAAGGUGCAUCAAAUGUAUGUCUUGAAAUUUUAAAUUUUUUGAAUUGUCUCAUUAAUUUUUAUUAUUAAUUAUAACCUACAAAUUCUCAAUUUAAUUUACACAAUUUUAUUAGAAAAUUUUAUACGGGGUAUGCGUCAAUUUUUUUUGAAGUUUUACAUUCGGAAAAGUCAUAUCCUAUAUAAAUUUUACAUGGGGUAUGAUUUUUUCAGAUGUAAAUUUUCUAAUAUAAAUUCCUCACAACUUUUUUGUAAGUUUAAUUAUGUCCCCUAAUUUAAAUUCCUUCAAGAAGUAUUAUUUGCUCAAUAAGUAAUAUCCCACAUGGAAAGGGUUAGUGUUUGUGGCUUGCCCGAAACUAACCGCUCACAACAAGGAGUUGUAUAGAAGAUUACUACAAUCAACCAUUCAUGUUCAGUCGUGCUACGUAUACAUAAUGGUUUAUAUAAUAGUUUACAUAUACAUGAUGUGGUAAAAUAUGAUUGGGUUAGAAUUUCUUCAACUGAAUAAAAAGCUUCUUCACUUUCUUUUUGACACAUCAUCUAUAUAUAAAUUAUUAUAUAACUCAAUUAUGUACCGGUUGCAUUAUUCAUUCUGAUUCAGCAUGGCACCUUGACGAAUGUAGCCUAGGCCUGCCCCCAACCCAUAUACAAAAUUAAGAGUAAAAUUUUAUUUUUGGGCCCAAAUAUUUAUGUGUAGCCUGACUCUACUCGAGUCCCAAACAACUUGCCCCCAACCCAGAUACAAAAUUAAGUGAAAAUUUUAAAUUGGGAAAAUUACACCUAGACACGUUUUUUUUAAAUUUCAAAUACAAUAAUCAGGCUUUAACUUUAUUAUUUCACAAAUCGGGUUAUAAUUUAAUUAUUUAGUAUUAAAUUUUUAACAUAAUAUUACUAAUUAAAAUUAUUUUACAGUCAUUAUCCCUACAAUGGGGGAGAGAAAUUAUUUAAAGCAUUUCAAAACACUAUUCUUCUACCACAUCCAUUGAGAGGAAGAUUAUGGAUCCUAUUUCAAUUGAUUCAUCCUCGUUCGUUGAGGAAGAGUAACAAUUGGAGGACUUCAUCGCUGUUCGUCCACAAUUUCCCAUUUCCUAAUGUUCAGGAUACUGUUAAAUAUUUUGAAUUAAUAUUUCAAACUUUUUUUCAACCAUAAAUCUAUAAAAAUUCGACUUAAUGGGUUCGGCCAAAGAGAAUUACUCUAAAUUGCUAUAAAAUGGGGAAAACUAAUCAUGGAUUGGUUUUUUUUAUUGAGAAGAAAGGCGAGAAUUGCUUCCAAGUAUUUUUUAUGGCCCUUAGAAAAUGCGUUCGAGGAUUUCGAAAAGCGAUGCGACCCCUAAUUCUAGUCAACAGUACAACCUUUAAGAUUAGAUACGAAGGCAAGUUGAUUAUUGCAACAUAUCAAGAUACUACUUUCAAAUUUACCCUCUUACAUUCAGCAUAGUUGAGGAGAGAAUGACUUAGCGAUGCGUUGGUUCUACACGAAAUUGAGGGAAGUAAUUGGGGAUGUUGAGAACUUUGCAUUCACAACUAUCUAGAGGCAGUUAAUAAUAAAUGGUAUUGCAGAAAUCUUUCCCGAAGCACAUCAUGAUUAUUGUAUGUACCAUAUAUAGGGCAACUUAAAGACUAAGUAUCGGGACAGUGGUAUUGUCGAAUUGUUUAGGAAAGCUGCAGAGGCAUAUAAUUUUGAAGAGUUUGAUAAGCUCAUGGUCAAAAUAAAAAAUAAAUUACGUGUUGUAUAGGAUUAUCUAACAGAGAUGAUGAUCGAACAUUGGGCACAAUCACGUUUUUCAAGACGUCGAUAUAAUAUGAUGACGUCAAACAAUGUGGAGUCACUUAAUGCAUUAUUUAAUAAGGAUCGAGAAUUACCAAUUCCUACAAUGAUUUAGCCCAUUCAUAACAAACUACUUAGUGGUUUCAUAAUCGGCGUGAGGAAUCCCGACUUAGGAAGAUAAGAUUUUAGAGAUGGUGAGAAAGGUAUGUGUGGAACCAUUGGAUCAAUUUGACUUCUCCAUGAGAUAUGGACUUGAAUGAUAGCACGUGCAUAUGUAGAAAGUUUCAAUUGGAGAAUUUUCCAAUCACGCACGUAGUGACAGUGGCUAUGCACAGAGGAUUUUUAUCACACACCUUAUGCAGUUAUUAUUAUAUAGCUUAUUAUUGGAGAGCAACGUAUACUGAAACGAUAUUUCCUAUACCAAAUAAAGUCGAGUGAAAAGUUCCCAACUACAUUAUCCCACUUAAUAAUUUGUUGCCAUCCAAAGUCGGAGCAUGUACUCCUGGACGUAGACGUACAUCUAGGAUACCAUCUACUGGAGAAUUUUUUCAAUCUCGUAAAUGCAGUAGGUGCGACGCAAUAAGGUAUACUUGCCGAUUUUGUACAAGCAAGAUUCCUCUAUAUAACAAUUCAAUGAAUGCGUAAUACAAUACCCAGAAUUUUUAUUUACUAUUUUCAAAUGGGCCUAAAUUUAAAGUUAGUUAUUUAGUAAGUGGAAUAGUUCAUUAUUCUUUCUAUUAUUAAUAACACUUAAUUUUUAUUUAUUUUCACAUUCUAUCAUUAAUUAAUAGUUUUUUUUAUGUUCGAGCAUUUGACAUCCUAUAUUAAAUUUAUAUUGAUGGUUGAAAUCGCAGUAUUUUUAGCUAUUUGUUUGCUUAUACAAUCAAGUUUAUUGUCGUAAAAAAAAUAAGAAGAUUUUUAGUUAUUUGUUUGUUCAUACAGUCAAAUAUGCUCCGAAUCACACAUACAGUUGUGCUACAACACAUGACACAAUGAAGUCAACAAUAUUUAAUUAUUUUUAAUAAAAUAAUACAUAAUGUACUAAGGAUCACAAUUGUAUGCAUACAAAUUGCAAGUUAACUUCAAUCUCUACAAAUCUAUGCAAGGUUGGUUUAUUGUAUCAACUUUGUGAUCAAUAUUCCAACACUCUAUAUACUUUAUUAUGAAUAUAGCACAAUCACCCCUGCAAGUAAAUAAUAUUAUAUUAGUUCGAUAACAUAUAUCUAAAAAAUAAGUUUUCAAACUAAAAACUUUUAAAUACUUACGACACUCUGUGUCUCGCUGUCUUCAUGUUACGUACAAUGGAUAAUUUGUCAUUUACUCAAAUCAUCGUAUGUCUAGCUACAAUGGGAACGAUUAUAAUCAUCAGCUCCAUUAUUUGCUCCAAUUAAUCUUGUGUCUGACAGCUAUGAUCAGAGUUGUACACAUGGAUAGUAGAAUCAGCGAAUGCGAUCUCAACUGCAGAGCAAUGUGAGUUCACGAUCACUAGAAUGUACAUACGUAUAUAACCUAUACCCUUUCCAUCAUAUCCCCUACCACCAUCACCGUCAAUACCUCUUUGCUGCCUCUGUCGGGGCCAUACAUUUCUUUUCUGUGAAAAAUGAAUCGAAUGUAGCAUUCAAUAGCUACGACGAAUCAUCACACCGCAUUUGACCAUCUCCUCCGUCAUUCCCUUGUCCCUAAGAACCGCAAGUCCCUCCGUCACCCCGUCUAUCUCCAUGAGGCUAGUCCCUUUGUCGUCCGCUCCAUCCCGAGAGCUACUAGUCCAUUCCAGGCCUGCUAUAUCACCUCAUGUCACUAUGACCUCAGCAUGAAGAUCUCCUAAAUUGGCUUGUUGCACCAUGGCAUCAUGUCAUAACUCUGCUACAUCACUUCUCAUCUCCAUCAUAAAUGUAGGUAGAAGUUCGAACAAAUUAUCGGUGGAAGCAUCACAACUACGUGCAGAAGAUCUACGUGUGAGGUUCUGGAUGUAGGAGUAGGUGAUCUCAUGUGUGAAGGUGACCUCCUCAGGGAAGGUGAUAUCGUUGGCAAAAAUGAUCUCCUUGAUGGAAGUGAUCUCCUCACCGGAGGUGAUACUGGAUUACACUCCUAAAAAAUGAACAUUACAAACGAAUAGCUUAAUCAAAAAUCAAAACGAUAAUCAAAUUAUAUUCAAUUAACACACCUUAUCUCGAUCGACAAUGUCUUCGGGCAUUUGAUUUGUCUGGCAUAGCUGGAACAGAUAGAUCACACAGAUAACUCUGACCCUUCUCUUUGAUCGACGGUCUCAACUCGAAAAGGACUUAAGCCGACGUAUUGACAUUUCACCGAUUUAAUGACCAUCUAUCGAGAUUUUGAAAGCACAUAAAUAUAAAUUGCAAAUGUAAACUACAUACCUUGGGAUCGUCAAAGAAAGCUGAUUAUUGUUUGGCAAAUGGUUUGUCUUGUGCUCGUUAAUGAUGCAUUUGAGGAUAGCAUGUCUCCCAUCUCUUCGGAUAUCGAUCACCCAAGAUAGGGAUAGUCUAGUACACCCAUAUUUGUAAUAAUUACAAUUAUUAUAUAAAAUUUAAUUAAAAAAUAGAUAGUUCAUUAAGUUAAACAUUUACUUGCAAAGCCAAAGGCAAGCCAGGUGCAUAGUACUUGUGCUCGGGCCUAUCCUCUAGGCAUCAAAUACUCCAUCCGAAAGACGUGCAAAGUAUCCAUAAAACAUCUCUGCCCCACGAAUAGUUGUUGAACGUAUUAAUGUCAUCAACAACUUCCAAAUGGAAAACAUCAAUCGACGUCUUCUUGUGAUGACUUCUAAGCACACUUUCAAGAAUAAGCAUCAAGCCUAGCUUCAACUUGUCUAAAAUCUGGUCACAUUCCCUGAAUGCAUCUCCUAACUAUACCAGAGUUACUAUCAUUUGUCCAUGAAAGUAUUUAUUUACCAGCCUCAUGUUUCUUGAAAUAUGAGCCCUUACUGUUUCUUCGCCUGUAUAUCUCAAUUCGAUGAUGAGGGCAAACUCGAAUAUAGAGAAUAUAGCUACCUUACCCCCAAAUCAAAAAGGAAGAUAUCUCUAUCAACUGGCUUAAGCAGUCAACAUUGUAAUGCACUGAGCAACUGUCCGAAGAACUAUACGUCAUGCAACUCAUGCAACGAAUACAGGGGCCAUAAGCAGGAUCGAUGUAAUAUGUCUCUGUGUUCCUCAUCUAGCGAAUCUAGUACCAUCGUAAAUUGCAAAAGUCACAAUUCAACUUAACUUUGCUAGGAAUUUGUUUAAUGGUAGCGUUUAAGUGGUAUUCUAUUCUGCAAAAUUUCAAAUGUUAGAAAAUUAAACUAACUGAACUGUAACUACUACACCCAAGAAUUAACAUAUAAUAGAAAAAAGGAAAAUGAAAGUAAAUAAAAAUUAUAAAACAAAAUUAUAAAAAGCAAUAAUUAAUUUUUUUUGUCAACAACAUUAAAUAUUCAAGAAAAAAUCAAGCUAUAAUUAAUAUUAGUUAAAAUAUUAAAAAAGAAAUUACAAUCAAAUAUUAAAUAAAUAAUUAAAAUAUCAAACGAAUAUUAAAUAAACAAGUAAAAUAAAUAAUUUAAUAUUAAAUAAUUAAUUAUAAAAGCGAUUACAUAUUAUAUAAAUCUUUAAAAUAAAUAAUUCACAUAAAAAUAAUAAUUAAAUAUUAAAUAAACAACUAAAUAAAGAAUUACAAAUUCAAUUAAAUAUUAAAUUAAAUAUUAGAUAUUUACAUAAACUAUUAAAAUAAUUAAUUAAAUGUUAAGAAACUAAAAUAAAUAAUUUAAAUAUAAAAUUAAAAUAAAAAAAUAUUUAAAAAUAAAUAAAAUAAAUAAUUACAAAAACAAUUACAAAUUAAAUAAACAGUUAAACAAUUUAAAUAAACACUUAAAAUAAAUAAUUACAAAAACCAUUGCAUAUUAAAUAAACAAUUUAAAUAAAUGAUUACAAAACAAAUAAAAUUAAGUAAAAAAUUAAAAUAAAUAAUUAAAUUUAAAUUAUCUAUUUAAGUAAAUUAUUAAAUAAUUUUAUGUUAAAUAAAUAAUUAAAAUAAAUAAUUACAAAAACAAUUGCAUAUUAAAUAAACAAUUAAAAUAAAUAAUUAAAUAUUAAACAAACAAUUAAAAUAAAUAAUUACAUAAAUGAUUAAAUAUUCAAUAAAUAAUUAAGAAAAACAUAAUUAAAUGUUUAAAUAAAUAAAAUAAGUAUAUAAAAAAUCGAAGGCAGCCCAAUAAAUGGAUAUAGACGGCCAUCUGGAUUUGGGUCGUCUGGAAAGACAGAAUUGCAAUUCCCGACUUUGGAAACGACGGAGAUCACACCAUUCCUGAUGAUCUCCGUCCCUGAAGUGUAUCAAAAUACUCAAUUUCGUGUACAAUUUAUAAUCUACAACAAUUUCUACAACAAAUGAACAUAUAACGUGCUUUAUUUAUUGGUAUCUAAAGUUUCAAAGCUAUCUUUCUUCAGAGAAAUGACGAUCUUCGAUCUAGGUCGUCAACUUCUUGGCGGUGUGGGCCGACGGUUUCUAGCUGGUUGUUUUCUACUCUUCUCUAUCUUCAAAAAUCAGUGUGGGCAUAAAUGGCAUAAAUGUUUUUCUAUAAAUGGCAUAAAUCGUCAACUCUCUCUAAAGUUACAUAUGUUUUUCUAUGUUUUUCAUGGUUUUAAUAAUUUUUCCUUUUUCUCAAAAAAAUGGUUAAUGGCCAUUAUAGAAAGAUGGUCGGAUUAACCAAUCAUAAUGUGAACCCGUAUAGGCAGUCGCUACAGAACCCACUUACAAGAUGGAAAUCUUCCCAAGAAAGUCAAAGUAAGAUUUUGAAUUAAACCCAACAAACUUGGAACCAAGCAACCUAAAUCGUCGAUGAUGUGUAGACUUCUUGAUUACGCAAAUUAAUUGAAUAUCACCCGAAAUUUUGGAUCUAACUCAAUAACUAUGAACUAAACAACCAACACGAUCACAUGGACAUGCUGACCUUUUGAUUAUAAAUAAUUAAUUGAAGUCACAACUCGAUUUUGAACGCCACAAGAAUAUUAAUUCCUAAUAAGUUUGGUAGAUUUGCCCAUUGAAGAACAAAAGUUUUGAAGCGAAGCUUCGAGAGAAAAUAUCUAAUUUAAUUCAUAUCAAAGUUUUGAAUACAAUUAUGAAAGAUAUUUCCUAUUUAUACUAAAGCUAGAAUAUAAUAUAAAAACGAAAAAAAAUAAAUCCAAAAUAUAUUAAAGAUGCUAAAAUAUUAGAAUUCUAACUAAACUAGGAAAUUGCCAAAAUAUGGAAUUCUCGAAUCACAUUAGACCCUCUCUCUUCGAAAGGAUUCAUCCUCGAAUUAUGUUCCAGAUUGUAGCCCUUGUCUCCAAUCAAUGCAAGAACAUGAAAUGGUCCAUCUCCCCUCGGAUGCAAUUUGGACCUCCUUUGACUUUGUAUUUGUCUUUUUCGUAAGUAAACCCAAUCUCCUUCACAUGGACUAAAGUGUGCUCACCUCGACUACUUAAUCUUACAAGUUGGAACUGCUCCAUUAACAUUUCCAUAUGAAGAAUAACCGUGCAUUUUCCUUGCUUUACUUAGCUCAAGAACUUGAUGCGAUAUCACUUCCAAUAUAUCCAUAUUAUCCUUCAGUUCAUCUUCCUCAAUCAACUCUCUACAUAUGUAAUUCCUCCAAUGCCUUUGAAACUCCUUUAUCUCCUUGGCAAUCACAAAGUCAACUUGUGGCAGAUAAGAAAAAUCCAACUGAUGUGAACCCACGUAGGCAGUCGCCAUGGAACCCACGAACAAGAUGGAAAUCUUCCCAAGAAAGCCAAAGUGAGGUUUUGGAUUAAACCCAACGAACUUGGAACUAAGCAACCCAAUCGCCGACGAUGUGUGGACCUCUUGAUUACGCAAACUAAUUGAAUAUCACCCGAAAUUUUGGAUCUGACUCAAUAACUACAAACCAAACAACCAACACAGUCACAUGGACAUGCGAACCUUUUGAUUACAAAUAAUUAAUUGAAAUCACAACUCGAUUUUGAAGGACACAAGAAUAUUAAUUCUUGAUAAGUUCGGUAGAUUUGCCCAUUGAAGAACAAAAGUUUUGAAGCAAAGCUUCGAGAGAAAAUAUCUAAUUUAAUUCAUAGCAAAGUUCUGAAUACAAUUAUGAAAGAUAUUUCCUAUUUAUAGUAAAGCUAGAAAAUAAUAUAAAAAUGGAAAAAAAAUCCAAAAUAUAUUAAAGAUGCUAAAAAAUUAGAAUUCUAACUAAACUAGGAAAUUGCCAAAAUAUGGAAUUCUUGAAUCACAUCAAAUCAUCUUCCACUAUUUUCCCCAUGCUCUACUCAUCUCCGACUGUUGUAAUCCAUUGUCGACUGUCCACUUCAAUUGGAAGCAUUCAACAUCAUCGACAAUGUUUUCCAAAACCUACAAUCCCAAUCGCCACCCUAUGCUAUAACUGGAAUCUCUAUUAUGCCCUACCAUCACCCAUCUAUCAGCCUAACAUAUAAUAAAUGAAACCAACCUACUCCAAUCACUGAAGCAACCCACCUUUGACACAUGAUCCUACCCAAUUCCACAACCAGCCGCACCUAUAACUCGCUACUGCAAAACACAGUUGCCACCACAAUCUUGUGUCAGACGCACUCCACAGAGACGAAAAUUUCUAUUCUCUCAUGCAUACAGAGAUAGCUCAUUUUAUUUUGACUGAAGGAAGGAGCUGAAAGAGGAACUGGGACUAGAUUAUUAGGUUUGGGAAGAAAAAUAAAUAGGAGAGAAAUUGUAGCCAGGUAAACAGGCUUUUUUUUUUCACCACAAGCCUCCUGCCGAGAGACAAGGAAAUCGAUGGAUCGUUAGCCAGGGAUUAUAAUAGGGACUCGCUAUUUCUACUUAUCUUUGGAUUUAUACUAUUGUUUCAUUUAAAGUGUGUCAAUUAUUUUCUAUGUUGCUGUUAUCCUAGUAUAUUAACCAAGCUCAUUUGAUUGGAUCCUUUGACUUCGUUAAAUCCCUACUCUUUAUACCAUUUAUUUUACGUAAUUACGCUUUUGACUAGCAUUUGGCACUUGUUUUGCUAUUUUACAUAAACCAGGAUGACUAACUUUCCAUAUUUGGAUUUGUUUAAUCCAAAAAAAUAAAUUAAAAUGCUCAGGUAGCUAUUUUUUGUUAUUUGCCCUUAUUGUUCAUUAAUCUUCCCAUUGCACGUCAUUUAGCUAUUAUUACAUUGAAUGUAGUUGCUUAGUAGUCAUUGUUCAUCUUUUGUUCUUAUAUUUUGACCAUGGACCUUUGCUAAUUUGAUGCACUCACCCAAUAAAUAACUCAAAUUGCCACUGGUAGUAGAACACUUAAUUAGUGGUUGUCCAAACUGAGAUGACUGCUGCUCAUGAACAGAGAGUGAACCUAGCUACUAGAUUAAACAAGUUCAAGGAAAACCCUCGUUCCACUAACGUUGAUAAUUUUGAAGUGUCCCAUAAUGGAUAAUAUCAUCAUCACGAGGUGAUCAAAAAUAUUUUUGACACGAUUGAAGGGAUGGGGAUUAGAAUCGUGAGCUAGAACAAGUCUAUGGCCAUGAUGAUACCCAUUCUCUUCCUCGUCAUGAGGAGCAUUUCUUUAGAAAAUAAAGUAAAUGCUCUAACUUUCAAUGAUUCCUUAGAUCCUAAAUUUUUCACUCAAUGAAAUGCUUUAUGACAAGAAAAUCAGCUACUGACUGAGUAUAUCACUCAAUUCGUGGAAUUUCAAAUGAAAUAUCAUAUCAUUGAGGAUGAGGCCCUGACUUUGUGUAGAAUUAGACAAUGUCUAAAGGUCUAUUUGAUUGCAAAGAUGGAAUUUGUGUGGAAAGAAAAUGAAUUUCAGAGAAUUAAAUUACCUGUAAAUUGUUUUCCUGAGAAUUGUAAAUUAUUGUGUUUGAUUGGUAUAAUUUUUCACUUGGAAAAUGUUAAAAUAAAAGUUUCUUUUGGUGUUCGUUUGGCUUUGUUUUACAUGAAAAUUGUCAAUUUAAGGGAUAUCUCCUUUUACAACUGUUCCUAAAAUUUGUUUCCAUUACUAAAAAAAGGUCCAAAAAUCAUCAUUUGACUUUGUUUUAUAUGAAAUUUGUCAAUUUAAGGGUUAGAAUUUUUUACAAUUGUUCCUCAUAUUUGUUUUCAUUGCCAAAAAAAGGUAGAAAACCAAAAGCCACCAAAAUGGUGGGAAAGCAAAUUCUAAGAAAUCUAAGAAAAUGUGCACGUGUGGGAGAAAGGAAGAAAAGGAAUUGCCAAGAAAAUUUUUCAAAUCAAACAAGGCAAAAGUGAAAAAUGGAAGGAAAUAAAGGGGGCUAUCAAACAUGCCCUAAGAGAUGAUCUUAGGCAUGAGCUUUUCCUUUGGUAUGUCACUACUCUUGAUCAUCUUCACUCUUUAGCUCGAGAUUUUGAGUUGAUUAUUGGUACACCAUAUGAAAUGUGUAAUGACAACCGUACAUCCAUCAAUCAGCACUGUCUCUUCUUAAGUAUAUCAAAAUACUUUCCUUGUCCAAUGUUCCUCAUUUGUUGGCAAAUAAGUGUAAAAUUCCAAAAUUUCAAAGGACUUUUCCUCACUUGCAGUGCCUCAACUAUAAGGACUUUGGCUGCAUCUCUUCCAAAUGUCCUAGUUACGCUUUAGUCAUUCAAGAAAGAAAGAAUGUAAUAGAUGAACCAUUAGAAAUUCUCGUUUAUGAACUUAAACUUGAAGAUUUUGAUGAAUGUGAGGACACCUACUUAUGUGGUAUCCGGACUCUUCCUGAGAAUCUAGAAUUAUACCCUUUGUUCCCAACACUUCUCAAGUACAUGUUGUAUGUCUUACCUUUAUCCAACCUAAAGAGGUUGAUGAUUUCACUAGUGGAGCAACCUGUCGCAUAUGGUUAGCACUAAAAUGAAACUCUCCACUACAGACCACCCUUAGACUAAUGGUCAAAUUGAAGUUGCUAACCAGAGUCUUGGUAAUUUCUUAAAAUGUCUAGUCCAGGAAAAUCUUGGGAAUUGGGGCUCGAUCCUCCUAGUGGUUCAAAUUGCAUGUAAAAAUUUUGUGAAUCGAUAAUAGGAGGCCUUUAGACCUUAUUCCUAUGUCCUCACAAGCUAGUGUGUCAAUGUCAGCCGAAGUAUUUGUACAUCAUCUUUAUGACUUGUAUAUUGAGAUCAAUAAACAACUUAAAGCAAGUAAUGUAUCAUAUGAACUUCAAGCUAAUUUUCAUAAAUGACAUGUUUGAUUUAAUAUUGGGGAUUAUGUUAUAUUGCAAGCCUGUAGUGCUUUCUUUUUUCACUUUUUUUCUAUUUCUCAAUCCUUCCAAAUUUGCCACCAACUACAAGGAAUCAAUGUAUUUAAGUAUUACAAAUAUACUAUUUUUUAUUCACUCAAAAGAAUAUUUUUGCAUCACCAUUAAAUACACAUCUUUUGUUUGUUCCUUUGUGUGUAUUCUAAUGCUCCGUUUGGUAGAGUUUUUGUUUUCUACUUCUAUAUUUUGUAGUGAAAUUCUUUGAGCAAACUAUCUCAAGCCAAUGCCCUCUAAAAUUUCUUCUAAUUUUGUAGAAAAUUAUUUAAACAUGUUCAAAAAUAUUUUCUUAGUUUCAAAAUUAACUUUUGAUUUUUCUAAAACAUUGCCAAAUGGGGCCUAGACCUUACUUAUUGCUAAUUUUUUAGAUAUCUUCUGAACAUAGAACAAAGAAUGAAGAAUGUAGAGUGAGGUAUUUAUGAAGAAUAAUCAAUGGCACUCAUGCAACCCUAACUCACUCUCUGUAUUAUAUAAGUCACUUUUAUUCCUUAGUUGAUUGUUUCUACGUACUUCCCACUCCUACCAACUUACUCUAAAAAAGGCAUUGCACCAAGGUCAAAAAGCAUGUUUUGUUAAUAAAAAGUAACUUUUAAGUAAUUUUAGUUUACACUAGUAGUUAUAUCAAAAACAAAAAUUUAAUAUAAUUAUUAAUUUAACUUUUAAUAUUACGUAGCAAGGGAUUUACUUAUGUGCUAUAGUGAAAGAUACCAAAUUACUGUCAAGUGCCCUAUGAACCAUUUUAUUCUCAAGAUUAUCAACAUUUAUUGUUACAUCAUUACCUUUUUUUCCCCGAAUUGCACUAAUUCCCCCUUAAUAGGUAGAUGUCAAUACCUUUUAGCGUUAGCAAUGAAUUCUAGAUGAUCAUGGCUGAAAUUUUCAGCCAUGAUUUCAAUUUUUUUACAGGCAGUGGUCUAGCAACAUAUGGAGAGACUAAAAAUUAAAAGGAAAUAAGAUAUUUAAUUACUAUGAAUAAGGUCAUUUUGACUUCUAUUUUCUAAAAUUUAGUUUUUCUUAAACUCAUUUUUAGUUACAUAUUUUAUAGAUAAAUAAUUUUAUACGCGACCAUAAUUUUUUUGUAUUUUUAAACCAUUCAUUCCCCAAAAUCCCUUACCCUAAAAUUCCAAAAUAAUAAUAAAUUACCAUGUACUAUUGUUUCUGUUUUUAAAAUUUAAAUUUCAUUAUUACUAUUAUUAUUAUAUUGUUCUCUCUCAUGAAUUCGCUGAUUUCACAAUUCAUGGGAAUUGGGGCUUGAUCCUCCCCGCUGUUCAAAUUGCAUAUAACAAUUUUGUGAAUUGGUAAUAGGAGGCCUUUAGUCCUUAUUCCUAUGUCCUCACAUGCUAAUGUGUUGAAGCAUUUGUACAUCAUCUUUAUGACUUGUAUAUUGAGAUCAAUAAACAACUUGAAGUAAGUAAUGCAUCAUAUGAACUUUAGGCUGAUUUGCAUAAAUGAUAUGUUUGAUUUAAUAUUGGGGAUUAUCUUAUAUUGCAAGCCUGUGGUGCUUUCUUCUUUCACUUUUUAUGUUUCUCAGUCCUUCCAAACUUGCCACCAACUACAAGGAAUUUACUUAUUUGCUAUGGUGAGUUGGGAGUUUGAUUGAAAAUUCUUCUUCUGUCUUGGGUUUUUAAGUUCUUCUUGGUAGAUUUAAAAUUUACCUUUGUGGGUUGAGAGUUUUGAUUGAAAUUCUUAUAUCUCUCAAGGUUUUCAAGUUUCUCCUUAGUAGAUUUACUAUUUAUUCUUGUGGAUUGGAGUUUGAUUGAAGUCUGUAUCUCUGUUGGUAGAUUUAUUAUUUUUGUGGGUGGGAGUCUGAUUGAAAAUAUGAAGAUUUGUGACUCGUUAGAAGGGUGAAGCCAACAUUAUUGAUGGUGAUGAUGAAAAUAGUAUUUGCUAGAAUCAAUAUUGUUUAUAAAAGGACUGCAAGCGAUGGAAUGAAAUGUUGUCCAUUUUGGUGGGCUAUGGAAUCAUGUUUGGCCUGGUUUUAUGGUUUCGGCUGCCCUCUUGGUUAAAAGGUUCUAAUGAGCAGAAGUAAAUUUCACCUUAUCAAAAAGGGACAGAGCUUGCAACCAACCAUUCUCAUUAUGACCCAUUAGAAGUCCAAGGACUACUCCAUAAACUUGAUUGUAAAAGAGAUGUAGUUCCUCUAAUAAUAGUGAAGCCUCUUCAAAUGAACUAUAGAAGCUCCGACCACAAAGAAAGCCAUGAAACUGACAUUAAUUAUGAUAAGCGAGAUUAUAAAAAGAAACGUAGGUUAUACAAAUAACUAGCAGAGACAGAAAACUAAUCACUAAGAAAAAAUUGAGAUAAUGAAUUGGUAAAGGAAUAAAAUAAUAAUAAAAAUACACCCAGUACAUAUAAAAGGACAUGAAUCCGAUUUGAAGGAAAGCCCAUGAAAUUCACAUUGAUUAAGUAGAAAAAGGGCUAUUGCUACUAAAACAGUCUAAUUACUAGCAUCCAAGUUAUAUAACCCAGAAAAUAAGGAGGACAACAAGUUACAUACCCUGAUACCAUUCUAAUACAAAUAUGUUUAAAUUCAAUAGGAAAUCACCUGGUGCAACUUAAAAUGCAUAGCUACUCUUAGCACAUCUAUAGAUGCCUAAGGGUAUAUGGUGGUUUUGUACGAGGGAUGUGGAGUGUGACAUUUGGAUCACGAGUGGAGAUGUGAUCAAAUGUCUAGGAUCAUUUAUCUGAAAUGAGACCCUGAUCAGGUGGAGUGUGAGAGAGACACUUCUAUCACUUCUGUUAGGUGGAGACCCAUUAUCCACGUAGGUUGGGAGAAGUGAUGUGGAGAUAGAGGAUUAUCGCGUGGACUUAGGAUCUAUCAUGACUUACUAGUUAGACAUGAGUUGAGUGAUCUGUCUAGUGAGCGUGGUGGGCAAUGAGAGGAGAUAUGUGUUCUCGAGGUGUGAGCAACAUGGAAUGGGAUAGGAUAAAUGUGGUGAGAUCUUUUCUUAGGGUCAUUUAUGCAUGUGUUGCAUAUGUGGUUGACUGUGGUUUGAUUGACUUGGUGUUAAUCUAUGGUUCUAUGUGAACGUGUUUCUGAAAAGAUCUGUGUGUGUUAUCUUAUAGUAUAUCGUCAUCGCAUGCAUAUUUGCUCUUGAUUUUUUACUGUUAAAUAUUUGCUUCUACUUGGGUGUUUUUUUUACCUUAGCCCCAGUGAGUACAUGGAAUAGGUAUGGUAUGUGUUUCAAAUUGGAAACAUGAGGUAAGGUCUGUUAUCCAAUUUUAUUGGCUACCUUGAUUAUGCAAGUGUUAACUGUGUAUUUUUUGAUUGCUUGCAGAUUUAUUGGGCAUCAAGGUGGAGAUUUGUUGGGUUUUUGAUACCCAAUAAAUCCCGGGCUAUGAUGUUAACGUGGGUUAAUAUUAUUUCAUAGGCAUAGGCCGAUGAAUGAAAUAAGUCCAAUAACCAAGUCCAUGAGCUACACCCGGCCCAAUUGUAUUCCUUAUGGAUGGCUUGAAUCUUAGCCCGUUUACCCCUUUAAUGGCCCUACAUAAAGCCUAACCCUAGAGUAUAUAUUUGGUUAUAACCCUAGCCACUUUGAUAUGAUGAUUGUGUGAUUUUGAGAGAAGAAACAAGAGAAUCCCGGCUGCCCCUCUUUGUGUGAGAAAAAAGGUGUCCAGAAGUGUCCAGAACGCUGGUAUAACGUGUGCAAUUGGUGGUUCUUUCAUGGUAUACCUUUGUGGUGUCUUCUCUUAGCCUUUUUGGCGAUAAAUCAUCAUCCUUUCUUGUCAUACAUGGGUAAGAUUGAAUAAUAACCAAGGUGAAUCAAUUCGUUGUGGUUUGGAGCCAUUUGUAUUGGUUGUUGGUAGAGAAAGGUACGUUGGACCGAGCCUAAAAAACCACCGUUUGAAGAUCUUUUGAGAGAGCUUCCGCAACAACAUCUAAGGCAUAUAAAUGCUUUCAAAUAAAAGAACCACACCAUGGUGUCAAGAAUGCAAAGAUAUAACAAAAAUAUGCCCAUGCUUGGCUUUUAGAAAAUAUUUACUUCAAUAAAAAUUUAAGACACACCUUCACCGUAUUACCAAGGAUUACAAGAAAGAAGCAUUAUAUAUUAAUAAGUAUAGCCACCAUUUCAGUCUAACAGCUCUUAAAAUGUCCAUAGAAAUUUUAGAACGCGUGAUUCCUAGAAAUUUUGAAAUGAAUUUAAAGCACGUGGAUCAUUCCCUGAAAUUGGGUGCUAAUGUGUCUUUUAGAUUCGCAAGUAAGUUGAGCAAGUUCCUUCUAUAUAAUUUUAUAGGAAAAUAAUCAGAAAUUUAAAAAAAAAAUUCUUGUAAACCACUUUCAAUAUUGUGCUCCUUCGCAAUAGUAGCAAAAAGAAGAGAACUGAUAUGAAUAUUUUAUGUAUAUUAAUGCAUUGGAUCUGGUUUAUUUGAGCAAAAGGUCUUCAUACCUUGGGGAAGUUCAUACCAAAUGCAGCCAUUACAACAAAAGUUAAGCAAGAGGUUUACAACUUUCAUCUCUGCAAAUAAAUAUUUAUGAUUGUUGGCAAAUGCUCAUCCCUGUUUUGCUCAAUCUCAAUCAUAAAACUAAGAGUGAUAUUAAAAUAAAUUGAGACUAAGAGCCAAUAAUUCCCUUUUAUAGCAAGAAACGUCAAUUGUAAUUUAAUCGAUUAAAUCUAGACUGAAAAUAUGUAAAAUAUUGAGAGUCUUAACUGUGCUCGCAACCUCAAACCGAAACAUUUUUUCCAUUCCGAUACUUAUUUGCAUGAAGUAGAUAUUAUAGGUAGCAGAACGAUCAUAAACGAAUAGCACAUACAACUAAACUAAUAUUUAUCUACAUGUUUUUAUAAUUUCACAACUAUAGAGUAGUCAUUAGGUCAAAUUAAUGUAUGUUCACAACUAUAUAGUAGUCAUUAAGUCAAAUGAACUCACAAUUUGUGGUUUAAUUGUCUUCCCAUCCAGCUCCACAGUCCUAACUUUCUAUAGUAAUUAUGGAUAACUACAUUGAACCCCCAAUAAAAGCAGAGCUAAAAACAUGAAAAUAACUAAACUAUUUUGUAAUCUAAUCAACAUAAAUAAUGGAAUUAUUGGAAUAACACUCACAAAAUCCACUCCAAUGGUGCUAAUAUAGCUGUCAACAUAUGAAUCAUCCUAAAAGCAUCAAAGGACAGCAUCAUGUCCACUAUACAAUUCACCGAAAAGAAAAUUUAAUAAAAACCCAGAGCUAAAUAUACUAACCCAACCAUAUUUCUAGAAGCAAGUCACUAAAGAAUAUUGAAAAGAAACCCAUUAUAAAGCACACGUAGAUGAAGAAAUCAUACCUAUAGUUAUUGGAGAAAUCGAAAGUUCACCUUCCACCACUGCCUUUAGAGAUAUUUUACGUCCGACUGCUUCACACCAUCAUCAUUAGCCAAACCAGCCAAUCAAGCCUCAUACCUCACAGAUUCGUUCGCCACAGCAUCACUUACCACGUCUUUAUCUUCAAUGAAUCAUUCGUUGAUGAAGAAGAUGCCUCCACCACCUACUUUAAUAUAUUAUUGUUAAUGGUUCAUGAUUUUUCUUUACAUUCUCUCAUGGAGCAAAGGACAUGGAUUGUACUUUCUUUUUCUUUUAUUUUUUGGUAAAUUAAGUUUUAAUCUUAGAAGAGCUUGUUUACUUGAAAAAUGUUAUUAAUAGACGAAGAAAUUGGGGAUUUUCUUCACAUCCAUGCAAAUAAAUUUUGUGUAUAGAAAUAAAUCAAGUAUGUGUGACUUUGUAGUUAUGGAUGGUGGAUCUCAUUAUCUGUUUUAGUUGACCCAAAAUAUAUAUAUGCACAAACCUGUUUUUCCUCUAAAUGAAGGCAUGUGUAAAAUCUAUUAUUAUUUCUUAAGACCCUUUGGAUGCUAUUGUUCUUAAUUCUAAAAUUUGAUGUGAAACUUUGUGUACAUUCGAGAUUUGUUUCUUUCUUUCUUGAUAAAUGUUGACUUUCUACAAUUAAAGUUAGCAUUUAAAGAACAGUACAGGAUAUUUUUCGAUGACUAUAUAUGUGAAUUUGAAGCUAAUUUGAAUACAACCAAAUACUUCACAAAAUCUCUUUAACUCACAAUGCAAAUGUUACAUCAACAAAUAGCUCACCAAUUCAAAGAAUUUUUAAAUAUGACGUUGAUAACCUAGCAAACAAAAAGCAAAAGUAGGAGUAGUUAUUUGAGAAUGUCACAUAUGUAUUUUGAUUUUCUUUUGCAUGCUUAUGUCUACAAUCCACCAUACCUCCAUUUGUCGUAAUAGUUUUUGUUUAUUAUAAUAUAAACAUGUUAAACCCAUGUAUCUAAUUACGGCAUGAAACAACUCUACUUUUUGCUUAAUAUUACCAUCAGCAGUGAAAAUACUUGUUGACACAAUUUAUAUAAUCCAAUAUAAUUUUCAUGCAAAGCCGGUUUCAUUUUCCACUGAAAUCCUACAAAAUCAAAAUCCAACACUAUCAUUUACACUACAUUACCAACUACACGUGCAAUGCACGUGCAUUCACUAGUCUAACUAAAAGUAAAAGAGGCAUAUUGUAGUUACUGUUCACAAGCCGAUUGCUCAGCCAUUUUGGACUGAACCAAGUUUGUUGAGUCAAUUGGAAAUAAGCUGAAUUUUUAAAUGACAUCGUUUUGUGUGAUUAAAAGAGGAUAAGUGUUCCUUUCGGUUUUUCUCAUUCUAGAACAUUCAUUUUGUCUUUGGUUUUCUCUUUGUUUUUAGAUCUGAAAACUUAUUUUGUAGAUUUGAUUUUCAUUUUCAAGAUAUCUUCAAAAUUUGGUUAUGGAGUGAUGUUUUCCAAAAUUUCAGGGUUAGCAGCGGUGGCAACUUCCACUUCGGCAGCGACAAUUACCACCUAGGUGCACCGUCUCCUCCUACCAAAUUGACCCACUUCUCUGCCUUGAGUUUUUUUUAGAUACACUUGUUCUGUAGAAAAAUUCAAGGUGCUAGAUCUAAUGCUUUUUGUUUGUGCUAAUUAAUUUUGCAAUUUGUGCUCAAUGUUUUGUCGAAUUACGAAAGUUGGUAGUGUUUCAUGGGAUUUUAGUUGGUUAAAGGUACCACUUCAAUGACAAGAAGCCCUAAAUUUUCUUAGAAUUUGUUCAUGAAUUAGCGAAAAAAAUAAAACUCAUUUAUUAUUGGGUAUAAGUUUUGCUUUACUUUAUUGAUGCUUUCAAACAUCUUGAUUCACUUGAGGUAUGUUUAAAAUAGUGUGUUUUCAUUCCAAUAUUUUGAUUCUGCUUGAAAAGCUCUUUUCUUGAUGUGCGAGCAUCAAUUUUUACACUUCACAACCUAUCUAGAGGAUUCUGCAAGCGUGCGAGCUAGGCUGUAACAUUUGAGCAAUAUCCUUCUUUAGGUAAUCGUGUUGUGCGUACCUUCAAAUCUAUGUACCUAGCAUAAUUGAAAAUGAAAACAUUAAGAACUAGAUAACAUAAUUCUUCUUCACAAAUCUUUUGUAUGACUCAGCUCUAUACUGUUUAAUUAUCACCACAAAAAACAAAAGCAAAGAAAUUCACAAGCAAUUAAUUUUAUAUCAUUCAAGUAUUUCCAUACCACAUAUAUUGCUUUCUAUAUUAGAAUUUAUUGAAUGAGAAACAAUGUAUUAAACUCCAUGAAGGAGAAGAUGAAUUACACUCCAUGAAAGGAGGAAAUGAACAGCUCCAUAAAAGGAGGAAGACACUCCAUAAUAGGAGGAAAUGAAAUCUCCAUGGAAGGAGGGAUUGGAGGACAAUCCAAUAGACUAAAAAUUCAUCCACGGUGCUGUAUUUAUAGAGCAAAAUGGCUAAAGUAAUUAACUAACUAAUUAGCUAAUUAACAAACUAAUCAAUAACUAACUAACAACUAAGACAGCUGGACACAACCGUUUUGGAAUCUGAUAUGUUGAGAUGGAAGUCUCUAGAAUCUGGUGCACACAUGAUGCUGGAAUCUGCUGAUGUUUGGUGCAUGUGUAUUCCAACAUUCUAUUCUUUAUCUAUGUCGUUUGAUUUUUGAUAAUUUUAAAGCAACGUUUAAAAUUCUCCAAAAGGGAUUUCUAUUAUGUUUCACAACCUUAUGUUGACCAUAUUAUCUUUGUAGUAUACGCCGUAAAAAAGAGUUGAAGUGAAUUUUUUCCUGUUGAGAUGAGCCAAUUAGUGGUAGAUUUAUAUGUGUUGUUGUGUAUGUAUUUUCGCAGUUUGUAUAAUAUAUCUGCAAGAACGUAGGAUUUGACUUUUGAAAAUAGCUCUGAUUCACCAUGUCUCAGAAACUGGUUUGACAUAUCCAGCAAGCAAGAAGUGAUACAAAAGUUGAGACAACAAUUAAAGAGAAAAGAUUACAUGAUGCUAGAAAUACAAGAUCAGAUUGCAAAACUUUGAGACUCUUUGUGAAGUGCAUUUGUAUUCUUUCCAUCUACAAUAGCUGCUCGAUUCUACAAACAGGGAUCUGUUUGAUUCCAAAGGAAAAUAUAGAGAUUAAGAAAGGCAAUUGCAGAUAAUUAUGGGGGACAUAUGGUUUUUAGUGACAAUUCCCUUGCUGUUCAUCUAGCAGAAGGAAGGAAUGGCCACACAAAUGGAUAUUCCGAGAUUGAAAGCAAUCUUGAUUCUUAAGAAAAAGGGAGAGGAGAUUGGGAUAUAACAUUGAAACAUUAAGAAGGGAAGUCAGGGGGUGAAAAGAAGUAAUAAUCCAAAAUCUCAAAACUUUUGGGCUGUCGUAUCUUAUCUAAACUCAAAAUAUUAGAAAUUUCAAACAUAUGUUUUUUUACGUGUGAUAAGGAUUAAGAAUAAAAGUAGAUGUCAUGGUAUCUUGUUAAUAUAUAACUGAGAAAACAUUUUGAAAAAAAAAUAAAAUAAAAGAUAAUUAUUUUUAGAAGUGAAAAGUUAUAUCGUUGAAUUAAUUUUCAUGUUAUUAUAUUUAUUCAAGACAUCUUUCGGUAAGCUUCCAAGAUUGAGCUUCUUGUUCAUCUUGUGGAAUUAAUUGAUGAUUGUAGGUGUUUAGUCAAGAAAGCUUGUUUGGUUUUACCGUUCUUGAUUAAUCUUUAGGUUCGAUUGAUUUUCUUGAUUUUGGUUUUUUUUUUCAUUAGUAAGCAAAAAGAAAAAAAAAACAUUUUUGCUGUUCUGAUUAUAUGUCAUAAUUUAUUGUAUCUAUUUAAUGAGUUAAACCAUGUGGUAUUGCCUAAUUGUUUCUAUGCACAACUAAAAAACAAUGUAAUUUCGUUCUUCACAUGUCCUAUUACUAAAUAGUAUUUGAUCUUUUUCACUUAGCUUGCACUUUAGCAACAUGAGUUUUUGUUGACUUCCUUGAAGUGAGAUGUGUUUGAUGUUACAGGUGCCUUCCAGAAUUUCAGGGACUACAUCAAAUUUUGUGAUUAAUAAACCCGAGAUUUAAUUUAAACAACCCAAUUUCCUGCAAUUUAUGAAGGAAGCUAAGGAUAUGGAUCUGGAUUUAUGGUAUUUUGUUGAACAAAAGAACAUUUAAUAACCAAUAUCGAUUCUCCAGUAUUUUAUAUUCCAUUUCUGACUUUUAGCAUGCGAACUUUUAUAGCUCUUGUAAGAGGUUUAGUACUUAGCACAAUAUUCAUAUUUUGUAAUUGCAAUUUAGCUAAGACAUCUUGCAGUUGUAGCAUGGCAGGUAUUAAUCAGGGUUGAAAUUAUAAAAGAAAAUGGAAAUAAUAUAAUCAAUCUCUGUCUUCAAUAAACAUUACACGCAUACCAACGAACAAGCUGGAGGAAAACAAAAAAGUGGAGAAGAGGAACUACAACAUUAGAUUUCAGGAAUACGGAUUAUGAGUGCCCUAUUUGAGUCCCAUUUUUUCAAGAAUUCAUUUUUUCAAAUCUCACUUUCAACUAUACAUUCUCUCAUAAAAUAAAAUACGUAUUUUAAACAUUUUUCUUGAUUUUUAACCACACAUUCUCCAAAAAAUCACUAUUCUAUAAUCCAUUUUACCCAAGAAUGGGGAUCAAACAGGGACUAGAUUUCCAUUACAAAGUAAACUUUACCUUUCUCUUCACUAUUUUGUCUUGGUCAGUGGUGGAUCUAGGAGUUGGAGCCAACUAGGGCAGUUGGUAACCGUCGACUGAUGCAUUAACAAGAUCGUUUAUUAAUAUUUUAUUAAAUAAUAUUAAAAAAAUUUAAUUAAUAUAUAAAUGCAGUAAAACGUAAAUCACAUAUUAACAAUCAUCAAGUUUCCAUUUCCAAAUUUCACAAAUACUAGUAGAUUCCAUAAGUCCACAAACACUAAUAGUUUUUAUUUCCAAAAUCCCUAAUUUUCACAAAAUCCUCAAUUUUCACGAAUUUCAUAGUCCACAUAUAUGAUAUCGCAUAUCCUCAAACUCAUGAAGCCUCCAAUUUUCGUAAAUAAUAUUAGAGGUUCGUGACUCAUGAAGUCACAAACUAACAGUAAAUAUUCAUAAAACAUAAAUUCAUAAAUCAUAACUGAUUAUUUUAACUGAUAGCUCAUAAUUUGAUAAAUAAUAAAUCAAAAAACGAACAGAAACCAAAAAAAAAGAAAAAAAGGAGAAAUGAAGAGAGGCAGGAGACUCACCACUCAUGUCCCGCCAUCACGAGUGGAAUUAGUUACCAGUGAUACAGUGGUGGUGUAGUUCUGUAGUUGCCAGUGGCUCAACGUCGGUGAUUCUACUGUGGCUUAGCUUGAGUGCUAGCAGAGAAAAAUAGAGUUUGGAAAUUGGAAUUGGAUAGAAUUGCUUGAUUUUGGGUUUGAACUGCCGAGUGAUAUGUGGCUUUGUGCGUUUGAUUUAUGAAGGGAAAAUUUCACGAAACACCAGUUAAUUUAUAUUAUUGUCUAUUCUACAUGCCACUGUAUUCUUAUUCUAAUUAUACAGCUUUUUAUACAGUAUUUUGGAAAACUGAAUGGGAGAACAAAUAAGCAGGUGUAUUAAGUUGGAAAGCAUCAAUUACGGUCAAUUCAAUUCUCCCAAUAUCUUGCACUUUCCCAAAAAAUCCAUUUCAUAUUCUUCUCUCUCCAUCUUGCAGAAAACUAAACACUACCGUCCAUGCAAAUCCAAGAUCCCCAGAUCAAUUAAUCAAGAAAAGGGGUUAAUUUACUACACAGAUCGAUCUCAUUACCUCACAUACCCAUGGGCUCUGUCUAUAUCCCACGGUCGGAAGUUGAAUGUCGUAAGUUAGCUACCCCUUGACGGAAGUUGUCGCUGGCUUCCAAAGAGGGUAUUAAUGGAGGGGAAGCUUCGGCAUCUGUGGAGAUAGUGACGACGAAAAUGGAAGUGCUUGUUCUCCUUAACGUCGAAUUACAUGAUCUAUAACCGUUUUGUCAGAAUAUAAGGAACGAGACCCCCCAGCCAUCAAAGAAAUGUUUAAAACCUCAGCCAAUGUUUAUAAAAGUGAGAAGAGGCCUCCUGACUAUGUUGACGAAGAAUCCUCUAUGAAGAAAAUGAAAAUGGCGUUGCAUUCGAACCCGGAAAAAGGAAAUUCUACGUCUCACGUAUUAUUUUUGGGGAUUUUUGAAAACUGUGAAUGUUAAUAUAUGUUAAAUUUUGUUUGCUAUCUUGAGGUUGACAUUUUUGAGACAAUGAAUUACGUAUGUAUGUGAUUUACGUGAAGUUCUCCUCCAUGCUUCUCUGACCCCGUUUAUUGUCUGUACCAAAACCAUUGGAUGACACACCGAAACCUUACACUACUGUGUGUGAUAUGUCGCGUUUGAAGAGUUUGAUAUGCUAAAAUUUACUUACAUCUCUGUGAUUGAUUGUGAAUAUUAAUUCUUCUUUUCUUAUGAUGACAACAUAUGCAAUACAACCCAUGUUUGUUACCGAGUAACGUUAACAUUUCUAACCUUACAUUUCAUCAUUUGCAUUUCCAUUUUUUUUUUGUAAUCUGCAAUAUGUAGUGGAAACUCAUUUUACACUUGACUUUGAUGUUCAGAUUGCACACUGUCUAUUAGAAAAUGGAAAUCAGCUGCAGGUGAGUCAGCUUGGGAAUUAGCAAAGCACGUACACUCCAGUACACAUGGGCGACAAGCUGGACUAUAGGUGGAAGAAUAAAUCUAGAAAGAUGUAGCAUAUUUUUUGUUAUGUGGUUUUCCUUUCGUAACAGUGUUGUUUAUAUAAAUUCUUUUUCCUGCCUCCUGUAUAGGUUUUUCGUUAGGCUGGUACUCUUCUCAUUCUAUAUAUAGUGUGAUCAACCUGUAAAGAAGUGAAUAUAGCAGAUUCAAUAUCAUGAGAAAAUUCUCCCAAAACUCUUGCACUCCACCUGCUCGAUAGUUUUCUUCUUUCAUUUAUUUCUUCUUUUCUUAUAUGAUAUCAGAGCCAGAUAUGGUACAACCUGAUUCUGCUAAUCCAAAUCCAGUUGAAUCUUCAAACACAGAUAUAAAUCAACACCCAAAUCCAAUCACGGUUGAUCCCUCACAGCCAAACAGUCCAUACUAUAUUGGAGCUAAUGAUAGCUCUGGAUCCACACUCGUUACUCAUGUAUUGGAUUCAAACAAUUAUCAUUCCUGAGCACGUGCGAUGUAAAGAGCACUCAGGAUUAAAAAUAAGCUCGAUUUUGUUGAUGGAAGCAUUUCAGAGCCUAGUGAUGCAGACAGUCCACUUAUGGAGCAUUGGUUGAGAUGUAAUGAUAUAGUAAUCACUUGGUUGCAGAAUACUAUGGCAGUUGAAAUAAAAUGCAGCACCAUGUAUGCUGAAACGGCACAUUACUAUGCAAAGAACUUGAACAGAGAUUGGCACAGCAAAAUGCAUCUAGGAUUUUUGAACUCAAACAAAGUAUUGCAAACUUGAUGCAAAACCAAGACAGAGUGUGUGUAUUUCUCAAAGCUGAAAACUCUUUUGGAUGAAUUGCUAAAUUAUGAAUCAGUACCCAAUUAUUCCUGUGGGGGUUUGAAGGUUGUGGUGAACAACCAACAAAGAGAUUGGUUUAUGAAAUUCCUAAUAGGUCUCAAUGAUACGUACUAGGGAUUAAAGGCUCAAAUUCUCCUCAUUAAGCCUUUCCCAAUCUUGAAUGAAGUAUACUCCAUAAUUCAGCAAGAAGAGAAGAGAAGGCAAAUAUCCAUUGAUAGUUCACUUGAUGAAACUAUGGCACUACUUGCUAAGGGUAACCUUGAUGUGAGAAAACAAAACCAAUCCUCUCCGAAGAAGGAUAGGUACUACUGCACCUAUUGUAAGAUAGCUGGGCAUUCCCUUGAACGAUGCUUCAAGGCUAAUCUAAACAAACCAACAUGCUCUUAUUGCCAAAUGCCUAGUCAUACAGUUGGAAAAUGUUUUGAGUUACACGGGUAUCCAUCGGGGCACAAAUCAGAAGGGAGAAAUAAGCCAUCAACAUCAUUUGCUAAUCAGACUACUACACUUAUGCCUCUUGUCUAGGAACGGGUAAAUAACAAAGCUCAAAUGUCUUUAUCUCAGGAGCAAUAUGAUUAGCUCAUGGCACUGCUGAAACCACAAACUCAUCAAACCUUCAUCCCUUCUGCAAAUCAUGUUCAAACUUUAUUCCAACUCAUUCUGAUAAUGGUGAGAUGCCAAAAGCUUCAGGUAUAUCUCUAUGUCUGUCUGCCUUUAGCACUAAACUUCAUGAUCAUUCAGUUGUACCUUGGAUAUUAGACACAGGGGCUACGGAUCAUAUGAUCUUCUCAACCUCUCUCUUUACCACAAUAAAGUCUAAAGUUUCCUAUUCAGUAGGUCUCCCAAAUGGUAAGGACAGUAAAAUUUUUAGAAUCUUUCAUUUUGGAUAAUGUUCUUUGUGUUACGUCGUUUUCUUUUAAUCUGCUAUCAGCUAGAAAAAUAACGUAGAACAUGAAUUGUUGCCUCAUUUUUCUUCAUGAUUGUUGUUUUAUACAGGACCUUUUGACUUGGAAAACGACUGGAAUGGGUGAAGUAAAGCAAGGACUCUAUCACUUGAUGCAAAACGAAGUGUCUCCUUUUUCCUUGACCAAGAAAUUAGCCUAUCUAACUUAAAAGACACCCAUAUCCACUUCCUCUAUUUUCAAUAAUGGUGAAGAUUUCGAUCUUUGGCACUGUAGGUUAGGACACUCCACCUAUUCAAAGUUUAAUUUACCAGAAGACACCACAAGAUCCACCAAACAGCCUUACCUUAAUUGUCCUUUAGCCAAACUACAAAAAUUAUCAGAAAAAUGUUUUGAUCUCAUAUAUUGUGACAUUUGGGGACCAUGUAAUGAGAUUAGUUAUGAUGGUUUUCGUUAUUUUCUAGCUAUUGUGGAUGAUUUUAGUAGAUGUACUUGGUUUUAUAUGUUGAAAUUCAAAUCUGAUGCUGGCAUUGUUUCGCAAAGUUUUUGCUCUAUGAUUGAAACACAAUUUGAAUGCAAAGUUAAAACUAUUAGAUCAGACAAUAGAGAUGAAUUUGAGAUGAAGAAAUUUUAUUCACAAAAGGGAAUCAUUCACCAUAAAACUUGUGUAGAGACUCCUCAACAAUAUGCCAUAGUUGAAAGAAAACAUCAACACAUUUUAAAUGUGGCAAGAGCUUUAAAAUUUCAAAGUGUCAUCCCAUUAAGAUAUUGGAGUAAUUGUGUUCUCACGACAGUUUAUCUUAUAACUAUAACCCCUAUACCUCUUUUAGACCACAAAACACCCUUUGAAAUUCUUUUUCAAACCAAACCAGAUUACACUUAUCUUAGAGUUUUCGGAUGCCUAACAUUUGCUACUACCCUAGUAAGUGGAAGACUUGAAUUUGAUCCUAGAGCUAGGAGAUGCAUAUUUUUGGGAUACCCAUUUGGAAUCAAAGGAUACAAAUUAAUGGAUUUGGAAACAAAUAAGGUCUUUAUCUCUAGGAAUGUUAUCUUUCCAUGAGAGUGUGUUUCGCUGCAAGCAAAAUGCUAGCAUGAGUGCUGAUUUUAGUCCAAAUCCAACUUCAAAAACAGAUUUCAUUUCUGAAAUUCCUACUAUCUCAAAUCACAUAGAAAACAGCCAAAUCAUUCUCUUAUCAACAUUUCAGACAAAAUGUAGCAACAGAUCACUCAACAGACUUUGAAUCUUCUUCAUUAGAACAAAAUCAUGACUCAUCUGAACCUGCAAAUACAUUUAGAAUUGAUAGUGAGCCAUCCCAAAAACAAGUUGUACCUUGAAGGUCAAACAGAAUCAAGAGAACCUCUACAUAUCUCAAGGAUUUUGUCUGUCAAUAGGUCACUUUGCUUCCCCAUUCACAGGCUUUGGACAAGCAAAGGGUCACCAUUCCCUCAGGUAAUCCCUAUCCUCUUGAGAAUAGUGUGUCAUAUCAUAAACUCUCCACUCCCUACAAGGCUUUUGUUGUUUCUAUCAACACACACACAGAACCUAAAAAUUUCCAAGAAGCACUGAAUCUCUCGAGUGGUGUAAUGCUAUGAAAGUUGAAAUAAAUGCUCUCGAAUUAAAUGAUACUUGGCUAGUUGUUGAUCUGCCUCUUGGUAAGGAGGCCAUAGGGUGUAAGAGGGUUUAUAAAAUCAAAUUUAGUGCUAAUGGGACCAUAGAGAGAUAUAAAACCAGAUUAGUGGUUAAGGGAUACACACGGCAAUAAGGACUCGACUAUCAUGAAACAUUUUCUCCUGUGGCAAAACUAGUUACUGUAAGGACUUUGUUGACUUUGGUUGCUGUUAAAGGUUGACACUUAUACCAGUUUGAUGUAAACAAUGCAUUUCCACAUGGAGAUUUGGAGAAAGAAGUUUACAUGCAAUUGCCUCCGGGUUAUCCCACUGCUAAUGGGACAAAAGUUUGCAAAUUGAAGAAAAGCUUGUAUGGCCUUAAACAGGCCUCUAGACAGUGGUAUUCUAAGCUGUCUAACUUCAUUAUUGAGCAAGGUUUUUCACAAUCUAAGGCUAAUUAUAGCUUAUUUACAAGAGCUACAAAACAUUCUUUUAUUGCCAUCCUUCUAUAUGUCGACGACAUUAUAGUGUUCAGCAACUGCAUUGACUCUGUUAAUGUUCUCAAGGAUACCCUACAUGAGAAAUUCAAAAUCAAGGAUCUAGGAUAGCUGAAAUACUUCCUUGGGAUUGUGGCUAGGUCAGAUCGUGGCAUCCACAUAUGCCAAAGAAAGUAUGCCUUAGACAUCUUGACAGAUUCAGGCAAAAUUGGGGCAGCACCAACUCGAAUUCUGCUUGAUCAGAAUCAUAAGCUUUCUAAAGCGCAGGGUAAACUAAUUCCUAACCCAUCACUCUAUAGAAGGCUAGUUGGAAGAUUACUAUAUUUAACUAUAACAAGAUCGUAUCUAUCCUUUUCAGUGCAACUAUCAAGUUAAUUCAUGGAUAACCCUAGAUUCCCACGCCUUAAUGAAGCCUACAAAGUUUUAAGGUAUAUCAAAAAGGCUCCAGGACAAGGUUUGUUUUAUUCUACUGAAUCAAGCUUGCAACUUAUAGGUUACUGUGAUUCAGAUUGGGGAGCAUGCCAGGACACAAGAAGGUCGGUCAGUGGUUAUUGUGUGUCUACUGGGUCUUCUUUGAUAGCCUGGAAGUCAAAGAAACAAGGGGUCAUGUCUAGAUCAUCUACAGAGGCAGAAUACCGAGCAAUGGCUAACCUGUGCUGUGAAUUAACUUGGAUGAGAUAUUUACUUCAUGACUUGCAAAUUACACAUCCUCAGGCUGCCACUAUGUUUUGUGAUAACAAGGCUGCACUUCACAUCGCAUCAAGCCCUAUCUUUCAUGAACGAACCAAGCACAUUGAGCUUGAUUGUCAUCUCAUCCGUGACAAGAUUCAAGAUGGAAGCAUAACCACUCGUUAUAUUGGUAGUAGACUACAAGUUGCAGACCUCCUAACUAAGGCCUUAAGUUCUCCUGUUUUCUACUCUCAUUUGCUCAAGAUGGGAGUAGAAGAUAUCUACUCUCGACCUUGUGAGGGGCUAUUAGAAAAUGGAAAUCAGCUGCAGGUGAGUCAGCUUGGGAGUUAGUAAAGCACGCACACUCCAGUACACAUGGGCAAUAAGCUGGACCAUAGGUGGAAGAAUAAAUCUAGAAGGAUUUAGCAUCUUUUCUGUUAUGUGGUUUUCCUUUCGUAACAGAGUUGUUUAUAUUGAUUCUUUUUCCUGCCUGCUGUAUAGGUUUUCCGUUAGGUUGGCACUCUUCUCAUUCUAUAAAUAGUGUGAUCAACCUGUAAAGAAGUGAAUAUAACAGAUUCAAUAUCAUGAGAAAAUUCUCCCAAAACUCUUGCACUCCACCUGCUCAAUAGUUUUCUUCUUUCAUUUAUUUCUUCUUUUCUUAUACCGUCUAACAAUCAUUUUAUUUUAUUUCGUUUCCAUUUUUUUUAUGCAAUCUGUGAUUUAUAGUGGAAAUGAAUUAAACUGGGUUUUGAUGUUCAAACUGCAUGCUAUUAACAUGUUAUUUCCAUAACGAAAUAUUAGUUCUUUUUUUUCUUAUGAUGACAAUCAAUGCAAUACAGUCCUUGUGUAUGUUACCGAGUAACGUUAACAUUUCAAACCUUACAUUUCAUCAUUUGCAUAUCCAUUUUUUAUGCAAUCUGCAAUGUGUAGUAGAAGCUCAUUUUACACUGGCCGGUGAUGUUCAGACUACUCACUGUUUAACAUUCUUAUUAUUCUAUUUCCAUUUCUUUUUUAAUGCAAUCUGCGAUGUAUAGUUGAAACAAAUUACACUGGGUUUUGAUGUUCAGACUGCAUGUUAUUUCCAUGAUGAAAUAUUAAUUCUUCUACCUUACAAUGACAGAAUUAUUCAUUCAUCAUCCACUCGGAGAACCGAUUCGGUGGCACUAUAAAUGUGUUCAAUAAGAAUGAUGUGAGAACAAUAUCGAAAGCGAAAAUGAACGGUGCAGAAAGAGACGUUCAAAAAUUCGUGUUUUGGACACUUUCUUCAGAUGAGUGAAAUGCGAAUACAACAUCAAGUUAUUCACAAGAUGCUGAUGUUGGAAAUCAGGCAACCGAACAAAGACGAAAUAUGGUUUGAACUAGAAGGGAAGAUUAUAAGAUUCUCAAUUCACAAGUUUUGCAUCAUUAGCGGGCUGAAAUGUGGUCAGCUAAUUAUUUUGGUCAUUUGUGCGCCUUUCUUUUUGUGCCAGCUUAGGUGAUGUAGAUCGAGUGGCCUAUAAUUUUAUUGAGAAGUAUGAGAGGAGGCUUGAGAAACAGGAAUAUUAAUUUUUCUGUUAUUUCUUUAUUAUGUCUGUCAAAUUAAGUUUUCUUAUUAUGUUAUCUAGGUUUCUGUUAUUUAAUUAUUCUGUCUAUCACUUAUUUUAGGUAAGUUGUCUGUUUAGGGUUCACUUAGUUUUCAUAUAUAUUUGCAGUCUUCUGUAGCCGCAGACAGUUUUCUGGAGUUAUUAUGUGAUCAAUAAAAACUCUCUGCAAGAGUUUUAUUUGUUCCUGCAAUUCCUAGUCCCGAUUUCUAGGUUUGUGGAAGAGUUGUGAAUUUAUUGUGUGCAUAGAUUCUGCUUCUGUUCUUUCCGCUGCAUCAGCUGGUAUCAGAGCCUUGCUGAUUUCCUUUUUUCCAUGGUGCAUAGAGGAAUUUGUGGUGGAAGGCAUGUACCAUUGGGCUAGGUGAACGAACGCGAUGAGGUGACACGUGAGGCACAACUGGAGGCACGAAUACUGCAACAGGUGGAUGAGCGAUUUGUUCAGAUGGGUCACCGAUUUGGUGCCCUGACUGAACAACUGGUGGCUCUGAGUAUUGGAUAUCGUCGACACCAAGUGCGAGAUGAUGAUCGCUUUGCUGGAGAAAGUGAUGAUGGAAGUGAUGGAGAAGAGGCUCAAAACCCGUUUGCUGAAUUGAGAGAAAGGAGAGCACGUCCUGUGGUUCAACAAAAUACCAGCAGGUGGGAGUCGGGUUUUAAACUGGACAUUCCAGAAUUCCAUGGCUGCCUUCAACUUGAGGAGUUCCUGGAUUGGGUUGCUGCUGUGGAGGAAAUAUUGGAGUUCAAGGGAGUACUGGAUGAUCGAAGAGCUUUUCUAGUAGCCACAAGAUUUAGGGGACAAGCCGCUGCUUGGUGGCAGCAAACUAAAUAGACCUGAGUGCGCCGAGGUCGGCCGAAAAUCUGUAGUCGGGAGAAAUUUUUAAAACAUAUGAGGGCAGCAUUUUUACCCCAUAAUUAUAUGAGAAUUAUGUACCAACAACUUCAUAACCUUAGGCAAGGAACAAGAUAUGUAGAUGAAUAUACUACGAAAUUUUAUAAAUUGGUAGCAUGUGUGGAGUUGGCUAAAUCUGAUGAUCAGUUAGUGUCACGGUAUAUUGGAGGGAUGAGACUGCAAUUUCAAGACUCCUUGAACUUUUUUGACCCUGUGAACGUUUCUGAAGCCCAUCAGCGGGCUCUACACUUGGAGAAGACCUUAUCUUGGGGGAGAUGGAGUGCUGGUGGAGUGAGCAUUGGUGGUAGUACUGGAACAAAUCGAUCAGCUCUUCCACGUGUUGCAAUUACUCCGUCUUCACAGAAUAAAGUGGAAACUAAUGUCCAGUUGAGCAGGGGCGUAGCAUCGAGUUCCCAGGCACGAUGUUUUAAGUGUGGUGAGCAGGGUCACCGUAUGGUAGACUGCAAAAAAAGUGGUAAAUAUGGUAUGGGGCUGUUCGUUAAUUCUGGAGAGUUAGCUGUUGGUAGCGCGGAAGAUGUCAAUCAGGAACCUGUUUAUGAUGUUGGAGAGGAGGAGUAUGAAGAAAAGCAGGUUGCAGGUGAUGAAGGUCCUUUGUUGGUAGUGAGGAGGACAUGCUUGGCACCUCAUAAGGAUGAAGGUGAUGAUUGGUUACGUCACAAUAUUUUUCAGUCAACUUGUACCAUUGGUGGCAAGGUUUGCAAGCUUAUCAUUGAUUCAGGUAGCUAUGAGAACGUGAUUUCUGAAGAGGAUGUUAAGAAGUUGGGAAUGGAGACGGAGAAGCAUCCUAGUCCUUACAAAUUGGCUUGGCUCAAGAAAAGGAGUGAGGUAACUAUUUCUAAGCGUUGCUUAGUAUCAUUUUCUAUCGGUGCAAAGUACAAGGAUAAAAUUUGGUGUGACGUGAUAACCAUGGAUGCAUGUCAUCUUUUUUUGGGUCGAUCAUGGCAAUAUGAUAGCGGUGUUAUACACGAUGGAAGGCAGAAUACAUACAGCUUUGUGUUCGACAAAGGGAAGGUUGUUUUACUACCUAACAAGAGGGAAGAACCCCAACAUCCUUCAGGGAAGGGACAAAUUUUGUUGGCUAAGAAGGAGUUUGAGAUAGGGGACUUUGUAUGGGCUAUCCUGACGAAAGACAGAUUUUCUGGUAGUGAUUAUAACAAACUUGCUGCUCGGGAAAUUGGACCGUUGGAAGUAAUUGAAAAGAUCAGUCUUAAUGCAUACAGGUUGAAGCUUCCAAGCCAUGUUGCGACCAGUAAUGUAUUUAACGUCAAGCACCUGGUUCCAUAUGUUGGUGAUUCGUCAAUAGAGGACUCGAAUUCGAGGGCGAAUUCUCUCCAACCCGAGGAGGAUGAUAUAGAUUGAGUGGCCUAUAAUUUUAUUGAGAAGUAUGAGAAACAGGAAUUCUCUCCAACCCGAGGAGGAGGCUUGAGAAACAGGAAUAUUAAUUUCUGUUAUUUCUUUAUUAUGUCUGUCAAAUUAAGUUUCCUUAUUAUGUUGUCUAAGUUUCUGUUAUUUACUUAUUCUGUCUAUCACUUAUUUUAGGUAAGUUGUCUGUUUAGGGUUUACUUAGUUUUCAUAUAUAUUUGCAGUCUUCUGUAGCCGCAGACAGUUUUCUGGAGUUAUUAUGUUAUCAAUAAAAACUCUCUGCAAGAGUUUUAUUGUUCCUGCAAUUCCUAGUCCCAAUUUCUAGGUUUGUGGAAGAGUUGUGAAUUUAUUGUGCGCACAGAUUCUGCUUCUGUUCUUUCCAGUGCAUCAUUAGGGAUGGUAGUUGGUUG